rnacentral:lncRNA from 1 species
UCAUCGGCUUCGACAACCUGCGGCAGGUGCAGUGCGUCAGCUUCAUCGCCUUCAGGCCACCGGGUUGCGAGGAGUCCGGCAAGGCAUAAAGUGCAAGUUGAAGUAACCGAUAUACAUGCCAUGUUAGUUCACAUUGGUCGGUCGGUAGCUCUGCUUUCUCAAUUUUACUUCUUGUUCCAAUCAUAUGUGAAUAUACGAGCAUAUGUAUGUAAGCACCUACCAACGUAGGUCGAGGAAGAUGCAUAUGAGAAUCAUAGUACCGGCUAUACAUACUUUGUUUGCAGCUGGAAAUGCCUAUGUCUUGUAUUGUUUUCUUCUCAUGCAUUUUUUGCUCAAUCAUAUGUUGUGUAUUAUCUAAUGCAAAAAUUGUUAUGGAAUACCAAAGUACUUCAAAAUACUAUGGAGAAACACAUAACAAGUGGUGAGAUCCCCUUGAAAACUACUCCCUUCGUUCCUAAAUAUAAGUCUUUUAAGAUAUUUCACUAGGAGUCUACAUACGAAGCAAAUGAAUGAAUCCACACUCUAAAGUAUGUCUAUAUACAUCCGUAUGUAGUCCAUUAAUGAAACCUCUUUAAAGACUUAUAUUUAGAAACGGAGGGAGUACUGGCAAAACAGUAGGGAAUUGACGAGAAACAUACAAUAACAAAAAACUAAAAACCAAAUUAGAAAACUAGAAAAAAGUACAAACAAAGGUUUCAAAACAAGACAAGGACAAACCUACCGUACCGCACUUGUCAUGUGAGCCGUAUUCCUGCAUCGAUGCAUCAAUAACAUGCCACUUUUUCUAACCAUUUUACACCACAAUUAGAUAUUCUUUUUAUAGUAUUACAGAAGGAUGAACUAUAUGCACCUCUUCUGGUGAUGAUUCAGUCCGGUCCAUGAUCGUUACAUCAGUGCGUAUGUCGAAACCCAUCACUUUCUAUCUCUGAUGAAAUAUAAAUAUAUUUUAUAUCGCAUCAUAUAAAAUUUACAGAAGACAUAAUAAAAGUGAAACUAAAACAACUAUUUUAUUUUGUAAAAACAAAAAACAUUUUUUUUUCAUAUUAUUGAAAAACGUGUUGCAUUUAUAUUGGAGCAAACAACCAAAUAUAAUGUUUAUAUUUAAAUAAGCAGUAUUCUCAAAUUUCUUAAAUCAUUUUAAUAUAUUUAUAUAGCCUAAGAAAAAUUGUCCGAGAAAAGUUAAAAACAUGCACGCGAUCCAACAUAAACCAAGUAUAUUCAGUUUUUUGUUUCAAAAUUGUGAAUUUUUAUGAUACUCUGAAUAUAUCAAAUAAGUAUAAAAAAUAUUUAUAUGUAUGAUCCAUGUUUUAUUAAUAUAUACUUUAAUAUAUAUAUAUAUAUAUAUGUGUGUGUUUUAAGACAACUUUUAAUAUAUAUGUUUCUUCGCAGGGAUUCUUUUUAGGCAUUUUUCAUGUGUGAAAUGUUGGUGAUUGAAGGCCCAAAUUGGCUAUUCGGGCACCGCCGAGCCAACACCCAAUAAACCUCUAAAAAAAUAAAAAAAUAAAUAUCACCAACCCUACUUCACCGGACGACCCAACCAGCCCUGUCUCCAUCACCCUCUCUCUCUCCGCUCCCUGUCUCACUCUCUCCACUCCUCGUCUCACUCCCUUGCACAGAAAAUCCUAUAUGUGGAAGACUGACCCACUCCACUCCCUCUGCUCUCGCCCCACAGCCAGCGACCUCGUCUUCCACCACACAUCCACCUCUCAUCCCUUUCCCUUCAACCAUCCACCGGCGACCAGUUGCGCGCACACACUAUAAGAAAUAUGUCAACUUUUGACCUUUCAUAUUGGUCAAUGAAUGGUCGUUGUUUUCCAUUUAUGACCUUUUUAUGACCGAAAACAAUUGGUAAAAAGAGGACCGUCUCUAGUGAACUAUAACAACCUUUCUUCUGGAAUGGUCGUAGCAGGCAAUGAUCAAAACGAAAAGGUCGUUGGUUCUACGACCAAUUGUUUUGGUCACUGGUUGUGUGCCCAGGCCACGUCAAAUCCAACGUGGCAAGCUGGCGUGGAAAAAUUACGUCCAAUUCGGUGUCCAUAUGGGCCGAGCCCAACAAUUCAGCCCAUUUAAUUAUCAUUUUUUGUUGUCAUUCUGGUCGGCUACAUGGGUCUCACCCGAUAUUUCAGCCUUUUUUUGGUCGUGGCCUUUCUGGCUCAAUGGUUCCAGUUUUUUUUCUUCAGAAGAUGGGUCCAAUAGACAAAUGGGUUCCGAUUGUCAGCUUCUAGUAUGAGGAUUCAUGUUUUCAAUUCACCAACAAAUAAAUAACCAAUAUUUAAUUCAAAACAGACAAAAAGAACACAUAAUACUUCAAAUAACAGCCACAAUAAGUCUAUUACAACAUAUAACUUAGAUACAAUGGUGAUCACAACCACAAGCUCUACAAGUGUAAACACAACCACAAGCUCUACAAAUGUAAUCACAGCCGCAAGCUCUAUAAGUGCCCUUUGAUAGCUUCGAGUGGACCUUUCAAGGGUCUUCUCCAUAGUGCCGACCAAGAUCUCACCCUUCAUGGGCAUCAGAGCAAUGCAACUAAACGUGGCAGGGAAAAGGACUACCUGCCAAAAGCCAAAUCUAUACAAGAUAUCAGCCUUUCAGUGGUGUAGAAUAUCAUAGAUAGAGACGUGCUUCAGCAUUACAUGGCAUGGAAACGUAGAAUGCAUUUUUUACAAAGGGCAUACAAUUGCAAAUUUACUAUCCACAAAACAAAUUAGAAAAAACAAAUAAAACAGUGAAGUGUAAAAAAUAUAAGCCAUAGUGUUUCUACUUCCCACAAAUGACUGACACCAUGGUGUUUCAACUACAUGGCAAUCUAGUCACUCAAGAUGCGUCACCAAUCUAGUCACUCAAGAUGCAUCUUGUAGAACACUAUUCUAUAAUAGUAUAUAUCGAGCAUGAUACAACAGAAGCUUGAAUUUAUGGUUUUUAUAAUUCGACAUUAUACAUCCCCGGUUAUAUAGACAUGUUUAUCACAUACUGUACACGACAAUAGAAGAAAAAUUCUAAUAAAUUCGUUAGAGGCUUUCCAAUAAAAAUGAUAAGUUACCUGCAUACCAGGAAACAUAAACUUGAGAGGUUCAGAUCAAGGCCAAUGGAGCAAUGCAUCAUAAUUAACAGUUUUAAAUACUAUAGGACCAGGAAGUAGGUGUCGCUUCAAAUUUAAAAACUCAACCAUUCAUCAUUAAGAGUAGCAAUUUAAUCUAAUAGUAAAACAAUGCUCCUAAAAUAGUUUUCACACUGGAACUAUGAGGCAGCUAAAUUACAAGAUAUGGUUUGCCCUUUUUUCACAACAUCGAUGAGCUAAAGGGUUCUGCAGGGUUAGGCAGCUCAUCUAAAACUAUGUAUUUACUCUAUGCCAUCAUGUAUUCACAAAGUGGUCGAUCAUUCUCACAUAUUUUAAUAUAAAGAAGGGAUCCUAGACAGCUACUUGUGUAGUAUACAUGGCAAUCUAGUCACUCAAGAUGCGUCACUGCUAUCCGCUAGAGCACACAACAUACAAACCACCACUAAAAUUGACGCGGGGCGCAAGGGUAGGGCGAAAUAUCACACCUUUCAGUUUGGACGGAGUGUAGAACUCGACGACAUCGAGCAGCCUCACCUCCAGCUCCACGUGCGAUUGCUCCUGGACCUGCCAUAUAAGGAAAAGACAUCAGGCCACGAGACCACGAGACCUGCAAUACGAGGAUUUUAUUAGCUCACUGGAUGGUGUGUACUUCACAUCAUAACCAAUUUGAAUACUAUGGUUUCUGAAAAAACUUUGGUACUAAAUACUUUGAGAUGUUUGGUUUAAAAAAUUAUUGUGGUUUAAGAUAUUGCGAUAUCUCUCAUACUGCAGUUUUUCUAUAUUACUUAAAAAAGUGCCCCCCAUCAUUUUUAAACAGAAACAUCCUAUUGAUUCUCUUUGCACUUGAAGCCACUACAAGAAAACCCAUGACUGAAAUCAUAACACCACCACUAAGAUCCCCGGUUGUAACAAGGAUCACACGGGUAGGAUACACUAUGCUUUGCUGGACAAGAAAGACAACAGUUUGCAGAAGGGGUGGAGAAGGGGCAUGGGGACGAACCAGUUCUAGAGGCCAAUGCGGAAGAAGUUGGACUUGCGGUAGGUGUAGCAGGGGAGCGCAUCAAUGCGCCAUUGUGUGAGCCACAACGCCGCCUCGACCGAGGACCCCACGACAUCGCAUCGAUCAUGGCCCCCCACGCCGCCGCCGCCGCCACCACCUCAUCGACGCAGCCCAGCAGCCCCAGCGCCCCCUUCCGCAGGCUCCCUGUGACCGCUCCUCAUGAACUGCCGCGAUCCCGCGCGCGCACGACCAAACCCCAAACGCCAACCACUCAGCACGACGACGACGUGGACAUGGAUAGAUCGCUGCGACGGAUGACUCACGGUCACAGCGGUAUGCAGGAGGUGUGCGCGCAGCCAAAGCGUCGCAGAGGGCUGUCCGUCCCGGUUAUUGGCGAGCGGCGCGCGCGUAAGAGCAUCUCUAGCAGAACCCUCAAACCCUUAAAUCUAAAACCAGUUUUAAGGGUUGAGAAUUGGCCAUUUUUGACACUUUUAAGGGUUGAAAAACAAGGGCAAAGACUAGAACCCUCAAACCCAACCCUUAUAACGGAAUAACCCUCAAACCCAACCCUUAUAACGGAAUAUUCCGUUAUAAGGGUUGGGUUUGAGGGUUCUAGUCUUUGUCCCAACCCCAACCCUUAAAACUGUCAUUUCAUAUAUCACACGUUUCAUCACAUUUCAUCAUAUGACAUAUCACAAAUUCAAUCACAUUUGACAUAAAACAAUAAUCAUUCUAGUUAUUAUUACACCACCGAAUAAAACAAUAAUCAUUCAAAUUAUUACAACAAUGUUUGAGCAAAUUAAAACAAUAAUACAUCAUAAUUCAUGAGUAAACAUUUGACAAUGGAGAUAAAAUGUAAAGUGAAAUAAUAGCAACUUUGGAAGAUCAUGAUAAUCUGAAGCAAAAUACAAGGUAAGCAUAUCAUGAAAAUUUGAAACCAAAUUAUUACAUGCUAACUUAUUUCUUAGCAGCAAUCUGAAGAAAAAUACAAGGUAAGCAUAUCAUGCAAAAUCUAUUUACUAGCCUGUAUUUGUAACUGAUUUCUUAGCAGCAAAAUCUGCCAUGAAAUCGGUAUCAAUUGCACAGGGCAAAACCUGAAACAACUAAUUGCACAGGGCAUGUAUCAAUUGCACACGGCAAAAUCUGUCAUGAAACCUGAAACCAUGAAACCUGAAGCAAAAUCUGUUAUGACUUGCCUGAAAAAAAUUCAGUUGGCUAGAAACUCACAUACACAGAGCAUGUAUCAAUUGCCUCUGUGCCAAUAAUUUUGUUCUACUUAUCUAGCAAAACCAGGAAGAGUAUGUACACUAGAGCUCGCGAGGGCACCAUGGUAGAAGUAUGGAGGUGGAGAAGGAUUGGAACAGGAGCUCAUCGGGGCGUCGGGGAACUGCUGCAGCGGCGAGGUGGGCGGCUCAGGCCGGGGCUGGCGCAGGGGCGGGCGCGGGGCCGGCCGGGGCUGGCACGGCGGCCGANNNNNNNNNNNNNNNNNNNNNNNNNNNNNNNNNNNNNNNNNNNNNNNNNNNNNNNNNNNNNNNNNNNNNNNNNNNNNNNNNNNNNNNNNNNNNNNNNNNNGAAUCCCACUUAUGAUUAACCCCUCUCGCAAGCAUCCGUAACUACGAAAGAAGAAUUAUGACAAAGUCAAACCAUAGCAUUAAACUAGUGGAUCCAAAUCAGCCCCUUACGAAGUAACACAUAAACUAGCGUUUAAGCUUCUGUCACUCUAGCAACCCAUCAUCUACUUACUACUUCCCAAUGCCUUCCUCUAGGCCCAAAUAAUGGUGAAGUGUUAUGUAGUCAACGUUCGCAUAACACCACUAGAGGAAAAACAACAUACAACAUAUCAAAAUACCGANNNNNNNNNNNNNNNNNNNNNNNNNNNNNNNNNNNNNNNNNNNNNNNNNNNNNNNNNNNNNNNNNNNNNNNNNNNNNNNNNNNNNNNNNNNNNNNNNNNNNNNNNNNNNNNNNNNNNNNNNNNNNNNNNNNNNNNNNNNNNNNNNNNNNNNNNNNNNNNNNNNNNNNNNNNNNNNNNNNNNNNNNNNNNNNNAGUAAUCCAACUAGCAUCAACUACAAAGAGUAGUCAACACUACUAGCAACCUUACAAGUACCAAUCGGAGUCGCGAGAUGGAGAUUGGUUACAAGAGAUGAACUAGGGUUUGGAGAUGAGAUGGUGGUGAUGAAGAUGUUGAUGGAGAUGAGUCCCCUCCGAUGAGAGGAAUGUUGGUGAUGACGAUGACGACGAUUUCCCCCUCCGGGAGGGAAGUUUCCCCGGCAGGAUCGUCCUGCCGGAGCUCUUGAUUGGUUCUGCUCAAGUUCCGCCUCGUGGCGGCGGCGAAACCAUGAUAAAGCUCCCUUCUGAUUUUUUCCUGGACGAAAUCCUCCAUAUAGAAAAAUAGGGGGGCAAGUGGGCCAGUAGGGUGACCACAAGCCCCCAUGGCGCGGCCUGGGGGGNNNNNNNNNNNNNNNNNNNNNNNNNNNNNNNNNNNNNNNNNNNNNNNNNNNNNNNNNNNNNNNNNNNNNNNNNNNNNNNNNNNNNNNNNNNNNNNNNNNNAUGCAUGUAGUACAUCCAAUCUGCAAAAUGGGAAUAAGAAAGUCAAAAAAAGAACAACAACAACAACAUAUAUAUGACAAAUGAGCUAAAUUGAAGAAGAAAGAGAAGAAGCAAGAAGGGAACAAGGAGAAGAAAAACAAGUAGGAGGAGGAGGAGGAGGGGAAGGAGAAGGAGAAAGAGGAGGAGAAGAACAAAAAAGAAGAAGAGAAGAAGAAGGAGAAGAAGGAGGAGAGAAGAAGAAGGAGAAGAAGGAGGGCUCCUUUUCCUUCUUCUCCUCCUUCUCCUUCUUCUUCUCUUCUUCUCCUCCUCCUCCUUCUUCUUCUCAUUCUCCUUCUCCUUCUCUUCUUCUUCUCUUCUUCUUCUUCUUCUUCUUCUUCUUCNNNNNNNNNNNNNNNNNNNNNNNNNNNNNNNNNNNNNNNNNNNNNNNNNNNNNNNNNNNNNNNNNNNNNNNNNNNNNNNNNNNNNNNNNNNNNNNNNNNNNNNNNNNNNNNNNNNNNNNNNNNNNNNNNNNNNNNNNNNNNNNNNNNNNNNNNNNNNNNNNNNNNNNNNNNNNNNNNNNNNNNNNNNNNNNNNNNNNNUAUGUCUUUUAGGAGCUUAAUUAGUCAUUUUAUUAUGUCUUCUUGUUCUCCUCCUCCUUCUUCUCCUUCUCCUUCUCUUCUCUUUCUCUUCUUCUUUUUGUUCUUCCUUUUCAUUUCUCAUCUUCUCCUCUUCUUGGAGCUAAAUUAGCUAACUAUGUAUUUUUGGAUCUAAAUGGUCUAAUUAUGUCAUUAUAGAGGAAAACAAGCUAAGUAUAUAAUAUUAAUGAGCUAACCAAGGUUCUUAUGCCAUUUUGAGCUUAUAAUGUCUUUUUGGAGCUAAAUUGGCUAAUUAUGUCAUUGGUGGGGAAAUUAAGGCAAGGAGAAUAUGAAAGAGGAGAAGAAAGAGGAGGAGGAGGAGGAGAAGAAGAAGAAAUAAAGAAGAAGGAGGAGAAGCAGGAGGAGGAGGAGAAGGACUAGAAGGUCCUUGGCCUUCUCCUCCUUCUCCUCUUCCUCCUUCUCCUUCUUCUGUUCUUCUUCUUCUUCUUUCUUUUCAUUUUUCCUAUUUCUUCUCAUGUUCUCCUCUUCUUGGAGCUAAAUUAGCUAACUAUGUCUUUUUGGAGCUAAAUGGGCUAAUUUUCCCAUUUUAUAGGAACACACGCUAAGUAUAUAAUAUUAAUGAGCUAACCAAGGUUCUUAUGCCAUUUUGAGGUUAUUAUGGCAGUUUGGAGCUAAAUGGGCUAAUUAUGUCAUUGUUGGGGAAAUUAAGGCAAGAAGAAUAUGAAAGAGGAGAAGAAAGAGGAGGAGGAGGAGAAUAAGAAGAAAUAAAGAAGAAGCAGGCGAAGGAGGAGGAGGAGAAGGACUAGAAGGUCCUUGGCCUUCUCCUCCUCCUUCUCCUCCUCCUCCUCCUCCUCCUCCUUCUUCUUCUUCUCCUCCUCCUUCUUCUCCUUCUCCUUCUCUUCUCUUUCUCUNNNNNNNNNNCUCUUCUUCCUUUUCAUUUCUCCUCUUAUCCUCUUCUUGGAGCUAAAUUAGCUAACUAUGUAUUUUUGGAGCUAAAUGGGCUAAUUAUGUCAUUGUAGAGGAAAACAAGCUAAGUAUAUAAUAUUAAUGAGCUAACCAAGGUUCUUAUGCCAUUUUGAGCUUACAAUGUCUUUUUGGAGCUAAAUGUGCUAAUUAUGUCAUUGUUGGGGAAAUUAAGGCAAGGAGAAUAUGAAAGAGGAGAAGAAAGAGGAGGAGGAGGAGAAGAAGAAGAAAUAAAGAAGAAGAAGGAGAAGGAGGAGGAGGAGGAGGAGGAGAAGGACUAGAUGGUCCUUGGCCUUCUCCUCCUCCUCCUUCUCCUUCUUCUCUUCUUCUUCUUCUUCUUCUUCUUUCUUUUCAUUUUCCCUAUUUCUUCUCCUCUUCUCCUCUUCUUGGAGCUAUAUUAGCUAACUAUGUCUUUUUGGAGCUAAAUGGGCUAAUUAUCCCAUUUUAGAGGAAAACAAGCUAAGUAUAUAAUAUUAAUGAGAUAACCAAGGUUCUUAUGCCAUUUUGAGGUUAUUAUGACAUUUUGGAGCUAAAUGGGCUAAUUAUGUCAUUGUUGGGGAAAUUAAGGCAAGGAGAAUAUGAAAGAGGAGAAGAAAGAGGAGGAGGAGGAGAAGAAGAAGAAAUAAAGAAGAAGGAGGAGGAGGAGGAGGAGGAGGAGGAGGAGAAGGACUAGAAGGUCCUUGGCCUUCUCCUCAUUCUCCUCCUCCUCCUCCUCCUUCUCCUUCUUCUCCUCCUCCUUCUUCUCCUUCUCCUUCUCUUCUCUUUCUCUNNNNNNNNNNAUUUUUGUUCUUCCUUUUCAUUUCUCCNNNNNNNNNNNNNNNNNNNNNNNNNNNNNNNNNNNNNNNNNNNNNNNNNNNNNNNNNNNNNNNNNNNNNNNNNNNNNNNNNNNNNNNNNNNNNNNNNNNNGGGUCUUCUGCAUCCUCUCAGUUGCAUAGCACCAACGAUCUUGCACCGGCCCACCCAAUCUUGCCUCGGUUGGUAGAUGUAAAAUCAAAUGCUGCAUUGGAUUAAAGAAGCCCGGUGGAAAGAUCUUCUCUAACUUGCACAACAACUCCGGUGCAAACUCCUCCAUGUCUUCUACCACGCCAGGCGACAAUUAUUUCGCACAAAGAACACGGAAGAAAUAGCUCAGCUCCGCCAGUACUAGCCAUUCAUCCUCAGGAAUAAAGCCACGUAACAUCACCGGCAUUACCCGCUCUAGCCAUAUGUGCCAAUCAUGACUCUUGAGACCAAAGAUUUUUUAUUUUUCAAGACUCGCUCCCCUCUUUAGAUUCGCUGCAUACCCAUCGGGGAACAUCAAGUGCAUUUUGACCCACAAGAUAAUUUCCCUCAUAGGUGGCCUUCCAAGAUUGAACCAGGCCUUUGGCUUCGACCACUUCUGCUUUCCUUUGCCUUCUCGCAUGUUUUGUAAUGGUCUAUGACAUACUGUCUCUUGAUCGACUAUAGCCUUAGUAUUAUCCUUUGUCUUCCCAUCUAUGUGAAACAAUGUACCAAAAUAGCCUCUCCGAUAUUCUUUUCAGUGUGCAUCAUGUCGAUAUUGUGUGGAAGAAGGAGGUCUUUGAAGUAAGGCGGAUCCCAGAAGCAUGGCUUGUGAGUCCAGGCGUGUUUUGAAUUAUACCCCUUGAAAUACCCUGGACGCUCUAGAUCAGGCUCGAGGGCAUUUAACUGAUCCAGGAUCUGUUGGCCUGUCAACACAGGUGGUGCCAAGUUCUUGACAACUUUACAUUUGGUAAAGUUCUUCUUGUCUUUUCUGAACUGAUGGUCAGGAUCCAGGAACUGUCUAUGCAAAUCAAAGCAAGAAUACUUCCGACCCUCCUGCAACCAAUGAAACUGAAGAGCUGCCUUGCAUUGGGGGCACGGGAACCUUCCAUGCACACACCAUCCAGAGAAUAGUGCAUAUGCCGGCAAGUCAUGCAUAGAGUACACGUACCACACAUGCAUUUUGAAGUUUUGUUUUCUAGCCGCAUCGUAUGUCUUGACCCCAUUAUCCCAAGCGUCUUCCAAUUCAUCCUUAAGCGGAUGCAGGUACACAUUCAUAUUCUUCCCCGGAUAAUUGGACCCUGGAAUUAUCAACGUCAGAAAUAUGUUCUUUCUUUGCAUAAUCUGCCCGGGGGGGGGAGAUUCAGUGGAAUGACAAAUACAGGCCAACAACUGUAUUGGGUUGCCGUCAUGCCGAAGGGAUUAAAACCAUCCGUGGCGGCGCAGACUCGAGGAUUUCUUGGAUCUGCCGCUUUAUCCUGAUGCAAUCCAUCGAAAUGUUUCCACNNNNNNNNNNAGAUUGAGUGGAAUGAAAAAUACAUGCCAACAACUAUAUUUGGUUGUCGUCAUGCCGAAGGGAUUAAAACCAUCCGUGGUGAUGCAGACUCGACGAUUCCUUGGAUCUGCCGCUUUAUCCUGAUGCAAUCCAUCGAAAUGUUUCCACGCUUCCCGAUCCGAUGUGUGUACCACCAUAUUAUUCCCAUCCGCAUCUAGUUCGGUUCUUUUGCCCAAUUUGUGCCAUGUCAUCUGUCUGGCUGUCUCUUCGACCAUGAAAAUACGUUGAAGUCUUGGUACGAUUGGCAUAUACCGAAGAACACUAACUGCGAUUUUGGUCUGCCUCUCGCACCCAUACCGUUGUCUACCACAAGAUACCUGCAAGACUCGCAAUUGGGACAAUAGUCCAAGUGUGCAUACUCCUUCCUAAAUAAGACACAUCCUUUCUCACAUGCAUCUAUCUUCUCAUAGGGCAUCUUAAGUACGCGAAGUAUUUUGUCCGACUGGUACAGGUUUGCAGGAAUGACAUGGCCUUUGGGUAGGAAACGUCCAAAUAGUGUCAUCAUCGCGUCGUAGCAUUCUCUUCCCAAGUUGAACUGAGCCUUCAGAGCCAUUACUUGUGCAAUUGCAUCCAGCUGACAGAGCUCGGUGUGCUCAUGGAGAGGUCGUUUUGAAGACUCCAACAUUUCAUAAAAGGCCUUUGCAGAUUCCUCCNNNNNNNNNNAUCGUAGCAUUCUCUUCCCAAGUUGAACAGAGCCUUCAGAACCAUUACUUGUGCAAUUGCAUCCAGCUGAUAGAGCUCAGUGUGCUCAUGGAGAGGACGUUUUGAAGACUCCAACAUUUCAUAAAAGGCCUUUGCAGAUUCCUCCAUCUCAUCUUCCGAAUCCCGAGCAUCAUCAAAGUCUUGCACCAUGUCUUCGAUCCCAGUACCAUGCUCGUCCGUGUGACGACGGACCACCUCAGCUCUUGUGCGUUGUAUAGACUCACCAUGAAAUGUCCACACCAUAUAAUUAGGCUUAAAACCCCUCCUCUGCAGGUGUUUAAUCAUUACAGCCUCUGUUGUCUUUUUAUAGUUGUCGCAUCCAGGACAGGGGCAAUAGUUUCUUUCCUCGCCAUUUGCGAAUGCGGCUUUCACAAAUUCCUUUGUUUUUAAAAACCAUUCUUUCGUCAUCUCUUUAUGACUAGGGUGACCGGUAUACAUCCACGCACGAUCACUCAUCUUGCGUAGCUACUAAAGACAGAAGAAAUAUAUUUAUAUAUAAUUCAUCAUCUAUAUUCAUCGGUUAAUCAUGUUCGCCAUUUUUAUUACGUCCAGGCAACCUACACGCUAAUAGGUAAAGAUAGGUCCUAAUCCCACUCGAGUAUGUGUAGACUGGGUUCGUUUUCCCAUGCUCUGCUCCGGAUCCAACGCAAAAUUUCGGCAGCACCUCCCCGCUGUUCUCUUGAUACACGUCUCCGCAAUAAACAGAGAGGAUGUGCAUCCGGAGAACAACAGGGAGGCAAUGACGAAAUUCCGCAUCGGAUCCAGAGCACAGCAUACGGGAAAACGAACCCAGUCUACACAUACUCGGGCUGUCCAUGGAUAAUGUUGGACAAUUCGAAAGGAUGGCGGUUAUAAAUAUGCAAAGACAUGCAUAUUUAUAGAUGUCGCCCUUUCGAAUGGGAGACGCAUACUGGUCACGCAUACUCAUGAUUGAAGAAACCUAUAGCUAGCAAGUUUCAUCGGCACGAAGACCGGGACAGAGCAAAUUAAGGGGGUAGGAGGAGAAGUCAUUUGUGCUCACCAACAAACGCAAGGGCGGAGCUCGUCCAACGCACGUGGAGGUCGUCGAACAACUGCACAUUGAAAUUCACCUGAUCAACACAAAUAUGAUGUUUUUAUAAUUAACAUAACUAUAUGACCUAACUCAUAACUAUGUGGGUCAGUGUCAUCGGGGGUCGAAGGUCACUGGCGUCGGGGAUUGGGGUCUUUUCGGUCAACAAGAGGCGGAAGAGGUGUCGGGGCUCGGGGGUUGGGGGUCAGUGGCGUCGGGGGNNNNNNNNNNNNNNNNNNNNNNNNNNNNNNNNNNNNNNNNNNNNNNNNNNNNNNNNNNNNNNNNNNNNNNNNNNNNNNNNNNNNNNNNNNNNNNNNNNNNAAGAAGAAGAGAUGAAGAAGAAGAGAAGGAGGAGGAGGAGGAGGAGGAGGAGAAGGCCUAUCCUUCUCCUCCUCCUCCUCCUCCUCCUCCUUCUUCUUCUUGAUUUCUUCUUCUUCUCCUCUUCCUCCUCUUUCUUCUUCUUCUCCUCCUCCUCUUUCUCCUCCUCCUCCUCUUUCUUCUUAUUCUCUUCCUCCUCUUUCUUCUCCUCCUCUUUCUUCUUCUUCUCUUCCUCCUCUUUCUUCUCCUCCUCUUUCUUCUUCUUCUCUUCCUCCUCUUUCUUCUUCUUCUCCUCCUCCUCUUUCUUCUUCUUCUUCUCCUCCUCUUUCUCCUCCUCCUCUUUCUUCUUCUCCUCUUCCUCCUCUUUCUUCUUCUUCUCCUCCUCCUCCUCUUUCUUCUCCUCUUUCAUAUUAUCCUUGCUUUAAUUAACCCAACAAUGACAUAAUUAGCCCAUUUAGCUCCAAAAUACCAUAAUAAGCUCAAAAUGGCAUAAGAACCUUGGUUAGCUCAUGAAUAUUAUAUACUUAGCUUGUUUUCCUCUAAAAUGACAUAAUUGGAAUAUUUAGCUCAAAAAGAAGGAGAAGGAAGAAUAAGAAGAAGAAGAGAAGAAGAAUAGAAGGAGAAGGAGAAGAAUAAGGAGGAGGAGGAGAAGAAGAAGAAGGAGGAGGAGAAGAAGAGAAGGAGGAGAAGGAGAAGGAGCCCUCCUUCUUCUCCUUCUUCUUCUCCCCUUCUUCUCCUCCUUCUUCUCCUUCUUCUUCUCUUCUUUUUUCUUCUUCUCCUUCUCCUUCUCCUUCCCCUUCCCCUCCUCCUCCUCCUCCUUGUUUUUCUUCUCCUUGUUCUCUUAUUGCUUCUUCUCUUUCUUCUUCAAUUUAGCUUAUUUGUCAUAUAUAUGUUGUUGUUGUUCUUCUACUUACUUUCUUAUUCCCAUUUUGUAGAUUGGAUGUACUACAUGCAUGGAAGCUGGCGUUGGAGUGCUUUAGUUUCCGUUUUUAUUUGAGUUGAUGAACAAUGUGUUGGUUCUUUGUAUGUGUUGAUGAACAAUAUAUGUGCAACUAUAUGUAUGUAUAUAUGGAUGAAACUUCGUAUGUGUUGGUUCUUUUGAUAUAUGGGAUGUACGUUGAUGAACAAAUGGCAUUGAUGAGCUUUAUAUGUAUAUAAUAUAUGUGUUGUGAUCUAUUUAUGAUAUAUGUGCUCUGAAUUAUAUGUAUAUGUAAUGUGAAAUAGAAAAAAUAANNNNNNNNNNNNNNNNNNNNNNNNNNNNNNNNNNNNNNNNNNNNNNNNNNNNNNNNNNNNNNNNNNNNNNNNNNNNNNNNNNNNNNNNNNNNNNNNNNNNAAUAACUUCUUUAAGCAUCCUGAUAGAGGUGUUGUGAUCAGCAUUACUAGUUGGGAUAGCUUCUACCCACUUAGUAACAUAAUCAACAACAACUAGGAUAUGAGUAUACCCGUUGGAUUUUGGAAAAGGUCCCAUAUAACCAAAGCCCAAACAUCAAAUGGUUUAAUGACAAGUGAAUAGUUCAUAGGCAUUUCCUGACGUUUACCGAUAUUACCUAUUCUUUGACAUUCGUCACAAGACAAGACAAACUUACGGGCGUCCUUGAAGAGAGUGGGCCAAUAGAAAGCUGAUUGCAAUACCGUGUGUGCAGUUCUGUCUCCCGCAUGGUGUCCUCCAUAAGCAUCGGAGUGACACUUCUGUAGGAUCUGUCCCUGUUCAUGUUCAGGUACACAACGUCUAAUAACACCAUCUACUCCUUCCUUAUAAAGGUGAGGAUCAUCCCAAAAGUAAUGUCUCAAAUCAAAGAAGAAUUUCUUCUUUUGCUGGUAUGUGAAACUAGGUGGUAUAUAUUUGGCAACGAUAUAAUUUGCAUAAUCAGCAUACCACGGUGCACUACGUGAAGUAUUGAUGACAUUCAAUUGCUCAUCAGGAAAGCUAUCAUCAAUAGGUUGUGGGUCAUCAAGAACAUUCUCCAACCUAGACAAGUUAUCUGCUACGGGGUUCUCAACACCCUUCGUGUCGAUAACAUGCAAAUCAAAUUCUUGCAGCAAGAGAACCCAUCUGAUAAGUCUAGGUUUAGCGUCUUUCUUUUCCAUGAGGUAUUUAAUAGCAGCGUGUUUAGUGUGAAUAGUGCCUUUGGAAUCAACUAUGUAAGGUCUUAACUUUUCACAGGCAAACACGACUGCUAAAAAUUCCUUUUCAUUAGUAGCAUAGUUCCUUUGGGAACUGUCUAGAUUUUUACUAGCAUAGUGAAUAACAUUCAAUUUCUUAUCAACUCUUUGUCCUAGGACAGCACCAACAGCAUAAUCACUAGCAUCACACAUGAUUUCAAAAGGUAAGUUCCAAUCAGGUGGUUGAACAAUAGGCGCAGUUAGCAAGGCCUUUUAAAGUAUUUCGAAGGCUUCCUCACAAUCGUCAUCAAAGCCAAAAGGAAUAUCCUUUUGCAAGAGAUUGGUAAGAGGCCUAGAAAUCGUAGAAAAGUCCUUAAUGAACCUUCUAUAGAAACCAGCAUGACCAAGGAAACUUNNNNNNNNNNACCUUUGAUAUCUGUAGGGCAUGGCAUUUUUUCGAUCGCAUCAACCUUAGCCUUAUCGACUUCAAUACCUCUUUCAGAAAUUUUAUGUCCUAAGACGAUGCCUUCAUUAACCAUAAAGUGGCACUUCUCCCAAUUCAAGACAAGGUAGGUAUCUUUACAUCUCUGCAAGACUCGAUCAAGGUUGCUGAGGCAAUCAUCAAAAGAAGACCCGUAAACGGAGAAGUCAUCCAUGAAAACCUCAACAAUCUUUUCACAAAAGUCAAAGAAUAUAGCCAUCAUACAUCUUUGAAAGGUAGCAGGUGCAUUACAUANNNNNNNNNNNNNNNNNNNNNNNNNNNNNNNNNNNNNNNNNNNNNNNNNNNNNNNNNNNNNNNNNNNNNNNNNNNNNNNNNNNNNNNNNNNNNNNNNNNNUAAAUCGGCAAGAGACAUCAUAGAACGCACCAUAUCCAGUAAAGUACGAUUACGACGUUCGAACACACCAUUACGCUAUGGUGUUCCAGGCGGUGUCAAUUGUGAAACAAUUCCACAUUGUCUUAAGUGAGUGCCAAACUCAUAACUCAAAUACUCUCCUCCUCGAUCAGGUCAUUGGAAUUUAAUCUUCUUUUUACGAAGAUUCUCAACUUCACUCUGAAAUUGACUAAACUUUUCAAACGUUUCAGACUUGUGUUUCAUUAAGUAAAUAUACCAGUAUCUACUUAAGUCAUUAGUGAAGGUGAGAAAAUUACAAUAUCCAAAGUGGGUCUCAAUGCUCAUCGGACCACACACAUCAGUUUGUAUGAUUUCCAUCAAGUCACUUGCCCGCUCCAUUAUUCUGGAAAAUAGGGUCUUAGUCAUCUUGCCCAUGAGGCAUGGUUCACAUGUGUCAAGUGAUUCAAAAUCAAGUGACUCCUAAAGUCCAUCAGCAUGGAGCUUCUUCAUGCAUUUUACACCAAUAUGACCUAAGCAGCAGUGCCACAAGAAAGUGGUACUAUUAUUAUUACUUUACAUAUUUUGGCAUCAAUUUUAUGAACAUGUGUGCUAUCACUUUCAAGAUUCUAUAAGAAUAAACCCCUCACAUUGGGUGCAUGCCCAUAAAAGAUAUNNNNNNNNNNAAAAGUCCAUCAGCAUGGAGCUUCUUCUUGCAUUUUACACCAAUAAGACCUAAGAAGCAGUGCCACAAGAAAGUGGUACUAUUAUUAUUAACUUUACAUAUUUUGGCAUCAAUUUUUGAACAUGUGUGCUAUCACUUUCAAGAGUCUAUAAGAAUAAACCCCUCACAUUGGGUGCAUGCCCAUAAAAGAUAUUACUCAUAUAAAUAGAACAACCGUUAUCCUAUGAUUUAAAAGAGUAACCGUCUCGCAAUAAACAAGAUCCAGAUAUGAUGUUCAUGCUCAACGCAUGCACUAAAUAACAAUUAUUCAGGUUUAUCACUAAUCCCGAUGGUAAUUAUAGUGAGAGCAUGCCAACGGCGAUCACAUCAACCUUGGAACCAUUUCGCAUGUGCAUCGUCACUUCGUCCAUCACCAACCUCCGUCUAUUCCGUAGUUCCUACUUUGAGUUGCAAAUGUGAGCAACUGAAUCAGUAUCAGAUACCCAGGCACUACAACGAGAGUUGGUGAGGUACACAUAAAUAACAUGUAUAUCAUAUAUACCUUGUUUGAUAUUGGCCGCCUUCUUGUCGGCCAGAUACUUGGGGUAGUUCCGCUGCCAGUGACCAGUCCCUUUGCAAUGAAAGCACUCAGUCUCUGGCUUGGAUCCAGCCUUGGGUUUCUUCACGGGAGGGGCAACUUCUUUUCCACUCUUCUUGGAGUUACUCUUCUUUCCCUUGCCAUUUUUCUUAAAACUUGUGGUUUUAUUGACCAUCAACACUUGAUGUUUCUUCCGAAUUUCUGACUCAGUGACUUUCAGCAUCGCAAGCAGCUCGGCAACUNNNNNNNNNNNNNNNNNNNNNNNNNNNNNNNNNNNNNNNNNNNNNNNNNNNNNNNNNNNNNNNNNNNNNNNNNNNNNNNNNNNNNNNNNNNNNNNNNNNNCUUCUAUCCUUCUCCUCCUCGUCCUCCUCCUCCUCCUUCUCCUCCUCCUCCUCCUCCUUCUUGAUUUCUUCUUCUUCUCCUACUCCUCCUAUUUCUUCUCCUCUUUCAUAUUAUCCUUGCUUUAAUUAACCCAACAAUGACAUAAUUAGCCCAUUUAGCUCCAAAAUACCAUAAUAAGCACAAAAUGGCAUAAGAACCUUGGUUAGCUCAUGAAUAUUAUAUACUUACCUUGUUUUCCUCUAAAAUGACAUAAUUGGAAUAUUUAGCUCAAAAAAGACAUAAUUAGGUAAUUUAGCUCCAACAAGAGGAGAAGAGGAGAAGAAAUAGGCAAAAUGAAAAGAAAGAAGAAGAAGAGAUGAAGAAGAAGAGAAGGAGGAGGAGGAGGAGGUGGAGAAGGCCCAGGACCUUCUAUCCUUCUCCUCCUCCUCCUCCUCCUUCUCCUCCUCCUCCUCCUUCUUCUUGAUNNNNNNNNNNNNNNCCUUCUAUCCUUCUCCUCCUCCUCCUCCUCCUCCUCCUUCUCCUCCUCCUCCUCCUUCUUCUUGAUUUCUUCUUCUUCUCCUCCUCCUCCUCUUUCUUNNNNNNNNNNNNNNNNNNNNNNNNNNNNNNNNNNNNNNNNNNNNNNNNNNNNNNNNNNNNNNNNNNNNNNNNNNNNNNNNNNNNNNNNNNNNNNNNNNNNGGCCCCCCCCAGAAAAAUGGGAUAUGAAUUUUUCGUCCAAAGAAAAUAAAAACUUCCUUAGACAACAAUGUUUGCAAUUCCAAGAUGCACCCUUGUACGCAAUAUUACAUCAUUUGAACAAACUAUGCCAUGAAUAUGGCCAUAAGAUUGAUCAUUUGGCUUGAAAGCCAUGAACCUUCACACCUGAUAACUCAUGUGUGAGAACACCAUUUUAAAAUAAUUUUCGUAUUAAAAGUUUAUUAUUUUUUCUGAUAACAUGGUCACAUAUAAUGACACAAUGCAAAGGUUUUCCAAUUUUGUGAUUUUUUUAAUAAAUUUCAUGCCCAUUUCAAUAGGCGGUCAAAACGACACGAAUGACCGUUCAUCGGUAGGGGUUCUAUCUUGAAAAAAAUUGGUGUUUUUCUGAUUAAAUAGAUACUUUUGUACAUAGAAAUAAUUUUUUGAAAAAAUAAAGUACAAAGUAUGAGGCAAUUGUAGUUCAAAUUUGACAAGCUUCCAUGUGAAUUGGCGGAAAUUUGUCUUUUUCGCGAGAGGUGGAUAAAAUCUUUUGACACCCAACCAUUUGGUCAAUUAUACAUUAAAUAUUGCCUAAUAGUUUUGAAAAUUGAUUUGGUCCAAUUUUACAACAAAUAUAUGGUAGGUCCUUCACAAAAAGAAUUGAUUUUGGGCACUCAAAAAAUGAAAAAUGAAUUAUUUCAUCCAAAGAAAAUGAAAACUUCCUUAGUCAACAUCGCGACACUAAAAAUGUGGUAUAAUUUUUUAAAAAUGGUGUAGUCCAAUUUUGCAAAAAAUAUUUAAUAUUUUCUGUAAUUUUUCCACCGAUUUGGGUAGAAAAAUCGUGUUUCGAGUUGGCCAAUGAGAGGCGAGAAAACUACCUUCAAGCGGAUCACCCAGUUGGACGCGAUCUGAGCCAUCGAUCAAAAUCCAUCCAAUGGCGAAGCCUCUCCUAAGAAAGCACAACCUAACCACCCACGCACCCACCCACCCUUCCUUAGUUUCCAGAUCCCAUCGAGCCGCCUCUUCAGAUCCCAUCGAUCCAUCGGCUCCUUCCUCCCCCUCCCUACCACCACCACCUCCGGCUACCACUCCACCCCAGCCCACCCCAUCUCACCUCCUUAGAGCAAGUCUAGUAGAACCCUCAAACCCUCAAAUCCUUAAAAAUAACCGUUUUUUUACAGUUUUCGUCGAAAAAACGGCGUAGACUAGAACCCUUAAACCCUUAAACCCGUAAAAAAAAUUAAAGGUCCAACCCGCAAACGCCAUCGCAGCCUGUAGAAGUGAGGGUUGGGAGGAGAAACUCCUCCCAACCCGCACUCCACUUCCUCUCCAGCGCGGGAGGGAUUUUCAUCCCGCUUCCGUCUCCAGCCGUCGCCUCCUCGCGCCCGCCUCGCCGCCAUGGAGACCNNNNNNNNNNNNNNNNNNNNNNNNNNNNNNNNNNNNNNNNNNNNNNNNNNNNNNNNNNNNNNNNNNNNNNNNNNNNNNNNNNNNNNNNNNNNNNNNNNNNNNNNNNNNNUCCUGUUCCAAUCCUUCUCCACCUCCAUACUUCUACCAUGGUGCCCUCGCGAGCUCUAGUGUACAUACUCUUCCUGGUUUUGCUAGAUAAGUAGAACAAAAUUAUUGGCACAGAGGCAAUUGAUACAUGCUCUGUGUAUGUGAGUUUCUAGCCAACUGAAUUUUUUUCAGGCAAGUCAUAACAGAUUUUGCUUCAGGUUUCAUGGUUUCAGGUUUCAUGACAGAUUUUGCCGUGUGCAAUUGAUACAUGCCCUGUGCAAUUAGUUGUUUCAGGUUUUGCCCUGUGCAAUUGAUACCGAUUUCAUGGCAGAUUUUGCUGCUAAGAAAUCAGUUACAAAUACAGGCUAGUAAAUAGAUUUUGCAUGAUAUGCUUACCUUGUAUUUUUCUUCAGAUUGCUGCUAAGAAAUAAGUUAGCAUGUAAUAAUUUGGUUUCAAAUUUUCAUGAUAUGCUUACCUUGUAUUUUGCUUCAGAUUAUCAUGAUCUUCCAAAGUUGCUAUUAUUUCACUUUACAUUUUAUCUCCAUUGUCAAAUGUUUACUCAUGAAUUAUGAUGUAUUAUUGUUUUAAUUUGCUCAAACAUUGUUGUAAUAAUUUGAAUGAUUAUUGUUUUAUUCGGUGGUGUAAUAAUAACUAGAAUGAUUAUUGUUUUAUGUCAAAUGUGAUUGAAUUUGUGAUAUGUCAUAUGAUGAAAUGUGAUGAAACGUGUGAUAUAUGAAAUGACAGUUUUAAGGGUUGGGGUUGGGACAAAGACUAGAACCCUCAAACCCAACCCUUAUAACGGAAUAUUCCGUUAUAAGGGUUGGGUUUGAGGGUUAUUCCGUUAUAAGGGUUGGGUUUGAGGGUUCUAGUCUUUGCCCUUGUUUUUCAACCCUUAAAAGUGUCAAAAAUGGCCAAUUCUCAACCCUUAAAACUGGUUUUAGAUUUAAGGGUUUGAGGGUUCUGCUAGAGAUGCUCUUACGCGCGCGCCGCUCGGCAAUAACCGGGANAAUAACCGGGACGGACAGCCCUCUGCGACGCUUUGGCUGCGCGCACACCUCCUGCAUACCGCUGUGACCGUGAGUCAUCCGUCGCAGCGAUCUAUCCAUGUCCACGUCGUCGUCGUGCUGAGUGGUUGGCGUUUGGGGUUUGGUCGUGCGCGCGCGGGAUCGCGGCAGUUCAUGAGGAGCGGUCACAGGGAGCCUGCGGAAGGGGGCGCUGGGGCUGCUGGGCUGCGUCGAUGAGGUGGUGGCGCCCCCCCCCCCCCGUCGUGGGGUCCUCGGUCGAGGCGGCGUUGUGGCUCACACAAUGGCGCAUUGAUGCGCUCCCCUGCUACACCUACCGCAAGUCCAACUUCUUCCGCAUUGGCCUCUAGAACUGGUUCGUCCCCAUGCCCCUUCUCCACCCCUUCUGCAAACUGUUGUCUUUCUUGUCCAGCAAAGCAUAGUGUAUCCUACCCGUGUGAUCCUUGUUACAACCGGGGAUCUUAGUGGUGGUGUUAUGAUUUCAGUCAUGGGUUUUCUUGUAGUGGCUUCAAGUGCAAAGAGAAUCAAUAGGAUGUUUCUGUUUAAAAAUGAUGGGGGGCACUUUUUUAAGUAAUAUAGAAAAACUGCAGUAUGAGAGAUAUCGCAAUAUCUUAAACCACAAUAAUUUUUUAAACCAAACAUCUCAAAGUAUUUAGUACCAAAGUUUUUUCAGAAACCAUAGUAUUCAAAUUGGUUAUGAUGUGAAGUACACACCAUCCAGUGAGCUAAUAAAAUCCUCGUAUUGCAGGUCUCGUGGUCUCGUGGCCUGAUGUCUUUUCCUUAUAUGGCAGGUCCAGGAGCAAUCGCACGUGGAGCUGGAGGUGAGGCUGCUCGAUGUCGUCGAGUUCUACACUCCGUCCAAACUGAAAGGUGUGAUAUUUCGCCCUACCCUUGCGCCCCGCGUCAAUUUUAGUGGUGGUUUGUAUGUUGUGUGCUCUAGCGGAUAGCAGUGACGCAUCUUGAGUGACUAGAUUGCCAUGUAUACUACACAAGUAGCUGUCUAGGAUCCCUUCUUUAUAUUAAAAUAUGUGAGAAUGAUCGACCACUUUGUGAAUACAUGAUGGCAUAGAGUAAAUACAUAGUUUUAGAUGAGCUGCCUAACCCUGCAGAACCCUUUAGCUCAUCGAUGUUGUGAAAAAAGGGCAAACCAUAUCUUGUAAUUUAGCUGCCUCAUAGUUCCAGUGUGAAAACUAUUUUAGGAGCAUUGUUUUACUAUUAGAUUAAAUUGCUACUCUUAAUGAUGAAUGGUUGAGUUUUUAAAUUUGAAGCGACACCUACUUCCUGGUCCUAUAGUAUUUAAAACUGUUAAUUAUGAUGCAUUGCUCCAUUGGCCUUGAUCUGAACCUCUCAAGUUUAUGUUUCCUGGUAUGCAGGUAACUUAUCAUUUUUAUUGGAAAGCCUCUAACGAAUUUAUUAGAAUUUUUCUUCUAUUGUCGUGUACAGUAUGUGAUAAACAUGUCUAUAUAACCGGGGAUGUAUAAUGUCGAAUUAUAAAAACCAUAAAUUCAAGCUUCUGUUGUAUCAUGCUCGAUAUAUACUAUUAUAGAAUAGUGUUCUACAAGAUGCAUCUUGAGUGACUAGAUUGGUGACGCAUCUUGAGUGACUAGAUUGCCAUGUAGUUGAAACACCAUGGUGUCAGUCAUUUGUGGGAAGUAGAAACACUAUGGCUUAUAUUUUUUACACUUCACUGUUUUAUUUGUUUUUUCUAAUUUGUUUUGUGGAUAGUAAAUUUGCAAUUGUAUGCCCUUUGUAAAAAAUGCAUUCUACGUUUCCAUGCCAUGUAAUGCUGAAGCACGUCUCUAUCUAUGAUAUUCUACACCACUGAAAGGCUGAUAUCUUGUAUAGAUUUGGCUUUUGGCAGGUAGUCCUUUUCCCUGCCACGUUUAGUUGCAUUGCUCUGAUGCCCAUGAAGGGUGAGAUCUUGGUCGGCACUAUGGAGAAGACCCUUGAAAGGUCCACUCGAAGCUAUCAAAGGGCACUUAUAGAGCUUGCGGCUGUGAUUACAUUUGUAGAGCUUGUGGUUGUGUUUACACUUGUAGAGCUUGUGGUUGUGAUCACCAUUGUAUCUAAGUUAUAUGUUGUAAUAGACUUAUUGUGGCUGUUAUUUGAAGUAUUAUGUGUUCUUUUUGUCUGUUUUGAAUUAAAUAUUGGUUAUUUAUUUGUUGGUGAAUUGAAAACAUGAAUCCUCAUACUAGAAGCUGACAAUCGGAACCCAUUUGUCUAUUGGACCCAUCUUCUGAAGAAAAAAAACUGGAACCAUUGAGCCAGAAAGGCCACGACCAAAAAAAGGCUGAAAUAUCGGGUGAGACCCAUGUAGCCGACCAGAAUGACAACAAAAAAUGAUAAUUAAAUGGGCUGAAUUGUUGGGCUCGGCCCAUAUGGACACCGAAUUGGACGUAAUUUUUCCACGCCAGCUUGCCACGUUGGAUUUGACGUGGCCUGGGCACACAACCAGUGACCAAAACAAUUGGUCGUAGAACCAACGACCUUUUCGUUUUGAUCAUUGCCUGCUACGACCAUUCCAGAAGAAAGGUUGUUAUAGUUCACUAGAGACGGUCCUCUUUUUACCAAUUGUUUUCGGUCAUAAAAAGGUCAUAAAUGGAAAACAACGACCAUUCAUUGACCAAUAUGAAAGGUCAAAAGUUGACAUAUUUCUUAUAGUGUGUGCGCGCAACUGGUCGCCGGUGGAUGGUUGAAGGGAAAGGGAUGAGAGGUGGAUGUGUGGUGGAAGACGAGGUCGCUGGCUGUGGGGCGAGAGCAGAGGGAGUGGAGUGGGUCAGUCUUCCACAUAUAGGAUUUUCUGUGCAAGGGAGUGAGACGAGGAGUGGAGAGAGUGAGACAGGGAGCGGNNNNNNNNNNNNNNNNNNNNNNNNNNNNNNNNNNNNNNNNNNNNNNNNNNNNNNNNNNNNNNNNNNNNNNNNNNNNNNNNNNNNNNNNNNNNNNNNNNNNGAGAGUUGCUAUGCACGUAUGAUUUCAUGUGGCACCCUCUAUUUUUUUUCAUUAGCAUGCAUGCAUCCAUGCCAUCUCAUUCCUUGGCUUACCUUUGAUUCUAUGUCAUGUUAUGUUUGCUUGUCAUGAUCAUGUGGGCAUAUGUGAUUACUAGGAGUUAGUGCUUGUGGUGUUAUGAUUGCAUGUGACCUUGCUAGGGUUUUUUUGUGGUAUUGCACUAGCUUGUGAUGCAUGUGUGUUUGGUGGUAUGUGGGUAGGAGUGAGUGCUAGAAUUUCAAAGGCUCUUAGCUAUUUUAAAUCCUUUUCCCUCCUAUUAUCUCAUGUCAAAAUUCCUUCUUCCCAAAAAUGAUUCAAAAAUGUCUAGNAGGUUAGAUUAAAUUGUGUUUAUGAGGUGGGGUAUUUUUGCGGACUUGUUAUUUGAAUUUUAAAGGUGCAAAUAAACCCAAAACGGUAAAUUAAUUUCUGUUUUGCAUUUAUUUCUAUGGCGCCAAAUAUUGCUUUUCUAUUUUUUUUCUAAUGGGCCAUAAUUCCUUAUGACCAGGGGAUUUUUCCUUUUAAGUUUAUACCCACCAGCUUAUUCGUUUUAUNNNNNNNNNNNNNNNNNNNNNNNNNNNNNNNNNNNNNNNNNNNNNNNNNNNNNNNNNNNNNNNNNNNNNNNNNNNNNNNNNNNNNNNNNNNNNNNNNNNNGCAAAAAUAGAAUCAGGGGCUGCUGGGAUUCGAACCCAGACCCCUGGUGUCCAGCAACAGCAACACUCCACUGCGCUGCUGCACUAGUUGUUGACAAGAGAAGAGAAAAAUGGCAAGGUAAGGUGACUGCAGGCCCAUUGAUACGAAUAAAUCACCCAAAACAACAAAAGGCGCCGAGGGGGGACUCGAACCCACGCCCUCCUACAGGCGCAAGCAUAUGACAGAGCAACACUACCAUCGGGCUACGGAUCGAAGACUGGCUAAGACAAGGAGGUAAAAUAGAAAACCCACCCCACUCACGAGAAGAACUCCGCCGGCGGCCGGACCCGAGGGAGCUGGCGGCGCCACUCCCGGCCACCACCGGUAGGGGAAGCUAUCGGCGGGGGCCGCGGGAACCUCAGGGGCUCCAUUCCCGCCCUGAGCACGGGAAAAGGCCUCCCCUUGGCUGCCCGGAACUGCAUCGGCGUUCCCUGCCGCCACCACUGCUAAGACUGCGCCGGUGAUAGAGAGCUCUGGCGCGCCACCCUGCUGACCCUGCUACGCUGCUAGGCUACACGUCGAUCUGCUACCAACACCCUGCUACACCACUACGCCUCGCCUCUCCACUCGACAACGCACGCACGAGCUCGGCACAGAAGAGCCGCUACUACUGCUCCUCUAUCAUGCUGCUGCUAACGAACAGAGGAAGCACGCGCCCGACGGGACCGAGCCGAUCCGCGGCGGAGGAAGGACGGGGGAGGACGCGGCCUCACCUUGGGAGAAGAUGGGGCGCCGAACGGGGAGGAGGAGCGCCGAACCGGGGAAGAAGACGUCGAAGAAGCUCCUCCGACGUAGACCGAAGCAGGGAAGGAGUUCGCCCGGUUCGCCCCGUUGACGAGGACGAGCUCGACGGGGGGGGGGUCUCUCCUCGGGGUCCUAACGCCGGGAAUGGGACGCGGGGAGCCGCCCCGAGCCCCCGGACAUGGCGGCCGUGCCGCCCGACGAUGCCCGCGGGUAGACGCCGGCGACUCUCUCUCUCUGCACCCUCUGCUAGCUACAGGAAGCUCACCUGGGAGGAAAGGAAUAGAUGGAGAUGGGGUUGGGAGAGGUGGCGGCGGCGGCUGAGGGGAGAAGAGGAACCCUAGGCUACGGGCACGGACGCCAACGCAUCUUAUAGGGGGUCCUCCACGUGCUGCUCACGGCGCCGUCAGGUCUCUCUCUCUCACACGUGCUGACGGAAAGAAGAAAGCGAGGGAGGAGAGGUAGCGCCGUCAGGAAGGAGGGGGUCGCUCGCCUGGGCUCUCGCUGGAGGGAGAUACAUGGGCCAGCAAGUGGAGGGAAGCCCACUGGCGGCCACUAUAAGAAAGGCCCCAGCAGCCUCUCCCAAAUAAAAGAAACACAAAGAAGNNNNNNNNNNNNNNNNNNNNNNNNNNNNNNNNNNNNNNNNNNNNNNNNNNNNNNNNNNNNNNNNNNNNNNNNNNNNNNNNNNNNNNNNNNNNNNNNNNNNGAUUUUCCAAACCUCAAUCAAGCGUCUGUGGAAGAUAGCCCUAUAAGAUACUACCAGAUAUCCCACCUAUGAAUUCCCGAAAUAACUGGUCAUGCAAUCAGGCACCCGGAUACAAGGAGUAUUUCACACAACUCCUAAACUAACCCGUCACCUGUAUCACACCCUUCAACACACGACCAGCAUCUCGGACCUUCGUCUACCACAGAUCCUCGUGAUCACCACGAUACAAAGUGUGGUAGUACCCGCGAACAAUCUACACCAGUACUGGGGACGUCGGGGUUAUCUCACCACUACCCGUAUUGAAGCAAUAACGAACACCCUCUGUUCUUAGGUACUCAGAAAUCUGAAUGAUGGCGAUGUGCGCGAUAAUCCCUGGAGCUCAACUCCCCUGAAACUUAGAGCAGAUAGGAGGCACCAGGACAUGAUUCCGUCACAUCGAAAUCAUAUAGAUUUCGCAAACACCCGCGUGAUCCUAAAAAAAUUUUGAGCGAGAAAAGGAGUAGAGUUAAAGGUUUCCUAAGACGGAAGCCUCACGAGAGCAAAGAAGAGGAGAAAAAUGAAACCUACUCUCCGAUAUAACUAAGACUCAAAACACUUACUAGACUCGACUCGGCCAAAUACGAUCACACAAAGGCUCCUAUGGUCGUAAGGCUCUGAUGACCAACUUGUAACGACCAAGAUGCGGUCCUUUCCGAUCUGGGGGUCGAGGCCCCCGAAUAGGAAAGAAGCGCAUCUAAGUGUUUUGCAAACAAGUAAACAUAGCACAUAAUAAUAAAUAUAGUAGACAAUCUGGGAUUCACUGUCUUCUUAUUAAUAAUACAGAGUACAACGCAGAUACAAACAAGGUAGUUACGGUACGGACUACAAAACAAGGAAAAUGCUAUGCUACCCGCUGCAGGUCCACGAUCACGACCACGGCUCAGUCCUCUGGAUAGUUCACGUAAAGGCGAUCUGUCUCCUCGUCGUACUGCCACGCCAGCUGGGUGCCAUCGGGAUCAUCGGUCUCUGGGGUACCUGUACCUGUUGGAAGUUUCGGAGGAAUCCGUGAGCCACGGGGACUCAGCAAUCUAAGACCUUGGUGCCAGAACUAGUCAUGUUAUUGGGUAAGGAAGGGAUGAAGUGUUUCAGGCUGCUGCAACCUAUGAUUGAAUAAGUGGCUAACUUACUCGAGAAGGAAGUGAAAGUGGUCUACGCUAACGAUCGAGAAUACUUGAUCAGAAAGUGAUCCUGAACACCUACCUACGGCAUUCAUAACCCCACCGUGUUCCGGAUCGAAGAGAGGUCUUCGAGGGGACAGUCACGGUUACUCACACAGUUGGCAUUUUUAUUAGUUUAGGUUUAAGUUCUCUAAUACCGGAUGUUGACAAAAUAUUCCAAGUUGCCACAUAACCACGGGCACGGCUUUCCGAAAGAUUAAACCCUGUAGGGGUGCUCCAACUAGUCCAUCACAAACGAACACAGGCCGCAAAGGCAUCCUCUAUCACGAAUCUCGUGAUCUCGUCGGAUUCCUUAGAAGAAAAUCUCAACUCUGGGGAAAACCAAAGCUUCACCGGGAUUCCUAUACGCAAGAUAUACCGCUAAGGCAAGACAAGACUAGCAGGACCUCCCGACGUGUCGACGACCCCGAUAAGAGCCGCGUAUCUCAGUCUCAGGACACGCCGGAUGGAACUAGCUACAGGUGCAAAACCUCAAGUUUCCUUGUGGUGGCCCCGCAGGCAGACCAGUUUGGACCAACACUCAUGAGGAGCACUGGCCCGGGUUGUUGAUUAGAAUCCUCGGGGUAGCUAUUCCCUAUGCAGUUUAUUAUUAAGUGAUUAGCAAAUAGUACCAAUGUUGGGUCCUGCUGGACAAGCCUUAACACUACGCGAUUUAUCAAGGGGGUCCCCAUAACAAUCCCGAACAUGUUAGGAGCGAUCAUUAUGGAAUCAAACACCGGUAACCGGUAACUAAGGCGGCAAUAACGGAACAAGACACCCGGGAAAAGGCUAGGCCUCCCGUCAUUUACCAAGUAUAUAGAUACAUUAAUUAAAUAACAGAAAUUAAAAUAAUGAUAUCAAGCUCAUGUCAUCACAUGAGUUAAGGCACCUGCAGCUAACAACGCUAACAUUAGUAGCUGAGCAAGCCUACCUAGCCAUGCAAGGUUGCUAGGAAAGAGUAAGGUGUUUAGGCUCAUGGCAUAUGAAGAGGCAAUAUAUUUUCAGUGGUAGGCAGCGAGCAAUAUGACGUGGGAUCGAAACUAACAUAACAAGUCUAGAUAUGGGAUCAAGGUCAUGUCAUCUUGCGUGUGAUAUUCUCAGCUUGGAAUGGUUCUUGAUCGUCCUGCACGUACUCUCCUGACUCCACGUAUUCGUUCUCCGGUUCUAACCAACACAAGAAUAACAGCCAAUGAAAAGAGGCACCACAAAAGGCAACAAUCACAUGAUGCAUGAGAUGAAAGUUGAGCAUGCACUACUAUUUCCAUCACUAGCACAAGCACAAUAAACUACAACAAGUUCCUGGGCAGAACUUUGCACUACCUUAUCUGGACAUGCAUGGGAAUGAUAUGAACAGUUGCAUCUCGUAAGAACGGUGCAAAACCAUAUAAAGAACUUUGCAAACGGAGCUACGGAUCAACGGGAAUCAACGUAACACGAUAUGAAGCUCUACGUGAAAGAUUCAACACCUCACACACAUUUGGCACAAAUCUGGUGUUCCCGGGUUGCCAAGACAUAUAUUAACCCAACAUGAAUGAAAUGAAGCAAGUUAGAACACCCCAACAACAAUUAAACACAAACUUUGAACAAAAAGGCAAAACUACGUAAUCUGCCAGUUUCUGCAUCUUAGCUGUUUGUGAGCAACAUGCAACAUAGCUACAGGUCUUCAAAUAUGACAAAUAAUAUAUGUGGCUGUUGCCAACCAAGAACACUACAAGCUCCAACAAGAAUCACAGAAAAAGGAAUUAACCUCUAGAAGAUACAAGGCCACAAACUUUCCCAAAACCAUCAGUUCUCAGGGACUUUGUGAAAAUUCCUGUACCUGAGAUUCUGUUUCUGUUCUGAAGCUUUUUUACAGGAAUCUAAACACAAGCUACUGGACUCCAAAUGACUUGAAAAUUGACAGGAAGCUUCACCAUCAUACCAGGUUCAAAACACUAGCACUGAACUAAGUCCAGUUCUCAACAGAAUGACCAGCACCUCCUUAUCUACAGGGGAAGAAAAUGUUUCCAGCAUUCCAGACUUAGUGAAAUUUUCAGAGUUCAAAAAUCUGGAAUUUUCCAGCCACAUGCCCACUUUGUCUAGGCAUAGUUUGCACACACAUGUUCCCAAGAGGUGAUUGACACCACUAUGGUGUUGGGCACAAACCCCUACUACUAACACACAAAGAUCCAUACCCUUGGGCUCCAUCUAUACCAUGGGAACAAAGCCCAAACUUUCAACAAAAUGUAAAUGCAAAUCCAAAAGGUAUUCUACUAAGAUGACAAUUACCUAGGAGGGUUUCAUGUGCACAAUGACAAAGUGACAUGGGGGUUUGAACCCCAUGUUUGUGUCAUGCACAUCAACAACACCCACACCCAUAUCCCAAAGUUAUUAGACCAAACACAUCACAAUGGGACCCUAGGCUAUCAAGAGAGUAUGCACACCUCCACAUAUAGGCAUGUGAUGGUGCACACUCUCACAUGCAUUACUAGGCUCACCCUAGUAAUCAUGUCAUACUCAAGGAGCAACCCCCACAACAUUCUACUCUAGCUUAUCUAGUAAGCUCCACCUUCACAUGCUAUCUUAGUUGGCCAACUAGAACAUCACUCCACACCAAAACAUGUGAUGAGGGGGAGGCACCCACACCCCACUAAAUCAAUGCAAACAAAUAAAACUACAAGAUCACUUAGCCCACACCAAAGUUCAAAAGUUGGGGCUAUACAAGAGUAGCUAGUGCCUCUUAUCACCUCAAAGCACAACACACACAAUUGUCAAGGCAUCUAACAUCAUCCACCUAUCAAGGUUAACUCCACUUCACUAAGGUGCACCCACCAUAGACAUCACAAGUAUAGCAAGAUCAUACAUCACCUCUUAGUGUGCAAAACACACACAUAACUAAAUCUACCCUAACUAUAUUAGCAGGAACAAAAAUACAACACCACUGUGUAAAGAGUUAGUUAACAGUAGAAAUAACAAAACUAACAAACCACUUUGUAUAGGAGUUAGGGGAACAGAAAUUAAAUAGGCAGGAAAAGAAAAGAAAGCAAAAAUAGAAUCAGGGGCUGCUGGGAUUCGAACCCAGACCCCUGGUGUCCAGCAACAGCAACACUCCACUGCGCUGCUGCACUAGUUGUUGACAAGAGAAGAGAAAAAUGGCAAGGUAAGGUGACUGCAGGCCCAUUGAUACGAAUAAAUCACCCAAAACAACAAAAGGCGCCGAGGGGGGACUCGAACCCACGCCCUCCUACAGGCGCAAGCAUAUGACAGAGCAACACUACCAUCGGGCUACGGAUCGAAGACUGGCUAAGACAAGGAGGUAAAAUAGAAAACCCACCCCACUCACGAGAAGAACUCCGCCGGCGGCCGGACCCGAGGGAGCUGGCGGCGCCACUCCCGGCCACCACCGGCAGGGGAAACUAUCAGCGGGGGCCCCGGGAUCCUCAGGGGCUCCAUUCCCGCCCUGAGCACGGGAAAAGGCAUCCCCUUGGCUGCCCGGAACUGCAUCGGCGUUCCCUGCCGCCACCGCUGCUAAGACUGCGCGGCGACAGAGAGCUCUGGCGCGCCCCUGCUGACCCUGCUACGCUGCUAGGCUACACGUCGAUUUGCUACCAACACCCUGCUACACCACUACGCCUCGCCUCUCCACUCGACAACGCACGCACGAGCUCGGCACAGAAGAGCCGCUACUACUGCUCCUCUAUCAUGCUGCUGCUAACGAACAGAGGAAGCACGCGCCCGACGGGACCGAGCCGAUCCGCGGCGGAGGAAGGACGGGGGAGGACGCGGCCUCACCUUGGGAGAAGAUGGGGCGCCGAACGGGGAGGAGGAGCGCCGAACCGGGGAAGAAGACGUCGAAGAAGCUCCUCCGACGUAGACCGAAGCAGGGAAGGAGUUCGCCCGGUUCGCCCCGUUGACGAGGACGAGCUCGACAGGGGGGGGUCGCUCCUCGGGGUCCUAACGCCGGGAAUGGGACGCGGGGAGCCGCCCCGAGCCCCCGGACAUGGCGGCCGUGCCGCCCGACGAUGCCCGCGGGUAGACGCCGGCGACUCUCUCUCUCUGCACCCUCUGCUAGCUACAGGAAGCUCACCUGGGAGGAAAGGAAUAGAUGGAGAUGGGGUUGGGAGAGGUGGCGGCGGCGGCUGAGGGGAGAAGAGGAACCCUAGGCUACGGGCACGGACGCCAACGCAUCUUAUAGGGGGUCCUCAACGUGCUGCUCACGGCGCCGUCAGGUCUCUCUCUCUCACACGUGCUGACGGAAAGAAGAAAGCGAGGGAGGAGAGGUAGCGCCGUCAGGAAGGAGGGGGUCGCUCGCCUGGGCUCUCGCUGGAGGGAGAUACAUGGGCCAGCAAGUGGAGGGAAGCCCACUGGCGGCCACUAUAAGAAAGGCCCCAGCAGCCUCUCCCAAAUAAAAGAAACACAAAGAAGGAAAAGAAAUAAAACGAAUAAGCUGGUGGGUAUAAACUUAAAAGGAAAACUCCCCUGGUCAUAAGGAAUUAUGGCCCAUUAGAAAAAAUAGAAAAGCAAUAUUUGGCGCCAUAGAAAUAAAUGCAAAACAGAAAUUAAUUUACUGUUUUGGGUUUAUUUGCACCUUUAAAAUUCAAAUAACAAGUCCGCAAAAAUACCCCACCUCAUAAACACAAUUUAAUCUAACCUCCAGACAUUUUUGAAUCAUUUUUGGGAAGAAGGAAUUUUGACAUGAGAUAAUAGGAGGGAAAAGGAUUUAAAAUAGCUAAGAGCCUUUGAAAUUCUAGCACUCACUCCUACCCACAUACCACCAAACACACAUGCAUCACAAGCUAGUGCAAUACCACAAAAAAACCCUAGCAAGGUCACAUGCAAUCAUAACACCACAAGCACUAACUCCUAGUAAUCACAUAUGCCCACAUGAUCAUGACAAGCAAACAUAACAUGACAUAGAAUCAAAGGUAAGCCAAGGAAUGAGAUGGCAUGGAUGCAUGCAUGCUAAUGAAAAAAAAUAGAGGGUGCCACAUGAAAUCAUACGUGCAUAGCAACUCUCGUGGCAAAGUCAAGGUGGUCCCACAUGUAAGGUUACAAAAAGGGAAAAACCUACACUUGGGGCAUUACAAUGGGCCUGUUGUCUGCACGAAGGGGCAGCAGCCGGACAGAUAUCGGAACAAAUCUGACCGGCCAACUGGGCUUCAAAUAAAUCUGGCCGGCCUGCAUCUACAUUGUACUAAACAGCCUGAGGAAGCUGUCGACACAGUUUAUUACGACCUAGUGGCCAACCCUUUGGUUUAAUUAACAGAACCAAUCCAGUUUGUGGAACAGAAAUCCUUCUUUACACCAAAAUCUUCUAUUCUGUGUUGUUUCAGAAAUGAACUCUGAAUUCUGCAAGAGAUUGACACGGGUGUUUGCGCUGCUAAUACUAAUGCAGCUUUUUUGUUUUGCUCUCUUUAUUCAAUCUGAUACUGAAAGCCAGCUCCUGACCGUGCCAUCCCCCCCCCCCAAAUAGUUAUGACAUAUAGUUUGUGUUUAUAUUAAGUCUAUGAUCAAACUUUAACUCCAGGAUGUCUUAUCUGUACCACUAUAUAGUGUAUCAGUUUUGAAUGGAUCCAAAUCAUGAAUCCUGAUCGUUGAUAUCCUCAAUCUCCCACUUGCCUAUUUCAUCAUCGCAGGAUCAGUAGAGUUGGGCCAAUGGACUUAAGUCAAAAUUCUAUAUUGAACGUUGGGUACCUCCAUGGCAAGAGAAGGAUAUAGAGAAGAGACAGCAGAGCCGACCUGCUCAGCCAACUUUAAGUUUUAUUCUACAUCAUUACAUUGAGAAAGAACACCGAUUUACAACUAUGUUGACUAGCUAGCUACUAGCUUAUAGUCCAUAAGAUUUACAUGUAAGUAUUGAGAGCUUCGAUACGUGCCAUCCCUCCAUGCGCUCAAACUUGCAAGUGGCAUGUAUUCCAAUAACUAUCUGCCUAUGUAUGAAUCCUGGUAGGGAUGUGACAUUGACAUAGUGCAUAAUAUUAGAAAUUUUCAAUCAUAUGCAUGAAUAUAUGCAUUAUAUUCAUCUACGUGUCAUCUCUCUAAUGACUCCAUCGUAAGGAGCUAGCCCAUACAUGGCGUAACAAAGCAGUAUCAUGAGUAGUGGUAUGGUCAUGGAAUUUUUUGUUUUGCGGGGUCGUGGAAAUUUCUGGUGCGCUCCAGAGAGAAAUCACCCCCGUAGGACCAAAAUAAUAGCACUACCUUCGGUCUUGAGUUUCUGGAGAUGCAAUGGGCACUUGAUCCAACCUGCUCCAUAGUCAAAAUCAAUCAGGUUAGUUGUUGCAUCUCUUUUAACGAUUUACUUCAGUUUGUACUAACCCCUGCUUCAACAUGGAUAGUGGGACGUCAGCCGGGGAGGGAACUGGCGGUGCUGGAGGGAGGCCCGACCUGUGGUUCGACCUACACUCCCGCUUGGUGGCGAACGGAGACAGGCAGGGAGGGAGGCCUACCCUCCCGCCAUGUCACGCAGACGGACGACGGCGGCGUCAGCCGGGAGGGCACUGGCGGGAGGCCCGACCGGAGGUGUGGUGGAGGGAAGCCCGAUCGGAGGUGGCCUACCCUCCCGCCAUGUCGCGCAGACGGAAGAGGGCUGCCGGGGAGGGCACCGGCGACGGCGGCUGUGAACCCUAGAUAUUUUCACCAGAGGGAGGGAACCACCAGUCGGGAGAGCGAGGGGCUGGUGCACUCGUUGGUUUUUUUUAUCCGGUGUGUUCUUUUUCCACUCGCGGGAGGUAGGCCACCUGUGUUUUUAGUCUUUGACGUCUUCAUAACGACGUAUCUCACGGCAAAGAUUAAUUUUUGCCGCCUUCUCUUGCUAAUCCAAGACGGCAAAACUGCCUGCCGUUUGGGUGAGUUAACAGGAACGUGGACAUCUUUGUUUGCAGUCAUCCAUAGGAUAAGUGUUGGAAUUAUGCCCUAGAGGCAAUAAUAAAUAUAGUUAUUAUUAUAAUUCCUGUAUCAAGAUAAUCGUUUAUUAUCCAUGCUAUAAUUGUACUGAAUGAAGACUCAUUUACAUGCGUGCAUACAUAGACAAAACACUGUCCCUAGCAAGCCUCUAGUUGGGUAGCCAGUUGAUCAACGAUAGUCAGUGUCUUCUGAUUAUGAACAAGGUGUUGUUGCUUGAUAACUGGAUCACGUCAUUAGGAGAAUCACGUGAUGGACUAGACCCAAAUUAAUAGACGUAGCAUGUUGAUCGUGUCAUUUUAUUGCUACUGUUUUCUGCGUGUCAAGUAUUUAUUCCUAUGACCAUGAGAUCAUAUAACUUACUAACACCGGAGGAAUACUUUGUGUGUAUCAAACGUCGCAACAUAACUGGGUGACUAUAAAGAUGCUCUACAGGUAUCUCCGAAGGUGUUCGUUAAGUUAGUAUGGAUCGAGACUGGGAUUUGUCACUCCGUGUGACGGAGAGGUAUCUCGGGGCCCACUCGGUAAUACAACAUCAGACACAAGCCUUGCAAGCAAUGUGACUUAAUGUAAGUUGCGGGAUCUUGUAUUACGGAACGAGUAAAGAGACUUGCCGGUAAACGAGAUUGAAAUAGGUAUACGGAUACUGACGAUCGAAUCUCGGGCAAGUAACAUACCGAAGGACAAAGGGAAUGACAUACGGGAUUAUAUGAAUCCUUGACACUGAGGUUCAAACGAUAAUAUCUUCGUAGAAUAUGUAGGAUCCAAUAUGGGCAUCCAGGUCCCGCUAUUGGAUAUUGACCGAGGAGUCUCUCGGGUCAUGUCUACAUAGUUCUCGAACCCGUAGGGUCUGCACACUUAAGGUUCGACGUUAUUUUAUGCGUAUUUGAGUUAUAUGGUUGGUUACCGAAUGUUGUUCGGAGUCCCGGAUGAGAUCACGGACGUCACGAGGGUUUCCGGAAUGGUCCGGAAACGAAGAUUUAUAUAUAGGAUGAUCUCAUUUGAUUACCGGAAGGUUUUCGGAGUUACCGGGAAUGUAUCGGGAAUGACGAAUGGGUUCCGGGAGUUCACCGGGGGGGGGGGGCAAGCCACCCCGGGGAAGCCCAUAGGCCUUGGGGUUGGCGCACCAGCCCUUAGUGGGCUGGUGGGACAGCCCAAGAAGGCCAUAUGCGCAUUGGAAAGAAAAUCAAAGAGGAAAGGGAAAAAAAAGGAGGUGGGAAAGGGAAGAAGGACUCCACCUUCCAAACCAAGUAGAAUUCGGUUUGGGAGGGGGAGGCCUUCCCCCUUGGCUCGGCCGACCCCCUUGGGAGUCCGUGGACCCCAAGGCAGGUCUUCCCCCUCCUCCUCCUAUAUAUAGUGGGGUUUUAGGGCUGAUUUGACACAACUUUGCCACGGCAGCCCGACCACAUAUCUCCACGGUUUCACCUCUAGAUCGCGUUUCUGCGGAGCUCGGGCGGAGCCCUGCUGAGACAAGAUCAUCACCAACCUCGGAGUGCCAUCACGCUGCCGGAGAACUCUUCUACCUCUCCGUCUCUCUUGCUGGAUCAAGAAGGCCGAGAUCAUCGUCGAGCUGUACGUGUGCUGAACGCGGAGGUGCCGUCCGUUCGGCACUAGACCAUGGGACUGUUCGCGGGGCGGAUCGAGGGACGUGAAGACGUUCCACUACAUCAACCGCGUUCACUAAACGCUUCUGCUGUACGGUCUACAAGGGUACGUAGAUCACACAUCCCCUCUCGUAGAUGGACAUCACCAUGAUAGGUCUUCAUGCGCGUAGGAAAUUUUUUGUUUCCCAUGCGACGUUCCCCAACAAUAAGUAGACAGCAAAAAUCCUGCCUUUGCCGUCAUCUACCCAUAUAGUUAAAGGCAAAACUAUUUUUUGCCGUGUGGUUUUUUUGCCGUCUGCUUUUCAUGAUUUUUGGUGAUAGUAGCUCUUUGCCAUCUUCCCAUGACGGCAAAUUUCCCAUUUGCCGUCUGCCCCGACGAUUUGCUGACGGCAAAGAUUGUACCUAUCAUCAAAAUAGCUGAUUCCUGUAGUGUACGUGUAAGGUCGGUCCGGGCCGCUUCAUCCCACUAUACCGCCGGAAAAUAAUAAGACUAGUAGUGGCAAGAAAUUGACAAAUCAUUGCCCACAACCUUUUGUGUUCUACUCGUGCAUAGAAUCUACGCAUAGAAAACCUGGCUCGGAUGCCACUGUAGGGAAACGUAGCAUAAAUUAAAAAAAGUUCCUACGCAUAUUCAGAUCUUCCUAUGGAGAGACGAGCAACGAGAGAGGGGUGAGUGCAUCUUCGUACCUUUGAAGAUCGCUAAGCGGAAGCGUUGCUAGAACGCGGUUGAUGGAGUCGUACUCACGGCGAUUGAGAUCACGGUGUGAUUUCGAUCUAGUGCCGAACCACGGCACCUCCGCGUUCAACACACGUGCAGCCCGGUGACGUCUCCUGCACCUUGAUCCAGCAAGGAGGAGGGAGAGGUUGGGGAAGAUCUCCGGCAGCACGACAACAUGGUGUCGAUGGAGAGACGAGGUCUCCCGGCAGGGCUUCGCCAAGCACCGUGGGAGAGGAGGAAGAAGGGGGGCAGGGCUGCGCCGAGGGAGAUGGAAAACCGUGUGCAAAACAGCCCCAAAACCCCCACUAUAUAUAGGAGGAGGGGAGGGGGGUGCCACCCCUAAGUUCCCACCCCAGAUGGGAGGUGCGGCGGCCAAGGCAGGGGGAGGGGGUGGCGCACCCCUAGGUGGGCCUUAGGACCACCAGCGCCUAGGGUUUCCCCCCCUCUCCACCUCCUGCGCCUUGGGCCUCCUUGUGGGAGGCGCACCAGCCUACUUUAGGCUGGUUUCCCUCCCUCUUUUGGCCCAUGCUACCUCUUGGCGCUGGUGGCCCCUCCCAGUGGACCCCCGGGACCAUUUCCGGUUGUCCCGAUGGUCCCGGUACAUUACCGGUGACGCCCGAAACAUUUCUGGUGUCCAAAACCAUCCAUCCUAUAUAUCAAUAUUUACCUCCGGACCAUUCCGGAGCUCCUCGUGACGUCCGGGAUCUCAUCCGUGACUCCGAACAACUUUCGGUAACCUCGUAUAACAAUUCCCUAUAACCCUAGCGUCAUCGAACCUUAAGUGUGUAGACCCUACGGGUUUGGGAGACAGGCAGACAUGACCGAGACACCUCUCCGGCCAAUAACCAUUAGCGGGGUCUGGAUAUCCAUGGCGGCUCCUACUUUCUCCACGAUGAUCUCAUCGGAUGAACCACGAUGUCAAGGAUUCAAUCAAUCCCGUAUACAAUUCCCUUUGUGUGUCUGUAUAGAACUUGCCCGAGAUUCGAUCAUCGGUAUACCUAUACCUUGUUCAAUCUUGUUACCGGUAAGUCUCUUUAGUCGUUCCGUAGCACGUCAUCGUGUGACUAACUCCUUAGUCACAUUGAGCUCAUGAUGAUGUGCUACCGAGUGGGCCCAGAGAUACUUGUCCGUCACGCGGAGUGACAAAUCCCAAUCUCGAUUCGUACCAACCCAACAGACACUUUCAGAGGUACCCGUAGUGCACCUUUAUAGUCACCCACUUACGUUGUGAUGUUUGAUACACCCAAAGCACUCCUACGGUAUCCGGGAGUUGCACAAUCUCACGGUCGAAGGAAAAUACACUUGACAUUAGAAAAGCUUUAGCAUACGAACAAAACGAUCUAGUUCUAUGCUUAGGAUUGGGUCUUGUCCAUCAGAUCAUUCUCCCAAUGAUGUGAUCCCGUUAUCAAUGACAUCUAAUGCCCAUGACCAGGAAACCAUGAUCAUCUAUUGACUAAUGAGCUAGCCAACUAGAGGCUUGCUAGGGACACAUUGUGAUCUAUUUAUUCACACAUGUAUUACUGUUUCCUGUUAAUACAAUUAUAGCAUGAACAAUAGACGAUUAUCAUGAACAAGGAAAUAUGAUAAUAACCAUUUUAUUAUUGCCUCUAGGGCAUAUUUCCAACACAAAGAUCCACCGGAGGGGAUGGGCCGGUGGGCCACAAGCCCUGUAGCCGCCACCUCCUGGUGGCGGCUAGCAAGCUUGUGGGGCCCAUGUGGCUCUGCCGCCCCCAAUCUCAGCUCUAUAAAUUCACUUUCGUCCCAGAAAAAAAUAAAAAGAGAAGAUUUCAUCGCGGUUGCAAUACGAAGGCGCCGGCACAUCCUGUUCUUCAUCUGGAGGGCAGAUCUGGAGUCCGUUUUGGGCUCUAGAGAGGGGAAAUCAUUGCCAUCGUCAUCAUCAACCUUCUUCCCUCUCCAAUUCCAUGAAGCUCUUCGUCGUUCGUAAGUAAUCUAUUUGUAGGCUCGCAGGGCGGUGAUGAGUAGGAUGAGAUCUAUCAUGUAAUCGAGUUAGUUUUGAUGGGGAUUGAUCCCUAGUAUCCACUAUGUUCUGAGAUUGAUGUUGCUACUACUUUGCCAUGCUUAAUGCUUGUCACUAGGGCCCGAGUGCCAUGAUUUUAGAUCUGAAAUUAUGAUGUUGUCACCAAUAUAUGUGUGUUUUAGAUCCGAUCUUGCAAGUUGUAGUUACCUACUAUGUGUUAUGAUCCGGCAACCCCGGAGUGACAAUAACCGGAACCACUCCCGGUGAUGACCAUAGUUUGAGGAGUUCAUGUGUUCACCAAGUGCUAAUGCGUUGGUCCGGUUCUUUAUUAAAAGGAGAACCUUAAUAUCCCGUAGUUUCCUUUUGGACCCCGCUGCCACAGGAGGGAUGGACAAUAGAUGUCAUGCGAGUUCGUUUCCCUAAGCACGUAUGUCGACACAGGGAAUGCAUGCCUACAUCACAUUGACGAACGGGAGCUAGCCACAUAUCUCUCCGUGUUAUAACUGUUGCAUGAUGAAUAUCAUCCAAACAAAUCACCGACCCAUUGCCUACAAGUUUGUCCCACUGCUGCUGUUACUUGUUUUCCACUGCUGCUGUUACUUGUUUUGCUCUGCUGUUACUUGCUACUGUUGCUACUUGCUACUGCUAUUACUUGCUACUGUUGCCGCUGCUGUUACUUGCUCUGUUGCUACUUUGUUGUUGAUACUUUGCUUGCAGAUACUAAUCUUUCAGGUGUGGUUGAAUAUGACACAUUCAGCUGCUAAUACUUGAGAGUAUCCUCUCACUUCCUAUUGGCGAACCAACAAAUUUGGGUUGAAUACUCUACCCUCGAAAACUGCCUCGAUCCCACGCGCUCGUGGGUUAUUGCAAGACAAUUUCUAAUUGAUGAGCAAUCGAGAAUAGCAGUCGUCUAGCCAUUGCCAGAGACUGUGAGUCAGUGACGUACGAACUUAUUUCGAUGACCAACACAAAACUUUCCAUAUAUCUAUCUUUACCUUCGGACCAUUCCGUAGCUCCUUGUGAUGUCCAUGAUCUCAUACGAGACUCCGAACAACCUUCACUCACCAACAUACAUAACUCAAUAAUACCAAAAGGUCACCGAACCUUAAGUGUGCAGAACUGAUACGUCUCCAACGUAUCUAUAAUUUUUGAUGGUUCCAUGCUAUUAUCUUGUCAACUUUGGGUGUUUUGUAUGCAUGAAUAUGCUAUUUUAUAUCUUUUUUGGGACUAACCUAUUAACUCAGUGCCAAGUGCCAGUUCCUAUUUUUUCCGUGUUUUUGACCUUUUUCAGAGGAGAAUAUUAAAUGGAGUCCAAACGGAAUGAAACCUGCGGAAUGAUUUUUUCCAUAACAGAAGACACGCAGGAGACUUGAGAACCAAGGCACGGGACCUCAGAGGAGGUCACAAGCCACCCAGGCCCGGCCUAGGGGGCGUGGCGGGCCUCGCAGGCUUGUGGCCCCCCUGUGGCUCCCCUGCCCUAGUUCUUCCGCCUAUAAAUUCCCUAAAAAUCUGAAAACACGGAAGAGAGCCACGAAAAUACUUUUCCGCCGCCGCAAGCUUCUGUCUCCGCAAGAUCCCAUCUAGGGCACGCUCUGGUGCCCUGCCGGAGGGGGGAUUCAGACACGUAGGGCUUCUUCAUCAACACCAAUGCCUCACUGAUGAUGCGUGAGUAGUUCACCAUAGACCUUCGGGUACAUAGCUAGUAGCUAGAUGGCUUCUUCUCUCUCUUGGAUCUUCAAUACAAAGUUCUCCAUGAUCUUCAUGGAGAUCUAUCCGAUGCAAUCUUUUUUUGCGGUGUGUUGGUCGAGAUCCGAUGAAUUGUGGAUUUAUGAUCAGAUUACCUAUGAAUGUUAUUUGAGUCUCCUCUGAUCUCUUAUAUGCAUGAUUUCGUAUCCUUGUAAUUCUCUUCGAGUUGUGGGUUUCGUUUGGCCAACUUGAUCUAUAAUUCUUGCAAUGGGAGAAAUGCUUGCUUUUGGGUUCAUACCGUGCAGUGACCUCUCCCAGUGGCAGAAGGGGUAGCGAGGCACGUAUCGUGUUGUUGCCAUCAAGGGUAAAAAGAUGGGGUUUAUAUCUAUUGCAUGAGUUUAUCCCUCUACAUCAUGUCAUCUUUCUUAAGGCGUUACUCCAUUUGUCAUGAACUUAAUACACUAGAUGCAUGCUGGAUAGCGGCCGAUGUGUGGAGUAAUAGUAGUAGAUGCAGAAAGUAUCGGUCUACUUCUCUCGGAUGUUGUCGUGGGUAUAAGUCUGACAGUAGAUCUAUAGGGUCCGAAAGGAUGGGCACAACCUUAGCUACGGCGAGGUUGUAUGAGUUCAGGCCCCUCUACGGUGGAGGUAAAAGCCCUACGUCUCAGUGCUCUUGGGAGCUUGAUGUCGAGUGGAAUAUGGAUUACAGUGAAUUCCCAACCCCUGCACCAGUACGGAAGGGCGGCUUAUAUAGAGUGCGCUGCCCUCCAUAACGGUUCGAUGCACAGGGGUGGAGUAGUGGCGAAUAAAUGCCUACGUUACAGGUAACGUAUGCCCUAAAUGCUAAUAAAGGUACAUGAAAACGUAUGACCGUUGUCCUCCACGGGGGUUACGAUAUACAUAGUGGAAUCCAGUCGGUAAGCUUGAUACUCUCCGAAUGCACGUCUCCGACUGGAUGAUGGAGGGAUCGUCACCGACCGGAUGAUGGGAAGUCUUUAAUUCAGUCGAAACUGACUAAGGUCCUUGUCCCUUAUGAAGGGUAGUCCUGGGGUAGGACCUAUAGGGCAGGCCUAUGACCCUACCCUGGGACUAUAACCCCAUCAUUAGUCCCCGAAUGGAUCGGGGUUGGAACGACGAGGCGAUGCUUGGGGUACGGAUCCGACUGGUAUGGAUGCAGCUUUGGCGUUGCUUGCCUCGAUCGAUUUUAUCCUCUUGACCAGUGAUCCGAGUGGAUCUGUCUGUGAAACGAACCGUUAGAGACCGAGUGCUUCCGCCGAAUCUUCGGACGUGACCGGUCAACUAACAGCGGCGGAUUUUCUGGGAUCCUCAAAUUUCGGUUGCCGCGCGCUCAGCGGGGAUGACGACAUCGUCAUCGAGUAGUUUCUGCCACGUCGAUUACCGCGCCUUCAUCUCCUCCACUAAUAUCGCAGCAACCGGUCGGGGGAUAAGAUUUUGGGGCCACCUGCUAGUGACCCAGUUGGUACCUUAUUUAAACCUCCCCAGUGAGGGUUUCUCAUUGCGCUCGCCUGAUAACUCGCACUCGCCCCGCUUCUCCCGUUGCUCCCUGUGCACUCCACGCCUCCUCCUUCCUCUCCUCCCCUGCGGAUCUGCAGCCUCCACCAUGACGAAGGGGCAGACGAGCAAGCUCGAGUCGUAGAAGAAGAAGAAGAAGGUGGCGGCUCCUGCUCAGCGGCGACAGCGUGCUCUGCCGGCGGGUUGGAUCCAGGGGGAUUUUCUCCCCUCCACGGUGACGAAGGAUGACCUGCUGGAGCUGGUGGAGCAAGGUUUGAUCAAAAACAAGUCGUGGAGGCUACCGGCGGAGGGCGAGACGGAGCCAGUGCCCCAGGAGGGGGAGCGCGUCUUGCUGCUCAGUCACGUGUACCGAGGCUUCUCUGUGCCUCCUCACCCCUUCUUCAGAGGUAUCAUGAACCACUUCGGGGCACAGCUCCACCAUUUUCCUCCCAACGCAAUAGCUCAUCUUUCUGCCUUCGUCGUGCUUUGCGAGUGCUUUAUCGGUUGUCCUCCCCAUUGGGGGCUCUUUAAGUACAUCUUCUCUGCUAGAUCCCAAACUGUCAAAAGACUUAGCCAGUCGGAUGAUAAAACCCAUCUCCUCCAGCUCUGCGGGGGCUUAGGCUUCCAAAAGAAAACGAAGAGUAGCUAUCCCGCUCUCCAGUUGUCCGAGUCUGUUAGGAACUGGCAGUCGACUUGGUUCUAUUGCCAGGACGUUGCUUGCCCGAAUGCCGCGACUGGACUGCCAGCUUUAAGCCUAGACCGACCGGCUCCGCCCAGGCAGCUUGCACUCACGAAGAUGGAGAAGAUCCAGAUUCAGCCUCUGGUCGAAGCACUGAUAGAUGUCAUCCGCAAGGGAGUCACCGACAUGGAUCUGCUGGAGAUUUUUCUGGGUCGGCGCAUCCAGCCUUUGCAAGCUCAACACCAUGCCAUGUGGCACUGCACGGGGCCUGCGGACUCCACUCGGACUCACCCCGAAUGCAUGACCGGGGAGGUCAUGACAUCGUGGGUCCGCAGCAUCACAGGCGCCUGUGAUAACCCCAGAGGAGCCCGACGAGUGAAGCCCUUCCGCGCUGACAACCCUCCUCCGAAUGAGGUGAGCAUAUGUUGCCGAGUGCUUACAAUUCCCUUAGAUUUGCCGCUUUUUUCUUGCAUCACUGUCUGACGUCUGAUGUUGUCAACUGUAUCUAGUGCAGGCGUGGACCAACUGGUAUUCUCCCGUCUCGAAUGGGAAUCCGGCUGAGGAAGAGGAAGGCAGCCAGGAGGGCAGCAUGGAGAGCGCCGAGUACGUCUCCCACAGUGGGGAGACGGAGGAGGAGUCCGAAGAGGAGGAGGGGGAAGAUGGGGAGCAGGGCUGGCCCCCCCCCCACCACUAGAGCCUCGAACCAAGCGUUGCCACGAACCCGUGACUGCGUCGGCUUCUCUAGCGGCCCUGAGUGCCCCGCCAGCGCCCGUGACUCCGUCGGCUCCUCCAGCGGCCCCGAGUGCCCCGCCAGCUCGUCCCGUGGUUCCGAGCGCCUUGGCAGAAACUCCCGUGGUUCCGAGUGCUCGGAGCACUAAGAGGAACAGGGACGCUGCUGCUGAGUCCGCGGGCCAACCUUCCAAGGUGGCCAAACCGAGUGGAUCCAAGCCUCGGAAGGCUUUGCCUCGGAUGAGGAUCGCCGUUCCUGUUGCCUCAGCGUAAGUGUCUUGUUCUCCUAUCUUCUUUCAGUAUUUGAUUGAACUCAUGUUUAUUGGUCCAGUGGAUUUUACUCGACAGAGCUGCUACCUCCGCCACUUCUCUGCCACGCCAGGAAGACUAUCCCAUGGAUACGGACAACGUUGCCACAUCCCAGCAAGGUACGUCGUGAUGACUCCGAGAGCUUAAAUUAUUGUUUCGAGAAUUCUGUCUUUGAUAUUGCCAUUUUUCUGUGGUCUCACGUUGUUCAGUCGGGCUCCCUUCAGAGGUGAUUCAUCUGGAGGAAGACGACCAGAAGGGGUCUGGGCAAGCUUUGGUGCAUGUCCUUGAGGUCGUUCCGUCUGCUACCGCUCCUGCCAUGGACGCGCCGCCAACCGAGACGAUGCCGUCGACUGAAACGGUGCUCAUCGCUGCUGAACCGACUAGAGCAGGACUUGGGAUGCCCAAGGAGUCUCCCGUGGUGCCGGGCCCGUCGACUAUCCAGUACGACGCCCAACAUCUCCCGGAGGAUCAAGUGGGAGCUGCCAAGGAGGCUAUGGUGCGGGUGGAGUUGAUGGCGGGUGAUGCGAAGGGGGCAUACGACUCCAUCACAUCUUUAUACAAGAGAAGCUUGGAGCUCCGUGACGAUAUCCGAGUAAGUGCGCUAGUAAGUAUUUGCUUUUCUCUUGUAACCCACUGGGGGUUAAGAAAUAUACUCGGAGAUAGUAGAAUUAUUUUGCAGUGGGUUCACUCUGAGUGAACCGAGUGGGUGUAGUCCCCGAGACUUCUGUCGAGUGCUUGCACCGGUAGUUGUCUUUAUAUACAUUGUCUUUGACUUGAUAUGAUGAAGACUAAGCUGUCCGAAUGGUGCCAGUGGGUGCACUCUCAGUGCACGUACUGGAAGUAGUCCCCGAGAGUAAGUUUACUCAGGUCGGGUAGUAGUAGCCUCAUAGGCUUGUUUUUUGUUAUGUAGCUGAAUAGGGUAGACCUGUUUGAGCGUCAUGCCAGUGGGGUCACUCUUAGUGAACCCACUAGGUGUAGUCCCCGAGACCGCUGUCGACUGCUUGCGUCGCCAGGGGUCUGAAGAACUUUGAGGUUUUAUUCUUUUUCCUUGUUGAAUUUGUCUGAUCUUCUCUUCACGCUUAUUUGUAGAAGACUUGCAAGAUGGGAUCAGCGUACAACGCUUUGAAGGUUGAAAAGACUCAGGCAGCUGUGCAUGACUUAGCUGGCGUGAUGGGUGCUCUUGCUGAAGGAGAGAAGUCCUUGGAGGAGUCCCGUGAGGCAAAUAAGGCAUUGGUGGCCGAAAUUGAGAGAAUGGGCAAACAAAGAACCGAGCUGAUGGGACAGAUGAAGGUGAUGAACAGUCGGUGCAUAUCACAGGAGAAGUACGUCAGUGACUGGGCAAGGAAGAUGAUUGCGCUUCUCGGUGGUAAGUUUUGUUUUUCCGAUUGCUCCUUGACUUUGUAUUUCGUGAUGCACUUACUCUCUGCUCGUCUUCUCUUUGCAGAUUUUUGUAUGGACGCUGAGGCUGAAGCAGCUGACAUUGAGCGGUCAGUUAUUCCGAACGUUCCACUCGGCAACGACGCCAAUCGAGACAUGCUCCGAGCGCACAUUCACCUUGGCAAAGUGGGACCGUUCAUCAGCCGCCUGAGAGAAGUCGUCGGCCGAAUCGACAAGGAGCUGUGGCCCGAAGACGAGUCCCGGUGGGAGAUAGAAGGGUUGAUGACUCGGCUGGAGGACGUCCCGAACCGAGUGCAGGCGUGGAAGAAGUCUGCUGCUCGCUGUGGGGUGGACGUGGCGCUGUCGCUGGUCUGAGUGCACUGCAAGGAAGCUCGCGAAGAGAAGCUGAAGGCGUUGCAGGUCGCCAACACCAAGAAGCUUCGAUUGGAAGAUUUCAUGGAGACCUUCCUUGAGACCGCUACUCGCAUCGCAGACGGGAUCGACCUCGACACUUUCGUGGAGCCUGCCAGUCCCAGUGUCAGUCCUGACGACACUUGAAAAACUUAACCUCGGUAUACCGAGUGGAUUUGUAUCAAACUUUGGCCACUGCAGUUGGCCGUCACAUUCGUGGUUCGGUGUGGAUAAGCUUGAUCUACACUGAACCGACUAUCGUUGAACCAACUUUGAAUUGGAAUCGAAUAUUCUGCUCUUCCUUCGCCAAAAAAAUCUUGACACAAUUUUGGCUCGUGAUUUCUGUUUGGCGUUUCUUGGUGAAGCCAGUGGCAAACAUGCGAAGCAUGUAGUUGUCAUUUGUCUUGACAUCUGCAUGAGCCUCAAUGAGGGUCUGCUAAGCCUCCGAGUGGAUCUGGAGGAUACACUCGAAGGAAUCUUUUUACUUAGGCGAUUCUGGAUCGCAGCUAGGUCUCCGAGUGCGGCGUCUCGUGCGCACUCGUAGCGAGUUGAUACUCAUGUAGUUGUCAGUUGUCUUGACAUCCACAUGAGUCUCAAUGAGGGUCUGCUAAGCCUCUGAGUGGAUCUCGAGGAUACACUCGAAGGAAGCUUUUUACUUAGGCGAUUCUGUAUCGCAGCUAAGUCUCCGAGUGCGGCAUCUCGUGCGCACUCGGAGGGAGUUGGUACUCAUGUAGUUGUCAGUUGUCUUGACAUCCACAUGAGCCUUGAUGAGGGUUUGCUAAACCUCCGAGUGGAUAUCGAGGAUACACUCGAAGGAAGCUUUUUUACUUAGGCGAUUCUGGAUUGCAGCUAAGUCCCCGAGUGCGGCAUCUCGUGCGCACUCCGAGCGAGUUGAUACUCGUGUAGUUGUCAGUUGUCUUAACAUCCACAUGAUCCUCGAUGAGGGUCUGCUAAGCCUUCGAGUGGAUCUCUAGGAUACACUCGAAGGAAUCUUUUUUACUUAGGCGAUUCUGGAUCGCAGCUAAGUCCCCGAGUGCGGCAUUUAGUGCACACUCGGAGAAAGUUAGUACCUAGGCGAUUCUGGAUCGCAGCUAAGUCUCCGAGUGUGACGUUUAGUGCACACUCGGAGAAAGUUUUUUUUAGAUCGGGGUCUGCCCACGCGAAAGAAUUUUGAAUCUGCAAAAAAUCAAUCUGCUUUGUAUUACUUCAGCGAUACUUGUUCUUUACAUUGCUUCAGUCGACGGUCACGUGUAGAAGCGCUUCAGGAGAUCUCCGUUCCAUGCUCGUGGCUCGUCCGUUUCCCUGUCGAGGUUGUAGAGUCGAUAUGCACCGUUGUUCAGCACCUUGGAGAUGAUGAAGGGUCCUUCCCACGCGAGAGCCAGCUUGUGAGGUCUCUGCUGAUCCACUCGGAGCACCAGGUCGCCUGCUUGGAAUGUACGACUCCUGACGUCCCGCGUGUGAAAACGCCGCAGAUCUUGUUGAUAAAUGGUUGAGCGAGUCAGUGCCAUCUCGCGCUCCUCUUCUAGAAGAUCCACUCCGUCUUGCCUCGCUUGCUCUGCUUCGGCUUCGGAGAAGAGUUUGACUCGUGGAGCGUUGUGAAGCAAGUCACUCGGAAGGACUGCCUCUGCUCCGUAAACGAGGAAGAACGGGAUCGCCCUGUAGAUCUAUUUGGGGUUGUGCGGAGACCCCACAACACUGAAGGCGGCUCGGUGACCCAUGCGUCGGCAGCAUGUCCCACUUCUCGCAAGAGUCGAGGCUUCAACCCUUGAAGAAUAAGUCCAUUCGCUCGCUCUACUUGCCCGUUUGUUUGGGGAUGCGCCACAGAUGCAAAAUCCACUCGGAUACCUUGGCUUGUACAGAAACCUUUGAAUCUGUCCGAGUCAAAGUUUGUGCCGUUAUCAGUGAUUAUGCUGUGCGGUACCCCGAAUCUGGAUAUGAUGUCCCUGACAACCUUGAUGGCCGUAAGGGCGUCGAGCUUCUUGAUGGGUUUGGCUUCAAUCCACUUGGUGAACUUGUCGACUACCACCAACAGAUGAGUGAAACCUCCUUGGCCUAUCCUAAAUGGACCGACUGUAUCUAAACCCCACACUGCAAACGGCCAAACAAGAGGGAUUGUCUUCAACGCAGAUGUUGGCUUGUGGGACUUGUUCGAGUAGAACUGACAGCUUUCACAUCGGUCGACCAUAUCCUUCGCCAUUUCGUUCGCGUGCAACCAGAAGAAGCCAGCCCUGAAUGCUUUGGCGACGAUUGCCCUUGAGGAGGCAUGAUGACCGCAGGUUCCUGAGUGAAUUUCUUCCAGGAUUAACUGUCCCUUCUCAGGGGAGAUGCAUCGUUGAAGGAUGCCAGAAACACUUUCUUUGUACAGCUGGCCAUCAAUGACGGUGAACGACUUCGACCUGCGGACGAUCUGUCUGGCUUGGAUUUCGUCUUCUGGUAAUUCUUGCCUCAGGAUGUACGCAAUGAACGGCACAGUCCAAUCGGGGAUGAUAGCAAGAAUCUCCAUGAUCAAAUCAACCACAGCAGGGACUUCGACUUCAGUCAGAUCUAUCGAGCUCUUUGGUUGUACUGGUUCCUCUGUGAAAGGAUCUUCUUUAACCGAGGGAAGGUGACGGUGCUCGAGGCAGACGUCACUCGGGACUGGCUCCGAGUGGAUCCAAGUUUCGCCAAUUCGUCAGCUGCUUGGUUUUUCAGUCACGGAACAUGGUGGAGUUCUAGACCUUCAAACUUUUUCUCGAGCUUCCUCACCGCGUUGCAGUAUGUGGUCAUGGUGGGUUUCCUUACGUCCCACUCCUUCAUCACUUGAUUAACCACCAAAUCUGAAUCGCCAUAGACCAUGAGGCGACGGACGCCGAGUGCGAUGGCCAUGCGCAAUCCAUAAAGGAGAGGUUCAUAUUCUGUCUCGUUGUUGGAGGAAUCGAAGUGUAUUUGCAACACAUACUUGAGUUUGUCUCCUUUUGGCGAUAUGAUCACAACGCCAGCGCCGGAGCCGUUUAACAUCUUGGACCCAUCGAAGAACAUUGUCCAAUGAGCCGAGUAGAUGUGAGUCGGUUGUUGUUGUUCUACCCAUUCUGCUAUGAAGUCAGCCAAAGCUUGAGACUUUAUAGCUUUCUUGGCAUCAACUUGAUGUCGCAGUACAACAUCUCCAUUGCCCAAUUCACCACUCGGCCCGAUGCGUCCCGAUUGUGGAGGAUUUCCGACAAUGGAGCAUCAGAAAUGACGGACACCGAGUGGUCUUGGAAAUAAUGAGCCACCUUCUUCGCAGUCAUGUAAAUCCCGUAAAUGAGUUUUUGAUGAUGGGGAUACCUCUGCUUGGAAGGAGUCAGGACUUCGGAGACAUGGUACAUUGGCCGUUGAACCAUGUAUGCUUUGCCUUCUUCUUCGCGUUCGACUGGGAGAACAGUGCUGACGACUUGAUUUGUAGCCGCGAUGUACAGAAGAAGGGGUUCUUUACUGAGCGGAGCAGUAAGAACCGGGUGGGUGGAAAGUAGGACUUUGAGGUCGUCGAAUGCGAUAUGAGCUUCCUCUGUCCACUCGAAAGUAUCUGAUUUCUUCAUGAGUCGGUACAAAGGUAGCGCCUUCUCGCCGAGUCGACUGAUAAACCUUCUCAAAGCCGCUAGGCAACCUGUGAGCCUUUGAACAUCGUGUAUUCUGACCGGCCGCUCCAUUCGGACGAUGGUCCCGAUCUUUUCGGGGUUGACAUCGAUCCCUCGUUCGAAAACGAAGAAACCGAGUAACUUUCCGCUAGGAACACCGAAUGAACACUUGGCCGGGUUGAGCUUGAUAUCGUACCUACGAAGGGUGGCGAAUGUUUCUGCCAAGUCAGUCAGCAGGUCGGAACCUUUGCGUGACUUGACUACGAUAUCAUCCAUAUACGCUUCCACAUUUCGACCGAUCUGGUCAAGGAGGCAUUUUUGGAUCAUGCGCAUAAAGGUUGCUCCUGCAUUCUUCAAACCGAAUGGCAUAGUGAUGUAGCAAAAGCACCCGAAUGGGGUGAUGAAGGCUGUUUUUAAUUCAUCGGGGCCAUACAGACGGAUCUGAUGAUAGCCCGAGUAGGCAUCUAGAAAUGACAAACGCUCGCUACCCGCAGUCGAAUCGACAAUUUGAUCGAUGCGGGGGAGCGGGAAAUGGUCUUUCGGGCAGACCUUAUUGAGAUGCUUGAAGUCGAUGCACAUUCGGAGAGACUUGUCCUUCUUGGGUACCAUGACAACAUGGGCGAGCCACUCGGAGUGGUGUACCUCGCGAGUGAAGUUGGCUGCCAAAAUCUUAGCCACCUCCUCUCCGAUGGCCUUCCUCAUAUGCGCGGCGGACCGACGCAGGCGUUCUCGGACAGGCUGAGCAGCAGGAUCCACGUGCAGUCGGUGCUCAGCCAACUCCCUGGGUACACCUGGCAUGUCAGCGGGCUUCCAUGCGAAAAUGUCUGAGUUCUCACGGAGGAAUUGGAUGAGCUCGACUUCCUAUUUUGGAUCGAGGGUGGUGGAGAUGUUCCUCGGGGCAGCGGCUUCGUCCGUCGGGUGAAUGCUGACCUUCUUCGUUUCUCCCGCCGACUGGAAUGCGGAAUCCGAAGCUGGCUUCUUCGAACGCAUCAAGUCAGCGGGGUCGAUUAACUUCUUGUAGUCGUCAAGCUCGAGGACAGCCAUCUGCUGAUUGGCGAUCCUCGAUCCCUGCUGGAGACACUCCUCGGCCCGCUACCGAUUGCCUGUGAUAGUGAUCACGCCUUUUGGGCCUGGCAUCUUCAGCUUUAGGUACACGUAACAUGGACGGGCCGUGAAACGCGCAUACGCCGGGCGGCCCAGAAUCGCGUGGUAUGCACUCUGGAAGUCCACCACCUCGAAUGUCAGCUUUUCCUUGCGGAAGUUCUUGUCGGAGCCGAAGACGACGUCCAACGCAAUCUCACCGAGUGACUUGGCCGUUCGUCCAGGGACGACUCCAUGGAACUGCAUGCUGCUCUCACUAAGUUUGGACAUCGGAAUGCCCAUCCCCUUGAGAGUGUCGGCGUACAUGAUGUUCAAGCCGCUGCCGCCGUCCAUGAGGACUUUGCGCAGUCGGACUCCUUCCACCACCGGGUCGAUGACCAGCGCCUACCUCCCUGGGGUGGGUACGGGCGCUGGAUGAUCCGACUGGUCAAAGGUGAUCGCAGUCUGAGACCAUUGGAGGAACGUGGGGUUGGUUGGGUGGCCAUGUUCACCUCCCUGUUCACCAGCUUCAGUCGACUCUUGCUUUCCACGUCAGCAAAAAUCAUCAGUGUUGCAUGGACUUGGGGGAACGGAUCCUCCUUGUCCUCCUCAUCUUGCUCAUUGUCCUUUUCACUCGGUUGCCCUUCCCCGAUCCCCUGGAUCAGGAGGCGACAUUGCCGAGUGGUAUGCUUCGGAAAUAUGGCGUUGCCUUCUUCAUCCAUCUUCAUGUGGAUUGGACAUGGCUGGUCCAGGAUGUGGUUUCCGAACUGCUUCUUCUUGGGGGUGAACUGAGCCUUCCCCUUGCCCUUGAACUUGGCAUUGGUAACGGCUGCGGCCUCUGCCUACGGAGUGGACGGAGCUUUCUGCUUCUGCUUCCGAGUGUUGUUCCCAUCUCCAUCGGCGACUGCCUUGUGCUUGCUGCUGCGAAUGCGGUCCUCUUCUUCGCCAUUAGCACAGCGUGCCGCUAUCUCCAUCAUCUUGCUCAUGGAGAUGUCGCCUGUCCGACCGAACUUCAGGUACAGAUCUCCGUACCGCACGCCUGCCUUGAAGGCGCAGACUGCUUGGUGCUCUGUGACGUUCUCCACCGUGUGGUAGAGGGUUGUCCAACGCUGGAUGAAAUCGCGCAGGGGCUCAUUCUGCUUCUCGACACAGUGCUGGAGCUCCACAAGAUCAGCAGGGCGUUUGCACGUCCCCUCGAAGGUCCUGAAGAAGACUCGGGCCAGAUCUGCCCAACUAUAGAUGCUUGAAGGAGCCAGCUGGUUCAGCCACGCUCGUGCCGAGCCAUCGAGCAUCAGGGGGAGAUGUUUCAUGGCGACAUGGUCGUCUCCACCUCCGAUCUGGACUGCCACUCGGUAGUCGUCCGGCCACGUUUCUGGCUUGGAUUCUCCUAUAAACUUGCUGGUCCCCGUCGCCAAUCGGAAGUUGGGAGGGAUGUCAGCUGAACGGAUGGCCCAACUGAAACACUCGGGGCCAGAGAAGAUGGUCCUGCUUCCACUCGGAUGGUCUCCAUCGUGACCAUCACGGUGGGCUCGGCCCCUGUCGACCCUCCUCUGGGCGAUGUAUCCUCUUGCGUCGGGCCUUGGAUCAUAAGUGUGACCGACCGAACGCCGAUCAUCAAGAUGUCGGGGCCCGUAGGGCCCACCCCAUGGAGGGGUGCGUGAACGGCGACGAUCUUCGGGACUCAUGGAACAGCUGCCUCCCCUGUGUCGUUGAUGAGAACCGGGGCUGAAUACUGACCGAUGCAUGUUCGCGUGAACAGAACUGUUGUGGAUUCUGUUGUGCGACUGGGAGACCGCCGAAUUCUGCUGCUGCGCCGUGUGCAACAGGGCACGAAUCUGCUCGAUCCCUCUGCGAGCCUCUGAAUCAGUCGGCUGGAGGGAGUCGGCUAUCUUGGAGGCGGCGUCCAGGUUGAGGACGGGUGUGCGGAACACCUCCACGUUGCUUUGACGAGUGCGCCGACUGGCAGAACGGCGGGGCUGACGGCGAGCGCCAGAUAUUUCGCCGACCUCGUGCUCGUUCCGGCCGGUUUGGCGGGGACUUUCAUGGGAGUUGGCCAUGUGCACUUCGGCUGCAGGCCCGCGAUCCAAGUACUCGGAAUGCAACUAAGUCAGAACUGAGUCCGAGCGCUGGGACGGCGGCGCAACUACAACCGAUUUGAGGACCGCCACGUGUGUAGACGCGUUCUGGCGCGCCUGGGCGUGUUGCACCCAACGCUGGAGCCGCGGACGGCGAGACCGCUUGUUGCGGUGCGUGACGGGGGCGAAGAUCGACACCCGAGCCGACUGCGGGAGAAGAAGGAUGCCGUGGGCGCCGGCACAGAAGUGCGUAGCCCCGCGACUGGGGAGCGCCUCGACGUCGAGAGGUGCAUCCCGAAGCCAUGCCGAAUCGUCGACAAUGAAGGAGAGUGCGCCGAAGAGGAUCUCACAACCCAUGCACGAAUCUCCACCGGACGACAUGCCGAAAGGAUGUAGUCGCAAACUCACCGGAAGUCGCAUAGACGCCUGCCCCACGGUGGGCGCCAACUGUCGUGGGUAUAAGUCUGACAGUAGAUGUAUAGGGUACGAAAGGAUGGGCGGAGUCUUAGCUAUGGCGAGGUUGUAUGAGUUCAGGCCCCUCUACGGUGGAGGUAAAAGCCCUACGUCUCAGUGCUCUUGGGAGCUUGAUGUCGAGUGGAAUAUGGAUUACAGUGAAUUGCCAACCCCUGCACCAGUACGGAAGGGCGGCUUAUAUAGAGUGUGCUGCCCUCCAUAACGGUUCGAUGCACAGGGGUGGAGUAGUGGCGAAUAAAUGCCUACGUUACAGGUAACGUAUGCCCUAAAUGCUAAUAAAGGUACAUGAAAAUGUAUGACCAUUCUCCUCCAGGGGGGUUACGAUAUACAGAGUGGAAUCCAGUCGGUAAGCUUGAUACCCUCCGAAUGCACGUCUCCGACUGGAUGAUGGAGGGAUCGUCACCGACCGGAUGAUGGGAAGUCCUUAAUUCAGUCGAAACUAACUAAGGGCCUUGUCCCUUAUGAAGGGUAGUCCUGGGGUAGGACCUAUAGGGCAGGCCUAUGACCCUACACUGGGACUAUAACCCCAUCAGACGUGAUGCCUAUAUGUAUGAUCAUUGCCUUAGAUAUCGUCAUUACUUUGCGCGGUUCUAUCAAUUGCUCGACAGUAAUUCGUUCACCCACUGUAAUAUUUGCUAUCAUGAGAGAAGCCUCUAGUGAACACUAUGGCCCCCGGGUCUACAUCACAUCAUAUUUUCAGCCUUACACUUUUACUUUGUUGCACUUUACGCCUUCAGUUCUCACCUUGCAAUCAAUCGUGAAGGGAUUGACAACCCCUUUGUAGCGUUGGGUGCAAGUUUGCUGUUUUUGCGCAGGUACUUUGGAGACUUGCCUUGAUACUCCUACUUGAUUGAUACCUCGGUUCUCAAACUGAGGGAAAUACUUACCGCUACUGUGCUGCAUCACCCUUUCCUCUUCAAGGGAAAAACCAACGCAAGCUCAAGAGGUAGCAAGAAGAAUUUCUGGCGCCGUUGCCAGGGAGGAUCAACUCAAGAAUAGUCUCCCGUCAACGUGCCAAUUUCUGGCGCCGUUGCCGGGGAGUAUCAAGUCAAGAAUAGUCUUCCUCCAACGUGUCAAUUUCUGGCACCGGGGACUAUUCUAAGUGAAGCUUAUCCAAGUAACUGUCACAAACUCAUCUCUUGCAUUUACCUUUUUUUUCCUUUUGCCUCUCGUUUUCCUCUCCCCCACUUCUGAAAAACAAAAAUUACAAAAAUAUUUGCCUUUUUCGUUUGCCUUUCCUUUGCUUGUGUGCAAUGUGCCUUCAAUAUGCUUGCAUCUUCGCUUGCUGAAAAUCUAUUGAUAUGGAUCUUCAUUCACUUGCUAAUCUCUUUAAGAGAUCCAAUUAUGUUGAACCAUUUGCUAGUGAAUUGAGUGCACUUGACUUUCUCUAUGGAGUUUUCUUGAGAUGUGUGAAUUUGAAAACCGUGAUGAAGAAAUUUGUGAAGUGAUUCAUGAGGGCUCCUUUAAUGAAAAGCAUGAUUGCAAUGGUUUCAUUAUAAAUUCUAUUCAUGACAAUCAUGCUAAAAAUAUGCAAAACCCUAAAGUUGGGGAUUCUAGUUUUGCUUUGUCCACUACUUGUUGCAAUGAUCAAGAUUGGGGUAAUGAUUUUUCUUAUGAUCUUAAAAAAUUUGUUUAAGCCUCAUGAUGAAUAUGAUAUUUGCAAUAAUAUUGAAGGUGGGUUUGGAGAAGUCAUGACUUUAGUUGAUGAUAAUCCCACUAUUUUUGAUGAGCGUCAACUUUGCAUGUAUGUGGAUCAUGAAAAGAAUAUCCUAUGUGAUAGCUAUAUUGUUGAAUUUGAAUAUGAUCCCACAUGUAAUUAUUGUGAGAGAGGAAAAUAUGGUGGUAGAAAUUUUCAUACCACUAAAUCACCUCUUGUUUUGUUGAGAUUGAUAUUGUCUCUUUCUUCUUCCUUGCAUAUGGUAACUAUUGGUUGUCUUGACAAUUUAUUUUCCUAUAAAAUGCCUAUGCAUAGGAAGUAUGUUAGACUUAGAUGUUAUUUUCACAUGCUUUAUGAUGCUCUCGUUGUGCUUCAAUUCUUGUGUUUUGUGUGAGCAUCAUUGAAUUAUCAAUGCCUAGCUAAGGGCGUUAAACAAUAGCGCUUGUUGGGAGGCAACCCAAUGUAUUUAUCUUUGCUUUUUUUCNNNNNNNNNNNNNNNNNNNNUUUUUUUUUGUGUCCACACCGUCAUAAUUUUGUUAUGAUUGUGUUUUUUUUGUUUCUUUUUGUGUUUGAGCCAAGUAAAACCUUUAUGACUGGUUUUGGUGAUGUUGUUUGAUCUUGCUGGAAAAGAGAGAAACUUUGCGCUCACGAAAUUAUUUUUAAUUCCUAUCCAGAAAGAGCUUUUGAGUUGAUUCAUUUUUCUGCUGGUUGAUAUGCCAAUUUCCCUAAUUGUCAUAAUUUUACAGAAGUUUUGAGAUAACAUAAGUAUAUGAAGUAUACAGAUUGCUACAGAUUGGUCUGUUUUUGACAAAUUAUGUUUGUGUUGUGUUGAUUGCUUAUUUUGAUGAAACUAUGGAUAGUAUCGGGGGGUACUAGCUAUGGAAAAGUGAGAAUACAGUAAUCUAACACCAAUAUAAAUAGAAAUCAGGUUUGCUAGAGUACCUAAAGAUUUGGUAGUUUGUUUUCUUGUGCUAAUGAUAUCACGAGUUUAUGUUUAAGUUUUGUGUUGUGAAGUUUUCAAGUUUUGGGUGAUGUUCUCGUGGACAAUGGGAUAAAGAGUGGAAAGAGCUCAAGCUUGGGGAUGCCCAAGGCAUCCCAAGCCAAAUUCAAGGACACCAAAAAGCCUAAGCUUGGGGAUGCCCCGGGAAGGCAUUCCCUCUUUCGUCUUCAAUACAUCGGUAACGUUACUUGGAGCUAUAUUUUUAUUCACCACAUGAUAUGUGUUUUGCUUGGAGCAUCGUGUAUUAUAGGAUUCUUUUCUUUUUGUUGUGUGACAAUCAUCCUUGCUCCACACCUUUCGAGAGAGACAUGCACUCAUCGUAAUUUUGCUAGAAUACUCUUUGAGCUUCGCUUAUAUCUUUUGAGUUAGGCAAUUUACCUCGCAUGUGCUUUACUUAUAUCUUUUUGAGCUAGAUAAAUUUGCUCUAGUGCUUCACUUAGAUCUUUUUAGAGCACAGCGGUGUCAUAUUUUGGAGAAAUAAGAACUCUCGAUCUUCACUUAUAUCUUUUUGAGAGUGCUCUCUUUGAGUAACUUGGUAGUUAGCUUGUGCUAUGAAAGUAGUCCUAAAGAUGGUAGGCAUCCAAAGAGGAUGUAAUAAAAACUUGCAUAUUCUUGUGCAUUGAUUAGUGAAGAGAAGUUUGAUUCAUCUCAAUUAGUUUUGAGACAUGGAUAUGGUAAUAUUAAAGUUGUGUUAGUAGGGUGUUGUGAAUCUAGAAAUACUUGUGUUGCAGUUAGUGAUUCCCGUAGCAUGCACGUAUGGUGAACCGCUAUGUUAGAAAGUCGGAGCAUAAUUGAUUUAUUGAUUGUCAUCCUUUGUGUUGCGGUUGGGAUCGCACGAUGGUUAAACACCUACCAACCCUUCCCCUAGGAUUAUGCAUUUAGCACUUUGUUUCGAUUACUAAUAAAAACUUUCGCAAUAAGUAUAUGAGUUCUACAUGACUAAUGUGAGUCCAUGGUAUAGAUGCACUUUCACGUUCCACCAUUGCUAGCCUCUAUAGUGCCGUGCAAUUUUCGCCGGUGCACAAACCCACCAUAUACCCUCCUCAAAACAGCCACCAUACCUACCUAUUAUGGCAUUUUCAUAGCCAUUCCGAGAUAUAUUGCCAUGCAACUCCCACCGUUCCGUCUCAUGACAUGUGUCGUCACUUUCAUAUUGCCAUUGCAUGAUCGUAAGAUAGCUAGCGAGAUGUUUCAACGUCAUACACUAAGCUAGAUCGUUGCACAUCCCAGUACACUUCCGGAGGCAUUUCCUAUAGAGUCAUCAUUGUUCUAGGUAUUGAGUUGUGAGUAAAUAAAAGUGUGAUGAUCGUCAUUAUUAGAGAAUUGUCCCAUGUGACGAAAUAAAAAAAAGAGGCCAAAGAUGCCCACAAAAAAAAUGAGAAAAAAAGAGGCCAAAGUGCCCAAACAAAAAAAAUGAGAGAAAAAAGAGAGAAGGGACAAUGCUACUAUCUUUUUCAACACUUGUGCUUCCAAAUAGCACCAUGUUCUUCAUGAUAGAGAGUCUCUUGGUUUGACACUUCCAUAUACUAGUGGGAAUUUUCGUUAUAUAACUUGGCUUGUAUAUUCCAAUGAUGGGCUUCCUCAAAAUUGCCCUAGGUCUUCAUGAGCAAGCAAGUUGGAUGCACACCCACUAGUUCUUCUUUUGAGCUUUCACAUACUUAUAGGUCUCGUGCAUCCGUUGCAUGGUAAUCCCUACUCAUUCACAUUGAUAUCUAUUGAUGGGCAUCUCCAUAGCCCUUUGAUACGCCGAGUUGAUGUGACCAUCUCUUCCUUUUUGCCUCACAACCUCCACUACACUCUAUUCCACCUAUAGUGCUAUAUCCAUGGCUCAUGCUAAUGUAUUGCGUGAGAGUAGAAAAAGUUUGAGAAAGUAAGAGUGCGAAAACAAUUACUUGGCCAAUUCCGGGGUUGUGCAUGAUUUAAAUUCAUUAUGUGGGGAUGAUGGAGCAUAGCCAGACUAUAUGAUUUUGUAGGGAUAACUUUCUUUAGCCUUGUUAUUUCGAAAGUUCAUGAUUACCUUGCUAGUUUGCUUGAAGUAUUAUUGUUUUCAUGUCAAUAGAAAACUAUUGUUUUGAAUCUCAUGGAUCUGAACAUUCAUGUCACAUGAAAGAAGUUACAAAGGACAAGUAUGUUAGGUAGCAUUCCACAUCAAAAAUUCGGUCUUUAUCACUUCCCUACUCGAGGACGAGCAGGAGUUAAGCUUGGGGAUGCUUGAUAUGUCUCCAACGUAUCAAUAUUUUUUUAUGGUUCCAUGCUAUUAUCUUGUCAACAUUGGAUGUUUUGUAUGCAUGAAUAUGCUAUUUUAUAUCUUCUUGGGACUAACCUAUUAACUCAGUGCCAAGUGCCAGUUCCUGUUUUUUCCGUGUUUUUGACCUUUUUGAGAGGAGACUAUUAAACGGAGUCCAAACGGAAUAAAACCUGCGGAAUGAUUUUUUCCAUAACAGAAGACACGCAGGAGACUUGAGAACCAGGGAAGGGGACCUCGGAGGAGGUCACAAGCCACCUAGGACCGACCUAGGGGGAGGGCGGGCCUAGCAGGCUUGUGGGCCCCCUGUGGUUCCCCUGCCCUAGUUCUUCCGCCUAUAAAUUCCAUAAAAAUCUGAAAACACGAAAGAGAGCCACGAAAAUACUUUUCCACCGCCGCAAGCUUCUCUCUCCGCAAGAUCCCAUCUGGGGAACGUUCUGGUGCCCUGCCGGAGGGGGAUUCGCACACUGAGGGCUUCUUCAUGAAAACCAUUGCCUCUCCGAUGAUGCGUGAGUAGUUCACCAUAGACCUUCCGGUCCUUAGCUAGUAGCUAGAUGGCUUCUUCUCUCUCUUGGAUCUUCAAUACAAAGUUCUCCAUGAUCUUCAUGGAGUUCUAUCCGAUGUAAUCUUCUUUUGCGGUGUGUUUGUCGAGAUCCGAUGAAUUGUGGAUUUAUGAUCAGAUUAUCUAUGAAUGUUAUUUGAGUCUCUGCUGCGGCAACAGACAAGAGUGCCAGAGAUUGACACGUCGAAGGAGGCUGGGCUUGCGUUGGUUUUUCCCUUGAAGAGGAAAGGGUGGUGCAGCACAGGAGCAGUAAGUAUUUCCCUCAGUUUGAGAACCAAGGUAUCAAUCCAGUAUGAGAAUCUCGUCAAGUCCAGAGUACCUGCGCAAACACAAACGAGCUUGCACCCAACGCUAUAAAGGGGUUGUCCAUCCCUUCAAGAUUGAUUGCAAAGUGAGAUCUGAAGGCGGAAAGUGCAACGAAGUAAAAGAGUAAGGCUAAAAAUAUGGUGUGGAGUAGACCCGGGGGCCAUAGUGUUCACUAGAGGCUUCUCUCAAAAUAGCAAAUAUUAUGGUGGAUGAACAAAUUACUGUCGAGCAAUUGAUAGAACUGCGCAAAGUCAUGACGAUAUCUAAGGCAAUGAUCCUACAUAUAGGCAUCACGUCCGAGACAAGUAGACCGAUACUUUCUGCAUCUACUACUAUUACUCCACACAUCGACCGCUAUCCAGCAUGAAUCUUGUGUAUUGAGUUCAGGACGAACAGAGUAACGCCUUAAGCAAGAUGACCUGAUGUAGAGGGAUAAACUCAAACCAAUGAUGAAACCCCAUCUUUUUACCCUUGAUGGCAACAACACGAUGCGUAACUCGCUACCCCUUCUGUCACUGGGUGAGGUCACCGCACGGUAUGAACCCAAAACCAAGCACAUCUCCCAUUGCAAGAAUCAUAGAUCUAGUUGGCCAAACAAAACCCACAACUCGAAGAGAAUUACAAGGAUAUGAAAUCAUGCAUAUAAGAGAUCAGAAGAAACUCAAAUAAGAUUCAUAGAUAAUAUGAUCAUAAAUCCACAAUUCAUCGAAUCUCGACAAACACACCGCAAAAGAAUAUUACAUUGGAUAGAUCUCCAUGAAGAUCAUGGAGAACUUUGUAUUGAAUAUCUAAGAGAGAGAAGAAGCCAUCUAGCUACUAGCUAUGGACCCGUAGGUCUAUGGUGAACUACUCCUGCAUCAUUAGAGAGGUCAUGGUGUUGAUGAAGAAGCCCUCCGUAUCCGAAUCCCCCCUCCGGCAGGGCACCAGAACGUGCCCCAAAUGGGAUCUUGCGGAGAAAGAAGCUUGCGGCGGCGGAAAAGUACUUUCGGUGAUCUCUUGAUUUUUUUCUGGAAUUUAUGGGAAUAUAUAGGCGAAAGACCUAGUGCAGGGGAGGCCCAGGGAGCCCACAAGCCUCGGAGGCGCGGCCCCCCUGGUCGCGGCUAGGCGGCUUAUGGGGUCCCUGGAGAUCCCCUGCCUUGGUUCUCAAGCUUCCGGAUCUUCUUCUGUUUCGGAAAAAAUCUUUUUGGAAGUUUCGUUCCAUUUGGACUCCGUUUAAAAUCGUCCUCUGAAAAGGGUCAAAAACAUGGACAAAACAGGAACUAGCACUUGGCACUGAGUUAAUAAGUUAGUCCCAAAAAAGAUACAAAAGGCAUACAAAACAUCCAAAUUUUGACAAGAUAAUAGCAUGAAACCAUCAAAAAUUAUAGAUACGUUGGAGAUGUAUCAAGCAUCCCCAAGCUUAACUCCUGCUCGUCCUCGAGUAGGGAAGUGAUAAAGACUGAAUUUUUGAUGUGGAAUGCUACCUAGCAUAGUUGUCCUUUGCAACUUCUUUCAUGUGACAUGAAUGUUCAGAUCCGUAAGAUUCAAAACAAUAGUUUGCUAUUGACAUGAAAACAAUAAUACUUCAAGCAAACUAUCAAGGUAACCAUGAACUUUCAAAAUAACAAGGCCAAAGAAAGUCACCCUACAAAAUCAUAUAGUCUGGCUAUGCUCCAUAAUCCUCACACAACUAAUGUAAAUCAUGCACAACCCCGGUAUUGGCCAAGUAAUUGUUUUCGCACUCUUUACUUUCUCAAACUUUUUAUAACUAUCACGCAAUACAUCAGCGUGAGCCAUGGAUAUUGUACUAUAGGUGGAAUAGAGUGUGGUGGUGGUUGUGAGAGAAAAAGGAGGAGAUGGUCACAUUGACUCGGCGUAUCAAAGGGCUAUGGAGAUGCCCAUUAAUAGAUAUCAAUGUGAAUGAGUAGGGAUUUCCAUACAAAGGAUGCACUAGAGCAAUAAGUAUGUGAAAGCUCAAAAGGAGAACUAGUGGGUGUGCAUCCAACUUGCUUGCUCUCGAAGACGUAGGGCAAUUUUGAGGAAGCCCAUCAUUGGAAUAUAUAAGCCAAGUUAUAUAAUAAAGAUUCCCACUAGUAUAUGGUGGUGACGAAGCGAGAGGCUUUUAAUCAUGAAGAACAUGGUGCUAUUAUGAAGCACAAGUGUGGAAAAAGAUAGUAGCAUUGUCCCUUCUCUCUUUUUCUCUCUUUUUUUAAUUUUAAUUUGGGCACUUGGGACUCUUUUUCUCCCCUUUUUUUAUUUGGGAUCUUUGGCCUUUUUUUUAUUUCCUAACAUGGGGCAAUGCUCUAAUAAUGAUGAUCAUCACACUUUUAUUUACUCACAGCUCAAAGCUCAGAACGAUGAUGACUCUAAAGUAAAUGCCUUCGGCAGUGUACCGGGAUGUGCAACGAUCUAGCUUGGCGUAUGACGUUUAAACAUCUCGCUAGCUAUAUUAUGAUCAUGAAAUGGCAAUAUGAGAGUGACGGCACAAGUCAUGAGACGGAACGGUGGGAGUUGCAUGGCAAUAUAUCUUGGAAUGGCUAUGAAAAUGCCAUAGUAGGUAGGUAUGGUGGCUGUUUGAGGAAGGCAUAUGGUGGGUUUGUGUACCGGCAAAAAAUGCGCGACACUAGAGAGGCUAGCAAUGGUGGAUGGUGAAAGUGCAUCUAUACCAUGGACUCACAUUAGUCAUGAAGAACUCACAUACUUGUUGCGAAAGUUUUUAUUAUUAAUCGAAACAAAGUGCUAAACGCAUACUCCUAGGGGAAGGGUUGGUAGGUGUUAACCAUCGCGCGAUCCCGACCUCAACACAAAGGAUGACAAUCAAUAGAUCAAUUAUGCUCCGACUUCCUAACAUAGCGGUUCACCAUACGUGCAUGCUAUGGGAAUCACUAACUUCAACACAAGUAUUUCUAGAUUCACAACACCCUACUAACAUAACUCUUAAUAUUACCAAAUCCACGUCUCAAAACUAAUUGAGAGGAAUCAAGAAUUCUGUUUCUACUCAAUGCACAUGAAGAUGUAGAUUUUUGUAUCCCCUUUGGGUACCUAUCACCUUUGGGACUACUUUCAUAGCAUAAGCCAAUUACCAAGUCACGCGCCGACGUGCUCUAAAAUAUCUAAGUGAAGCACACAGAGAAAAAUUAUCUAGCUCAAAAGAUAUAAGUGAAGCACGAUGAGCAUUCUAGCAAAAUCAUGAUGAGUGCAUGUCUCUCUCUAUCAAAAAGGUGUCCAGCAAGGAUCAUUGUGACACAACAAAAAGAAAACACUCCUACGAUACAAGAUGCUCCAAGCAAAACACAUAUCAUGUGGUGAAUAAAAAUAUAGCUGCAAGUAAUGUUACCGAUGGAUUGAAGACGAAAGAGGGGAUGCCUUCCCGGGGCAUCCCCAAGCUUAGGCUUUUUGGUAUCCUUGAAUUUGGCUUGGGAUGCCUUGGGCAUCCCCAAGCUUGAGCUCUUUCCACUCCUUAUCUCUUUGUCCAUGUGAACAUCACCCAAAACUUGAAAACUUCACAACACAAAACUUAAACAGAAACUCAUGAUAUCAUUAGCACAAGAAAACAAACUACCACCCCUUUAGGUACUGUAGCAAUCUUGAUUUCUAUUUAUAUUGGUUUUGGGGUACUUUAUUCUCACUUUUCCAUGGCUAGUACCCCCAAUACUAUCCAUAGUUUCAUCAAAACAAGCAACCAACUCAACAAAAACAGAAUCUGUCAAAAACAGACCAGUCUGUAGCAAUCUGUAUACUUCGUAUACUUCUGGUACCUCCAAAAUUCUGAAAACUUACGACUGCCUGGGAAAAAGGAAUAUCAACCAGCAGAAAAAAGAAUCAACUCAUAAUCUUUUUCUGAAUAAAAAUGAAAAAUCAUCUCGUGAGCGAAAAGUUUCUAUCUUUUUUCCAGCAGGAUCAAACAACCAUCACCGAGACUAGUCAUAAAGGUUUUGCUUGGAUCAAACACAAAAAUAAACACAAAAGACACAAUCAUAACAGAUAUAUGAUGGUGUGGACGCAACAAAACAGAAAGAAAAAGAUAAAUUCAUUGGGUUGCCUCCCAACAAGCGCUAUUGUUUAACGCCCUUAGCUAGGCAUAAGGAUAAAUCACAUCUAAGUCUAACAUACUUCCUAUGCAUAGGAAUUUUAUAGGAGAAAAAAUUGGCAAGACAACAAAUAGUUACCAAAUGCAAGGAAGAAGAAAGAGACAAUAGCAAUCUCAACAAAACGACAGGUAAUUUGGUAACAUGAAAGUUUCUACCACAAUAUUUUACUCUCUCAUAGCAAUUACAUGCGGGAUCAUAUUCGAAUUCAACAAUGUAACUAUCACAUAGGAUAUUCUUUUCAUGAUCCACAUGCAUGCAAAGUUGACGCUCUUCAAAAAUAGUGAGAUUAUCAUCAACUAAAGGCAUGACUUCUCCAAACCCACUUUCAAUAAUAUUGCAAAUAUCAUAUUCAUCAUGAGGCCUAAACAAAUUUUCAAGAUCAUAAGAAAAAUCAUCUCCCCACUCAUGAUCAUUGCAACAAGUAGUGGACAUAGCAAAACUAGCAUCCCCAAGCUUAGGGUUUUGCAUAUUUUUAGCAUGAUUGUCACUAAUAGAAUUUAUAGUGAAACCAUUGCAAUCAUGCUUUUCAUCCAAGGAGCCCUCGUGAAUCACUUCAUAAAUUUCUUCCUCACAAUUUUCAGAUUCACGCAUCUCAAGCAAAACUCCAUAAAGAUAGUCAAGUGCACUCAACUCACUAGCAAUUGGAUCAACAUAAUUGGAUCUCUUAAAGAGAUUACCAAGUGGAUGAGGAUCCAUAUAUCUAGAUUUUCUGCAAGCGAAGAUGCAAGCAUAUGGAAGGCACAUGGCACACAAGCGAACAGAAAGCAAGCGAGAGAGAAGGGCGAACGAAAAAGGCAAACAAAAAAGGAAAAUAUUUUUGUAAUUAUUUUGUUUUUGCAGAAGUGGGGGAGAGCAAAACGAGAGGCAAUAAAGUAAAUGCAGGAUAUGAGUUUGUGACACUUACUUGGAUGAGUUCUUGACUUGAUCCUCUCCGGCAACAGCGCCAGAAAUUCUUCUGCUGCGGCAACAGACAACAGUGCCAGAGAUUGACACGUUGACGGAGGUUGGGCUUGCGUUGGUUUUUCCCUUGAAGAGAAAAGGUGGUGCAGCACAGGAGCAGUAAGUAUUUCCCUCAGUUUGAGAACCAAGGUAUCAAUCCAGUAGGAGAAUCUCGUCAAGUCCAGAGUACAUGCGCAAACACAGACGAGCUUGCACCCAACGCUAUAAAGGGGUUGUCAAUCCCUUCAAGAUUGAUUGCAAAGUGAGAUCUGAAGGCGGAAAGUGCAACGAAGUAAAAGAGUAAGGUUGAAAUUAUGGUGUGGAGUAGACCCGGGGGCCAUAGUGUUCACUAGAGGCUUCUCUCAAAAUAGAAAAUAGUACGAUGGGUGAACAAAUUACUGUCGAGCAAUUGAUAGAACCGAGCAAAGUCAUGACAAGGCAAUGAUCAUACAUAUAGGCAUCACGUCCGAGACAAGUAGACCGAUAGUUUCUGCAUCUACUACUAUUACUCCACACAUCGACCGUUAUCCAGCAUGUAUCUAGUGUAUUGAGUUCAUGACGAACAAAGUAACGCCUUAAGCAAGAUGACAUGAUGUAGAGGGAUAAACUCAAACCAAUGAUGAAAACCCCAUCUUUUUACCCUUGAUGGCAAGAACACGAUGCGUGCCUUGCUACCCCGUCUGUCACUUUGUGAGGUCACCGCUCGGUAUGAACCGAAAACCAAGCACUUCUCCCAUUGCAAGAAUCAUAGAUCUAUUUGGCCAAACAAAACCCACAACUCGAAGAGAAUUACAAGGAUAUGAAAUCAUGCAUAUAAGAGAUGAGAAGAAACUCAAAUAAGAUUCAUAGAUAAUCUGAUCAUAAAUCCACAAUUCAUCAGAUCUCGACAAACACACCGCAAAAGAAGAUUACAUGGGAUAGAUCUUCAUGAAGACCAUGGAGAACUUUGUAUUGAAGAUCCAAGAGAGAGAAGAAGCCAUCUAGCUACUAGCUAUGGACCCGUAGGUCUAUGGUGAACUACUCACGCAUCAUCGGAGAGGUCAUGGUGUUGAUGAAGAAGCCCUCCGUAUCCGAAUCCCCCUCCGGCAGGGCACCAGAAAGUGCCCCAGAUGGGAUCUUGCGGAGACAGAAGCUUGCGGCGGCGAAAAAGUACUUUCGAUGGUCUCUUGAUUUUUUUAGAAUUUAUGGGAAUAUAUAGGCGAAAGACCAAGGGCAUGGGAGGCCCAGGGAGCCAACAAGCCUGGGAGGUACGGGCCCCCUGGCCGCGGCUAGGGGGCUUGUGGGGGUACCUGGAGACCCCCUGCCUUGGUUCUCAAGCUUCCCGAACUUCUUCUGUUUCGGAAAAAAUCUUUUUGGAGUUUCGUUCCGUUUGGACUCCGUUUAAAAUCCUCCUGUGAAAAGGGUCAAAAACAUGGAAAAAACAGGAACACGCACUUGGCACUGAGUUAAUAAGUAAGUCCCAAAAAAGAUAUAAAAGGCAUACAAAACAUCCAAAGUUUGACAAGAUAAUAGCAUGAAACCAUCAAAAAUUAUAGAUACUUUGGAGACAUAUCAGUCUCCUCUGAUCUCUUAUAUGCAUGAUUUCUUAUCCUUGUAAUUCUCUUCGAGUUGUGGGUUUCGUUUAACCAACUUGAUCUAUAAUUCUUGCAAUGGGAGAAGUGCUUGGUUUUGAGUUCAUACCGUGCGGUGACCUCACCCAGCGACAGAAGGGGUAGCGAGGCACGUAUCGUGUUGUUGCCAUCAAGGGUAAAGAUGGGGUUUAUAUCUAUUGCAUGAAUUUAUCCCUCUACAUCAUGUCAUCUUGCUUAAGGCGUUAUUCCGCUUUUCAUGAACUUAGUACACUAGAUGCAUGCUGGAUAGCGGUCGAUGUGUGGAGUAAUAGUAGUAGAUGCAGAAAGUAUCGGUCUACUUGUCUCGAACGUGAUGCCUAUAUGCAUGAUCAUUGCCUUAGAUAUCAUCAUGACUUUGCGCGGUUAAAUCAAUUGCUUGACAGUAAUUCGUUCACCCACCGUAAUAUUUGCUAUCAUUGGAGAAGCCUCUAGUGAACACUAUGGCCCCCGGGUCUACUUCACAUCAUAUUUUCAGCCUUACACUUUUACUUUGUUGCACUUUCCGCCUUCAGAUCUCACCUUGCAAUCAAUCUUGAAGGUAUUGACAACCCCUUUGUAGCGUUGGGUGCAAGUUUGCUGUUUUUGCGCAGGUACUUUGGAGACUUUCCUUGAUACUCCUACUGGAUUGAUACCUUGGUUCUCAAACUGAGGGAAAUACUUACUGCUACUGUGCUGCAUCACCCUUUCCUCUUCAAGGGAAAAACCAACGCAAACUCAAGAGGUAGCAAGACCCUGCGGGUUCGAGAACUAUGUAGACAUGACCGAGACACUCUCUGGUCAGUAACCAAUAGUGAGACCUGGAUGCCCAUAUUGGUUUCUACAUAUUUUACGAAGAUCUUUAUUGAUUGAACUUCUAUAUCAAGGAUUUAGAUAAUCCCGUAUGCUAUUCCCUUUGUCCAUCGGUAUGUUACUUGCCCAGGAUUGAUUGUCGGUAUCUGCAUACCUAGUUCAAUCUCGUUACCGGCAAGUCUCUUUACUCGUUCCGUAAUACAAGAUCAUGUGGCUAACUCUUUAGUCACAUUGCUUGCAAGCUUGUUGUGAUGUUGUAUUACCGAGUGGGCCCCGAGAUACCUCUCCAUCAGAUGGAGUGACAAAUCCUUGUCUUGAUCCAUGCCAACCCAACAAACACCCUCGGAGAUACCAGUAGAGCAUCUUUAUAGUCACCCAGUUAUGUUGCGACGUUUCAUACACACAAGGUAUUCCUCCAGUUUCAUUGAGUUGCAUGAUCUCCUGGUCAUAGGAACAAAUACUUGACAUGCAAAAAAUAAUAGCAAUAAACUGAUGCGAUCAUAUGGUACGUGUUGGAAAUAUGCCCUAGAGGCAAUAUACUAAAUUUCUUAUUAUUAUAUUUCCUUGUUCAUGAUAAUCGUUUAUUAUCCAUGCUAGAAUUGUAUUGAUUGGAAGCUCAAAUACAUGUGUGGAUACGUAGACAACACACUGUCCCUAAUGAGCCUUUAAGUACUAGCUCGUUGAUCGAAGAUGGUCAAGGAUUCCUGACCAUAGACACGAGUUAUCAUUUGAUAAGAGGAUCACAUCAUUAGGAGAAUGAUGUGAUGGACAAGAUACAAACUAUAAACUUAACAUACGAUCGUGUUAGUUUAUUGCUACUGUUUUCUGCAUGUCAACUAUCUGUUUCUAUGACCAUGAGAUCAUGCAACUAUCAGGCACCGGAGGAAUGCCUUGUGUGUAUCAAACGUAACAACGUAAUUGGGUGACUAUAAAAGUGCUCUAAUGGUAUCUCUGAAGGUGUAUGUUGGGUUGGCAUGAAUUGAGACUUUGAUUUGUCACUCCGUAUGACGAAGAGGUAUCUCUAGAGCCUACUCGGUAAUGAAAAAUCACAAUGAGCUUGCAAGUAAUGUGACUAAAGAGUUAGUCACGGCAUCUUGUAUUACGGAAUGAGUAAAGACACUUGCCGAUAACGAGAUUGAACUAGGUAUGGAGAUACCGACGAUCGAAUCUCGGGAAAGUAACAUACCGAUGGACAAAGGGAACAAUAUACGAGAUUGAUUGAAUCCUUGACAUCGUGGUUCGACCGAUAAGGAUCUUUGUACAAUAUGUAGGAGCCAAUAUGGGCAUCCAUGUCCCGCUAUUGGUUAUUUACCAGCGAGUGUCUCAGGUCAUGUGUGCAUAGUUCUUGAACAUGCAGGACCUGCACACUUAAAGUUUGGCGACGUUUUAGUAUAGUUGAGUUAUGUAUGUUGGUGACCGAAGGUUGUUCGGAGUCCCGGAUGAGAUCCCGGACGUCACCAGGAGCUCUUGAAUGGUCCGGAUGUAAAGAUUGAUACAUGGGAAGUUCUGUGUUGGUCACUAGAGAAAGUUCGAGCGUCAUCGAUGGCGUACCGGGGGUGCCGGAAGGUUUCCGGGGGUCCACCAGCCCGGAGGGUCCACACGGGCUGUGAGGGAUGCACACCAGCCCCUGCUGGACUUGGUGCACAUCCCCGCCUAAGGCCCAUGUGGCUGGGCUGGUGGAGGGCCAACCCUAUAGGGGCGCGCCACCCUAACUUGGGGGGGGGGGGGGGGGGCCAACCCUAUAGGGGGGGGCCCCCCAAAGUGGGGGGGGGGGGGGGCAAGCCACCCCUAGGGCAGAUGCCCCUUCCUCCUUUGGCCGCUGCCCCUCCCUCCUUUGGCCGCCGCCCCCUAGGGUUGAAUCCCUAGGGCGGAGCCCCUCUCCCCUUCCCCCUAUAUAUAUAGAUGGGGAGAGAGAGGGCUCCAACACACCAAGGCCACGACGCAGCCCUGUCUCUCCCACAUAUCAGUUUUCUCCUCUAGAUUGGUUCCGGUAUUGCUUGGCGAAGCCUUGUCGGAGCAGCUCCACCAACACCGCCACCAUGCCGUCGUGCUGACGGAGAACUCAUCUACCUCUCCACCCUCUCGCUUCCAGGAUCAAGGAGCCGGAGAUCGUCAUCGAGCUGUAUGUGUGCUGAACGCGGAGGUGCCGUUCGUUUGGCACUAGAUCUAAAUGGAUCGUGAUGGGAUUGUCGAACGGAUCAUGAUGGGAUCGUGGGACGAAUCGUGAUUGGAUCUCGGGACGGAUUGUGAUUGGAUCACAAAGACGUUCGACUAUAACAACCGCGUUAUAUACACUUCCGCUUAGCGAUCUACAAGGGUAUGUAGAUGCACUCCCCCUCUCGUAGAUGAUAGUCUGCAUAUAUUGAUCUUGGUGAGUGUAGGGAAUUUUUUGUUUCCCAUGAAAUGUUCCCCAACACUACGUUCAUAGUUUCGGUAUUGUCCAUCACAUUAUUCUCCUAAUGAUGUCAUCCCGUUAUUAAAUGACAACUCAUGUCUAUGGCCAGGAAACCUUUAGAUGCUCACCUGGGACAGUGUGUUGUCUACGUAUCCACACAAGUAUUUGAGUUUCCAAUCAAUACAAUUCUAGCAUGGAUAAUAAACGUUUAUCAUGAACAAAGAAAUAUAAUAAUAACCAUUUUAUUAUUGCCUCUAGGGCAUAUUUCCAACAGUUACUUGCAAACUAGCAGGUGGUUGAUGCUUUCAUUUAUGAUUCUUGCUACCUACAAAAACUCAAACUAAUCAAUUGCAAUCUCCACUAAUGAAUUUUACAUAUCAAAUUUUAAAUCUGUGGCUGGGACUGAUGCCUCAACUACUUUACAAAUAUUCUCCCACUACUAUCUUGUCGAAUAUAAAGUAGGGUUGCAAUACUUCCCAAUGAGGAUACUGUCGUGGGAUGAUUUCGACACUAAGAGAGAGGGGUAGGGAUGGAGCUAGAUCUAGCAGGGUGCCAGUGUGAGAUAAGGAGGUUUUAUCAGUUCAGACCCCUCUCGGAAGAGCUAAUGACCCGCGGUGGGAGCUUUUCUUUCUCUUUGUGUUUUGGUGAUUACAAAUGAUGCGAACCCCUGUUACAAAAGUAGGGAGCCGCUUAUAUAGAGUGCACUAUGUCCCAUGACAAUUGCCAUUACAAGGGUUUAAAUAUGUCUAAUUAUUAAAUCGAGUAAAAAAGGUAACUGAAAGAUGUCUAAUUAUUAGAUCGACUACAAAAGGUAACUGAAGCAAUAAAGGUAGUAAUACUAGUUCUAUUAAAGUCCAUGAGGCUCAUGUGCAUUCUCCGCUUGUUCUACAUCAUGCCUCCGAGUAAUUCGUGUAUUUUAACACUGAUGAACUCCGUCCAAAUGACCUGGUGUACUUGACCCGCCCGGGUGUGUUGGUAUCGUCCGAGUGAUUUUUCACGUCAACUGUGUUUGGUAGGUGAUCAUCUUGCUUUACGAUUCCCAUGGAUUGUAGUUUGUUCAGUGCUGAUGAGCCUACCAUUAGUAGCUGACCUCAUAGACAUCAGACUAUUAUGACCCCCUAUACUAUCAGAGUGCGACCAUUAUGUGUAACUCGGUGUUUAACCGCAUGUGUAUCCAUGUAUUAGGAGCCAGGUGGAUGGGCACAUCAUCAGAUAGUGCGUAGUGAUUCAUGUGGCUACAAACAGAAUAAAUCAAAAUUAAUGGGAGCCUUUACAACCACACCUACUUUUUUUUUCUGUUGUGCCUUGACAGGUGGGACCUGAUUGUCAUACAGAGUAUACUUUGCAAGUGAGCCUUUCCCAUCAUUGUAAGUGAGCCUCACACCGUGCUGGCAUACCUAGACAUCAACAUAUACGCAUCUGAACGUUGUUGAAACCAUAUUUGAACAAAGAGUGCCAAGUAUUUGAAUCAGUUCGACGUUUUUUUCUAAGUUCAGACACGAAAGUGGACAUGGAUGGCAAGUUCAAGCACCACUGGUGCAAUUACCUCAAUGCAAAUAUUUAAGGGGUAAUUUUCGGGAGCAGUAACUUUCCGGAAAUAAAAUAAAUAAAAACUAGUGGGUGGCUUAGAUGAAAAACUACGGUAGAUGAGGAGAGAGGCGCAGGUGGUAAUCUAACGAUGGAUAUAUUUGCCCAUGCAGCAGCAUUCAGACGCAAUGCAUUGGAGGGCCACCCCUCUUCCGCUGAUCCAGAGGGAUAAGACAUCCUUCAACAAGCAAACGACGACCACCCCUUCGCAAUCUUGUUGGAAAGGAGCGGCGCUGCGCAUACGGUGAUAUAUACUGGGGCGGCAUGAGGGGGCCUCAAGUCAAGUGUAGCCUGCCAAGCUAGCUAUCGGCUCCCGACCUAGCAAUUUACGUACCACCAUGGCCCCAGCCGUGAUGGCUUCUUCAGCCACCACCGUCGCCCCCUUCCAGGGGCUCAAGUCCACCGCGGGCCUCCCCGUCAGCCGCCGCUCCGGCAGCGCCGGCCUCAGCAGCGUCAGCAAUGGCGGAAGGAUCAGAUGCAUGCAGGUAUGGAAACCAAUUAUUAUUUUUGCCAAGGAUGGUAUGGUCAAGGUGCAUCUUCGCACAAUCAUAUAUUUAUAAAUGUAGCGACUUUGUUUGUUUGGAUGGUGGCUUUGAAUUGGUCUUUGUAUUUAUUUUGUUAGAUUUACUGAAUAAACAUAAUAAAAAUGAUAAUCUGCAUUGCUUGAUGCAGAUGCCGCCGGUGUUAUCCUCCUUUUUGAUUUUCUUUUCUAAAGGAUGACAAACACUAAGCUAACAUGAAUGUUCUUGUCGGGACAAUUGGUUAAUUUAUCGGGUAUUUCCACUGCACAUAGCCAAAGCUAUCCUUAGCAUGUGUAACCCAUAUACCAGGCCAAAACUAAACCAAGAUAGUGCACCACAAUGUAUGUAGAAGCACGUUCACAAGUGUAAGAAUACUUAACUCAUAAACUUUGUGAACAGAUUUUUUUUUUUUGCAAUGGGUACUAGAUCCCUUCGUCUCAAAAUAAAUGUCGUAAAUCAAUAACUAAACUAGUACAAAUUUUAUACUAAGUCAGUGACAUUUAUUUUGAGACGGAGGGAGUACUAUUUUAAUUCCCGUACACUACCCAUAAGCAAGAGCUGCCCUGGAGCUUUCUUGCUUGCGGACAUACCAUAAGGAGUAAUUUUUGCCUUAUGGCUAUGUCUUUCUUUAGGCACUAAGUGUUGAUCAGUUGUGUUCAUUCCAAUCAUUCAGGUGUGGCCCAUUGAGGGCAUCAAGAAGUUCGAGACCCUGUCUUACUUGCCACCCCUCUCCACGGAGGCCCUCCUGAAGCAGGUCGACUACCUGAUCCGCUCCAAGUGGGUGCCCUGCCUCGAGUUCAGCAAGGUUGGCUUCGUCUUCCGUGAGCACAACAGCUCCCCUGGAUAUUACGACGGCCGAUACUGGACAAUGUGGAAGCUGCCUAUGUUUGGGUGCACCGACGCCACACAGGUGCUCAACGAGGUGGAAGAGGUCAAGAAGGAGUACCCUGACGCCUACGUCCGCAUCAUCGGCUUUGACAACCUGCGGCAGGUGCAGUGCGUCAGCUUCAUCGCCUUCAGGCCACCGGGUUGCGAGGAGUCCGGCAAGGCAUAAAGUGCAAGUUGAAGUAACCGAUAUACAUGCUAUGUUAGUUCACAUUGGUUGGUCGGCAGCUCUGCUUUCUCAAUUUUACUUCUCGUUCCAAUCAUAUGUGAAUAUACGAGCAUAUGUAUUUAAGCACCUACCAACGUAGGCCGAGAAGGAUGCAUAUGAGAAUCAUAGCACCGGCUAUACAUACUUUGUUUGCAGCUGGAAAUGCCUAUGUCUUGCAUUCUUUUCUUCUCAUGCAUUUUUUGCUCAAUCAUAUGUUGCGUAUUAUCUAAUGCAAAAAUUGUUAUGGAAUACCAAAGUACUUCGAAUUUCUGUGGAGAAACAGAUAACAAGUGGUGAGAACCCCCUGAAAACUAGUGGCAAAACAGUAGGGAAUUGACGAGAAACAUACAAUAACAAAAAACUAAAAACGAAAUUAAAAAACUACAAAAAAGUACAAACAAAGGUGUCAAAACAAGACAAGGACAAACCUACCGUACUGCACUUGUCAUGUGAGCCAUAUUCCAGCGUCGAUUCAUCAAUAACAUGCCACUUUUCCUAACCAUUUUACACCACAAUUAGAUAUUUUUUGUAGUAUUCACUAGUAGAAAAUGACCCAUUUGUCCCGGUUCCAGAUGCCCAUUAGCCCCGGUUCUGAAACCGGGACUAAAGGGUCCAUACUAAAGGCCCAAAUCUUUAGUCCCGGUUGGCUUACGAACCAGGCCCAAAGGAGCUCCAAGUGGCCGCUGCGGGGAGCCCAGGCAGGAGGAACUUUAGUUCCGGUUGGUCACACCAACCGAGAUCAAAUGGCAUCCACGCGUCAGCAUCUGGACGGAGCUGGAUUUUUUUUAAUUGGGGGGGGGGGGUUUGGGGUUUUUGAUGGUUUAAUUUAGUGGUUUCGUAUUCUGAUAGCUAGCUAAUAGAGAGAAGUGUCCUCUCUUUCUCCGUGCUUGGUCGACGCUAGCUACUGUACAUAUAGAAAGAACUUAACGCUAGCUAAUAAGAAAAUGAAGGAAACCAUUUACAAUCCCUAACAUCUUUUACAAUAUAACAUCUUUUACAAUCCCUAACAUCUUUUACAAUAUAACAUCUUUUACAAUCCCUAACAUCAUCUACCUAAGAUCUAAUCACAAAUAACUCACAUAGUAUUCUCCAUCUUUAGGUAUGACGUGGUCAAGAAAGAAUCCCGCGAAUUCCUCGUGAAUUGCUCGUAUGCGAUCAUGUGUUAGGAGUUCAUCCCGCAUCUGCGAGAUCUAAUUUAAAGAAGGGGGUCAAUACAUGCAUAUAUAUGAAUAAAACUCAACACAAUUGAUGGUAAUAUAAAAAAUAAAAUUGUGAAUAUUAUUUACGUAUUUGAUAUUGUUUCUCAGAUAAGCCCCCGCUCAGAGGUCGAGAGGCGAAUGAGCUCGCAUACGUAAUCUGCACAUAAUUCAGUCCCACUUUCCUGGUACAAGCAGUUUACGAGAAUAGAGUUCAAUCAAAGUGGUAAGCAAGCAUGGUAAUGAUAUAUUGAUGAAAAAUUGAAUCAAUUAGAGAUACGCGGAACUAGCUAGUACUACUUACUUUGGGGUGCGUAAAUUGCAACUCUUUGUUUAGACCGGGAGUCUUUUUGGUGAACUUCUUCCAAACCCUGCGAGACAAAGAAAAUGAUUACUUGAUAUCAGGAAAUUAACGAAAGUUGCAUGCCGAUAUGCUCCCGGUAUUGACUGAACUUACUUCUUGAGCAUUGCAGUCAUGUCCGUAUAAUACUCGGGAUCUUUACGUCUCGAGUCUAAGGCAGUUCCUUUUGCCCCGUCAAGCUUAAUGGAUAGUAGAAUAUAGUGGUAACUGCGCACACAUAUAUAACUGAUCAAAUACAUUACUUAACCUCGAGUAAGCGAAACUGAGUAUACAGAGAAGAUAACAACACUCACUUGAAGUUGUAAGGAAAGAGUAUUUCCCUUUUGUUUUGAUGUAUAAGGAACAACUUUAGCAAGUUCUUCUAGGUCUCUUUGGUUGAGUAUCGUGCCAACCAUUCAUUUACGGCAUCUGGGCUAAUGAACCCACAUCGAAGAUUCCUGCUUUUUUUAAUUCGAAGAUCUUCAAUCUGCAUAAUAUAUAUAAUGAGGACAAUUAUAUAUAUACAUGCAAUGAAUGAGCCGAGCUAGAGACUUAACUAUAGAAGUAAUACUUACAAAUAGUAGGAAGUCACGAGUUGUUUGUCUAGGGCCAGUUGAUUGUAUAACUGAAAUAACUACACAAAUUCAACAGGCAUCACUGGAGCUCCAAUGAAUUCGUGCUCUAGUUUUACUUCCAUCUAGAUAGUGUCUUUCCCAUACUCGAUGCAGGUAUUCAUGUACCACUCAUGAAAUUUGUGCAUCAUCGGUGCUAGAGGAGGAUGACCAGGUUUGACGAGAGGCUUCCCGUGCAUGUAUUUACAUCAUCCCCCAAGUAAUCACCAGGAUUGGUACCGGGCACCAUCCCGGAGGAUUAGCGACGAUAUCUCUCGACACCUUGAGCGGGGGGCACGAUAUCUUCUCGUGUUGGCCGAGUUGGGGAAUUGUUUUCCCACUUCUUCGUUUUGCUAACCUUGCAUCACUUCGAGCCGCCGGAGCAGCGGUGUAUCUCUUCUGCUUGAUAGAAGGAGGAGANNNNNNNNNNNNNNNNNNNNNNNNNNNNNNNNNNNNNNNNNNNNNNNNNNNNNNUGUACUCCUACUGCCAUAGACAUGUACUCCUCACGGCAUGAACCAGCUUAUUCUCCCCUUCACCUGUAGGGUGGUCAAGCUCGAGCUCCUCAAAUCUGUCCAUUACUUCAUCCACCAUCACAACAGCAAAGCCAUGUGGAAUCGGAAGGCAGUAAAAAAGUUUCGUUGGGUUGAGGAGGUGCAAUAGAGCCGAUAGCAGCCUUGAAAGUGAGGUUCCGACAUUUCGUCAUAAGCUCGCAAUUUUGAGCCUGUGUGAUAGUAUCCACGGGGUAGCUAGGAGCCGUGAAGUCAGGCUGAACGAGCUCCGUGGAAGCCACGCUUCUUCUCCGCUGAGAUGGCGGGGUAGCUUCUCGGGUAGCUCGCUGGCUCUCAAGUUCCUCUAGCUUUUGUAGUCUUGCAUUGAUCUUCUGCAUGUCGCUCAGCUCCGCUUUCCUCUUUCUCUCUCGGCUUCUGUAACCGCCUGCGUUGGGAAACCCAACCUUCCACGGAACGGAGCCUGGUGUUCCUCGUGUCCGUCCAGGGUGCUCAACAUUCCCUAGGGCCUCAGUCAUCUCGUCCUUCUCUCUGUCGGGAAUGAACGUCCCUUCCUGCGCUGCGGUGAUACAAUUCGGAAGCGUCUUGAUGGGUAUUGCAAAUUGCUCGUUCGUUCAACGGCACUUCCCUGUUUCAGGGUCCAAAGUUCCCCCAACCGCGAAGAACAAAGUCCUUGAAUGGUCUGGCUAGCUAAAUGUCUGUGGUUCGACCCUUUUAGCAAUCAUGUCAUUCUCAGCUUUGUCCCACAACGGAUGGGCUUUGAGGUAGCCACCUGACCCCGUGUGAUGGUGAUGCUGCUUCUUUGCAGCAUUGUUCUUGUUUGUCUCUCGCAUUUUCUUACUCUUGUCCGAUGUCUUGUAGGCCACAAAUGCGGGCUAGUGAUCUCUCAUCUUCUCAAAUCGGCCGAUGAACUCUGGAGUCUUCCCUUUGUUGGCAAACUUUGAUUUCAACUCAUUCUUCCACCUCCUGAAUAGAUCUGCCAUCUUCUUAAGAGCACACGCUUUGACCAGUGGCUCUAUAACUGGCUUAUUCGGAUCCUCCUCUGGCGGUAGGGUGAAAUUUUGCCUUCAGCACGGUCCAAAGAUCAUCUUUCUGCCUAUUGGUGACAUAAUCACCUUCAGGGACGUCGUCACCCUUAGGCUUAUUCCAUUGCUUGAUGCUGAUCGGGAUGUUGUCCCUAACAAUAGCUCCGCAUUCAGUAGAAAAGGCGUCCUUGGUCCGCUUGGGUAGAAUCGGUAGGCCAUCGUUCGCGAGUGUUGUGAUCGUGAAAUUUUCAUCCUUGCGCAACCUUCUCUUCGGGCCUCGUCUCGUAACCGAAGCUUGGCUCGAUGCUAACGUUGCAACAGCUCUCUACUCUGUUCGGUCACCGGAGCUAUCAUCAUGGUAUCCUUCUUCCUCCAACAUUCGGUCACCGGAGACAUCAUGAUCAUGUCCUCCCUCCUCCAUUGUUCGUUCACUGGAGCCGUCAUCCUCUCCUUCCAAACCAUCGAUGGCGUUGAGAUACCAAGAGACCUCAUCACCGUCGCGGAUUAUCUCACCCAACAACUACUCUUGUUCCAAGUUACUUGGAUCCAUAGUUUCUACAAAUAUUACAACAUGGCAAUUAAUAGACAAACAUGAAUGUCCGACGUCCGGACCGCCUCUCUCAUGAAUUUCAAACAACGGAUUCUAUACAAAAAACUUUCUACUAUAAACAAAAAACUUUCUUCUAUGAACAAAAAACCGUGUCUCAUCACUACUUGGAGGGGUGUGUUUAGUUCAUCCAUAAAAGAAUCUUCACAAGUCAUAAAUGUAUGAUCAUAAACUAGAAACAUCUAUCAUGAUAUUUGUAUACAUAAACAAAUGUACAUAGUGAGUAUUAGAAAAUGUACAAAAAUGCAUAGUGAAUAUUUGAAAAUGUACUCGGGGGCGACGACGACAGUGAUGGGCUCGGGGUGACGACGGGCUUGGGACGACGGCGAUGGGCUGGGAGGUGCUGAGACGUCUCCGUCGUAUCUAUAAUUUUUGAUUGUUUCAUGCCAAUAUUCUACAACUUUCAUAUACUUUUGGCAAUUUUUUAUACUAUUUUUGGAACUAACAUAUUGAUCCUGUGCCCAGUGCCAGUUCCUGUUUGUUGCAUGUUUUUUGUUUCGCAGAAUAUCCAUACCAAACGAAGUCCAAACGCAAUAAAAAACCGAAGGUGAUUUUUUAUGGAAUAUUUAUGAUUUUUGGGAAGAAGAAUCAACGCGAAACGAUGCCCGAGGGGGUCACAAGCCCAGGAGGCGCCCCCCUAGCACGCGGAUGGCAAGCUUGUGACCAAUCCCUAAGGCGGUUGGGGCCCUUCAUUCUCCGCAAGAAAGCUAAUAUCCGGAAUAAAAUAGUGUAAAAAUUUCAGCCCAAUCGGAGUUAUGGAUCUCCGAGAAUUUAAGAAACGGUGAAAGGUAGAAUCUGGGAGCGCAGAAACAGAAGGACAGAGAGAGAGGUAUCCAAUCUCGGAGGGGCUCUUGCCCCUCCGCUGCCACGGAGACCAUGGACCAGAGGGGAAACCCUUAUCCCAUCUAGAAAGGAGGUCAAGGAAGAAGAAGAAGGGGGGCUCUCUCCCCCUCUCUCCCGGCGGCGCCGGAACGCUGCCCGAGACAUCAUCGUCUGACGGAGAUCUACACUAACACCUCCGUCAUCUUCACCAACACCUCCAUCUCCUUCCCCCAUCUAUAUUCAGCGGUCCACUCUCCCGCAACCCUCUGUACCCUCUACUUGAACAGGGUGCUUUAUGCUUCAUAUUAUUAUCCGAUGAUGUGUUGCCAUCCUGUGAUGUCUGAGUAGAUUUUCAUUGUCCUAUCGGUGAUUGAUGAAUUGCUAUGAUUGGUUUAAUUUGUUUGUGGUUAUGUUGCUGUCCUUUGGUGCCCAUCAUAUGAGCGCGCACGUGGAUCACACCAUAGGGUUAGUAGUAUGUUGAUAGGACUAUGUAUUGGAGGGCAAGGGUGACAGAAGCUUCAUCCUAGCAUCGAAAUUGAUGCAUACGGGAUUGAAGGGGGAACAAUAUAUUUUAUUGCUAUGGUUGGGUUUUACCUUAAUGAACGUUAGUAGUUGCGGAUGCUUGCUAAUAGUUCCAAUCAUAAGUGCAUAGAAUUCCAAGUAAGGGAUGACAUGCUAGCAGUGGCCUCUCCCACAUAAAACUUGCUAUCGGUCUAGUAACGUAGUCAAUUGCUUAGGGACAAUUCCGCAACUCCUACCACCAAUUUUCCACACUUGUUAAACUAACGUAAUUGUUUCUUAGCAGCCCCUAGUCUUUAUUUACGUGUUCUUUCUUUUCUUGCAAACCUAUCCUAUCACUCCUACAAAGUACUUCUAGUUUCAUACUUGUUCUAGGUAAAGCGAACGUAAAGUGUGCGUAGAGUUGUAUCGGUGGUCGAUAGAACUUGAGCGAAUAUUGAUCCUACCUUUAGCUCCUCGUUGGGUUCGACACUCUUACUUAUCGAGAAAGGCUACAAUUGAUCCCCUAUACUUGUGGGUUAUCAAGACCUUUUUCUGGCGCCGUUGCCGGGAAGCAAUAGCUGUUGGAAAUAUGCCCUAGACACUACAGGAAUCAGCUUCUUUGCCGUCUGCCAUCACAGACGGCAAAGACGAAAUCCCGGACGGCAAAGACAAAACCACAGACGGCAAAGAAUCUCACGGCCGGCAAAAUUUCUGCAUCAGCCUACGACGGCAUAGGACCUUCUUUGCCGUCUGUCCCCCCCCCAAAGCGGACGGCAAAGAGCUUUGCCGUCAGCUUUUCAUAGGAGCAGUCGGCAAAGUGCUCGAGACGGCAGCCGACAGGCAUUGCCUCCAUUAGGGGUUAACGGAGGCUUUGCCGUCUGCCUCCCCCUUAUUCUUUGUCGUCUGCCUCCCCCUUAUUCUUUGCCGUCUGCCUCCUCCUCCCCCCUCCUCUCUUUGCCGUCUGCCUCCUCCUCCCCCCCUCCUGUGUGGCCUCUUCUUUGCCGUCUGCCCACCCUGGAGGCAGACGUCAAAGAGCCUAUAUAGACACCCCACGAUGCAUAGCUGGGUGCCAUGUGGCACCUUUGCCAUCUGCCAGCUGAUGGCACAGGUCUUUGCCAUCAGCUGGCAGACGAUAAAGAGCCCAUAUAGUACCUGUUUUUUUGUUUUAUNNNNNNNNNNNNNNNNNNNNNNNNNNNNNNNNNNNNNNNNNNNNNNNNNNNNNNNNNNNNNNNNNNNNNNNNNNNNNNNNNNNNNNNNNNNNNNNNNNNNUGAUGAGCUCAAUGUGACUAAGGAGUUAGUCACACGAUGACGUGCUACGGAACGAGUAAAGAGACUUACCGGUAACGAGAUUGAACAAGGUAUAGGUAUACCGACGAUCGAAUCUCGGGCAAGUUCUAUACCGACAGACAAAGGGAAUUGUAUACGGGAUUGAUUGAAUCCUUGACAUCGUGGUUCAUCCGAUGAGAUCAUCGUGGAGCAAGUGGCAGCCACCAUGGGUAUCCAGACCCCGCUGAUGGUUAUUGGCCGGAGAGGUGUCUCGGUCAUGUCUACCUGUCUCCCGAACUCGUAGGGUCUACACACAUAAGGUUCGAUGACGCUAGGGUUAUAGGGAAUUAUUAUACGAGGUUACCAAAAGUUGUUCGGAGUCCCGGAUGAGAUCCCGGACGUCACGAGGAGCUCCGGAGGUAAAGAUUGAUAUAUAGGAUGGAUGGUUUUGCACAUCGGAAAUGUUUCAGGAGUCACCGGUAAUGUACCGGGACCACCGGGACGACCGGAAAUGGUCCCGGGGGUCCACCGGGAGGGGCCACCAGCCCCAAGAGGUAGCAUGGGCCAAAAGAGGGAGGGCAACCAGCCCAAAGUGGGCUGGUGCACCUCCCACAAGGAGGCCCAAGGCGCAGGAGGUGGAGAGGGGGGAACCCUAGGCGCUGGUGGGCCUAAGGCCCACCUAGGGGUGCGCCACCUCUCCCCCUGCCCUGGCCACCGCACCUCCCAUCUGGGGGGGCUGCCGCACCACCUAGGGUGGGAACCCUAGGGGUGGCACCCCCUUCCCCUCCUCCUAUAUAUAGUGGGGGUUUUGGGGCUGUUUGACACACAGUUUCCCAUCUCCCUCGGUGCAGCCCUGCCCCCCUUCCUCCUCCUCUCCCACGGUGCUUGGCGAAGCCCUGCCGGGAGACCUCGUCUCUCCAUCGACACCACGCCGUCGUGCUGCCGGAGAUGUCACCCAACCUCUCCCUCCUCCUUGCUGGAUCAAGGUGCGGGAGACCUCACUGGGCUGCACAUGUGUUGAACGCGGAGGUGUCGUGGUUCAGCACUAGAUCGGAAUCAGACCGCAAUCUGAAUCGCCGCGAGUACGACUCCAUCAACCGCGUUCUAGCAACGCUUCCGCUUAGCGAUCUUCGAAUGAAUGAAGAUGCACUCACUCCUCUCUCGUUGCUGGUCUCUCCAUAGGAAGAUCUGAAUAUGUGUAGGAAUUUUUUUGAAUUUAUGCUACGUUACCCAACAAUAGCGUGGGGUGAAUAUUCGUGUGUGCUUGUUUGCUUUAUCACUAAGUAGAUUUAUUUGCUGUUCUAAGUUGUUCUCUAUCGUUAGUUAUGGAUAUGAAACACGAAAUGCCAAAAAAAUUAGGUGUACUUGCUACUCAUGGAGAUGGGGAACCUCCUAAAACCCUCGAUGCUCGUUGUGUGGAUAAUAUUAUGCAGUUCUUUAAUAAUCCUGAGAAAACCAUAUUAAAUUAUAUAAUGGGCUACACGUUCGAUCAACGUGAAUACUUUAGGUAUUAUCGCUUGACUCAAAAAGGGAAACUAUUAUGUGAUCAAAUUCAUAUGCUGAAAUGGUAUGCUUGGGAGCUAUGCUCGAGAUAUGAUAUUACUUGUUGCUCUACGAUGAAGGCUCAACACCUUCCCUUUUCUUAUAAAUUUAAUGCUAAUGAAACCUUGGCUUCUUAUGCUAAUGGUAUAUAUGAUUACUAUGAUGUGGAGCAAAUAGAAGAGUUUCUUUCUUUUAUGGGUGCUUAUGAAAUUGAAGCUCUGUUUAAAAGGUGUGAUGAUAAUGAUGAUCCUGCUUACCGAUCUGAAAAUUUGGUUAUGCUUCGUUAUUGUUAUACUCAUUAUGAAUACUGGUCGUCAACCCGUGCAUUUGCACGGGCUAGAUUAAUAACCUACAAUGGGAUGAAACUUCUGAGACUAUCUUUCAUUCAUUGGGGGUAAAGACAUAUCCUAAAUUUCUAUUGGAAAAAUUAUUCAAGUGUCAUCAUAGUUCAAAUUUAAUGCUUCAAAUAAUAGAAUGUCAAAGGACGCAUAUACUCAAAUAUUCUCUAUCCACAUAAAAAUUAAAUGAUUUAAUCUCCUCUAAUCUUGGUACAUAAUUCCUUCAACACAUUGGAUUUUUUUUCUUUUUGAAUUGUUCAUUCACUUGACAUCUAUUACCAUCAGUCUCUAGAGUAAUUUAGAAGUUUACUUUAGAUAUAUGAUGAAAGAGCCUCACAGAAUAAACAACAAAAAAAUUAGGUCUUUUUAAAGAGAUGACGAAUACAGACACACAUGAGAGAACAUUUUCUAUUACUUUUGUUCUUGUUCCAUAAUUUUAUCAUAAAAGAACAAAAUCCUAGUCUCCAACUGAUAUAAUCAUGCAUUGAAAAAAUAGUCAUUGGGUUGAGCAUCUGUUAGAUGUUUCGAUGGUUGCUCUUUUGUGCAUCCCCUUGGCUUCCAUCAUAUCCUAACGUACUGAUCUAAACAUAUUCAAUUUUAUUAUAUUAGUAAUUUCCUAAAAAUAAUAAAAUACUAAUAAUACGUUAACAUAUAUGGGCUGUUUGAAUGGCAGCUGAUGCCCACCUUACCAAAAUACGGGGUUGACCACCAGCGUGGGUGUCUUUUGGUUGUCAACUAAAUUUUUUAACCUACGCCAAAAGAAUUGUCGCUACUUCAUUUCCUGCACCAAUGGGCUGUUCGUAGCGGCGAAUUUUAUGGCCAGUUUUUCGGCUCAGGCGCGAUUCGGCGUGGCUGGCCUAGGCACCAUCAAAAUGACCGGCCUAUAGACAAAAGUAAACUGUCUGUCUCUAUUUUUAAUUCACAUGAACUUUGACUAAUAUGGUAUAUACAAAAUAUUAUUUGAAUGCAUAUUUUAUUUAGCUAAAUACUGAUACAAUGUUUUAUUUAAUAAAACACUGAUAAAAUAUCGUAUUUACCGAGAUACUCCUUUAAUAUUUAACUAAAAUUGUAUUUAUCAAACCGAACAAACUGACACACAUGCCUCAUUAUCCAUUAUCUACCGUGAGUAGGUGGUUCCUACAAACUAACAUGCAUAUUAUUCCUACAUAUUACUUUGCCGAGUUGUCAUUUUCAAAACUCAACAAUUGCUAUUUAAAUGUUUGUCGAGUACCUGAUAAUAUGAACUUCGCAAAGUUGAUGGUUGUUGACCUCCGUCUAGCCGAGUGAUGUUUGCCGAGAACAGAAAUCGACAAACACAAUGCAUAGUUGUUUCUAGCUAGGACUUGCUAAGUGUGUUGGAAACUCACCGAAUUCGGCGAUUCCGGUCGUGAAAUGGCAUUAACAAAAAACCUUAUCACCAUCACGUCCCAAAAAUGAACUGUGUAAAAAUAAGUAGCUAUAUUUUUUAAUGAAGAUUGUUCUUAUAUACGUGUUUAGUUUUCUUGAUUGUAUGUAAUAUCGACCUUUAUACCAUGCAUGCAUGGUACACUUGAAUUCGGUUUCAUUUAGUCGGUGUAAGCUUUAUUCAUACAUGUACAUAGGUUUGGUCUACUUUGCAAUUAUCUGAUUAUGCCGCAAAAUCUCGAACAAAACAUGUUUAACAUAUUUGUCCUCUCAAAACCAAACAUGCGUUUAUCGUAUUUUUAAGAAAUAUUAAUUUACAAAAGGUAUAGUUCAUGGACUAAUGUCACAUGUAAUUUUUACUCAUUAACAAUGAAAAUUGAGUAUCCUAGCAACCAGAAAAGCAGUUUGAGCGAAGUAGUCAACUGUAACCUCUAAUGCAUUAGGCAAUGUAAAGUCUUGGCAGUCCUGGUGAGAUAUAUAAUUCAUGCAUCGGCCUAUUUCGCAAGGCGGGGUUGCCAUAGUUCCGCUGUAAUUCACUCUUGUUCAUCCAGAAAAGGUUAAUUAGAAUACCUUCAGUGUCACAAUCUGAUGCCUUUUGUCGAUAAGAUAAAAAAAUGUGUAGAUGCAAAGUGUAUUACAUGGAACACGAACAUUUUUUUCUUGCGUAUAAUAACCUGUGCCAAACAAUGUGCUACCCUGGAAAACAAUUGAUUGAUCCUCCUUCACAGAAAUUACAUAGAACAUAGAGAACAUACCUUAUUAAAAUUGAAUCCCUGUAGAAAAUAUAAUAUGUUUGGAACCUGAAAAAAAGUCGAGUCAGGUGAAAUUCUUAUAACACCCAUGAAAUCAGGCCCAAUAUCGAAUGCGAUAACAAAAUGCACAUAUAGGAUAAGCCGUCAAAAGCACAGUCCGAGUAUAAGAGGUCAUAAAAACAAACUGGAUUAAAAUGUAUAUUUUUUACUCUGCAUGCCCCAAACAGACAAUGAUCUAAUCAACCGAAUUGUAUAUUUUACUACAUGUCAGAGAUUAAGAAAAAGGGAGAGGGUCAAGGGAUAUUGGUGGUAUAAAAUAUGAGAAACUGAGACAAAAAGACAGCUGAUAUGUGCACUAAAAAUGUGAAACUUGUUUAAUUGAGUGAAUCUCCAUGCCCCCAAACAGGUAAAUAUCAUAGAGAGAUACAUGUUAAAAAUUCAUUACAAUUAAAUACACCAAAAAAUAUAUUAUACUACCCCAGAUCAAAACCAAACCAUUUGCUUAAUGGUUAGCUUAUCACCUCGUCAUUGGCUGCGAUGGUGCCACGGCCAAGAAGAGCUUACCAUAUGUACCCCGGCUAGAUAGGUUAGACAAUGCUAGAUUUCACACGCUGCAUGGAGAGAGAAGCAUUGUAUUAACCCAAUCCAAUGGCUGGCAGGGCGAUGUUUGAUAUAUUAUCCAGUGCAUAGUGAAAGGUCCUGCACUGGACCUCAUCACCCAAUUUUAUAUAGCGCGUGGAGGCAGCCAAUUAUAUAAUCAGCUCAUGAUGUUCAUCAUGUACAUGCAAAUCUCGCUUUCCUAUUUGCCGGUGGAUAUAACUUGCCGCGAUCUCUUCGUCAGCUGCAACACACACAGAGAGAGGGACAUGCUGAUGCCUAAUUGCAUCAGAAGGAAGAUACCAAGGCCAACGUGCCAUGGUGCAGAUAGAUUUAGAUGUGAUUUGCGGCUGGAUCUAACACGCCGUCGAUGAAAGGAAAGACAUGUUACUCUAACAUGCCUAUAUGCCCUUCCACCUAUGAUUGGCACCAGAUCGCCAUGAAAGAGGCGAUGAAGGCUUAGACCAACAACUCUUCGUUAGGGAUUAACUAAAGGCGAUUUCUUGAGAUAACGAUCUUGUUGGUAGGAAAAUAGAUGACGGCUUUUUUUUUGUUUUGGAAGAGGUCAAUCUGGUAGUCCUUCCACGGCAAGAGUCUAAUGGAAAUAAUUUAUGGUUUUAGAUUUUAUCUAUGAAUAAUUGAGGCUUACUUAACGUGGAGACUUGAGAAUGUCUUUGUUACGUGUAGGCUGGGUCAGGUUGGUAGUUUUUCCCACGGCAAUACUCUAGAGGCCGACCAGUUUUUUUAGUUAUUUUACUGCAAGAGCAAAAGAAAUAAUAUAUAUGUUUUUGCCUGGGACUAAUUAACAUGCGCGAUUGAAAAUAUCAGUUACGUGUAGGCUGGGUCAGUCAGGUAGGCUACUUUUUUCUACCGCAGUAGUAACAUAAAAUUAAAUGGUCUAGAAAAAUACUGACUUAGGAUGUUAUGAUUGGAUCUGCACCGUAAUAAUUCGGUCCCACAAGAUGAACGGCUCGUAAAAUCUAAUUAACGUGAGAAUUUUUAAGGAGUCUCUAAUUAGUAUAAGUAUAGAUAAUGCCCAUAUUUAUCGAUUUAUGGAGAAAUUCUACGAUGCCCAAGAAGAGACUAAUAUUUUGCAGGAAACUAUGGAAGAAGAAAAUGCUGAUACUGUGAGCUCAUUAGAUGAAAAAGAUGACGAGGAGAGCGAAGAACAAAAGGAGGAAGAGCGGACUAGCUACCCGUGCCCACCUUCUAAUAAGAAUAACUCUUCAACUCAUACAUUGUUUAAUUUCCCUUCGAAGGAUGAAUGCUAUGUUUAUUGCUAUGAUCCCUUGGAUUUGUUUGAAAUAUCCCUUUUUGAUGAACUUGAUGCUAGCUAUGAUUAUGGCCAUGAUGCCAAUAUGAAUGAUGCUUAUGAAGAUGAACUUGCUAUAGUUCCUUAUGUUAAACAUGAAAUUGUUGCUAUCGCACCCACUUAUGAUAGUCCUAUUAUCUUUUUGAACUCUCCCAACUACACUAUAUCGGAGAAGUUUGCUCUUAUUAGGGAUUACAUAGAUGGGUUGCCUUCUACUAUUACACAUGAUGAUUUUUAUGAAUAUAAUAUGGAUAUGCUUGCUGCUCCUACUUGCAAUUAUUAUGACAGAGGAACUACAUCUCCACCUCUCUAUGUUUCCAAAACAAUAAAUAGCAAGAAACUGCUUAUGCUAUGUAUUGGCCUUUACUUGAUGUGCAUGAAUUGUUCUUUUAUGACAUGCCAAUGCAUAGGAAGAGAGUCAGACUUCGUCAUUGCAUGAUAUAUGUUACCUUCUGCUCACUACUAAAUUACAAAUCAUUGUCAAUUGAAAUUGGCUUUGAUAUACCUUGGGAUCCGGGUGGAUCCAUUACUUGAGCACUUUAUGCCUAGCUUAAUGGCUUUAAAGAAAGCGCUGCCUGGGAGACAACCCGGAAGUUUUAGAGAGUCAUUUAUUUCUGUUGAGUGCUUUUAUAUAGUUUAAAAACAAAAAAAAUAUAGAGGGGAGCUUAAAACUUUUUCAAAAAGAGAAGCGAUUGAAAGGUGAUGCAUUGUGGAAGUGAGGGUCGACCUUGAACACUUGUGUUCAUGCUCAUGGAAACAAUGUAGAAUUCUUCAUGGAAGUUUCUCGCACAAAUAAUUAUGCCUUUGUAAAUUUCCAUUGUAUUAUAAAAAUAAUGUGCCAAGUAAAGCCUUUAUGAUUAGUUUGGGUGAUAGUUGUUUGAUCAUGCUGAAAAAGACAGAAACUUUGUGCUCACAAAAUUAUUUUUAAUACCUAUCCACAAAGAGAUUUUGAGUUGAUUCUUUUUGCUGUUGAUUGAUAUGAAAAUUGCCCUAAUUUUCAUAAUUUUUCAGAAUUUUUGGAGUAUCAUAAGUAUGGCAUACGUUCAGAUUACUACAGACUGUUCUGUUUUUGACAGAUUCUGUUUUCUAUGCAUUGCUCUCUUAUUUUGAUGAAUCUAUGGGUAGUAUCGGGGGGUAUGAACCAUGGUGAAGUUGGAUUACAGUAGAUAUAAUUCUAAUAUGAAUUUGAAAUGAGUACACAACAGUACUUAAAGUGGUGAUUUACUUUAUUAUACUAACGGAUCUCACGAAGGUUUUGUUGAGUUUUGUGUGAUUGAAGUUUUCAAGUUUUGGGUGACACCACGAUGGAUGAAGGAAUAAGGAGAGGCAAGAGCCUAAGCUUGGGGAUGCCCGAGCAUCUAAGCUUGGGGAUGCCCCGGAAGGAAUCCCCUCUUUCGUCUACAAUCUAUCGGUAAUUUUACUCGGAGCUAUAUUUUUAUUCGUCACAUGAUAUGUGCAAAUGCUUGGAGCGUCUUUUGUGUUUAUUUUUCCUUUUUCUUUUAUGCACCAUGCUGGUAUGAGAUAGUCCUUGGUUGAUUUAUAGAAUGCUCUUUGCACUUCACUUAUAUCUUUCGAGUAUGGAUUUAUAGAAUGCUUAUGUGCUUCACUUAUAUCAUUUGAAGUUUGGAUUGCCUGUUUCCCUACACAUAGAAAACCGCCAUUUGUAGAAUGCUCUUUUGCUUCACUUAUAUUUUUUAGAGCGGGGCCUAUAUUUUGUAGAAAGAAUUAAAAUCUCAUGCUUCACUUAUACCUAUUUAGAGAGUUAACAGGAGUUGGUCAUUCACAUGGUUAGUCAUAAAAUCCUACAUAAACUUGUAGAUCACUGAAUAUGAUAUGUUUGAUUCCUUGCAAUAGUUUUGCGACAUGAAGAUGUGAUAUUAGAGUGAUGCUAGUGAAUAAUUGUGUAUUCAUAGAAAUACUUGUGUUAAGGUUUGUGAUUCCUGUAGCAUGCAGGUAUGGUGAACCGUUAUGUGACGAGGUCGGAGCAUGAUUUAUUUAUUGAUUGUCAUCCUUUGUGUGGAGGUCGGGACCGCGCGAUGGUUAACUCCUACCAACCCUUCCCCUAGGAGCAUGCGUGUAGUACCUUGUUUCGAUGACUAAUAGACUUUUGCAAUAAGUAUGUGAGUUCUUUAUGACUAAUGUUGAGUUCAUGGAUUAUACGCAAUCUCACCCUUCCACCAUUGCUAGCCUCUCUAGUACCGCGCAACUUUCGCCGGUGCAUUACACCCACCAUAUACCCUUCCUCAAAACAGCCACCAUACCUACCUAUUAUGGCAUUUCCAUAGCCAUUCUUAGAUAUAUUUCCAUGCAACUUCCAUCGUUCCAUUUAUUAUGACACGCACCAUCAUUGUCAUAUUGCUUUGCAUGAUCGUAAGAUAGCUAGCAUGAUGUUUUCAUGGCUUGUCCGUUUUUUGAUGUCAUUGCUACGCUAGAUCAUUGCACAUCCCGGUACACCGCCGGAGGCAUUCAUAUAGAGUCAUAUUUUGUUCUAAAUAUCGAGUUGUAAGUAAAUAAAAGUGUGAUGAUCAUCAUUAUUAGAGCAUUGUCCCAUGUGAGGAAGUAAAAAGAGGCCAAAGAAGCCCACCAAAAAAAGAGAAAAAAAAUAAAAAAAUGAGAGAAAAGAGAGAAGGGACAAUGCUACUAUCCUUUACCACACUUGUGCUUCAAAGUAGCACCAUGAUCUUCAUGAUAGAGAUUCUCCUAUGUUGUCACUUUCAAAUACUAGUGAGAAAUUUUCAUUAUAGUACUUGGCUUGUAUAUUCCAAUGAUGGGCUUCCUAAAAUUGCCCUAGGUCUUCGUGAGCAAGCGAGUUGGAUGCACACCCACUAGUUUCAUUUUGAACUUUCAUACACUUCUAGCUCUUGUGCAUCUGUUGCAUGGCAAUCCCUACUCACUCACAUUGAUAUCUAUUGAUGGGCAUCUCCAUAGCCCGUUGAUAUGCCUAGUUGAUGUGAGACUAUCUCCUCCUUUUUGUCUUCCCCACAGCCACCAUAUUCUAUUCCAACUACAAUGCUAUGUCCAUGGCUCACGCUCAUGUAUUGCGUGAAAGUUGAAAAAGGUUUGAGAACACUAAAGUAUGAAACAAUUGCUUGGCUAAAACCGGGGUUGUGCAUGAUUUAAAUACGUUGUGUGGGGAAGAUGGAGCAUAACCAGACUUUAUGAUUUUGUAGGGAUAACUUUCUUUGACCACGAUAUUUUGAGAAGACAUGAUUCCUUUGUUAGUAUGCUUGAAAUAUUAUUAUCUUUAUGUCAAAUGGUAGGCUAUUGCUUCGAAUCACUCGUGUUUUAGUAUUCAUGCCAUGAUUAGAUUAUAUAAUCAACAUUAUGCUAGGUAGCAUUCCACAUCAAAAAUUAUCUUUUUUAUCAUUUACCUACUCUGUUGGGGAACGUCGCAUGGGAAACAAAAAUUUUCCUACGCGCACGAAGACCUAUCAUGGUGAUGUCCAUCUACGAGAGGGGAUGAGUGAUCUACGAACCCUUGUAGAUCGUAUAGCAGAAGCGUUAGUGAACGCGGUUGAUGUAGUGGAACGUCCUCACGUCCCUCGAUCCGCCCCGCGAACAAUCCCGCGAUCAGUCCCACGAUCUAGUACCGAACGGACGACACCUCCGCGUUCAGCACACGUACAGCUCGACGAUGAUCUCGGCCUUCUUGGUCCAGCAAGAGAGACGGAGAGGUAGAAGAGUUCUCCGGCAGCGUGACGGCGCUCCGGAGGUUGGUGAUGACCUUGUCUCAGCAGGGCUCCGCCCGAGCUCCGCAGAAACGCGAUCUAGAGGAAAAACCGUGGAGGUAUGUGGUCGGGCUGCCGUGGAAAAGUCGUCUCAAAUCAGCCCUAAAACCUCCGUAUAUAUAGGUGGGAGGGAGGGGACCUUGCCUUGGGGCUCAAGGAGCCCCAAGGGGGUCGGCCGAGUCCAAGGGGGGAGGACUCCCCCCCCCCCAAACCGAGUUGGACUUGGUUUGGUGGGAGGGAGUCCCCCUUCCUUCCCACCUCCUCCUUUUUUUUUCCUUUCUCUUGAUUUUCUCUUCUUGGCGCAUAGAGCCCUUUUGGGCUGUCCCACCAGCCCACUAAGGGCUGGUGUGCCACCCUCAAGGCCUAUGGGCUUCCCCGGGGUGGGUUGCCCCCCCCCCCCCGGUGAACUCCCGGAACCCAUUCGUCAUUCCCGGUACAUUCCCGGUAACUCCGAAAACCUUUCGGUAAUCAAAUGAGGUCAUCCUAUAUAUCAAUCUUCGUUUCCGGACUAUUCCGGAAACCCUCGUGACGUCCGUGAUCUCAUCUGGGACUCCGGACAACAUUCGGUAACCAACCAUAUAACUCAAAUACGCAUAAAAUAACGUCGAAUCUUAAGUGUGCAGACCCUGCGGGUUCGAGAACUAUGUAGACAUGACCCGAGAGACUCCUCGGUCAAUAUCCAAUAGCGGGACCUGGAUGCCCAUAUUGGAUCCUACAUAUUCUACGAAGAUCUUAUCGUUUGAACCUCAGUGCCAAGGAUUCAUAUAAUCCCGUAUGUCAUUCCCUUUGUCCUUCGGUAUGUUACUUGCCCGAGAUUCGAUCGUCAGUAUCCGCAUACCUAUUUCAAUCUCGUUUACCGGCAAGUCUCUUUACUCGUUCCGUAAUACAAGAUCCCGCAACUUACACUAAGUUACAUUGCUUGCAAGGCUUGUGUGUGAUGUUGUAUUACCGAGUGGGCCCCGAGAUACCUCUCCGUCACACGGAGUGACAAAUCCCAGUCUUGAUCCAUACUAACUCAACUAACACCUUCGGAGAUACCUGUAGAGCAUCUUUAUAGUCACCCAGUUACGUUGCGACGUUUGAUACACACAAAGCAUUCCUCCGGUGUCAGUGAGUUAUAUGAUCUCAUGGUCAUAGGAAUAAAUACUUGACACGCAGAAAACAGUAGCAACAAAAUGACACGAUCAACAUGCUACGUCUAUUAAUUUGGGUCUAGUCCAUCACGUGAUUCUCCUAAUGACGUGAUCCAGUUAUCAAGCAACAACACCUUGUUCAUAAUCNUUAGUAUCCGUAUACCUAUUUCAAUCUCGUUUACCGGUAAGUCUCUUUACUCGUUCCGUAAUACAAGAUCCCGCAACUUACACUAAGUUACAUUGCUUGCAAGGCUUGUGUGUGAUGUUGUAUUACCGAGUGGGCCCCGAGAUACCUCUCCGUCACACGGAGUGACAAAUCCCAGUCUUGAUCCAUACUAACUCAACUAACACCUUCGGAGAUACCUGUAGAGCAUCUUUAUAGUCACCCAGUUACGUUGCGACGUUUGAUACACACAAAGCAUUCCUCCGGUGUUAGUGAGUUAUAUGAUCUCAUGGUCAUAGGAAUAAAUACUUGACACGCAGAAAACAGUAGCAACAAAAAUGACACGAUCAACAUGCUACGUCUAUUAGUUUGGGUCUAGUCCAUCACAUGAUUCUCCUAAUGACGUGAUCCAGUUGUCAAGCAACAACACCUUGUUCAUAAUCAGAAGACACUGACUAUCUUUGAUCAACUGGCUAGCCAACUAGAGGCUUGCUAGGGACGGUGUUUUGUCUAUGUAUCCACACAUGUAAAUGAGUCUUCAUUCAAUACAAUUAUAGCAUGGAUAAUAAACGAUUAUCUUGAUACAGGAAUUAUAAUAAUAACUAUAUUUAUUAUUGCCUCUAGGGCAUAAUUCCAACAGUCUCCCACUUGCACUAGAGUCAAUAAUCUAGCCCUCACAUCAUCAUGUGAAUUACAUUGUAAUAAAUCUAACACCCAUACAGUUCUGGUGUUGAUCAUGCUUUGGCCGUGGAAGAGGUUUAGUCAGCGGGUCUGCUACAUUCAGAUCCGUGUGCACUUUGCAUAUAUUCAUGUCCUCUCCCUCGACGUAGUCGCGGAUGAGGUUGAAGCGUCGUUUGAUGUGUCUGGUCUUCUUGUGAAACCGUGAUUCCUUUGCUAAGGCAAUGGCACCAGUGUUGUCACAGAACAAGGUUAUUGGAUUCAGUGCGCUUGGCACCACUCCAAGAUCCGUCAUGAACUGCUUCAUCCAGACACCCUCCUUAGCCGCCUCCGAGGCAGCCAUGUACUCCGCUUCACAUGUAGAAUCUGCUACGACGCUUUGCUUGGAACUGCACCAGCUUACUGCACCCCCAUUAAGAAUAAAUACGUAUCCGGUUUGCGACUUAGAGUCGUCCGGAUCUGUGUCAAAGCUUGCAUCGACGUAACCUUUUACGGCGAGCUCUUCGUCACCUCCAUACACGAGAAACAUCUCCUUAGUCCUUUUCAGGUACUUCAGGAUAUUCUUGACCGCUGUCCAGUGAUCCACUCCUGGAUUACUCUGGAACCUACCUGCCAUACUUAUGGCCAGGCUAACAUCCGGUCUAGUGCACAGCAUCGCAUACAUGAUAGAACCUAUGGCUGAAGCAUAGGGGACGGAGCGCAUAUGCUCUCUAUCUUCAUCAGUUGCUGGGCACUGAGUCUUACUCAAUCUCGUACCUUGUAGAACUGGCAAGAACCCUUUCUUGGACUGUUCCAUUUUGAACCUCUUCAAAACUUUAUCAAGGUAUGUGCUUUGUGAAAGUCCUAUCAGGCGUUUUGAUCUAUCCCUAUAGAUCUUAAUGCCUAGAAUGUAAGCAGCUUCUCCUAGGUCCUUCAUAGAGAAACUUUUAUUCAAGUAAUCCUUUAUGCUCUCUAAAAACUCUACGUUGUUUCCAAUCAGUAAUAUGUCAUCCACAUAUAAUAUUAGAAACGCCACAGAGCUCCCACUCACUUUCUUGUAAAUACAAGAUUCUCCAACCACUUGUAUAAACCCAAAUGCUUUGAUCACCUCAUCAAAGCGUUUGUUCCAACUCCGAGAUGCUUGCACCAGUCCAUAAAUGGAUCGCUGGAGCUUGCACACCUUGUUAGCAUUCUUAGGAUCGACAAAACCUUCGGGUUGUAUCAUAUACAACUCUUCCUUAAGGAAACCGUGAAGGAACGCCGUUUUGACAUCCAUCUGCCAGAUUUCAUAAUCGAAAAAUGCAGCUAUUGCUAACAUGAUUCUGACGGACUUAAGCAUCGCUACGGGUGAGAAAUUCUCAUCGUAGUCAACUCCUUGAACUUGUGAAAAACCCUUUGCCACAAGUCGAGCUUUAUAAACGGUCACAUUACCGUCAGCGUCCGUCUUCCUCUUAAAAAUCCAUUUGUUCUGAAUGGCCUUGCGGCCCUCAGGCAGUACCUCCAAAGUCCACACUUUGUUCUCAUACAUGGAUCCUAUCUCGGACUUCAUGGCUUCCAGCCAUUUGUUGGAAUCUGGGCCCACCAUUGAUUCUUCAUAAUUCGCAGGUUCAUUGUUGUCUAACAACAUGAUUGAUAAGACGGGAUUACCGUACCACUCUGGAGCAGCACGUGGUCUCGUCGACCUGCGUGGUUCGACAGAAACUUGAACUGGAGUUUCAUGAUCAUCAUCAUUAACUUCCUCCUCAACCGGUGUCGCAAUGACAGAGGUUUCCCCUUGCCGUGCGCCACCAUCCAGAGGGAUGAGAGGUUCGACAACCUCGUCAAGUUCUAUCUUCCUCCCACUCAAUUCUCUUGAGAGAAACUCCUUCUCGAGAAAAGCUCCGUUUUUAGCAACAAACACUUUGCCCUCGGAUUUGAGAUAGAAGGUGUACCCAACUGUCUCUUUUGGGUAACCUAUGAAGACGCACUUUUCCGCUUUGGGUUCCAGCUUUUCAGGCUGAAGCUUUUUGACAUAAGCAUCACAUCCCCAAACUUUAAGAAACGACAACUUUGGCCUUUUGCCAUACCACAGUUCGUAUGGUGUCGUCUCAACGGAUUUUGAUGGUGCCCUAUUUAAAGUGAAUGCAGCUGUUUCUAAUGCAUAGCCCCAAAAUGAUAACGGCAAAUCAGUAAGAGACAUCAUAGAUCGCACCAUCUCUAAUAGAGUACGAUUACGACGUUCGGACACACCAUUACGCUGUGGUGUUCCAGGCGGUGUUAACUGUGAAACAAUUCCACAUUGUCUUAAGUGAGCACCAAACUCGAAACUCAGAUAUUCACCCCCACGAUCAGACCGUAGGAACUUCAUCUUCUUGUUACGAUGAUUUUCCACUUCACUCUGAAAUUGCUUGAACUUUUCAAAUGUUUAGGACUUGUGCUUCAUCAAGUAGACAUAACCAUAUCUACUUUAAUCUUCAGUGAAGGUGAGAAAAUAACGAUAUCCGCCGCGUGCCUCCACGCUCAUCGGACCACACACAUCGGUAUGUAUGAUUUCCAACAAGUCACUUGCACGCUCCAUUGUUCCUGAGAAUGGAGUCUUAGUCAUCUUGCCCAUGAGGCAUGGUUCGCACGUGUCAAGUGAAUCAAAGUCAAGUGACUCCAAAAGUCCAUCAACAUGGAGUUUCUUCAUGCGCUUUACACCAAUAUGACCUAAGCGGCAGUGCCACAAAAAUAUGGCGCUAUCAUUGUUAACUCUAACUCUUUUGGUCUCAAUGUUAUGUAUAUGCGUAUCGCUAUCAAGAUUCAAUAUGAACAAUCCUCUCACAUUCGGUGCAUGACCAUAAAAGAUGUUACUCAUAGAAAUAGAACAACCAUUAUUCUCUGACUUAAAAGAGUAACCGUCUCGCAAUAAACAAGAUCCAGAUAUAAUGUUCAUGCUCAACGCAGGCACUAAAUAACAAUGAUUUAAGUUCAUCACUAAUCCUGACGGUAACUGAAGUGACACUGUGCCGACGGCGAUUGCAUCAACCUUGGAACCAUUUCCUACGCGCAUCGUCACUUCAUCUUUCGCCAGCCUUCGCCUAUUCCACAGUUCCUGUUUCGAGUUGCAAAUAUGAGCAACAGAACCGGUAUCGAAUACCCAGGCACUACUACGAGAGCCGGUUAAGUACACAUCAAUAACAUGUAUAUCAAAUAUACCUGAUUUUUCUUUGCCCGCCUUCUUAUCUGCCAGAUACUUGGGGCAAUUGCGCUUCCAAUGACCCAUACCCUUGCAAUAGUAACACUCCGUUUCCGGCUUAGGUCCAGCUUUGGGUUUCUUCGUCGGAUUGGCAACAGGCUUGCCGCUCUUCUUCGAAUUUCCCUUCUUGCCUUUGCUGUUUCUCUUGAAACUAGUGGUCUUAUUCACCAUCAACACUUGAUGCUCUUUACGGAGUUCAGACUCUGCGACUUUCAGCAUCGCAAACAACUCGCCGGGAGACUUGUUCAUCCCUUGCAUGUUGUAGUUCAACACAAAGCCUUUAUAGCUUGGUGGCAGUGAUUGAAGGAUUCUGUCAGUGAUAGCUUCUUGCGGGAGUUCAAUCCCCAGCUCAGCUAGAUGGUUUGAGUACCCAGACAUUUUGAGCACAUGUUCACUGACAGAUGAGUUUUCCUCCAUCUUGCAAGCAUAGAAUUUAUCGGAGGUCUCAUACCUCUCGAUCCGGGCGUUCUUCUGAAAGAUAAAUUCCAACUCCUGGAACAUCUCAAAUGCUCCAUGACGCUCAAAGCGACGUUGAAGUCCCGGUUCUAAGCCAUACAAGACUGCACAUUGAACUAUUGAGUAGUCCUCCUUACGUGCUAACCAAGCGUUCUUAACAUCUUGAUCAGCCGUAGCGGGUGGUUCAUCUCCUAACGCAGCAUUAAGGACAUAAUCCUUCUUCCCAGCUUGUAAGAUUAGCUUAAGAUUACGAGCCCAGUCUACAAAGUUGCUUCCAUCAUCUUUCAACUUAGCUUUCUCUAGGAACGUAUUAAAAUUCAGGAUGACUGUCGCGUGAGCCAUGAUCUACAACACAAAUAUUUCAAAGUGGACUUAGACUAUGUUUAAGAUAAUUAGAGUUCAACUUAAUCAAAUUAUUCACUAAACUCCCACUCAAAAAGUACAUCUCUCUAGUCAUUUGAGUGGUUCAUGAUCCACUUACACUAGCUCAAGUCCGAUCUUCACGUGAGUUGAGUAUAGUUUCAGUGGUAAGCAUCCCUAUGCUAAUCAUAUCAUCUAUAUGAUUCAUGAUCGACCUUUCGGUCUCAUGUGUUCCGAGGCCAUGUCUGCACAUGCUAGGCUCGUCAAGCUUAACCCGAGUAUUCCGCGUGCGCAACUGUUUUGCACCCGUUGUAUGUGAACGUUGAGUCUAUCACACCCGAUCAUCACGUGGUGUCUCGAAACGACGAACUGUAGCAACGGUGCACAGCCGGGGAGAACACAAUUUCGUAUUGAAAUUUUAGUGAGAGAUCACCUCAUAAUGCUACCGACGUUUUAAGCAAAAUAAGGUGCAUAAAAGGAUUAACAUCACAUGCAAUUCAUAAGUGACAUGAUAUGGCAAUCAUCACGUGCUUCUUGAUCUCCAUCACCAAAGCACCGGCACGAUCUUCUUGUCACCGGCGCCACACCAUGAUCUCCAUCAACGUGUUGCCAUCGGGGUUGUCGUGCUACUCAUGCUAUUACUACUAAAGCUACAUCCUAGCAAAAUAGUAAACGCAUCUGCAAGCACACACGUUAGUAUAAAGACAACCCUAUGGCUCCUGCCGGUUGCCGUACCAUCGACGUGCAAGUCGAUAUUUCUAUUACAACAUGAUCAUCUCAUACAUCCAAUAUAUCACAUCACAUCAUUGGCCAUACCACAUCACAAGCAUACCCUGCAAAAACAAGUUAGACGUCCUCUAAUUUUGUUGUUGCAUGUUUUACGUGGUGACCAUGGGUAUCUAGUAGGAUCGCAUCUUACUUACGCAAACACCACAACGGAGAUAUAUGAGUUGCUAUUUAACCUCAUCCAAGGACCUCCUCGGUCAAAUCCGAUUCAACUAAAGUUGGAGAAACCGACACUUGCCAGUCAUCUUUGAGCAACGGAGUUACUCGUAACGAUGAAACCAGUCUGUCGUAAGCGUACGAGUAAUGUCGGUCCAAGCCGCUUCAAUCCAACAAUACCGCGGAAUCAAGAAAAGACUAAGGAGGGCAGCAAAACGCACAUCACCGCCCACAAAAACUUUUGUGUUAUACUCGAGAAGACAUCUACGCAUGAACCUAGCUCAUGAUGCCACUGUUGCGGAACGUCGCAUGGGAAACAAAAAUUUUCCUACGCGCACAAAGACCUAUCAUGGUGAUGUCCAUCUACGAGAGGGGAUGAGUGAUCUACGUACCCUUGUAGAUCAUAUAGCAGAAGCGUUAGUGAACGCGGUUGAUGUAGUGGAACGUCCUGAUGUCCCUCGAUCCGCCCCGCGAACAAUCCCGCGAUCAGUCCCACGAUCUAGUACCGAACGGACGGCACCUCCGCGUUCAGCACACGUACAGCUCGACGAUGAUCUCGGCCUUCUUGAUCCAGCAAGAGAGACGGAGAGGUAGAAGAUUUCUCCGGCAGCGUGACGGCGCUCCGGAGGUUGGUGAUGACCUUGUCUCAGCAGGGCUCCGCCCGAGCUCCGGAGAAACGCGAUCUAGAGGAAAAACCGUGGAGGUAUGUGGUCGGGCUGCCGUGGAAAAGUCGUCUCAAAUCAGCCCUAAAACCUCCGUAUAUAUAGGUGGGAGGGAGGGGACCUUGCCUUGGGGCUCAAGGAGCCCCAAGGGGGUCGGCCGAGUCCAAGGGGGGAGGACUCCCCCCCCCCAAACCGAGUUGGACUUGGUUUGGUGGGAGGGAGUCCCCCUUCCUUCCCACCUCCUCCUUUUUUUUCCUUUCUCUUGAUUUUCUCUUCUUGGCGCAUAGAGCCCUUUUGGGCUGUCCCACCAACCCACUAAGGGCUGGUGUGCCACCCUCAAGGCCUAUGGGCUUCCCCGGGGUGGGUUGCCCCCCCCCNNNNNNNNNNNNNNNNNNNNNNNNNNNNNNNNNNNNNNNNNNNNNNNNNNNNNNNNNNNNNNNNNNNNNNNNNNNNNNNNNNNNNNNNNNNNNNNNNNNNNNNNNNNNNNNNNNNNNNNNNNNNNNNNNNNNNNNNNNNNNNNNNNNNNNNNNNNNNNNNNNNNNNNNNNNNNNNNNNNNNNNNNNNNNNNNNNNNNNNNNNNNNNNNNNNNNNNNNNNNNNNNNNNNNNNNNNNNNNNNNNNNNNNNNNNNNNNNNNNNNNNNNGGUAAGUCUCUUUACUCGUUCCGUAAUACAAGAUCCCGCAACUUACACUAAGUUACAUUGCUUGCAAGGCUUGUGUGUGAUGUUGUAUUACCGAGUGGGCCCCGAGAUACCUCUCCGUCACACGGAGUGACAAAUCCCAGUCUUGAUCCAUACUAACUCAACUAACACCUUCGGAGAUACCUGUAGAGCAUCUUUAUAGUCACCCAGUUAUGUUGCGACGUUUGAUACACACAAAGCAUUCCUCCGGUGUCAGUGAGUUAUAUGAUCUCAUGGUCAUAGGAAUAAAUACUUGACACGCAGAAAACAGUAGCAACAAAAAUGACACGAUCAACAUGCUACCUCUAUUAGUUUGGGUCUAGUCCAUCACCUGAUUCUCCUAAUGACGUGAUCCAGUUCUCAAGCAACAACACCUUGUUCAUAAUCGGAAGACACUGACUAUCUUUGAUCAACUGGCUAGCCAACUAGAGGCUUGCUAGGGACGGUGUUUUGUCUAUGUAUGCACACAUGUAGAUGAGUCUUCAUUCAAUACAAUUAUAGCAUGGACAAUAAACGAUUAUCUUGAUACAGGAAUUAUAAUAAUAACUAUAUUUAUUAUUGCCUCUAGGGCAUAAUUCCAACAUACUCGAGGACGAGCAGAAAUUAAGCUUGGGGAUGCUGAUACGUCUCCGUCGUAUCUAUAAUUUUUGAUUGUUUCAUGCCAAUAUUCUACAACUUACAUAUACUUUUGGCAACUUUUUAUACUAUUUUUGGGACUAAAAUAUUGAUCCAGUUCCCAGUGCCAGUUCCUGUUUGUUGCAUGUUUUUUGUUUCGUAUAAUAUCCAUACCAAACGAAGUCCAAACACAAUAAAAAACCUAUGGUGAUUUUUUAUGGAAUAUUUAUGAUUUUUGGGAAGAAGAAUCAACGCAAAACGAUGCCCGAGGGGGUCACAAGCCUAGGAGGUGCCCCCUAGGGCACGGCAGGCAGGCUUGUGACCAAUCCCUAAGGCGGUUGGGGCCCUUCUUUCGCCGCAAGAAAGCUAAUAUCCGGAAGAAAAUCGUGUUAAAAUCAGCCCACUUGGAGUUAUGGAUCUCCGGGAAUUUUAAGAAACGGUGAAAGGCAGAAUCUGGGAGCGCACAAACAGAAGGACACACAGAGAGAGAUCCAAUCUCGGAGGGGCUCUCGCCCCUCCGCCGCCAUGGAGACCAUGGACCAGAGGGGAAACCCUUCUCCCAUCUAGGGAGGAGGUCAAGGAAGAAGAAGAAGGGGGGCUCCCUCCCCCUCUCUCCCGGCGGUGCCGGAACGCCGCCCGGGACAUCAUCGUGUGACAGCGAUCUACACCAACACGUCCGUCAUCUUCACCAACACCUCCUUCUCCUUCCCCCAUCUAUAUUCAGCGGUCCACUCUCCCGCAACCCGCUGUACCCUCUACUUGAACAUGGUGCUUUGUGCUUCAUAUUAUUAUCCGAUGAUGUGUUGCCAUCCUAUGAUGUCUGAGUAGAUUUUUGUUGUCCUAUCGGUUAUUGAUGAAUUGGUGUGAUUGGUUUGAUUUGCUUGUGGUUAUGUUGCUGUCCUUUGGUGCCCAUCAUAUGAGCGCGCGCGUGGAUCACACGAUAGGGUUAGUAUUAUGUUGAUAGGACUAUGUAUUGGAGGGGAAGGGUGAUAGAAGCUUCAGCCUAGCAUAGAAACUGAUGCAUGCGGGAUUGAAGGGGGCCCAAUAUAUCUUAUUGCUAUGGUUGGGUUUUAACUUAUUGAACGUUAGUAGUUGCGGAUGCUUGCUAAUAGAUCCAAUCAUAAGUGCAUAGAAUUUCAAGUAAGGGAUGACAUGCUAGCAGUGGCCUCUCCCACAUAAAACUUGCUAUCAGUCUAGUAACGUAGUCAAUUGCUUAGGGACAAUUCCGCAACUCCUACCACCACUUUUCCACACUCGUUAAACUAACGUAAUUUUUUCUUAGCAGCCCCUAGUCUUUAUUUACGUGUUCUUUCUUUUCUUGCAAACCUAUCCUAUCACUCCUACAAAGUACUUCUAGUUUCAUACUUGUUCUAGGUAAAGCGAACGUGAAGUGUGCGUAGAGUUGUAUCGGUGGUCGAUAGAACUUGAGGGAAUAUUUAUCCUACCUUUAGAUCCUCGUUGGGUUCAACACUCUUACGUAUCGAGAAAGGCUACAAUUGAUCCCCUAUACUUGUGGGUUAUCAGUGACGGCGACGGCGAUUGGCUUGGGGCGAUGGGCUCGGGGGCGACGGCAGCGGGGACGUUUAUGGCCUCGGGGGUGACGGUGAUGACGGGCUCGGGAUGACGACGACGGCGACAGGCUCGGGGGCGACGACGACGGUGACGGGCUCGGGGCGACGACGGGCUCGGCGUGACAACGGGCUCGGGGCGAUGGCGACAAUGACGAUGGGCUCGUGGAGAAGGCGCGGGCCGGCGGCGACGGGCUCGGGGCGGCAACGACGACGGUGAGGAGAGAAGAGAACGGGGCAAAUGGGAGUUGGUAGAAAUUUUGGUAAGUCCCGCCAUAUAUGCGAACACCUUUGGUCCCCGUUGGUAGCUCCAACCGACACCAAUGCCACCCUUUUGUCCCGGUUGGAGCCACCAACCGGGACUAAAGGUCAAUUUUCAGCAGUCCAAAAGGGCGGGAAGAAGAGACCUUUAGUAUCGGUUGGUGGCUCCAACCGGGACGAAAGGGUGGUAUUGGUCCCGGUUGGAGGCACCAACCGGGACCAAAGUGUGGUGUUGCCCGGGUCUAAAUUUUUAGUCCCACCUCGCUUGCCGAGAGAGCUCGCGAGUGGUUUAUAAUCGCUGCUGCGCACAAUCUGUCGAGCUCCUCUCAACUGCAAGCUUUCGGACCUAAUCUGUCACUGCCUGUGGGCCUAUUGGGCCUUGUGUGGGCCUGAAUCCUGGCCCAACCAGGAGGAUGGGUUUCUAGUCGUAUUCACGCCGUUGUGGCCUAGUAGGUGGCAUUUUUUUUAAAUCUNNNNNNNNNNNNNNNNNNUUUACUUUUUCUUGUUCCUACUUAUUGUUUUUCGUUGAUUCUUUUUUGCUUUUAGGUCACAACAUUUCUCAAAAUGCACCAUUCAAAGCCACAUCAUCAAUUUUCAACAAAUUCUGACUUCAUUUGCUAUUUUUCAUGCAUUUACUGAUAUUUUGGACUAAAUGACCCUUAAAUUGGAAAGCACUACAAAUAAACUCUAAAAAGGUUGAAAGUUGGCAUGGUAUCAUCAUUUCACCGACAUAGGAUGUGCUAAAAAGUUGAGAGGGUUGCGCAAAAACUGGAUGCACUUUGUGUACAAAAUGGACAAUCUCUUUCGAAGUAUGAGGGUUUCAUACGAAAACUCAUCUGUUACAAAGGGAUUUCAUUUUAUUGAUAUUAUUUGAACUCCAUACUUUUUGUGUGUUCAAAAUGCACCAUUCAAAGCCACAUCAUCAAUUUUCAACAAUUUUUGACUUCAUUUGGUAUUUUUCAUAAAUUUAUUGUUUUUUUGAGCUAAAUGACCCUUAAAUUGAAAAGCACUACAAAUCACCUCUGAAAAGAUUGAAAAUUGGCAUAGUAUCAUCAUUUCACCCACAAAGCAUGUGCUAAAUAGUUGAGAGGGUUAUGGCAAAAACUGGAUGCACUUCGUGUACAAAACGGAGAAUCUCUUUCGAAGUAUCACAGAUUCACAUGAAAACUCAUCUAUUACAAAGGGAUUUCAUCUUUUUGAACUUAUUUGAACUCCAGACUUUUUGUGUGUUCAAAAUGCACCAUUUAAAGCCACAUCAUCAAUUUUGAACAAUUUAUGACUGCAUUUUGUAUUUUUCAUGCAUUUACUGAUUUUUUUGAGCUACAUGACCCUUAAAUUGAAAAGCAUUACAAAUGAACUCUGAAAAGGUUAAAAGUUUGCAUGGUUUCAUCAUUUCACCCACAUAGCAUGUGAUAAUAAGUUGAGAGGGUUACGGCAAAAACAGGAUGCACUUCGUGUACAAAACGAACAAUCUCUUUCGAACUAUCAAGGUUUCAUACGAAAACUCACCUAUUACAAAGGAAUUUCAUUUUUUGAACUUAUUUGAACUCCAUACUUUUUAUGUGUUAAAAUGCACCAUUCAAAGCCACAUCAUCAAUUUUCAAAAAAUUCUGACUUCAUAUGGUAUUUUACAUGCAUUUCCUUUUUUUUUGAGCUAAAUGACCAUGAAAUUGAAAAGCACUACAAAUGAACUAUGAAAAGGUUGAAAGGUGGUAUGGUAUGAUCAUUUCACCCACAUAGCAUGUGUUAAAAAGUUGAGAGGGUUACGGCAAAAACUGGAUGCACUUCAUGUAUAAAACAUACAAUCUCUUUCGAAAUAUCACAUUUUAAAUACGAAAACUCAUCCGUUACAAAGGGAUUUUAUUUUUUUGAACUUAUUUGAACUCCGGCCUUUUUGUGUGUUCAAAAUGCACAAUUCAGAGCCACAUCAUAAAUUUUCAAUAAUUUGUGACUUCAUUUGCUAUUUUUCAUGCAUUUAUUGAUUUUUUUAGCUAAAUGACCCUUAAAUUGGAAAGCACUACAAAUGAACUUUGAAAAGGUUGAAAGUUGGCAUGGUAUCAUCAUUCCACCCCACAUAGCAUGUGAUAAAAAGUUGAGAGGGUUACGGCAAAAACUGGAUGCACUUCAUAUACAAAACAGACAAUCUCCUUCGAAGUGUCAGGGUUUCAUACGAAAACUCAUUUGUUACAAAGGGAUUUCAUUUUUUUGAAUUCAUUUGAACUCCAGACUUUUUGUGUGUUCAAAAUGAACCAUUCAAAGCCACAUCAUCAAUUUUCAACAAUUUUUGAAUUCAUUUGGUAUUUUUCAUGCAUUUACUGAUUUUUUUGAGCAAAAUGACCCUUAAAUUGAAAAGCACUACAAAUGAACUCUGAAAAGGCUGAAAGUUGACAUGGUAUCAUCAUUUCACCUACAUAGCAUGUGCUAAAAAGUUGAGAGGGUUAUGACAAAAACUGGAGAACUUCGUGUAAAAAAUGGACAAUCUCUUUCGAAGUAUCACAGUUUCAUACGAAAAUUCUUCUGUUACAAAGGAAUUUUAUUUUGUUGAACUUAUUUGAAAUCCAGACUUUUUGUGUGUUCAAAAUGCACCAUUCAAAGCCAUAUCAUAAAAUUUCAACAAUUUCUGACAUCAUUUGGUAUUUUUUAUGCAUUACUGAUUUUUUUAGCUAAAUGACCAUGAAAUUGAAAAGCACUACAAAUGAACUCUCAAAAGUUUGAAAAUUGGCUUGGUAUCAUCAUUUCACCGACAUAGCAUGUGAUUAAAAGUUGAGAGGGUUACGAGAAAAACUGGAUGCACUUGGUCUACAAAACGAACAAUCUCUUUGGAAGUAUAAGGGUUUCAUACGAAAACUCAUCUAUUACAAAAGACAUUUCAUUACUUCACUUUUUCUUUGCUUGUGUUCUUUGAUUAUUGCGCCGUAACCAUGGAUAAUCAGUACUAGGAAAAAGCCUAGUAGUAGCGCGGGUUUAGUGCCUACUAGUAGCGCGGGUAAUCGCGCUACUAGUAAGGCGCUACAGCUAUUACUUACCAGCAGCGCGUGUAAGACGCGCUACUGCUAAGACAUAUAAGUGUCGUACAAGUGCUAUUGAUAAAACAAAUAUUAGUAGCGUUCUUCUAAACCCGCGCUACUAGUAAUCUGUUUUUCAUUAUUUUUAAUAUGUAGUGUAUUUAUACGUCGUUAUAUAAAUUUUGAUAGAGUACCAAUUAAGAGGUUGUUAUAUCAUUAUGUUCAUGAAGAAUUAUUAUAUCAUUGUGAUGAAUAAACCUGGAUUUUAUUCAUCUAAAUGAAUCAAAAGUGAUCAAAAGUUGAAUUAGUAGGACGACGAUCCUAGUAAUUCAACUUUUGGUCACUUUUGAUCCAUCCACAUGAAUCUAAUCCGCUUUCCUUCCCGCAAUGACAUAAUAACCAAUCAUGAUCAUAAUAACAAAUCUUCAUGAUAAUCAUGAUCAACAUCAUCAGCAUAUUAAUAUAAAAACUCUUGCAUCAUAUCAUCACUAACAACACUAUAGCGAAUAAUCAUCAUAGUCAUUACCACCAACACUAUUUAAUCAUCAUUUUCGUCAAUGAGACGUCAUAUAACAAGUUGGUGGCUAGUCAUAAUCACAACUCCUCCUCCUCCUCAUUAUCAACUAUAACACAUUUUAGCACAUAAUAACACAUUGUACCUAGGACCUACUCCUCUCUCAUAGUACCUACUCUACCCUCUCUUAGGUAGAAUAUCACAAAACAAGAUAGGCCCGGUCUCUCCAUUAUGGAGAAUGGAGAUCAUCCUGUCUCUAACUCUUACCCUACGCACAGUAUUGCUUCCAAGUAGCUCUCUACGAUUGGCCAUGCAUUUUUUCCAAUCUUUGAUUGUCAUUUCAUCGGUUAUAGAAACCCUGUAUGGACAGGAGUGAUGCAUAUACAUAGGCUACCUGGCCGUGCUGGCCGUAAGCUCAUAAUAUCAACACGACCUCUUGGAAACAUCACAUGAGGCACACAAUCCUUCUGGAUUUUCUGUUGAAAAACAUAGUAAUAACUUUGUAGCUAGCAAUGCAGUUUAGUUUUACAAGAAUUUAUGCAAAAGAUGCACGGAUGUCGUAAUAGUAGAAAAUAUUACCAUGCAAUCUCCAUGCAUGUUACCGUAGUUCACCACGUGCACUAUUGGCACGUAUUGACCAUAAUGUGGAGGAGUUUGCUGAUAGCUAUUGUAAUUCUCAAGAUCAUUAAUAAAUGCGACAAGAUGAUUUUUGUCCUGAUAAGUUAAUUCUGCUUCAUCAUUGUAGUGGUAGGUUCUGUCUACCAUCUCCCGUACAUUUUUUGAAGAAUGAAAAUAAGUUGUAAAUGGAAGUAAGUUGUCAACAAUUUUUAAAUAAACAAUAUAAAUUACUCAAUAAAUAUGGUUGAGAAACUCACAUAAUGGUGGAACUGGAGGCGUCUGCACAUCGACCCAGAUGUCGAUAUUACCUUCAAUUUCAUCUUCCAGACGAAUAUCAAAGGUGAUAAGCAUAUUAGGCUCAAGUGCAUAAGCCUUGCAUAGUGCUACCCAAUUUUUGCACUCAAAAAAGGAGUAGGUGUCUGCAUUGUACAACUUUACGGCAAAAGUAUAAUCAUACUCGAUCCUCAAGUGAACUCUCUUUACCUCCAUAGUUUUUUAGUACUGAAACCUAUCUUAUCCAAGACAUAAAUUCUUGCAUGGCAGGGGAUACGCUAGUAGAAUAGUAAAAAAUAAAAAUUAUAAAUUGAAGCAAAAGAAGUCAUGCUUAAUUAAGAAAAAAGACUUGUCAUUGUGACUUACUGUAUCCACUUCGAAGUCCUCAUCCAGCAUGAUGUUGAAGCGCUUAUCAUCAACUAGGUGAGGCACGUCGCACAAGCCGCGCUCGUCUUGACAGUAUUCGCACAUAGUGAAUUUCCUUUCGUCUUCAGACAUUUCCUAUGUUCAUAGUUGAAACAUUUAAAAUCGACCGAAAAGGCAACUACCAGGAAACUUAUAUGAAAGAUCACUAUUAAUUCUAAAACAGAUCACUAUUACACCAAGACAUCCUCUAUAUUAAGAAUGCAUCAUCAUCGACAUCAAUGACAUGGCCACUAGCACUUGCAUUUUCAUCAUCGACAUUUACAACACAUUAUCAUCUAUAUCAACAACAUGGGCAUUGCCGGCAAAACACACGCACUAGGAGGUGCUCCGUGCAAUAACAUACACACAUCAAAUAGAUGACAUAUAACUCAUCAUCAUCUUACUCAUUUAAUAACUCAUGAAAGUCAUACAAGGAGCAACGACAAACCGAAAGAUAACCGAUAUUAUCACUAAUACAUCUCGAAUAUUAUCAUACAAUAUCACAAAUAAAAAUUCAGUUGACGUCUCACGGUGCAGGCGGUGGCAACCGAAAGAUAAGGAACCAUCACCGGAUCAUAGCUCAGGUGAUGUCCCUGGAGAACCUGCCAGGUAUUGGAGAACCUGGCAUCCAACGCAGCCAUGUAGAGACAUACAUGCUCGUCCUCCUCCCUAACACGGCGACGUAACAACUCCGUGGGGCCCGGCUCCCUCGGCACCGAUAAAGGCCCACGCGACUGCCACCAAAGAAGCUCCGGGUCAACGAUGAGACCCGGAUUCCUCACAAAGGUGCGCCCCCCGGAAGGUAGCACCUCCUAGUGCCAGCCCAACGGAGCCUAGUCCCGCACAUGCUGGCGCCUAUCAAGCAGGUGGUCUCCAUCGAGUUGACGACGAGGAUGCGGAAUGGGCAUCGUCGAUGUUAAGACAAAUUCCUCUGAGAAAAUUUUCUUAUUGUUUAAUGUUUUACUUUCUAAUUCUCAUUUAUACAAUAAUCAUCUCAUUUGAAUUCAGCUAGCGCCCACUACCAAAUAUACAAUAAUAAAACACAAUAUAUAUAUUAUGCAAAUAUUUCCGCAACAACAUUGAGGGCCUGAGAAAAUAAAAUGAAUAAUGACAUAAAAUGGCCUAUGUUUUGCAGGAACGUUGAUUCAUUCCUAGUGCGGAAAAUCCCGGACACUCGAUAUAUCGUAGUUUGUAGCACAAGUCAUGUCAAAAUUCACGAAAAAAUUCGAAUGACCUUUGUUAAAAGUGAAAAAAUUGAGCAGCUGCAAUUUGCCGGAACAAAAAUGAAUCAACAUUUCCGGCAUAACAUAGGCCGCUCGGCUUCAUUCCCUGUAAACAACAAAAGGCUCCCUCUCUCACUAAGUAUACACCUAAGUAAAUUCUAUGUUAACCUACUGCCCUAACUAACAACAUGACCUUAUGCCCUAACUAACAACAUGACCUUAUGCCCUAACUAACAACAUAACCUAAUUAACCUAUUUAACCUAGAACCCUUGAACUCUAUAACCCUAGAACAUAACGUAACUAACAUUUGCUAAUUUGUUAAUUGUACUAACCAAUUUAACCUAGAACCCUAGAACAUAACCUACCUAACAUUUGCUAAUCAGUUAAUUGUACUAACCUAUCACUAGUAGAAAACGGGCCUUUGGCCUGGACCAUUUAGUCCCGGCCUGCCUCUGGGUCGGGACUAAAGGCCCGGCCACGUCGCCCCAAUUCUCAAUGCCUCCCUCGAGGCUUUAGUCCCGGCCCGUAAGGAGCCUGUAGUCUCGGUUCGAGUCACAAAGCGGGACUAAAGGGCUACGCGGCGGGCAGUGGUGGUGGCAACCGUUCGUAUACCUCUUUAGUCCCCGUUGGUGGCUCAACCCGGGACUAAAGGACUAACACGUGGCCUGCCGUGGUGGUGGCGACCGUUGGUAUACCUCUUUAGUCCCGGUUGGUGGCUCAACCCGGGACUAAAGGACUAACACGUGGCCUAACGUAGUGGGGCGACUGUUGGCAUACCUCUUUAGUCCCGGUUGGUGGUUGAACCCGGGACUAAAAGCCUAACACGUGGCCUGCCGUAGUGGUGGCAACCAUUUGGUAUACCUCUUUAGUCCCGGUUGGUGGCUCAAACCGGGAUUAAAGGCCCAAAUGGUUUGCAUCCCGCGUCGUUUCGGGAGAUGAAAAGCACGAACCGAAGCGUACAGUCGCCAUUUCUCUGUUCUUCUUCUCUCUCACGUCGCCCUCUCUAUUCUUCUCCUCUCUCGCGUCGCCCUCUCUGUUCUUCUCCUCUCUUCUUCCCUUCUCUUGUUCCACCAUGCCAACUACCUUUCAUGAGGUGGUCGCGCAUGGGACGACCAAGCUCCGUGUCGUGUACACGAACCUGAGCACGGAGGUGCCGUUUUUCCUUCAACAGUUGAAGGAACGAUGGUUUAACCAUGCACCAGAUCAUGAGAAGUUCUUCGGGCUUGAUCUGAAGUACACGGCCGAUCAACGCGGUGUUGCCGUCAUCCAAAUAUGCUUCGCAAGCCAUGUCUUGAUCUUCCAAUGGGGGAGGUAAGUUUUGAGGCUUUCUUUGAUCCAAGAUAAUACAUUGUAUAAGUUUAUUUGUUUCUAUCAUAGUUGGUUCCCUUCAAAUAGUUGUAGUGAAACAAUUUUGAUUACUUGAAGGGGAGCACAAUCUAAUUGGAAUAGUGUUCCAUAAUCUGAAAAAUCGUAUUAGAAUAAACUAGUGUUUAAUAUGUUCCAUUGGAAUCAUAGUUGGUUCCCUUCAAAUAGUUGUAGUGAAACAAUUUUGAUUAGUUGAAGGGGAGCACAAUCUAAUUGGAAUAGUGUUCCAUAAUCUGAAAAAUCGUAUUAGAAUCAACUAGUGUUUAAUAUGUUCCAUUGGAAUCAUAGUUGGUUCCCUUGAAAUAGUUGUAGUGAAACAAUUUUGAUUACUUGAAGGGGAGCACAAUCUGAUUGGAAUAAUCUUCCAUAAUCUGAAAAAUCGUAUUAGAAUCAACUAGUGUUUAAUAUGUUCCAUUGGAAUCAUAGUUGGUUCCCUUCAAAUAGUUGUAGUGAAACAAUUUUGAUUAGUUGAAGGGGAACACAAUCUGAUUGGAAUAGUGUUUCAUAAUCUGAAAAAUCGUAUUAGAAUGAACUAGUGUUUAAUAUGUUCCACUGGAAUCAUAGUUGGUUCGCUUCAAAUAGUUGUAGUGAAACAAUUUUGAUUAGUUGAAGGGGAACACAAUCUGAUUGGAAUAGUGUUCCAUAAUCUAAAAAAUCGUAUUAGAAUGAACUAGUGUUUAAUAUGUUCCAUUGGAACCAUAGUUGGUUCGCUUCAAAUAGUUGUAGUGAUCUCUCUAGGUUCCAUUGCAUAUGUUCUAUUUGAAUCCAAAAGAUAAGUUUCUCUUUAGUUGUAGUGAAACAUGUUUCCUUAUUGCAGCAGUAUGUAACAUUUGUUCCAUUCUAAUUUGUUUCUGUUGCAGGAGUGACAAGCAUUGUCCUGGACUCAUGGAGUUCCUUCGCAGCGGCGUCACUUUUGCUUCCGUUGACAUAUGGAACGACAGGCUGAAGAUGAGGCACAACUUCGGUAUUGAGAUACGAGCUGGUUGCCUCGUUGAUCUCCAAACGAUAUUCAGGCUUCGACAUGAGAGGACUUCGAUGGCUCAUAUGGCAGUUGCCUUGAUCGACGAUUCAUAUGGUGAUAUGAAGACCAGUUUCCCAAAGUCUCAGCACAGACUUUGGGAGAAGGGCCCACUUGAUGAUAUCAACAUUCAGUAUGCAGCAAAAGAUGCAUACGUUUCAUACGAGUUGUACCGCAAGAUUCGAGUCGUCAACUAUGGCCAGCGUCACCUCGAGGAAGGUGGGCAUUCUGAUUCAGAUGAUUCAGACGAGUAGUGUUCUUAACGUCGAACACUUGUAUAUAUAUAUCUAUGGUAGCUAUUAUUAUGUACUGUUUGGGCUAGUAUCAUGUACUUCUUGGACCAAUUUACAUAUGUCUAGUUUCUGUUUGUGCCAUUAUAGUUUCCCAAUUUGAAUGGUUUAGCCCUUUCUAACUUCGUUUGCUACUUUUGAAUGGUUUAGCCCUUUCUAACUUCAUGGUAUCAUGCAUUUCGACCACAUAUAUAUACAAAAAGUCUUUAGUUCAAAUAAGUUCAAAUAAGUUCAUGCAUUUCAACAUUUUCAGAGUUCAUUUGUAGUGCUUUUCAAUUUCAGGGUCAACUAGCUCAAAAAAAAUAAGUAAAUGCACGAAAUAUACCAAAUGAAGUCAGAAAUUGUUGAAAUUUUGUGAUGUGCCUUUGAAUGGUGCAUUUUGAACACACAAAAAGUAUGGAGUUCAAAUAAGUNUUUAAAAAAAUGAAAUCCUUUUGUAAGAGAUGAGUUCUCGUUCGAAACCCUGCUACUUCGAGAGAGAUUGUCAGUUUUGUACACGAACUGCAUCCAGUUUUUGUCGUAGCCUUCUCAACUUUUUAACACAUGCUAUGUGGGUGAAAUGACGAUAGCAUGCCAACUUUCAACAUUUUCAGAGUUCAUUUGUAGUGCUUUUCAAUUUCAGGGUCAACUAGCUNNNNNNNNNNNNNNNNNNNNNNNNNNNNNNNNNNNNNNNNNNNNNNNNNNNNNNNNNNNNNNNNNNNNNNNNNNNNNNNNNNNNNNNNNNNNNNNNNNNNUCUUUCAUAUUAUCCUUUCUUUAAUUUCCCCAACAUUGACAUAAUUAGCCCAUUUAGCUCCAAAAUGCCAUAAUAAGCUCAGAAUGGCAUAAGAACCUUGGUGAGCUCAUGAAUAUUAUAUACUUAGCUUGUUUUCCUGUAAAAUGGGAUAAUUAGCCCAUUUAGCUCCAAAAAGACAUAAUUAGGUAAUUUAGCUCCANNNNNNNNNNNNNNNNNNNNNNNNNNNNNNNNNNNNNNNNNNNNNNNNNNNNNNNNNNNNNNNNNNNNNNNNNNNNNNNNNNNNNNNNNNNNNNNNNNNNNNNUCCUUCUCCUCCUUCUUGAUUUCUUCUUCUUCUCCUCCGCCUCCUAUUUCUUCUCCUAUUUCAUAUUAUCCUUGCUUUAAUUUCCCCAACAAUGACAUAAUUAGCCCAUUUAGCUCCAAAAUACCGUAAUAAGCUCAAAAUAGCAUAAGAACCUUGGUUAGCUCAUGAAUAUUAUAUACUUAGCUUGUUUUCCUCUAAAAUGGGAUAAUUAACCCAUUUAGCUCCAAAAAGACAUAAUUAGGUAAUUUAGCUCCAACAAUAAAUAGGAAAAAUGAAAAGAAAGAAAGANNNNNNNNNNNNNNNNNNNNNNNNNNNNNNNNNNNNNNNNNNNNNNNNNNNNNNNNNNNNNNNNNNNNNNNNNNNNNNNNNNNNNNNNNNNNNNNNNNNNNNNNNNNNNNNNNNNNNNNNNNNCCCCAACAAUGACAUAAUUAACCCAUUUAGCUCCAAAAUGCCAUAAUAAGCUAAAAAUGGCAUAAGAACCUUGGUUAGCUCAUGAAUAUUAUAUUCUUAGCUUGUUUUCCGCUAGAAAUGACAUAAUUACCUCAAAACAUCAUAUUUUGUUCUUUUUCUGACUUUCUUAUUCACANNNNNNNNNNNNNNNNNNNNNNNNNNNNNNNNNNNNNNNNNNNNNNNNNNNNNNNNNNNNNNNNNNNNNNNNNNNNNNNNNNNNNNNNNNNNNNNNNNNNUGAAAAGUGUUUCAAAUUGAAUAAAUAAUGCAAAACUAUUUUUUAUUUUCAUAAUUAAUAAUUUUGACUAUCCAAACUAUUAUCUAUUUUGUUAUUUUCAAUUAAAAACUAUGUUUAUUAAAAAUUCUUUUUGCAUAUUUGAGAAUUUAACAAAACUAUGAUAAUGAAAAGUGUUUCAAAUUGAAUAAAUAAUGCAAAACUAUUUUUAUUUUCAUAAUUAAUAAUUUUGACUAUCCAAACUAUUAUCUAUUUUGUUAUUUUGACUUCAUUUGGUAUAUUUCGUGCAUGUACUUAUUUUUUUUGAGCUAGUUGACCCUGAAAUUGAAAAGCACUACAAAUGAACCACUACUGAAAUUCAGAAAUUUGCCGUCUGCCAAGGCGGACGGCAAAGGGGGCAACCAUGGACGGCAAAGGCUUUGCCGUCUGCCCCCUCAUGGCAAAGUAGAUGGUAAAAAAAAUCCGGUGAAGAGGCUCUUUGCCGUCUGCUUUCACAAAGCGGACGGCAAAGAAUCUUUGCCAUGAGGGGGAAGACGGCAAAAUAAGUGGGACGGCAUAUAUUGCAACGUCCCCGUUAAGUGUUAACGGCAGGCCUCCUCUCUUUGCCGUCUGCCUCCCCCCCUUUGCCAUGUGGGGGUAAACGGCAAAGAGGGAGAGAGAGGGGGCAGAUUCUCUCUUUGCCGUCUGCCUCCCCCCCUUUGCCAUGUGGGGGCAGACGGCAAAAAGGGGAGAGAGAGGGGGCAGAUUCUCUCUUUGCCGUCUGCCUCCCCCCCUUUGCCAUGUGGGGGCAGACGGGGGGGGGGGGAGAGAGAGGGGGCAGAUUCUCUCUUUGCCGUCUGCCUCCCCCCCUUUGCCAUGUGGGGGCAGACGGCAAAGAGGGGAGAGAGAGGGGGCAGAUUCUCUCUUUGCCGUCUGCCUCCCCCCCUUUGCCAUGUGGGGGCAGACGGCAAAGAGGGGAGAGAGAAGGGGCAGAUUCUCUCUUUGCCGUCUGCCUCCCCCCUUUGCCAUGUGGGGGCAGACGGCAAAGAGGGGAGAGAGAGGGGGCAGAUUCCCCCUUUGCCGUCUGCCUCCACCCCUUUGCCAUGUGUUGGCAGACGGCAAAGAGGGGAACCAUCCCCUUUUUUAUUUAUUUUUUGUUAUAUCCAGCAUUUUUAACAAUAAUCAGGAUAUAUAUAUAUAUUUGACAUAAAUAAAUUUCUUUUCGUACCCAUAACCAUAUUAAAAUAACUCUCAUCCAUAGUGCAUACAUAUUAUGGAAGUUACAUUCGUACCAAACCUAAUAUUACACCAGUUUCAUCCACGUGCAUACAAAGUUUCAUAUAUUCAUAUACUACAACAGNNNNNNNNNNNNNNNNNNNNNNNNNNNNNNNNNNNNNNNNNNNNNNNNNNNNNNNNNNNNNNNNNNNNNNNNNNNNNNNNNNNNNNNNNNNNNNNNNNNNAAAUGUUGAAAGUUGGCAUGCUAUCAUCAUUUCACCCACAUAGCAUGUGUUAAAAAGUUGAGAGGGCUACAACGAAAACUUGAUGCAGUUCGUUUACAAAAUUAACAAUCUCUCUCGAAGUAGCAGGGUUUCGAACGAGAACUCAUCUCUUACAAAGGGAUUUCAUUUUUUUAAACUUAUUUGAACUCCAUACUUUUUGUGUGUUAAAAAUGCACCAUUCAAAGGCACAUCACAAAAUUUCAACAAUUUCUGACUUCAUUUGGUAUAUUUCGUNGUGCAUUUACUUAAUUUUUUUGAGCUAGUUGACCCUGAAAUUGAAAAGCACUACAAAUGAACUCUGAAAAUGUUGAAAGUUGGCAUGCUGUCAUCAUUUCACCCACAUAGCAUGUGUUAAAAAGUUGAGAGGGCUAUGAAAAAAACUGGAUGCAGUUCAUGUACAAAACUGACAAUCCCUCUGGAAGUAGCUGGGUUUCGAACGAGAACUCAUCUCUUACAAAGGGAUUUCAUUUUUUUAAACUUAUUUGAACUCCAUACUUNNNNNNNNNNNNNNNNNNNNNNNNNNNNNNNNNNNNNNNNNNNNNNNNNNNNNNNNNNNNNNNNNNNNNNNNNNNNNNNNNNNNNNNNNNNNNNNNNNNNGUUGGAAAUAUGCCCUAGAGGCAAUAUACUAAAUUUCUUAUUAUUAUAUUUCCUUGUUCAUGAUAAUCGUUUAUUAUCCAUGCUAGAAUUGUAUUGAUUGGAAGCUCAAAUACAUGUGUGGAUACGUAGACAACACACUGUCCCUAAUGAGCCUUUAAGUACUAGCUCGUUGAUCGAAGAUGGUCAAGGAUUCCUGACCAUAGACACGAGUUAUCAUUUGAUAAGAGGAUCACAUCAUUAGGAGAAUGAUGUGAUGGACAAGAUACAAACUAUAAACUUAACAUACGAUCGUGUUAGUUUAUUGCUACUGUUUUCUGCAUGUCAACUAUCUGUUUCUAUGACCAUGAGAUCAUGCAACUAUCAGGCACCGGAGGAAUGCCUUGUGUGUAUCAAACGUAACAACGUAAUUGGGUGACUAUAAAAGUGCUCUAAUGGUAUCUCUGAAGGUGUAUGUUGGGUUGGCAUGAAUUGAGACUUUGAUUUGUCACUCCGUAUGACGAAGAGGUAUCUCUAGAGCCUACUCGGUAAUGAAAAAUCACAAUGAGCUUGCAAGUAAUGUGACUAAAGAGUUAGUCACGGCAUCUUGUAUUACGGAAUGAGUAAAGACACUUGCCGAUAACGAGAUUGAACUAGGUAUGGAGAUACCGACGAUCGAAUCUCGGGAAAGUAACAUACCGAUGGACAAAGGGAACAAUAUACGAGAUUGAUUGAAUCCUUGACAUCGUGGUUCGACCGAUAAGGAUCUUUGUACAAUAUGUAGGAGCCAAUAUGGGCAUCCAUGUCCCGCUAUUGGUUAUUUACCAGCGAGUGUCUCAGGUCAUGUGUGCAUAGUUCUUGAACAUGCAGGACCUGCACACUUAAAGUUUGGCGACGUUUUAGUAUAGUUGAGUUAUGUAUGUUGGUGACCGAAGGUUGUUCGGAGUCCCGGAUGAGAUCCCGGACGUCACCAGGAGCUCUUGAAUGGUCCGGAUGUAAAGAUUGAUACAUGGGAAGUUCUGUGUUGGUCACUAGAGAAAGUUCGAGCGUCAUCGAUGGCGUACCGGGGGUGCCGGAAGGUUUCCGGGGGUCCACCAGCCCGGAGGGUCCACACGGGCUGUGAGGGAUGCACACCAGCCCCUGCUGGACUUGGUGCACAUCCCCGCCUAAGGCCCAUGUGGCUGGGCUGGUGGAGGGCCAACCCUAUAGGGGCGCGCCACCCUAACGUUGGGGGGGGGGGGGGGGCAAGCCACCCCUAGGGCAGAUGCCCCUUCCUCCUUUGGCCGCUGCCCCUCCCUCCUUUGGCCGCCGCCCCCUAGGGUUGAAUCCCUAGGGCGGAGCCCCUCUCCCCUUCCCCCUAUAUAUAUAGAUGGGGAGAGAGAGGGCUCCAACACACCAAGGCCACGACGCAGCCCUGUCUCUCCCACAUAUCAGUUUUCUCCUCUAGAUUGGUUCCGGUAUUGCUUGGCGAAGCCUUGNNNNNNNNNNNNNNNNNNNNNNNNNNNNNNNNNNNNNNNNNNNNNNNNNNNNNNNNNNNNNNNNNNNNNNNNNNNNNNNNNNNNNNNNNNNNNNNNNNNNCUCUCUCUCUCUCUCUCUCUCUCUCUCUCUCUCUCUCUUCUUCUUCUUCUCUCCUCCUCCUCCUCUUCUUCUUCUCUCUUCUUCUUCUUCUUCUCCUGCUUUUUUUCCUUCUGCUUUUYYUCUUCUAACCUAACUAACUAACCUAAUUAGCCUAAUAAUCUAACCAAAUAAACUAACUAAAUUACCCUAUAUAUAAUAAAAAACUAACCUAAUAAACUAACUAAAGUAAUUAACUUUUUUAAAAAGAAAAACAGGAAAAACUCACCGGCAGGGGGCGGCGGCGGCAGGGGGCGCGCGGCUGGGGGCUCGCCGCAGGGGGGCGKCGGCGGCAGGGGGCGGCGACGGCAGGGGGCGCAAUGCAGGUGGMGCGSGCGCGCGGCAGGGGGCGGCGGCGGCAGGGGGCGCGCCGCAGGGGAGGUGCUCACCGUGGGGGUGGGUCGCCGCGGGGAGGGGAUCCCACGGGGAGGGGUCNCCGGGGGGGGGUGGCUCGCCGCGGGGAGGGGAUCUCGCGGGGAGGGGUCGCCGCCGUGGAGAGAGAGAGUGGUCGGGGUGAGAGAGAGAGAGAGACAGUGAGCGAGGGGGUAACGGCCGUUAUAGGGCGGCCCCUUUGCCGUCCGCCCCCCGACGGCAAAGGGCCGUAUGGCAGACGGCAAAGGCCCGCGGACGGCAAAGGCCGCCGGAUUUCGGACACGGCAGGCAUGGGACCCACGCGUCCCCUUUGCCGUCUGCCCUGGGGCUCUUUGCCGUCUGCUGGCAGACGGCAAAGGACCCACACAUGGAAAAUAGUAUUUUUGCCAUGUGUCAGUUCUUUGUCGUCUGUAUUGUGUCAACUGAUGGCAAAGAGGUUCUUUGCCGUCAGCCAGCAGACGGUAAAGAACUGGCUGACGGCAAAUUUCUGGAUUCCAGUAGUGAACUCUGAAAAUGUUGAAAGUUGGCAUGCUAUCAUCAAUUCACCCACAUAGCAUGUGUUAAAAAGUUGAGAGGGAUACGACCAAAACUGGAUGCUGUUCGUGUACAAAACUGACAAUCUCUCUCGAAGUAGCAGGGUUUCGAAAGAGAACUCAUCUCUUACAAAGGGAUUUCAUUUUUUUAAACUUAUUUGAACUCCAUACUUUUUAUCUGUUCAAAAUGCACCAUUCAAAGGCACAUCACAAAAUUCCAACAAUUUCUGACUUCAUUUCGUAUAUUUCGUGCAUUUACUUAUUUUUUUGAGCUAGUUGACCCUGAAAUUGAAAAGCACUACAAAUGAACUCUGAAAAUGUUGAAAGUUGGCAUGCUAUCAUCAUUUCACCCACAUAGCAUGUGUUAAAAAGUUGAGAGGGCUACGAGAAAAACUGGAUGUAGUUCGUGUACAAAACUGACAAUCUCUCUCGAAGUAGCAGGGUUUCGAACGAGAACUCAUCUCUUACAAAGGGAUUUCAUUUUUUAAAACUUAUUUGAACUCCAUACUUUUUGUGUGUUCAAAAUGCACCAUUCAAAGGCACAUCAUCAAUUUUCAACAAUUUUUGACUUCAUUUGGUAUUUUUCAUAAAUUUAUUGUUUUUUUGAGCUAAAUGACCCUUAAAUUGAAAAGCACUACAAAUCACCUCUGAAAAGAUUGAAAAUUGGCAUAGUAUCAUCAUUUCACCCACAAAGCAUGUGCUAAAUAGUUGAGAGGGUUAUGGCAAAACUAGGAUGCACUUCGUGUACAAAACGGAGAAUCUCUUUCGAAGUAUCACAGAUUCACAUGAAAACUCAUCUAUUACAAAGGGAUUUCAUCUUUUUGAACUUAUUUGAACUCCAGACUUUUUGUGUGUUCAAAAUGCACCAUUUAAAGCCACAUCAUCAAUUUUGAACAAUUUAUGACUGCAUUUUGUAUUUUUCAUGCAUUUACUGAUUUUUUUGAGCUACAUGACCCUUAAAUUGAAAAGCAUUACAAAUGAACUCUGAAAAGGUUAAAAGUUUGCAUGGUUUCAUCAUUUCACCCACAUAGCAUGUGAUAAUAAGUUGAGAGGGUUACGGCAAAAACAGGAUGCACUUCGUGUACAAAACGAACAAUCUCUUUCGAACUAUCAAGGUUUCAUACGAAAACUCACCUAUUACAAAGGAAUUUCAUUUUUUGAACUUAUUUGAACUCCAUACUUUUUAUGUGUUAAAAUGCACCAUUCAAAGCCACAUCAUCAAUUUUCAAAAAAUUCUGACUUCAUAUGGUAUUUUACAUGCAUUUCCUUUUUUUUUGAGCUAAAUGACCAUGAAAUUGAAAAGCACUACAAAUGAACUAUGAAAAGGUUGAAAGGUGGUAUGGUAUGAUCAUUUCACCCACAUAGCAUGUGUUAAAAAGUUGAGAGGGUUACGGCAAAAACUGGAUGCACUUCAUGUAUAAAACAUACAAUCUCUUUCGAAAUAUCACAUUUUAAAUACGAAAACUCAUCCGUUACAAAGGGAUUUUAUUUUUUUGAACUUAUUUGAACUCCGGCCUUUUUGUGUGUUCAAAAUGCACAAUUCAGAGCCACAUCAUAAAUUUUCAAUAAUUUGUGACUUCAUUUGCUAUUUUUCAUGCAUUUAUUGAUUUUUUUAGCUAAAUGACCCUUAAAUUGGAAAGCACUACAAAUGAACUUUGAAAAGGUUGAAAGUUGGCAUGGUAUCAUCAUUCCACCCCACAUAGCAUGUGAUAAAAAGUUGAGAGGGUUACGGCAAAAACUGGAUGCACUUCAUAUACAAAACAGACAAUCUCCUUCGAAGUGUCAGGGUUUCAUACGAAAACUCAUUUGUUACAAAGGGAUUUCAUUUUUUUGAAUUCAUUUGAACUCCAGACUUUUUGUGUGUUCAAAAUGAACCAUUCAAAGCCACAUCAUCAAUUUUCAACAAUUUUUGAAUUCAUUUGGUAUUUUUCUAUGCAUUUACUGAUUUUUUUGUAGCAAAAUGACCCUUAAAUUGAAAAGCACUACAAAUGAACUCUGAAAAGGCUGAAAGUUGACAUGGUAUCAUCAUUUCACCUACAUAGCAUGUGCUAAAAAGUUGAGAGGGUUAUGACAAAAACUGGAGAACUUCGUGUAAAAAAUGGACAAUCUCUUUCGAAGUAUCACAGUUUCAUACGAAAAUUCUUCUGUUACAAAGGAAUUUUAUUUUGUUGAACUUAUUUGAAAUCCAGACUUUUUGUGUGUUCAAAAUGCACCAUUCAAAGCCAUAUCAUAAAAUUUCAACAAUUUCUGACAUCAUUUGGUAUUUUUUAUGCAUUACUGAUUUUUUUAGCUAAAUGACCAUGAAAUUGAAAAGCACUACAAAUGAACUCUCAAAAGUUUGAAAAUUGGCUUGGUAUCAUCAUUUCACCGACAUAGCAUGUGAUUAAAAGUUGAGAGGGUUACGAGAAAAACUGGAUGCACUUGGUCUACAAAACGAACAAUCUCUUUGGAAGUAUAAGGGUUUCAUACGAAAACUCAUCUAUUACAAAAGACAUUUCAUUACUUCACUUUUUCUUUGCUUGUGUUCUUUGAUUAUUGCGCCGUAACCAUGGAUAAUCAGUACUAGGAAAAAGCCUAGUAGUAGCGCGGGUUUAGUGCCUACUAGUAGCGCGGGUAAUCGCGCUACUAGUAAGGCGCUACAGCUAUUACUUACCAGCAGCGCGUGUAAGACGCGCUACUGCUAAGACAUAUAAGUGUCGUACAAGUGCUAUUGAUAAAACAAUAUUAGUAGCGUUCUUCUAAACCCGCGCUACUAGUAAUCUGUUUUUCAUUAUUUUUAAUAUGUAGUGUAUUUAUACGUCGUUAUAUAAAUUUUGAUAGAGUACCAAUUAAGAGGUUGUUAUAUCAUUAUGUUCAUGAAGAAUUAUUAUAUCAUUGUGAUGAAUAAACCUGGAUUUUAUUCAUCUAAAUGAAUCAAAAGUGAUCAAAAGUUGAAUUAGUAGGACGACGAUCCUAGUAAUUCAACUUUUGGUCACUUUUGAUCCAUCCACAUGAAUCUAAUCCGCUUUCCUUCCCGCAAUGACAUAAUAACCAAUCAUGAUCAUAAUAACAAAUCUUCAUGAUAAUCAUGAUCAACAUCAUCAGCAUAUUAAUAUAAAAACUCUUGCAUCAUAUCAUCACUAACAACACUAUAGCGAAUAAUCAUCAUAGUCAUUACCACCAACACUAUUUAAUCAUCAUUUUCGUCAAUGAGACGUCAUAUAACAAGUUGGUGGCUAGUCAUAAUCACAACUCCUCCUCCUCCUCAUUAUCAACUAUAACACAUUUUAGCACAUAAUAACACAUUGUACCUAGGACCUACUCCUCUCUCAUAGUACCUACUCUACCCUCUCUUAGGUAGAAUAUCACAAAACAAGAUAGGCCCGGUCUCUCCAUUAUGGAGAAUGGAGAUCAUCCUGUCUCUAACUCUUACCCUACGCACAGUAUUGCUUCCAAGUAGCUCUCUACGAUUGGCCAUGCAUUUUUUCCAAUCUUUGAUUGUCAUUUCAUCGGUUAUAGAAACCCUGUAUGGACAGGAGUGAUGCAUAUACAUAGGCUACCUGGCCGUGCUGGCCGUAAGCUCAUAAUAUCAACACGACCUCUUGGAAACAUCACAUGAGGCACACAAUCCUUCUGGAUUUUCUGUUGAAAAACAUAGUAAUAACUUUGUAGCUAGCAAUGCAGUUUAGUUUUACAAGAAUUUAUGCAAAAGAUGCACGGAUGUCGUAAUAGUAGAAAAUAUUACCAUGCAAUCUCCAUGCAUGUUACCGUAGUUCACCACGUGCACUAUUGGCACGUAUUGACCAUAAUGUGGAGGAGUUUGCUGAUAGCUAUUGUAAUUCUCAAGAUCAUUAAUAAAUGCGACAAGAUGAUUUUUGUCCUGAUAAGUUAAUUCUGCUUCAUCAUUGUAGUGGUAGGUUCUGUCUACCAUCUCCCGUACAUUUUUUGAAGAAUGAAAAUAAGUUGUAAAUGGAAGUAAGUUGUCAACAAUUUUUAAAUAAACAAUAUAAAUUACUCAAUAAAUAUGGUUGAGAAACUCACAUAAUGGUGGAACUGGAGGCGUCUGCACAUCGACCCAGAUGUCGAUAUUACCUUCAAUUUCAUCUUCCAGACGAAUAUCAAAGGUGAUAAGCAUAUUAGGCUCAAGUGCAUAAGCCUUGCAUAGUGCUACCCAAUUUUUGCACUCAAAAAAGGAGUAGGUGUCUGCAUUGUACAACUUUACGGCAAAAGUAUAAUCAUACUCGAUCCUCAAGUGAACUCUCUUUACCUCCAUAGUUUUUUAGUACUGAAACCUAUCUUAUCCAAGACAUAAAUUCUUGCAUGGCAGGGGAUACGCUAGUAGAAUAGUAAAAAAUAAAAUUAUAAAUUGAAGCAAAAGAAGUCAUGCUUAAUUAAGAAAAAAGACUUGUCAUUGUGACUUACUGUAUCCACUUCGAAGUCCUCAUCCAGCAUGAUGUUGAAGCGCUUAUCAUCAACUAGGUGAGGCACGUCGCACAAGCCGCGCUCGUCUUGACAGUAUUCGCACAUAGUGAAUUUCCUUUCGUCUUCAGACAUUUCCUAUGUUCAUAGUUGAAACAUUUAAAAUCGACCGAAAAGGCAACUACCAGGAAACUUAUAUGAAAGAUCACUAUUAAUUCUAAAACAGAUCACUAUUACACCAAGACAUCCUCUAUAUUAAGAAUGCAUCAUCAUCGACAUCAAUGACAUGGCCACUAGCACUUGCAUUUUCAUCAUCGACAUUUACAACACAUUAUCAUCUAUAUCAACAACAUGGGCAUUGCCGGCAAAACACACGCACUAGGAGGUGCUCCGUGCAAUAACAUACACACAUCAAAUAGAUGACAUAUAACUCAUCAUCAUCUUACUCAUUUAAUAACUCAUGAAAGUCAUACAAGGAGCAACGACAAACCGAAAGAUAACCGAUAUUAUCACUAAUACAUCUCGAAUAUUAUCAUACAAUAUCACAAAUAAAAAUUCAGUUGACGUCUCACGGUGCAGGCGGUGGCAACCGAAAGAUAAGGAACCAUCACCGGAUCAUAGCUCAGGUGAUGUCCCUGGAGAACCUGCCAGGUAUUGGAGAACCUGGCAUCCAACGCAGCCAUGUAGAGACAUACAUGCUCGUCCUCCUCCCUAACACGGCGACGUAACAACUCCGUGGGGCCCGGCUCCCUCGGCACCGAUAAAGGCCCACGCGACUGCCACCAAAGAAGCUCCGGGUCAACGAUGAGACCCGGAUUCCUCACAAAGGUGCGCCCCCCGGAAGGUAGCACCUCCUAGUGCCAGCCCAACGGAGCCUAGUCCCGCACAUGCUGGCGCCUAUCAAGCAGGUGGUCUCCAUCGAGUUGACGACGAGGAUGCGGAAUGGGCAUCGUCGAUGUUAAGACAAAUUCCUCUGAGAAAAUUUUCUUAUUGUUUAAUGUUUUACUUUCUAAUUCUCAUUUAUACAAUAAUCAUCUCAUUUGAAUUCAGCUAGCGCCCACUACCAAAUAUACAAUAAUAAAACACAAUAUAUAUAUUAUGCAAAUAUUUCCGCAACAACAUUGAGGGCCUGAGAAAAUAAAAUGAAUAAUGACAUAAAAUGGCCUAUGUUUUGCAGGAACGUUGAUUCAUUCCUAGUGCGGAAAAUCCCGGACACUCGAUAUAUCGUAGUUUGUAGCACAAGUCAUGUCAAAAUUCACGAAAAAAUUCGAAUGACCUUUGUUAAAAGUGAAAAAAUUGAGCAGCUGCAAUUUGCCGGAACAAAAAUGAAUCAACAUUUCCGGCAUAACAUAGGCCGCUCGGCUUCAUUCCCUGUAAACAACAAAAGGCUCCCUCUCUCACUAAGUAUACACCUAAGUAAAUUCUAUGUUAACCUACUGCCCUAACUAACAACAUGACCUUAUGCCCUAACUAACAACAUGACCUUAUGCCCUAACUAACAACAUAACCUAAUUAACCUAUUUAACCUAGAACCCUUGAACUCUAUAACCCUAGAACAUAACGUAACUAACAUUUGCUAAUUUGUUAAUUGUACUAACCAAUUUAACCUAGAACCCUAGAACAUAACCUACCUAACAUUUGCUAAUCAGUUAAUUGUACUAACCUAUCACUAGUAGAAAACGGGCCUUUGGCCUGGACCAUUUAGUCCCGGCCUGCCUCUGGGUCGGGACUAAAGGCCCGGCCACGUCGCCCCAAUUCUCAAUGCCUCCCUCGAGGCUUUAGUCCCGGCCCGUAAGGAGCCUGUAGUCUCGGUUCGAGUCACAAAGCGGGACUAAAGGGCUACGCGGCGGGCAGUGGUGGUGGCAACCGUUCGUAUACCUCUUUAGUCCCCGUUGGUGGCUCAACCCGGGACUAAAGGACUAACACGUGGCCUGCCGUGGUGGUGGCGACCGUUGGUAUACCUCUUUAGUCCCGGUUGGUGGCUCAACCCGGGACUAAAGGACUAACACGUGGCCUAACGUAGUGGGGCGACUGUUGGCAUACCUCUUUAGUCCCGGUUGGUGGUUGAACCCGGGACUAAAAGCCUAACACGUGGCCUGCCGUAGUGGUGGCAACCAUUUGGUAUACCUCUUUAGUCCCGGUUGGUGGCUCAAACCGGGAUUAAAGGCCCAAAUGGUUUGCAUCCCGCGUCGUUUCGGGAGAUGAAAAGCACGAACCGAAGCGUACAGUCGCCAUUUCUCUGUUCUUCUUCUCUCUCACGUCGCCCUCUCUAUUCUUCUCCUCUCUCGCGUCGCCCUCUCUGUUCUUCUCCUCUCUUCUUCCCUUCUCUUGUUCCACCAUGCCAACUACCUUUCAUGAGGUGGUCGCGCAUGGGACGACCAAGCUCCGUGUCGUGUACACGAACCUGAGCACGGAGGUGCCGUUUUUCCUUCAACAGUUGAAGGAACGAUGGUUUAACCAUGCACCAGAUCAUGAGAAGUUCUUCGGGCUUGAUCUGAAGUACACGGCCGAUCAACGCGGUGUUGCCGUCAUCCAAAUAUGCUUCGCAAGCCAUGUCUUGAUCUUCCAAUGGGGGAGGUAAGUUUUGAGGCUUUCUUUGAUCCAAGAUAAUACAUUGUAUAAGUUUAUUUGUUUCUAUCAUAGUUGGUUCCCUUCAAAUAGUUGUAGUGAAACAAUUUUGAUUACUUGAAGGGGAGCACAAUCUAAUUGGAAUAGUGUUCCAUAAUCUGAAAAAUCGUAUUAGAAUAAACUAGUGUUUAAUAUGUUCCAUUGGAAUCAUAGUUGGUUCCCUUCAAAUAGUUGUAGUGAAACAAUUUUGAUUAGUUGAAGGGGAACACAAUCUGAUUGGAAUAGUGUUUCAUAAUCUGAAAAAUCGUAUUAGAAUGAACUAGUGUUUAAUAUGUUCCACUGGAAUCAUAGUUGGUUCGCUUCAAAUAGUUGUAGUGAAACAAUUUUGAUUAGUUGAAGGGGAACACAAUCUGAUUGGAAUAGUGUUCCAUAAUCUAAAAAAUCGUAUUAGAAUGAACUAGUGUUUAAUAUGUUCCAUUGGAACCAUAGUUGGUUCGCUUCAAAUAGUUGUAGUGAUCUCUCUAGGUUCCAUUGCAUAUGUUCUAUUUGAAUCCAAAAGAUAAGUUUCUCUUUAGUUGUAGUGAAACAUGUUUCCUUAUUGCAGCAGUAUGUAACAUUUGUUCCAUUCUAAUUUGUUUCUGUUGCAGGAGUGACAAGCAUUGUCCUGGACUCAUGGAGUUCCUUCGCAGCGGCGUCACUUUUGCUUCCGUUGACAUAUGGAACGACAGGCUGAAGAUGAGGCACAACUUCGGUAUUGAGAUACGAGCUGGUUGCCUCGUUGAUCUCCAAACGAUAUUCAGGCUUCGACAUGAGAGGACUUCGAUGGCUCAUAUGGCAGUUGCCUUGAUCGACGAUUCAUAUGGUGAUAUGAAGACCAGUUUCCCAAAGUCUCAGCACAGACUUUGGGAGAAGGGCCCACUUGAUGAUAUCAACAUUCAGUAUGCAGCAAAAGAUGCAUACGUUUCAUACGAGUUGUACCGCAAGAUUCGAGUCGUCAACUAUGGCCAGCGUCACCUCGAGGAAGGUGGGCAUUCUGAUUCAGAUGAUUCAGACGAGUAGUGUUCUUAACGUCGAACACUUGUAUAUAUAUAUCUAUGGUAGCUAUUAUUAUGUACUGUUUGGGCUAGUAUCAUGUACUUCUUGGACCAAUUUACAUAUGUCUAGUUUCUGUUUGUGCCAUUAUAGUUUCCCAAUUUGAAUGGUUUAGCCCUUUCUAACUUCGUUUGCUACUUUUGAAUGGUUUAGCCCUUUCUAACUUCAUGGUAUCAUGCAUUUCGACCACAUAUAUAUACAAAAAGUCUUUAGUUCAAAUAAGUUCAAAUAAGUUCAUGCAUUUCAACAUUUUCAGAGUUCAUUUGUAGUGCUUUUCAAUUUCAGGGUCAACUAGCUCAAAAAAAAAAGUAAAUGCACGAAAUAUACCAAAUGAAGUCAGAAAUUGUUGAAAUUUUGUGAUGUGCCUUUGAAUGGUGCAUUUUGAACACACAAAAAGUAUGGAGUUCAAAUAAGUUUAAAAAAAUGAAAUCCCUUUGUAAGAGAUGAGUUCUCGUUCGAAACCCUCCUACUUCGAGAGAGAUUGUCAGUUUUGUACACGAACUGCAUCCAGUUUUUGUCGUAGCCCUCUCAACUUUUUAACACAUGCUAUGUGGGUUAAAUGACUAUAGUAUGCCAACUUUCAACAUUUUCAGAGUACAUUUGUAGUGCUUUUCAAUUUCAGGGUCAACUAGCUCAAAAAAAAUUAAGUAAAUGCACGAAAUAUACCAAAUGAAGUCAGAAAUUGUUGAAAUUUUGUGAUGUGCCUUUGAAUGGUGCAUUUUGAACACACAAAAAGUAUGGAGUUCAAAUAAGUUUAAAAAAAUGAAAUCCCUUUGUAAGAGAUGAGUUCUCGUUCGAAACCCUGCUACUUCGAGAGAGAUUGUCAGUUUUGUACACGAACUGCAUCCAGUUUUUGUCGUAGCCCUCUCAACUUUUUAACACAUGCUAUGUGGGUUAAAUGACUAUAGUAUGCCAACUUUCAACAUUUUCAGAGUACAUUUGUAGUGCUUUUCAAUUUCAGGGUCAACUAGCUCAAAAAAAUAAGUAAAUGCACGAAAUAUACGAAAUGAAGUCAGWAAUUGUUGAAANNNNNNNNNNNNNNNNNNNNNNNNNNNNNNNNNNNNNNNNNNNNNNNNNNNNNNNNNNNNNNNNNNNNNNNNNNNNNNNNNNNNNNNNNNNNNNNNNNNNCUCCUUCUUCUUCUCCUUCUUCUUCUUAUCCUUUUGUCCCCUUCUUCUUAUCCUCCUCCCUCUCCUCCUUCUUCUUCUCCUUUUUCCUCUUCCUUCCUUUCAUUUUCCUCUUUUUCUCUUCUUGUCCCCUUCUUCGGGCUAAAUUGGCUAAGAAUGCCUUUUUGGAGCUAAUUAUGUCAUUUCGAGGAUAAUUAGCUAAGUAUAGGUCAUUUUUUAUUAAAUAGGCCAUUUUGGAGCUAACUAAGCUAAUUAUGUCCUUUCGUAGGAUAAUUAGCCAAUUUAGCCUUUCUUGGAUAAGUCUAAGCUACGUAGAAGAAGAGAUAGAGAAGAAGAAAUAAAAUAAGGAGGAGGAGGAGGAGGAGGAGAAGAAGAAGGAAGAGGAGAAGAAGAAGAAAAGAAGAAGGAGAAGGAGGAAGAAGAAGGAGUAGGAGGAGCUCCUUCUCCUUCUCCUCCUUCUUCUCCUUCUUCUCCUUCUUCUUCUCCUCCUCCCUGUCCUCCUUCUUCUCCUUAUUUUUCCUCUUCCCUCCUUUCAUUUUUCCUCUUUUUCUCUUCUUGUCCCCUUCUUCGGGCUAAAUUGGCUAAGAAUGCCUUUUUGGAGCUAAUUAUGUCAUUUCGAGGAUAAUUAGCUAAGUAUAUGUAAUUUUUUAUUAAAUAGGCCAUUUUGGAGCUAACUAAGCUAAUUAUGUCAUUUCGUAGGAUAAUUAGCCAAUUUAGCCUUUCUUGGAUGAGUCUAAGCUACGUAGAAGAAGAGAUAGAGAAGAAGAAGUAAAAUAAGGAGGAGGAGGAGGAGGAGGAGGAGAAGAAGGAAGAGGAGAAGAAGAAGAAAAGAAGAAGGAGAAGAAGGAGAAGAAGAAGGAGAAGGAGAAGGAGGAAGAAGGAGGAAGAAGAAGGGGAAGGAGGAGCUCCUUCUCCUUCUUCUCCUUCUUCUCCUUCUUCUUCUCCUCCUCCCUCUCCUCCUUCUUCUUCUCCUCAUUUUUCCUCUUCCUGCCUUUCAUUUUCCUCUUUUUCUCUUCUUGUCCCCUUCUUCGGGCUAAAUUGGCUAAGAAUGCCUUUUUGGAGCUAAUUAUGUCAUUUCGAGGAUAAUUAGCUAAGUAUAGGWCAUUUUUUAUUAAAUAGGACAUUUUGGAGCUAACUAAGCUAAUUAUGUCAUUUCGUAGGACAAUUGGCUAAUUUAGCCUUUCUUGGAUGAGUCUAAGCUACGUAGAAGAAGAGAUAGAGAAGAAGAAGUAAAAUAAGGAGGAGGAGGAGGAGGAGGAGGAGGAGAAGAAGAAGGAAGAGGAGAAGAAGAAGAAAAGAAGAAGGAGAAGAAGGAGAAGAAGAAGGAGAAGGAGAAGGAGGAAGAAGAAGGAGUAGGAGGAGCUCCUUCUCCUUCUCCUCCUUCUUCUCCUUCUUCUCCUUCUUCUUCUCCUCCUCCCUCUCCUCCUUCUUCUCCUCAUUUUUCCUCUUCCCUCCUUUCAUUUUCCUCUUUUUCUCUUCUUGUCCCCUUCUUCGGGCUAAAUUGGCUAAGAAUGCCUUUUUGGAGCUAAUUAUGUCAUUUCGAGGAUAAUUAGCUAAGUAUAGGUCAUUUUUUAUUAAAUAGGCCAUUUUGGAGUUAACUAAGCCAAUUAUGUUAUUAGAUGGAAGUCUAGCUAUUUUGGGGCUAACUAAGCUAAUUAUGUCAUUAGAUGGAAGUCUAGCUAUUUUUUAUUAAAACACUAGAAAUAACAUACCUAAGUUAGGGUGAAGCACGGUGGCUCUGGCUUGUUUCACCUGGAGAAGGCUGCCCUGGAGAAGGCUCGACUGUAGAAGGGUCAUGCGAUGCGUUUCGGGACAUAUUCUGCACCAAACAUCGUUUGCAAUGUGUAGUUAGCAUGAGGACACUCUUAAGAUCACUCCACUGAAAUGAAACUCACCGUCCCCGCCACGUUAAUGACUGGCAUCGGCGGAGGGACUUGGCCGUUCUUCUCGCACAUAGACUGUACAUUUGGUUUCGACAAGUCAAACUUUUUAUUUAUUAAUGAAACGGACAUUCAAAUGCAAGAUUUGAAAUAACAUGAAGAAGAAACUUACCACGAAGAGCUCGUAUAUGGCCCUGGUAGACGCUUCAUUCCGUGCCCUCUCCGCCUCCACCAAUGCAGUCGUCCUCUCCUCCAGCUCCCUAAUUUCCUUAUCCUUCUCCGCCAUAGCCGCCUGCAUUGCCGCUCUCUCUUUCUGAAUAGCAGCCUGCAACACAACUCAUUGUUAGCAAUGUAAUCAUAUUGGUUCCAACGCACAACAUAAUGCGGAAAGAUUGUUCAGUCCAUUAAACUAACCUCGAUGGCGAGCUCGACUGGCCGUGGACGACGUGUUAUCUCCGGACAAGAGCUCGUUUGGCGUGCCUUUAUCUACCGGAGAGUGCUAGGACAACGUAUAAGGCCGUCUCCAAUGGCGAUCGAGCCAUGGGGCCUCCCGUUGCCAGCUAUCAUCACCAGCUCUGGAUCAAUUGGCCCCUCGCUCGGGUUAAAGUCCUCCCCUUUCCUCGCCUUCCCGUGAUCUCUGUACUUCACGAGCUUGUCGUGGGAGGAGAUGUUGGUGAAGUUUUCUGGAUGCUCGAGGUCAGACUCACAGAAUGCCUUGACCUUCUUGUACGAGGCAGUAUGGGCCAUCGCAUACAGGUCGUACAUCUGUGGCGCCUCCGUCUUAUUGUGACGCGCCUAAAAGAGAGAGAGCAGAAAAUUGUAUUGGUAAAGGGCUCAAGAUAGCAUUAAGAAUGAAUUGCAUGAGGCAUGAACCAAACCACAUACCCAGUUCUCGCCAAAUUGGAUUAAGUUGACGCUCCCUUGAUGGUGUGGCACGCCAACCAUUUUGCCACGCCUCUCCUUGGCGUUGUUGUGGCUGGUCUCCCACGUUUUGGAGCACCACUGGUCCACCAAGGCCUCCCAACAAUCCAUCUUAUCCACACACCAUCUAGGGGGCACCUAAGUUAAUAAAGAGAAAUUUGAGUGCGUAAGAACCAAAUCAAGGAAACUAACUACAAAGCCUUAAUAAUAUGUAAUUACCUUCAUGUAAUGCUCCUUCUCCAUCUUAGCAUCAUGGCACUUCGCCUUAUCAAUCCUAAUACGCCGCGUGGCAUAGUAGUCUCGAACAGCCUGCACCCGAGCCUCGUGCCGAAAGUUUUGAAGUAGGCGGCGACAUUCGGUUUCGAUAACCUUUGCCGCGUCGUCCUCGUAUCCCUCCUCACACCUGUAGAAGGUCUGCAAACGGGACAACACCGAUUAGUACAAUAAAUAGCUAUGGUUAAUUUAUAAUUGUGUGAAAGAGAAAUUACCCAGAACUUUCGGAUCACCAUGUCCGCCCUCGUGUCACACAAAACACCGUCGAUCUCCACCUCCGGCGGGGCCAGGGCACCCAAGUAGUGCUCCCAGGUCAUCCCUACCUCUCGCUCCCGACCGGGCAACGUAACAAACCCUGGGAAGUUUUGACGGCAAAGAACACCGAGGACGCUGUUGGGCUUGCGGACACCCUUGGCAACAAUCCAACCCCUACAGUAUGACAAAUUAAAGCCAAAACAUUAGAUAUUUGAGAAAACGCGAAGGCAAAAGGUUAAAUAAGAGUAAAUUAACUUACUUGUCCCCAUUUGGCCUAAUCGAGCACCUCUGCUCGGGGGUCGCUGGCACGAGCGGGAGCCCCGAACUACCACGCUGGUAGACGGUAUCCCCCUCACCCAGCUCCUCGUCGCUACCAGCAUGGCAGUUGGCUCUGGCCAGGGAUCCCACUGGGUCUCUUGGGACGUACCCUCAUCCCUGCUGUGCUCCGCAGUCGUGUGGAAGGAAGCCUCUGGGACACGAGUCUCGUGGGUCAAAGGCUCGUCGACCUGAGGCUCGUCGACCCGAGGCUCGUGAACCGGAGACCGUGUAGCCUCCACCUCAGACGAAUCCACCCUAGAAGUCCUCCUGUGCUCAGGUGAAUCAGCUUGGGGUGGUGGCGGAGACCGUGUAUCCCUACCUCUCCCGCGGCCACGUGUACCUUUAGUACAACAUAAAUACCAACAUGAGUAAUAAAAUGUAUAUAAAUACCAAUAUGCAUACAACAUGAGUACAACAUAAAUACCAACACGAAUACAACGUGUACCUUUAGUGCCUCUCGGCUUCGCGGGUGGUCGACCUCCUCUCACGGGGGCCGCUCCUUGCAUACUAGAGAGCAACACUCUCCGAAGAGGCGAGGCCGGAAUGGAAGUACCCAUCCCAUCACCCGCCGACGAAGAAGCAGCCGCGGCAUGCUUUCGACCCUUUCCCACCAUCUUUCAACACCUGUCAUGACAAAGAGUAAAUGAAAUUAGUACAACAUAAAUACCAACAUGACUAAUAAAAAUUGAAUACCUAACAUGAACUCAAAAUUUAUAUAUAGUAUAAUAGUUGAAUACCUGACAUGAACUAAUAACAAUCGUCCUCGUCUAUAUAUGCUUCGGGGUCAAUAAAUGCAUCAUGAUCAUCACUAUCAUCAAUAAAUGCAUCAUCAUCAUCACUAUCUAGAAGAACAUGUGGAAGGCCACCAUUAUGUAAUCGGUCAAGAAGUGACAGGUCAUCCGCAGCAGUAACCUCUUCUUCUUCCAGAUCUUCCUCUUCGGGCUCAGGGGUUAAGACGGAUUCACUGUCACUGUCUACUUCAAUGUUCUGGGGUGAAGUAGAGCGGUUCUUGAAACGUUUCUUGGACAUACGUGUUUCUUGGAAGAAUUCUCCUUCAUAUGUGUCUGGGUUAAUGUGAGGUUCGUAAUCCUCUUCAUUGAGGGUAGGUGGUCUAAAAUGUGGUGGCACAUCAUAAACGACAUCCCAACCUUUGAGAUUUGGAUCAAUUUGGCAGGCCCACGGUAGAUAGAAAACUUGUGUCGCCUGUUGAGACAUAAUAUAGACAUCGGGAACAUCUAAGUGGGUGUUUUGGUUGAUUUCGACUAGUCCUAUAUGUUCAUGAGUCCUUCUAGUCUCCCUCGGCUCAAACCAAUAACAUUUGAAGACUACGACGGUCGGUGGGUUUUCACCAUAGAAUAGAAGUUCAUAAAUUGCUUCAACCCUUCCAUAAUACUCGGUGUCUCCUUCGCCGAUAGCAGAGACAGAACAAUUUGUAGUCUUUAGGUCGGGCAUAGAUAGCUCUUUGCCAAAGGUACGAAAGUGAUACCCGUUGAUGUUGUAUUUGUCAAAUGAACGGACCUUAUAGUCAAAACCAUUAGCGACUUGUCUCAACUCGGCGUCCAUAGACUCUGCAUCAGCCUACAAGUUUAAUACGAAAGAAUGGAUGCAUUAGCCGCAAAUUAGACCAAUAAUUCAAAUGGGCCCUUAAUGGUAAUUAAUUACCCUUUGUUUGAACCAAGAGAUGAAACCAGGAUAGUUGCCUCCAUGCUUUGCGAGAAGCUCAUACUCUUCGACGGAAUCCUUUUCGAUGACCGCUCCAUCCGAGAAUUCGGCGACGUAUCGACUAUAUCAAAUAUCCGGGAAUAAGAGUGGUUCAAAGCAAUUAGAAGUUGCGGAACAAUAAAUUACCGAGAACUUACUCGAUGUACGGCCGCACUUCUGUUAGGUUGGUGAAGAUAUACAAUGAAAUGGUCCGCCAUUCUUCGACAUCCAACGAUUUCCCUUUCGAAGCACCGGAUGGUGCGAGCUUACCUUUGAAUAGGCUGAGGUUGGAUCGAACUUUUUCUCGAUCGCCAUCAUUGUACCGAGGCUUCGGGUUAUGCAAAUGAUAAUUUUUGGCUUCGUAGUGUGCUGUCACGAAGUUUGCCGCCUCCUCAGUAAUGAAUGCCUCGGCCAUCGAUGCUUCAAUUCUACGUUUAUUUUUACACUUAGCUCGAAGCGUCUUCUGCAUCCUCUCAGUUGAGUAGCACCAUUGAUUUUGAACGGGCCCCCCCAUUCUUGCCUCGGUCGGGAGAUGCAAAAUCAAAUGUUGCAUUGGAUUAAAGAAGCCCGGUGGAAAGAUCUUUUCUAAUUUGCAGACCAACUCCGGCGCCAACUCUUCCAUUUCAUCUAGCACGCCAGGCGAUAGUUCUUUCGCACGAAGAGAACGGAAGAAAUAGCUCAGCUCUGCCAGUACUAGCCAUUCAUCCUCAGGGAUAAAGCCACGCAACAUCACCGGCAUUACCCGCUGAAUCCAUAUGUGCCAAUCAUGACUCUUGAGCCCAAAUAUUUUCAAUUUCUCAAGACUUGCUCCCCUCUUUAGAUUCGCAGCAUACCCAUCGGGGAACAUCAACCGCAUUUUCACCCACAAUAGCAUUUCCCUCAUAGCUGGCCUUUCAAGAUUGAACCAUGCCUUUGGCUUCGCUAUGCUUUGCUUUCCUUUCCGUUGUCGCAAGUUUUGCAACGGUCUAUCACAUAGAGCCUCCAGGUCGAUUCUAGCCUUAGGAUUAUCUUUUGACUUCCCCUCUAUGCCGAACAAUGUACCAAAAAUGGCCUCCGCAAUAUUCUUUUCAGUGUGCAUCACGUCAAUGUUGUGUGGGCAAAGGAGGUCUUUGAAGUAAGGGAGAUCCCAUAAGCAUGACUUGUGAGUCCAGGCGUGUUCCGUAUUAUACCCUUUGAAGUAUCCUGGACGCAAAGGAUCGGGCUCGAGAGCGUUUAACUGAUCAAGGGUCUGUUGGCCUGUCAACGCAGCUGGUGCAGUGUUUUUGACAACUCUACCUUUGAUGAAAUUCUUCUUGUCUUUUCUGAACUUAUGGUCAGGAUCCAGGAAUUGUCUAUGCAUGUCGAAGCAAGAAUACUUGCGACCAUCCUGCAGCCAACGGAACUGAAGAGCUGCCUUGCAUGUGGUGCACGGGAACCUUCCAUGCACACACCAGCCAGCGAAUAGCGCAAACGCCGGAUAAUCAUGCGUCGAGUACAUGUACCACACAUGCAUUUUGAAAUUUGUUUUGGUAGCCGCGUCGUAGGUCUUGAUCCCAUUAUCCCAGGCUUCUUGCAACUCAUCCUUAAGCGGCUGCAUGUACACAUUCAUAUUCUUCCCCGGAUAGUUGGGCCCUGGAACUAUCAACGUCAGGAAAAUGUUCUUUCUUUUCAUAAUCUCUCCGGGUGGCAAAUUUAGUGGAAUGACAAAUACAGGCCAACAACUGUAUUGUGCUGCCGUCAUACCAUACACAUUGAACCCAUCCGUGCUGAUGGCAACUCUAGGUUGCCUUGGAUCUUCCGAUUUAUCCUUAUGUAAUGCAUCGAAGUGCCUCCACGCAAAACCAUCUGAAGUGUGUACCAGCAUCUUGUUCCCAUCCGCAUCUAGUUCGGUUCUUUUGCCCAAUUUGUGCCAUGUCAUCUGUCCGGCCGUCUCUUCGACCAUGAAAAGACGUUGAAGUCUUGGUACGAUUGGCAAAUAUUGAAGAACACUAAUGGGGAUUUUGGUCUGAUUCUUCUCACCCAUGCCGUUGUCUACCACAAUAUACCUGGAAGAAUUGCAAAUGGGGCAAUAGUUCAAGGCCGCAUACUCAAGCCUAAAUAAGGCACAUCCAUUCUCACAGGCAUGUAUCUUCUCAUAGGGCAUCUUAAGUACACGGAGGAUUUUCUCCGACUGGUACAGGUUUGCAGGCAGUACAUGGCCUUUGGGUAGAAAGCGUCCAAAUAUCGUCAUCAUCGCGUCGUAGCAUUCUCUGCCUAGGUUGAGUUGAGCCUUCAGAGCCAUUACUUGCGCGAUGACAUCCAGCUGACAAAGCUCAGUCUGCUCGUGGAGAGGACAUUUUGAAGACUCCAGCAUUUCAUAGAAGGCCUUUGCAGAUUCCUCCAUCUCAUCGUCCGAAUCCCGAGCAUCAUCAAAGUCUUGCACCAUGUCUUCAAUCCCGGUACCAUGCUCGUCGGUGCGACGACGAAUCACCUCAGCUCUGGCACGUUGGUCAGACUCACCAUGAAAAGUCCACACCGUAUAAUUAGGCGUAAAACCCCACUUCUGCAAGUGUUUACCCAUUUCAAACUCUGUCUGCUUUUUCCAGUUGUCGUAGUUGGGACACGGGCACCAUGUUUUUUGCUGGCCAUUUGCAAAUGCGGCUCUCACAAACCCCCUGGUUUUUGUUAACCAUUCAUGGGUCAUGUCUUUCUGACUAGGGUGACCAGUGUACAUCCAAGCACGAUCACUCAUGUUGCCUAGCUACCUAUGGGGGCACAAGAAAUAAAUACAUAAUUCAUCAUCUAUAUUCAUACGCUAAUCAAGUUUGUCAGUUUUAUUACGUCCAUGCAACCUACACGCUAAUAGGUAAAGAUAGGUCCUAAUCCCACCCGAGUAUGUGUAGACUGGGUUCGUUUUCCCGUGCUCUGCUCCAGAUGCGACGCAGAAUUUCGGCAGCACCUCCCCGCUGUUCUCCUGAUACACGUCUCGGCAAUAAGCAGAGAGGAUGUGUACCCGGAGAACAACAGGGGAGGCACUGACGAAAUUCCGCAUCGGAUCCGGAGCACAGCAUACGGGAAAACAAACCCAAUCUACACAUACUCGGGCUGUCGAUGGAUAAUGUUGGACAAUUCGAAAGGAUGGCGGUUAUAAAUAUGCAAAGAAAUGCAUAUUUAUAGAUGUCGCCCUUUCGAACGGGAGACGCAUACUGGUCACGCAUACUCAUGAUUGAAGAAACCUAUAGCUAGCAAGUUUCAUCGGCACGAAGACCGGGACAGAGCAAAUUGAGGGGGUAGGAGGAGAAGUCAUUUGUGCUCACCAACAAACGCAAGGGCGGAGCUCGUCCAACGCACGUGGAGGUCGUCGAACAACUGCACAUUGAAAUUCACCCGAUCAACACAAAUACGAUGUUUUUAUAAUUAACAUGAUCGGAAAAUAUGUGACCUAACUCAUAAUUUACAAAACUAUGACCCCGUGGGCCUCUGGAAGGCCGAAAAGCACCUUCUCGUUCAAAAGAAGGCAGAAGAGGUGUCGGGGGUCGGGGCUUAGUGGCGUCGGGAGUCAGUGCCGUCGAGGGUCGGUGGCAUCGGGGGUCGGGGGGUUAGUGGCGUCGGUUGUGGGGGGUCAGUGGCGUCGGGGGUCCAGGGUCAGUGGCGUCGGGGGUCCAGGGUCAGUGACGUCGGGUGUCAGUGGCGUCGGGGGGUCGGGAGUCGUGGGCCGAGGGUCUGGGUCGGGGGCAGUGGCGUCGGGGUCGAGGGUUAGUGGCGUCNNNNNNNNNNNNNNNNNNNNNNNNNNNNNNNNNNNNNNNNNNNNNNNNNNNNNNNNNNNNNNNNNNNNNNNNNNNNNNNNNNNNNNNNNNNNNNNNNNNNUCUCUCUCUCUCUNUNUNUCUUCUUCUUCUGUUCUUCUUCUUCUUCUUUCUUUUCAUUUUGCCUAUUUCUUCUCCGCUUCUCCUCAUGUUGGAGCUAAAUUACCUAAUUAUGUCUUUUUKGAGCUAAAUGGGCUAAUUAUCCCAUUUUAGAGGAAAACAAGCUAAGUAUAUAAUAUUCAUGAGCUAACCAAGGUUCUGAUGCCAUUUUGAGCUUAUUAUGGCAUUUUGGAGCUAAAUGGGCUAAUUAUGUCAUUGUUGGGGAAAUUAAAGCAAGGAUAAUAUGAAAGAGGAGAAGAAAGAGGAGGAGGAGGAGAAGAAGAAGAAAUCAAGAAGAAGGAGGAGAAGGAGAAGGAGGAGAASNNCUAKMUCCUCCUYSKCCUCCUCCUCCUCCUUCUCCUUCUUCUCUUCUUCUUCUUCUUCUUUAUUUUUAUUUUUCCUAUUUCUUCUCCUCUUCUUGGAGCUAAAUUACGUAAUUAUGUUUUUUUGGAGCUAAAUGGGCUAAUUAUCUCAUUUUAGAGGAAAACAAGCUAAGUAUAUAAUAUUCAUGAGCUAACCAAGGUUGACCAAGAAUGAAAUGGUCCAUUAUUGAUAAUUACCGUUUGUUUGAACCAAGAGAUGAAACCGGGAUAGCCGCCUCCUGUCUUUGACAGAAGCGCAUAAUCUUCGACGGAAUCAUUUUCGAUCACCGCUCCAUCCGAGAAUUUGACGAUGUAAGGGCUGUUUGAAAUAUCCGGGAAUAAGAGCAGUUCAAAUGAAUUAGAAGUUACGGGAAAAUGUGUCGAGAACUCACUCGAUGUACGGCCGCACUUCUGGUAGGUUGUUGAAGAUAUACAACGAAAUGUUCCGCCAUUCUUCGACAUCCAACGUUAUUGGUUUCGAAGCACCGACUGGUGCGAGCUUCCCUUUGAAUAGGCUGAGGUUGGACCCACCUUUUUUAUGGUCUGCAUCAUUGUGCCGAGGCUUCGGAUUAUGCAGAUGAUGAUUUUUGGCUUCGUAGUGUGCUGUCACAAAGUUUGCCACCUCCUCAGUAAUGAAUGACUCAGCCAUCGAUGCUUCAAUUCAACGCUUAUUCUUACAUUUAGCUCGAAGGGUCUUCUGCAUCCUCUCAGUUGCAUAGCACCAACGAUCUUGCACGGGCCCACCCAAUCUUGCCUCGGUCAGUAGAUGUAAAAUCAAAUGCUGCAUUGGAUUAAAGAAGCCCGGUGGAAAGAUCUUCUCUAACUUGCACAACAACUCCAGUGCAAACUCCUCCAUGUCUUCUACCACGCCAGGCGACAAUUCUUUCGCACAAAGAACAUGAAAGAAAUAGCUCAGCUCCGCCAGUACUAGCCAUUCAUCCUCGGGAAUAAAGCCACAUAACAUCACCGGUAUUACCCGCUCUAGCCAUAUGUGCCAAUCAUGACUCUUGAGACCAAAGAUUUUUAAUUUUUCAAGACUCGCUCCCCUCUUUAGAUUCGCUGCAUACCCAUCGGGGAACAUCAAGUGCAUUUUGACCCACAAGAUAAUUUCCCUCAUAGCUGGCCUUCCAUGAAUGAACCAGGCCUUUGGCUUCGACCACUUCUGCUUUCCUUUGCCUUCUCGCAUGUUUUGUAAUGGUCUAUGACAUAGUGUCUCUUGAUCGACUCUAGCCUUAAUAUUAUCCUUUGUCUUCCCAUCUAUGUCGAACAAUGUACCAAAAAUAGCCUCUCCGAUAUUAUUUUCAGUGUGCAUCAUGUCGAUAUUGUGUGGAAGAAGGAGGUCUUUGAAGUAAGGCAGAUCCCAGAAGCAUGGCUUGUGAGUCCAGGCGUGUUUUGAAUUAUAACCCUUGAAAUACCAUGGACGCUCUGGAUCAGGCUCGAGGGCGUUUAACUCAUCCAAGAUCUGUUGGCCUGUGAACGCAGGUGGUGCCAAGUUCUUGACAACUUUACCUUUAUUAAAGUUCUUCUUGUCUUUUCUGAACUGAUGGUCAGGAUCCAGGAACUGUCUAUGCAAGUCAAAGCAAGAAUACUUCCGACCCUCCUGCAACCAAUGAAACUGAAGAGCUGCCUUGCAUUUGGGGCACGGGAACCUUCCAUGCACACACCAUCGAGAGAAUAGUGCAUACGCUGGCAAGUCAUGCAUAGAGUACAUGUACUGUUGGAAUUAUGCCCUAGAGGCCAUAAUAAAUAUAGUUAUUAUUAUAAUUCCUGUAUCAAGAUAAUCGUUUAUUAUCCAUGCUAUAAUUGUAUUGAAUGAAGACUUAUAUACAUGUGUGGAUACAUAGACAAAACACUGUCCCUAGCAAGCCUCUAGUUGGCUAGCCAGUUGAUCAAAGAUAGUCAGGGUCUUCUGAUUAUGAACAAAGCGUUGUUGCUUGAUAACUGGAUCAUGUCAUUAGGAGAAUCACGUGAUGGACUAGCCCAAACUAAUAGACGUAGCAUAUUGAUCGUGUCAUUUUAGUGCUACUGUUUUCUGCGUGUCAAGUAUUUGUUCCUAUGACCAUGAGAUCAUAUAACUCACUGACACCGGAGGAAUGCUUUGUGUGUAUCAAAUGUCGCAACGUAACUGGGUGACUAUAAAGAUGCUCUACAGGUAUCUCCGAAGGUGUUCGUCGAGUUAGUAUGGAUCGAGAGUGGGAUUUGUCACUCCGUGUGACGGAGAGGUAUCUCGGGGCCCACUCGGUAAUACAACAUCACACACAAGCCUUGCAAGCAAUGUGACUUAGUGUAAGUUGCGGGAUCUUGUAUUACGGAACGAGUAAAGAGACUUGCCAGUAAACGAGAUUGAAAUAGGUAUGCGGAUACUGACGAUCGAAUCUCGGGCAAGUAACAUACCGAAGGACAAAGGGAAUGACAUACGGGAUUAUAUGAAUCCUUGGCACUGAGGUUCAAACGAUAAGAUCUUCGUAGAAUAUGUAGGAUCCAAUAUGGGCAUCCAGGUCCCGCUAUUGGAUAUUGACCGAGGAGUCACUCGGUUCAUGUCUACUUGGUUCUCGAACCCGCAGGGUCUGCACACUUAAGGUUCGACGUUGUUUUAUGCGUAUUUGAGUUAUAUGGUUGGUUACCGAAUGUUGUUCGGAGUCCCGGAUGAGAUCACGGACGUCACGAGGGUUUCCGGAAUGGUCCGGAAACGAAGAUUGAUAUAUAGGAUGACCUCAUUUGAUUACCGGAAGGUUUUCGGAGUUACCGGGAAUGUACCGGGAAUGACGAAUGGGUUCCGGAUGUUCACCGGGGGGGGCAACCCACCCCGGGGAAGCCCAUAGGCCUUGGGGGUGGCGCACCAGCCCUUAGUGGGCUGGUGGGACAGCCAAAGAAGUCCCUAUGCGCCAUAGGAAGAAAAUCAAAGAGAAAAAAAAGGGAGGUGGGAAAAAGGGGAAGGACUCCUCCUUCCAAACCUAGUUGGAUUCGGUUUGGAAGGGGAGGACUCCCCCCCCUUGGCUCGGCCGAACCCCUUGGUGGUCCUUGGACCCCAAGGGAAGGCUCCCCCUCUUCCUCCUAUAUAUACGGAGGUUUUAGGGCUGAUUUGAGACAACUUUGCCACGGCAGCCCGACCACAUAUCUCCACGGUUUUACCUCUAGAUCGCGUUUCUGCGGAGCUCGGGCGGAGCCCUGCUGAGAUAAGAUCACCACAAACCUCCGGAGCACCGUCACGCUGCCGGAGAACUCAUCUACCUCUCCGUCUCUCUUGCUGGAUCAAGAAGGCCGAGAUCAUCGUCGAGCUGUACGUGUGCUGAACGCGGAGGUGGUCCGUUCGGCACUAGAUCGUGGGACUGAUCGCGGGGCGGUUCGCGGGGCGGAUCGAGGGACCUGAGGACGUUCCACUACAUCAACCGUGUUCACUAACACUUCAGCUGUGCGAUCUACAAGGGUACGUAGAUCGAAUAUCCCCUCUCGUAGAUGGACAUCACCAUGAUAGGUCUUCGUGCGCGUAGUAAAUUUUUUGUUUCCCAUGCGACGUUACCCAACAGUGGCAUCAUGAGCUAGGUUCAUGCGUAGAUGUCUUCUCGAGUAGAACACAAAAGUUUUUGUGGGCGGUGAUGUGCGUUUUGCUGCCCUCCUUAGUCUUUUCUUGAUUCCGCGGUAUUGUUGGAUCGAAGCGGCUUGGACCGACAUUACUCGUACGCUUACGAGAGACUGGUUUCAUCGCUACGAGUAACCCCGUUACUCAAAGAUGACUGGCAAGUGUCAGUUUCUCCAACUUUAGUUGAAUCGGAUUUGACCGAGGAGGUCCUUGUAUAAGGUUAAAUAGCAAUUCAUAUAUCUCCGUUGUGGUGUUUGCGUAAGUAAGAUGCGAUCCUACUAGAUACCCAUGGUCACCAUGUAAAACAUGCAACAACAAAAUUAGAGGACGUCUAACUUGUUUUUGCAGGGUAUGCUUGUGAUGUGAUAUGGCCAACGAUGUGAUGUGAUAUAUUGGAUGUAUGAGAUGAUCAUGUUGUAAUAGAUAAUAUCGACUUGCACGUCGAUGGUACGGCAACCGGCAGGAGCCAUAGGGUUGUCUUUAAACUAACGUUUGUGCUUGCAGAUGCGUUUACUAUUUUGCUAGGAUGUAGCAUUAGUAGUAAUAGCAUGAGCAGCACGACAACCCUGAUGGUGACACGUUGAUGGAGAUCAUGGUGUGGCGCCGGUGACAAGAAGAUCGUGCCGGUGCUUUGCUGAUGGAGAUCAAGGAGCACGUGAUGAUGGCCAUAUCAUGUCACUUAUGAAUUGCAUGUGAUGUUAAUCCUUUUAUGCACCUUAUUUUGCUUAGAACGACGGUAUCAUUAUGAGGUGAUCUCUCACUAAACUUUCAAGACGAAAUUGUGUUCUCCCAGACUGUGCACCGUUGCUACAGUUCGUCAUUACGAGACACCACGUGAUGAUCGGGUGUGAUAGACUCAACGUUCACAUACAACGGGUGCAAACCAGUUGCACACGCGGAACACUCGGGUUAAGCUUGACGAGCCUAGCAUCUGCAGACAUGGCCUCGGAACACAUGAGACCGAAAGGUCGAUCAUGAAUCAUAUAGAUGAUAUGAUUAGCAUAGGGAUGCUUACCACUGAAACUAUACUCAACUCACGUGAUGAUCGGUAUUGAGAUAGUGUAAGUGGAUCAUGAACCACUCAAAUGACUAGAGAUAUGUACUUUUUGAGUCCACUUUGAAUAUAGUCUUGAACAUAGUCUAAGUCCACUAUGAAUAUAUUUGUGUUGUAGAUCAUGGCUCACGCGACAGUCACCCUGAAUUUUAAUACGUUCCUAGAGAAAGCUAAGUUGAAAGAUGAUGGAAGCAACUUUGUAGACUGGGCUCGUAAUCUUAAGCUAAUCUUACAAGCUAGGAAGAAGGAUUAUGUCCUUAAUGCUGCACUAGGAGAUGAACCACCCGCUACGGCUGACUAGGAUGUUAAGAACGCUUGGUUAACACGUAAGGAGGACUACUCAGUAGUUCAAUGUGCAGUCUUGUAUGGCUUAGAACCGGGACUUCAACAUCGCUUUGAGAGUCAUGGAGCAUAUGAGAUGUCCCAGGAGUUGAAGUUUAUCUUUCAGAAGAACGCCCGGAUCGAGAGGUAUGAGACCUUCGAUAAAUUCUAUGCUUGCAAGAUGGAGGAGAAUUCGUCUGUCAGUGAACAUGUGCUCAAAAUGUCUGGGUACUCAAACCGUCUAGCUGAGCUGGGGAUUGAACUCCCGCAAGAGGCUAUCACUGACAGGAUCCUUCAGUCACUGCCGCCAAGCUAUAAAGGCUUUGUGUUGAACUACAACAUGCAAGGGAUGAACAAGUCACCCGGCGAGUUGUUUGCGAUGCUGAAAGUCGCAGAGUCUGAACUCCAUAAAGAGCAUCAAGUGUUGAUGGUGAAUAAGACCACUAGUUUCAAGAGAAACGGCAAAGGCAAGACGGGUAAUUCAAAGAAGAGCGGCAAGCCUGUUGCCAAUCCGAUGAAGAAACCCAAAGCUGGACCUAAGCCUGAAACAGAGUGUUACUAUUGCAAGGGUAUGGGUCACUAGAAGCGCAACUGCCCCAAGUAUCUGGCUGAUAAGAAGGCGGCCAAAGAAAAAUCAGGUAUAUUUGAUAUACAUGUUAUUGAUGUGUACUUAACCGGCACUCGUAGUAGUGCCUGGGUAUUCGAUACCGGUUCUGUUGCUCAUAUUUGCAACUCGAAACAGGAACUGCGGAAUAGACGAAGGCUGGCGAAAGAUGAAGUGACGAUGCGCGUAGGAAAUGGUUCCAAGUUUGAUGCAAUCGCCGUCGGCACAGUUUCACUUCAGUUACCAUCAGGAUUAGUUAUGAACUUGAAUCAUGGUUAUUUAGUGCCUGCGUUGAGCAUGAACAUUAUAUCUGGAUCUUGUUUAUUGCGAGACGGUUACUCUUUUAAUUCAGAGAAUAAUAGUUGUUCUAUUUCUAUGAGUAACAUCUUUUAUGGUCAUGCACCCAAUGUGAGAGGAUUGUUCAUAUUGAAUCUUGAUAGUGAUACACACAUACAUAACAUUGAGACCAAAAGAGUUAAAGUUAACAAUGAUAGCGCCAUAUUUUUGUGGCACUACCGCUUAGGUCAUAUUGGUGUAAAGCGCAUGAAGAAACUCCAUGCCGAUGGACUUUUGGAGUCACUUGACUUUGAUUCACUUGACACGUGCGAACCAUGCCUCAUGGGCAAGAUGACUAAAACUCCGUUCUCCGGAACAAUUGAGCGUGCUAGUGACUUGUUGGAAAUCAUACAAGGGUACGUAGAUCGAAUAUGCCCUCUCGUAGAUGGACAUCACCAUGAUAUGUCUUCGUGCGCGUAGGAAAUUUUUUGUUUCCCAUGCGACGUUCCCCAACAUGUACCACACAUGCAUUUUGAAGUUUUUUUUUCUAGCGGCAUCGUAUGUCUUGACCCCAUUAUCCCAAGCUUCUUCCAAUUCAUCCUUAAGCGGUUGCAGAUACACAUUCAUAUUCUUCCCCGGAUAAUUGGGCCCUGGAAUUAUCAACGUCAGAAAUAUGAUCUUUCUUUGCAUAAUCUGCCUAGGGGGGAGAUUGAGUGGAAUGACAAAUACAGGCCAACAACUGUAUUGGGUUGUCGUCAUGCCGAAGGGAUUAAAACCGACCGUGGCGGCACAGACUCGAGGAUUCCUUGGAUCUGUCGCUUUAUCUUGAUGCAAUCCAUCGAAAUGUUUCCACGCUUCCCCAUCCGAUGUGUGUACCAUCAUCUUAUUCCCAUCCGCAUCUAGUUCGGUUCUUUUGCCCAAUUUGUGCCUUGUCAUCUGUCUGGCUGUCUCUUCGACCAUGAAAAGACGUUGAAGUAUUGGUACGAUUGUGAUAUACCGAAGAACACUAACUGCGAUUUUGGUCUGCCUCUUCUCACCCAUACCGUUGUCUAUCACAAGAUACUUGCAAGACUCACAAUUGGGACAAUAGUCCAAGUGUUCAUACUCCUUCCUAAAUAAGACACAUCCUUUCUCACAUGCAUCUAUCUUCUCAUAGGGCAUCUUAAGUACACGAAGUAUUUUGUCCGACUGGUACAGGUUUGCAGGAAUGACAUGGCCUUUGGGUAGGAAACGUCCAAAUAGUGUCAUCAUCGCGUCAUAGCAUUCUCUUCCCAAGUUGAACUGAGCCUUCAGAGCCAUUACUUGUGCAAUUGCAUCCAGCUGACAGAGCUCAGUGUGCUCAUGGAGAGGACGUUUUGAAGACUCCAACAUUUCACAAAAGGCCUUUGCAGAUUCCUCCAUCUCAUCUUCCGAAUCCCGAGCAUCAUCAAAGUCUUGCACCAUGUCUUCCAUCCCGGUACCAUGCUCAUCCGUGCGACGACGGACCACCUCAGCUCUUGUGCGUUGUAUAGACUCACCAUGAAAUGUCCACACCGUAUAAUUAGGCUUAAAACCCCUCCUCUACAGGUUUUUAGUCAUUACAACCUCUGUCGUCUUUUUAUAGUUGUCGCAUCCAGGACAGGGGCAAUAGUUUCUUUCCUGGCCAUUUGCGAAUGCGGCUUUCACAAAUUGCUUUGUUUUUAAAAACCAUUCUUUCGUCAUCUCUUUCUGCCUAGGGUGACCGGUAUACAUCCACGCACGAUCACUCAUCUUGCGUAGCUACUAAAGACAGAAGAAAUAUAUUUAUAUAUAAUUUAGCAUUUAUAUUCAUCGGUUAAUCAGGUUCGCCAUUUUUAUUAUGUCCAGGCAACCUACAUGCUAAUAGGUAAAGAUAGGUCCUAAUCCCACCCGAGUAUGUGUAGAUUGGGUUCGUUUUCCCAUGCUCUGCUCCGGAUCCAAUGCAAAAUUUCGACAACACCUCCCCGCUGUUCUCCUGAUACACGUCUCCGCAAUAAACAGAGAGGAUGUGCAUCCAGAGAACAGCAGGGAGGCACUGAUGAAAUUCCGCAUCGGAUCCAGAGCACAUCAUACGGGAAAACGAACCCAAUCUACACAUGCUCGGGCUAUCCAUGGAUAAAGUUGGACAAUUCGAAAGGAUGGCGGUUAUAAAUAUGCAAAGACAUGCAUAUUUAUAGAUGUCGCCCUUUCGAACGGGAGACGCAUACUGGUCACGCAUACUGAUAAAUUAAUUGAAUUACCUAAAUCUAGAAAGUUUCAUCCGGAAACCGAGCCACAGUAAAUGAAGGGGCGGGGAGGAGAUGAAAUUUGUACUGACCCACGAAUGCAGGGGCGGAGCUCGUACAACGCACGGGCAGGUCUUCGCACAGCAGACCUCACAGCGACGAGACAACUACCACAUGUAAAUCCACCCGAUCAACGCAAAUAUUCCAAUUAUGUCAUUUUAGAGGAAAACAAGCUAAGUAUAUAAUAUUCAUGAGCUAACCAAGGUUCUUAUGCCAUUUUGAGCUUAUUAUGGUAUUUUCGAGGUAAAUGGGCUCAUUAUGUCAUUGUUGGGUUAAUUAAAGCAAGGAUAAUAUGAAAGAGGAGAAGAAAGAGGAGGAGGAGGAGAAGAAGAAGAAAUCAAGAAGAAGGAGGAGAAGGAGGGGGAGGAGAAGGACUAGAAGGUCCUUGGCCUUCUCCUCCUCCUCCUCCUCCUCCUCCUCCUUCUCCUUCUUCUCUUCUUCUUCUUCUUCUUUAUUUUAAUUUUUCCUAUUUCUCCUCCUCUUGUUGGAGCUAAAUUACCUAAUUAUGUCUUCUUGGAUCUAAAUGGGCUAAUUAUCUCAUUUUAGAGGAAAACAAGCUAAAUUUGGAGGAGAAACUUACCGUAGUGGUCAUCAACGAGGAGAAACACCACGGUUGCUCGCGGCGGCUUCGUUUGGAGACGGUUGCCCUGGAGAAGGGUCGUGCGAUGCCGCUUGGGAGUUAUUCUGCAGAGAAGAUAUUUUGCAAUGUCUUAGUUUGCAUGAUGACACUCAAUUAUUAAUACUAGUUUAUAAUGAAACUCACCGUGCCAAUCGAAGAGAAGACGGGCAUCGGCGGAGGGACUUGACCGCUCUUCUCGCACAGACCCUGAAGAGUGGGUCGUAUUAGUUGGUAUUGAAACAUACAUUACACACAUGAUUUGGCUAAUGUGAAUAAAACAUACCACAGAAAGCUCGUACAGGGCCCGUUGACCCGCCUCAUUCCGAGCCCUCUCCUCCUCAAGCAAUCGUGCUCUGGUCUGGUCCCUCUCAUCAAGAGCAGCCUGAAGAGCAGCCUGGCUUGCCAAUCUCUCUUUCUCAAGAGCAGCGUGGUUUGCCGCUCUCUCUUUCUGAAGAGCAGCCUGAAACACCAUUCCUCGUUACCACAGUAAUGAUCUAUGGUGACACAGAUAAUGAAAUGGAUGAAAGUGUUCUUAGUCCAUACAACUAACCUUGAUGGCAAGUUCGACUGGCCGUGGACGACGCGUUAUCUCAGGACAGUUGCUCGACUGGCGCGCCUUGAUCUCCGGAAGAGUGAGUGGACAACGUAUUAUCCCAUCUCCAAUGGCUAUCGAGCCAUGGGGCCUCCCGCCACCAGAUAUCAUCACCAGCUCUGGAUCCAAAGGUUCCUGGCUAGGGUUAAAGUCAUCCCCUUUCGUAGCCUUCCCCGCGUCCCUGUAUGCCACGAGCUUCUGGUGGGAUGAUAUGUUGGUAAAGUUAUUGGGAUCAUCCAGGUCAGACUCAGAGAAUGCCUUCGCCUUCUUGUACGAGGCAGUAUGGGCCAUGCCAUAAAGGUCGUACAAGUGUGGCAUCUCAGUCUUAUUGUGAUGCGCCUAAAAGAGAGGAACACAAUAUUAGCAUCAAGAAUGAAUUGCAUGAAUCAUGAAGCAAAUCACAUACCCAGUUUCGUCCAAACUGAAGUAAGUUGGCGCUGCCUUGAUGGUGUGGCACACCAACUAUUUGGCUACGCCGAUCCUUCGCAUUCUCGUGGAUGGCUCGCCAGCUGCGUGUGCACCACUCAUCAACAAACGCCCCCCAACAAUCCAUCUUAUCCGCACACCAUCUCGGGGGCACCUGUAAGUUAUUAGAAAGAAUUUUCAGCGCUACGCCUAUGAAUGAAAUCAAGAAAACUACGUAGAAGGACUUAAGAAUAGGUAAUUACCUUCAUGUAUUGCUCCUUCUUCAGAAACUUUCCAAAUCAAUCCUUCUUCGUCUUCUUAAUACCACGCGUGGCGUAGUAAUCUCGAAUAGCCUGCGGCCGAGCCUCGUGGCGCAAGUUCUGUAGUAACCGCCUACACUCGACCUCGAGAACCCUGGCCGCCUCCUCCUCAUAUCCAUCCUCACACCUAUAGAAGGUCUGCAAUCAAACGUGAAAACACCGAUUAGUACAAUAAUUAGCUAUAUUGUUAAUUUUAGAUCCUGUAAAAGGAUAAUUUACCCAAAAGCUCUUGAUCACCAUCUCGGCCCUCGUGUGGCACAAGACACCAUCUAUAAUCUCCUCCGGCGGGGCCUGCGCAGCCUGGUAGUGCUCCCAGGUAAAUCCUAGUGUAGGAACCUGACCCUCACCACGCAACGUGAAAACCCCGGGGAAAUUUGUCUGGCAAAGCACACAAUGGACGGAGUUCGGCCUGCGGACUCCAAGAGGGUGUACCCAUCCCCUGCAGUAUGAUAAGGUCAGCGCAUUAGAUAUUUGAAUAAACUUGAAGGCAAAAGCUAAAAAAGGGUAAAUGUACUUACCUAUCUCCUUCAGGUUUAAUCACCGGCCUCUGCUCGCGGGUAGCCGGGGCGACCGGGAGACGUGUACUACCACGCUUGUACACGGUGGCCCCGUCCACCUGCACAUCGCCCUCACUAUCCGUAAGCUCAUCCCCGCCAUCCCCGCCCCCUGAGCCACCCGGACCCUCGGUCCAAUCCGGCAACUCGGUACGAUCCGGCCAGAUCUCCCAUCCGGCCCUCUCCACGUCGGGUGAAGCCUCCGGAACCCUAGUCUCCUCCGGCUGCUCCUGGGCCGAAUGCACCUCGACCCGAGGCUGCUCCUGGACCGGAGUCUCAUGGGACGAAUGCCCGUGAACAGCAGGCUCCUGGACCGGAGUCCCCGUAGCCUCCUCCGCAAACGGGUCGACCGUACUAGUCCUAUGCUCGGGUGAAUGAGCUAGUGGUGGUGGCGAGGACGGCUCAACAGUCCUCCUGGAUCUUCCGCGGCCACCACCUCUCCCUGUACCCUUCCCCUCCUUCCCUACCCGACCAGCACCUCUCCCAGUGGGCAAUGCCGCCGACAAAGAAGAACCCACGGCUGGUGUCGAAAGACUGUCUGCCAAGGCUCUACAGAGAGAUAGGGGUGGAAGGGAAGUACCACCCCUCGUGCGGGGCGCCUCGGAAGAACCCGUCGAGCGAUCUCGACCCGCGCCCACCAUCUUUCAACACCUGCCAUGAUAAAGAUUAAAAGAAAUUAGUACAACAUAAAAAAAWUUGAAUGACUGACAUGAAUAAUAAUAUGUACAUGAAUAAUAAAGAUUAAAAUAUAUAUAAUUUAAGUUGUGAAUCUUACAAACUAAUAAUCAUCAUCAAUAAAUGCAUCAUCAUCAUCACUAUCACGCAUGUCUUCAUGAAUGACGUGCUCAUCGGGUUCAACGGCGUGAAGUUGUGAAAGGCCUUCCUUUAAUCGUUGAAGCAUUGACAGGUCAUCCGCAUCAGUAACCUCUACGAGUUCCAGGUCUUCUGGUUCCGGCUUAGGGCUAGAGUCGGAUUCAUUGUCGCUGUCUACUUCCAUGUUCUUGGAUGAAGCACGACGGUUCUUGAAACGUUUCUUGGAAAGACGUGUUUCUUGGAAGAAUUCUCCAUCAUAUGUGUCUGGGUUAAUGUGAGGUUCAUAAUCCUGUUCAUUUGGGAGAGGUGGUCUGACAUGUGGCGGCACUUCAUAAACAACAUACCAACCUUCCAUAUUCUUAUCCGUUUGGCAUGCCCACGGUAUAUAGAAAACUUGGGUCGCCUGUUGAGCCGUAAUAUAGACAUCGGGAAUAUCUAAAUGGGUGUUUGGAUUGAUUUCGACUAGUCCUAUAUGUUCAUGACUCCUUCUAGUCUUUUUCGGCCGGAACCAAUAACAUUUGAAGCCUACGACGUUCGGUGGGUUCUCACCAUAGAAUUGAAGUUCAUAAAUUGCUUCAACUCUUCCAUAGUACUCGAUAACACCUUCGCCGAUAGCAGAGACACCACAAUUUGUAGAUUUCCAGUCGGGCAUAGAUAGCUCUUUGCCAAAGGUACGAAAGAGAUACCCGUUGAUGUUGUAUUUCUCAAAUGAACGGACCUUAUAGUGAAAACCAUUAGCGACUUGUCUCAAUUCGGCGUCCAUAGACUCUGAAUUAGCCUACAAGUUUAAUACGAAAAGGUUGUUGCAUUAGCCGCAAGUUAGACCAAGAAUGAAAUGGUCCAUUAUUGAUAAUUACCGUUUGUUUGAACCAAGAGAUGAAACCGGGAUAGCCGCCUCCUGUCUUAGUCAGAAGCUCAUAUUCUUCCACGGAAUCAUUUUCGAUCACCGCUCCAUCCGAGAAUUUGACGACGUAACGGCUGUUUGAAAUAUCCGGGAAUAAGAACCGUUCAAAUGAAUUAGAAGUUACGGGAAAAUGUGUCGAGAACUCACUCGAUGUACGGCCGCACUCCUGUUAGGUUGUUGAAGAUAUACAACGACAUGUUCCGCCAUUCUUUGAUAUCCAACGUUAUUGGUUUCGAAGCACCGGCUAGUGCGAGCUUCCCUUUGAAUAGGCUGACGUUGGACCCACCUUUUUUAGGGUCUCCAUCAUUGUGCCGAGGCUUCGGAUUAUGCAAAUGAUGAUUUUUGGCUUCGUAGUGUGCUGUCACAAAGUUUGCCACCUCCUCAGUAAUGAAUGCCUCAGCCAUCGAUGCUUCAAUUCUACGCUUAUUUUUACAUUUAGCUCGAAGGGUCUUCUGCAUCCUCUCAGUUGCAUAGCACCAACGAUCUUGCAAGGGCCCACCCAAUCUUGCCUCGGUCGGUAGAUGUAAAAUCAAAUGCUGCAUUGGAUUAAAGAAGCCCGGUGGAAAGAUCUUCUCUAACUUGCACAACAACUCCGGUGCAAACUCCUCCAUGUCUUCUACCACGCCAGGCGACAAUUCUUUCGCACAAAGAACACGGAAGAAAUAGCUCAGCUCCGCCAGUACUAGCCAUUCAUCCUCAGGAAUAAAGCUAUGUAACAUCACCGGCAUUACCCGCUCUAGCCAUAUGUGCCAAUCAUGACUCUUGAGACCAAAGAUUUUUAAUUUUUCAAGACUCGCUCCCCUCUUUAGAUUCGCUGCAUACCCAUCGGGGAACAUCAAGUGAAUUUUGACCCACAAGAUAAUUUCCCUCAUAGCUGGCCUUCCAAGAUUGAACCAGGCCUUUGGCUUCGACCACUUCUGCUUUCCUUUGCCUUCUCGCAUGUUUUGUAACGGUCUAUGACAUAGUGUCUCUUGAUCGACUCUAGCCUUAAUAUUAUCCUUUGUCUUCCCAUCUAUGUCAAACAAUGUACCAAAAAUAGCCUCUCCCAUAUUCUUUUCAGUGUGCAUCAUGUCGAUAUUGUGUGGAAGAAGGAGGUCUUUGAAGUAAGGCAGAUCCCAGAAGCAUGGCUUCUGAGUACAGGCGUGUUUUGAAUUAUACCCCUUGAAAUACCCUGGACGCUCUGGAUCAGGCUCGAGGGCGUUUAACUAAUCCAGGAUCUGUUGGCCUGUGAACGCAGGUGGUGCCAAGUUUUUGACAACUUUACCUUUGGUAAAGUUCUUCUUGUCUUUUCUGAACUGAUGGUCAGGAUCCAGGAACUGUCUAUGCAAGUCAAAGCAAGAAUACUUCCGACCCUCCUGCAACCAAUGAAACUGAAGAGCUACCUUGCAUUGGGGGCACGGGAACCUUCCAUGCACACACCAUCCAGAGAAUAGCGCAUACGCUGGCAAGUCAUGCAUAGAGUACAUGUACCACACAUGCAUUUUGAAGUUUUCUUUUCUAGCGGCAUCGUAUGUCUUGACCCCAUUUUCCCAAGCUUCUUCCAAUUCAUCCUUAAGUGGUUGCAGGUACACAUUCAUAUUCUUCCCUGGAUAAUUGGGCCCUUGAAUUAUCAACGUCAGAAAUAUGUUCUUUCUUUGCAUAAUCUGCCCGGUGGGGAGAUUGAGUGGAAUGACAAAUACAGGCCAACAACUGUAUUGGGUUGCCGUCAUGCCGAAGGGAUUAAAACCAUCCGUGGCAUUGCAGACUCGAGGAUUCCUUGGAUCUGCCGCUCUAUCCUGAUGCAAUCCAUCGAAAUGUUUCCACGCUUCCCCAUCCGAUGUGUGUACCAUCAUCUUAUUCCCAUCCGCAUCUAGUUCGGUUGUUUUGCCCAAUUUGUGCCAUGUCAUCUGUCUGGCUGUCUCUUUGACCAUGAAAAGACGUUGAAGUCUUGGUACGAUUGGCAUAUACUGAAGAACACUAACUCCGAUUUUGGUCUGCCUCUUCUCACCCAUACCGUUGUCUAUCACAAGAUACUUGCAAGACUCACAAUUGGGACAAUAGUCCAAGUGUUCAUACUCCUUCCUAAAUAAGACACAUCCUUUCUCACAUGCAUCUAUCUUCUCAUAGGGCAUCUUAAGUACACGAAGUAUUUUGUCCGACUGGUACAGGUUUGCAGGAAUGACAUGGCCUUUGGGUAGGAAACGUCCAAAUAGUGUCAUCAUCGCGUCAUAGCAUUCUCUUCCCAAGUUGAACUGAGCCUUCAGAGCCAUUACUUGUGCAAUUGCAUCCAGCUGACAGAGCUCAGUGUGCUCAUGGAGAGGACGUUUUGAAGACUCCAACAUUUCACAAAAGGCCUUUGCAGAUUCCUCCAUCUCAUCUUCCGAAUCCCGAGCAUCAUCAAAGUCUUGCACCAUGUCUUCCAUCCCGGUACCAUGCUCAUCCGUGCGACGACGGACCACCUCAGCUCUUGUGCGUUGUAUAGACUCACCAUGAAAUGUCCACACCGUAUAAUUAGGCUUAAAACCCCUCCUCUACAGGUUUUUAGUCAUUACAACCUCUGUCGUCUUUUUAUAGUUGUCGCAUCCAGGACAGGGGCAAUAGUUUCUUUCCUGGCCAUUUGCGAAUGCGGCUUUCACAAAUUGCUUUGUUUUUAAAAACCAUUCUUUCGUCAUCUCUUUCUGCCUAGGGUGACCGGUAUACAUCCACGCACGAUCACUCAUCUUGCGUAGCUACUCCAGCACCGCUGCUAUUGUUCUAUGUAUAAGGUUUUCCCUACUAGUGAAUCUUCAUCGUUUAACAGGGUGCUUGGGUCAGCCUUUACUUUGAAGGGAGGAACUUCAUGAAACUUUUCAUAAUCUUCACACAUGUCUGUCUUGCCCUCCAAUCCCACGAUGUCUCUUUUUCCUGAAAGAACUAUGUGGCGCUUUGGCUGAUCGUAUGAUGUAUUCGCUGCCUUAUAUUUUCUUUUUCUCGGUUUGGUAGACAUGUCCUUCACAUAGAAAACCUCAUAGAAAACCUACGCCACAUCAUUGGCUAGGACGAAUGGUUCGUCUGUGAACCCAAGAUUGUUCAGAUCCACUGUUGUCAAUCCAUAUUGUGGGUCUAUCUGUACCCCACCUCCUGACAUAUUGACCCAUUUGCACUGAAACAAAGGGACCUUGAAAUCAUGUCCAUAGUCAAGUUCCCAUAUGUUCACUAUGUAACCAUAGUGUUGGGACUUGGCGACUCACUGGCGACUGAGAGUGACCUAGCGGGCGGCUCAUACAUUACCCCGUAGGCGACUCAGACAAAUGACGAAGGCCCAAGGCCCGGCGUACACUCUGACAUAAGGCAACUCAUAGAGAGGCUAGGAGGGCCGACUCACACAGAAGGCCCAAGAAGACAAAAGACUCCCACAAGAAGGAAACAAGACCCGGAUUAGGAUUCAAGAGAGACUAGUCCUAUUCCUAGUCCUAGUAGGACUCUACAUGUAAACUUACCCCUUCCACCUAUAUAAGGAGGGGUAAGGCGUCCCAAGAGGGACCAGAUUCACAACUUAGAUCUAGACAAGACAAAUCAUGAGAUAGACAGAUUAGACACCCAUGAGAUUAGAGGUGCCUAGUCUGCACCCUUGUAAUUGAGAUCAUCAUCUUCAUCAAUUAAACACAUCCUCUCAAGCCGCCACAUGGUUGCGAUGGCCUCACACCUAAGUUCUCUCACAAGGACAUCUGCCGUGACAAAACCACGACACAUAGUAUGUGUCCUUUUUCCCAUUCUCGUCUGUUGCAUCAAAGCAAACACCGCUGUUUUGGUUGGUGCUCUUUUGAUAUUGGGCGAUCGUGUAAAAUGUAUUCCCAUUUAUCUCAUACUCUUGGUAAGUCAAUACAGUCGAAGAUGGUGCCCUGGACAAAGAGUACAACUCAUCAGAAAAAAUGUUGUCACCUAUGAGACGUUUUUGCAACCAACUGCCAAACGUCCUGAUGUGUUCGUAUGUAAUCUAGUCGUCACACUGCUUCGGGUGUUUGGAGCGCAGAAUAUUCUUGUGUUCAUCGACAUACGGGGUCACCAAGGUAGAAUUCUGUAGAACCGUGUAGUGUGCUUGAGACCAAGAAUGCCCGUCCGUACAUAUUAUUGAGCCUCGCUCCCUAGUGUGCCUUUUCUAGUCAGUCUUUCCUCAUACCGCGAUUCAGGGAGACUAGGAAUGAAGUCAACACAAAACCAAUGACACCCUCUGUUUGAUGGCACAUGGAGAUGCUUACUUAUGGCCUAGCGCGGUUAUGAACAUAUUUCUUUAAGACUCCCAUGAACCUCUCAAAGGGGGACAUAUUGUGUAGAAAUACAAGGCCCAGAAAUAAAAUCUCGUCGACUAUAUGAACUAGGACGUGUGUCAUGAUAUUGAAGAAGGAUGGUCGGAACACCGGCUCGAAACUAACAAGACAUUGCACCAAAUCACUCCUUAACCUUGGCAGGAUUUCUGGAUCGAUCACCUUCUGAGAGAUUGCAUUGAGGAAUGCACAUAGCUUCACAAUGGCUAAUCGAACGUUUUUCGUUAGAAGCUCCCUCAAUGCAACCGAAAGCAGUUGCAUGAUAAUCACGUGGCAGUCAUGAGACUUUAGGUUCUAGAACUUUUUCUCUGCCUUAUUUAUUAUUCCUUUUAUAUUCAAUGAGAAGCCAGAGAGGAACUUCAUACUGAGCAGGCAUUCAAAGAAGAUUUCCUUCUCUUCUUUGGCAAGAGCAUAGCUGGCAGGACCUUCAUACUGCUUCGGGUGCAUGUCGUCUUUUUCAUGCAUACUUCUUCGUCACGUGCAUCACGUUGAUUGCAGAGGGGACCUCUAGGUCUUUCCAAUAGGAUAAGUCCAAAAAUAUAGAUUUCUUCUUCCACAUGGGUGCGCGUCCCGCAUCGUCAUUUGAAACAGAUAGUCCGCUAGGACCCUUUCCAAAGAUUACUUGUAAAUCAUUGACCAUAUCAAGUAUGUGAUCACCAGUACGGAUGGCCUGUUUCUUCCGGUGAUCCGCCUCACCUUUGAAAUGCUUUUCUUUCUUCCGACAUUGAUGGUUGGUCGGAAGAAAUCGACGAUGCCCCAGGUACACAUUCUUCCUGCAUUUGCCCAAAUAUAUAUUGUCGCUGUCAUCUUAACAGUGUGUGCAUGCGUUGUAUCCCUUGUUUCUCUCACCUGAAAGGUUACUGAGAGCAGGUCAAUCAUUGAUGGUUACAAACAACAACGCAUGUAGGUCAAAUUCCUCCCGUUCGUUCUCAUCCCACACACGUACACCAUUUCCAUUCCAUAGCUGUAAAAGUUCAUCAACUAAUGGCCUUAGAUACACAUCAAUGUCAUUGUCGGGUUGCCUAGGGCCUUGGAUAAGCACUGACAUCAUGAUGAACUUCCGCUUCAUGUACAACCAAGGAGGAAGGUUAUACAUACAUAGAGUCACAGGCCACGUGUUAUGCUCGCUGCUCUGCUCCCCAAAAGGAUUAACGCCAUCUGCACUUAAACCAAACCAUACGUUCCUUGGGUCACGUGUAAAGUCGCUCCACUUUUUCUCGAUCUUUCUACACUGCGACCCGUCAGCGGGUGCUCUCAGCUUCCCAUAUUUCUUACGGUCUUUUCUGUGUCAUUGCAUCAACUCGGCAUGCUUUUUAUUUCUAAACAGACGUUUCAACCGUGGUAUUAUAGGAGCAUACCACAUCACCUUGACAGGAACAAUCUUCGCUGUGCGUUGGCCCUCAACAUCACGAGGGUCAUCUCUUCUGAUCUUAUACCGCAAUGAGCCGCAUACCGGGCAUGCGUUCAAAUCCUCGUAGGCACCGCGGUAGAGGAUGCAGUCAUUAGGGCAUGCAUGUAUCUUCUGCACCUCGAAUCCUAGAGGGCAUAGAACCUUCUUUGCUUCGUACACACUGUCGGGCAAUUCGUUAUCCUUUGGUAGCUUUUUCUUCAUUAUUUUCAGUAGAGAACUAAAUCCCUUGUCACAUACACCAUUGUCUGCUUUCCAUUGCAGCAAUUCCAUGCUAGUUUAAUUAAUUGUACCAACAAAACAUAUAUUUUAUUUUGAGAGACAUUGUAUAAAUGUAGACGUUCACAUACACGCAUGUACACCAUCCAUAUGAAUGCAUGCACACACACUCCACGCCUUUUAACAUUUUCAACAGAGCGAGCCAUCAGAUCUUAUGAUAAAAUGAAAAAUAUUUUGUCCGCACCACUCAAGUCGCAUCUCAGACAAUUUGUAAUCAAGAAAUUCGUGGCUUAUAAUGAAACAAAAAACAAGCAAAGCCGGAAAAAGGUUGUGUAGCAACCAUAUAAUGAAUUGAACGGCUGAAAUUUCCAGCACGCACAAUGUAUCCGACGGCCAUGCUUCUUCACUGAUCCGGUGAAGAUAAGGAACCAGGGAACGUCAGCCACCCCUACCACAUCUGCAUGAAAGAAACGGGGCUAUAUAUACCGUGGUGAACAGGCAAUGGGGGCCUCAAGUGUAGCCGGCAUCAUCCUCUCUACAGUUAAUACAGUACCAUGGCCCCCGCCGUGAUGGCUUCGUCGGCUACCACCGUCGCACCCUUCCAGGGGCUCAAGUCCACAGCCGGUCUCCCCGUCAGCCGCCGCUCCAGCGCCAGCCUCGGCAGCGUCAGCAAUGGCGGAAGGAUCAGGUGCAUGCAGGUAUGUCGGGGCACAAAACUGAUAUGAGUUUCUUCCACAUUACAAUUACUGCACUUAGCAGUUACUAGCACUAAGUGUUAAGCGUUCCAUAAUUUCCAAUCAUUCAGGUGUGGCCGAUUGAGGGUAUCAAGAAGUUCGAGACCCUGUCUUACUUGCCACCCCUCACCACGGAGGCCCUCCUGAAGCAGGUUGACUACCUGAUCCGCUCCAAGUGGGUGCCCUGCCUCGAGUUCAGCAAGGUUGGCUUCGUCUUCCGUGAGCACAACAGCUCCCCCGGGUACUACGACGGCCGAUACUGGACAAUGUGGAAGCUGCCUAUGUUUGGGUGCACCGACGCUACACAGGUGCUUAACGAGGUGGAGGAGGUCAAGAAGGAAUACCCUGACGCUUACGUCCGUAUCAUCGGCUUUGACAACCUGCGGCAGGUGCAGUGCGUCAGCUUCAUCGCCUUCAGGCCACCGGGUUGCGAGGAGUCCGGCAAGGCAUAAACUACGAGGUGAAACAAUGGCCUAUGUCGUAUGAAGGUCUUCUGUGAACUUCACUUUUGUCCACGACUCUGCUUUCCGACUAGAGCAUAAUUUGCAUCUCUAUGAUCUGUGUUUGUACGAGCAUAGGUUGUGGAGCAUAUAUGCAUAUGUAAAUUCUAGCACGGCCUACACAUAUACAACACCUGUGCCAUAUUUAUAAUAUACAACAAGCGGACCAUUGUCUUGCUGUUAAUUAUCGGAAAAGUUUAUUUUAUUUAGCACUGCAAUGGAUGUCUCGCAGCUAGUGGGUGGAAGAUUCCUGUAUUUGACAUUAAGACCCACUGAUUGACAAUUGCAAUUUUCAGUUUCUUUACUUAUAUCAAUAACAAAAUAGCUGUGGUAUCUUUUCCAUGUCACUACCAUCAUUUUCAUCGGUUUUUGCUAGUAGAAUAGGAUGACACAUAUUCUUAGUAGAGACACUUACUAAAGAACUUGUGAUGGUCUGGAUAAUAAGCAUCUAACUGAACUAGAUAUAACAACAACAUUCGAACCAUAUUAUGCAACUAUUGGAAUAAAUCUCCAACAUGCAUUGCAUGAGCUCCUUGAGAAGGAUUGUAAUCAUGCUAGUGAAAAUCAAGAAAAAAAACUCGGAUUUCUGUAAGUACUAUGGAGCAACAGCUCCACCGUCCUUUUUCCAUGAAAACAAAAGCAGGCAAGAAAUAUUUACAAAGGGAACAAAGGAAAAGAAAAAACACUUACCUACUUACCUAUUUAUCUAAUGGAGGUUAGAGCAACCUCAACCGGACGACCCAAACGGAUGCUCAUUUUGUCUGUGUUUUAUACAUUUGGAUCGGCUUGUUCGCCCUGUUUUUCUUUUGGGUGACCCAUGCGCCCAAUGCGCGGACCCUUCUUUCGUCCGCACGACAGGUUUGCGGCCAUUUUUUGAUCUCUUUGUUACAUAUGUUUAAAAUUUAAUCCAAGAUUAACGAAGUUGAAUAAAAAUACAACCAUUUCAUAGUUCACAAACCACAUAAAUAUCUCAUAGUUUACAAGCCAAAUUAACAUUAAAUUGUCUCGAAUACAUUUGAAAGAAAAGGUUGCCAAUACAUCUAUUGGUUUCCAAUAUGAAUGCACAUAUGCUCAACCAAAUCAUUUCGCAGGUACAUGUGACUUUCAAUCACGUAUUUGAUGAUGAAACUCGGCGAACUAUGCAAACGUUAUUGCUCCUCCAUGCACAGGCACAACAUUGUCAUCCUGAUUGGAAUUGCCUACCAGGUAAACCAUUCAAAAGGAUGGAAGGUGUUGCAUAGGAUAAGAUCUUCUUGAUCCAAGUGAUGGCUCCAAUUUGUACACAAUUUUAGAGCUCAUUUGUCGCCUAUUAGCUCCAUAUAGCAUGUUCUAUUCAGCAAAUUACAUGUCCAUAUGCAUGAUAUCCAUUAUUUGUCCUUUCCAUCACAAGGAUUGCGUAAUCAUAAUUCUUUGUUAGUGCUUUUUCGUUUUCUUUGUUUUUGAAUGUUUUGUAGGUGAUGUGGAACUCCCAUCCACUUAACACAAUGAAAAGGAUCCAAAGGUAAGGACUUCCUGGCACCAGAUUUAGGCAUUCGGUUUUUUAGUUGCUCAAAAUCAAUAUCUGAUAUUGUACGUGCAUCAACAUUGUUCUCAUGAUUCCAACGAGCAGAAGAACAUUGAAAACAGAGUUUGGAUGUAAAAGUUACGAUUUUACCAAAGAGUCCAAAGCGUUUAACGACCUUUGGCAUGACCAAAAAUGCUCGUAUCAGGCCCUGACAAGCUCGAAAGUUGCCCUUUCAACAGGAAUUUUUCGAGGAUUUCUUGUUCAGUGCCAUAAAAAAGUGGUACUAUCAUUAUUAACUUUGCAUCUGUUGGCGUCAAUGUUAUGGACAUCAAUAUCACUACUAUCUAGAUUCAACAAGAAUAAACCAUUCACAGUAGCCUCAUGACCAUAAAAGAUGUUAGUCAUAUAAAUAGAUAAACCAUUAUUCUCUAAUUUAACCGAAUAACUGUCUCACAAUAAACAAAAUCUAGAUAUAACGUUCAUGCUCAACGUGGGCACCAAAUAACAAUUAUUUAGGUUUACAACUAAUCCCUGAUGGUAAUCGAAGGGCGAGUGUGUCGACGGCGAUCACAUCAACCUUGGAACCAUUUCCGACGUGCAUCGUCAUUUCGUCCUUUGCCAGCCUUCGUUUAUUCCAUAGUUCCUAUUUCAAGUUACAAAUAUGAGCAACCGAACCGCUAUCAAAUACUAAGGCAUUACUACGAGAGCUAGUAUGAUACACAUCAAUAACAUGUACAUCAAGUAUACCUUUGCUGACAUUGCCACGCUUCUUAUUGGACAGGUACUUAGGGAAAUUCCGCUUCUAGUUACCAGUUCCAUUGCAAUAGAAGCACUCAGUCUCAGGCUUGGGCCCAGCUUUGGGUUUCUUGAGGGGGGGGACUGUCUUCCCGUUUUUCUUUAAGUUUCCUUUCUUGCCCUUGCCUUUCUUAAAACUAGUGGUUUUAUUCACCAUCAACACUUGAUGCUCCUUCUUGAGUUCUACUUCUGCGAUUUUCAGCAUCGCGAAUAGCAUAGAGAUUAGCUUCUUCAUCCCUUGCAUAUUAUAGUUCAUCGUGAAGCCUUUGUAGCUAGGUGGCAGUGACUAGAGAACUAUGUCGGUGAUCGUCUCAGGUGGAAGCUCAACUUCCAACUGAUUCAGGCGGUUGUACCACCCACACAUUCUGAGUAUGUGCUCACUGACAGAACUAUUAUCUUCGAUCUUGCAGGUGAAGAACUUAUUAGAGGUCUCAUACCUCUUGAUCCGGCCAUUUGCUUGAAAUACUAACUUCAACUCCUGGAUCAUUUGAUAUGCUCUAUGGCGUUCAGAAUGGUUUUGAUGUCCCGAUUCUAAGUCGUACAACAUGGCGCACUGAACUAUCGAACAACCAUCACCACGCGCCUGCGAGACGUUCACAAAAUCUGCAGAGGGCACUAGAGGGGUGGCGCCUGAGGCGGUGCAUCAAGGACAUAAGCCUUUUGCGAAACCGUGAGGAUAAUCCUGAGAUUAAGGACCUAGUCUGCAUAGUUACUUCCCUCAUCUUUCAGCUUAUCUUUCUCUAGGUACACAUUAAAAUUCAGGGGAGCUACUGCGUGAGCCACUGAUCUACAACGUAAUUUGCAAAGACAUCUAUAGACUAUGUGUCAUGACAAUGAGUUCAAUCAAUCAUAUUAUUAGAUAACUCCCACUCAAAUCAACAUCCCUUAGUUGUCUAAGUGUGACAUGAUCCAAAUACACCAACCCAAGUCCGAUCAUCAUGUGAGAUGACGUGAUUUCAAUGGUGAACAUAUCCAUUUGAUGAUAUGUACUAUAUGACUCAUGUCCGACCUUUAGGUCUCCUCUAUUCCCAGGCCAUGUUUGUACAUGCUAGGCUCGUCAAGUUUAACCCAAGUGUUUUCCAUGUGCAAAACUGGCUUACAACCGUUGUAUGUAAACGAAGAGUGUAUCACACCUGAUCAUCACGAGGUGCUUCGAAACAACAAACUUUCGCAACAGUGAGGGAUCAACUUAUAAUGCUAUCAUUGUCCUAAGGAGAAUAAGAUGCAUAAAAGAUAUACAUCACAUGCAAAUCAUAUAAGUGACAUGAUAUGGCCAUCAUCAUCUUGUGAUUUUGAUCUCCAUAUCCAAAGCACCGACAUGACACCAUGAUCUCCAUCAUCGUGUCGUCAUGUGGUUGUCGCGCCAACUAUUGCUAACUCAUAGUGAUAAAGUAAAGCAAAUGGCACAAAUAAAUGAAAGACAACCCUAUGGCUCCUACCGGUUGUCGUACUCAUGCAUGCAUGGACAUGGAAGUCGUGAUAACUAUACAAAACAUGAUCAUCUCAUACAUCACAUAUAUCAAAUAACGUUUUUGGCCAUAUCACAUCAUAACAUUCCCUGCACAAACAAGUUAGACAUCCUCUACUUUGUUAUUGUAAGUUUUAUGUGGCUGCUAUGGGAAACUAGCAAAAACCAUUCUUACAUGCUCAAAGCCACAACGGUGAUAUUCAAGUUGCUAUCUAACCCUUUACAAGGACCGCCUCUAUCGACUCCGAUUCAACUAAUUAAAGUGAGAGAGACAGACACCCGCCAUCAACCUUUAUCGAAGCAAGUUACAUAUUAGUUGGUCAAACCGGUCUCUUGUGCGUGGACAAGUAAGGUUGGUCUGAGCCGCUCCAUCCCAGAGUUUCACGGAAUCAAAAUAAUACUAAGGAGCUAAGCAAGAUGAACAUCAACACCCACAAACACUUCGUGUUCUACUUGUGCAUAUCAUCUAUGCAUAAACCUAGCUCAUGAUGCCACUGUUGGGGAACGUUGCUUGGGAAACAAUAAUUUUCCUACGAACACCCAAGAUCCAUCUAUGGAGAUGUAUAGCUACGAGACGGGGAGUGACCUUGUAGAUCGCUAAGCGGAAGAGUUAAGAAAAGUGGUGAUGGUGGUGGUGGUGCAAUCUCAACGGGGCUUUACCAAGCGCUGCUACAGACGCGACGGGGGAUAAAAUUGAUCUCAAGAGAGAGGGAGAGCGCCGACAAAGGCUUGAUGUGUGGUUGCCCUCCCCAUCCUCUCAUAUAUAUAUAGGGAAGGGAGGAUGGGGCCGACACUAGGGUUUCCCCUAGGGGUGGGGGCCGCGGCCUAGGAGCUGGCUUGCCACCCAAGCAAGGGUGGCGCCACCCCUCGGGCAUGCACUUCCACCAGCCCAGUCGCAUGGGCCUAGGUGGGGAGGGGCGCCCAGCCCACCAGGGGCUGGUGCGCGUCCUUCUCAGCCCAUGUGGCCCCUCCGGGGCAGGUGGCACCCUUUCGAUACUCCCGGUACUCUACAUAAUACUUACUAAAGAACUUGUGAUGGUAUGGAUAAUAAGCAUCUAACUGAACUAGAUAUAGCAACAACAUUCGAAACAUAUUAUGGAACUAUUGGAAGAAAUCUCCAACAUGCAUUGCAUGAGCUCCUUGAGAAGGAUUGUAAUCAUGAUAGUGAAAGUGAAGAAAGAAACACUGAUUUUUGUAAGUACUAUGGAGCAACAGCUCCACCGUCCUUUAUUCCACUAAAAAAAAGCAAGCAAGAAAUAUUUAAGAAGGGAACCAAGGAAAAAGGAAACAAACACUUACCUACUUACCUCUUUAUCUAAUGGAGGUUAGAGCAACUCCAACCAGGCGAUCCAAUUGAACAUGUGUUUUGUCCGCGUUUUGUCCAUUUGAGACAGCAUGUCCGCCCUGUUUUUCUUUUAGGCCGGCCUUGUGCCCAAUGCGCCGACCCAUCUUUCGUCUGCGCGACAUGCUUGCGGGCAUUUGUUGAUCACUUUGUCACAUAUGUAUAAAAUUUGAUCCUAGACUAACAAAGUUCAAUAAAAAUACAAAAAAAUCGUAGUUCAGAAACCACAUAAAUAUCUCAUAGUUUACAAGUCAAAUAAACAUUAUAUUGUAUCAAAUACAUUUGAAAGAAGCAGUUGUCGAUACAUAUUUUAGUUGCCAACACGAAUCCACAUAUGAUCAACCAAAUCCUUUUGUAGUUGCAUGUGAGUUUCCCAAUCACGUAUCUGAUGGUGAACUGUGCAAAUGUUAUCCCUCCUCCAUGCACAGGCACAACAUUGUCGCCAUGAAACUCAAAUCCUUGAUCAUAGACACGUUCUGGGCGCUCAUCUUCUACGAUCAUGUUGUGCACGAUCACACAAACAAUAAUCACCUUCCAUCACUUCUGGGUGCCCGAAGUUCUUGCAGGAUACCGAACAAUGCCCCAUCGAGAUUGAAAACACCAUAGGGACGCUCAACAUCCUUCCUAGCACUCUAUUGAUCUUGGGCAUAUCAUGGAAUAAGUCGGCCAGUGACAAGGUAGCAUACCUAGGUAGAGACGACAUAGAUGAGGUGGCUGGGAGGGAUACAGACGGAUGGUUGGCGGCGUCGAUGGAAGGUGGGAUGGACGGGUGAGUUUGAGGCGAAGAGAGAAAGAUGAGAUUGGCCUAUUUGGGCCAGUGGAAAGAAAAGGGCGGGUGUCACGGGCGUCAAUCCCGUGUUCGUGCCGAUGCAAAUGCGGUCAAAUUUGGGCAUGGAAUGGGUCACAGGUGGACAUAAACAAGACGUGUGUCCGUUUGGUUCGCCGCAUUGGGUCGAGUGUUGUGUUAGCGAUGACCCAAACGGACAGGCAUGGACGAAAUGGGUCGGCCGGUUGGAUUUGCUCUUACUAAUCCAAUCUAGGAGCUUUGGUUUUAUACAAGCCUUAACACCAUGUUCAAGAAGAGAUGGCAUGUCCAAGUUUACAACACCAAGUGGGAUUGGUUGACCGCUCCCCUAUGAAGAUAUUGACAUUUCUAAUAAUACAAAUAUUAGUUCCAAGAACACAACUUCAAAUAAGAAAGGGUGUCCAAAUCAUUUACAAGCAGCAUCCAUACAUCGUGUACUAUUUUGUCAAGGGAUCCAAUUAAUCUGCAAAUAAGCCCAAAUCCUUUGACUCAAAUUAUAGGGAGAAAAAGAGGUGGUCUAUUUUCUCAUGUGACAAUAGUGGUUUUCAUCCUGAGGAGAAUGCGAGUGAUCUUCUAAGAGAAAUUUUUCAAGCCUUCAAUCGAUAAAAAAAUAGGAUCUAAGCAAAGAUCUUGAUCUUAGUGGUCCACUGUCAUAUCCAUUUGCAAGGUUCAUAUCUGGGCAAGUGCAUGCAUCAUGGAGUACAAACUCUCAGAAGAAAAUGAUUCUCUUAAUGAAGAACAAGUAAGACAAGGUUGCGGUACGUUGAAGGUUAUGUAACCUACCAUCCACAGGUUGCAAUUCAUCCAUCGCCUCCGGAGAAAUUGGAGGAGCAAAAGAUGGCCCAAUCAGGGUUUUCGACAAAAUCUUCAAUUGAAAUGUAGUCAUCCAAGGCAAAGAAAGGAGCUUUUCCAAGUGGUGUUGAAGAGAUCGAGGAGAUCCCUCAACCAACUAGGUUCACACAAGAACAAGGAAGAGUCGCUCGUACUAACUUUCAUUGAUCAUAUGGUGUUGUACUAAUCGUUAAAUUCAAACAUAUUCAUCCAUGUUGCGACAGGUAUGACUCCAUGAUAGUAAGAAAUCCAUAUCAAAGUUUCCCAUGGAAGAUGAUCUUUGUUAUUAAAUUUGCCUCAAUGUUCUGUAAGAAAAGCUCGGUCUUGAAUAUGAUGGUUAAUGAUACCCAUACCUACCCAUACCACCAUUCUCCUUUGGUUUACAUACCAGAUGAAAUGACGCUAAUGGUUGCUUUGGGCUAUCAGCAUUGCCAUGCCGCCUCAAUUCCCUCAAGUUCAUUAAUUAUACCAGGGGGUCUAGAGACUACACCCAUAGUAUAUAGCACAAAUGAAAUGGCAGAGCUCAAAAUUUCAAUUUACCUUGUCAGAGAUAGAGAAGAGCUAGCUACCAGUCACCUUUUGAUUCUAUCAACCAAAGGCAUUAAGUCCUGGAUCUUGGGCGUAGUGUUACCCAUAGGUAAACCAGGUAAAUGAAAGGAAUCUUACCCAGUUGACACUCAAACAUACUAACCAACGAAAAUAUUCAUCGUCAAUCACAUUCAUAAGCACCAUAGAGGAUUUACAAAAAUUCACUUUCAAACGAGUGGAUUUAGAUAAAGAUUAAAACAUUUCUUUUAGGUCAAUAAGUUGAGAAUCAAUACCCAGCCUGAACAGCAGACUACACAACUCGAGAGUCUAGAUACUGAGAUGGGAUUGGAAAAGAUACCUCCUCACGAUGAUACAUGUUAUUGUGAAUACGCUGAAGUAAAUCCUCUCCCAAGAAAAAUAGAAGUGGCAACAGUGGGUCACCCUAUUAAAUCCUAGGUUUUCAUUGUAAUUGCUAAAAGUAGGUGGAUGUCGCCUAGGGGGCGUGAAUAGGCGUUUUAAAAUAAUUACAUUUUAGGCAAGAAAAAAUGCCCAAUAAAACUAACGUUUAAUUAGUCAAGCACAAAACCUAAAACAACUAGGCUCACCUAUGUACACCAACAAGUUAUGCUAAGCAAGAUCAACAACUAAAUGAUAGCAAGGUAUUUGACGAGAAACAAUAUGUCUAUCACAAAGUAAAGUGCAUAAGUAAAGUGCUCGGGUAAGAGAUAACCGAGGCACGCAGAGACGACGAUGUAUCCCUAAGUUUACAUCCUUGUGGAUGCUAAUCUCCGUUUGGAGUGGUGUGGAGGCACAAUGCUCCCCAAGAAUCCACUAGGGCCAACAUAAUCUUCUCAUGCCCUCGCACAAUACAAGAUGCCGUGAUUCCACUAAGGAACCCUUGAGGGCGGUCACCGAAACUGAAAGCACAUAUGCUCCCUUGGUGGUUUUGAUAAUUCAUGACAACAUACAUUGUCUCUUGCACUAACACUUUCACCUAGUAUAUUUCAGGUAUAGUCCACAAAGAGCAUUGGCUAAAUGAUUGUGUGGAGAAGUUCCAAGGAAAGGAAUAGGAUUGUCCAAGGUUCAAGCAAGAGGACUCUAUAUUUUAUAUUUGUGAGAAAUCAAUUUUGAGUCCAUAAAAAGCCAAUACUAUUAAAAGGGGUGAGGUAUGUGUGAUGAAUUGGUUGUUCAAGUGCUUAGGGAUAGACACAAAAAAUAUUCAGUGAUUCUCCCACAAAUAUAUCUGUCCAAAGCCUUCACAUCAAAAUUGGUGCCACCAAGAAUUCUAUUUCGUCCCUAUCUAUUUUCCGAGUGACAGAUCCUUUGCACAAACCCUAAUCUCUCGGUACCACCAACUUUCAUAUUGGUGCCACCAAAAGACAGUGACCAACUUUUUGGUAUCUCUAUUUCUAGAAUUGGAAUUUCCGAGAUUGAAAUCGGUACCACCGAGAAUUGGAAACUGCCCUAGGUCAUCGAGUCGGUACCACCAAGAUUUCUAUAUCGGUCUCACCAAAAAUUAAAAAGUUGUCACGUUUAGUGCAACUCGGUACCACCGAGAUUAAUUUCGCUGUCACUGAGUUGGGCAAUAAUUUUGUAAUGGUUGGAUUUUGGGAGAUGCCUAUAUAUACCCUUCCACCUCCAUUCAUUCGCAUAGGAAGCACUCAGAACACACUUACACUUGCCAUAUCCAUUUUUUCAGAGAGAGAGCCACCUACUCAUGUGUUGAGAUCAAGAGAUUCCAAUCCAUCCAUUUUAAACUACAUCUCUAGCCUCCCGAAGUUGCUUUCCACCAAAUCAAUCUCUCCUAGCCAUGUCAAAUCUAUGAGAGAGUGAUUGAGUGUUGAGGAGACUAUCUUUUGAAGCACAAGAGCAAGGACUUCAUCGUUCUACCGCAUCUAUUACCUUUUGGAGGGUGGUGCCUCCUAGAUUGGUUAAGUGUUGCUUGGGAGCCUCCUACUUCAUGUUGUGGAAUUGAACCAAGAAGUUUGUACGGGCAAGGAUAUCGCCUACAACGUGAAGAUCUACCCUCAGUGAGGCUAGUCCUAUGUGGACGUAAGCCACGAUGGAAUAUACAAGGCAGCUUCUUCGUGGACCCCUUGUGGGUGGAGCCCUCAAUGGACUCUUGAAGUCGUUACCCUGUGUGCGUUGAAGUCUCCAUUAACGUGGACGUACAAUAGCACUAGCUAUCUAAACCACGCCAAAAAUCACCGUGUCUUCUUUGCGUUUGAUCUUCCUAAACUCUACUCCUUACUUACAUGUGCAAUGCUUUACUUUCCGCUGCCAUAUAUGUUGACUAGCAUGUGUAGGGUGCACUAGACUUGUUAGAAUUGCUAAAAUCUACCAACCAUUAAAAUUGGGAAAAGGCUAGGAUUUUAAUUUUUCCAAUUAGACUAUUCACCCCCUAGACAUCCCUUCUAGUGAUCCCACAAUUUGUAAUAGAUAUUUGGCCUCCAUAGCCUGGGUUUAAUCACCAUUGGAGGAAGAUGGAUGUGCGUAGUUUGGGGAACCUUAGUUGUAGAGUGUCUAUUCUCGAUGGAGAGUAAUUUAGACAAUGGAAAUAUGAAAUGUUUCAUAUAUUGAAUGAAUUCCAUUUGCGCUAGUAUGUUGAAUAUCCCUAUGUGUCUCCCAUUGAUCCCUUACAUCCUUCUCAUGAUGAUGAUGAAGUUAAUAUGCUUGGUAAUGUUAAAACUAUUAAUCUUAUCAUUAGAGGACUGCCAAGAAAUGUGCUUAAGCAAAUGAAGAACUUUGAAUUUGCUUAUACUUUGGGGAAAUAUUUGGAGAAAAGAUACCCCGACUACUGCCAAUAAUAACACUUAGUUUUUGGCUUAGGUCCAGCCUUGGGUUUCUUCGUCGGAGGGGCAACAGAUUUUCCACUCUUCUUGGAGUUACCCUUCUUUCCUUUGUCGUUAUUCUUGAAACUGGUGGUCUUAUUGACCAUCAACACUUGAUGUUCUUUCUGGAUUUCUGACUCUGCCACUUUCAGCAUCACAAACAGCUCGGCGAGUGAGUUAUUCAUCCCUUGCAUGUUAUAGUUCAACAAGAAGCUCUUAUAGCUAGGUGGAAGUGACUGAAGAACUCUGUCAGUGACAGCCUCUUGCAGGAGUUCAAUCCCCAGCUGAGCUAGAUGGUUAGAGUACCCAGACAUUCUGAGUAUGUGUUCACUGGCAGACCCGUUCUCCUCCAUUUUGCAAUCAUAGAACUUAUCGGAGGUCUCAUACCUCUCGAUCCGGGCAUUCUUCUCAAAGAUAAACUUCAACUCCUGCAACAUCUAAUAUGCUCCAUGACGUUCAAAACGUCUUUGAAGUCCUGGUUCUAAGCCAUACAAAACUGCACAUCGAACUCAUGAGUAGUCAUCCUUACGCGACUACCAAGUGUUCAAAACAUCUUUGUCGCCGUAGCGGCUUGUGCAUCACCUAGCGCAACAUCAAGGACAUAUUGCUUUUGGCCAGAUGUGAGGAUAAGCCUCAGAUUACAAGUCCAGUGAACAAAGUUGCUUCCAUCAUAUUUCAACUUAGCUUUCUCUAGGGACGUAUUAAAAUUCAGCAUUGCUACUGCGUGAGCCAUUGAUCUACAACAUAAAUUUUUGCAAAUAUUACUUAGAUUAUGUUCAAGAAAAUUGAAUUUAGCUAAUCAUAUUACUAAUAAACUCCCACUCAAAUUGACAUCCCUCUAGUCAUUCGAGUGUCGCAUGAUCCAAAUUCACUAACUCAAGUCUGGUCAUCACGUGAGUUGAGUAUAGUUUCAAUGGUGAACAUCUACAUGUUGAUCAUAUCAACUAUGUGAUUCAUGCUCGACCUUUCGGUCUCUUGUGUUUCGAGGCCAUGUCUUUACAUCCUAGGCUCAUCAAGUUUAACCCGAGUGUUCCACGUGUGCAACUGUUUUGCACCCUUUGUAUGUGAAGUUGAGUCUAUCACACCCGAUUAUCACCUGUUGUCUCAAAACGACGAACUGCCGCAACGGCGCACAGUCGGGGAGAACACAACUUUAUCUUGAAAUUUUAGUAAGAGAUCACCUUAUAAUGGUACCGUCGUUUUAAGAAAAAUAAGGUGCAUAAAAGGAUUAACAUCACAUGCAAAUCAUAAGUGACAUGAUAUGGCCAUAAACUUGUGCUUCUUGAUCUCCAUCAGCAAAGCACCGGCAUGAUCUCCAUCGUCACCGGCGCCACACCAUGAUCUCCAUCAUCGUACUGCCAUCGAGGUUGUCGCGCUAACUAUGCUUUUACUAAUAAAGCUACUACUAGCGAUAAAGCAAAGCAUCACCAAGGGCAAAAAUAAUUAAAGACAACCCUAUGGCUCCUGCCGGUUGCCGUAGCAUCGACGUGCAAGUCGAUAUUUAACUACUACAACAUGAUCAUCUCAUACAUCCAAUAUAUCAUAUCAUGUAUUUGGCCAUAUCAUAUCACAUGCAUACCGUGUAAAAACGAGUUAGACGUCCUCUAAUUUGUUGUUGCAAAUUUUACGUGGUUGCUAUGGGUAUCUAUUAUGAUCGCAUCUUACUUACGCAAAGCCACAACGCUGAUAUGCAAAUUGCUAUUUAAUCUUCUCCAAGGAACACCUUGGUCAAAUCCGAUUCAACUAAAGUUGAAGAAACAAACACCCUCCAGUCAACUUUAUGCAACAAGUUGCAUGUUAGUCGAUGAAGCCGGUCUCUCGUAAGCGUACGAGUAAUGUUGGUCCGGUCGCUUCGAUCCAACAAUACCGCUGAAUCAAGAAAAGACUAAGGAGGGCAGCAAAUUGAACAUCAACGCCCACAAACUCUUUUAUGUUCUACUCGAGAUAUCAUCUACGCAUGAACCUAGCUCAUGAUGCCACUUUUGGGGAACGUUUCAUGGGAAACAAAAAAUUUCCUACACAUACGAAAGACCUAUCAUGGUGAUUAUCAUCUACGAGAGGGGAGAUCGGAUCCACAUACCCUUGUAGAUCGCUAAGUGGGAAGCGUUAAGAAACGUGGUUGAUGUAGUCGAACAUCUUCGCUAUCCAAUCACGAUCCAUCCCACGAACUGCGUCCCGAUCUAGUACUGAACGGACGACACCUCCGCGUUCAGCACACGUACAACUUGAUGACAAUCUGCGCCUUCUUGAUCCAACAAGAGAGACAAAGAAGUAGCUGAAUUCUCUGACAACACGAUGGCACGGCAGUGAUGGUGGUGGAGCUACUCCGGUAGGGCUUCACCGUGUCGUACUUAACUAGCUACGGGGUGUCACGAAGUAGUGGAGGGAGAGAGGGCUGCACAAAGACUUGGGGUGCAAAAACCCUCUCAAACCUCCACUAUAUAUAGGAGGAACAAGUGAGAGGGUGGCUUGCCUCCUACUCCAAGUAGGAGGGUUUGGACGAGCCCAAGAGGGAGGAGUCCUCCACCAAUUCGGUUUGGUGGAGGACUCCUUCCCAUCUUGUCCACCUCCUUCCUUUUAUUUUCUUUUUUACUUCUUAUUAUUGCUUUUAGCCAUUAUAGGCUUAUUGGGCUGGCCUCAACAGCCCACUAAAGGCUGGGGCGCCACCCAUGGGCCUAUUAGGUCCUAUCCCGAGUGGGUGGCCCCUCCCGGUAAAACCCCAGAACCAGUUCGUCUCUCUCGGUACUUUAGCGGUAAUGCCCGAAAUCUUUCCGAAAGCCUAUAUAUCAAUUGUUGUUUCCGGACCAUUCCGGAGACCCUCGUGACGUCCGAGAUCUCAUCUGGGACUCCAAACAACAAUCGGUUACCAACAUCAAUAAUUCAACAAUACCAAAACGUCACCGAACCUUAAGUUUGCACACCCUGCGGGUUCGAGAACUGUGUAGACUUGAUCGAGACACUCUCCAGCCAAUAUCCAAUAGCGGGACCUGGAUGCCCAUAUUUGAUCCUACAUAUUCUACGAAGAUCUUAUCGGUCCAACCUCUAUGUCAAUGAUUCAGUUAAUCCCGUGUAAUGUUCCCUUUGUCCUUCGGUAUGUUACUUGCCCGGGAAUCGAUCGUCGGUAUCUCUAUACCUAGUUCAAUCCCAUUAAUGGCAAAUCUCUUUACUCGUUCCGUAAUACAGUAUCCCGUGGCUAACUCUUUAUUCACAUUUCUUGCAAGGCUUAUUGUGAUGUUGUAGUACUAAGUGGGCCCCGAGAUACCUCUGCAUCAGAAGGAGUGAUAAAUCCCAGUCUUGAUGCACGCCAACCCAACAUACACUUUCGGAGAUACCUGUAGAGCACCUUUAUAGUCAUCCAGUUACGUUGCGACAUUUAAUACACACAAGAUAUUCCUCCGUUGUUCGGGAGUUGCAUGAUCUCAUAGUCAUAGGAAUAGAUACUUGACACACAGAAAACAAUAGCAACAAAAUGACACAAUCACAUGCUAUGUUUAUAGUUUGGGUCUUGUCCAUCACAUCAUUCCCCCAAUGAUGUGAUCUCGUUAUCCAUUGACAACACUUGUCUAUGGCUAGGAAACCUUAACCAUCUUUGAUCAAUGAGCUAGUCAACUAGAGGUUUACUAGGGACAAUAUUUCGUCUAUGUAUCUACACAUGUAUCUGUGUUUCCAUUCAAUACAAUUCUAGCACUGGAAACAGGAAAUAUAAUAAUAACUAAUUUAUAAUUGCCUCUAGGUCAUAUUUCCAAGAGAGGAAGCUCCACCAUCCAACAAGAAGAAGCUCUCAUGAGUUCGAGAAAAGAGUGGACAAGGAUUAUCCGCUGAAUCAAAUCUUCGUUGACAUACAAACUGGGAGAAUUACUCACUCUAAAACUUGUUUAGGUAACUUUUGGAGCAUUACUCAUUAUCUCUGGCAUAGAGCCUAUGAAGGUACAAGAAUCCCUUCAAGACCCAUAUUGGGUGAAUGCGAUGCAUGGAGUGUUACACAGAUUCACGAGGAAUGACGUUUUUACACUUGUGGAAAAGCCCAAGGACGAGAAAAGCGUCAUUGGUACAAAAUGGGUAUUUGGCAACAAGCAAGAUGAACAUGGUCAAUUUGUACGCAACAAGGCGUGUCUCAUAGCCCAAGGAUACACGCAAGUUGAUACGUCUCAAACGUAUCUAUAAUUUUUGAUGGUUUCAUGUUGUUAUCUUGUCAACUUUGGAUGUUUUAUAUACCUUUUAGAUCUUUUUUGGGACUAACUUAUUAAUUCAGUGCCAAGUGCGAGUUCCUGUUUUUUCUGUGUUUUUGACUCUUUUCAGAUCUGAUUUUGGAACGGAGUCCAAACGAAAUAAAAUCCCCGAAAUAAAUUUUGAGGGCCAAGGCAGGAGGCCCAUAGGGAGCCCACAAGCCGUGACGCUGCGGCCAGGGGGGCCGCGGCGACCAGGCUUCUGGCCUCCCUGGCGCUCCCCUGCCCGAGCUCUUUCGCCUAUAUAUUCCCUAAAAUCCCAGAAAAAAUCAGGGCAUCCACGAAAACACUUUUCCGCCGCCGCAAGCUUCCGUUUCCGCGAGAUCUCAUCUGGAGACCCUUCCCAGUGCCCUGCCGGAGGGGACUUUGGAGUUGGAGGGCUUCUACAUCAACAUCAUCGCCUCUCCAAUGACUCGUGAGUAGUCCACUUCAGACCUACGGGUCCGUAGUUAGUAGCUAGAUGGCUUCUUCUCUCUCUUGGAUCUACAAUACAAUGUUUUCCAUGAUCUUCAUGGAGAUCUAUCCGAUGUAAUCCUCUUUGGCGGUGUGUUUGUCGAGAUCCGAUAAAUUGUGGAUUUGUGGUCAGAUUAUCUAUGAAUUAUAUUUGAGUCUUUGCUGAUUUCUUAUAUGCAUGAUUUGAUAUCCUUGUAAGUCUCUCCGAGUCUUGGGUUUUGUUUGGCCAACUAGAUCUAUGAUUCUUGCAAUGGGAGAAGUGCUUGGUUUUGGGUUCAUACCGUGAGGUGACCUUUCCCAGUGAUAGAAGGGGCAGCAAGGCACACAGGGGAUAGGUGCCAUCAAGGGUAACAAGAUGGGAUUUUAGUCAUAGAUUUGAGAUUGUUCAUCUACAUCAUGUCAUCUUGCUUAGAUGCAUGCUGGAUAGCGGUCGACGUGUGGAGUAAUAGUAGUAGAUAAAGAAAGUAUCGGUCUACUUGUUUUGGACGUGAUGCCUAUAGAUAUGAUCAUUGCCAUAGAUAACGUCAUGACUUUGCACGGUUCUAUCAAUUGCUUGACAGUAAUUCGUUGACCCACCGUCUACUUGCUUUCAUGAGAGAAGCCACUGGUGAACACUACGGCCCCCGGGUCUAUUCACAACUAUCGCUUCCACUUUUACUUUUACUUUGCUUUGUUUACUUUUUGCUUUCAGUUCUCACUUUGCAAACAAUCUAUAAGGGAUUGACAACCCCUUCAUAGCGUUGGGUGCAAGCUCUUUGUGUUUGUGCAGGUACUUGUGACUUGACGCGAUCCUCCUACUAGAUUGAUACCUUGGUUCUCAAACUGAGGGAAAUACUUACCGUCGCUGUGCUACAUCACCCUUUCCUCUUCAAGGGAACACCAACGCAAGGCUCCAAGGCCGCGGGGGAAUCCUUUGCAUAUUUGCCAAGGAAGUUCCUAUAGGCAUAGCCCGUAGCAGAAGGAUUCCUGGCGCUGUUGCCAGGGAGGGUCUUUUGUUGCCGUAGCAGAAGUAUUUCUGGAGCCGUUGACGGGGAGGAUCGCUUGCCAAGGAGUAUCAAGACAGGAAUAAUCUCCCAUCAACACACCUAUUUCUGGCGCCGUUGCCGGGGAGAGAUCAAGUCAAGAUCUAUCCAAGUAGGUGUCACAAACUCAUCUCUUGCAUUUACCUUUUUUCCCAGUUGCCUCUCGUUUUCCUCUCCCCCACUUCACAUUUGCCGUUUUCAUUCGCCUUUUUCGUUUGCCUUUUUGGUUCACCCUUUUCUCUCGCUUGCUUUCUGUUCGCUUGUGUGCCAUGUGCCUUCAAUAUGUUUGCAUCUUCGCUUGCUGAAAAUCUAGUGAUAUGGAUCCUCAUCCACUUGCUAAUCUCUUUAAGAGAUCCAAUUAUGUUGAUCCAAUUGCUAGUGAGUUGAGUGCACUUAUGUAUCUUUAUGGAGUUUUGCUUGAGAUGCGUGAAUCUGAAAAUUGUGAGGAAGAAAUUUAUGAAGUGAUUGACGAGGGCUCCUUGGAUGAAAAGCAUGAUUGCAAUGGUUUCACUAUAAAUUCUAUUAGUGACAAUCAUGCUAAGAAUAUGGAAAACCCUAAGCUUGCAGAUGCUAGUUUUGCUAUGUCCCCUACUUGUUGCAAUGAUCAUGAGUGGGGCGAUGAUUUUUCUUAUGAUCUUGAAAAUUUGUUUAAGCCUCAUGAUGAAUAUGAUAUUUGCAAUAUCAUUGAAAGUGGGUUUGGAGAAAUCAUGACUUUAGUUGAUGAUAAUCCGACUAUUUUUGAAGAGCGUCAACUUUGCAUGCAUGUGGAUCAUGAAAAGAAUAUCCUAUGUGAUAGUUACAUUGUUUAAUUCGAAUAUGAUCCCACAUGUAAUUACUAUGAGAGAGGAAAAUAUUGUGGUAGAAACUUUCAUGUUACCAAAUUACCUCUCGUUAUGUGGAGAUUGCUAUUGUCUCUUUCUUCUUCCUUGCAUACGGUAACUAUUGGUUGUCUUGACAAUCUGUUUUCCUAUAAAAUGCCUAUGCAUAGGAAGUAUGUUAGACUUAGAUGUGAUUUUCCCAUGCUUUAUGAUGCUCUCGUUGUGCUUCAAUUCUUGUCUUUUGUGUGAGCAUCAUUGAAUUAUCAAUGCCUAGCUAAGGGCGUUAAGCAAUAGCUCUUGUUGGGAGGCAACCCAAUGAAUUUAUCUUUUUCUUUCUGUUUUGUGUUUUCCACACUUUCAUAAUUCUGUUAUGAUUGUGUUUUUUGUGUUUCUUUUGCGUUUGUGCCAAGUAAAACUGUUAUGAUUAGUCUUGGGGAUGAUCGUUUGGUCAUGCUGGAAAAGACAGAAACUUUCUGCUCACGAAAAGAAUUUUCAUUUUGUUUCUGUAAGAGCUUUUGAGUUGAUUCUUUUUGCUUCUGAUUUCUAUGCAAAUUCUUCAGACUGUCGUAAUUGGUCGGAAUUUUUGAAGUACCAGAAGUAUACGAAGUAUACAUAUUACUACAGACUGGUCUGCUGUUAAUAGAUUCUGUUUUUGUUGAGUUGGUCGAUUAUUUUGAUGAAACUAUGGAUAGUAUCGGGGGGGGGGGGGUAUUAGCCAUGGAAGAUUGAAAAUACAGUAACCCAACAUCAACAUAACUAGAAUUUAAUUUUCCUAUAGUACCUAAGGAAGUGGUGGUUUGCUUUCUUAUACUAAUGAUAUCACGAGUUUCUGUUUAAGAUUCGUGUUGUGAAGUUUUCAAGUUUUGUGUGAAGUUCUUAUGGACAAAGAGAUAAAGAGUGGCAAGAGCUCAAGGUUGGCGAUGCCCAAGGCACCCCAAGUGGAUUCAAGGAUGCCAAAAAAGCCUAAGCUUGGGGAUGCCCCGGGAAGGCAUCCCCUCUUUCGUCUUCAAUCCAUCGGUAAUGUUACUUGGGGCUAUAUUUUUAUUCACCACAUGUUAUGUGUUUUGGUUGGAGCGUCUUGUACCGUAGGAGUCUUUUAUUUAUUUUGUUCCACAAUAUUCCUUGCUGCACACUUAGAGAGAGAGACAUGCGCUCACUGUGAUUUUGUCGAGCUUCACUUAUAUCCUUUGGUUAGACAAUUCAGCUCACAUGUGUUUCACUUAUAUCUUUUGAGCUUGUUGAUUUUUCUCUAUGUGUUUCACUUCUAUCUUUUAGAGCACGGAACCGCUUGGCGUGGUAGUUGAUCUAUGCUAUGAAAGUAGUCUCAAAAGGGGUAGUUAUACAAAGGAAUAUGAAAACUUCCACCUUCAUGUGCAUUGAGUAGUUAGAGAAGUUUGAUUCAUCUCAAUCAGUUUUGAGUUGUGGUUGUGGUAAUAUUAAAGUUAUAUUAGUAAGGUGUAGUGGAUCUAGAAAUACUUGUGUUGAAGUUAGUGAUUCCGGUAGCAUGCACGUAUGGUGAACCGCUAUGUGAUGAAGUCUGAGCAUGAUUAGUAUAUUGAUUGUCAUCCUUUGUGUGGUGGUCGGGAUCACGCGAUGGUUUAUACCUACCAACCCUUCCCCUAGGAGUAUGCGUUGAAUGCUUUGUUUCGAUUACUAGUAGAACUUUUGCAACAAGUAUAUGAGUUCUUCAUGACUAAUGUUGCGUCCAUGGUCUAGAUGCACUUUCAGCUUCCGCCAUCACUAUCUUCUUUAGUGCCGUGCAACUUUCGCCUGUGCAUAAAACCCACCAUUAGCCUCCCUCAAAACAACCACCAUACCUACCUACUAUGGUUUUUUCAAAGCCAUUCCGAGAUAUAUUGCCAUGAAACUACCACCAUGACAUGUGCCACCACUUCUACAUUGCCAUUGCAUGAUCAUAAGAUAGCUAGCAUGAUGUUUCCAUUGAUGUCUAUGCCAUGCUAGAUCAUUGUCACGGUACACUACCGAAGUCAUUCCAUAUAGAGUCAUCAUUGCUCUAAGUUUUGAGUUGUAAGUGUGAUGAUCAUCAUUGAUGGAUCAUUGUCCCAUGUGAGGAAAUAAAAGAGGCCAAAGAUGCCCACCAAAAAAAAGAAGGCCAAAGAGCCCACCAAAAAAAAUAGAGAGAAAAAGAGAGAAGGGACAAUGCUACUAUCUUUCCACAAUUGUGAUUAUUAAGUACCAUGAUUUUCAUGAUUGAGAGUCUCUCGUUUUGUCACCACCAUAAAGCUAGUGGGAAAUUUUUAUUAUAUAACUUGGCUUGCAUAUUCAAAUGAUAGGCUUCCUCAAAAUUGCCUUAGGUCUUCGUGAGCAAGAAAGUUGGAUGAAGAUGGGGAGGAACCACCUCCUCCUAAUGGCAACCCACACCCUCAGUUUGGCCCUGAGCUCACUGGUGAGCAAUUGUACCAACAGCAAGUGCAUAACUGGCUAGUUCAAAAUGCAGCUCAACCUUAGGGGGCUCCUCCUGCUCAUGAAGCCCCAUAGCAACAGGAUCAGCACAAUGGAUGGGGAGUGUGGCCAGCCUCACCACCAUAGGCACCACAAUUACCUCCUUAUGUCUACAACUUUCAAGCUUGGCUUGCUGCCCAGGGACUACAAGUGCAAGAUGGCCUGCUUCCUGAAGAUAACAUCUCAGAUAGUGCUUCCCAAGCUUGGAAUGAUGCUAUAUCCAACUCCAACAACUCUGCUAGCACCAACCUAUCUGCUGGAUCUCUGAAUCCCCUGGUGAUACACUCUCAAACACAUCAGCUGCAACACUCUGAGGGUCUUUUGAGAAUCUCCCUGGAAGUUCACAAUAGUGGAAUUCGCUUUGGCUUAUCUGAACAUGGAGAAUCAGUGCUCACCCUGCUACUAACUGAUCCAGCUCCAAGACAGCAGCUAAAUGACUUCAUCUUUAGAGCCAUCAAACCUCUAAUGGCUUAUAGAGGCCCUUGGAAUGCUGAUUAUGGUUUCAAGCAUGAAUGCAUGCAGGUGGAAGUUGCAGUUGCUCUGCGUGAUGAUGGCAUAAUAUUUAGCAACACCUAUCCUACUCUCCCCAUGAGCACUACAUCAUCUACUGUUAUCAUAGAAGCACUAUCCCCUGAGCAGGCACUGGCUCCAACUAUUGAUCCUACGGAUCCAUUGGAAAUAGAAUGCAGCAUGGAUCAGGAACUACAAGUCAGCAAGAUUCCUCUGAAGCAGAAAGGCAAAAUGAAACUGCAAGUAGAUACUUCCAACCUUCGCCGCAGCCUGAGAUCAAACAAGUAUGAUGGUUUCAAGAUCCCAUCCAUGGCAGAGGGCAAGAUCACUAAAUCCAAAGUUAAGCCCAGGAUGAUUCCCAAUAUUGCUCUUCAGGAAGUUGAUCGUGCUCUGACACUUGAGGUUCCCCCUCCUACUGCCAUCAACACCAUGCAAGCCAUUGGGACGCAGCUGUGUGCCAUACCUGAAACAGAGCUUGCAGACUCGGAGCUUCUUCGAGAAGAUCCAGGCCCGACAGAUGGCCAAGUUUGAUAUUGUGCCUGACCCACCUCCUCUUUGAAUCUCUAUGGUACUUUUGCGUAGUUGGAACGUCUUAUGUUGGAAUAUUCGUGGACUUAAUUCGCCCAAAAAACAUCUAGCUCUAUCGAAUGCUAUUCGUGACAGCAGUUGCUCCAUCAUUUGCUUACAAGAAUCGAAAAUGACCUCAUUUGAUGAACAUGCUUUACGUACAUUGUGUCCUAAACGAUUUGACAAAUUUGCAUAUAUUCCCUCCCGAGGGGCUUCUGGUGGGAUAGUCACGAUUUGGAACAGCUCUAUAUUUAUAGGAACUACAUUUGUAGAAGAGGAUUUCGUGUUAGGGGUCCAGUUCUCAUCAACACAAACUUUGCAUACCUGGAAGCUAUUGAACAUAUAUGGCCCCUGCCAAGGGGAUCAAAGGGUUUGUUUCACAUCUUGGCUCUUUGAUCUUGACAUUGUGGCAACUGAGGAUUGGUUGAUCCUAGGGGAUUUCAACUUCAUUAGGGCACCAACGAACUGCAAUCUACCCGGAGGUAACAUUCAAGACAUGUUUACGUUUAAUGAAUUCAUCAGUGAGCAGAUGUUAACGGAGAUCCCAAUCAAAGGCCGACCAUAUACAUGGUCGAACAUGCAGCUAAACCCUUUGCUCGAACAACUCNNNNNNNNNNNNNNNNNNNNNNNNNNNNNNNNNNNNNNNNNNNNNNNNNNNNNNNNNNNNNNNNNNNNNNNNNNNNNNNNNNNNNNNNNNNNNNNNNNNNUAUAAGGCAGCGAAUACAUCAUACGAUCAGCCAAAGACGCCACAUAGUUCUUUCAGGAAAAGAAGACAUCGUGGGAUUGGAGGGCAAGACAGACAUGUGUGAAGAUUAUGAAAAGUUUCAUGAAGUUCCUCCCUUCAAAGUAAAGGCUGACCCAAGCACCCUGUUAAACGAUGAAGAUUCACUAGUAGGGAAAACCUUAUACAUAGAACAAUAGCAGCGGUGCUGGAUAAAAGGCGGCGCUACUGCUACAUAUCAGUAGCAUGCUUCCAGUACAGGCGCUACUGCAAACUACUUAUCAGUAGCGCGGCUUUAGGAAACACGCUACUACUAAUAUUGCCCCACUGUUGCCGACGGAGCUAGAUUUAGUAGUAGCCCGCCCCGAAUACCAACACUACUACUAAAAGAAUAGUAGCAGCGCGUUUUUACAACCGCGCUAAUACUAAGUGGGGCACUUAUCAUUUCGUCGCCCCCACAGGCCCCUCUCUCACUCUCUCCCUCUCUCCCUCUCCACACUCCGCCGUCGCCGCCGCACCGCACUCCCUCCCUCACCACUCUGCACCGCCGCCGCCGCCCCGCACUCCCUCUCUCCCCACUCUGCGUCGCCGCCCCGCCCCUGCCUCACCGACACCCCUGCCUCGUUAUCGCCCCUGCCUCGCCGACGUGGACACCCCUGCCUCGCCGACACCCUUCCUCCUACAUCGUCGACGCCACCUCCUCCACCCGCUGCUGUCGAUCUCACCACCGUAAGUCCCUCUCCCCUCCCCUCUUCUCUAUAGAUACACUAGUGGGGACAGGGCCUAUAGCCCCGGCCCGUAAGGGGCUUUAGUCCCGGUUCACCAACCGGGACUAAAGGGGCGGGACUAAAGGCCUAACCUUUUCGUCCCGGCCCUCUUACACGCCGGGACUAAAGGUGCUCCACGUGGGCGCCUCGUAGCGCCCCACAGGCAGGCCCUUUAGUCCUGGUUCGUUACACGGUCCGGGACUAAAGAUUUUCAGAUUUUGCUGGCUUUUGGGUUUUUUUUGAAUAAAUUAUUUUGGGUUUUAGGGUUUUAGGGUUUAGGUGUUCAGGAGAUUAACGUGAUGCCUCGUUUUGUGUUCGGGAAUUAGUUUUCAUAUAAUUUAAAAUAGAAAUAAUUAUGCAUAUAUAUAUAUAUAAGAUUAACUUAUCUUACAAGCGAUCAUAUAUAUACAAUUAUAUGGAGAUCUGAAUUAUCGAGACUAGAGCCCGUCUAUUCGAUUACAUGGACGAACAUGAGUAAUGGCCCUUAGCUACACUAAAUCGUCAUGUGUCUUCUAUAGCUUCCGUCCUCAGAAAUCCCGCAAGCUCCUCUGCAACAGCAAUCGCGCGUUGCUCUGGUAGGACCUUCGUCCUCAUGGCCGUGUGCUAUAUAAGAAGAGGAGAUGAAUAUGAAUAUCAAUCAUGAUAACAAAGAAUGACAGGUAAAAAUAGAGGUGUGAAUGUUCAUUGCUUACGUCGAAUCUAUGCUCCUUGAACUCAGAGGUAAACGUGCGAAUGGUCUCGCAAACAUAGUAUCCGCAUAGAUGCGUUCCCCGUGGCUGCUGGUCGCACUUUACGAGAAUGGAAUAUAUAUAAUCAAAAUAAUAAUCUAGCAUCAUAAAUGUAUUGAAAAUUAAUAGAAGUAUAUCAUACUACUACUUACCUGAGCCGCUCUAAAGGUCAGCUUCUCAGGAAAGUUACCGGGAGUCACGCACUUGAACCGAUUCCAAACCCUGCCCGACAAGGAUAAUGAUUUACUAAGUUUUUCAUUAAUUGAUAUAUCAGAAAAUCAUCGAAAGAGACCGAUAGAGCGCAAGAAUGAUUAAAAUUACCCUUGGAGCAUGUCCUGUAGGCUUUGGAACUGUUCCAAGGGUCUCGAUAAUGGGUCGAAGGCAUCAACCCUUCCCUUAUCAAUUUGAAUGUCCAACAGAAUCCAAUGGAAGCUGCACACGUAUAUAUAUAUAUGUGUGUGUGUGAGUAACUUAUCAAUUACACUUAUAAGUGAAUGGACACAACAGAGUAAAGACCCUCACCUGAAGUUGUAUGGAAACAGUAUGUGGUCAUAGAAAUUUUGAUCUCUUAGAAACCUUAGAAGGUUUUCCUCCGUCUCCUUGGGAUAAUUAGUUAGCGUCGCUAUAUGUAUUUUAUCUGGAUCAAUAAACCCAAUAUUUAUGAUGCUCUUACUUUUACACUCCAGAAUCUUCAUUCUGCGUAAUAGAGUACAAGUUAUAUAUAGACAAUGAAUUGAAAUAACUAAACAAGUUAUAUGUAGUCAACGAAUUGAAAAACUUACAGACAAUAGCAACUCAUAAGCGAUUUGUCGAGGGCGUCGCCAUUGUACAUCUGGGAGAGUUCAUCAAAGUCGAUAUGGAUUUCUUCGGAGCGGCCGUAGUACUCCUGUGGGACACUCAGCACGAUCAUCGUUCUCCCAUUCUUUGAUUCACUUAAGUACCAUUUAUGCAAGUAACGCAAAUUUGUUGGGAGAUUAUCUUUGCUGACCAAAGGCUCUCCCAUGACAAACUGUGGCUUAGGGGCUACCACAGCCUUGGGUAUCCUGUCGUCUUGGGAAGCCAGCAAAUUUUCAACCAAGAUACCACAUUCAUCCGCCAACUCCUUUGCUUUUUCAAAAGCUUGCCCCUGCACCGGAGGGGGAACAUUCUGGGUUAACACCUUGAGGGGUGGGAUCGACUGUUUGGCCUGUUGUCCAAGCUGAGGAACGUCUGAUUUUUUCUUGCUUGUAGUUGAACUUGAUUUGCUCCCACUUGCACUUGCAUGUGACCUGCUCUUUUUCACUUCCUUCUGCAAUGUGCGUGUAUAGUCAUCAGGCUUAUAGUGUAAGUCAUACUAUGAUGGAGUGGUUAUGAAGUCUUUUGCCCAUGCUAUGUCCUUCUCGGUGUAUUUCGGGCGGGGCUCGGGUUCCUUCCUUUUCAUAUGCGCCUCAUGUUGUUCCUUUGCUAUCCUGGCGUUUUCCUCGGGGGUACGAUCAUAAGGUCUGAUAGGAAGAUUAGCAUGAGGUACCUUUGGGAGGGGCGACAAUUUGCGCUUUGGGGAGCUCCGUCCCUUAGAAAUCAUCGAUGAAGCGUUCUUGCUGGCACACUUCCGCUUAGUAUCAUGUGCGGGCGGCGGCGGAGACGGACGACCCAAGUCCGGCGGCGGUGAUCGAGAUGGACUCGUGUUGUGCUGGCCGACGUCAUGUGGAGGGCUUGAAGGUAAUGGAGGUGUAGGUGACCUGCGACGACUCGGAGGCGGUGUUGUCCUUGGGGCCGAGCCUGGAAGCUUGAUGUAGUUCUUGUCCCAUAGGAUGACUCCACCCAGUACUUCUCCGAGUGUCCUCUCAUCUUCGGGUCCAGCUAUGUCGAGCUCCAUAUCAUUAAACCCCGUCAUGAUUUCAUCCACCCCGACUUUAGCAAAGCCAGCUGGAAUCUCACGGCCAUGCCAGCGUGCAUCAGGGCCAGAAGGUAAAGCUUGUCCGACGGCCACCUUCAUGGAUAUGUUCUUGAAUUUCUGAUGGAGUUCACAUGAUGUUGACUCCUUGAUUCCAUCCACGGGGUAGCCGGGACCGUCCUCUAGCAUUCUUUGUUCAUCGUCGAGCGGGGCCUCAGAUUCAGCCACGCUGCUUUUCCGCUUAGAUGGGGCGCCGGUAAUAUCAACUGCAGGAUCUUCCUGGCGCGGUACUCCUCUAAGCUCAUCAAUCUGCUUCUCUUGCUCGUUAAUCCUGGCAAGCAACUGGUUGAACUUGUCAUUAUCCUCAUCCUGCUGCCGCUUCUUUGCUCUCUCUCUCGGCUUCUGUAAGUGUCUUGGUCUCUGGCAAACCCAAGCCACCACGGGUAAGAAGGACCGAAGCCUCGCGUUCGUCCUCCAUGUUCUUCAUUGCCGAGGACCAGUGUGAGCAAAUUUUUCUCUCUAUCUGCAGUGAACUUUCUUCUUCCCUCCUUAAUUUCUUUCACUAACCUUUUCCAAUUCUCCCUGGGUAUCCUAAGAUUGUCAUUGCAGAUGAGGUCCCCUGUUGUUUCGUCGUACGACCCAUCAUGCGCAAGGAACCAAUUUCUUGCUCUCAAUUCCCACUCAUCACGGAGUUGUUCAGGUACGACGCCUUUAUCUAUCAGAUCUUGCUCUUUCUUAUCCCACUUUGGGAUGGCAGUCUCAUAGCCCCCUGGCCCCAGCUUGUGGUGAUAUAUCUUCUUGUUGGCAUUUAUCUUGUUCUUUUCUGAUAAUGCCUGGGCAUCUUCUGACUCCUUGUACUCUUGAAAUGCCUUCCAGUGAUUCGCCUGCUUGGCUAGAUACCCCUCGAAUACUGGCACUUUCUGUGUCUUCAGAUAGUUUUUCCAUAGCUUCUUCUUCCAGCUACGGAACAGUUUGUUCAUCUUCUUCAGAGUCCACCGCUUGACUUUGGCCCUCAGUUUGUCUGCGGCGUCUUCAUUCUCACAUUCUGGCAGGUUGAAAUGUGACAUGAGAUCAUUCCAAAGAUUAUCUUUGUACCUUUCGGCGACAUAGUCACUAUCGGCUGCCCCUUUGCGCUUGUUCCACUCCCGAACGCUGAUCGGGACGUGAUCCCUAACGAGAACUCCGCAUUGCUUCUUGAAUGUGUCAGCACCAUUCUUCGGAAGCUUGGGUUUGCCCGUAGGAAAUAUCACCUCAAAUGUGUAAUGCGUCCGUGCAUCCAACUUUCUAGUCGGGCCUCGUUUCGUAGUUUUGCUCGAUGUGGAGGCCUAAGAGGGAGAAACAUUCGUCAAAUGAAAGUAUAUGUAUACAAUAUAGAGCUAUCUCCAAUAUUUUUCACAUAUUACAAGUGAUUGUCAAACUUCAUAUGUAUACCUCGCCUGACUUCUCCUCUUCACCGGCUUCUCCAUCAGUGGAGCUAUCACCUUCUCCGUCAUUGGACAUAUCUCCUGCCCCAUCAGCUUCAUCUUCGUGUCGCUCGACCUCCAUUCCAACGUCCUGGUUUAGAUAUAACGAUGGAGAUUCAGUUGGUUCAACGUCGGGGCCGUCUUUGAUUAUAUCUUCCAGAAGUUCUUCCUCUUCGAGGUUCCUCAUAUGUGGAUCCAUAGUUCUGCAAAAAACGGAUUCUCUUAACCUUUGUACCAAAAACCAAAGUAGGAGUACUUUUCCAAUUUGAGAGUCCUAGAUUUCUGCAUAGUAUUCAAAGUAGGAGUAAUUUUCCAAUUUGAGCAUUCAAUAAGCAAAACCAAAUCGUAAAAUAAAGUAGUAUUCAAAUUAGCAUGCAUUCAAUUAUAAGCUAAUACAUCAUCACUUUUGUCCGUACAUCGUUGAAUAUUAUCAUUAAUACUCCUCGAAUACUACCAUACAUAUAGCAUCACUAAUACAUCUAGAACCGUAGCGCCCGACGGGUAAGGGCGCGGGCGGUGGACACCCAAAGAGAAGGAACCAUCACAGGAUCAUAGCUCCAGUGAGAUCCCCGAAGAACCUGCCAGGUAUGCUCGAACCUGCCCUCCAACGCAACCAUGUAGCGACGGACAUGCUCAUCCUCCUCGCUGACACGGUGACGUACCACCUCCGCGGUGAUCGGAAGCCUCGGCACCCUCACUGGCCCACGCGACCGCCACCAAACAAGGAUCGGGUCAACGACGGGCUGGCUCCUCACCAACCUACGCCCCCCGCAAGGUAGCACCUCCCAAUACCAGCCGGGCGGAGCCCAGUCCCGGACAGGGCCCCUCUGAUCAAGCAGGUGUCCUCCGCCGAGUCGACGACGAGGAUGCGGGAUAGGCAUCGUAAAAUGAACUAAAAAAAUAAACUAGUUCUAUUAAUUUUCUUGCUAAAAUAAACUAUUAGCACUUAAGCAUAUACAAUAGCAAAAUUAAACUAUUAACACUUAUUUUCAUUUUCUUCUCCUCCUCUUCUUUCUUCUCUUCUCCUCCUCUUCUUUUCUUCUCUUCUCCUCCUCUUCUUUUCUUCUUUUCUUAUACACUAUACACUAUAUACACUAUAGCAAAAUUCCUCCUCUCCUUAUACACUAUACACUAUAUACACUAUACACUUAAGCAUAUACACUAUACACUAUACACUUUUUCUUCUUUUCUUCUCCUCCUCUUCUUAUUUUCAUUUUUCCUAAUCUUAUUUUCUUAUUUUUGUUCAUAUUUAUUCUUCUUCUAACCCUAACCUAAUUCUAAAUAUUUCUAACCCUAAUAAUCUUUUCUUUUUCUUCUUUUCUUCUCCUUUUUCUUCUUUUCUUCUCCUUUUUCUUCCUUUCUUCUCCUUUUUCUUCUUUUCUUCUCCUCUUUCUUCUUUUCUUCUAUACUGGCCGGAGUGUUGGGGAGGAGGGGCGAGGGGCUUACUGGCCGGAGUUUUGGCGAGGAGGAUGGCGCGGCGGCGAGGAGCACGGCGCGACGGCGUGUAGGACGGCGCGGCGACGAGGAGGACGGCGAGGAGGACGGCGCGGCGGCGGGGAGGACGGCGCGGAGGCGAGGAGGACGGCCGACGGCGAGCAGGACGGCGGGCAGCCUGACGGCGUCGGUUAGUUCGUCGUUGUGCCGCGCCGGGCAGGAGAACGAGAGGAAGAAGAAGAGAAAUGGACGAUUUGGGUUGGAAAUUUUGAAGUCCCGCUUAAAUAGGUGGAUCUAUAGUCCCGGUGCGUGGCUCGAACCGGGACUCAAGACCCCCUUUAGUCCCGGGUGGAGCCAUGACCCGGGACUAAAGGCCCUUUUUCGGGCAGACCAAGAGGCGGGAAGAAAGGGGUCUUAAUCCCGGUGCGUGGCUCCAGCCGGGACUAAAGCCCCUCCUCGGCUGUACGAUAAGUUUAGUCCCACCUCGCCCAACGAGGGGGACUAACACUUGUUUAUAAGCCCCGUCGCAGCUUCUCCAUCGAGCUCCUCUCUAAGCAGGCUUACGGGCCUAAACUCACAGAAAAUUGUAACUAUAUUAGAAAAUUGUAGGGAAAAUUCAAUCUAAAUUCAAUGAGAAUUUAGAUUGAAUUUUCUCUAUGAUUUCGAAUAUAGUUUCAAUUUUUUCUAUUUUCAUAAUUAAUAAUUUUGACUAUCCAAACUAUUAUCUAUUUUGUUAUUUUCAAUUAAAAACUAUGUUUAUUAAAAAUUCUUUUUGCAUAUUUGAGAAUUUGACAAAACUAUGAUAAUGAAAAGUGUUUCAUAUUGAAUAAAUAAUGCAAAAUUAUUUUGUAUUUUCAUAAUUAAUUAUUUUGACUAUCCAAAAUAUUAUCUAUUUUGUUAUUUUCAAUUAAAAACUAUGUUUAUUAAAAAAUUCUUUUUGCAUAUUUGAGAAUUUGACAAAACUAUGAUAAUGAAAAGUGUUUCAAAUUGAAUAAAUAAUGCAAAACUAUUUUUAUUUUCAUAAUUAAUAAUUUUGACUAUCCAAACUAUUAUCUAUUUUGUUAUUUUGACUUCAUUUGGUAUAUUUCGUGCAUGUACUUAUUUUUUUUGAGCUAGUUGACCCUGAAAUUGAAAAGCACUACAAAUGAACCACUACUGAAAUUCAGAAAUUUGCCGUCUGCCAAGGCGGACGGCAAAGGGGGCAACCAUGGACGGCAAAGGCUUUGCCGUCUGCCCCCUCAUGGCAAAGUAGAUGGUAAAAAAAAAUCCGGUGAAGAGGCUCUUUGCCGUCUGCCUUUCACAAAGCGGACGGCAAAGAAUCUUUGCCGAUGAGGGGAAGACGGCAAAAUAAGUGGGACGGCAUAUAUUGCAACGUCCCCGUUAAGUGUUAACGGCAGGCCUCCUCUCUUUGCCGUCUGCCUCCCCCCCUUUGCCAUGUGGGGUAAACGGCAAAGAGGGAGAGAGAGGGGGCAGAUUCUCUCUUUGCCGUCUGCCUCCCCCCCUUUGCCAUGUGGGGGCAGACGGCAAAAAGGGGAGAGAGAGGGGGCAGAUUCUCUCUUUGCCGUCUGCCUCCCCCCCUUUGCCAUGUGGGGGCAGACGGCAAAGAGGGGAGAGAGAGGGGGCAGAUUCCCCCUUUGCCGUCUGCCUCCACCCCUUUGCCAUGUGUUGGCAGACGGCAAAGAGGGGAACCAUCCCCUUUUUUAUUUAUUUUUUGUUAUAUCCAGCAUUUUUAACAAUAAUCAGGAUAUAUAUAUAUAUUUGACAUAAAUAAAUUUCUUUUCGUACCCAUAACCAUAUUAAAAUAACUCUCAUCCAUAGUGCAUACAUAUUAUGGAAGUUACAUUCGUACCAAACCUAAUAUUACACCAGUUUCAUCCACGUGCAUACAAAGUUUCAUAUAUUCAUAUACUACAACAGUUUCAAUACAACCCAUGGUACAAGAAAUCAUCUUCAAGCAUUCCAUCAACCAAGCUUCCCGUGAAGUGAAGGUAAUCUGCAAAAUGACAAAUAAGAAAGUUAGAAAAAUAAUACUAGAUGAAGUAGUGUAUAUAUAGGUUAUUUCGGAGAGAAAUUAGCUAAUUAUAGACCAUUUAGGAGCUAACUAAGCUAAUUAUGUCAUUUAGGUGGAACCCUAGCUAACUAUAGGAGAAGAGAAAGAGAAGAAGAAGUAAAAGAAGAAGGAGGAGGAGGAGAAGGAGAAGGAAGAGGAGAAGAAGAAGAAAAAGGAGGAGGAGGAGGAGGAGGAGAAGGAGAAGGAAGAGGAGAAGAAGAAGAAGGAGAAGAAGGAGAAGAAGAAGGAGAGAGAGAGAGAGGAGAAGGAGCUCGCNNNNNNNNNNNNNNNNNNNNNNNNNNNNNNNNNNNNNNNNNNNNNNNNNNNNNNNNNNNNNNNNNNNNNNNNNNNNNNNNNNNNNNNNNNNNNNNNNNNNAAAAUUAAGUCCCACUUUAAGUCUCCAAAACUAAGCCACUAAUAAAUACGUCAAAAAUGGCAUAAGAACCUUGGUUAGCUCAUGAAUAUUGUAUACUUAGCUUGUUUUCCUCUAAAAUGAGAUAAUUAGCCCAUUUAGCUCCAAAAAGACAUAAUUAGGUAAUUUAGCUCCAAUAAGAGGAGAAUAAAUAGGAAAAAUGAAAACAAAGAAGAAGAAGAAGAAGAGAAGAAUGAGAAGGAGGAGGAGGAGGAGGAGGAGGARGAGAAGGAGGAGAAGGCCAAGGACCUUCUAGUCCUUCUCCUCCUCCUCCUUCUCCUCCUUCUCCUCCUUCUUCUUGAUUUCUUCUUCUUCUCCUCCUCCUCCUUCUUCUUCCCCUCUUUCAUAUUAUCCUUKCUUUAAUUUCCCCAACAWUGACAUAAUUAGCCCAUUUAGCUCCAAAAUGCCAUAAUAAGCUCAGAAUGGCAUAAGAACCUUGGUGAGCUCAUGAAUAUUAUAUACUUAGCUUGUUUUCCUGUAAAAUGGGAUAAUUAGCCCAUUUAGCUCMAAAAAGACAUAAUUAGGUAAUUUAGCUCCAACAAGAGGAGAAGAGGAGAAGAAAUAGGCAAAAUGAAAAGAAAGAAGAAGAAGAAGAAGAGAAGAAGAAGAGAAGAAGGAGAAGGAGGAGGAGGAGGAGGAGGAGAAGGCCAAGGACCUUCUAGUCCUUCUCCUCCCCCUCCUUCUCCUCCUUCUUCUUGAUUUCUUCUUCUUCUCCUCCUCCUCCUCUUUCUUCUCCUCUUUCAUAUUAUCCUUGCUUUAAUUAACCCAACAAUGACAUAAUUAGCCCAUUUAGCUCCAAAAUACCAUAAUAAGCUCAAAAUGGCAUAAGAACCUUGGUUAGCUCAUUAAUAUUAUAUACUUAGCUUGUUUUCCUCUAAAAUGGUAUAAUUAGCCCAUUUAGCUCAAAAAAGACAUAAUUAGGUAAUUUAGCUCCAACAAAUGAUAUAUAGUUCACCACACAUAUACUUAGCUUGUUUUCCGCUAAAAAUGACAUAAUUAGCUUAAAAACAUCAUAUUUUGUUCUUCUUCUAACUUUCUUAUUCACAUUUUUGCAGAUUGGAUAUACUACAUGCAUGGGAGCUGGCAUUCAUGGAGUUGAACAAUGUCGAUGGAUGAACUUUAUAUGUAUAUCAUCUAGUUUUCAUUUGAGUUGAUGAACAAUGUUGAACUAUAUGUAUAUGUAUAUAUGGAUAAACAGUGCAAUACUUGGUAUGUUGGUUCUUUGGAUAUAUGGGGAUGUACAUUGGUGAAUCAUAUAUGUGUGGUGAAUUAUAUAUAUGUGUUGGCAAGUAUAUCUGUCGUGAACUAUAUAUCAUAUAUGUGUGGUGAAUUAUAUAAAUGUGCUAUCAAUAAUAUAUAUAUAUAUAUAUAUAUAUAUAUGUAUAUGUGUGUGUGUGUGUGUGUUGUGAAACAAUNNNNNNNNNNNNNNNNNNNNNNNNNNNNNNNNNNNNNNNNNNNNNNNNNNNNNNNNNNNNNNNNNNNNNNNNNNNNNNNNNNNNNNNNNNNNNNNNNNNNCACGUAGCUUCUUUCAUGUGACAUGAAUGUUCAGAUCCGUAAGAUUCAAAACAAUAGUUUGCUAUUGACAUGAAAACAAUAAUACUUCAAGCAAACUAUCAAGGUAACCAUGAACUUUCAAAAUAACAAGGCCAAAGAAAGUCACCCUACAAAAUCAUAUAGUCUGGCUAUGCUCCAUAAUCCUCACACAACUAAUGUAAAUCAUGCACAACCCCGGUAUUGGCCAAGUAAUUGUUUUCGCACUCUUUACUUUCUCAAACUUUUUAUAACUAUCACGCAAUACAUCAGCGUGAGCCAUGGAUAUUGUACUAUAGGUGGAAUAGAGUGUGGUGGUGGUUGUGAGAGAAAAAGGAGGAGAUGGUCACAUUGACUCGGCGUAUCAAAGGGCUAUGGAGAUGCCCAUUAAUAGAUAUCAAUGUGAAUGAGUAGGGAUUGCCAUACAAAUGAUGCACUAGAGCUAAGAGUAUGUUAAAGCUCUUAAGAAAACUAGCGGGUGUUCAUCCAACUUGCUUGCUCACGAAGACCUAAGGCAAUUUUGAGGAAGCCUAUCAUUGGAAUAUACAAGCCAAGUUAUAUAAUAAAAAUUUCCCACUAGCUAUACGGUGGUGACAAAACGAGAGACUCUCAAUCAUGAAAAUCAUGGUGCUUAAUAAGCACAAGUGUGGAAAGAUAGUAGCAUUGUCCAUUCUCUCUUUUUCUCUCAUUUUUUUUGGUGGGCUCUUUGGCCUCUUUUUUUUGGUGGGCAUCUUUGGCCUCUUUUAUGUCCUCACAGGGGACAAUGCUCCAUCAAUGAUGAUCAUCACACUUACAACUCAAAACUUAGAGCAAUGAUGACUCUAUAUGGAAUGCAUUCGGUAGUGUACCGUGACAAUGAUCUAGCAUGGCAUAGACAUCAAUGGAAACAUCAUAGACAUCAAUGGAAACAUCAUGCUAGCUAUCUUAUGAUCAUGCAAUGGAAAUGUAGAAGUGGUGGCACAUGUCAUGGUGGUAGUUGCAUGGCAAUAUAUCUCGGAAUGGCUUUGAAAAAGCCAUAGUAGGUAGGUAUGGUGGUUGUUUUGAGGGAGGCUAAUGGUGGGUUUUAUGCACCGACGAAAGUUGCACGGCACUAAAGAAGAUAGUGAUGGUGGAAGGUGAAAGUGCAUCUAAACCAUGGACUCAACAUUAGUCAUGAAGAACUCAUAUACUUGUUGCAAAAAAUUUAGUAGUAAUCGAAACAAAGCAUUCAACGCAUACUCCUAGGGGAAGGGUUGGUAGGUAUAAACCAUCGCGCGAUCCCGACCGCCACACAAAGGAUGACAAUCAAUAUACUAAUCAUGCUCAGACUUCAUCACAUAGAGGUUCACCAUACGUGGAUGCUACGGGAAUCACUAACUUCAACUCAAGUAUGUCUAGAUCCACAACACCUUACUAAUAUAACUUUAAUAUUACCACAACCACAACUCAAAACUGAUUGAGAUGAAUCAAACUUCUCUAACUACUCAAUGCACAUGAAGGUGGAAGUUUUCAUAUCCCUUUGGAUAAAUACCCCUUUUGAGACUACUUUCAUAGCAUAGAUCAACUACCACGCCACGCGCUUCCGUGCUCUAAAUGAUAGAAGUGAAACACAUAGAGCAAAAUAAAUUAGCUCAAAAGAUAUAAGUGAAACACAUGUGAGCUGAAUUGUCUAACCAAAGGAUAUAAGUGAAGCUCGACAAAAUCACGGUGAGUGCAUUUCUCUCUCUCUAGGUGUGCAACAAGGAAGAUUGUGGCACAACAAAAAUAAAAGACUCCUACGAUACAAGACGCUCCAAGCAAAACACAUAACAUGUGGUGAAUAAAAUAUAGCCCCCAAGUAACGUUCAUUACUGGAAAUCAGUUUUUUGCCGUGUGCCUAAUCUUUGCUGUCAGCUAGCUGAUGGCAAAGAGUGUCUUUGCCGUCAGCUCUCAGAAAGCAGAUGGCAAAGAACUGGAUGAUGGCAAAGAAGGUCUUUGCCAACAGUCAAUCCUUUGUUGUCUGCCGCAAACGACAAAGAAGGGGACAGGAGACGGCAAAGAAGCUCAUUCGGCCCGGGGAACCUUAGGUCAACCAACGCCCUUCUUUGUCGUCUGCUGGCGGACGGCAAAGAUGCCAGAGGCAGACGUCAAAGAGUAUAGACCCCUUUGCCGUCCGCCAGCAGACGACAAAGGUCCUGAAUCUACUCAAACGGCCGUCCCGCCCCCACCCCGGCCCUCUCUCUCUCUCAAACGGCCACUCUCUCUCUCUCCUCCCCCGACACCCAACGCCGCCACCGUCGCCCGGCCACCCCCGGCGCCCCCGGUUCCCCACAACCCUCCGGCACCACUGGUGCCGCCCCCGCAGCCCCACCGCCGGCGCCGCUGGUGCCCCUGGUGCCGCCCCGCAGCCCCACCGCCGGCGCCCCUGCUGCACCCCCAGCCCCACCACCGGCGCCGCCGGCCCAGCCACUGCCCCGCAGGCCCCGGCGCCGCCCCCGCAGCCCCAACACUGCCGGUAACGCCCCMMCACCCCACCCCCUUGUUAUUUAGUUUUUUGGAGGAAGAAGAAGAAUAAGAAGAGAGGAGGAGAAGAGGAGAAGAAGAGGAGGAGUAGGAGGAGGAGGAGUAGGAGGAGGAUGAGGAAGAGAAGAAAAAGAAGAAGAAGAACAAGAAGAACAAGAAGAAGAGAAGAAAAAAUUAAGAAGGAGAAGAAGAAGAAGAGAAGAAAAAAAAAGAAGGAGAAGAAGUAAAGAAGAAGAGAAGAAGAGAAUAAGAAAAAAAUAAGAAGGAGAAGAAGAGAAAAAAGAAGAAGAAGUUGAUUUUUUAUUGUCUGGUAUUUAGUUUUUUGGAAUUAAUUAGUAGUNNNNNNNNNNNNNNNNNNNNNNNNNNNNNNNNNNNNNNNNNNNNNNNNNNNNNNNNNNNNNNNNNNNNNNNNNNNNNNNNNNNNNNNNNNNNNNNNNNNNCAUGAUCAAACACUAUCACCCAAACUAAUCAUUAAAGGCUUUACUUGGCACAUAUUUUUAUAAUACAAUGGAAAUUUACAAAGGACAUAAUUAUUUGUGCGAGAAACUUCCAUGAAGAAUUCUACAUUGUUUCCAUGAGCAUGAACACAAGUGUUCAAGGUCGACCCUCACUUCCACAAUGCAUCACCUUUCAAUCGCUUCUCUUUUUGAAAAAGUUUUAAGUUCCCCUCUAUAUUUUUUUGUUUUUAAACUAUAUAAAAGCACUAAACAGAAAGAMAAAGAUAAAUWCAUUGGGUUGCCUCCCAACAAGCGCUAUUGUUUAACGCCCUUAGCUAGGCAUUGAUAAUUCAAUGAUGCUCACACAAAASACAAGAAUUGAAGCACAACGAGAGCAUCAUAAAGCAUGUGAAAAUCACAUGUAAGUCUAACAUACUUCCUAUGCAUAGGCAUUUUAUWGGAAAACAGAUUGUCAAGACAACCAAUAGUUACCAUAUGCAAGGAAGAAGAAAGAGACAAUAGCAAUCUCCACAUAACAAGAGGUAAUUUGGUAACAUGAAAGUUUCUACCACAAUAUUUUCCUCUCUCAUAGUAAUUACAUGUGGGAUCAUAUUCGAAUUAAACAAUGUAACUAUCACAUAGGAUAUUCUUUUCAUGACCCACAUGCAUGCAAAGUUCACGCUCUUAAAAAAUAGUGGGAUUAUCAUCAACCAAUGUCAUGAUUUCUCCAAACCCACUUUCAAUAAUAUUGCAAAUAUCAUAUUCAUCAUGAGGCUUAAACAAAUUUUCAAGAUCAUAAGAAAAAUCACCGCCCCACUCAUGAUCAUUGCAACAAGUAGGGGACAUAGCUAAACUAGCAUCUGCAAGCUUAGGGUUUUGCAUAUUCUUAGCAUGAUUGUCACUAAUAGAAUUUAUAGUGAAACCAUUCCAAUCAUGCUUUUCAUCCAAGGAGCCCUCGUCAAUCACUUCAUAAAUUUCUUCCUCACAAUUUUCAGAUUCACGCAUCUCAAGCAAAACUCCAUAAAGAUACUCAAGUGCACUCAACUCACUAGCAAUUGGAUCAACAUAAUUGGAUCUCUUAAAGAGAUUAGCAAGUGGAUGAGGAUCCAUAUCACUAGAUUUUCAGCAAGCGAAGAUGCAAACAUAUUGAAGGCACAUGGCACACAAGCGAACAGAAAGCAAGCGAGAGAAAAGGGCGAACCAAAAAGGCAAACAAAAAAAGGAAAACGAAAAAGGCGAAUGAAAACGGCAAAUGUGAAGUGGGGGAGAGGAAAACGAGAGGCAACUGGCAAAAAGGUAAAUGCAAGAGAUGAGUUUGUGACACCUACUUGGAUAGAUCUUGACUUGAUCUCUCCCCGGCAACGGCGCCAGAAAUAGGCGUGUUGACGGGAGAUUAUUCUUGUCUUGAUACUCCUCGGCAAGCGAUCCUCCCCGGCAACGGCGCCAGAAAUACUUCUCCUACGGCAACAAUAGACCUUCCCUGGCAACGGCGCCAGGAAUCCUUCUACUACGGGCUACGCCUCUAGGGAUUUCCUUGGCAAAUAUGCAAAGGAUUCCCCCGCGGCCUUGGAGCCUUGCGUUGUUGUUCCCUUGAAGAGGAAAGGGUGAUGUAGCACAGCGGCGGUAAGUAGUUCCCUCAGUUUCAGAACCAAGGUAUCAAUCCAGUAGGAGGAUCGCGUCAAGUCACAAGUACCUGCACAAACACAAAGAGCUUGCACCCAAUGCUAUGAAGGGGUUGUCAAUCCCUUAUAGAUUGUUUGCAAAGUGAGAACUGAAAGCAAAAAGUAAACAAACCAAAGUAAAAGUAAAAGUGGAAACGAUAGUUGUGAAUAGACCCGGGGGCUGUAGUGUUCACUAGUGGCUUCUCUCAUGAAAGCAAGUAGACGGUGGGUGAACGAAUUACUGUCGAGCAAUUUAUAGAACCGCGCAAAGUCAUGACGUUAUCUAUGGCAAUGAUCAUAUCUAUAGGCAUCAUGUCCAAAACAAGUAGACCGAUACUUUAUGCAUACUACUAUUACUCCACACGUCGACCGCUAUCCAGCAUGCAUCUAGUGUAUUGAGUUCAUAAGAACAGAGUAACGCCUUAAGCAAGAUGACAUGAUGUAUAUGAACAAUCUCAAAUCUAUGAUGAAAGCCCAUCUUGUUACCCUUGAUGGAAAACACCUAUCCCCUGUGUGCCUUGCUGCCCCUUUUGUCACUGGGAAAGGUCACCGCACGGUAUGAACCCAAAACCAAGCACUUCUCCCAUUGCAAGAAUCAUAUAUCUAGUUGGCCAAACAAAACCCAAGACUCGGAAAGACUUACAAGGAUAUCAAAUCAUGCAUAUAAGAAAUCAGGAAAGACUCAAAUAUAAUUCAUAGAUAAUCUAAUCACAAAUCCACAAUUCAUCGGAUCUCGACAAACACACCGCCAAAGAGGAUUACAUCGGAUAGAUCUCCAUGAAGAUCAUGGAGAACAUUGUAUUGAAGAUCCAAGAGAGAGAAGAAGCCAUCUAGCUACUAACUAUGGACCCGUAGGUCUGAAGUGGACUACUCACGAGUCAUUAGUAGAGGCGAUGAUCUUGAUGUAGAAACCCUCCAACUCCAAACUCCCCUCCGGCAGGGCACCGGGAAGGGUCUCCAGAUGGGAUCUCGCGGAAACGGAAGCUUGCGGCGGCAGAAAAGUGUUUUCGUGGAUGCCCUGAUUUUUUCUGGGAUUUUAGGGAAUAUAUAGGCGAAAGAGAUAGGGCAGGGGAGAGCCAGGGAGGCCACAAGCCUAGUCGCCGCGGGCCCCCCUGGCCGCGGCGUCAGGGCUUGUGGGCCUCCUGCCUUGGCCCUAAAGUCCCCCGAUCUUCUUCUGUUCUGGAAAAUUUUAUUUUGGGGAUUUUAUUCCNNNNNNNNNNNNNNNNNNNNNNNNNNNNNNNNNNNNNNNNNNNNNNNNNNNNNNNNNNNNNNNNNNNNNNNNNNNNNNNNNNNNNNNNNNNNNNNNNNNNAGAAAUUUGACAAAACUUAUGAUAAUUGAAAAGUGUUUCAAAUUUGAAUAAAUAAUGCUUAAACUAUUUUUUUUCAUAAUUAAUAAUUUUGACUAUCCAAACUAUUAUCUAUUUUGUUAUUUUCAAUUAAAAACUAUGUUUAUUAAAAAUUCUUUUUGCAUAUUUGAGAAUUUGACAAAACUAUGAUAAUGAAAAGUGUUUCAAAUUGAAUAAAUAAUGCAAAACUAUUUUUUAUUUUCAUAAUUAAUAAUUUUGACUAUCCAAACUAUUAUCUAUUUUGUUAUUUUCAAUUAAAACUAUGUUUAUUAAAAAUUCUUUUUGCAUAUUUGAGUAAUUUAACAAAACUAUGAUAAUGAAAAGUGUUUCAAAUUGAAUAAAUAAUGCAAAACUAUUUUUAUUUUCAUAAUUAAUAAUUUUGACUAGUCCAAACUAUUAAGUCUAUUUGUUAUUUGACUUCAUUUGGUAUAUUCGUGCAUGUACUUAUUUUUUUUGAGACUAAGUUGANNNNNNNNNNNNNNNNNNNNNNNNNNNNNNNNNNNNNNNNNNNNNNNNNNNNNNNNNNNNNNNNNNNNNNNNNNNNNNNNNNNNNNNNNNNNNNNNNNNNUCCUAUGUGAUAGCUAUAUUGUUGAAUUUGAAUAUGAUCCCACAUGUAAUUAUUGUGAGAGAGGAAAAUAUGGUGGUAGAAAUUUUCAUACCACUAAAUCACCUCUUGUUUUGUUGAGAUUGAUAUUGUCUCUUUCUUCUUCCUUGCAUAUGGUAACUAUUGGUUGUCUUGACAAUCUKWUUUCCUAUAAAAUGCCUAUGCAUAGGAAGUAUGUUAGACUUASAUGUKAUUUUCACAUGCUUUAUGAUGCUCUCGUUGUGCUUCAAUUCUUGUYKUUUGUGUGAGCAUCAUUGAAUUAUCAAUGCCUAGCUAAGGGCGUUAAACAAUAGCGCUUGUUGGGAGGCAACCCAAUGAAUUUAUCUUUUCUUUCUGUUUAGUGUUUUCCAUACUUUCAUAUAUCUGUUAUGAUUGUGUCUUUUGUGUUUAUUUUUGUGUUUGAUCCAAGCAAAACCUUUAUGACUAGUCUCGGUGAUGGUUGUUUGAUCCUGCUGGAAAAAAGAUAGAAACUUUUCGUCUCACGAGAUGAUUUUUCUAUUUUUAUUUCAGAAAAAAGAUUAUGAGUUGAUUCUUUUUUCUGCUGGUUGAUAUUCCUUUUUCCCAGGCAGUCGUAAGUUUUCAGAAUUUUGGAGGUACCAGAAGUAUACGAAGUAUACAGAUUGCUACAGACUGGUCUGUUUUUGACAGAUUCUGUUUUUGUUGAGUUGGUUGCUUGUUUUGAUGAAACUAUGGAUAGUAUAGGGGGUCAUAAUAGUCUGAUGUCUAUGAGGUCAGCUACUAAUGGUAGGCUCAUCAGCACUGAACAAACUACAAUCCAUGGGAAUCGUAAAGCAAGAUGAUCACCUACCAAACACAGUUGACGUNNNNNNNNNNNNNNNNNNNNNNNNNNNNNNNNNNNNNNNNNNNNNNNNNNNNNNNNNNNNNNNNNNNNNNNNNNNNNNNNNNNNNNNNNNNNNNNNNNNNCACGUAGCCUCACUUCAUUUGGUAUAUUUCGUGCAUUUACUUAUUUUUUUUUGAGCUAGUUGACCCUGAAAUUGAAAAGCACUACAAAUGAACUCUGAAAAUGUUGAAAGUUGGCAUGCUGUCAUCAUUUCACCCACAUAGCAUGUGUUAAAAAGUUGAGAGGGCUAUGAAAAAAACUGGAUGCAGUUCAUGUACAAAACUGACAAUCCCUCUGGAAGUAGCUGGGUUUCGAACGAGAACUCAUCUCUUACAAAGGGAUUUCAUUUUUUUAAACUUAUUUGAACUCCAUACUUUUUGUGUGUUCAAAAUGCACCAUUCAAAGGCACAUCACAAAAUUUCAACAAUUUCUGACUUCAUUUGGUAUAUUUCGUGCUAUUUACUUUUUUUUGAGCUAGUUGACCCUGAAAUUGAAAAGCACUACAAAUGAACUCUGAAAAUGUUGAAAGUUGGCAUGCUAUCAUCAUUUCAGCCACAUAGCAUGUGUUAAAAAGUUGAGAGGGCUACGAGAAAAACUGGAUGCAGUUCGUGUACAAAACUGACAAUCUCUCUCGAAGUAGCAGGGUUUCGAACGAGAACUCAUCUCUUACAAAGGGAUUUCAUUUUUUUAAAACUUAUUUGAACUCCAUAAUUUUUGUGUGUUCAAAAUGCACCAUUCAAAGGCACAUCACAAAAUUUCAAUAAUUUCUCACUUCAUUUGGUAUAUUUCGUGCAUUUACUUAUUUUUUUGAGCUAGUUGACCCUGAAAUUGAAAAGCACUACAAAUGAACUCUGAAAAUGUUGAAAGUUGGCAUGCUAUCAUCAUUUCACCCACAUAGCAUGUGUUAAAAAGUUGAGAGGGCUACAACGAAAACUUGAUGCAGUUCGUUUACAAAAUUAACAAUCUCUCUCGAAGUAGCAGGGUUUCGAACGAGAACUCAUCUCUUACAAAGGGAUUUCAUUUUUUUAAACUUAUUUGAACUCCAUACUUUUUGUGUGUUAAAAAUGCACCAUUCAAAGGCACAUCAAAAAAUUUCAACAAUUUCUGACUUCAUUUGGUAUAUUUCGUGCAUUUACUUAUUUUUUUUGAGCUAGUUGACCCUGAAAUUGAAAAGCACUACAAAUGAACUCUGAAAAUGUUGAAAGUUGGCAUGCUGUCAUCAUUUCACCCACAUAGCAUGUGUUAAAAAGUUGAAAGGGCUAUGACAAAAACUGGAUGCAGUUCAUGUACAAAACUGACAAUCCCUCUCGAAGUAGCAGGGUUUCGAAUGAGAACUCAUCUCUUACAAAGGGAUUUCAUUUUUUUUAAACUUAUUUGAACUCCAUACUUUUUGUGUGUUCAAAAUGAACCAUUCAAAGGCACAUCACAAAAUUGCAACAAUUUCUGACUUCAUUUCGUAUAUUUCGUGCAUUUACUUAUUUUUUUUGAGCUAGUUGACCCUGAAAUUGAAAAGCACUACAAAUGUACUCUGAAAAUGUUGAAAGUUGGCAUACUAUAAUCAUUUAACCCACAUAGCAUGUGUUAAAAAGUUGAGAGGGCUACGACAAAAACUGGAUGCAGUUCGUGUACAAAACUGACAAUCUCUCUCGAAGUAGCAGGGUUUCGAACGAGAACUCAUCUCUUACAAAGGGAUUUCAUUUUUUUAAACUUAUUUGAACUCCAUACUUUUUGUGUGUUCAAAAUGCACCAUUCAAAGGCACGUCACAAAAUUUCAAUAAUUUCUCACUUCAUUUGGUAUAUUUCGUGCAUUUACUUUAUUUUUUUGAGCUAGUUGACCCUGAAAUUGNNNNNNNNNNNNNNNNNNNNNNNNNNNNNNNNNNNNNNNNNNNNNNNNNNNNNNNNNNNNNNNNNNNNNNNNNNNNNNNNNNNNNNNNNNNNNNNNNNNNCCUAUCAUGGUGAUGUCCAUCUACGAGAGGGGAUAUUCGAUCUACGUACCCUUGUAGAUCGCACAGCUGAAGUGUUAGUGAACACGGUUGAUGUAGUGGAACGUCCUGAUGUCCCUCGAUCCGCCCCGCGAACAAUCCCGCGAUCAGUCCCACGAUCUAGUACCGAACGGACGGCACCUCCGCGUUCAGCACACGUACAGCUCGACGAUGAUCUCGGCCUUCUUGAUCCAGCAAGAGAGACGGAGAGGUAGAAGAUUUCUCCGGCAGCGUGACGGCGCUCCGGAGGUUGGUGAUGACCUUGUCUCAGCAGGGCUCCGCCCGAGCUCCGUAGAAACGCGAUCUAGAGGAAAAACCGUGGAGGUAUGUGGUCGGGCUGCCGUGGAAAAGUGCGUCUUCAUAGGUUACCCAAAAGAGACAGUUGGGUACACCUUCUAUCUCAAAUCCGAGGGCAAAGUGUUUGUUGCUAAAAACGGAGUCUUUUCUCGAGAAGGUAGUUUCUCUCAAGAGAAUUGAGUGGGAGGAAGAUAGAACUUGACGUAGGUUGUNNNNNNNNNNNNNNNNNNNNNNNNNNNNNNNNNNNNNNNNNNNNNNNNNNNNNNNNNNNNNNNNNNNNNNNNNNNNNNNNNNNNNNNNNNNNNNNNNNNNCUAUUGGUUACUGACCAGAGAGUGUCUCGGUCAUGUCUACAUAGUUCUCGAACCCGCAGGGUCUUGCUACCUCUUGAGUUUGCGUUGGUUUUUCCCUUGAAGAGGAAAGGGUGAUGCAGCACAGUAGCAGUAAGUAKUUCCCUCAGUUUSAGAACCAAGGUAUCAAUCCAGUAGGAGKAUCRMGKMAAGUCWMCAAAGUACCUGCGCAAAAACAGCAAACUUGCACCCAACGCUACAAAGGGGUUGUCAAUACCUUCAAGAUUGAUUGCAAGGUGAGAUCUGAAGGCGGAAAGUGCAACAAAGUAAAAGUGUAAGGCUGAAAAUAUGAUGUGGAGUAGACCCGGGGGCCAUAGUGUUCACUAGAGGCUUCUCCAAAAUAGCAAAUAUUAUGGUGGAUGAACAAAUUACUGUCGAGCAAUUGAUAGAACUGCGCAAAGUCAUGACGAUAUCUAAGGCAAUGAUCCUACAUAUAGGCAUCACGUCCGAGACAAGUAGACCGAUACUUUCUGNNNNNNNNNNNNNNNNNNNNNNNNNNNNNNNNNNNNNNNNNNNNNNNNNNNNNNNNNNNNNNNNNNNNNNNNNNNNNNNNNNNNNNNNNNNNNNNNNNNNUAUCAUGUACUUCUUGGACCAAUUUUACAUUAUGUUCUAGUUUCUGUUUUGUUGCCAUUAUAGUUUCCCAAUUUGAAUGGUUUAGCCCUUUCUAACUUCGUUUGCUACUUUUGAAUGGUUUAGCCCUUUCUAACUUCAUGGUAUCAUGCAUUUCGACCACAUAUAUAUACAAAAAGUCUUUAGUUCAAAUAAGUUCAAAUAAGUUCAUGCAUUUCAACAUUUUCAGAGUUCAUUUGUAGUGCUUUUCAAUUUCAGGGUCAACUAGCUCAAAAAAAAUAAGUAAAUGCACGAAAUAUACCAAAUGAAGUCAGAAAUUGUUGAAAUUUUGUGAUGUGCCUUUGAAUGGUGCAUUUUGAACACACAAAAAGUAUGGAGUUCAAAUAAGUUUAAAAAAAAUGAAAUCCCUUUGUAAGAGAUGAGUUCUCGUUCGAAACCCUGCUACUUCGAGAGAGAUUGUCAGUUUUGUACACGAACUGCAUCCAGUUUUUGUCGUAGCCUUCUCAACUUUUUAACACAUGCUAAUGUGGGUGAAAUGACGAUAGCAUGCCAACUUUCAACAUUUUCAGAGUUCAUUUGUAGUGCUUUUCAAUUUCAGGGUCAACUAGCUCAAAAAAAUACGUAAAUGCACGAAAUAUACAAAAUGAAGUAAGAAAUUGUUGAAAUUUUGUGAUGUGCCUUUGAAUGGUGCAUUUUGAACACACAAAAAGUAUGGAGUUCAAAUAAGUUUAAAAAAAAAUGAAMUMCSUKUGUAAGAGAUGAGUUCUCGUUCGAAACCCAGCUACUUCCAGAGGGAUUGUCAGUUUUGUACAUGAACUGCAUCCAGUUUUUUUCAUAGCCCUCUCAACUUUUUAACACAUGCUAUGUGGGUGAAAUGAUGACAGCAUGCCAACUUUCAACAUUUUCAGAGUUCAUUUGUAGUGCUUUUCAAUUUCAGGGUCAACUAGCUCAAAAAAAAAUAAGUAAAUGCACGAAAUAUACCAAAUGAAGUCAGAAAUUGUUGAAAUUUUUUGAUGUGCCUUUGAAUGGUGCAUUUUGAACACACAAAAAGUAUGGAGUUCAAAUAAGUUUAAAAAAAUGAAAUCCCUUUGUAAGAGAUGAGUUCUCAUUCGAAACCCUGCUACUUCGAGAGAGAUUGUCAGUUUUGUACACGAACUGCAUCCAGUUUUUGUCGUAGCCCUUUCAACUUUUAACACAUGCUAUGUGGGUGAAAUGAUGAUAGCAUGCCAACUUUCAACAUUUUCACAGUUCAUUUGUAGUGCUUUUCAAUUUCAGGGUCAACUAGCUCAAAAAAAUAAGUAAAUGCACGAAAUAUACCAAAUGAAGUCAGAAAUUGUUGAAAUUUUCUGUUGUGCCUUUGAAUGGUGCAUUUUGAACACACAAAAAUUAUGGAUUUCAAAUAAGUUUUAAAAAAAUGAAAUCCUUUUGUAAGAGAUGAGUUCUCGUUCGAAACCCUGCUACUUCGAGAGAGAUUGUCAGUUUUGAACACGAACUGCAUCCAGUUUUUGUCGUAGCCCUCUCAACUUUCUAACACAUGCUAUGUGGGUUAAAUGAUGAUAGCAUGCCAACUUUCAACAUUUUUCAGAGUUCAUUUGUAGUGCUUUUCAAUUUCAGGGUCAACUAGCUCAAAAAAAAUAAGUAAAUGCACGAAAUAUACCAAAUGAAGUCAGAAAUUGUUGAAAUUUUGUGAUGUGCCUUUGAAUGGUGCAGUUUGAACACACAAAAAGUAUGGAGUUCAAAUAAGUUUUAAAAAAUGAAAUCCCUUUGUAAGAGAUGAGUUCUCGUUCGAAACCCUGCUACUUCGAGAGAGAUUGUUAGUUUUGUAAACGAACUGCAUCCAGUUUUUGUCAUAGCCCUCKCAACKUKUUAACACAUGCUAUGUGGGUGAAAUGAUGAUAGCAUGCCAACUUUCAACAUUUUCAGAGUUCAUUUGUAGUGCUUUUCAAUUUCAGGGUCAACUAGCUCAAAAAAAAAAGUAAAUGCACGAAAUAUACCAAAUGAAGUMAGAAAUUAGUUGAAAUUUUGUGUUGUGCCUUUGUAAUGGUGCAUUUUGAACANNNNNNNNNNNNNNNNNNNNNNNNNNNNNNNNNNNNNNNNNNNNNNNNNNNNNNNNNNNNNNNNNNNNNNNNNNNNNNNNNNNNNNNNNNNNNNNNNNNNGGGAUAAUUAACCCAUUUAGCUCCAAAAAGACAUAAUUAGGUAAUUUAGCUCCAACAAUAAAUAGGAAAAAUAGAAAAGAAAGAAAGAAGAAGAAGAAGAGAGGAAGGAGAAGGAGGAGGAGGAGGAGAAGGCCAAGGACCUUCUAGUCCUUCUCCUCCUCCUUGUCCUCCUUCUUGAUUUUCUUUUUCUUUCUCCUCCUCCUCCUCUUUCCUCUCCUMUUUCAUAUUAUCCUUGCUUUUAAUUUCCCCAAAAAUGACAUAAUUAGCUCAUUUAGCUCCAAAAUGCCAUAAUAACCUCAAAAUGGCAUAAGAACCUUGGUUAGAUCAUGAAUAUUAUAUACUUAGCUUGUUUUCCUAUAAAAUGAGAUAAUUAGCCCAUUUAGCUCCAAAAAGACAUAAUUAGGUAAUUUAGCUCCAAGAAGAGGAGAAGAGGAGAAGAGGAGAAGAAAUAAGAAAAAUGAAAAGAAAGAAGAAGAUGAAGAAGAGAAGAAUGAGAAGGAGGAGGAGUAGGAGGAGAAGGAGGAGAAGGCCAAGGACCUUCUAGUCCUUAUCCUCCUCCUCCUUCUCCUUCUUAUCCUCCCUCUUCUUGAUUUCUUCUUCUUCUCCUCCUCCUCCUCUUUUCUUCUCCCCUUUCAUAUUAUCCUUGCUUUAAUUUCCCCAAAAAGACAAUAAUUAGCCCAUUUAGCUCCAAAAUGCCAUAAUAAGGUCAAAAUGGCAUAAGAACCUUGGUUAGCUCAUGAAUAUUAUAUACUUAGCUUGUUUUCCUCUAAUAUGAGAUAUUUAGCCCAUUUAGCUCCAAGAAGACAUAGUUAGCUAAUUUAGCUCCUAGAAGAGGAGAAGAAAUAGGAAAAAUGAAAAGAAAGAAUAAGAAGAAGAAGAGAAGAAGGAGAAGGAGGAGGAGAAGGACGAAGGACGUAGNNNNNNNNNNNNNNNNNNNNNNNNNNNNNNNNNNNNNNNNNNNNNNNNNNNNNNNNNNNNNNNNNNNNNNNNNNNNNNNNNNNNNNNNNNNNNNNNNNNNCACGAAAUAUACGAAAUGAAGUUCAGAAAUUGUUAGCUAAUUUUGUUGAUGUGCCUUUGUAAUGGUCCAUUUUGAACUACACAAAAAGUAUAGGAGUUCAAAUAAGUUUAAAAAAAAUGAAAAUCCCUUUGUAAGAGAUGAGUUCUCAUUCGAAACCCUSCUACUUCGAGAGAGAUUGUCAGUUUUGUACACGAACUGCAUCCAGUUUUUGUCGUAGCCCUCUCAACUUUUUAACACAUGCUAUGUGGGUUAAAUGAUUAUAGUAUGUGAACUUUCAACAUUUUUAGAGUACAUUUGUAGUGCUUUUCAAUUUCAGGGUCAACUAGCUCAAAAAAAAUAAGUAAAUGCACGAAAUAUACGAAAUGAAGUCAGAAAUUGUUGACUAAUUUUGUGAUGUUGACCUUUGGAAUGGUCCAUUUUGAACACACAAAAAGUAUGGAGUUCAAAUAAGUUUAAAAAAAUGAAAUCCCUUUGUAAGAGAUGAGUUCUCGUUCGAAACCCAGCUACUUCCAGAGGAGGGGGGGGGGUUUNNNNNNNNNNNNNNNNNNNNNNNNNNNNNNNNNNNNNNNNNNNNNNNNNNNNNNNNNNNNNNNNNNNNNNNNNNNNNNNNNNNNNNNNNNNNNNNNNNNNUCAAGGSCCUACGUAGCGAUGAGUUCUCGUUCGAAACCCUGCUACUUCGAGAGARAUUGUCAGUUUUGUACACGAACUGCAUCMAGUUUUUCUCGUAGCCCUCUCAACUUUUUAACACAUGCUAUGUGGGUGAAAUGAUGAUAGCAUGCCAACUUUCAACAUUUUCACAGUUCAUUUGUAGUGCUUUUCAAUUUCAGGGUCAACUAGCUCMAAAAAAAUAAGUAAAUGCACGAAAUAUACAAAAUGAAGUAAGAAUUAGUUGAAAUUUUGUGAUGUGCCUUUGAAUGGUGCAUUUUGAACACACAAAAAGCAUGGAGUUCAAAUAAGUUUAAAAAAAUGAAAUCCCUUUGUAAGAGAUGAGUUCUCGUUCGAAACCCUGCUACUUCGAGAGGGAUUGUCAGUUUUCUACAUGAACUGCAUCCAGUUUUUGUCAUAGCCCUUUCAACUUUUUAACACAUGCUAUGUGGGUGAAAUGAUGACAGCAUGCCAACUUUCAACAUUUUCAGAGUUCAUUUGUAGUGCUUUUCAAUUUCAGGGUCAACUAGCUACAAAAAAAUAAGUAAAUGCACGAAAUAUACCAAAUGAAGUCAAGAAAGCNNNNNNNNNNNNNNNNNNNNNNNNNNNNNNNNNNNNNNNNNNNNNNNNNNNNNNNNNNNNNNNNNNNNNNNNNNNNNNNNNNNNNNNNNNNNNNNNNNNNGGUAAAGGAUAGUAGCAUUGUCCCUUCUCUCUUUUCUCUCAUUUUUUUAUUUUUUUCUUCUUUUUUUGGUGGGCUUCUUUGGCCUUCUUUUUACUUCCUCACAUGGGACAAUGMUCYAWYAAUGAUGAUCAUCACACUUACAACUCAAAACUUAGAGCAAUGAUGACUCUAUAUGGAAUGCACUUCGGUAGUGUACCGUGACAAUGAUCUAGCAUGGCAUAGACAUCAAUGGAAACAUCAUGCUAGCUAUCUUAUGAUCAUGCAAUGGCAAUGUAGAAGUGGUGGCACAUGUCAUGGUGGUAGUUUCAUGGCAAUAUAUCUCGGAAUGGCUUUGAAAAAACCAUAGUAGGUAGGUAUGGUGGUUGUUUUGAGGAAGGCAUAUGGUGGGUUUGUGUACCGGCAAAAAAUGCGCGACACUAGAGAGGCUAGCAAUGGUGGAUGGUGAAAGUGCAUCUAUACCAUGGACUCACAUUAGUCAUGAAGAACUCACAUACUUGUUGCGAAAGUUUUUAUUAUUAAUCGAAACAAAGUGCUAAACGCAUACUCCUAGGGGAAGGGUUGGUAGGUGUUAACCAUNNNNNNNNNNNNNNNNNNNNNNNNNNNNNNNNNNNNNNNNNNNNNNNNNNNNNNNNNNNNNNNNNNNNNNNNNNNNNNNNNNNNNNNNNNNNNNNNNNNNUCUGAAAACUUACGACUGCCUGGGAAAAAGGAAUAUCAACCAGCAGAAAAAAGAAUCAACUCAUAAUCUUUUUUCUGAAUAAAAAUGAAAAAUCAUCUCGUGAGCGAAAAGUUUCUAUCUUUUUUUCCAGCAGGAUCAAACGAUCAUCCCCAAGACUAAUCAUAACGGUUUCACUUGGCACAAAGGAAAAAGAAACACAAAAAAACACAAUCAUAACAGAAUUAUGAAAGUAUGGAAAACACUAAACAGAAAGAAAAAGAUAAAUUCAUUGGGUUGCCUCCCAACAAGCGCUAUUGUUUAACGCCCUUAGCUAGGCAUUGAUAAUUCAAUGAUGCUCACACAAAAGACAAGAAUUGAAGCACAACGAGAGCAUCAUAAAGCAUGUGAAAAUCACAUSUAAGUCUAACAUACUUCCUAUGCAUAGGCAUUUUAUAGGAAAMWRAUUGUCAAGACAACCAAUAGUUACCGUAUGCAAGGAAGAAGAAAGAGACAAUAGCAAUCUCCACAUAACGAGAGGUAAUUUGGUAACAUGAAAGUUUCUACCACAAUAUUUUCCUCUCUCAUAGUAAUUACAUGUGGGAUCAUAUUCGAAUUAAACAAUGUAACUAUCACAUAGGAUAUUCUUUUCAUGAUCCACAUGCAUGCAAAGUUGACGCUCUUCAAAAAUAGUCGGAUUAUCAUCAACUAAAGUCAUGAUUUCUCCAAACCCACUUUCAAUGAUAUUGCAAAUAUCAUAUUCAUCAUGAGGCUUAAACAAAUUUUCAAGAUCAUAAGAAAAAUCAUCGCCCCACUCAUGAUCAUUGCAACAAGUAGGGAGMCGMUUAUAUAGAGUGCACUAUGUCCCAUGACAAUUGCCAUUACAAGGGUUUAAAUAUGUCUAANNNNNNNNNNNNNNNNNNNNNNNNNNNNNNNNNNNNNNNNNNNNNNNNNNNNNNNNNNNNNNNNNNNNNNNNNNNNNNNNNNNNNNNNNNNNNNNNNNNNGGAUUCAAAUAAGUUUAAAAAAAAUAGAAAUACCCUUUGUAAGAGAUGAGUUCUCGUUCGAAACCCUGCUACUUCGAGAGAGAUUGUCAGUGUUGUACACGAACUGCAUCCAGCUUUUGUCGUAGCCCUCUCAACUUUCUAACACAUGCUAUGUGGGUUAAAUUAUGAUAGCAUGCCAACUUUCAACAUUUUCAGAGUUCAUUUGUAGUGCUUUUCAAUUUCAGGGUCAACUAGCUCAAAAAAAAGUAAAUGCACGAAAUAUACCAAAUGAAGUCAGAAAUUGUUGAAAUUUUGUGAUGUGCCUUUGAAUGGUGCAUUUUGAACACACAAAAAGUAUGGAGUUCAAAUAAGUUUAAAAAAUAUGAAAUCCCUUUGUUAAGAGAUGAGUUCUCGUUCGAAACCCUGCUACUUCGAGAGAGAUUGUCAGUUUUGUACACGAACUGCAUCCAGUUUUUUUCGUAGCCCUCUCAACUUUUUUAACACAUGCUAUGUGGGUGAAAUGAUGAUAGCAUGUCAACUUUCAACAUUUUCAGAGUUCAUUUGUAGUGCUUUUCAAUUUCAGGGUCAACUAGCUCAMAAAAAAAUAAGUAAAUGCACGAAAUAUACCAAAUGAAGUGAGAAAUUAUUNNNNNNNNNNNNNNNNNNNNNNNNNNNNNNNNNNNNNNNNNNNNNNNNNNNNNNNNNNNNNNNNNNNNNNNNNNNNNNNNNNNNNNNNNNNNNNNNNNNNAAAUGAAGGGCGGGGAGGAGAUGAAAUUUGUACUGACCCACGAAUGGCAGGGGCGGAGCUCGUACAACGCACGGGCAGGUCUUCGCACAGCAGACCUCACAGCGACGAGACAACUACCACAUGUAAAUCCACCCGAUCAACGCAAAUAUUCCAAUUAUGUCAUUUUAGAGGAAAACAAGCUAAGUAUAUAAUAUUCAUGAGCUAACCAAGGUUCUUAUGCCAUUUUGAGCUUAUUAUGGUAUUUUCGAGGUAAAUGGGCUCAUUAUGUCAUUGUUGGGUUAAUUAAAGCAAGGAUAAUAUGAAAGAGGAGAAGAAAGAGGAGGAGGAGGAGAAGAAGAAGAAAUCAAGAAGAAGGAGGAGAAGGAGGGGGAGGAGAAGGACUAGAAGGUCCUUGGCCUUCUCCUCCUCCUCCUCCUCCUCCUUCUCCUUCUUCUCUUCUUCUUCUCUUCUUCUUCUUCUUCUUUCUUUUCAUUUUGCCUAUUUCUUCUCGUCUUCUCCUCUUGUUGGAGCUAAAUUACCUAAUUAUGUCUUUUUUGAGCUAAAUGGGCUAAUUAUCCCAUUUUAGAGGAAAACAAGCUAAGUAUAUAAUAUUAAUGAGCUAACCAAGGUUCUUAUGCCAUUUUGAGCUUAUUAUGGUAUUUUGGAGCUAAAUGGGCUAAUUAUGUCAUUGUUGGGUUAAUUAAAGCAAGGAUAAUAUGAAAGAGGAGAAGAAAGAGGAGGAGGAGGAGAAGAAAAGAASAGGAAGRAGGAGRAGGAGAGGAGAAGGAGGAGGAGGAGAAGGAUAGAAKSUSCUUGGCCUUCUCCUCCUCCUCCUCCUCCUUCUCCUUCUUCUCUUCUUCUUCUUCUUCUUCUUCUUCUUUCUUUUCUAUUUUGCCUUAUUUCUUCUCCUCUUCUCCUCUUGUUGAGCUAAAUUGCUACGUGNNNNNNNNNNNNNNNNNNNNNNNNNNNNNNNNNNNNNNNNNNNNNNNNNNNNNNNNNNNNNNNNNNNNNNNNNNNNNNNNNNNNNNNNNNNNNNNNNNNNAAAUCCCUUUGUAAGAGAUGAGUUCUCGUUCGAAACCCUCCUACUUCGAGAGAGAUUGUCAGUUUUGUACACGAACUGCAUCCAGUUUUGUCGUAGCCCUCUCAACUUUUAACACAUGCUAUGUGGGUGAAAUGAUGAUAGCAUGUAAACUUUCAACAUUUUCAGAGUUCAUUUGUAGUGCUUUUCAAUUUCAGGGUCAACUAGCUACAAAAAAAAAUAGUAAAUGCACGAAAUAUACCAAAUGAAGUGAGAAAUUAUUGAAAUUUUGUGAUGUGCCUUUGAAUGGUACAUUUUGAACACACAAAAAGUAAUGGAGUUCAAAUAAGUUUAAAAAAAAUAGAAAUACCCUUUGUAAGAGAUGAGUUCUCUUUCGAAACCCUGCUACUUCGAGAGAGAUUGUCAGUUUUGUACACGAACUGCAUCCAGUUUUUCUCGUAGCCCUCUCAACUUUAUAACACAUGCUAUGUGGGUGAAAUGAUGAUAGCAUGCCAACUUUCAACAUUUUCAGAGUUCAUUUGUAGUGCUUUUCAAUUUCAGGGUCAACUAGCUACAAAAAAAAAUAAAWAUGCACGAAAUAUGCCAAAUNNNNNNNNNNNNNNNNNNNNNNNNNNNNNNNNNNNNNNNNNNNNNNNNNNNNNNNNNNNNNNNNNNNNNNNNNNNNNNNNNNNNNNNNNNNNNNNNNNNNCGCAUUUACUAUGGAUGACGCAAACUCUUAAGGAUUMWSGUAUKCAUGUGAAACAUGUUCCAUUGUUGCGUUAUAGUGGAAGUGCUAUUAAAAUUAGUUCAUAAUCCACUAAACAUUCACGAACUAAACAUAUUCAAGCGCGACAUCAUUUCAUUCGUGAUCAUGUUGGUAAAGGAGAUAUUAAUCUCAAGCAUGUUCGUACCAACAAACAAUUGGCUGAUAUCUUUACAAAACCACUUGAUGAGAAAGUGUUUUCCAUUUGAGGAGUGAGUUGACCAUCAUAUAUAGAUGCUUCAAACUCGAGCUAGACUCACUCGGAUGCAUGCAAGGGCAUGAGCUUACCUUAUUAUUUCAUGAUGCUAUUGAUGUGACACUAUCUUAUAUCUUGGAAAACUAUGCUCCCUUGUAUUGCAUCUAACCUUACUUUAGGUACUUGGAAGAAUUACAAUUCACAAGAUUUCCAUCAACUCACAUCAAACGCAAUCUUGUCAUGGCCAAGUAUCAACAACCCCUUCUUCGAAUAUNNNNNNNNNNNNNNNNNNNNNNNNNNNNNNNNNNNNNNNNNNNNNNNNNNNNNNNNNNNNNNNNNNNNNNNNNNNNNNNNNNNNNNNNNNNNNNNNNNNNCUCACCACGCCAGAAUGAAACUUCCGACCGCGUCCUCAAAAAUACACCUUCUCAGGUUGCUAAAAUAACCAGAAAGAAUACUGGGCAUCCNCGAAACACUUUUCCGCCGCCGCAAGCUUCCGUUUCCGCGAGAUCUCAUCUGGAGACCCUUCCCAGUGCCCUGCCGGAGGGGACUUUGGAGUUGGAGGGCUUCUACAUCAACAUCAUCGCCUCUCCAAUGACUCGUGAGUAGUCCACUUCAGACCUACGGGUCCGUAGUUAGUAGCUAGAUGGCUUUUUCUCUCUCUUGGAUCUACAAUACAAUGUUUUCCAUGAUCUUCAUGGAGAUCUAUCCGAUGUAAUCCUCUUUGGCGGUGUGUUUGUCGAGAUCCGAUAAAUUGUGGAUUUGUGGUCAGAUUAUCUAUGAAUUAUAUUUGAGUCUUUGCUGAUUUCUUAUAUGCAUGAUUUGAUAUCCUUGUAAGUCUCUCCGAGUCUUGGGUUUUGUUUGGCCAACUAGAUCUAUGAUUCUUGCAAUGGGAGAAGUGCUUGGUUUUGGGUUCAUACCGUGAGGUGACCUUUCCCAGUGAUAGAAGGGGCAGCAAGGCACACAKGGGAUWGKUGCCAUCAAGGGUAACAAGAUNNNNNNNNNNNNNNNNNNNNNNNNNNNNNNNNNNNNNNNNNNNNNNNNNNNNNNNNNNNNNNNNNNNNNNNNNNNNNNNNNNNNNNNNNNNNNNNNNNNNUUGUUGCAAUGAUCAAGAUUGGGGUAAUGAUUUUUCUUAUGAUCUUAAAAAAUUUGUUUAAGCCUCAUGAUGAAUAUGAUAUUUGCAAUAAUAUUGAAGGUGGGUUUGGAGAAGUCAUGACUUUAGUUGAUGAUAAUCCCACUAUUUUUGAUGAGCGUCAACUUUGCAUGUAUGUGGAUCAUGAAAAGAAUAUCCUAUGUGAUAGCUAUAUUGUUGAAUUUGAAUAUGAUCCCACAUGUAAUUAUUGUGAGAGAGGAAAAUAUGGUGGUAGAAAUUUUCAUACCACUAAAUCACCUCUUGUUUUGUUGAGAUUGAUAUUGUCUCUUUCUUCUUCCUUGCAUAUGGUAACUAUUGGUUGUCUUGACAAUUUAUUUUCCUAUAAAAUGCCUAUGCAUAGGAAGUAUGUUAGACUUAGAUGUUAUUUUCACAUGCUUUAUGAUGCUCUCGUUGUGCUUCAAUUCUUGUGUUUUGUGUGAGCAUCAUUGAAUUAUCAAUGCCUAGCUAAGGGCGUUAAACAAUAGCGCUUGUUGGGAGGCAACCCAAUGUAUUUAUCUUUGCUUUUUUUCUUUCUUGUUUUUUUUUUGUGUCCACACCGUCAUAAUUUUGUUAUGAUUGUUGUUUUUUUUUGUUUUCUUUUUUGUUGUUUGAGCCAAGUAAACCUUUAUGACUGGUUUUGGUGAUGUUGUUUGAUCUUNNNNNNNNNNNNNNNNNNNNNNNNNNNNNNNNNNNNNNNNNNNNNNNNNNNNNNNNNNNNNNNNNNNNNNNNNNNNNNNNNNNNNNNNNNNNNNNNNNNNUUCUGAUUAUGAACAAGGUGUUGUUGCUUGACAACUGGAUCACGUCAUUAGGAGAAUCAUGUGAUGGACUAGACCCAAACUAAUAGACGUAGCAUGUUGAUCGUGUCAUUUUUGUUGCUACUGUUUUCUGCGUGUCAAGUAUUUAUUCCUAUGACCAUGAGAUCAUAUAACUCACUGACACCGGAGGAAUGCUUUGUGUGUAUCAAAUGUCGCAACGUAACUGGGUNACUAUAAAGAUGCUCUACAGGUAUCUCCGAAGGUGUUCGUCGAGUUAGUAUGGAUCGAGAGUGGGAUUUGUCACUCCGUGUGACGGAGAGGUAUCUCGGGGCCCACUCGGUAAUACAACAUCACACACAAGCCUUGCAAGCAAUGUGACUUAGUGUAAGUUGCGGGAUCUUGUAUUACGGAACGAGUAAAGAGACUUGCCAGUAAACGAGAUUGAAAUAGGUAUGCGGAUACUGACGAUCGAAUCUCGGGCAAGUAACAUACCGAAGGACAAAGGGAAUGACAUACGGGAUUAUAUGAAUCCUUGGCACUGAGGUUCAAACGAUAAGAUCUUCGUAGAAUAUGUAGGAUCCAAUAUGGGCAUCCAGGUCCCGCUAUUGGAUAUUGACCGAGGAGUCACUCGGUUCAUGUCUACUUGGUUCUCGAACCCGCAGGGUCUGCACACUUNNNNNNNNNNNNNNNNNNNNNNNNNNNNNNNNNNNNNNNNNNNNNNNNNNNNNNNNNNNNNNNNNNNNNNNNNNNNNNNNNNNNNNNNNNNNNNNNNNNNGUAGUAUGUUGAUAGGACUAUGUAUUGGAGGGCAAGGGUGACAGAAGCUUCAUCCUAGCAUCGAAAUUGAUGCAUACGGGAUUGAAGGGGGAACAAUAUAUUUUAUUGCUAUGGUUGGGUUUUACCUUAAUGAACGUUAGUAGUUGCGGAUGCUUGCUAAUAGUUCCAAUCAUAAGUGCAUAGAAUUCCAAGUAAGGGAUGACAUGCUAGCAGUGGCCUCUCCCACAUAAAACUUGCUAUCGGUCUAGUAACGUAGUCAAUUGCUUAGGGACAAUUCCGCAACUCCUACCACCAAUUUUCCACACUUGUUAAACUAACGUAAUUGUUCUUAGCAGCCCCUAGUCUUUAUUUACGUGUUCUUUCUUUUCUUGCAAACCUAUCCUAUCACUCCUACAAAGUACUUCUAGUUUCAUACUUGUUCUAGGUAAAGCGAACGUAAAGUGUGCGUAGAGUUGUAUCGGUGGUCGAUAGAACUUGAGCGAAUAUGAUCCUACUUUAGCUCCUCGUUGGUUCGACACUCUUACUUAUCGGCUACGUCGNNNNNNNNNNNNNNNNNNNNNNNNNNNNNNNNNNNNNNNNNNNNNNNNNNNNNNNNNNNNNNNNNNNNNNNNNNNNNNNNNNNNNNNNNNNNNNNNNNNNAUCCCCAAGCUUAACUCCUGCUCGUCCUCGAGUAGGGAAGUGAUAAAGACCGAAUUUUUGAUGUGGAAUGCUACCUAACAUACUUGUCCUUUGUAACUUCUUUCAUGUGACAUGAAUGUUCAGAUCCAUGAGAUUCAAAACAAUAGUUUUCUAUUGACAUGAAAACAAUAAUACUUCAAGCAAACUAGCAAGGUAAUCAUGAACUUUCGAAAUAACAAGGCUAAAGAAAGUUAUCCCUACAAAAUCAUAUAGUCUGGCUAUGCUCCAUCAUCCCCACAUAAUGAAUUUAAAUCAUGCACAACCCCGGWAUUGGCCAAGUAAUUGUUUUCGCACUCUUUUACUUUCUCAAACUUUUUAUAACUAUCACGCAAUACAUCAGCGUGAGCCAUGGAUAUUGUACUAUAGGUGGAAUAGAGUGUGGUGGUGGUUGUGAGAGAAAAAGGAGGAGAUGGUCACAUUGACUCGGCGUAUACGAAAGGGCUAGUGGAGAUGACCCAUUAAUAGAUAUNNNNNNNNNNNNNNNNNNNNNNNNNNNNNNNNNNNNNNNNNNNNNNNNNNNNNNNNNNNNNNNNNNNNNNNNNNNNNNNNNNNNNNNNNNNNNNNNNNNNCACGUAGCUAUGAAAGAGGAGAAGAAAUAGGAGGAGGAGGAGAAGAAGAAAAAUCAAGAAGAAGGAGGUGAAGGAGAUGGAGGAGAAGGACUAGAAGGUCCUUGGCCUUCUCCUCCUCCUUCUCMUUCUUCUCUUCUUCWUCUUMUUCUUUCUUUUCAUUUUUCUUAUUUCUUCUCCUCUUCUCCUCUUCUCCUCUUCUUGGAGCUAAAUUACCUAAUUAUGUCUUUUUGGAGCUAAAUGGGCUAAUUAUCUCAUUUUAUAGGAAAACAAGCUAAGUAUAUAAUAUUCAUGAUCUAACCAAGGUUCUUAUGCCAUUUUGAGGUUAUUAUGGCAUUUUGGAGCUAAAUGAGCUAAUUAUGUCUUUUUGGGGAAAUUAAAGCAAGGAUAAUAUGAAAGAGGAGAAGAAAGAGGAGGAGGAGGAGAAGAAGAAGAAAUCAAGAAGAAGGAGGAAGAAAAAGGAGAAGGAGGAGGAGAUAAGGACUAGAAGGUCCUGGCCUUCUCCUCCUUCUCCUCCUACCUCCUCCUCCGCUCGUNNNNNNNNNNNNNNNNNNNNNNNNNNNNNNNNNNNNNNNNNNNNNNNNNNNNNNNNNNNNNNNNNNNNNNNNNNNNNNNNNNNNNNNNNNNNNNNNNNNNAGGAGACUAUUAAACGGAGUCCAAACGGAAUAAAACCUGCGGAAUGAUUUUUUCCAUAACAGAAGACACGCAGGAGACUUGAGAACCAGGGAAGGGGACCUCGGAGGAGGUCACAAGCCACCUAGGACCGACCUAGGGGGAGGGCGGGCCUAGCAGGCUUGUGGGCCCCCUGUGGUUCCCCUGCCCUAGUUCUUCCGCCUAUAAAUUCCAUAAAAAUCUGAAAACACGAAAGAGAGCCACGAAAAUACUUUUCCACCGCCGCAAGCUUCUCUCUCCGCAAGAUCCCAUCUGGGGAACGUUCUGGUGCCCUGCCGGAGGGGGAUUCGCACACUGAGGGCUUCUUCAUGAAAACCNUUGCCUCUCCGAUGAUGCGUGAGUAGUUCACCAUAGACCCUWCSGGUCCWUAGCUAGUAGCUAGAUGGCUUCUUCUCUCUCUURGAUMUUCAAUACAAAGUUCUCCAUGAUCUUCAUGGAGWUCUAUCCAAUGUAAUAUUCUUUUGCGGUGUGUUUGUCGAGAUUCGAUGAAUUGUGGAUUUAUGAUCAUAUUAUCUAUGAAUCUUAUUUGAGUUUCUUCUGAUCUCUUAUAUGCAUGAUUUCAUAUCCUUGUAAUUCUCUUCGAGUUGUGGGUUUUGUUUGGCCAACUAGAUCUAUGAUUCUUGCAAUGGGAGAAGUGCUUGGUUUUGGGUUCAUACCGUGCGGUGACCUUUCCCAGUGACAAAAGGGGCAGCAAGGCACACAGGGGAUAGGNNNNNNNNNNNNNNNNNNNNNNNNNNNNNNNNNNNNNNNNNNNNNNNNNNNNNNNNNNNNNNNNNNNNNNNNNNNNNNNNNNNNNNNNNNNNNNNNNNNNGCUUUUCAUGAACUUAGUACACUAGAUGCAUGCUGGAUAGCGGUCGAUGUGUGGAGUAAUAGUAGUAGAUGCAGAAAGUAUCGGUCUACUUGUCUCGAACGUGAUGCCUAUAGAUAUGAUCAUUGCCAUAGAUAACGUCAUGACUUUGCGCGGUUCUAUAAAUUGCUCGACAGUAAUUCGUUCACCCACCGUCUACUUGCUUUCAUGAGAGAAGCCACUAGUGAACACUACAGCCCCCCGGGUCUAUUCACAACUAUCGUUUCCACUUUUACUUUUACUUUGGUUUGUUUACUUUUUGCUUUCAGUUCUCACUUUGCAAACAAUCUAUAAGGGAUUGACAACCCCUUCAUAGCAUUGGGUGCAAGCUCUUUGUGUUUGUGCAGGUACUUGUGACUUGACGCGAUCCUCCUACKSKACKUGAUACCUUGGUUCUGAAACUGAGGGAACUACUUACCGCCGCUGUGCUACAUCACCCUUUCCUCUUCAAGGGAACAACAACGCAAGGCUCCAAGGCACGCNNNNNNNNNNNNNNNNNNNNNNNNNNNNNNNNNNNNNNNNNNNNNNNNNNNNNNNNNNNNNNNNNNNNNNNNNNNNNNNNNNNNNNNNNNNNNNNNNNNNAUCACACCAUAGGGUUAGUAUUAUGUUGAUAGGACUAUGUAUUGGAGGGGAAGGGUGAUAGAAGCUUCAGCCUAGCAUAGAAACUGAUGCAUGCGGGAUUGAAGGGGCCCAAUAUAUCUUAUUGCUAUGGUUGGGUUUUAACUUAUUGAACGUUAGUAGUUGCGGAUGCUUGCUAAUAGAUCCAAUCAUAAGUGCAUAGAAUUUCAAGUAAGGGAUGACAUGCUAGCAGUGGCCUCUCCCACAUAAAACUUGCUAUCAGUCUAGUAACCGUAGUCAAUUGCUUAGGGACAAUUUCCGCAACUCCUACCACCACUUUUCCACACUCGUUAAACUAACGUAAUUUUUUCUUAGCAGCCCCUAGUCUUUAUUUACGUGUUCUUUCUUUUCUUGCAAACCUAUCCUAUCACUCCUACAAAGUACUUCUAGUUUCAUACUUGUUCUAGGUAAAGCGAACGUAAAGUGUGCGUAGAGUUGUAUCGGUGGUCGAUAGAACUUGAGCGAAUAUUGAUCCUACCUUUAGCUCCUCGUUGGGUUCGACACUCUUACUUAUCGAGAAAGGCUACAAUUGAUCCCCUAUACUUGUGGGUUAUCAAGACCUUUGCUACGUGNNNNNNNNNNNNNNNNNNNNNNNNNNNNNNNNNNNNNNNNNNNNNNNNNNNNNNNNNNNNNNNNNNNNNNNNNNNNNNNNNNNNNNNNNNNNNNNNNNNNAUGCUUUUCAAUUUAAGGGUCAUGUAGCUCAAAAAAAUCAGUAAAUGCAUGAAAAAUACAAAAUGCAGUCAUAAAUUGUUCAAAAUUGAUGAUGUGGCUUUAAAUGGUGCAUUUUGAACACACAAAAAGUCUGGAGUUCAAAUAAGUUCAAAAAGAUGAAAUCCCUUUGUAAUAGAUGAGUUUUCAUGUGAAUCUGUGAUACUUCGAAAGAGAUUCUCCGUUUUGUACACGAAGUGCAUCCAGUUUUUGCCAUAACCCUCUCAACUAUUUAGCACAUGCUUUGUGGGUGAAAUGAUGAUACUAUGCCAAUUUUCAAUCUUUUCAGAGGUGAUUUGUAGUGCUUUUCAAUUUAAGGGUCAUUUAGCUCAAAAAAACAAUAAAUUUAUGAAAAAUACCAAAUGAAGUCAAAAAUUGUUGAAAAUUGAUGAUGUGGCUUUGAAUGGUGCAUUUUGAACACACAAAAAGUAUGGAGUUCAAAUAAUAUCAAUAAAAUGAAAUCCCUUUGUAACAGAUGAGUUUUCGUAUGAAACCCUCAUACUUCGAAAGAGAUUGUCCAUUUUGUACACAAAGUGCAUCCAGUUUUUGCGCAACCCUCUCAACUUUUUAGCACAUCCUAUGUCGGUGAAAUGAUGAUACCAUGCCAACUUUCAACCUUUUUAGAGUUUAUUUGUAGUGCUUUCCAAUUUAAGGGUCAUUUAGUCCAAAAUAUCAGUAAAUGCAUGAAAAAUAGCAAAUGAAGUCAGAAUUUGUUGAAAAUUGAUGAUGUGGCUUUGAAUGGUGCAUUUUGAGAAAUGUUGUGACCUAAAAGCAAAAAAGAAUCAACGAAAAACAAUAAGUAGGAACAAGAAAAAGUAAAGUAAAAAAUAAAACAAAAAACUAGAUUUAAAAAAAAUGCCACCUACUAGGCCACAACGGCGUGAAUACGACUAGAAACCCAUCCUCCUGGUUGGGCCAGGAUUCAGGCCCACACAAGGCCCAAUAGGCCCACAGGCAGUGACAGAUUAGGUCCGAAAGCUUGCAGUUGAGAGGAGCUCGACAGAUUGUGCGCAGCAGCGAUUAUAAACCACUCGCGAGCUCUCUCGGCAAGCGAGGUGGGACUAAAAAUUUAGACCCGGGCAACACCACACUUUGGUCCCGGUUGGUGCCUCCAACCGGGACCAAUACCACCCUUUCGUCCCGGUUGGAGCCACCAACCGAUACUAAAGGUCUCUUCUUCCCGCCCUUUUGGACUGCUGAAAAUUGACCUUUAGUCCCGGUUGGUGGCUCCAACCGGGACAAAAGGGUGGCAUUGGUGUCGGUUGGAGCUACCAACGGGGACCAAAGGUGUUCGCAUAUAUGGCGGGACUUACCAAAAUUUCUACCAACUCCCAUUUGCCCCGUUCUCUUCUCUCCUCACCGUCGUCGUUGCCGCCCCGAGCCCGUCGCCGCCGGCCCGCGCCUUCUCCACGAGCCCAUCGUCAUUGUCGCCAUCGCCCCGAGCCCGUUGUCACGCCGAGCCCGUCGUCGCCCCGAGCCCGUCACCGUCGUCGUCGCCCCCGAGCCUGUCGCCGUCGUCGUCAUCCCGAGCCCGUCAUCACCGUCACCCCCGAGGCCAUAAACGUCCCCGCUGCCGUCGCCCCCGAGCCCAUCGCCCCAAGCCAAUCGCCGUCGCCGUCACUGAUAACCCACAAGUAUAGGGGAUCAAUUGUAGCCUUUCUCGAUACGUAAGAGUGUUGAACCCAACGAGGAUCUAAAGGUAGGAUAAAUAUUCCCUCAAGUUCUAUCGACCACCGAUACAACUCUACGCACACUUCACGUUCGCUUUACCUAGAACAAGUAUGAAACUAGAAGUACUUUGUAGGAGUGAUAGGAUAGGUUUGCAAGAAAAGAAAGAACACGUAAAUAAAGACUAGGGGCUGCUAAGAAAAAAUUACGUUAGUUUAACGAGUGUGGAAAAGUGGUGGUAGGAGUUGCGGAAUUGUCCCUAAGCAAUUGACUACGUUACUAGACUGAUAGCAAGUUUUAUGUGGGAGAGGCCACUGCUAGCAUGUCAUCCCUUACUUGAAAUUCUAUGCACUUAUGAUUGGAUCUAUUAGCAAGCAUCCGCAACUACUAACGUUCAAUAAGUUAAAACCCAACCAUAGCAAUAAGAUAUAUUGGGCCCCCUUCAAUCCCGCAUGCAUCAGUUUCUAUGCUAGGCUGAAGCUUCUAUCACCCUUCCCCUCCAAUACAUAGUCCUAUCAACAUAAUACUAACCCUAUCGUGUGAUCCACGCGCGCGCUCAUAUGAUGGGCACCAAAGGACAGCAACAUAACCACAAGCAAAUCAAACCAAUCACACCAAUUCAUCAAUAACCGAUAGGACAACAAAAAUCUACUCAGACAUCAUAGGAUGGCAACACAUCAUCGGAUAAUAAUAUGAAGCACAAAGCACCAUGUUCAAGUAGAGGGUACAGCGGGUUGCGGGAGAGUGGACCGCUGAAUAUAGAUGGGGGAAGGAGAAGGAGGUGUUGGUGAAGAUGACGGACGUGUUGGUGUAGAUCGCUGUCACACGAUGAUGUCCCGGGCGGCGUUCCGGCACCGCCGGGAGAGAGGGGGAGGGAGCCCCCCUUCUUCUUCUUCUUCCUUGACCUCCUCCCUAGAUGGGAGAAGGGUUUCCCCUCUGGUCCAUGGUCUCCAUGGCGGCGGAGGGGCGAGAGCCCCUCCGAGAUUGGAUCUCUCUCUGUGUGUCCUUCUGUUUGUGCGCUCCCAGAUUCUGCCUUUCACCGUUUCUUAAAAUUCCCGGAGAUCCAUAACUCCAAGUGGGCUGAUUUUAACACGAUUUUCUUCCGGAUAUUAGCUUUCUUGCGGCGAAAGAAGGGCCCCAACCGCCUUAGGGAUUGGUCACAAGCCUGCCUGCCGUGCCCUAGGGGGCACCUCCUAGGCUUGUGACCCCCUCGGGCAUCGUUUUGCGUUGAUUCUUCUUCCCAAAAAUCAUAAAUAUUCCAUAAAAAAUCACCAUAGGUUUUUUAUUGUGUUUGGACUUCGUUUGGUAUGGAUAUUAUACGAAACAAAAAACAUGCAACAAACAGGAACUGGCACUGGGAACUGGAUCAAUAUUUUAGUCCCAAAAAUAGUAUAAAAAGUUGCCAAAAGUAUAUGUAAGUUGUAGAAUAUUGGCAUGAAACAAUCAAAAAUUAUAGAUACGACGGAGACGUAUCAGCAUCCCCAAGCUUAAUUUCUGCUCGUCCUCGAGUAUGUUGGAAUUAUGCCCUAGAGGCAAUAAUAAAUAUAGUUAUUAUUAUAAUUCCUGUAUCAAGAUAAUCGUUUAUUGUCCAUGCUAUAAUUGUAUUGAAUGAAGACUCAUCUACAUGUGUGCAUACAUAGACAAAACACCGUCCCUAGCAAGCCUCUAGUUGGCUAGCCAGUUGAUCAAAGAUAGUCAGUGUCUUCAGAUUAUGAACAAGGUGUUGUUGCUUGAUAACUGGAUCACGUCAUUAGGAGAAUCACGUGAUGGACUAGACCCAAACUAAUAGAUGUAGCAUGUUGAUCGUGUCAUUUUUGUUGCUACUGUUUUCUGCGUGUCAAGUAUUUAUUCCUAUGACCAUGAGAUCAUAUAACUCACUGACACCGGAGGAAUGCUUUGUGUGUAUCAAACGUCGCAACAUAACUGGGUGACUAUAAAGAUGCUCUACAGGUAUCUCCGAAGUUGUUAGUUGAGUUAGUAUGGAUCAAGACUGGGAUUUGUCACUCCGUGUGACGGAGAGGUAUCUCGGGGCCCACUCGGUAAUACAACAUCACACACAAGCCUUGCAAGCAAUGUAACUUAGUGUAAGUUGCGGGAUCUUGUAUUACGGAACGAGUAAAGAGACUUACCGGUAAAUGAGAUUGAAAUAGGUAUACGGAUACUGAUGAUCGAAUCUCGGGCAAGUAACAUACCGAAGGACAAAGGGAAUGACGUACGGGAUUAUAUGAAUCCUUGGCACUAAGGUUCAAACGAUAAGAUCUUCGUAGAAUAUGUAGGAUCCAAUAUGGGCAUCCAGGUCCCGCUAUUGGAUAUUGACCGAGGAGUCUCUCGGGUCAUGUCUACAUAGUUCUCGAACCCGCACGGUCUGCACACUUAAGGUUCGACGUUGUUUUAUGCGUAUUUGAGUUAUAUGGUUGGUUACCGAAUGUUGUUCGGAGUGCCGGAUGAGAUCACGAACGUCACGAGGGUUUCCGGAAUAGUCCGGAAACGAAGAUUGAUAUAUAGGAUGACCUCAUUUGAUUACCGAAAGGUUUUCGGAGUUACCGGGAAUGUACCGGGAAUGACGAAUGGGUUCCGGGAGUUCACCGGGGGNNNNNNNNNNNNNNNNNNNNNNNNNNNNNNNNNNNNNNNNNNNNNNNNNNNNNNNNNNNNNNNNNNNNNNNNNNNNNNNNNNNNNNNNNNNNNNNNNNNNCGAAUCUCGGGCAAGUAACAUACCGAAGGACAAAGGGAAUGACGUACGGGAUUAUAUGAAUCCUUGGCACUGAGGUUCAAACGAUAAGAUCUUCGUAGAAUAUGUAGGAUCCAAUAUGGGCAUCCAGGUCCCGCUAUUGGAUAUUGACCGAGGAGUCUCUCGGGUCAUGUCUACAUAGUUCUCGAACCCGCAGGGUCUGCACACUUAAGAUUCGACGUUAUUUUAUGCGUAUUUGAGUUAUAUGGUUGGUUACCGAAUGUUGUCCGGAGUCCCAGAUGAGAUCACGGACGUCACGAGGGUUUCCGGAAUAGUCCGGAAACAAAGAUUGAUAUAUAGGAUGACCUCAUUUGAUUACCGGAAGGUUUUCGGAGUUACCGGGAAUGUACCGGGAAUGACGAAUGGGUUCCGGGAGUUCACCGGGGGGGGGGGGGGCAACCCGCCCCGGGGAAGCCCAUAGGCCUUGAGGGUGGCACACCAGCCCUUAGUGGGCUGGUGGGACAGCCCAAAAGGGCUCUAUGCGCCAAGAAGAGAAAAUCANNNNNNNNNNNNNNNNNNNNNNNNNNNNNNNNNNNNNNNNNNNNNNNNNNNNNNNNNNNNNNNNNNNNNNNNNNNNNNNNNNNNNNNNNNNNNNNNNNNNGAGCUCCCGCUCCUUCUCCUUCUUCUUCUCCUUCUUCUCCUUCUUCUUCUCCUUCUUCUUCUUAUCCUUUUGUCCCCUUCUUCUUAUCCUCCUCCCUCUCCUCCUUCUUCUUCUCCUUUUUCCUCUUCCUUCCUUUCAUUUUCCUCUUUUUCUCUUCUUGUCCCCUUCUUCGGGCUAAAUUGGCUAAGAAUGCCUUUUUGGAGCUAAUUAUGUCAUUUCGAGGAUAAUUAGCUAAGUAUAGGUCAUUUUUUAUUAAAUAGGCCAUUUUGGAGCUAACUAAGCUAAUUAUGUCCUUUCGUAGGAUAAUUAGCCAAUUUAGCCUUUCUUGGAUAAGUCUAAGCUACGUAGAAGAAGAGAUAGAGAAGAAGAAGUAAAAUAAGGAGGAGGAGGAGGAGAAGAAGAAGGAAGAGGAGAAGAAGAAGAAAAGAAGAAGGAGAAGGAGAAGAAGAAGGAGAAGGAGAAGGAGGAAGAAGGGGAAGGAGGAGCUCCUUCUCCUUCUCCUCCUUCUUCUCCUUCUUCUUCUCCUCCUCCCUCUCCUCCUUCUUCUUCUCCUUUUUCCUCUUCCUUCCUUUCAUUUUCCUCUUUUUCUCUUCUUGUCCCCUUCUUCGGGCUAAAUUGGCUAAGAAUGCCUUUUUGGAGCUAAUUAUGUCAUUUCGAGGAUAAUUAGCUAAGUAUAGGUCAUUUUUUAUUAAAUAGGCCAUUUUGGAGCUAACUAAGCUAAUUAUGUCAUUUCGUAGGACAAUUAGCCAAUUUAGCCUUUCUUGGAUAAGUCUAAGCUACGUAGAAGAAGAGAUAGAGAAGAAGAARUAAAAUAAGGAGGAGGAGGAGGAGGAGGAGGAGAAGAAGAAGGAGAAGAAGAAGAAAAUAAGAAGGAGAAGGAGGAAGAAGAAGGAGUAGGAGGAGCUCCUUCUCCUUCUCCUCCUUCUUCUCCUUCUUCUCCUUCUUCUUCUCCUCCUCCCUGUCCUCCUUCUUCUCCUUAUUUUUCCUCUUCCCUCCUUUCAUUUUUCCUCUUUUUCUCUUCUUGUCCCCUUCUUCGGGCUAAAUUGGCUAAGAAUGCCUUUUUGGAGCUAAUUAUGUCAUUUCGAGGAUAAUUAGCUAAGUAUAUGUAAUUUUUUAUUAAAUAGGCCAUUUUGGAGCUAACUAAGCUAAUUAUGUCAUUUCGUAGGAUAAUUAGCCAAUUUAGCCUUUCUUGGAUGAGUCUAAGCUACGUAGAAGAAGAGAUAGAGAAGAAGAAGUAAAAUAAGGAGGAGGAGGAGGAGGAGGAGAAGAAGAAGGAAGAGGAGAAGAAGAAGAAAAGAAGAAGGAGAAGAAGGAGAAGAAGAAGGAGAAGGAGAAGGAGGAAGAAGGAGGAAGAAGAAGGGGAAGGAGGAGCUCCUUCUCCUUCUUCUCCUUCUUCUCCUUCUUCUUCUCCUCCUCCCUCUCCUCCUUCUUCUUCUCCUCAUUUUUCCUCUUCCUUCCUUUCAUUUUCCUCUUUUUCUCUUCUUGUCCCCUUCUUCGGGCUAAAUUGGCUAAGAAUGCCUUUUUGGAGCUAAUUAUGUCAUUUCGAGGAUAAUUAGCUAAGUAUAGGUCAUUUUUUAUUAAAUAGGCCAUUUUGGAGCUAACUAAGCUAAUUAUGUCAUUUCGUAGGAUAAUUAGCCAAUUUAGCCUUUCUUGGAUGAGUCUAAGCUACGUAGAAGAAGAGAUAGAGAAGAAGAAGUAAAAUAAGGAGGAGGAGGAGGAGGAGGAGGAGAAGAAGAAGGAAGAGGAGAAGAAGAAGAAAAGAAGAAGGAGAAGGAGAAGGAGAAGGAGAAGGAGGAAGAAGGAGGAAGAAGAAGGGGAAGGAGGAGCUCCUUCUCCUUCUCCUCCUUCUUCUCCUUCUUCUUCUCCUCCUCCCUCUCCUCCUUCUUCUCCUCAUUUUUCCUCUUCCUUCCUUUCAUUUUCCUCUUUUUCUCUUCUUGUCCCCUUCUUCGAGCUAAAUUGGCUAAGAAUGCCUUUUUGGAGCUAAUUAUGUCAUUUCGAGGAUAAUUAGCUAAGUAUAGGACAUUUUUUAUUAAAUAGGACAUUUUGGAGCUAACUAAGCUAAUUAUGUCAUUUCGUAGGACAAUUGGCUAAUUUAGCCUUUCUUGGAUGAGUCUAAGCUACGUAGAAGAAGAGAUAGAGAGGAAGAAGUAAAAUAAGGAGGAGGAGGAGGAGGAGGAGGAGGAGGAGAAGAAGGAAGAGGAGAAGAAGAAGAAAAGAAGAAGGAGAAGGAGAAGAAGAAGGAGAAGGAGAAGGAGGAAGAAGAAGGAGUAGGAGGAGCUCCUUCUCCUUCUCCUCCUUCUUCUCCUUCUUCUCCUUCUUCUUCUCCUCCUCCCUCUCCUCCUUCUUCUCCUCAUUUUCCUCUUCCCUCCUUUCAUUUUCCUCUUUUCUCUUCUUGUCCCCUUCUUCGGGCUAAAUUGGCUAAGAAUGCCUUUUUGGAGCUAAUUAUGUCAUUUCGAGGAUAAUUAGCUAAGUAUAGGUCAUUUUUUAUUAAAUAGGCCAUUUUGGAGUUAACUAAGCCAAUUAUGUUAUUAGAUGGAAGUCUAGCUAUUUUGGGGCUAACUAAGCUAAUUAUGUCAUUAGAUGGAAGUCUAGCUAUUUUUUAUUAAAACACUAGAAAUAACAUACCUAAGUUAGGGUGAAGCACGGUGGCUCUGGCUUGUUUCACCUGGAGAAGGCUGCCCUGGAGAAGGCUCGACUGUAGAAGGGUCAUGCGAUGCGUUUCGGGACAUAUUCUGCACCAAACAUCGUUUGCAAUGUGUAGUUAGCAUGAGGACACUCUUAAGAUCACUCCACUGAAAUGAAACUCACCGUCCCCGCCACGUUAAUGACUGGCAUCGGCGGAGGGACUUGGCCGUUCUUCUCGCACAUAGACUGUACAUUUGGUUUCGACAAGUCAAACUUUUUAUUUAUUAAUGAAACGGACAUUCAAAUGCAAGAUUUGAAAUAACAUGAAGAAGAAACUUACCACGAAGAGCUCGUAUAUGGCCCUGGUAGACGCUUCAUUCCGUGCCCUCUCCGCCUCCACCAAUGCAGUCGUCCUCUCCUCCAGCUCCCUAAUUUCCUUAUCCUUCUCCGCCAUAGCCGCCUGCAUUGCCGCUCUCUCUUUCUGAAUAGCAGCCUGCAACACAACUCAUUGUUAGCAAUGUAAUCAUAUUGGUUCCAACGCACAACAUAAUGCGGAAAGAUUGUUCAGUCCAUUAAACUAACCUCGAUGGCGAGCUCGACUGGCCGUGGACGACGUGUUAUCUCCGGACAAGAGCUCGUUUGGCGUGCCUUUAUCUACCGGAGAGUGCUAGGACAACGUAUAAGGCCGUCUCCAAUGGCGAUCGAGCCAUGGGGCCUCCCGUUGCCAGCUAUCAUCACCAGCUCUGGAUCAAUUGGCCCCUCGCUCGGGUUAAAGUCCUCCCCUUUCCUCGCCUUCCCGUGAUCUCUGUACUUCACGAGCUUGUCGUGGGAGGAGAUGUUGGUGAAGUUUUCUGGAUGCUCGAGGUCAGACUCACAGAAUGCCUUGACCUUCUUGUACGAGGCAGUAUGGGCCAUCGCAUACAGGUCGUACAUCUGUGGCGCCUCCGUCUUAUUGUGACGCGCCUAAAAGAGAGAGAGCAGAAAAUUGUAUUGGUAAAGGGCUCAAGAUAGCAUUAAGAAUGAAUUGCAUGAGGCAUGAACCAAACCACAUACCCAGUUCUCGCCAAAUUGGAUUAAGUUGACGCUCCCUUGAUGGUGUGGCACGCCAACCAUUUUGCCACGCCUCUCCUUGGCGUUGUUGUGGCUGGUCUCCCACGUUUUGGAGCACCACUGGUCCACCAAGGCCUCCCAACAAUCCAUCUUAUCCACACACCAUCUAGGGGGCACCUAAGUUAAUAAAGAGAAAUUUGAGUGCGUAAGAACCAAAUCAAGGAAACUAACUACAAAGCCUUAAUAAUAUGUAAUUACCUUCAUGUAAUGCUCCUUCUCCAUCUUAGCAUCAUGGCACUUCGCCUUAUCAAUCCUAAUACGCCGCGUGGCAUAGUAGUCUCGAACAGCCUGCACCCGAGCCUCGUGCCGAAAGUUUUGAAGUAGGCGGCGACAUUCGGUUUCGAUAACCUUUGCCGCGUCGUCCUCGUAUCCCUCCUCACACCUGUAGAAGGUCUGCAAACGGGACAACACCGAUUAGUACAAUAAAUAGCUAUGGUUAAUUUAUAAUUGUGUGAAAGAGAAAUUACCCAGAACUUUCGGAUCACCAUGUCCGCCCUCGUGUCACACAAAACACCGUCGAUCUCCACCUCCGGCGGGGCCAGGGCACCCAAGUAGUGCUCCCAGGUCAUCCCUACCUCUCGCUCCCGACCGGGCAACGUAACAAACCCUGGGAAGUUUUGACGGCAAAGAACACCGAGGACGCUGUUGGGCUUGCGGACACCCUUGGCAACAAUCCAACCCCUACAGUAUGACAAAUUAAAGCCAAAACAUUAGAUAUUUGAGAAAACGCGAAGGCAAAAGGUUAAAUAAGAGUAAAUUAACUUACUUGUCCCCAUUUGGCCUAAUCGAGCACCUCUGCUCGGGGGUCGCUGGCACGAGCGGGAGCCCCGAACUACCACGCUGGUAGACGGUAUCCCCCUCACCCAGCUCCUCGUCGCUACCAGCAUGGCAGUUGGCUCUGGCCAGGGAUCCCACUGGGUCUCUUGGGACGUACCCUCAUCCCUGCUGUGCUCCGCAGUCGUGUGGAAGGAAGCCUCUGGGACACGAGUCUCGUGGGUCAAAGGCUCGUCGACCUGAGGCUCGUCGACCCGAGGCUCGUGAACCGGAGACCGUGUAGCCUCCACCUCAGACGAAUCCACCCUAGAAGUCCUCCUGUGCUCAGGUGAAUCAGCUUGGGGUGGUGGCGGAGACCGUGUAUCCCUACCUCUCCCGCGGCCACGUGUACCUUUAGUACAACAUAAAUACCAACAUGAGUAAUAAAAUGUAUAUAAAUACCAAUAUGCAUACAACAUGAGUACAACAUAAAUACCAACACGAAUACAACGUGUACCUUUAGUGCCUCUCGGCUUCGCGGGUGGUCGACCUCCUCUCACGGGGGCCGCUCCUUGCAUACUAGAGAGCAACACUCUCCGAAGAGGCGAGGCCGGAAUGGAAGUACCCAUCCCAUCACCCGCCGACGAAGAAGCAGCCGCGGCAUGCUUUCGACCCUUUCCCACCAUCUUUCAACACCUGUCAUGACAAAGAGUAAAUGAAAUUAGUACAACAUAAAUACCAACAUGACUAAUAAAAAUUGAAUACCUAACAUGAACUCAAAAUUUAUAUAUAGUAUAAUAGUUGAAUACCUGACAUGAACUAAUAACAAUCGUCCUCGUCUAUAUAUGCUUCGGGGUCAAUAAAUGCAUCAUGAUCAUCACUAUCAUCAAUAAAUGCAUCAUCAUCAUCACUAUCUAGAAGAACAUGUGGAAGGCCACCAUUAUGUAAUCGGUCAAGAAGUGACAGGUCAUCCGCAGCAGUAACCUCUUCUUCUUCCAGAUCUUCCUCUUCGGGCUCAGGGGUUAAGACGGAUUCACUGUCACUGUCUACUUCAAUGUUCUGGGGUGAAGUAGAGCGGUUCUUGAAACGUUUCUUGGACAUACGUGUUUCUUGGAAGAAUUCUCCUUCAUAUGUGUCUGGGUUAAUGUGAGGUUCGUAAUCCUCUUCAUUGAGGGUAGGUGGUCUAAAAUGUGGUGGCACAUCAUAAACGACAUCCCAACCUUUGAGAUUUGGAUCAAUUUGGCAGGCCCACGGUAGAUAGAAAACUUGUGUCGCCUGUUGAGACAUAAUAUAGACAUCGGGAACAUCUAAGUGGGUGUUUUGGUUGAUUUCGACUAGUCCUAUAUGUUCAUGAGUCCUUCUAGUCUCCCUCGGCUCAAACCAAUAACAUUUGAAGACUACGACGGUCGGUGGGUUUUCACCAUAGAAUAGAAGUUCAUAAAUUGCUUCAACCCUUCCAUAAUACUCGGUGUCUCCUUCGCCGAUAGCAGAGACAGAACAAUUUGUAGUCUUUAGGUCGGGCAUAGAUAGCUCUUUGCCAAAGGUACGAAAGUGAUACCCGUUGAUGUUGUAUUUGUCAAAUGAACGGACCUUAUAGUCAAAACCAUUAGCGACUUGUCUCAACUCGGCGUCCAUAGACUCUGCAUCAGCCUACAAGUUUAAUACGAAAGAAUGGAUGCAUUAGCCGCAAAUUAGACCAAUAAUUCAAAUGGUUUUGUACACGAACUGCAUCCAGUUUUUGUCGUAGCCCUUCACUUUACGANNNNNNNNNNNNNNNNNNNNNNNNNNNNNNNNNNNNNNNNNNNNNNNNNNNNNNNNNNNNNNNNNNNNNNNNNNNNNNNNNNNNNNNNNNNNNNNNNNNNCAAUUAAAAACUAUGUUUAUUAAAAAUUCUUUUUGCAUAUUUGAGAAUUUAACAAAACUAUGAUAAUGAAAAGUGUUUCAAAUUGAAUAAAUAAUGCAAAACUAUUUUUAUUUUCAUAAUUAAUAAUUUUGACUAUCCAAACUAUUAUCUAUUUUGUUAUUUUGACUUCAUUUGGUAUAUUUCGUGCAUGUACUUAUUUUUUUUGAGCUAGUUGACCCUGAAAUUGAAAAGCACUACAAAUGAACCACUACUGAAAUUCAGAAAUUUGCCGUCUGCCAAGGCGGACGGCAAAGGGGGCAACCAUGGACGGCAAAGGCUUUGCCGUCUGCCCCCUCAUGGCAAAGUAGAUGGUAAAAAAAAUCCGGUGAAGAGGCUCUUUGCCGUCUGCUUUCACAAAGCGGACGGCAAAGAAUCUUUGCCAUGAGGGGGAAGACGGCAAAAUAAGUGGGACGGCAUAUAUUGCAACGUCCCCGUUAAGUGUUAACGGCAGGCCUCCUCUCUUUGCCGUCUGCCUCCCCCCCUUUGCCAUGUGGGGGUAAACGGCAAAGAGGGAGAGAGAGGGGGCAGAUUCUCUCUUUGCCGUCUGCCUCCCCCCCUUUGCCAUGUGGGGGCAGACGGCAAAGAGGGGAGAGAGAGGGGGCAGAUUCCCCCUUUGCCGUCUGCCUCCACCCCUUUGCCAUGUGUUGGCAGACGGCAAAGAGGGGAACCAUCCCCUUUUUUAUUUAUUUUUUGUUAUAUCCAGCAUUUUUAACAAUAAUCAGGAUAUAUAUAUAUAUUUGACAUAAAUAAAUUUCUUUUCGUACCCAUAACCAUAUUAAAAUAACUCUCAUCCAUAGUGCAUACAUAUUAUGGAAGUUACAUUCGUACCAAACCUAAUAUUACACCAGUUUCAUCCACGUGCAUACAAAGUUUCAUAUAUUCAUAUACUACAACAGUUUCAAUACAACCCAUGGUACAAGAAAUCAUCUUCAAGCAUUCCAUCAACCAAGCUUCCCGUGAAGUGAAGGUAAUCUGCAAAAUGACAAAUAAGAAAGUUAGAAAAAUAAUACUAGAUGAAGUAGUGUAUAUAUAGGUUAUUUCGGAGAGAAAUUAGCUAAUUAUAGACCAUUUAGGAGCUAACUAAGCUAAUUAUGUCAUUUAGGUGGAACCCUAGCUAACUAUAGGAGAAGAGAAAGAGAAGAAGAAGUAAAAGAAGAAGGAGGAGGAGGAGAAGGAGAAGGAAGAGGAGAAGAAGAAGAAAAAGGAGGAGGAGGAGGAGGAGGAGAAGGAGAAGGAAGAGGAGAAGAAGAAGAAGGAGAAGAAGGAGAAGAAGAAGGAGAAGAGAGAGAGAGAGAGAGANNNNNNNNNNNNNNNNNNNNNNNNNNNNNNNNNNNNNNNNNNNNNNNNNNNNNNNNNNNNNNNNNNNNNNNNNNNNNNNNNNNNNNNNNNNNNNNNNNNNGGUGCAAGACUUUGAUGAUGCUCGGGAUUCGGAAGAUGAGAUGGAGGAAUCUGCAAAGGCCUUUUAUGAAAUGUUGGAGUCUUCAAAACGUCCUCUCCAUGAGCACACUGAGCUCUGUCAGCUGGAUGCAAUUGCACAAGUAAUGGCUCUGAAGGCUUAGUUCAACUUGGGAAGAGAAUGCUACGACGCGAUGAUGACACUAUUUGGACGUUUCCUACCCAAAGGCCAUGUCAUGCCUGCAAACCUGUACCAGUCGGAAAAAAUAUUUCGUUUACUUAAGAUGCACUAUGAGAAGAUACAUGCAUGUGAGAAAGGAUGUGUCUUAUUUAGGAAGGAGUAUCUACACUUGGACUAUUGUCCCAAUUGCGAGUCUUGCAGGUAUCUUGUGGUAGACAAACGGUAUGGGUGAGAAGAGGCAGACCAAAAUCGCAGUUAGUGUUCUUCGGUAUAUCACAAUCGUACCAAUACUUCAACGUCUUUUCAUGGUCGAAGAGACAGCCAGACAGAUGACAAGGCACAAAUUGGGCAAAAGAACCGAACUAGAUGCGGAUGGGAAUAAGAUGAUGGUACACACAUCGGAUGGGGAAGCGUGGAAACAUUUCGAUGGAUUGCAUCAAGAUAAAGCGACAGAUCCAAGGAAUCCUCGAGUCUGUGCCGCCACGGUCGGUUUUAAUCCCUUCGGCAUGACGACAACCCAAUACAGUUGUUGGCCUGUAUUUGUCAUUCCACUCAAUCUCCCCCCUAGGCAGAUUAUGCAAAGAAAGAUCAUAUUUCUGACGUUGAUAAUUCCAGGGCCCAAUUAUCCGGGGAAGAAUAUGAAUGUGUAUCUGCAACCGCUUAAGGAUGAAUUGGAAGAAGCUUGGGAUAAUGGGGUCAAGACAUACGAUGCCGCUAGAAAAAAAAACUUCAAAAUGCAUGUGUGGUACAUGUUGGGGAACGUCGCAUGGGAAACAAAAAAUUUCCUACGCGCACGAAGACAUAUCAUGGUGAUGUCCAUCUACGAGAGGGCAUAUUCGAUCUACGUACCCUUGUAUGAUUUCCAACAAGUCACUAGCACGCUCAAUUGUUCCGGAGAACGGAGUUUUAGUCAUCUUGCCCAUGAGGCAUGGUUCGCACGUGUCAAGUGAAUCAAAGUCAAGUGACUCCAAAAGUCCAUCGGCAUGGAGUUUCUUCAUGCGCUUUACACCAAUAUGACCUAAGCGGUAGUGCCACAAAAAUAUGGCGCUAUCAUUGUUAACUUUAACUCUUUUGGUCUCAAUGUUAUGUAUGUGUGUAUCACUAUCAAGAUUCAAUAUGAACAAUCCUCUCACAUUGGGUGCAUGACCAUAAAAGAUGUUACUCAUAGAAAUAGAACAACUAUUAUUCUCUGAAUUAAAAGAGUAACCGUCUCGCAAUAAACAAGAUCCAGAUAUAAUGUUCAUGCUCAACGCAGGCACUAAAUAACCAUGAUUCAAGUUCAUAACUAAUCCUGAUGGUAACUGAAGUGAAACUGUGCCGACGGCGAUUGCAUCAAACUUGGAACCAUUUCCUACGCGCAUCGUCACUUCAUCUUUCGCCAGCCUUCGUCUAUUCCGCAGUUCCUGUUUCGAGUUGCAAAUAUGAGCAACAGAACCGGUAUCGAAUACCCAGGCACUACUACGAGUGCCGGUUAAGUACACAUCAAUAACAUGUAUAUCAAAUAUACCUGAUUUUUCUUUGGCCGCCUUCUUAUCAGCCAGAUACUUGGGGCAGUUGCGCUUCUAGUGACCCAUACCCUUGCAAUAGUAACACUCUGUUUCAGGCUUAGGUCCAGCUUUGGGUUUCUUCAUCGGAUUGGCAACAGGCUUGCCGCUCUUCUUUGAAUUACCCGUCUUGCCUUUGCCGUUUCUCUUGAAACUAGUGGUCUUAUUCACCAUCAACACUUGAUGCUCUUUAUGGAGUUCAGACUCUGCGACUUUCAGCAUCGCAAACAACUCGCCGGGUGACUUGUUCAUCCCUUGCAUGUUGUAGUUCAACACAAAGCCUUUAUAGCUUGGCGGCAGUGACUGAAGGAUCCUGUCAGUGAUAGCCUCUUGCGGGAGUUCAAUCCCCAGCUCAGCUAGACGGUUUGAGUACCCAGACAUUUUGAGCACAUGUUCACUGACAGACGAAUUCUCCUCCAUCUUGCAAGCAUAGAAUUUAUCGAAGGUCUCAUACCUCUCGAUCCGGGCGUUCUUCUGAAAGAUAAACUUCAACUCCUGGGACAUCUCAUAUGCUCCAUGACUCUCAAAGCGAUGUUGAAGUCCCGGUUCUAAGCCAUACAAGACUGCACAUUGAACUACUGAGUAGUCCUCCUUACGUGUUAACCAAGCGUUCUUAACAUCCUAGUCAGCCGUAGCGGGUGGUUCAUCUCCUAGUGCAGCAUUAAGGACAUAAUCCUUCUUCCUAGCUUGUAAGAUUAGCUUAAGAUUACGAGCCCAGUCUACAAAGUUGCUUCCAUCAUCUUUCAACUUAGCUUUCUCUAGGAACGUAUUAAAAUUCAGGGUGACUGUCGCGUGAGCCAUGAUCUACAACACAAAUAUAUUCAUAGUGGACUUAGACUAUGUUCAAGACUAUAUUCAAAGUGGACUCAAAAAGUACAUAUCUCUAGUCAUUUGAGUGGUUCAUGAUCCACUUACACUAUCUCAAUACCGAUCAUCACGUGAGUUGAGUAUAGUUUCAGUGGUAAGCAUCCCUAUGCUAAUCAUAUCAUCUAUAUGAUUCAUGAUCGACCUUUCGGUCUCAUGUGUUCCGAGGCCAUGUCUGCAGAUGCUAGGCUCGUCAAGCUUAACCCGAGUGUUCCGCGUGUGCAACUGGUUUGCACCCGUUGUAUGUGAACGUUGAGUCUAUCACACCCGAUCAUCACGUGGUGUCUCGUAAUGACGAACUGUAGCAACGGUGCACAGUCUGGGAGAACACAAUUUCGUCUUGAAAGUUUAGUGAGAGAUCACCUCAUAAUGAUACCGUCGUUCUAAGCAAAAUAAGGUGCAUAAAAGGAUUAACAUCACAUGCAAUUCAUAAGUGACAUGAUAUGGCCAUCAUCACGUGCUCCUUGAUCUCCAUCAGCAAAGCACCGGCACGAUCUUCUUGUCACCGGCGCCACACCAUGAUCUCCAUCAACGUGUCACCAUCAGGGUUGUCGUGCUGCUCAUGCUAUUACUACUAAUGCUACAUCCUAGCAAAAUAGUAAACGCAUCUGCAAGCACAAACGUUAGUUUAAAGACAACCCUAUGGCUCCUGCCGGUUGCCGUACCAUCGACGUGCAAGUCGAUAUUAUCUAUUACAACAUGAUCAUCUCAUACAUCCAAUAUAUCACAUCACAUCGUUGGCCAUAUCACAUCACAAGCAUACCCUGCAAAAACAAGUUAGACGUCCUCUAAUUUUGUUGUUGCAUGUUUUACAUGGUGACCAUGGGUAUCUAGUAGGAUCGCAUCUUACUUACGCAAACACCACAACGGAGAUAUAUGAAUUGCUAUUUAACCUUAUACAAGGACCUCCUCGGUCAAAUCCGAUUCAACUAAAGUUGGAGAAACUGACACUUGCCAGUCAUCUUUGAGUAACGGGGUUACUCGUAGCGAUGAAACCAGUCUCUCGUAAGCGUACGAGUAAUGUCGGUCCAAGCCGCUUCGAUCCAACAAUACCGCGGAAUCAAGAAAAGACUAAGGAGGGCAGCAAAACGCACAUCACCGCCCACAAAAACUUUUGUGUUCUACUCGAGAAGACAUCUACGCAUGAACCUAGCUCAUGAUGCCACUGUUGGGUAACGUCGCAUGGGAAACAAAAAAUUUACUACGCGCACGAAGACCUAUCAUGGUGAUGUCCAUCUACGAGAGGGGAUAUUCGAUCUACGUACCCUUGUAGAUCGCACAGCUGAAGUGUUAGUGAACACGGUUGAUGUAGUGGAACGUCCUCAGGUCCCUCGAUCCGCCCCGCGAACCGCCCCGCGAUCAGUCCCACGAUCUAGUGCCGAACGGACCACCUCCGCGUUCAGCACACGUACAGCUCGACGAUGAUCUCGGCCUUCUUGAUCCAGCAAGAGAGACGGAGAGGUAGAUGAGUUCUCCGGCAGCGUGACGGUGCUCCGGAGGUUUGUGGUGAUCUUAUCUCAGCAGGGCUCCGCCCGAGCUCCGCAGAAACGCGAUCUAGAGGUAAAACCGUGGAGAUAUGUGGUCGGGCUGCCGUGGCAAAGUUGUCUCAAAUCAGCCCUAAAACCUCCGUAUAUAUAGGAGGAAGAGGGGGAGCCUUCCCUUGGGGUCCAAGGACCACCAAGGGGUUCGGCCGAGCCAAGGGGGGGGAGUCCUCCCCUUCCAAACCGAAUCCAACUAGGUUUGGAAGGAGGAGUCCUUCCCCUUUUUCCCACCUCCCUUUUUUUUCUCUUUGAUUUUCUUCCUAUGGCGCAUAGGGACUUCUUUGGCUGUCCCACCAGCCCACUAAGGGCUGGUGCGCCACCCCCAAGGCCUAUGGGCUUCCCCGGGGUGGGUUGCCCCCCCCGGUGAACAUCCGGAACCCAUUCGUCAUUCCCGGUACAUUCCCGGUAACUCCGAAAACCUUCCGGUAAUCAAAUGAGGUCAUCCUAUAUAUCAAUCUUCGUUUCCGGACCAUUCCGGAAACCCUCGUGACGUCCGUGAUCUCAUCCGGGACUCCGAACAACAUUCGGUAACCAACCAUAUAACUCAAAUACGCAUAAAACAACGUCGAACCUUAAGUGUGCAGACCCUGCGGGUUCGAGAACCAAGUAGACAUGAACCGAGUGACUCCUCGGUCAAUAUCCAAUAGCGGGACCUGGAUGCCCAUAUUGGAUCCUACAUAUUCUACGAAGAUCUUAUCGUUUGAACCUCAGUGCCAAGGAUUCAUAUAAUCCCGUAUGUCAUUCCCUUUGUCCUUCGGUAUGUUACUUGCCCGAGAUUCGAUCGUCAGUAUCCGCAUACCUAUUUCAAUCUCGUUUACUGGCAAGUCUCUUUACUCGUUCCGUAAUACAAGAUCCCGCAACUUACACUAAGUCACAUUGCUUGCAAGGCUUGUGUGUGAUGUUGUAUUACCGAGUGGGCCCCGAGAUACCUCUCCGUCACACGGAGUGACAAAUCCCACUCUCGAUCCAUACUAACUCGACGAACACCUUCGGAGAUACCUGUAGAGCAUCUUUAUAGUCACCCAGUUACGUUGCGACAUUUGAUACACACAAAGCAUUCCUCCGGUGUCAGUGAGUUAUAUGAUCUCAUGGUCAUAGGAACAAAUACUUGACACGCAGAAAACAGUAGCACUAAAAUGACACGAUCAAUAUGCUACGUCUAUUAGUUUGGGCUAGUCCAUCACGUGAUUCUCCUAAUGACAUGAUCCAGUUAUCAAGCAACAACGCUUUGUUCAUAAUCAGAAGACCCUGACUAUCUUUGAUCAACUGGCUAGCCAACUAGAGGCUUGCUAGGGACAGUGUUUUGUCUAUGUAUCCACACAUGUAUAUAAGUCUUCAUUCAAUACAAUUAUAGCAUGGAUAAUAAACGAUUAUCUUGAUACAGGAAUUAUAAUAAUAACUAUAUUUAUUAUGGCCUCUAGGGCAUAAUUCCAACAGUACAUGUACUCUAUGCAUGACUUGCCAGCGUAUGCACUAUUCUCUCGAUGGUGUGUGCAUGGAAGGUUCCCGUGCCCCAAAUGCAAGGCAGCUCUUCAGUUUCAUUGGUUGCAGGAGGGUCGGAAGUAUUCUUGCUUUGACUUGCAUAGACAGUUCCUGGAUCCUGACCAUCAGUUCAGAAAAGACAAGAAGAACUUUAAUAAAGGUAAAGUUGUCAAGAACUUGGCACCACCUGCGUUCACAGGCCAACAGAUCUUGGAUGAGUUAAACGCCCUCGAGCCUGAUCCAGAGCGUCCAUGGUAUUUCAAGGGUUAUAAUUCAAAACACGCCUGGACUCACAAGCCAUGCUUCUGGGAUCUGCCUUACUUCAAAGACCUCCUUCUUCCACACAAUAUCGACAUGAUGCACACUGAAAAUAAUAUCGGAGAGGCUAUUUUUGGUACAUUGUUCGACAUAGAUGGGAAGACAAAGGAUAAUAUUAAGGCUAGAGUCGAUCAAGAGACACUAUGUCAUAGACCAUUACAAAACAUGCGAGAAGGCAAAGGAAAGCAGAAGUGGUCGAAGCCAAAGGCCUGGUUCAUUCAUGGAAGGCCAGCUAUGAGGGAAAUUAUCUUGUGGGUCAAAAUGCACUUGAUGUUCCCCGAUGGGUAUGCAGCGAAUCUAAAGAGGGGAGCGAGUCUUGAAAAAUUAAAAAUCUUUGGUCUCAAGAGUCAUGAUUGGCACAUAUGGCUAGAGCGGGUAAUACCGGUGAUGUUAUGUGGCUUUAUUCCCGAGGAUGAAUGGCUAGUACUGGCGGAGCUGAGCUAUUUCUUUCAUGUUCUUUGUGCGAAAGAAUUGUCGCCUGGCGUGGUAGAAGACAUGGAGGAGUUUGCACUGGAGUUGUUGUGCAAGUUAGAGAAGAUCUUUCCACCGGGCUUCUUUAAUCCAAUGCAGCAUUUGAUUUUACAUCUACUGACCGAGGCAAGAUUGGGUGGGCCCGUGCAAGAUCGUUGGUGCUAUGCAACUGAGAGGAUGCAGAAGACCCUUCGAGCUAAAUGUAAGAAUAAGCGUUGAAUUGAAGCAUCGAUGGCUGAGUCAUUCAUUACUGAGGAGGUGGCAAACUUUGUGACAGCACACUACGAAGCCAAAAAUCAUCAUCUGCAUAAUCCGAAGCCUCGGCACAAUGAUGCAGACCAUAAAAAAGGUGGGUCCAACCUCAGCCUAUUCAAAGGGAAGCUCGCACCAGUCGGUGCUUCGAAACCAAUAACGUUGGAUGUCGAAGAAUGGCGGAACAUUUCGUUGUAUAUCUUCAACAACCUACCAGAAGUGCGGCCGUACAUCGAGUGAGUUCUCGACACAUUUUCCCGUAACUUCUAAUUCAUUUGAACUGCUCUUAUUCCCGGAUAUUUCAAACAGCCCUUACAUCGUCAAAUUCUCGGAUGGAGCGGUGAUCGAAAAUGAUUCCGUCGAAGAUUAUGCGCUUCUGUCAAAGACAGGAGGCGGCUAUCCCGGUUUCAUCUCUUGGUUCAAACAAACGGUAAUUAUCAAUAAUGGACCAUUUCAUUCUUGGUCAACCUUGGUUAGCUCAUGAAUAUUAUAUACUUAGCUUGUUUUCCUCUAAAAUGAGAUAAUUAGCCCAUUUAGCUCCAAAAAAACAUAAUUACGUAAUUUAGCUCCAAGAAGAGGAGAAGAAAUAGGAAAAAUAARAAURAAGAAGAAGAAGAAGAAGAGAAGAAGGAGAAGGAGGAGGAGGAGGAGGAGGAGAAGGCCAAGGACCUUCUAGUCCUUCUCCUCCCCCUCCCUUCUCCUCCUUCUUCUUGAUUUCUUCUUCUUCUCCUCCUCCUCCUCUUUCUUCUCCUCUUUCAUAUUAUCCUUGCUUUAAUUAACCCAACAAUGACAUAAUGAGCCCAUUUACCUCGAAAAUACCAUAAUAAGCUCAAAAUGGCAUAAGAACCUUNNNNNNNNNNNNNNNNNNNNNNNNNNNNNNNNNNNNNNNNNNNNNNNNNNNNNNNNNNNNNNNNNNNNNNNNNNNNNNNNNNNNNNNNNNNNNNNNNNNNAGGAGGAGGCGAAGGACGUAGWASGUCCUUSGCCUUCUCCUCCUUCUCUUCCUCCUCCUCCUCCUCCUCCUCCUUCUCCUUCUUCUCUUCUUCUUCUUCUUCUUUGUUUUCAUUUUUCCUAUUUAUUCUCCUCUUAUUGGAGCUAAAUUACCUAAUUAUGUCUUUUUGGAGCUAAAUGGGCUAAUUAUCUCAUUUUAGAGGAAAACAAGCUAAGUAUACAAUAUUCAUGAGCUAACCAAGGUUCUUAUGCCAUUUUGAGAUUAUUAUGGCAUUUUGGAGCUAAAUGGGCUAAUUUUGUCUUUUUGGGGAAAUUAAAGAAAGGAUAAUAUGAAAGAGGAGAAGAAAUAGGAGGAGGAGGAGAAGAAGAAAAAUCAAGAAGAAGGAGGUGAAGGAGAUGGAGGAGAAGGACUAGAAGGUCCUUGGCCUUCUCCUCCUCCUUCUCCUUCUUCUCUUCUUCUUCUUAUUCUUUCUUUUCAUUUUUCCUAUUUCUUCUCCUCUUCUAGGAGCUAAAUUAGCUAACUAUGUCUUCUUGGAGCUAAAUGGGCUAAAUAUCUCAUAUUAGAGGAAAACAAGCUAAGUAUAUAAUAUUCAUGAGCUAACCAAGGUUCUUAUGCCAUUUUGACCUUAUUAUGGCAUUUUGGAGCUAAAUGGGCUAAUUAUGUCUUUUUGGGGAAAUUAAAGCAAGGAUAAUAUGAAAGGGGAGAAGAAAGAGGAGGAGGAGGAGAAGAAGAAGAAAUCAAGAAGAGGGAGGAUAAGAAGGAGAAGGAGGAGGAGGAUAAGGACUAGAAGGUCCUUGGCCUUCUCCUCCUUCUCCUCCUACUCCUCCUCCUUCUCAUUCUUCUCUUCUUCAUCUUCUUCUUUCUUUUCAUUUUUCUUAUUUCUUCUCCUCUUCUCCUCUUCUCCUCUUCUUGGAGCUAAAUUACCUAAUUAUGUCUUUUUGGAGCUAAAUGGGCUAAUUAUCUCAUUUUAUAGGAAAACAAGCUAAGUAUAUAAUAUUCAUGAUCUAACCAAGGUUCUUAUGCCAUUUUGAGGUUAUUAUGGCAUUUUGGAGCUAAAUGAGCUAAUUAUGUCUUUUUGGGGAAAUUAAAGCAAGGAUAAUAUGAAAGAGGAGAAGAAAGAGGAGGAGGAGGAGAAGAAGAAGAAAUCAAGAAGAAGGAGGAGAAAAAGGAGAAGGAGGAGGAGGAUAAGGACUAGAAGGUCCUUGGCCUUCUCCUCCUUCUCCUCCUACUCCUCCUCCUUCUCAUUCUUCUCUUCUUCUUCUUCUUCUUUAUUUUCAUUUUUCCUAUUUCUUCUCCUCUUCUUGGAGCUAAAUUACCUAAUUAUGUCUUUUUGGAGCUAAAUGGGCUAAUUAUCUCAUUUUAGAGGAAAACAAGCUAUGUAUAUAAUAUUCAUGACCUAACCAAUGUUCUUAUGCCAUUUUGAGGUUAUUUUGGCAUUUUGGAGCUAAAUGGGCUAAUUAUGUCUUUUUGGGGAAAUUAAAUCAAGGAUAAUAUGAAAGAGGAGAAGAAAGAGGAGGAGGAGGAGAAGAAGAAGAAGAGAAGGAGGAGAAGGAGGAGAAGGAGGAGGAGGUGAAGGACUAGAAGGUCCUUGGCCUUCUCCUCCUUCUCCUCCUCCUCCUUCUCCUUCUUCUCUUCUUCUUCUUCUUUCUUUUCAUUUUUCCUAUUUCUUCUCCUCUUCUCCUUUUGUUGGUGCUAAAUUACCUAAUUAUGUCUUUUUGGAGCUAAAUGGGCUAAUUAUCCCAUUUUAGAGGAAAACAAGCUAAGUAUAUAAUAUUCAUGAGCUAACCAAGGUUCUKAUGCCAUUUUKAGCUUAUUAUGGCAUUUUGGAGCUAAAUGGGUUAAUUAUGUCAUUGUUGGGGAAAUUAAAGCAAGGAUAAUAUGAAAUAGGAGAGGAAAGAGGAGGAGGAGGAGAAGAAAAAGAAAUCAAGAAGGAGGACAAGGAGGAGGAGAAGGACUAGAAGGUCCUUGGCCUUCUCCUCCUCCUCCUCCUUCUCCUUCCUCUCUUCUUCUUCUUCUUUCUUUCUUUUCAUUUUUCCUAUUUAUUGUUGGAGCUAAAUUACCUAAUUAUGUCUUUUUGGAGCUAAAUGGGUUAAUUAUCCCAUUUUAGAGGAAAACAAGCUAAGUAUAUAAUAUUCAUGAGCUAACCAAGGUUCUUAUGCUAUUUUGAGCUUAUUACGGUAUUUUGGAGCUAAAUGGGCUAAUUAUGUCAUUGUUGGGGAAAUUAAAGCAAGGAUAAUAUGAAAUAGGAGAAGAAAUAGGAGGCGGAGGAGAAGAAGAAGAAAUCAAGAAGGAGGAGAAGGAGGAGAAGGAGGAGGAGGAGAAGGAGUAGAAGGUCCUMGGCCUCUCCUCCUCCUCCUCCUCCUUCUCCUUCUUCUUCUUCUUCUUCUUCUUCUUCUUCUUCUUUCUUUUCAUUUUGCCUAUUUCUUCUCCUCUUCUCCUCUUGUUGGAGCUAAAUUACCUAAUUAUGUCUUUUUUGAGCUAAAUGGGCUAAUUAUCCCACUUUAGAGGAAAACAAGCUAAGUAUAUAAUAUUAAUGAGCUAACCAAGGUUCUUAUGCCAUUUUGAGCUUAUUAUGGUAUUUUGGAGCUAAAUGGACUAAUUAUGUCAUUGUUGGGGAAAUUAAAGCAAGGAUAAUAUGAAAGGGGAGAACAAACAGGAGGAGGAGGAUAAGAAGAAGAAAUCAAGGAGGAGAAGGAGGAGAAGGAGGAGAGAGGAGARGGASUAGAAGGUCCUUGGCCUUCUCCUCCUUCUCCUNNNNNNNNNNNNNNNNNNNNNNNNNNNNNNNNNNNNNNNNNNNNNNNNNNNNNNNNNNNNNNNNNNNNNNNNNNNNNNNNNNNNNNNNNNNNNNNNNNNNGCUCACCGUGGGGGUGGGUCGCCGCGGGGAGGGGAUCCCACGGGGAGGGGGUCGCCGGGGGGGGGUGGGCUCGCCGCGGGGAGGGGAUCUCGCGGGGAGGGGUCGCCGCCGUGGAGAGAGAGAGUGGUCGGGGUGAGAGAGAGAGAGAGACAGUGAGCGAGGGGGGUAACGGCCGUUAUAGGGCGGCCCCUUUGCCGUCCGCCCCCGACGGCAAAGGGCCGUAUGGCAGACGGCAAAGGCCCGCGGACGGCAAAGGCCGCCGGAUUUCGGACACGGCAGGCAUGGGACCCACGCGUCCCCUUUGCCGUCUGCCCUGGGGCUCUUUGCCGUCUGCUGGCAGACGGCAAAGGACCCACACAUGGAAAAUAGUAUUUUUGCCAUGUGUCAGUUCUUUGUCGUCUGUAUUGUGUCAACUGAUGGCAAAGAGGUUCUUUGCCGUCAGCCAGCAGACGGUAAAGAACUGGCUGACGGCAAAUUUCUGGAUUCCAGUAGUGAACUCUGAAAAUGUUGAAAGUUGGCAUGCUAUCAUCAAUUCACCCACAUAGCAUGUGUUAAAAAGUUGAGAGGGAUACGACCAAAACUGGAUGCUGUUCGUGUACAAAACUGACAAUCUCUCUCGAAGUAGCAGGGUUUCGAAAGAGAACUCAUCUCUUACAAAGGGAUUUCAUUUUUUUAAACUUAUUUGAACUCCAUACUUUUUAUCUGUUCAAAAUGCACCAUUCAAAGGCACAUCACAAAAUUCCAACAAUUUCUGACUUCAUUUCGUAUAUUUCGUGCAUUUACUUAAUUUUUUUUGAGCUAGUUGACCCUGAAAUUGAAAAGCACUACAAAUGAACUCUGAAAAUGUUGAAAGUUGGCAUGCUAUCAUCAUUUCACCCACAUAGCAUGUGUUAAAAAGUUGAGAGGGCUAUGACAAAAACUGGAUGCAGUUCGUUUACAAAACUAACAAUCUCUCUCGAAGUAGCAGGGUUUCGAACGAGAACUCAUCUCUUACAAAGGGAUUUCAUUUUUUUAAACUUAUUUAAGAAGUCAUGCUUAAUUAAGAAAAAAGACUUGUCAUUGUGACUUACUGUAUCCACUUCGAAGUCCUCAUCCAGCAUGAUGUUGAAGCGCUUAUCAUCAACUAGGUGAGGCACGUCGCACAAGCCGCGNNNNNNNNNNNNNNNNNNNNNNNNNNNNNNNNNNNNNNNNNNNNNNNNNNNNNNNNNNNNNNNNNNNNNNNNNNNNNNNNNNNNNNNNNNNNNNNNNNNNCUAUCAUCAUUUCACCCACAUAGCAUGUGUUAAAAAGUUGAGAGGGCUAUGACAAAAACUGGAUGCAGUUCGUUUACAAAACUAACAAUCUCUCUCGAAGUAGCAGGGUUUCGAACGAGAACUCAUCUCUUACAAAGGGAUUUCAUUUUUUUAAACUUAUUUGAACUCCAUACUUUUUGUGUGUUCAAAAUGCACCAUUCAAAGGCACAUCACAAAAUUUCAACAAUUUCUGACUUCAUUUGGUAUAUUUCGUGCAUUUACUUUUUUUUUGAGCUAGUUGACCCUGAAAUUGAAAAGCACUACAAAUGAACUCUGAAAAUGUUGAAAGUUGGCAUGCUAUCAUCAUUUCACCCACAUAGCAUGUGUUAAAAAGUUGAGAGGGCUACGAGAAAAACUGGAUGUAGUUCGUGUACAAAACUGACAAUCUCUCUCGAAGUAGCAGGGUUUCGAACGAGAACUCAUCUCUUACAAAGGGAUUUCAUUUUUUAAAACUUAUUUGAACUCCAUACUUUUUGUGUGUUCAAACUGCACCAUUCAAAGGCACAUCACAAAAUUUCAACAAUUUCUGACUUCAUUUGGUAUAUUUCGUGCAUUUACUUAUUUUUUUUGAGCUAGUUGACCCUGAAAUUGAAAAGCACUACAAAUGAACUCUGAAAAAUGUUGAAAGUUGGCAUGCUAUCAUCAUUUAACCCACAUAGCAUGUGUUAGAAAGUUGAGAGGGCUACGACAAAAACUGGAUGCAGUUCGUGUUCAAAACUGACAAUCUCUCUCGAAGUAGCAGGGUUUCGAACGAGAACUCAUCUCUUACAAAAGGAUUUCAUUUUUUUAAAACUUAUUUGAAAUCCAUAAUUUUUGUGUGUUCAAAAUGCACCAUUCAAAGGCACAACAGAAAAUUUCAACAAUUUCUGACUUCAUUUGGUAUAUUUCGUGCAUUUACUUAUUUUUUUGAGCUAGUUGACCCUGAAAUUGAAAAGCACUACAAAUGAACUGUGAAAAUGUUGAAAGUUGGCAUGCUAUCAUCAUUUCACCCACAUAGCAUGUGUUAAAAAGUUGAGAGGGCUACGAAAAAACUGGAUGCAGUUCGUGUACAAAACUGACAAUCUCUCUCGAAGUAGCAGGGUUUCGAAAGAGAACUCAUCUCUUACAAAGGGAUUUCAUUUUUUUUAAACUUAUUUGAACUCCAUACUUUUUAUCUGUUCAAAAUGCACCAUUCAAAGGCACAUCACAAAAUUCCAACAAUUUCUGACUUCAUUUCGUAUAUUUCGUGCAUUUACUUWWUUUUUUUUGAUCGUUAGUUACCGUACCCGUAAGUAAAGUUAAAGGAAAAACGACCUAACCUUAAAACUAAAGUACGUAAACCUUACGNNNNNNNNNNNNNNNNNNNNNNNNNNNNNNNNNNNNNNNNNNNNNNNNNNNNNNNNNNNNNNNNNNNNNNNNNNNNNNNNNNNNNNNNNNNNNNNNNNNNCGUUUACGUUUUUAGUUUUAUUUAUUAUUACUACUAACACUACUACUAUAUAUAUAUAUAUAUAUAUAUAUAUAUAUAUAUAUAUAUAUAUAUAUAUUUGACAUCACAUUUAUAUAAUUCACCAAACAUAUAUGAUAUAUAGUUCACCACACAUAUACUUGCCAACACAUAUAUAUAAUUCACCACACAUAUAUGAUAUACAUAUAAAUCAAUGUACAUCCCCAUAUAUCAAAAGAACCAACAUACAAAGUAAUUGCACUGUUUAUCCAUAUAUAUAUACAUAUAGUUCAACAUUGUUCAUCAACUCAAAUGAAAACUAGAUGAUAUACAUAUAAAGUUCAUCCAUCGACAUUGUUCAACUCCAUGAAUGCCAGCUUUCAUGCAUGUAGUAUAUCCAAUCUGCAAAAAUGUGAAUAAGAAAGUCAGAAAAAGAACAAAAUAUGAUGUUUUGAGGUAAUUAUGUCAUUUCUAGCGGAAAACAAGCUAAGAAUAUAAUAUUCAUGAGCUAACCAAGGUUCUUAUGCCAUUUUUAGCUUAUUAUGGCAUUUUGGAGCUAAAUGGGUUAAUUAUGUCAUUGUUGGGGAAAUUAAAGCAAGGAUAAUAUGAAAUAGGAGAGGAAAGAGGAGGAGGAGGAGAAGAAAAAGAAAUANNNNNNNNNNNNNNNNNNNNNNNNNNNNNNNNNNNNNNNNNNNNNNNNNNNNNNNNNNNNNNNNNNNNNNNNNNNNNNNNNNNNNNNNNNNNNNNNNNNNCAUACUAUAAUCAUUUAACCCACAUAGCAUGUGUUAAAAAGUUGAGAGGGCUACGACAAAAACUGGAUGCAGUUCGUGUACAAAACUGACAAUCUCUCUCGAAGUAGCAGGGUUUCGAACGAGAACUCAUCUCUUACAAAGGGAUUUCAUUUUUUUUAAACUUAUUUGAACUCCAUACUUUUUGUGUGUUCAAAAUGUACCAUUCAAAGGCACAUCACAAAAUUUCAAUAAUUUCUCACUUCAUUUGGUAUAUUUCGUGCAUUUACUUAUUUUUUUGAGCUAGUUGACCCUGAAAUUGAAAAGCACUACAAAUGAACUCUGAAAAUGUUGAAAGUUGGCAUGCUGUCAUCAUUUCACCCACAUAGCAUGUGUUAAAAAGUUGAAAGGGCUAUGACAAAAACUGGAUGCAGUUCAUGUAGAAAACUGACAAUCCCUCUCGAAGUAGCAGGGUUUCGAACGAGAACUCAUCUCUUACAAAGGGAUUUCAUUUUUUUAAACUUAUUUGAACUCCAUGCUUUUUGUGUGUUCAAAAUGCACCAUUCAAAGGCACAUCACAAAAUUUCAACAAUUUCUUACUUCAUUUUGUAUAUUUCGUGCAUUUACUUAUUUUUUUGAGCUAGUUGACCCUGAAAUUGAAAAGCACUACAAAUGAACUGUGAAAAUGUUGAAAGUUGGCAUGCUAUCAUCAUUUCACCCACAUAGCAUGUGUUAAAAAGUUGAGAGGGCUACGACAAAAACUGGAUGCAGUUCGUGUACAAAACUGACAAUCUCUCUCGAAGUAGCAGGGUUUCGAAUGAGAACUCAUCUCUUACAAAGGGAUUUCAUUUUUUUUAAACUUAUUUGAACUCCAUACUUUUUGUGUGUUCAAAAUGGACCAUUCAAAGGCACAUCACAAAAUUGCAACAAUUUCUGACUUCAUUUCGUAUAUUUCGUGCAUUUACUUAUUUUUUUUGAGCUAGUUGACCCUGAAAUUGAAAAGCACUACAAAUGUACUCUAAAAAUGUUGAAAGUUCACAUACUAUAAUCAUUUAACCCACAUAGCAUGUGUUAAAAAGUUGAGAGGGCUACGACAAAAACUGGAUGCAGUUCGUGUACAAAACUGACAAUCUCUCUCGAAGUAGGAGGGUUUCGAACGAGAACUCAUCUCUUACAAAGGGAUUUCAUUUUUUUAAACUUAUUUGAACUCCAUACUUUUUGUGUGUUCAAAAUGCACCAUUCAAAGGCACAUCAACAAAAUUUCAACAAUUUCUGACUUCAUUUGGUAUAUUUCGUGCAUUUACUUUUUUUUUGAGCUAGUUGACCCUGAAAUUGAAAAGCACUACAAAUGAACUCUGAAAAUGUUGAAAGUUGGCAUGCUAUCAUCAUUUCAGCCACAUAGCAUGUGUUAAAAAGUUGAGAGGGCUACGAGAAAAACUUGAUGCAGUUCGUGUACAAAACUGACAAUUUCUCUCGAAGUAGCAGGGUUUCGAACGAGAACUCAUCUCUUACAAAGGGAUUUCAUUUUUUUUAAACUUAUUUGAACUCCAUACUUUUUGUGUGUUAAAAAUGCACCAUUCAAAGGCACAUCAAAAAAUUUCAACAAUUUCUGACUUCAUUUGGUAUAUUUCGUGCAUUUACUUAUUUUUUUUGAGCUAGUUGACCCUGAAAUUGAAAAGCACUACAAAUGAACUCUGAAAAUGUUGAAAGUUGGCAUGCUGUCAUCAUUUCACCCACAUAGCAUGUGUUAAAAAGUUGAAAGGGCUAUGACAAAAACUGGAUGCAGUUCAUGUACAAAACUGACAAUCCCUCUCGAAGUAGCAGGGUUUCGAAUGAGAACUCAUCUCUUACAAAGGGAUUUCAUUUUUUUUAAACUUAUUUGAACUCCAUACUUUUUGUGUGUUCAAAAUGAACCAUUCAAAGGCACAUCACAAAAUUGCAACAAUUUCUGACUUCAUUUCGUAUAUUUCGUGCAUUUACUUAUUUUUUUUGAGCUAGUUGACCCUGAAAUUGAAAAGCACUACAAAUGUACUCUGAAAAUGUUGAAAGUUGGCAUACUAUAAUCAUUUAACCCACAUAGCAUGUGUUAAAAAGUUGAGAGGGCUACGACAAAAACUGGAUGCAGUUCGUGUACAAAACUAACAAUCUCUCUCGAAGUAGCAGGGUUUCGAACGAGAACUCAUCUCUUACAAAGGGAUUUCAUUUUUUUUAAACUUAUUUGAACUCCAUACUUUUUGUGUGUUCAAAAUGCACCAUUCAAAGGCACGUCACAAAAUUUCAAUAAUUUCUCACUUCAUUUGGUAUAUUUCGUGCAUUUACUUAUUUUUUUGAGCUAGUUGACCCUGAAAUUGAAAAGCACUACAAAUGAACUCUGAAAAUGUUGAAAGUUGGCAUGCUAUCAUCAUUUCACCCACAUAGCAUGUGUUAAAAAGUUGAGAGGGCUACAACGAAAACUUGAUGCAGUUCGUUUACAAAAUUAACAAUCUCUCUCGAAGUAGCAGGGUUUCGAACGAGAACUCAUCUCUUACAAAGGGAUUUCAUUUUUUUAAAACUUAUUUGAACUCCAUACUUUUGUGUGUUAAAAAGUGCACCAUUCAAAGGCACAUCAAAAAAUUUCAACAAUUUCUGACUUCAUUUGGUAUAUUUCGUGCAUUUACUUAUUUUUUUUGAGCUAGUUGACCCUGAAAUUGAAAAGCACUACAAAUGAACUCUGAAAAUGUUGAAAGUUGGCAUGCUGUCAUCAUUUCACCCACAUAGCAUGUGUUAAAAAGUUGAAAGGGCUAUGACAAAAAUUGGAUGCAGUUCAUGUACAAAACUGACAAUCCCUCUCGAAGUAGCAGGGUUUCGAACGAGAACUCAUCUCUUACAAAGGGAUUUCAUUUUUUUAAACUUAUUUGAACUCCAUACUUUUUUGUGUGUUCAAAAUGCACCAUUCAAAGGCGCAUCACAAAAUUUCAACAAUUUCUUACUUCAUUUUGUAUAUUUCGUGCAUUUACUUAUUUUUUUGAGCUAGUUGACCCUGAAAUUGAAAAGCACUACAAAUGAACUGUGAAAAUGUUGAAAGUUGGCAUGCUAUCAUCAUUUCACCCACAUAGCAUGUGUUAAAAAGUUGAGAGGGCUACGACAAAAACUGGAUGCAGUUCGUGUACAAAACUGACAAUCUCUCUCGAAGUAGCAGGGUUUCGAAAGAGAACUCAUCUCUUACAAAGGGAUUUCAUUUUUUUAAACUUAUUUGAACUCCAUACUUUUUGUGUGUUCAAAAUGCACCAUUCAAAGGCACAUCACAAAAUUCCAACAAUUUCUGACUUCAUUUCGUAUAUUUCGUAGCAUUUACUUAAUUUUUUUUGAGCUAGUUGACCCUGAAAUUGAAAAGCACUACAAAUGUACUCUGAAAAUGUUGAAAGUUGGCAUACUAUAGUCAUUUAACCCACAUAGCAUGUGUUAAAAAGUUGAGAGGGCUACGAAAAAAACUGGAUGCAGUUCGUGUACAAAACUGACAAUCUCUCUCGAAGUAGCAGGGUUUCGAACGAGAACUCAUCUCUUACAAAGGGAUUUCAUUUUUUUAAAACUUAUUUGAACUCCAUAAUUUUUGUGUGUUCAAAAUGCACCAUUCAAAGGCACAUCACAAAAUUUCAAUAAUUUCUCACUUCAUUUGGUAUAUUUCGUGCAUUUACUUAUUUUUUUUGAGCUAGUUGACCCUGAAAUUGAAAAGCACUACAAAUGAACUCUGAAAAUGUUGAAAGUUGCCAUGCUAUCAUCAUUUCACCCACAUAGCAUGUGUUAAAAAGUUGAGAGGGCUAUGACAAAAACUGGAUGCAGUUCGUUUACAAAACUAACAAUCUCUCUCGAAGUAGCAUGGUUUCGAACGAGAACUCAUCUCUUACAAAGGGAUUUCAUUUUUUUUAUACUUAUUUGAACUCCAUACUUUUUGUGUGUUCAAAAUGCACCAUUCAAAGGCACAUCACAAAAUUUCAACAAUUUCUGACUUCAUUUGGCAUAUUUCGUGCAUUUUAUUUUUUUUUGAGCUAGUUGACCCUGAAAUUGAAAAGCACUACAAAUGAACUCUGAAAAUGUUGAAAGUUGGCAUGCUAUCAUCAUUUCACCCACAUAGCAUGUGUUAUAAAGUUGAGAGGGCUACGAGAAAAACUGGAUGCAGUUCGUGUACAAAACUGACAAUCUCUCUCGAAGUAGCAGGGUUUCGAAAGAGAACUCAUCUCUUACAAAGGGAUUUCAUUUUUUUAAACUUAUUUGAACUCCAUACUUUUUGUGUGUUCAAAAUGCACCAUUCAAAGGCACAUCACAAAAUUGCAACAAUUUCUGACUUCAUUCGGUAUAUUUCGUGCAUUUACUUAAUUUUUUUUUGAGCUAGUUGACCCUGAAAUUGAAAAGCACUACAAAUGUACUCUGAAAAUGUUGAAAGUUGGCAUACUAUAGUCAUUUAACCCACAUAGCAUGUGUUAAAAAGUUGAGAGGGCUACGACAAAAACUGGAUGCAGUUCGUGUACAAAACUGACAAUCUCUCUCGAAGUAGGAGGGUUUCGAACGAGAACUCAUCUCUUACAAAGGGAUUUCAUUUUUUUAAAACUUAUUUGAACUCCAUAAUUUUUGUGUGUUCAAAAUGCACCAUUCAAAGGCACAUCACAAAAUUUCAAUAAUUUCUCACUUCAUUUGGUAUAUUUCGUGCAUUUACUUAUUUUUUUUGAGCUAGUUGACCCUGAAAUUGAAAAGCACUACAAAUGAACUCUGAAAAUGUUGAAAGUUGACAUGCUAUCAUCAUUUCACCCACAUAGCAUGUGUUAAAAAGUUGAGAGGGCUAUGACAAAAACUGGAUGCAGUUCGUUUACAAAACUAACNNNNNNNNNNNNNNNNNNNNNNNNNNNNNNNNNNNNNNNNNNNNNNNNNNNNNNNNNNNNNNNNNNNNNNNNNNNNNNNNNNNNNNNNNNNNNNNNNNNNCGUACGUACGUACGUACGUACGUCGUCGUACUCUCUCUCUCUCUCUCUCUCUCUCUCUCUCUCUCUCUCUNUNUNUCUUCUUCUUCUGUUCUUCUUCUUCUUCUUUCUUUUCAUUUUGCCUAUUUCUUCUCSKCUUCUCCUCWUGUUGGAGCUAAAUUACCUAAUUAUGUCUUUUUUGAGCUAAAUGGGCUAAUUAUCCCAUUUUAGAGGAAAACAAGCUAAGUAUAUAAUAUUAAUGAGCUAACCAAGGUUCUUAUGCCAUUUUGAGCUUAUUAUGGUAUUUUGGAGCUAAAUGGGCUAAUUAUGUCAUUGUUGGGUUAAUUAAAGCAAGGAUAAUAUGAAAGAGGAGAAGAAAGAGGAGGAGGAGGAGAAGAAAAAGAAAUCAGGAAGAAGGAGGAGGAGAGGAGAAGGAGGAGGAGGAGAAGGAUAGAAGGUCCUUGGCCUUCUCCUCCUCCUCCUCCUCCUUCUCCUUCUUCUCUUCUUCUUCUUCUUCUUCUUCUUUCUUUUCUAUUUUGCCUAUUUCUUCUCCUCUUCUCCUCUUGUUGGAGCUAAAUUACCUAAUUAUGUCUUUUUUGAGCUAAAUGGGCUAAUUAUCCCAUUUUAGAGGAAAACAAGCUUAGUAUAUAAUAUUCAUGAGCUAACCAAGGUUCUUAUGCCAUUUUGAGCUUAUUAUGGUAUUUUGGAGCUAAAUGGGCUAAUUAUGUCAUUGUUGGGUUAAUUAAAUCAAGGAUAAUAUGAAAGAGGAGAAGAAAAGAGGAGGAGGAGGAGAAGAAGAAGAAAUACAAGAAGGAGAGAGAGAGAGAGAGAGAGAGAGAGUACGUACGUACGUACGUACSUCYWCSUCGUCGUCUCUCUCUCUCUNNNNNNNNNNNNNNNNNNNNNNNNNNNNNNNNNNNNNNNNNNNNNNNNNNNNNNNNNNNNNNNNNNNNNNNNNNNNNNNNNNNNNNNNNNNNNNNNNNNNUUACAAAAGGAUUUCAUUUUUUUAAAACUUAUUUGAAAUCCAUAAUUUUUGUGUGUUCAAAAUGCACCAUUCAAAGGCACAACAGAAAAUUUCAACAAUUUCUGACUUCAUUUGGUAUAUUUCGUGCAUUUACUUAUUUUUUUGAGCUAGUUGACCCUGAAAUUGAAAAGCACUACAAAUGAACUGUGAAAAUGUUGAAAGUUGGCAUGCUAUCAUCAUUUCACCCACAUAGCAUGUGUUAAAAAGUUGAAAGGGCUACGACAAAAACUGGAUGCAGUUCGUGUACAAAACUGACAAUCUCUCUCGAAGUAGCAGGGUUUCGAAUGAGAACUCAUCUCUUACAAAGGGAUUUCAUUUUUUUAAACUUAUUUGAACUCCAUACUUUUUGUGUGUUCAAAAUGCACCAUUCAAAGGCACAUCACAAAAUUGCAACAAUUUCUGACUUCAUUUCGUAUAUUUCGUGCAUUUACUUAUUUUUUUUGAGCUAGUUGACCCUGAAAUUGAAAAGCACUACAAAUGUACUCUGAAAAUGUUGAAAGUUGGCAUACUAUAAUCAAUUAACCCACAUAGCAUGUGUUAAAAAGUUGAGAGGGCUACGACAAAAACUGGAUGCAGUUCGUGUACAAAACUGACAAUCUCUCUCGAAGUAGGAGGGUUUCGAACGAGAACUCAUCUCUUACAAAGGGAUUUCAUUUUUUUUAAACUUAUUUGAACUCCAUACUUUUUGUGUGUUCAAAAUGCACCAUUCAAAGGCACAUCACAAAAUUUCAACAAUUUCUGACUUCAUUUGGUAUAUUUCGUGCAUUUACUUUUUUUUUGAGCUANNNNNNNNNNNNNNNNNNNNNNNNNNNNNNNNNNNNNNNNNNNNNNNNNNNNNNNNNNNNNNNNNNNNNNNNNNNNNNNNNNNNNNNNNNNNNNNNNNNNUUUUGUACACGAACUGCAUCCAGUUUUUGUCGUAGCCUUCUCAACUUUUUAACACAUGCUAUGUGGGUGAAAUGACGAUAGCAUGCCAACUUUCAACAUUUUCAGAGUUCAUUUGUAGUGCUUUUCAAUUUCAGGGUCAACUAGCUCAAAAAAAAUACGUAAAUGCACGAAAUAUACAAAAUGAAGUAAGAAAUUGUUGAAAUUUUGUGAUGUGCCUUUGAAUGGUGCAUUUUGAACACACAAAAAGUAUGGAGUUCAAAUAAGUUUAAAAAAAUGAAAUCCCUUUGUAAGAGAUGAGUUCUCGUUCGAAACCCAGCUACUUCCAGAGGGAUUGUCAGUUUUGUACAUGAACUGCAUCCAGUUUUUUUCAUAGCCCUCUCAACUUUUUAACACAUGCUAUGUGGGUGAAAUGAUGACAGCAUGCCAACUUUCAACAUUUUCAGAGUUCAUUUGUAGUGCUUUUCAAUUUCAGGGUCAACUAGCUCAAAAAAAAUAAGUAAAUGCACGAAAUAUACCAAAUGAAGUCAGAAAUUGUUGAAAUUUUUUGAUGUGCCUUUGAAUGGUGCUAUUUUUAACACACAAAAAGUAUGGAGUUCAAAUAAGUUUAAAAAAAAUGAAAUCCCUUUGUAAGAGAUGAGUUCUCGUUCGAAACCCUGCUACUUCGAGAGAGAUUGUUAAUUUUGUAAACGAACUGCAUCAAGUUUUYKYWGUAGCCCUCUCAACUUUUUAACACAUGCUAUGUGGGUGAAAUGAUGAUAGCAUGCCAACUUUCAACAUUUUCACAGUUCAUUUGUAGUGCUUUUCAAUUUCAGGGUCAACUAGCUACAAAAAAAUAAGUAAAUGCACGAAAUAUACCAAAUGAAGUCAGAAAUUGUUGAAAAUUUUUGUGUAGUGUCGUUCCGUUUAGAAGUUGGGUCGACUUUAGGUUUACGAAACCACAAAACUAAACUGGAGUUCCGGGACUAGGUUAAAACAAGGACUNNNNNNNNNNNNNNNNNNNNNNNNNNNNNNNNNNNNNNNNNNNNNNNNNNNNNNNNNNNNNNNNNNNNNNNNNNNNNNNNNNNNNNNNNNNNNNNNNNNNGGGCUAAACGGACCAAAAACGUAGGUAGUGACUAGUCGUGUACAAACUGACAAUCUCUCUCGAAGUAGCAGGGUUUCGAAAGAGAACUCAUCUCUUACAAAGGGAUUUCAUUUUUUUAAAACUUAUUUGAACUCCAUAAUUUUUGUGUGUUCAAAAUGCACCAUUCAAAGGCACAUCACAAAAUUUCAAUAAUUUCUCACUUCAUUUGGUAUAUUUCGUGCAUUUACUUAUUUUUUUUUGAGCUAGUUGACCCUGAAAUUGAAAAGCACUACAAAUGAACUCUGAAAAUGUUGAAAGUUUACAUGCUAUCAUCAUUUCACCCACAUAGCAUGUGUUAAAAAGUUGAGAGGGCUAUGACAAAAACUGGAUGCAGUUCGUUUACAAAACUAACAAUCUCUCUCGAAGUAGCAUGGUUUCGAACGAGAACUCAUCUCUUACAAAGGGAUUUCAUUUUUUUAAACUUAUUUGAACUCCAUACUUUUUGUGUGUUAAAAAUGCACCAUUCAAAGGCACAUCACAAAAUUUCAACAAUUUCUGACUUCAUUUGGUAUAUUUCGUGCUAUUUAAUUUUUUUUUGAGCUAGUUGACCCUGAAAUUGAAAAGCACUACAAAUGAACUCUGAAAAUGUUGAAAGUUGGNNNNNNNNNNNNNNNNNNNNNNNNNNNNNNNNNNNNNNNNNNNNNNNNNNNNNNNNNNNNNNNNNNNNNNNNNNNNNNNNNNNNNNNNNNNNNNNNNNNNAUUUUUUUUGAGCUAGUUGACCCUGAAAUUGAAAAGCACUACAAAUGAACUCUGAAAAUGUUGAAAGUUGGCAUGCUAUCAUCAUUUCAGCCACAUAGCAUGUGUUAAAAAGUUGAGAGGGCUACGAGAAAAACUGGAUGCAGUUCGUGUACAAAACUGACAAUCUCUCUCGAAGUAGCAGGGUUUCGAACGAGAACUCAUCUCUUACAAAGGGAUUUCAUUUUUUAAAACUUAUUUGAACUCCAUACUUUUUGUGUGUUCAAACUGCACCAUUCAAAGGCACAUCACAAAAUUUCAACAAUUUCUGACUUCAUUUGGUAUAUUUCGUGCAUUUACUUAUUUUUUUUGAGCUAGUUGACCCUGAAAUUGAAAAGCACUACAAAUGAACUCUAAAAAUGUUGAAAGUUGGCAUGCUAUCAUAAUUUAACCCACAUAGCAUGUGUUAGAAAGUUGAGAGGGCUACGACAAAAGCUGGAUGCAGUUCGUGUACAACACUGACAAUCUCUCUCGAAGUAGCAGGGUUUCGAACGAGAACUCAUCUCUUACAAAGGGAUUUCAUUUUUUUUAAACUUAUUUGAAAUCCAUAAUUUUUGUGUGUUCAAAAUGCACCAUUCAAAGGCACAACACAAAAUUUCAACAAUUUCUGACUUCAUUUGGUAUAUUUCGUGCAUUUACUUAUUUUUUUGAGCUAGUUCACCCUGAAAUUGAAAAGCACUACAAAUGAACUCUGAAAAUGUUGAAAGUUGGCAUGCAAUCAUCAUUUCACCCACAUAGCAUGUGUUAAAAAGUUGAAAGGGCUACGACAAAAACUGGAUGCAGUUCGUGUACAAAACUGACAAUCUCUCUCGAAGUAGCAGGGUUUCGAAAGAGAACUCAUCUCUUACAAAGGGAUUUCAUUUUUUUAAACUUAUUUGAACUCCAUACUUUUUGUGUGUUCAAAAUGGCACCAUUCAAAGGCACAUCACAAAUUGCAACAAUUUCUGACUUCAUUUGGUUANNNNNNNNNNNNNNNNNNNNNNNNNNNNNNNNNNNNNNNNNNNNNNNNNNNNNNNNNNNNNNNNNNNNNNNNNNNNNNNNNNNNNNNNNNNNNNNNNNNNGCUCGACAAAAUCACGGUGAGUGCAUUUCUCUCUCUCUAGGUGUGCAACAAGGAAGAUUGUGGCACAACAAAAAUAAAAGACUCCUACGAUACAAGACGCUCCAAGCAAAACACAUAACAUGUGGUGAAUAAAAUAUAGCCCCCAAGUAACGUUCAUUACUGGAAAUCAGUUUUUUGCCGUGUGCCUAAUCUUUGCUGUCAGCUAGCUGAUGGCAAAGAGUGUCUUUGCCGUCAGCUCUCAGAAAGCAGAUGGCAAAGAACUGGAUGAUGGCAAAGAAGGUCUUUGCCAACAGUCAAUCCUUUGUUGUCUGCCGCAAACGACAAAGAAGGGGACAGGAGACGGCAAAGAAGCUCAUUCGGCCCGGGGAACCUUAGGUCAACCAACGCCCUUCUUUGUCGUCUGCUGGCGGACGGCAAAGAUGCCAGAGGCAGACGUCAAAGAGUAUAGACCCCUUUGCCGUCCGCCAGCAGACGACAAAGGUCCUGAAUCUACUCAAACGGCCGUCCCGCCCCCACCCCGGCCCUCUCUCUCUCUCAAACGGCCACUCUCUCUCUCUCCUCCCCCGACACCCAACGCCGCCACCGUCGCCCGGCCACCCCCGGCGCCCCCGGUUCCCCACAACCCUCCGGCNNNNNNNNNNNNNNNNNNNNNNNNNNNNNNNNNNNNNNNNNNNNNNNNNNNNNNNNNNNNNNNNNNNNNNNNNNNNNNNNNNNNNNNNNNNNNNNNNNNNAGGAGAAGAAGGAGGAGAAGGAGAAGGAGCUCCUCCUUCCCCUUCUUCCUCCUUCUCCUUCUCCUUCUUCUUCUCCUUCUCCUUCUUCUUUUCUUCUUCUUCUCCUCUUCCUUCUUCUCCUCCUCCUCCUCCUCCUCCUCCUCCUCCUUAUUUUACUUCUUCCUCUCUAUCUCUUCUUCUACGUAGCUUAGACUCAUCCAAGAAAGGCUAAAUUAGCCAAUUGUCCUACGAAAUGACAUAAUUAGCUUAGUUAGCUCCAAAAUGUCCUAUUUAAUAAAAAAUGUCCUAUACUUAGCUAAUUAUCCUCGAAAUGACAUAAUUAGCUCCAAAAAGGCAUUCUUAGCCAAUUUAGCUCGAAGAAGGGGACAAGAAGAGAAAAAGAGGAAAAUGAAAGGAAGGAAGAGGAAAAAUGAGGAGAAGAAGGAGGAGAGGGAGGAGGAGAAGAAGAAGGAGAAGAAGGAGGAGAAGGAGAAGGAGCUCCUCCUUCCCCUUCUUCUUCCUCCUUCUUCCUCCUUCUCCUUCUCCUUCUUCUUCUCCUUCUUCUCCUUCUUCUUUUCUUCUUCUUCUCCUCUUCCUUCUUCUNNNNNNNNNNNNNNNNNNNNNNNNNNNNNNNNNNNNNNNNNNNNNNNNNNNNNNNNNNNNNNNNNNNNNNNNNNNNNNNNNNNNNNNNNNNNNNNNNNNNAAAGACAGAAGAAAUAUAUUUAUAUAUAAUUUAGCAUUUAUAUUCAUCGGUUAAUCAGGUUCGCCAUUUUUAUUAUGUCCAGGCAACCUACAUGCUAAUAGGUAAAGAUAGGUCCUAAUCCCACCCGAGUAUGUGUAGAUUGGGUUCGUUUUCCCAUGCUCUGCUCCGGAUCCAAUGCAAAAUUUCGACAACACCUCCCCGCUGUUCUCCUGAUACACGUCUCCGCAAUAAACAGAGAGGAUGUGCAUCCAGAGAACAGCAGGGAGGCACUGAUGAAAUUCCGCAUCGGAUCCAGAGCACAUCAUACGGGAAAACGAACCCAAUCUACACAUGCUCGGGCUAUCCAUGGAUAAAGUUGGACAAUUCGAAAGGAUGGCGGUUAUAAAUAUGCAAAGACAUGCAUAUUUAUAGAUGUCGCCCUUUCGAACGGGAGACGCAUACUGGUCACGCAUACUGAUAAAUUAAUUGAAUUACCUAAAUCUAGAAAGUUUCAUCCGGAAACCGAGCCACAGUAAAUGAAGGGGCGGGGAGGAGAUGAAAUUUGUACUGACCCACGAAUGCAGGGGCGGAGCUCGUACAACGCACGGGCAGGUCUUCGCACAGCAGACCUCACAGCGACGAGACAACUACCACAUGUAAAUCCACCCGAUCAACGCAAAUAUUCCAAUUAUGUCAUUUUAGAGGAAAACAAGCUAAGUAUAUAAUAUUCAUGAGCUAACCNNNNNNNNNNUUGUCUUCGAUCCCGGUACCAUGCUCGUCCGUGCGACGACGGACCACCUCAGCUCUUGUGUGUUGUAUAGACUCACCAUGAAAUGUCCACACCGUAUAAUUAGGCUUAAAAUGAUGAGCUCAAUGUGACUAAGGAGUUAGUCACACGAUGACGUGCUACGGAACGAGUAAAGAGACUUACCGGUAACGAGAUUGAACAAGGUAUAGGUAUACCGACGAUCGAAUCUCGGGCAAGUUCUAUACCGACAGACAAAGGGAAUUGUAUACGGGAUUGAUUGAAUCCUUGACAUCGUGGUUCAUCCGAUGAGAUCAUCGUGGAGCAAGUGGCAGCCACCAUGGGUAUCCAGACCCCGCUGAUGGUUAUUGGCCGGAGAGGUGUCUCGGUCAUGUCUACCUGUCUCCCGAACUCGUAGGGUCUACACACAUAAGGUUCGAUGACGCUAGGGUUAUAGGGAAUUAUUAUACGAGGUUACCAAAAGUUGUUCGGAGUCCCGGAUGAGAUCCCGGACGUCACGAGGAGCUCCGGAGGUAAAGAUUGAUAUAUAGGAUGGAUGGUUUUGCACAUCGGAAAUGUUUCAGGAGUCACCGGUAAUGUACCGGGACCACCGGGACGACCGGAAAUGGUCCCGGGGGUCCACCGGGAGGGGCCACCAGCCCCAAGAGGUAGCAUGGGCCAAAAGAGGGAGGGCAACCAGCCCAAAGUGGGCUGGUGCACCUCCCACAAGGAGGCCCAAGGCGCAGGAGGUGGAGAGGGGGGAACCCUAGGCGCUGGUGGGCCUAAGGCCCACCUAGGGGUGCGCCACCUCUCCCCCUGCCCUGGCCACCGCACCUCCCAUCUGGGGGGGCUGCCGCACCACCUAGGGUGGGAACCCUAGGGGUGGCACCCCCUUCCCCUCCUCCUAUAUAUAGUGGGGGUUUUGGGGCUGUUUGACACACAGUUUCCCAUCUCCCUCGGUGCAGCCCUGCCCCCCUUCCUCCUCCUCUCCCACGGUGCUUGGCGAAGCCCUGCCGGGAGACCUCGUCUCUCCAUCGACACCACGCCGUCGUGCUGCCGGAGAUGUCACCCAACCUCUCCCUCCUCCUUGCUGGAUCAAGGUGCGGGAGACCUCACUGGGCUGCACAUGUGUUGAACGCGGAGGUGUCGUGGUUCAGCACUAGAUCGGAAUCAGACCGCAAUCUGAAUCGCCGCGAGUACGACUCCAUCAACCGCGUUCUAGCAACGCUUCCGCUUAGCGAUCUUCGAAUGAAUGAAGAUGCACUCACUCCUCUCUCGUUGCUGGUCUCUCCAUAGGAAGAUCUGAAUAUGUGUAGGAAUUUUUUUGAAUUUAUGCUACGUUACCCAACAAUAGCGUGGGGUGAAUAUUCGUGUGUGCUUGUUUGCUUUAUCACUAAGUAGAUUUAUUUGCUGUUCUAAGUUGUUCUCUAUCGUUAGUUAUGGAUAUGAAACACGAAAUGCCAAAAAAAUUAGGUGUACUUGCUACUCAUGGAGAUGGGGAACCUCCUAAAACCCUCGAUGCUCGUUGUGUGGAUAAUAUUAUGCAGUUCUUUAAUAAUCCUGAGAAAACCAUAUUAAAUUAUAUAAUGGGCUACACGUUCGAUCAACGUGAAUACUUUAGGUAUUAUCGCUUGACUCAAAAAGGGAAACUAUUAUGUGAUCAAAUUCAUAUGCUGAAAUGGUAUGCUUGGGAGCUAUGCUCGAGAUAUGAUAUUACUUGUUGCUCUACGAUGAAGGCUCAACACCUUCCCUUUUCUUAUAAAUUUAAUGCUAAUGAAACCUUGGCUUCUUAUGCUAAUGGUAUAUAUGAUUACUAUGAUGUGGAGCAAAUAGAAGAGUUUCUUUCUUUUAUGGGUGCUUAUGAAAUUGAAGCUCUGUUUAAAAGGUGUGAUGAUAAUGAUGAUCCUGCUUACCGAUCUGAAAAUUUGGUUAUGCUUCGUUAUUGUUAUACUCAUUAUGAAUACUGGUCGUCAACCCGUGCAUUUGCACGGGCUAGAUUAAUAACCUACAAUGGGAUGAAACUUCUGAGACUAUCUUUCAUUCAUUGGGGGUAAAGACAUAUCCUAAAUUUCUAUUGGAAAAAUUAUUCAAGUGUCAUCAUAGUUCAAAUUUAAUGCUUCAAAUAAUAGAAUGUCAAAGGACGCAUAUACUCAAAUAUUCUCUAUCCACAUAAAAAUUAAAUGAUUUAAUCUCCUCUAAUCUUGGUACAUAAUUCCUUCAACACAUUGGAUUUUUUUUCUUUUUGAAUUGUUCAUUCACUUGACAUCUAUUACCAUCAGUCUCUAGAGUAAUUUAGAAGUUUACUUUAGAUAUAUGAUGAAAGAGCCUCACAGAAUAAACAACAAAAAAAAUUAGGUCUUUUUAAAGAGAUGACGAAUACAGACACACAUGAGAGAACAUUUUCUAUUACUUUUGUUCUUGUUCCAUAAUUUUAUCAUAAAAGAACAAAAUCCUAGUCUCCAACUGAUAUAAUCAUGCAUUGAAAAAAUAGUCAUUGGGUUGAGCAUCUGUUAGAUGUUUCGAUGGUUGCUCUUUUGUGCAUCCCCUUGGCUUCCAUCAUAUCCUAACGUACUGAUCUAAACAUAUUCAAUUUUAUUAUAUUAGUAAUUUCCUAAAAAUAAUAAAAUACUAAUAAUACGUUAACAUAUAUGGGCUGUUUGAAUGGCAGCUGAUGCCCACCUUACCAAAAUACGGGGUUGACCACCAGCGUGGGUGUCUUUUGGUUGUCAACUAAAUUUUUUAACCUACGCCAAAAGAAUUGUCGCUACUUCAUUUCCUGCACCAAUGGGCUGUUCGUAGCGGCGAAUUUUAUGGCCAGUUUUUCGGCUCAGGCGCGAUUCGGCGUGGCUGGCCUAGGCACCAUCAAAAUGACCGGCCUAUAGACAAAAGUAAACUGUCUGUCUCUAUUUUUAAUUCACAUGAACUUUGACUAAUAUGGUAUAUACAAAAUAUUAUUUGAAUGCAUAUUUUAUUUAGCUAAAUACUGAUACAAUGUUUUAUUUAAUAAAACACUGAUAAAAUAUCGUAUUUACCGAGAUACUCCUUUAAUAUUUAACUAAAAUUGUAUUUAUCAAACCGAACAAACUGACACACAUGCCUCAUUAUCCAUUAUCUACCGUGAGUAGGUGGUUCCUACAAACUAACAUGCAUAUUAUUCCUACAUAUUACUUUGCCGAGUUGUCAUUUUCAAAACUCAACAAUUGCUAUUUAAAUGUUUGUCGAGUACCUGAUAAUAUGAACUUCGCAAAGUUGAUGGUUGUUGACCUCCGUCUAGCCGAGUGAUGUUUGCCGAGAACAGAAAUCGACAAACACAAUGCAUAGUUGUUUCUAGCUAGGACUUGCUAAGUGUGUUGGAAACUCACCGAAUUCGGCGAUUCCGGUCGUGAAAUGGCAUUAACAAAAAACCUUAUCACCAUCACGUCCCAAAAAUGAACUGUGUAAAAAUAAGUAGCUAUAUUUUUUAAUGAAGAUUGUUCUUAUAUACGUGUUUAGUUUUCUUGAUUGUAUGUAAUAUCGACCUUUAUACCAUGCAUGCAUGGUACACUUGAAUUCGGUUUCAUUUAGUCGGUGUAAGCUUUAUUCAUACAUGUACAUAGGUUUGGUCUACUUUGCAAUUAUCUGAUUAUGCCGCAAAAUCUCGAACAAAACAUGUUUAACAUAUUUGUCCUCUCAAAACCAAACAUGCGUUUAUCGUAUUUUUAAGAAAUAUUAAUUUACAAAAGGUAUAGUUCAUGGACUAAUGUCACAUGUAAUUUUUACUCAUUAACAAUGAAAAUUGAGUAUCCUAGCAACCAGAAAAGCAGUUUGAGCGAAGUAGUCAACUGUAACCUCUAAUGCAUUAGGCAAUGUAAAGUCUUGGCAGUCCUGGUGAGAUAUAUAAUUCAUGCAUCGGCCUAUUUCGCAAGGCGGGGUUGCCAUAGUUCCGCUGUAAUUCACUCUUGUUCAUCCAGAAAAGGUUAAUUAGAAUACCUUCAGUGUCACAAUCUGAUGCCUUUUGUCGAUAAGAUAAAAAAAUGUGUAGAUGCAAAGUGUAUUACAUGGAACACGAACAUUUUUUUCUUGCGUAUAAUAACCUGUGCCAAACAAUGUGCUACCCUGGAAAACAAUUGAUUGAUCCUCCUUCACAGAAAUUACAUAGAACAUAGAGAACAUACCUUAUUAAAAUUGAAUCCCUGUAGAAAAUAUAAUAUGUUUGGAACCUGAAAAAAAGUCGAGUCAGGUGAAAUUCUUAUAACACCCAUGAAAUCAGGCCCAAUAUCGAAUGCGAUAACAAAAUGCACAUAUAGGAUAAGCCGUCAAAAGCACAGUCCGAGUAUAAGAGGUCAUAAAAACAAACUGGAUUAAAAUGUAUAUUUUUUACUCUGCAUGCCCCAAACAGACAAUGAUCUAAUCAACCGAAUUGUAUAUUUUACUACAUGUCAGAGAUUAAGAAAAAGGGAGAGGGUCAAGGGAUAUUGGUGGUAUAAAAUAUGAGAAACUGAGACAAAAAGACAGCUGAUAUGUGCACUAAAAAUGUGAAACUUGUUUAAUUGAGUGAAUCUCCAUGCCCCCAAACAGGUAAAUAUCAUAGAGAGAUACAUGUUAAAAAUUCAUUACAAUUAAAUACACCAAAAAAUAUAUUAUACUACCCCAGAUCAAAACCAAACCAUUUGCUUAAUGGUUAGCUUAUCACCUCGUCAUUGGCUGCGAUGGUGCCACGGCCAAGAAGAGCUUACCAUAUGUACCCCGGCUAGAUAGGUUAGACAAUGCUAGAUUUCACACGCUGCAUGGAGAGAGAAGCAUUGUAUUAACCCAAUCCAAUGGCUGGCAGGGCGAUGUUUGAUAUAUUAUCCAGUGCAUAGUGAAAGGUCCUGCACUGGACCUCAUCACCCAAUUUUAUAUAGCGCGUGGAGGCAGCCAAUUAUAUAAUCAGCUCAUGAUGUUCAUCAUGUACAUGCAAAUCUCGCUUUCCUAUUUGCCGGUGGAUAUAACUUGCCGCGAUCUCUUCGUCAGCUGCAACACACACAGAGAGAGGGACAUGCUGAUGCCUAAUUGCAUCAGAAGGAAGAUACCAAGGCCAACGUGCCAUGGUGCAGAUAGAUUUAGAUGUGAUUUGCGGCUGGAUCUAACACGCCGUCGAUGAAAGGAAAGACAUGUUACUCUAACAUGCCUAUAUGCCCUUCCACCUAUGAUUGGCACCAGAUCGCCAUGAAAGAGGCGAUGAAGGCUUAGACCAACAACUCUUCGUUAGGGAUUAACUAAAGGCGAUUUCUUGAGAUAACGAUCUUGUUGGUAGGAAAAUAGAUGACGGCUUUUUUUUUGUUUUGGAAGAGGUCAAUCUGGUAGUCCUUCCACGGCAAGAGUCUAAUGGAAAUAAUUUAUGGUUUUAGAUUUUAUCUAUGAAUAAUUGAGGCUUACUUAACGUGGAGACUUGAGAAUGUCUUUGUUACGUGUAGGCUGGGUCAGGUUGGUAGUUUUUCCCACGGCAAUACUCUAGAGGCCGACCAGUUUUUUUAGUUAUUUUACUGCAAGAGCAAAAGAAAUAAUAUAUAUGUUUUUGCCUGGGACUAAUUAACAUGCGCGAUUGAAAAUAUCAGUUACGUGUAGGCUGGGUCAGUCAGGUAGGCUACUUUUUUCUACCGCAGUAGUAACAUAAAAUUAAAUGGUCUAGAAAAAUACUGACUUAGGAUGUUAUGAUUGGAUCUGCACCGUAAUAAUUCGGUCCCACAAGAUGAACGGCUCGUAAAAUCUAAUUAACGUGAGAAUUUUUAAGGAGUCUCUAAUUAGUAUAAGUAUAGAUAAUGCCCAUAUUUAUCGAUUUAUGGAGAAAUUCUACGAUGCCCAAGAAGAGACUAAUAUUUUGCAGGAAACUAUGGAAGAAGAAAAUGCUGAUACUGUGAGCUCAUUAGAUGAAAAAGAUGACGAGGAGAGCGAAGAACAAAAGGAGGAAGAGCGGACUAGCUACCCGUGCCCACCUUCUAAUAAGAAUAACUCUUCAACUCAUACAUUGUUUAAUUUCCCUUCGAAGGAUGAAUGCUAUGUUUAUUGCUAUGAUCCCUUGGAUUUGUUUGAAAUAUCCCUUUUUGAUGAACUUGAUGCUAGCUAUGAUUAUGGCCAUGAUGCCAAUAUGAAUGAUGCUUAUGAAGAUGAACUUGCUAUAGUUCCUUAUGUUAAACAUGAAAUUGUUGCUAUCGCACCCACUUAUGAUAGUCCUAUUAUCUUUUUGAACUCUCCCAACUACACUAUAUCGGAGAAGUUUGCUCUUAUUAGGGAUUACAUAGAUGGGUUGCCUUCUACUAUUACACAUGAUGAUUUUUAUGAAUAUAAUAUGGAUAUGCUUGCUGCUCCUACUUGCAAUUAUUAUGACAGAGGAACUACAUCUCCACCUCUCUAUGUUUCCAAAACAAUAAAUAGCAAGAAACUGCUUAUGCUAUGUAUUGGCCUUUACUUGAUGUGCAUGAAUUGUUCUUUUAUGACAUGCCAAUGCAUAGGAAGAGAGUCAGACUUCGUCAUUGCAUGAUAUAUGUUACCUUCUGCUCACUACUAAAUUACAAAUCAUUGUCAAUUGAAAUUGGCUUUGAUAUACCUUGGGAUCCGGGUGGAUCCAUUACUUGAGCACUUUAUGCCUAGCUUAAUGGCUUUAAAGAAAGCGCUGCCUGGGAGACAACCCGGAAGUUUUAGAGAGUCAUUUAUUUCUGUUGAGUGCUUUUAUAUAGUUUAAAAACAAAAAAAAUAUAGAGGGGAACUUAAAACUUUUUCAAAAAGAGAAGCGAUUGAAAGGUGAUGCAUUGUGGAAGUGAGGGUCGACCUUGAACACUUGUGUUCAUGCUCAUGGAAACAAUGUAGAAUUCUUCAUGGAAGUUUCUCGCACAAAUAAUUAUGCCUUUGUAAAUUUCCAUUGUAUUAUAAAAAUAAUGUGCCAAGUAAAGCCUUUAUGAUUAGUUUGGGUGAUAGUUGUUUGAUCAUGCUGAAAAAGACAGAAACUUUGUGCUCACAAAAUUAUUUUUAAUACCUAUCCACAAAGAGAUUUUGAGUUGAUUCUUUUUGCUGUUGAUUGAUAUGAAAAUUGCCCUAAUUUUCAUAAUUUUUCAGAAUUUUUGGAGUAUCAUAAGUAUGGCAUACGUUCAGAUUACUACAGACUGUUCUGUUUUUGACAGAUUCUGUUUUCUAUGCAUUGCUCUCUUAUUUUGAUGAAUCUAUGGGUAGUAUCGGGGGGUAUGAACCAUGGUGAAGUUGGAUUACAGUAGAUAUAAUUCUAAUAUGAAUUUGAAAUGAGUACACAACAGUACUUAAAGUGGUGAUUUACUUUAUUAUACUAACGGAUCUCACGAAGGUUUUGUUGAGUUUUGUGUGAUUGAAGUUUUCAAGUUUUGGGUGACACCACGAUGGAUGAAGGAAUAAGGAGAGGCAAGAGCCUAAGCUUGGGGAUGCCCGAGCAUCUAAGCUUGGGGAUGCCCCGGAAGGAAUCCCCUCUUUCGUCUACAAUCUAUCGGUAAUUUUACUCGGAGCUAUAUUUUUAUUCGUCACAUGAUAUGUGCAAAUGCUUGGAGCGUCUUUUGUGUUUAUUUUUCCUUUUUCUUUUAUGCACCAUGCUGGUAUGAGAUAGUCCUUGGUUGAUUUAUAGAAUGCUCUUUGCACUUCACUUAUAUCUUUCGAGUAUGGAUUUAUAGAAUGCUUAUGUGCUUCACUUAUAUCAUUUGAAGUUUGGAUUGCCUGUUUCCCUACACAUAGAAAACCGCCAUUUGUAGAAUGCUCUUUUGCUUCACUUAUAUUUUUUAGAGCGGGGCCUAUAUUUUGUAGAAAGAAUUAAAAUCUCAUGCUUCACUUAUACCUAUUUAGAGAGUUAACAGGAGUUGGUCAUUCACAUGGUUAGUCAUAAAAUCCUACAUAAACUUGUAGAUCACUGAAUAUGAUAUGUUUGAUUCCUUGCAAUAGUUUUGCGACAUGAAGAUGUGAUAUUAGAGUGAUGCUAGUGAAUAAUUGUGUAUUCAUAGAAAUACUUGUGUUAAGGUUUGUGAUUCCUGUAGCAUGCAGGUAUGGUGAACCGUUAUGUGACGAGGUCGGAGCAUGAUUUAUUUAUUGAUUGUCAUCCUUUGUGUGGAGGUCGGGACCGCGCGAUGGUUAACUCCUACCAACCCUUCCCCUAGGAGCAUGCGUGUAGUACCUUGUUUCGAUGACUAAUAGACUUUUGCAAUAAGUAUGUGAGUUCUUUAUGACUAAUGUUGAGUUCAUGGAUUAUACGCAAUCUCACCCUUCCACCAUUGCUAGCCUCUCUAGUACCGCGCAACUUUCGCCGGUGCAUUACACCCACCAUAUACCCUUCCUCAAAACAGCCACCAUACCUACCUAUUAUGGCAUUUCCAUAGCCAUUCUUAGAUAUAUUUCCAUGCAACUUCCAUCGUUCCAUUUAUUAUGACACGCACCAUCAUUGUCAUAUUGCUUUGCAUGAUCGUAAGAUAGCUAGCAUGAUGUUUUCAUGGCUUGUCCGUUUUUUGAUGUCAUUGCUACGCUAGAUCAUUGCACAUCCCGGUACACCGCCGGAGGCAUUCAUAUAGAGUCAUAUUUUGUUCUAAAUAUCGAGUUGUAAGUAAAUAAAAGUGUGAUGAUCAUCAUUAUUAGAGCAUUGUCCCAUGUGAGGAAGUAAAAAGAGGCCAAAGAAGCCCACCAAAAAAAAGAGAAAAAAAAUAAAAAAAUGAGAGAAAAGAGAGAAGGGACAAUGCUACUAUCCUUUACCACACUUGUGCUUCAAAGUAGCACCAUGAUCUUCAUGAUAGAGAUUCUCCUAUGUUGUCACUUUCAAAUACUAGUGAGAAAUUUUCAUUAUAGUACUUGGCUUGUAUAUUCCAAUGAUGGGCUUCCUAAAAUUGCCCUAGGUCUUCGUGAGCAAGCGAGUUGGAUGCACACCCACUAGUUUCAUUUUGAACUUUCAUACACUUCUAGCUCUUGUGCAUCUGUUGCAUGGCAAUCCCUACUCACUCACAUUGAUAUCUAUUGAUGGGCAUCUCCAUAGCCCGUUGAUAUGCCUAGUUGAUGUGAGACUAUCUCCUCCUUUUUGUCUUCCCCACAGCCACCAUAUUCUAUUCCAACUACAAUGCUAUGUCCAUGGCUCACGCUCAUGUAUUGCGUGAAAGUUGAAAAAGGUUUGAGAACACUAAAGUAUGAAACAAUUGCUUGGCUAAAACCGGGGUUGUGCAUGAUUUAAAUACGUUGUGUGGGGAAGAUGGAGCAUAACCAGACUUUAUGAUUUUGUAGGGAUAACUUUCUUUGACCACGAUAUUUUGAGAAGACAUGAUUCCUUUGUUAGUAUGCUUGAAAUAUUAUUAUCUUUAUGUCAAAUGGUAGGCUAUUGCUUCGAAUCACUCGUGUUUUAGUAUUCAUGCCAUGAUUAGAUUAUAUAAUCAACAUUAUGCUAGGUAGCAUUCCACAUCAAAAAUUAUCUUUUUUAUCAUUUACCUACUCUGUUGGGGAACGUCGCAUGGGAAACAAAAAUUUUCCUACGCGCACGAAGACCUAUCAUGGUGAUGUCCAUCUACGAGAGGGGAUGAGUGAUCUACGAACCCUUGUAGAUCGUAUAGCAGAAGCGUUAGUGAACGCGGUUGAUGUAGUGGAACGUCCUCACGUCCCUCGAUCCGCCCCGCGAACAAUCCCGCGAUCAGUCCCACGAUCUAGUACCGAACGGACGACACCUCCGCGUUCAGCACACGUACAGCUCGACGAUGAUCUCGGCCUUCUUGAUCCAGCAAGAGAGACGGAGAGGUAGAUGAGUUCUCCGGCAGCGUGACGGUGCUCCGGAGGUUUGUGGUGAUCUUAUCUCAGCAGGGCUCCGCCCGAGCUCCGCAGAAACGCGAUCUAGAGGUAAAACCGUGGAGAUAUGUGGUCGGGCUGCCGUGGCAAAGUUGUCUCAAAUCAGCCCUAAAACCUCCGUAUAUAUAGGAGGAAGAGGGGGAGCCUUCCCUUGGGGUCCAAGGACCACCAAGGGGUUCGGCCGAGCCAAGGGGGGGGAGUCCUCCCCUUCCAAACCGAAUCCAACUAGGUUUGGAAGGAGGAGUCCUUCCCCUUUUUCCCACCUCCCUUUUUUUUCUCUUUGAUUUUCUUCCUAUGGCGCAUAGGGACUUCUUUGGCUGUCCCACCAGCCCACUAAGGGCUGGUGCGCCACCCCCAAGGCCUAUGGGCUUCCCCGGGGUGGGUUGCCCCCCCCGGUGAACAUCCGGAACCCAUUCGUCAUUCCCGGUACAUUCCCGGUAACUCCGAAAACCUUCCGGUAAUCAAAUGAGGUCAUCCUAUAUAUCAAUCUUUGUUUCCGGACUAUUCCGGAAACCCUCGUGACGUCCGUGAUCUCAUCUGGGACUCCGGACAACAUUCGGUAACCAACCAUAUAACUCAAAUACGCAUAAAAUAACGUCGAAUCUUAAGUGUGCAGACCCUGCGGGUUCGAGAACUAUGUAGACAUGACCCGAGAGACUCCUCGGUCAAUAUCCAAUAGCGGGACCUGGAUGCCCAUAUUGGANNNNNNNNNNCGUUUCCGGACCAUUCCGGAAACCCUCGUGACGUCCGUGAUCUCAUCCGGGACUCCGAACAACAUUCGGUAACCAACCAUAUAACUCAAAUACGCAUAAAACAACGUCGAACCUUAAGUGUGCAGACCCUGCGGGUUCGAGAACCAAGUAGACAUGAACCGAGUGACUCCUCGGUCAAUAUCCAAUAGCGGGACCUGGAUGCCCAUAUUGGAUCCUACAUAUUCUACGAAGAUCUUAUCGUUUGAACCUUAGUGCCAAGGAUUCAUAUAAUCCCGUAUGUCAUUCCCUUUGUCCUUCGGUAUGUUACUUGCCCGAGAUUCGAUCGUCAGUAUCCGCAUACCUAUUUCAAUCUCGUUUACUGGCAAGUCUCUUUACUCGUUCCGUAAUACAAGAUCNNNNNNNNNNCGUCAUUCCCUUUGUCCUUCGGUAUGUUACUUGCCCGAGAUUCGAUCAUCAGUAUCCGUAUACCUAUUUCAAUCUCAUUUACCGGUAAGUCUCUUUACUCGUUCCGUAAUACAAGAUCCCGCAACUUACACUAAGUUACAUUGCUUGCAAGGCUUGUGUGUGAUGUUGUAUUACCGAGUGGGCCCCGAGAUACCUCUCCGUCACACGGAGUGACAAAUCCCAGUCUUGAUCCAUACUAACUCAACUAACAACUUCGGAGAUACCUGUAGAGCAUCUUUAUAGUCACCCAGUUAUGUUGCGACGUUUGAUACACACAAAGCAUUCCUCCGGUGUCAGUGAGUUAUAUGAUCUCAUGGUCAUAGGAAUAAAUACUUGACACGCAGAAAACAGUAGCAACAAAAAUGACACGAUCAACAUGCUACAUCUAUUAGUUUGGGUCUAGUCCAUCACGUGAUUCUCCUAAUGACGUGAUCCAGUUAUCAAGCAACAACACCUUGUUCAUAAUCUGAAGACACUGACUAUCUUUGAUCAACUGGCUAGCCAACUAGAGGCUUGCUAGGGANNNNNNNNNNGGUGUUUUGUCUAUGUAUGCACACAUGUAGAUGAGUCUUCAUUCAAUACAAUUAUAGCAUGGACAAUAAACGAUUAUCUUGAUACAGGAAUUAUAAUAAUAACUAUAUUUAUUAUUGCCUCUAGGGCAUAAUUCCAACAUACUCGAGGACGAGCAGAAAUUAAGCUUGGGGAUGCUGAUACGUCUCCGUCGUAUCUAUAAUUUUUGAUUGUUUCAUGCCAAUAUUCUACAACUUACAUAUACUUUUGGCAACUUUUUAUACUAUUUUUGGGACUAAAAUAUUGAUCCAGUUCCCAGUGCCAGUUCCUGUUUGUUGCAUGUUUUUUGUUUCGUAUAAUAUCCAUACCAAACGAAGUCCAAACACAAUAAAAAACCUAUGGUGAUUUUUUAUGGAAUAUUUAUGAUUUUUGGGAAGAAGAAUCAACGCAAAACGAUGCCCGAGGGGGUCACAAGCCUAGGAGGUGCCCCCUAGGGCACGGCAGGCAGGCUUGUGACCAAUCCCUAAGGCGGUUGGGGCCCUUCUUUCGCCGCAAGAAAGCUAAUAUCCGGAAGAAAAUCGUGUUAAAAUCAGCCCACUUGGAGUUAUGGAUCUCCGGGAAUUUUAAGAAACGGUGAAAGGCAGAAUCUGGGAGCGCACAAACAGAAGGACACACAGAGAGAGAUCCAAUCUCGGAGGGGCUCUCGCCCCUCCGCCGCCAUGGAGACCAUGGACCAGAGGGGAAACCCUUCUCCCAUCUAGGGAGGAGGUCAAGGAAGAAGAAGAAGAAGGGGGGCUCCCUCCCCCUCUCUCCCGGCGGUGCCGGAACGCCGCCCGGGACAUCAUCGUGUGACAGCGAUCUACACCAACACGUCCGUCAUCUUCACCAACACCUCCUUCUCCUUCCCCCAUCUAUAUUCAGCGGUCCACUCUCCCGCAACCCGCUGUACCCUCUACUUGAACAUGGUGCUUUGUGCUUCAUAUUAUUAUCCGAUGAUGUGUUGCCAUCCUAUGAUGUCUGAGUAGAUUUUUGUUGUCCUAUCGGUUAUUGAUGAAUUGGUGUGAUUGGUUUGAUUUGCUUGUGGUUAUGUUGCUGUCCUUUGGUGCCCAUCAUAUGAGCGCGCGCGUGGAUCACACGAUAGGGUUAGUAUUAUGUUGAUAGGACUAUGUAUUGGAGGGGAAGGGUGAUAGAAGCUUCAGCCUAGCAUAGAAACUGAUGCAUGCGGGAUUGAAGGGGGCCCAAUAUAUCUUAUUGCUAUGGUUGGGUUUUAACUUAUUGAACGUUAGUAGUUGCGGAUGCUUGCUAAUAGAUCCAAUCAUAAGUGCAUAGAAUUUCAAGUAAGGGAUGACAUGCUAGCAGUGGCCUCUCCCACAUAAAACUUGNNNNNNNNNNNNNNNNNNNNNNNNNNNNNNNNNNNNNNNNNNNNNNNNNNNNNNNNNNNNNNNNNNNNNNNNNNNNNNNNNNNNNNNNNNNNNNNNNNNNGAGGUGGCAAACUUUGUGACAGCACACUACGAAGCCAAAAAUCAUCAUUUGCAUAAUCCGAAGCCUCGGCACAAUGAUGGAGACCCUAAAAAAGGUGGGUCCAACGUCAGCCUAUUCAAAGGGAAGCUCGCACUAGCCGGUGCUUCGAAACCAAUAACGUUGGAUAUCAAAGAAUGGCGGAACAUGUCGUUGUAUAUCUUCAACAACCUAACAGGAGUGCGGCCGUACAUCGAGUGAGUUCUCGACACAUUUUCCCGUAACUUCUAAUUCAUUUGAACGGUUCUUAUUCCCGGAUAUUUCAAACAGCCGUUACGUCGUCAAAUUCUCGGAUGGAGCGGUGAUCGAAAAUGAUUCCGUGGAAGAAUAUGAGCUUCUGACUAAGACAGGAGGCGGCUAUCCCGGUUUCAUCUCUUGGUUCAAACAAACGGUAAUUAUCAAUAAUGGACCAUUUCAUUCUUGGUCUAACUUGCGGCUAAUGCAACAACCUUUUCGUAUUAAACUUGUAGGCUAAUUCAGAGUCUAUGGACGCCGAAUUGAGACAAGUCGCUAAUGGUUUUCACUAUAAGGUCCGUUCAUUUGAGAAAUACAACAUCAACGGGUAUCUCUUUCGUACCUUUGGCAAAGAGCUAUCUAUGCCCGACUGGAAAUCUACAAAUUGUGGUGUCUCUGCUAUCGGCGAAGGUGUUAUCGAGUACUAUGGAAGAGUUGAAGCAAUUUAUGAACUUCAAUUCUAUGGUGAGAACCCACCGAACGUCGUAGGCUUCAAAUGUUAUUGGUUCCGGCCGAAAAAGACUAGAAGGAGUCAUGAACAUAUAGGACUAGUCGAAAUCAAUCCAAACACCCAUUUAGAUAUUCCCGAUGUCUAUAUUACGGCUCAACAGGCGACCCAAGUUUUCUAUAUACCGUGGGCAUGCCAAACGGAUAAGAAUAUGGAAGGUUGGUAUGUUGUUUAUGAAGUGCCGCCACAUGUCAGACCACCUCUCCCAAAUGAACAGGAUUAUGAACCUCACAUUAACCCAGACACAUAUGAUGGAGAAUUCUUCCAAGAAACACGUCUUUCCAAGAAACGUUUCAAGAACCGUCGUGCUUCAUCCAAGAACAUGGAAGUAGACAGCGACAAUGAAUCCGACUCUAGCCCUAAGCCGGAACCAGAAGACCUGGAACUCGUAGAGGUUACUGAUGCGGAUGACCUGUCAAUGCUUCAACGAUUAAAGGAAGGCCUUUCACAACUUCACGCCGUUGAACCCGAUGAGCACGUCAUUCAUGAAGACAUGCGUGAUAGUGAUGAUGAUGAUGCAUUUAUUGAUGAUGAUUAUUAGUUUGUAAGAUUCACAACUUAAAUUAUAUAUAUUUUAAUCUUUAUUAUUCAUGUACAUAUUAUUAUUCAUGUCAGUCAUUCAAUUUUUUUAUGUUGUACUAAUUUCUUUUAAUCUUUAUCAUGGCAGGUGUUGAAAGAUGGUGGGCGCGGGUCGAGAUCGCUCGACGGGUUCUUCCGAGGCGCCCCGCACGAGGGGUGGUACUUCCCUUCCACCCCUAUCUCUCUGUAGAGCCUUGGCAGACAGUCUUUCGACACCAGCCGUGGGUUCUUCUUUGUCGGCGGCAUUGCCCACUGGGAGAGGUGCUGGUCGGGUAGGGAAGGAGGGGAAGGGUACAGGGAGAGGUGGUGGCCGCGGAAGAUCCAGGAGGACUGUUGAGCCGUCCUCGCCACCACCACUAGCUCAUUCACCCGAGCAUAGGACUAGUACGGUCGACCCGUUUGCGGAGGAGGCUACGGGGACUCCGGUCCAGGAGCCUGCUGUUCACGGGCAUUCGUCCCAUGAGACUCCGGUCCAGGAGCAGCCUCGGGUCGAGGUGCAUUCGGCCCAGGAGCAGCCGGAGGAGACUAGGGUUCCGGAGGCUUCACCCGACGUGGAGAGGGCCGGAUGGGAGAUCUGGCCGGAUCGUACCGAGUUGCCGGAUUGGACCGAGGGUCCGGGUGGCUCAGGGGGCGGGGAUGGCGGGGAUGAGCUUACGGAUAGUGAGGGCGAUGUGCAGGUGGACGGGGCCACCGUGUACAAGCGUGGUAGUACACGUCUCCCGGUCGCCCCGGCUACCCGCGAGCAGAGGCCGGUGAUUAAACCUGAAGGAGAUAGGUAAGUACAUUUACCCUUUUUUAGCUUUUGCCUUCAAGUUUAUUCAAAUAUCUAAUGCGCUGACCUUAUCAUACUGCAGGGGAUGGGUACACCCUCUUGGAGUCCGCAGGCCGAACUCCGUCCAUUGUGUGCUUUGCCAGACAAAUUUCCCCGGGGUUUUUCACGUUGCGUGGUGAGGGUCAGGUUCCUACACUAGGAUUUACCUGGGAGCACUACCAGGCUGCGCAGGCCCCGCCGGAGGAGAUUAUAGAUGGUGUCUUGUGCCACACGAGGGCCGAGAUGGUGAUCAAGAGCUUUUGGGUAAAUUAUCCUUUUACAGGAUCUAAAAUUAACAAUAUAGCUAAUUAUUGUACUAAUCGGUGUUUUCACGUUUGAUUGCAGACCUUCUAUAGGUGUGAGGAUGGAUAUGAGGAGGAGGCGGCCAGGGUUCUCGAGGUCGAGUGUAGGCGGUUACUACAGAACUUGCGCCACGAGGCUCGGCCGCAGGCUAUUCGAGAUUACUACGCCACGCGUGGUAUUAAGAAGACGAAGAAGGAUUGAUUUGGAAAGUUUCUGAAGAAGGAGCAAUACAUGAAGGUAAUUACCUAUUCUUAAGUCCUUCUACGUAGUUUUCUUGAUUUCAUUCAUAGGCGUAGCGCUGAAAAUUCUUUCUAAUAACUUACAGGUGCCCCCGAGAUGGUGUGCGGAUAAGAUGGAUUGUUGGGGGGCGUUUGUUGAUGAGUGGUGCACACGCAGCUGGCGAGCCAUCCACGAGAAUGCGAAGGAUCGGCGUAGCCAAAUAGUUGGUGUGCCACACCAUCAAGGCAGCGCCAACUUACUUCAGUUUGGACGAAACUGGGUAUGUGAUUUGCUUCAUGAUUCAUGCAAUUCAUUCUUGAUGCUAAUAUUGUGUUCCUCUCUUUUAGGCGCAUCACAAUAAGACUGAGAUGCCACACUUGUACGACCUUUAUGGCAUGGCCCAUACUGCCUCGUACAAGAAGGCGAAGGCAUUCUCUGAGUCUGACCUGGAUGAUCCCAAUAACUUUACCAACAUAUCAUCCCACCAGAAGCUCGUGGCAUACAGGGACGCGGGGAAGGCUACGAAAGGGGAUGACUUUAACCCUAGCCAGGAACCUUUGGAUCCAGAGCUGGUGAUGAUAUCUGGUGGCGGGAGGCCCCAUGGCUCGAUAGCCAUUGGAGAUGGGAUAAUACGUUGUCCACUCACUCUUCCGGAGAUCAAGGCGCGCCAGUCGAGCAACUGUCCUGAGAUAACGCGUCGUCCACGGCCAGUCGAACUUGCCAUCAAGGUUAGUUGUAUGGACUAAGAACACUUUCAUCCAUUUCAUUAUCUGUGUCACCAUAGAUCAUUACUGUGGUAACGAGGAAUGGUGUUUCAGGCUGCUCUUCAGAAAGAGAGAGCGGCAAACCACGCUGCUCUUGAGAAAGAGAGAUUGGCAAGCCAGGCUGCUCUUCAGGCUGCUCUUGAUGAGAGGGACCAGACCAGAGCACGAUUGCUUGAGGAGGAGAGGGCUCGGAAUGAGGCGGGUCAACGGGCCCUGUACGAGCUUUCUGUGGUAUGUUUUAUUCACAUUAGCCAAAUCAUGUGUGUAAUGUAUGUUUCAAUACCAACUAAUACGACCCACUCUUCAGGGUCUGUGCGAGAAGAGCGGUCAAGUCCCUCCGCCGAUGCCCGUCUUCUCUUCGAUUGGCACGGUGAGUUUCAUUAUAAACUAGUAUUAAUAAUUGAGUGUCAUCAUGCAAACUAAGACAUUGCAAAAUAUCUUCUCUGCAGAAUAACUCCCAAGCGGCAUCGCACGACCCUUCUCCAGGGCAACCGUCUCCAAACGAAGCCGCCGCGAGCAACCGUGGUGUUUCUCCUCGUUGAUGACCACUACGGUAAGUUUCUCCUCCAAAUUUAGCUUGUUUUCCUCUAAAAUGAGAUAAUUAGCCCAUUUAGAUCCAAGAAGACAUAAUUAGGUAAUUUAGCUCCAACAAGAGGAGGAGAAAUAGGAAAAAUUAAAAUAAAGAAGAAGAAGAAGAAGAGAAGAAGGAGAAGGAGGAGGAGGAGGAGGAGGAGGAGGAGAAGGAGGAGAAGGCCAAGGACCUUCUAGUCCUUCUCCUCCUCCUCCUUCUCCUCCUUCUCCUCCUUGAUUUCUUCUUCUUAUCCUCCUCCUCCUGUUUGUUCUCCCCUUUCAUAUUAUCCUUGCUUUAAUUUCCCCAACAAUGACAUAAUUAGUCCAUUUAGCUCCAAAAUACCAUAAUAAGCUCAAAAUGGCAUAAGAACCNNNNNNNNNNNNNNNNNNNNNNNNNNNNNNNNNNNNNNNNNNNNNNNNNNNNNNNNNNNNNNNNNNNNNNNNNNNNNNNNNNNNNNNNNNNNNNNNNNNNCGAGUGGGCCCCGAGAUACCUCUCCGUCACACGGAGUGACAAAUCCCACUCUCGAUCCAUACUAACUCGACGAACACCUUCGGAGAUACCUGUAGAGCAUCUUUAUAGUCACCCAGUUACGUUGCGACAUUUGAUACACACAAAGCAUUCCUCCGGUGUCAGUGAGUUAUAUGAUCUCAUGGUCAUAGGAACAAAUACUUGACACGCAGAAAACAGUAGCACUAAAAUGACACGAUCAAUAUGCUACGUCUAUUAGUUUGGGCUAGUCCAUCACGUGAUUCUCCUAAUGACAUGAUCCAGUUAUCAAGCAACAACGCUUUGUUCAUAAUCAGAAGACCCUGACUAUCUUUGAUCAACUGGCUAGCCAACUAGAGGCUUGCUAGGGACAGUGUUUUGUCUAUGUAUCCACACAUGUAUAUAAGUCUUCAUUCAAUACAAUUAUAGCAUGGAUAAUAAACGAUUAUCUUGAUACAGGAAUUAUAAUAAUAACUAUAUUUAUUAUGGCCUCUAGGGCAUAAUUCCAACAGUACAUGUACUCUAUGCAUGACUUGCCAGCGUAUGCACUAUUCUCUCGAUGGUGUGUGCAUGGAAGGUUCCCGUGCCCCAAAUGCAAGGCAGCUCUUCAGUUUCAUUGGUUGCAGGAGGGUCGGAAGUAUUCUUGCUUUGACUUGCAUAGACAGUUCCUGGAUCCUGACCAUCAGUUCAGAAAAGACAAGAAGAACUUUACCAAAGGUAAAGUUGUCAAAAACUUGGCACCACCUGCGUUCACAGGCCAACAGAUCCUGGAUUAGUUAAACGCCCUCGAGCCUGAUCCAGAGCGUCCAGGGUAUUUCAAGGGGUAUAAUUCAAAACACGCCUGUACUCAGAAGCCAUGCUUCUGGGAUCUGCCUUACUUCAAAGACCUCCUUCUUCCANNNNNNNNNNAUAAAGGUAAAGUUGUCAAGAACUUGGCACCACCUGCGUUCACAGGCCAACAGAUCUUGGAUGAGUUAAACGCCCUCGAGCCUGAUCCAGAGCGUCCAUGGUAUUUCAAGGGUUAUAAUUCAAAACACGCCUGGACUCACAAGCCAUGCUUCUGGGAUCUGCCUUACUUCAAAGACCUCCUUCUUCCACACAAUAUCGACAUGAUGCACACUGAAAAGAAUAUGGGAGAGGCUAUUUUUGGUACAUUGUUUGACAUAGAUGGGAAGACAAAGGAUAAUAUUAAGGCUAGAGUCGAUCAAGAGACACUAUGUCAUAGACCAUUACAAAACAUGCGAGAAGGCAAAGGAAAGCAGAAGUGGUCGAAGCCAAAGGCCUGGUUCAUUCAUGGAAGGCCAGCUAUGAGGGAAAUUAUCUUGUGGGUCAAAAUGCACUUGAUGUUCCCCGAUGGGUAUGCAGCGAAUCUAAAGAGGGGAGCGAGUCUUGAAAAAUUAAAAAUCUUUGGUCUCAAGAGUCAUGAUUGGCACAUAUGGCUAGAGCGGGUAAUACCGGUGAUGUUAUGUGGCUUUAUUCCCGAGGAUGAAUGGCUAGUACUGGCGGAGCUGAGCUAUUUCUUUCAUGUUCUUUGUGCGAAAGAAUUGUCGCCUGGCGUGGUAGAAGACAUGGAGGAGUUUGCACUGGAGUUGUUGUGCAAGUUAGAGAAGAUCUUUCCACCGGGCUUCUUUAAUCCAAUGCAGCAUUUGAUUUUACAUCUACUGACCGAGGCAAGAUUGGGUGGGCCCGUGCAAGAUCGUUGGUGCUAUGCAACUGAGAGGAUGCAGAAGACCCUUCGAGCUAAAUGUAAGAAUAAGCGUUGAAUUGAAGCAUCGAUGGCUGAGUCAUUCAUUACUGAGGAGGUGGCAAACUUUGUGACAGCACACUACGAAGCCAAAAAUCAUCAUCUGCAUAAUCCGAAGCCUCGGCACAAUGAUGCAGACCAUAAAAAAGGUGGGUCCAACCUCAGCCUAUUCAAAGGGAAGCUCGCACCAGUCGGUGCUUCGAAACCAAUAACGUUGGAUGUCGAAGAAUGGCGGAACAUUUCGUUGUAUAUCUUCAACAACCUACCAGAAGUGCGGCCGUACAUCGAGUGAGUUCUCGACACAUUUUCCCGUAACUUCUAAUUCAUUUGAACUGCUCUUAUUCCCGGAUAUUUCAAACAGCCCUUACAUCGUCAAAUUCUCGGAUGGAGCGGUGAUCGAAAAUGAUUCCGUCGAAGAUUAUGCGCUUCUGUCAAAGACAGGAGGCGGCUAUCCCGGUUUCAUCUCUUGGUUCAAACAAACGGUAAUUAUCAAUAAUGGACCAUUUCAUUCUUGGUCAACCUUGGUUAGCUCAUGAAUAUUAUAUACUUAGCUUGUUUUCCUCUAAAGUGGGAUAAUUAGCCCAUUUAGCUCAAAAAAAACAUAAUUACGUAAUUUAGCUCCAAGAAGAGGAGAAGAAAUAGGAAAAAUAAAAAUAAAGAAGAAGAAGAAGAAGAGAAGAAGGAGAAGGAGGAGGAGGAGGAGGAGGAGGAGAAGGAGGAGAAGGCAAAGGACCUUCUAGUCCUUCUCCUCCUCCUCCUUCUCCUCCUUCUCCUCNNNNNNNNNNNNNNNNNNNNNNNNNNNNNNNNNNNNNNNNNNNNNNNNNNNNNNNNNNNNNNNNNNNNNNNNNNNNNNNNNNNNNNNNNNNNNNNNNNNNCUUUCAUAUUAUCCUUGAUUAAUUUCCCCAACAAUGACAUAAUUAGCCCAUUUAGCUCCAAAAUGCCAUAAUAAGCUCAAAAUGGCAUCAGAACCUUGGUUAGCUCAUGAAUAUUAUAUACUUAGCUUGUUUUCCUCNNNNNNNNNNACCUCCUCCUCCUUCUCCUCCUUCUCCUCCUUCUCUUCUUCUUCUUCUCCUCCUCCUCCUCUUUCUUCUCCUCUUUCAUAUUAUCCUUGCUUUAAUUUCCCCAAAAAGACAUAAUUAGCCCAUUUAGCUCCAAAAUGCCAAAAUAACCUCAAAAUGGCAUAAGAACAUUGGUUAGGUCAUGAAUAUUAUAUACAUAGCUUGUUUUCCUCUAAAAUGAGAUAAUUAGCCCAUUUAGCUCCAAAAAGACAUAAUUAGGUAAUUUAGCUCCAACAAGAGGAGAAGAGGAGAAGAAAUAGGCAAAAUGAAAAGAAAGAAGAAGAAGAAGAGAAGAAGGAGAAGGAGGAGGAGGAGAAGGAGGAGAAGGCCAAGGACCUUCUAGUCCUUCNNNNNNNNNNAAUAGGAAAAAUGAAAAUAAAGAAGAAGAAGAAGAAGAGAAGAAUGAGAAGGAGGAGGAGUAGGAGGAGAAGGAGGAGAAGGCCAAGGACCUUCUAGUCCUUAUCCUCCUCCUCCUUCUCCUUUUUCUCCUCCUUCUUCUUGAUUUCUUCUUCUUCUCCUCCUCCUCCUCUUUCUUCUCCUCUUUCAUAUUAUCCUUGCUUUAAUUUCCCCAAAAAGACAUAAUUAGCUCAUUUAGCUCCAAAAUGCCAUAAUAACCUCAAAAUGGCAUAAGAACCUUGGUUAGAUCAUGAAUAUUAUAUACUUAGCUUGUUUUCCUAUAAAAUGAGAUAAUUAGCCCAUUUAGCUCCAAAAAGACAUAAUUAGGUNNNNNNNNNNNNNNNNNNNNNNNNNNNNNNNNNNNNNNNNNNNNNNNNNNNNNNNNNNNNNNNNNNNNNNNNNNNNNNNNNNNNNNNNNNNNNNNNNNNNNNNNNNNNNNNNNNNNNNNNNNNNNNNNNNCUUAUCCUCCCUCUUCUUGAUUUCUUCUUCUUCUCCUCCUCCUCCUCUUUCUUCUCCCCUUUCAUAUUAUCCUUGCUUUAAUUUCCCCAAAAAGACAUAAUUAGCCCAUUUAGCUCCAAAAUGCCAUAAUAAGGUCAAAAUGGCAUAAGAACCUUGGUUAGCUCAUGAAUAUUAUAUACUUANNNNNNNNNNNNNNNNNNNNNNNNNNNNNNNNNNNNNNNNNNNNNNNNNNNNNNNNNNNNNNNNNNNNNNNNNNNNNNNNNNNNNNNNNNNNNNNNNNNNCUUCUAGUCCUUCUCCUCCUCCUCCUUCUCCUCCUUCUCCUCCUUCUUGAUUUCUUCUUCUUCUCCUCCGCCUCCUAUUUCUUCUCCUAUUUCAUAUUAUCCUUGCUUUAAUUUCCCCAACAAUGACAUAAUUAGCCCAUUUAGCUCCAAAAUACCGUAAUAAGCUCAAAAUAGCAUAAGAACCUUGGUUAGCUCAUGAAUAUUAUAUACUUAGCUUGUUUNNNNNNNNNNACCCAUUUAGCUCCAAAAAGACAUAAUUAGGUAAUUUAGCUCCAACAAUAAAUAGGAAAAAUGAAAAGAAAGAAAGAAGAAGAAGAAGAGAGGAAGGAGAAGGAGGAGGAGGAGGAGAAGGCCAAGGACCUUCUAGUCCUUCUCCUCCUCCUUGUCCUCCUUCUUGAUUUCUUUUUCUUCUCCUCCUCCUCCUCUUUCCUCUCCUAUUUCAUAUUAUCCUUGCUUUAAUUUCCCCAACAAUGACAUAAUUAACCCAUUUAGCUCCAAAAUGCCAUAAUAAGCUAAAAAUGGCAUAAGAACCUUGGUUAGCUCAUGAAUAUUAUAUUCUUAGCUUGUUUUCCGCUAGAAAUGACAUAAUUACCUCAAAACAUCAUAUUUUGUUCUUUUUCUGACUUUCUUAUUCACAUUUUUGCAGAUUGGAUAUACUACAUGCAUGAAAGCUGGCAUUCAUGGAGUUGAACAAUGUCGAUGGAUGAACUUUAUAUGUAUAUCAUCUAGUUUUCAUUUGAGUUGAUGAACAAUGUUGAACUAUAUGUAUAUAUAUAUGGAUAAACAGUGCAAUACUUUGUAUGUUGGUUCUUUUGAUAUAUGGGGAUGUACAUUGAUUUAUAUGUAUAUCAUAUAUGUGUGGUGAAUUAUAUAUAUGUGUUGGCAAGUAUAUGUGNNNNNNNNNNNNNNNNNNNNNNNNNNNNNNNNNNNNNNNNNNNNNNNNNNNNNNNNNNNNNNNNNNNNNNNNNNNNNNNNNNNNNNNNNNNNNNNNNNNNCGCGAUGAUGACACUAUUUGGACGUUUCCUACCCAAAGGCCAUGUCAUGCCUGCAAACCUGUACCAGUCGGAAAAAAUAUUUCGUUUACUUAAGAUGCACUAUGAGAAGAUACAUGCAUGUGAGAAAGGAUGUGUCUUAUUUAGGAAGGAGUAUCUACACUUGGACUAUUGUCCCAAUUGCGAGUCUUGCAGGUAUCUUGUGGUAGACAAACGGUAUGGGUGAGAAGAGGCAGACCAAAAUCGCAGUUAGUGUUCUUCGGUAUAUCACAAUCGUACCAAUACUUCAACGUCUUUUCAUGGUCGAAGAGACAGCCAGACAGAUGACAAGGCACAAAUUGGGCAAAAGAACCGAACUAGAUGCGGAUGGGAAUAAGAUGAUGGUACACACAUCGGAUGGGGAAGCGUGGAAACAUUUCGAUGGAUUGCAUCAAGAUAAAGCGACAGAUCCAAGGAAUCCUCGAGUCUGUGCCGCCACGGUCGGUUUUAAUCCCUUCGGCAUGACGACAACCCAAUACAGUUGUUGGCCUGUAUUUGUCAUUCCACUCAAUCUCCNNNNNNNNNNCCUAGGCAGAUUAUGCAAAGAAAGAUCAUAUUUCUGACGUUGAUAAUUCCAGGGCCCAAUUAUCCGGGGAAGAAUAUGAAUGUGUAUCUGCAACCGCUUAAGGAUGAAUUGGAAGAAGCUUGGGAUAAUGGGGUCAAGACAUACGAUGCCGCUAGAAAAAAAAACUUCAAAAUGCAUGUGUGGUACAUGUUGGGGAACGUCGCAUGGGAAACAAAAAAUUUCCUACGCGCACGAAGACAUAUCAUGGUGAUGUCCAUCUACGAGAGGGCAUAUUCGAUCUACGUACCCUUGUAUGAUUUCCAACAAGUCACUAGCACGCUCAAUUGUUCCGGAGAACGGAGUUUUAGUCAUCUUGCCCAUGAGGCAUGGUUCGCACGUGUCAAGUGAAUCAAAGUCAAGUGACUCCAAAAGUCCAUCGGCAUGGAGUUUCUUCAUGCGCUUUACACCAAUAUGACCUAAGCGGUAGUGCCACAAAAAUAUGGCGCUAUCAUUGUUAACUUUAACUCUUUUGGUCUCAAUGUUAUGUAUGUGUGUAUCACUAUCAAGAUUCAAUAUGAACAAUCCUCUCACAUUGGGUGCAUGACCAUAAAAGAUGUUACUCAUAGAAAUAGAACAACUAUUAUUCUCUGAAUUAAAAGAGUAACCGUCUCGCAAUAAACAAGAUCCAGAUAUAAUGUUCAUGCUCAACGCAGGCACUAAAUAACCAUGAUUCAAGUUCAUAACUAAUCCUGAUGGUAACUGAAGUGAAACUGUGCCGACGGCGAUUGCAUCAAACUUGGAACCAUUUCCUACGCGCAUCGUCACUUCAUCUUUCGCCAGCCUUCGUCUAUUCCGCAGUUCCUGUUUCGAGUUGCAAAUAUGAGCAACAGAACCGGUAUCGAAUACCCAGGCACUACUACGAGUGCCGGUUAAGUACACAUCAAUAACAUGUAUAUCAAAUAUACCUGAUUUUUCUUUGGCCGCCUUCUUAUCAGCCAGAUACUUGGGGCAGUUGCGCUUCUAGUGACCCAUACCCUUGCAAUAGUAACACUCUGUUUCAGGCUUAGGUCCAGCUUUGGGUUUCUUCAUCGGAUUGGCAACAGGCUUGCCGCUCUUCUUUGAAUUACCCGUCUUGCCUUUGCCGUUUCUCUUGAAACUAGUGGUCUUAUUCACCAUCAACACUUGAUGCUCNNNNNNNNNNCCCGCCUUCUUAUCUGCCAGAUACUUGGGGCAAUUGCGCUUCCAAUGACCCAUACCCUUGCAAUAGUAACACUCCGUUUCCGGCUUAGGUCCAGCUUUGGGUUUCUUCGUCGGAUUGGCAACAGGCUUGCCGCUCUUCUUCGAAUUUCCCUUCUUGCCUUUGCUGUUUCUCUUGAAACUAGUGGUCUUAUUCACCAUCAACACUUGAUGCUCUUUAUGGAGUUCAGACUCUGCGACUUUCAGCAUCGCAAACAACUCGCCGGGUGACUUGUUCAUCCCUUGCAUGUUGUAGUUCAACACAAAGCCUUUAUAGCUUGGUGGCAGUGAUUGAAGGAUUCUGUCAGUGAUAGCUUCUUGCGGGAGUUCAAUCCCCAGCUCAGCUAGACGGUUUGAGUACCCACACAUUUUGAGCACAUGUUCACUGACAGACGAGUUUUCCUCCAUCUUGCAAGCAUAGAAUUUAUCANNNNNNNNNNGUUUGAGUACCCAGACAUUUUGAGCACAUGUUCACUGACAGAUGAGUUUUCCUCCAUCUUGCAAGCAUAGAAUUUAUCGGAGGUCUCAUACCUCUCGAUCCGGGCGUUCUUCUGAAAGAUAAAUUCCAACUCCUGGAACAUCUCAAAUGCUCCAUGACGCUCAAAGCGACGUUGAAGUCCCGGUUCUAAGCCAUACAAGACUGCACAUUGAACUANNNNNNNNNNNNNNNNNNNNNNNNNNNNNNNNNNNNNNNNNNNNNNNNNNNNNNNNNNNNNNNNNNNNNNNNNNNNNNNNNNNNNNNNNNNNNNNNNNNNCAUGCUAGGCUCGUCAAGCUUAACCCGAGUAUUCCGCGUGCGCAACUGUUUUGCACCCGUUGUAUGUGAACGUUGAGUCUAUCACACCCGAUCAUCACGUGGUGUCUCGAAACGACGAACUGUAGCAACGGUGCACAGCCGGGGAGAACACAAUUUCGUAUUGAAAUUUUAGUGAGAGAUCACCUCAUAAUGCUACCGACGUUUUAAGCAAAAUAAGGUGCAUAAAAGGAUUAACAUCACAUGCAAUUCAUAAGUGACAUGAUAUGGCCAUCAUCACGUGCUCCUUGAUCUCCAUCAGCAAAGCACCGGCACGAUCUUCUUGUCACCGGCGCCACACCAUGAUCUCCAUCAACGUGUCACCAUCAGGGUUGUCGUGCUGCUCAUGCUAUUACUACUAAUGCUACAUCCUAGCAAAAUAGUAAACGCAUCUGCAAGCACAAACGUUAGUUUAAAGACAACCCUAUGGCUCCUGCCGGUUGCCGUACCAUCGACGUGCAAGUCGAUAUUUCUAUUACAACAUGAUCAUCUCAUACAUCCAAUAUAUCACAUCACAUCAUUGGCCAUACCACAUCACAAGCAUACCCUGCAAAAACAAGUUAGACGUCCUCUAAUUUUGUUGUUGCAUGUUUUACGUGGUGACCAUGGGUAUCUAGUAGGAUCGCAUCUUACUUACGCAAACACCACAACGGAGAUAUAUGAGUUGCUAUUUAACCUCAUCCAAGGACCUCCUCGGUCAAAUCCGAUUCAACUAAAGUUGGAGAAACCGACACUUGCCAGUCAUCUUUGAGCAACGGAGUUACUCGUAACGAUGAAACCAGUCUGUCGUAAGCGUACGAGUAAUGUCGGUCCAAGCCGCUUCAAUCCAACAAUACCGCGGAAUCAAGAAAAGACUANNNNNNNNNNNNNNNNNNNNNNNNNNNNNNNNNNNNNNNNNNCUCGUAAGCGUACGAGUAAUGUCGGUCCAAGCCGCUUCGAUCCAACAAUACCGCGGAAUCAAGAAAAGACUAAGGAGGGCAGCAAAACGCACAUCACCGCCCACAAAAACUUUUGUGUUAUACUCGAGAAGACAUCUACGCAUGAACCUAGCUCAUGAUGCCACUGUUGGGUAACGUCGCAUGGGAAACAAAAAAUUUACUACGCGCACGAAGACCUAUCAUGGUGAUGUCCAUCUACGAGAGGGGAUAUUCGAUCUACGUACCCUUGUAGAUCGCACAGCUGAAGUGUUAGUGAACACGGUUGAUGUAGUGGAACGUCCUCAGGUCCCUCGAUCCGCCCCGCGAACCGCCCCGCGAUCAGUCCCACGAUCUAGUGCCGAACGGACCACCUCCGCGUUCAGCACACGUACAGCUCGACGAUGAUCUCGGCCUUCNNNNNNNNNNNNNNNNNNNNNNNNNNNNNNNNNNNNNNNNNNNNNNNNNNNNNNNNNNNNNNNNNNNNNNNNNNNNNNNNNNNNNNNNNNNNNNNNNNNNCGCCCCUGCUGCACCCCCAGCCCCACCACCGGCGCCGCCGGCCCAGCCACUGCCCCGCAGGCCCCGGCGCCGCCCCCGCAGCCCCAACACUGCCGGUAAGCCCCCACACCCCACCCCCUUGUUAUUUAGUUUUUUGGAGGAAGAAGAAGAAUAAGAAGAGAGGAGGAGAAGAGGAGAAGAAGAGGAGGAGUAGGAGGAGGAGGAGUAGGAGGAGGAUGAGGAAGAGAAGAAAAAGAAGAAGAAGAACAAGAAGAACAAGAAGAAGAGAAGAAAAAAUUAAGAAGGAGAAGAAGAAGAAGAGAAGAAAAAAAAAGAAGGAGAAGAAGUAAAGAAGAAGAGAAGAAGAGAAUAAGAAAAAAAUAAGAAGGAGAAGAAGAGAAAAAAGAAGAAGAAGUUGAUUUUUUAUUGUCUGGUAUUUAGUUUUUUGGAAUUAAUUAGUAGUUUUAGUGGUAGAUUCUGUUAGUUAAUUAGUAGAUUUAGUGGUAGAUUCUGUUAGUUUAUUCGCCCAUCAUUAUUGCUUAGGUUCAAGACUACUUCAAAGAAGAUCACAUGUUCUUUUGUGGAAAUCAAGUCUGUCAAAAUAAUGUAUCGUCUAUAUUUAUUGGUAGUGGAGCAAAACAGGACAACUUAAAUAAUAUUGCCAUCCUCAAACGUAGAAAAUAUUGAAAAGUUUUAUAUAACCUGAAAAGUAGUAUAGGUAACGUGGAAAGUCCUCUGGACCAAAAGGGCAACUUCUGGACCUGCGAACUUUGCGUGGUAGGUGCAUGUCCAUGCACCAGGGUAAUUAACCCAACAAUGACAUAAUUAGCCCAUUUAGCUCCAAAAUACUAUAAUAAGCUCAAAAUGGCAUAAGAACCUUGGUUAGCUCAUUAAUAUUNNNNNNNNNNNNNNNNNNNNNNNNNNNNNNNNNNNNNNNNNNNNNNNNNNNNNNNNNNNNNNNNNNNNNNNNNNNNNNNNNNNNNNNNNNNNNNNNNNNNACACACAUAUACAUAUAUAUAUAUAUAUAUAUAUAUAUAUAUUUGAUAGCACAUUUAUAUAAUUCACCACACAUAUAUGAUAUAUAGUUCACGACAGAUAUACUUGCCAACACAUAUAUAUAAUUCACCACACAUAUAUGAUUCACCAAUGUACAUCCCCAUAUAUCCAAAGAACCAACAUACCAAGUAUUGCACUGUUUAUCCAUAUAUACAUAUACAUAUAGUUCAACAUUGUUCAUCAACUCAAAUGAAAACUAGAUGAUAUACAUAUAAAGUUCAUCCAUCGACAUUGUUCAACUCCAUGAAUGCCAGCUCCCAUGCAUGUAGUAUAUCCAAUCUGCAAAAAUGUGAAUAAGAAAGUUAGAAGAAGAACAAAAUAUGAUGUUUUUAAGCUAAUUAUGUCAUUUUUAGCGGAAAACAAGCUAAGUAUAUGUGUGGUGAACUAUAUAUCAUUUGUUGGAGCUAAAUUACCUAAUUAUGUCUUUUUUGAGCUAAAUGGGCUAAUUAUACCAUUUUAGAGGAAAACAAGCUAAGUAUAUAAUAUUAAUGAGCUAACCAAGGUUCUUAUGCCAUUUUGAGCUUAUUAUGGUAUUUUCGAGGUAAAUAGGCUAAUUAUGUCAUUGUUGGGUUAAUUAAAACAAGGAUAAUAUGAAAGAGGAGAAGAAAGAGGAGGAGGAGGAGAAGAAGAAGAAAUCAAGAAGAAGGAGGAGAAGGAGGAGAAGGAGGAGGAGGAGAAGAAGAAGAAAUCAAGAAGAAGGAGGAGAAGGAGGAGAAGGAGGAGGAGGAGAAGGACUAGAAGGUCCUUGGCCUUCUCCUCCUCCUCCUCCUCCUCCUCCUCCUUCUCCUUCUUCUCUUCUUCUUCUUCUGUUCUUCUUCUUCUUCUUUCUUUUCAUUUUGCCUAUUUCUUCUCCGCUUCUCCUCAUGUUGGAGCUAAAUUACCUAAUUAUGUAUUUUUUGAGCUAAAUGGGCUAAUUAUCCCAUUUUAGAGGAAAACAAGCUAAGUAUAUAAUAUUAAUGAGCUAACCAAGGUUCUUAUCCAUUUUGAGCUUAUUAUGGUAUUUCGGAGCUAAAUGGGCUAAUUAAGUCAUUGUUGGGUUAAUUAAAGCAAGGAUAAUAUGAAAGAGGAGAAGAAAGAGGAGGAGGAGGAGAAGAAAAAGAAAUCAGGAAGAAGGAGGAGGAGAGGAGAAGGAGGAGGAGGAGAAGGAUAGAAGGUCCUUGGCCUUCUCCUCCUCCUCCUCCUCCUUCUCCUUCUUCUCUUCUUCUUCUUCUUCNNNNNNNNNNNNNNNNNNNNNNNNNNNNNNNNNNNNNNNNNNNNNNNNNNNNNNNNNNNNNNNNNNNNNNNNNNNNNNNNNNNNNNNNNNNNNNNNNNNNCAGGGUUUCGAACGAGAACUCAUCUCUUACAAAGGGAUUUCAUUUUUUAAAACUUAUUUGAACUCCAUACUUUUUGUGUGUUCAAACUGCACCAUUCAAAGGCACAUCACAAAAUUUCAACAAUUUCUGACUUCANNNNNNNNNNACUGGAUGCAGUUCGUGUUCAAAACUGACAAUCUCUCUCGAAGUAGCAGGGUUUCGAACGAGAACUCAUCUCUUACAAAAGGAUUUCAUUUUUUUAAACUUAUUUGAACUCCAUACUUUUUGUGUGUUCAAAAUGCACCAUUCAAAGGCACAUCAGAAAAUUUCAACAAUUUCUGACUUCAUUUGGUAUAUUUCGUGCAUUUACUUAUUUUUUUGAGCUAGUUGACCCUGAAAUUGAAAAGCACUACAAAUGAACUCUGAAAAAUGUUGAAAGUUGGCAUGCUAUCAUCAUUUAACCCACAUAGCAUGUGUUAGAAAGUUGAGAGGGCUACGACAAAAGCUGGAUGCAGUUCGUGUACAACACUGACAAUCUCUCUCGAAGUAGCAGGGUUUCGAACGAGAACUCAUCUNNNNNNNNNNNNNNNNNNNNNNNNNNNNNNNNNNNNNNNNNNNNNNNNNNNNNNNNNNNNNNNNNNNNNNNNNNNNNNNNNNNNNNNNNNNNNNNNNNNNUUCAUGAUUACCUUGCUAGUUUGCUUGAAGUAUUAUUGUCUCCACGUCAAUAGAAAACUAUUGUUUUGAAUCUAAUGGAUCUGAACAUUCACGUCACAUAAGAGGAGUUACAAAGGACAUCUAUGCUAGCUAGCAUGAAAGCAUAAAAAUUCAUUCUUUAUCACUUCCCUACUCGAGGACGAACAGGAGUUAAGCUUGGGGAUGCUUGAAACGUCUCAAACGUAUCUAUAAUUUUUGAUGGUUUCAUGCCGUUAUCUUGUCAACUCUCGAUGUUUUAUAUUCCUUUUAUAUGUUUUUUGGGACUAACUUAUUAAUUCAGUGCCAAGUGCCAGUUCCUGUUUUUCUGUGUUUUUGACUCUUUUCAGAUCUGAUUUUGGAACGGAGUCCAAACGGAAUAAAAUCCCCAAAAUAAAAUUUUCCAGAACAGAAGAAGAUCGGUGGACUUGAGGGCCAAGGCAGGAGGCCCACAGGGAGCCCACAAGCCCUAACGCCACGGCCAGGGGGGCCCGCGGCGACUAGGCUUGUGGGCUCCUUGGCGCUCCUCUGCCCUAGCUCUUUCGCCUAUAUAUUCCCUAAAAUCCCAGAAAAAAUCAGGGCANNNNNNNNNNCCGCCGCCACAAGCUUCCGUUUCCGCGAGAUCUCAUCUCGAGACCCUUCCUGGUGCCCUGCCGGAGGGGACUUUGGAGUUGGAGGGCUUCUACAUCAACAUCAUCGCCUCUCCAAUGACUCGUGAGUAGUCCACUUCAGACCUAUGGGUCCGUAGUUAGUAGCUAGAUGGCUUCUUGUCUCUCUUGGAUCUUCAAUACAAAGUUCUCCAUGAUCUUCAUGGAGAUCUAUCCGAUGUAAUCCUCUUUGGCGGUGUGUUUGUCUAGAUCCGAUGAAUUGUGGAUUUGUAAUCAGAUUAUCUACGAAUUAUACUUGAGUCUUUGAUGAUUUCUUAUAUGCAUGAUUUUAUAUCCUUGUAAGUCGCUCCGAGUCUUGGGUUUUGUUUGGACAACUAGAUCUAUGAUUCUUGCAAUGGGAGAAGUGCUUGGUUUUGGGUUCAUACCGUGAGGUGACCUUUCCCAGUGAUAGAAGGGGCAGCAAGGCACGCAUCGUGUUGUUGCCAUCAAGGGUAACAAGAUGGGAUUUUAGCAUAGAUUUGAGAUUGUUCAUCUACAUCAUGUCAUCUUGCUUAGAUGCAUGCUGGAUAGCGGUCGACGUGUGGAGUAAUAGUAGUAGAUAAAGAAAGUAUCGGUCUACUUGUUUUGGACGUGAUGCCUAUAGAUAUGAUCAUUGCCAUANNNNNNNNNNCGCUUUCAUCAUAGAUUUGAGAUUGUUCAUCUACAUCGUGUCAUCUUGCUUAAGGCGUUACUGUGUUCUUAUGAAAUCAAUACACUAGAUGCAUGCUGGAUAGCAGUGGACAUGUGGAGUAAUAGUAGUAGAUGCAGAAAGUAUUGGUCUACUUGUUUUGGACGUGAUGCCUAUAGAUAUGAUCAUUGCCAUAGAUAACGUCAUGACUUUGCACGGUUCUAUCAAUUGCUUGACAGUAAUUCGUUGACCCACCGUCUACUUGCUUUCAUGAGAGAAGCCACUGGUGAACACUACGGCCCCCGGGUCUAUUCACAACUAUCGCUUCCACUUUUACUUUUACUUUGCUUUGUUUACUUUUUGCUUUCAGUUCUCACUUUGCAAACAAUCUAUAAGGGAUUGACAACCCCUUCAUAGCAUUGGGUGCAAGCUCUUUGUGUUUGUGCAGGUACUUGUGACUUGACGCGAUCCUCCUACUGGAUUGAUACCUUGGUUCUGAAACUGAGGGAACUACUUACCGCCGCUGUGCUACAUCACCCUUUCCUCUUCAAGGGAACAACAACGCAAGGCUCCAAGGCCGCGGGGGAAUCCUUUGCAUAUUUGCCAANNNNNNNNNNAGAUUGAUACCUUGGUUCUCAAACUGAGGGAAAUACUUACCGUCGCUGUGCUACAUCACCCUUUCCUCUUCAAGGGAACACCAACGCAAGGCUCCAAGGCCGCGGGGGAAUCCUUUGCAUAUUUGCCAAGGAAGUUCCUAUAGGCAUAGCCCGUAGCAGAAGGAUUCCUGGCGCUGUUGCCAGGGAGGGUCUUUUGUUGCCGUAGCAGAAGUAUUUCUGGAGCCGUUGACGGGGAGGAUCGCUUGCCAAGGAGUAUCAAGACAGGAAUAAUCUCCCAUCAACACACCUAUUUCUGGCGCCGUUGCCGGGGAGAGAUCAAGUCAAGAUCUAUCCNNNNNNNNNNAUCCCUAGAGGCGUAGCCCGUAGUAGAAGGAUUCCUGGCGCCGUUGCCAGGGAAGGUCUAUUGUUGCCGUAGGAGAAGUAUUUCUGGCGCCGUUGCCGGGGAGGAUCGCUUGCCGAGGAGUAUCAAGACAAGAAUAAUCUCCCGUCAACACGCCUAUUUCUGGCGCCGUUGCCGGGGAGAGAUCAAGUCAAGAUCUAUCCAAGUAGGUGUCACAAACUCAUCUCUUGCAUUUACCUUUUUUCCCAGUUGCCUCUCGUUUUCCUCUCCCCCACUUCACAUUUGCCGUUUUCAUUCGCCUUUUUCGUUUGCCUUUUUGGUUCACCCUUUUCUCUCGCUUGCUUUCUGUUCGCUUGUGUGCCAUGUGCCUUCNNNNNNNNNNUCCUUUUUUUGUUUGCCUUUUUGGUUCGCCCUUUUCUCUCGCUUGCUUUCUGUUCGCUUGUGUGCCAUGUGCCUUCAAUAUGUUUGCAUCUUCGCUUGCUGAAAAUCUAGUGAUAUGGAUCCUCAUCCACUUGCUAAUCUCUUUAAGAGAUCCAAUUAUGUUGAUCCAAUUGCUAGUGAGUUGAGUGCACUUAUGUAUCUUUAUGGAGUUUUGCUUGAGAUGCGUGAAUCUGAAAAUUGUGAGGAAGAAAUUUAUGAAGUGAUUGACGAGGGCUCCUUGGAUGAAAAGCAUGAUUGCAAUGGUUUCACUAUAAAUUCUAUUAGUGACAAUCAUGCUAAGAAUAUGGAAAACCCUAAGCUUGCAGAUGCUAGUUUUGCUAUGUCCCCUACUUGUUGCAAUGAUCAUGAGUGGGGCGAUGAUUUUUCUUAUGAUCUUGAAAAUUUGUUUAAGCCUCAUGAUGAAUANNNNNNNNNNGAAUGGUUUCACUAUAAAUUCUAUUAGUGACAAUCAUGCUAAGAAUAUGCAAAACCCUAAGCUUGCAGAUGCUAGUUUAGCUAUGUCCCCUACUUGUUGCAAUGAUCAUGAGUGGGGCGGUGAUUUUUCUUAUGAUCUUGAAAAUUUGUUUAAGCCUCAUGAUGAAUAUGAUAUUUGCAAUAUCAUUGAAAGUGGGUUUGGAGAAAUCAUGACUUUAGUUGAUGAUAAUCCGACUAUUUUUGAAGAGCGUCAACUUUGCAUGCAUGUGGAUCAUGAAAAGAAUAUCCUAUGUGAUAGUUACAUUGUUUAAUUCGAAUANNNNNNNNNNUAUUGAAAGUGGGUUUGGAGAAAUCAUGACAUUGGUUGAUGAUAAUCCCACUAUUUUUUAAGAGCGUGAACUUUGCAUGCAUGUGGGUCAUGAAAAGAAUAUCCUAUGUGAUAGUUACAUUGUUUAAUUCGAAUAUGAUCCCACAUGUAAUUACUAUGAGAGAGGAAAAUAUUGUGGUAGAAACUUUCAUGUUACCAAAUUACCUCUUGUUAUGUGGAGAUUGCUAUUGUCUCUUUCUUCUUCCUUGCAUAUGGUAACUAUUGGUUGUCUUGACAAUCUGUUUUCCUAUAAAAUGCCUAUGCAUAGGAAGUAUGUUAGACUUAGAUGUGAUUUUCCCAUGCUUUAUGAUGCUCUCGUUGUGCUUCAAUUCUUGUCUUUUGUGUGAGCAUCAUUGAAUUAUCAAUGCCUAGCUAAGGGCGUUAAGCAAUAGCUCUUGUUGGGAGGCAACCCAAUGAAUUUAUCUUUUUCUUUCUGUUUUGUGUUUUCCACACUUUCAUAAUUCUGUUAUGAUUGUGUUUUUUGUGUUUCUUUUGCGUUUGUGCCAAGUAAAACUGUUAUGAUUAGUCUUGGGGAUGAUCGUUUGGUCAUGCUGGAAAAGACAGAAACUUUCUGCUCACGAAAAGAAUUUUCAUUUUGUUUCUGUAAGAGCUUUUGAGUUGAUUCUUUUUGCUUCUGAUUUCUAUGCAAAUUCUUCAGACUGUCGUAAUUGGUCGGAAUUUUUGAAGUACCAGAAGUAUACGAAGUAUACAUAUUACUACAGACUGGUCUGCUGUUAAUAGAUUCUGUUUUUGUUGAGUUGGUCGAUUAUUUUGAUGAAACUAUGGAUAGUAUCGGGGGGGGGGGGGNNNNNNNNNNNNNNNNNNNNNNNNNNNNNNNNNNNNNNNNNNNNNNNNNNNNNNNNNNNNNNNNNNNNNNNNNNNNNNNNNNNNNNNNNNNNNNNNNNNNAAUUUAUUUUGCUCUAUGUGUUUCACUUCUAUCAUUUAGAGCACGGAAGCGCGUGGCGUGGUAGUUGAUCUAUGCUAUGAAAGUAGUCUCAAAAGGGGUAUUUAUCCAAAGGGAUAUGAAAACUUCCACCUUCAUGUGCAUUGAGUAGUUAGAGAAGUUUGAUUCAUCUCAAUCAGUUUUGAGUUGUGGUUGUGGUAAUAUUAAAGUUAUAUUAGUAAGGUGUAGUGGAUCUAGAAAUACUUGUGUUGAAGUUAGUGAUUCCGGUAGCAUGCACGUAUGGUGAACCGCUAUGUGAUGAAGUCUGAGCAUGAUUAGUAUAUUGAUUGUCAUCCUUUGUGUGGUGGUCGGGAUCACGCGAUGGUUUAUACCUACCAACCCUUCCCCUAGGAGUAUGCGUUGAAUGCUUUGUUUCGAUUACUAGUAGAACUUUUGCAACAAGUAUAUGAGUUCUUCAUGACUAAUGUUGCGUCCAUGGUCUAGAUGCACUUUCAGCUUCCGCCAUCACUAUCUUCUUUAGUGCCGUGCAACUUUCGCCUGUGCAUAAAACCCACCAUUAGCCUCCCUCAAAACAACCACCAUACCUACCUACUAUGGCUUUUUCAAAGCCAUUCCGAGAUAUAUUGCCAUGCAACUACCACCAUGACAUGUGCCACCACUUCUACAUUUCCAUUGCAUGAUCAUAAGAUAGCUAGCAUGAUGUUUCCAUUGAUGUCUNNNNNNNNNNUUUUUUCAAAGCCAUUCCGAGAUAUAUUGCCAUGAAACUACCACCAUGACAUGUGCCACCACUUCUACAUUGCCAUUGCAUGAUCAUAAGAUAGCUAGCAUGAUGUUUCCAUUGAUGUCUAUGCCAUGCUAGAUCAUUGUCACGGUACACUACCGAAUGCAUUCCAUAUAGAGUCAUCAUUGCUCUAAGUUUUGAGUUGUAAGUGUGAUGAUCAUCAUUGAUGGAGCAUUGUCCCCUGUGAGGACAUAAAAGAGGCCAAAGAUGCCCACCAAAAAAAAGAGGCCAAAGAGCCCACCAAAAAAAUGAGAGAAAAAGAGAGAAUGGACAAUGCUACUAUCUUUCCACACUUGUGCUUAUUAAGCACCAUGAUUUUCAUGAUUGAGAGUCUCUCGUUUUGUCACCACCGUAUAGCUAGUGGGAAAUUUUUAUUAUAUAACUUGGCUUGUAUAUUCCAAUGAUAGGCUUCCUCAAAAUUGCCUUAGGUCUUCGUGAGCAAGCAAGUUGGAUGAACACCCGCUAGUUUUCUUUAAGAGCUUUAACAUACUCUUAGCUCUAGUGCAUCAUUUGUAUGGCAAUCCCUACACAUUCACAUUGAUAUCUACCGAUGAGCAUUUCCAUAGCUCAUUCAUAUGCCUAGUCAAUGUGAACAUCUUCUCCUUGUUUGCCUUGCAACCUCCACCACACUCCACUCCACUNNNNNNNNNNAUUGGCUUUAUAUAUACAUGCAGUAGGAUUUUAUCCUACUGUCUUACACUCAAAAGAAAGCAAGCAAGUUGGAUGCACACCCACUAGUUUUCUUUAAGAGCUUUCACAUAGUCUUAGCUCUAGUGCAUCAUUUGUAUGGCAAUCCCUACUCAUUCACAUUGAUAUCUAUUGAUGAGCAUUUCCAUAGCUCAUUGAUAUGCCUAGUCAAUGUGACCAUCUUCUCCUUGUUUGCCUUGCAACCUCCACCACACUCCACUCCACUUAUAGUGCUAAAACCAAGGCUCACGGUCAUGUAUUGCGUGAGAGUUGAAAAAGUUUGAGAAAGUAAAGGUGUGAAAACAAUUACUUGGCCAAUACCAAGGUUGUGCAUGAUUUAAAUUCGUUUUGCAAUGAUGAUAGAGCAUAGCCAGACUAUAUGAUUUUGUAGGGAUAACUUUCUUUUGUCCUUGUUAUUUUGAAACUUCAUGAUUACCUUGCUAGUUUGCUUGAAGUAUUAUUGUCUCCACGUCNNNNNNNNNNGAGGUUGUGCAUGAUUUAAAUUCGUUGUGCAAGGAUGAUAAAGCAUAGCCAGACUAUAUGAUUUUGUAGGGAUAACUUUCUUUUGGCCUUGUUAUUUCGAAAGUUCAUGAUUACCUUGCUAGUUUGCUUGAAGUAUUAUUGUCUCCACGUCAAUAGAAAACUAUUGUUUUGAAUCUAAUGGAUCUGAACAUUCACGUCACAUAAGAGGAGUUACAAAGGACAUCUAUGCUAGGUAGCAUGAAAGCAUCAAAAAUUCAUUCUUUAUCACACUUCCCUACUCGAAGACGAGCAGGAGUUAAGCUUGGGGAUGUUUGAUACGUCUCAAACGUAUCUAUAAUUUUUGAUGGUUUCAUGCUGUUAUCUUGUCAACUUUGGAUGUUUUAUAUACCUUUUAUAUCUUUUUUGGGACUAACUUAUUAAUUCAGUGCCAAGUGCCAGUUCCUGUUNNNNNNNNNNUUGUGUGUUUUUGACUCUUUUCAGAUAUGAUUUUGGAACGGAGUCCAAACGGAAUAAAAUCCCCGAAAUAAUUUUUCCAGAACAAAAGAAGAUCGGGGGACUUUAGGGCCAAGGCAGGAGGCCCACAAGCCCUGACGCCGCGGCCAGGGGGGCCCGCGGCGACUAGGCUUGUGGCCUCCCUGGCUCUCCCCUGCCCUAUCUCUUUCGCCUAUAUAUUCCCUAAAAUCCCAGAAAAAAUCAGGGCAUCCACGAAAACACUUUUCUGCCGCCGCAAGCUUCCGUUUCCGCGAGAUCCCAUCUGGAGACCCUUCCCGGUGCCCUGCCGGAGGGGAGUUUGGAGUUGGAGGGUUUCUACAUCAAGAUCAUCGCCUCUCUAAUGACUCGUGAGUAGUCCACUUCAGACCUACGGGUCCAUAGUUAGUAGCUAGAUGGCUUCUUCUCUCUCUUGGAUCUUCAAUACAAUGUUCUCCAUGAUCUUCAUGGAGAUCUAUCCGAUGUAAUCCUCUUUGGCGGUGUGUUUGUCGAGAUCCGAUGAAUUGUGGAUUUGUGAUUAGAUUAUCUAUGAAUUAUAUUUGAGUCUUUCCUGAUUUCUUAUAUGCAUGAUUUGAUAUCCUUGUAAGUCUUUCCGAGUCUUGGGUUUUGUUUGGCCAACUAGAUAUAUGAUUCUUGCAAUGGGAGAAGUGCUUGGUUUUGGGUUCAUACCGUGAGGUGACCUUUCCCAGUGACAAAAGGGGCAGCAAGGCACACAUCAUGUUGUUUCCAUCAAGGGUAACAAGAUGGGCUUUCAUCAUAGAUUUGAGAUUGUUCAUAUACAUCAUGUCAUCUUGCUUAAGGCGUUACUCUGUUCUUAUGAACUCAAUACACUAGAUGCAUGCUGGAUAGCGGUCGACGUGUGGAGUAAUAGUAGUAUGCAUAAAGUAUCGGUCUACUUGUUUUGGACAUGAUGCCUAUAGAUAUGAUCAUUGCCAUAGAUAACGUCAUGACUUUGCGCGGUUCUAUAAAUUGCUCGACAGUAAUUCGUUCACCCACCGUCUACUUGCUUUCAUGAGAGAAGCCACUAGUGAACACUACAGCCCCCGGGUCUAUUCACAACUAUCGUUUCCACUUUUACUUUUACUUUGGUUUGUUUACUUUUUGCUUUCAGUUCUCACUUUGCAAACAAUCUAUAAGNNNNNNNNNNNNNNNNNNNNNNNNNNNNNNNNNNNNNNNNNNNNNNNNNNNNNNNNNNNNNNNNNNNNNNNNNNNNNNNNNNNNNNNNNNNNNNNNNNNNGACGCCCCCUGCGGCGAGCCCCCAGCCGCGCGCCCCCUGCCGCCGCCGCCCCCUGCCGGUGAGUUUUUCCUGUUUUUCUUUUUAAAAAAGUUAAUUACUUUAGUUAGUUUAUUAGGUUAGUUUUUUAUUAUAUAUAGGGUAAUUUAGUUAGUUUAUUUGGUUAGAUUAUUAGGCUAAUUAGGUUAGUUAGUUAGGUUAGAAGAAGAAAAAGCAGAAGGAAAAAAAGCAGGAGAAGAAGAAGAAGAAGAAGAAGAAGAAGAGGAGGAGGAGGAGGAGAAAGAAGAAGAAGAAGAAGAAGAAGAAGAGGAGAGGAGGAGGAGGAGAAAGAGGAGGAGAAAGAAGAAGAAGAAGAAGAAGAAGAAGAAAAAGAAUAGAAGGAGAAAAAGAGGAGGGGGAGUAGGAGGAGAAAGAAGAAGAAGAAGAAGAAGAAGAAGAAGAAGAAGAAGAAGAAAAAGAGGAGAGAGGAGAAAAAGAAAGAAGAGGAAAAGGGAACCCCGGCACCCCGAAACUGACCCUCGACCCCCGACCCCUGACGCCCGACGCCACUGACCCCCGACCAUCGACCUCCGACGCCACUGACCCCCGACCCNNNNNNNNNNNNNNNNNNNNNNNNNNNNNNNNNNNNNNNNNNNNNNNNNNNNNNNNNNNNNNNNNNNNNNNNNNNNNNNNNNNNNNNNNNNNNNNNNNNNCUCCCCCCCUUUGCCAUGUGGGGGCAGACGGCAAAGAGGGGAGAGAGAAGGGGCAGAUUCUCUCUUUGCCGUCUGCCUCCCCCCUUUGCCAUGUGGGGGCAGACGGCAAAGAGGGGAGAGAGAGGGGGCAGAUUCUCUCUUUGCCGUCUGCCUCCCCCCCUUUGCCAUGUGGGGGCAGACGGCAAAAAGGGGAGAGAGAGGGGGCAGAUUCCCCCUUUGCCGUCUGCCUCCACCCCUUUGCCAUGUGUUGGCAGACGGCAAAGAGGGGAACCAUCCCCUUUUUUAUUUAUUUUUUGUUAUAUCCAGCAUUUUUAACAAUAAUCAGGAUAUAUAUAUAUAUUUGACAUAAAUAAAUUUCUUUUCGUACCCAUAACCAUAUUAAAAUAACUCUCAUCCAUAGUGCAUACAUAUUAUGGAAGUUACAUUCGUACCAAACCUAAUAUUACACCAGUUUCAUCCACGUGCAUACAAAGUUUCAUAUAUUCAUAUACUACAACAGUUUCAAUACAACCCAUGGUACAAGAAAUCAUCUUCAAGCAUUCCAUCAACCAAGCUUCCCGUGAAGUGAAGGUAAUCUGCAAAAUGACAAAUAAGAAAGUUAGAAAAAUAAUACUAGAUGAAGUAGUGUAUAUAUAGGUUAUUUCGGAGAGAAAUUAGCUAAUUAUAGACCAUUUAGGAGCUAACUAAGCUAAUUAUGUCAUUUAGGUGGAACCCUAGCUAACUAUAGGAGAAGAGAAAGAGAAGAAGAAGUAAAAGAAGAAGGAGGAGGAGGAGAAGGAGAAGGAAGAGGAGAAGAAGAAGAAAAAGGAGGAGGAGGAGGAGGAGGAGAAGGAGAAGGAAGAGGAGAAGAAGAAGAAGGAGAAGAAGGAGAAGAAGAAGGAGAAGAAGGAGAAGAAGAAGGAGAAGGAGCUCCCGCUCCUUCUCCUUCUUCUUCUCCUUCUUCUCCUUCUUCUUCUCCUUCUUCUUCUUAUCCUUUUGUCCCCUUCUUCUUAUCCUCCUCCCUCUCCUCCUUCUUCUUCUCCUUUUUCCUCUUCCUUCCUNNNNNNNNNNNNNNNNNNNNNNNNNNNNNNNNNNNNNNNNNNNNNNNNNNNNNNNNNNNNNNNNNNNNNNNNNNNNNNNNNNNNNNNNNNNNNNNNNNNNUGUUAUUUCAAAUCUUGCAUUUGAAUGUCCGUUUCAUUAAUAAAUAAAAAGUUUGACUUGUCGAAACCAAAUGUACAGUCUAUGUGCGAGAAGAACGGCCAAGUCCCUCCGCCGAUGCCAGUCAUUAACGUGGCGGGGACGGUGAGUUUCAUUUCAGUGGAGUGAUCUUAAGAGUGUCCUCAUGCUAACUACACAUUGCAAACGAUGUUUGGUGCAGAAUAUGUCCCGAAACGCAUCGCAUGACCCUUCUACAGUCGAGCCUUCUCCAGGGCAGCCUUCUCCAGGUGAAACAAGCCAGAGCCACCGUGCUUCACCCUAACUUAGGUAUGUUAUUUCUAGUGUUUUAAUAAAAAAUAGCUAGACUUCCAUCUAAUGACAUAAUUAGCUUAGUUAGCCCCAAAAUAGCUAGACUUCCAUCUAAUAACAUAAUUGGCUUAGUUAACUCCAAAAUGGCCUAUUUAAUAAAAAAUGACCUAUACUUAGCUAAUUAUCCUCGAAAUGACAUAAUUAGCUCCAAAAAGGCAUUCUUAGCCAAUUUAGCCCGAAGAAGGGGACAAGAAGAGAAAAAGAGGAAAAAUGAAAGGAGGGAAGAGGAAAAAUAAGGAGAAGAAGGAGGACAGGGAGGAGGAGAAGAAGAAGGAGAAGAAGGAGAAGAAGGAGGAGAAGGAGAAGGAGCUCCUCCUACUCCUUCUUCUUCCUCCUUCUCCUUCUCCUUCUUCUUCUCCUUCUCCUUCUUCUUUUCUUCUUCUUCUCCUCUUCCUUCUUCUCCUCCUCCUCCUCCUCCUCCUCCUCCUCCUUAUUUUACUUCUUCCUCUCUAUCUCUUCUUCUACGUAGCUUAGACUCAUCCAAGAAAGGCUAAAUUAGCCAAUUGUCCUACGAAAUGACAUAAUUAGCUUAGUUAGCUCCAAAAUGUCCUAUUUAAUAAAAAAUGUCCUAUACUUAGCUAAUUAUCCUCGAAAUGACAUAAUUAGCUCCAAAAANNNNNNNNNNAUUUUCUUCUUCUUCUCCUUCUUCUUCUCCUCCUCCUCCUCCUCCUCCUCCUUAUUUUACUUCUUCUUNNNNNNNNNNNNNNNNNNNNNNNNNNNNNNNNNNNNNNNNNNNNNNNNNNNNNNNNNNNNNNNNNNNNNNNNNNNNNNNNNNNNNNNNNNNNNNNNNNNNCGGGGUAUGAAAGUAUAUGGGCAGAGCCUUAGCUACGGCGAGGAUAUAUGAGUUCAGGCCCCUCUACGGUGGAGGUAAAAGCCCUACGUCUCAGUGCUCUUGGGAGCUUUGUGUCGAGUGUAUUAAGGGAUUACAGCAAGUGCCAACCCUUUUAGCAGUGGUGAAGGGCGGCUUAUAUAGAGUGCGCUGCCCUUCAUAAUGGUCCGGUGGACAGGGGUGGAGUAGUGGAGAGUAAAGGCUAGCGUUACUGGUAACGUAAGCCUUAAAUGCUAGUUAUGGUGUAUGAAAACGUAUGACCGUUGCCCUCCUGGGAGGUUAUGCCGAACANGUGAAGUUGAGUCUAUCACACCCGAUUAUCACCUGUUGUCUCAAAACGACGAACUGCCGCAACGGCGCACAGUCGGGGAGAACACAACUUUAUCUUGAAAUUUUAGUAAGAGAUCACCUUAUAAUGGUACCGUCGUUUUAAGAAAAAUAAGGUGCAUAAAAGGAUUAACAUCACAUGCAAAUCAUAAGUGACAUGAUAUGGCCAUAAACUUGUGCUUCUUGAUCUCCAUCAGCAAAGCACCGGCAUGAUCUCCAUCGUCACCGGCGCCACACCAUGAUCUCCAUCAUCGUACUGCCAUCGAGGUUGUCGCGCUAACUAUGCUUUUACUAAUAAAGCUACUACUAGCGAUAAAGCAAAGCAUCACCAAGGGCAAAAAUAAUUAAAGACAACCCUAUGGCUCCUGCCGGUUGCCGUAGCAUCGACGUGCAAGUCGAUAUUUAACUACUACAACAUGAUCAUCUCAUACAUCCAAUAUAUCAUAUCAUGUAUUUGGCCAUAUCAUAUCACAUGCAUACCGUGUAAAAACGAGUUAGACGUCCUCUAAUUUGUUGUUGCAAAUUUUACGUGGUUGCUAUGGGUAUCUAUUAUGAUCGCAUCUUACUUACGCAAAGCCACAACGCUGAUAUGCAAAUUGCUAUUUAAUCUUCUCCAAGGAACACCUUGGUCAAAUCCGAUUCAACUAAAGUUGAAGAAACAAACACCCUCCAGUCAACUUUAUGCAACAAGUUGCAUGUUAGUCGAUGAAGCCGGUCUCUCGUAAGCGUACGAGUAAUGUUGGUCCGGUCGCUUCGAUCCAACAAUACCGCUGAAUCAAGAAAAGACUAAGGAGGGCAGCAAAUUGAACAUCAACGCCCACAAACUCUUUUAUGUUCUACUCGAGAUAUCAUCUACGCAUGAACCUAGCUCAUGAUGCCACUUUUGGGGAACGUUUCAUGGGAAACAAAAAAUUUCCUACACAUACGAAAGACCUAUCAUGGUGAUUAUCAUCUACGAGAGGGGAGAUCGGAUCCACAUACCCUUGUAGAUCGCUAAGUGGGAAGCGUUAAGAAACGUGGUUGAUGUAGUCGAACAUCUUCGCUAUCCAAUCACGAUCCAUCCCACGAACUGCGUCCCGAUCUAGUACUGAACGGACGACACCUCCGCGUUCAGCACACGUACAACUUGAUGACAAUCUGCGCCUUCUUGAUCCAACAAGAGAGACAAAGAAGUAGCUGAAUUCUCUGACAACACGAUGGCACGGCAGUGAUGGUGGUGGAGCUACUCCGGUAGGGCUUCACCGUGUCGUACUUAACUAGCUACGGGGUGUCACGAAGUAGUGGAGGGAGAGAGGGCUGCACAAAGACUUGGGGUGCAAAAACCCUCUCAAACCUCCACUAUAUAUAGGAGGAACAAGUGAGAGGGUGGCUUGCCUCCUACUCCAAGUAGGAGGGUUUGGACGAGCCCAAGAGGGAGGAGUCCUCCACCAAUUCGGUUUGGUGGAGGACUCCUUCCCAUCUUGUCCACCUCCUUCCUUUUAUUUUCUUUUUUACUUCUUAUUAUUGCUUUUAGCCAUUAUAGGCUUAUUGGGCUGGCCUCAACAGCCCACUAAAGGCUGGGGCGCCACCCAUGGGCCUAUUAGGUCCUAUCCCGAGUGGGUGGCCCCUCCCGGUAAAACCCCAGAACCAGUUCGUCUCUCUCGGUACUUUAGCGGUAAUGCCCGAAAUCUUUCCGAAAGCCUAUAUAUCAAUUGUUGUUUCCGGACCAUUCCGGAGACCCUCGUGACGUCCGAGAUCUCAUCUGGGACUCCAAACAACAAUCGGUUACCAACAUCAAUAAUUCAACAAUACCAAAACGUCACCGAACCUUAAGUUUGCACACCCUGCGGGUUCGAGAACUGUGUAGACUUGAUCGAGACACUCUCCAGCCAAUAUCCAAUAGCGGGACCUGGAUGCCCAUAUUUGAUCCUACAUAUUCUACGAAGAUCUUAUCGGUCCAACCUCUAUGUCAAUGAUUCAGUUAAUCCCGUGUAAUGUUCCCUUUGUCCUUCGGUAUGUUACUUGCCCGGGAAUCGAUCGUCGGUAUCUCUAUACCUAGUUCAAUCCCAUUAAUGGCAAAUCUCUUUACUCGUUCCGUAAUACAGUAUCCCGUGGCUAACUCUUUAUUCACAUUUCUUGCAAGGCUUAUUGUGAUGUUGUAGUACUAAGUGGGCCCCGAGAUACCUCUGCAUCAGAAGGAGUGAUAAAUCCCAGUCUUGAUGCACGCCAACCCAACAUACACUUUCGGAGAUACCUGUAGAGCACCUUUAUAGUCAUCCAGUUACGUUGCGACAUUUAAUACACACAAGAUAUUCCUCCGUUGUUCGGGAGUUGCAUGAUCUCAUAGUCAUAGGAAUAGAUACUUGACACACAGAAAACAAUAGCAACAAAAUGACACAAUCACAUGCUAUGUUUAUAGUUUGGGUCUUGUCCAUCACAUCAUUCCCCCAAUGAUGUGAUCUCGUUAUCCAUUGACAACACUUGUCUAUGGCUAGGAAACCUUAACCAUCUUUGAUCAAUGAGCUAGUCAACUAGAGGUUUACUAGGGACAAUAUUUCGUCUAUGUAUCUACACAUGUAUCUGUGUUUCCAUUCAAUACAAUUCUAGCACUGGAAACAGGAAAUAUAAUAAUAACUAAUUUAUAAUUGCCUCUAGGUCAUAUUUCCAAGAGAGGAAGCUCCACCAUCCAACAAGAAGAAGCUCUCAUGAGUUCGAGAAAAGAGUGGACAAGGAUUAUCCGCUGAAUCAAAUCUUCGUUGACAUACAAACUGGGAGAAUUACUCACUCUAAAACUUGUUUAGGUAACUUUUGGAGCAUUACUCAUUAUCUCUGGCAUAGAGCCUAUGAAGGUACAAGAAUCCCUUCAAGACCCAUAUUGGGUGAAUGCGAUGCAUGGAGUGUUACACAGAUUCACGAGGAAUGACGUUUUUACACUUGUGGAAAAGCCCAAGGACGAGAAAAGCGUCAUUGGUACAAAAUGGGUAUUUGGCAACAAGCAAGAUGAACAUGGUCAAUUUGUACGCAACAAGGCGUGUCUCAUAGCCCAAGGAUACACGCAAGUUGAUACGUCUCAAACGUAUCUAUAAUUUUUGAUGGUUUCAUGUUGUUAUCUUGUCAACUUUGGAUGUUUUAUAUACCUUUUAGAUCUUUUUUGGGACUAACUUAUUAAUUCAGUGCCAAGUGCGAGUUCCUGUUUUUUCUGUGUUUUUGACUCUUUUCAGAUCUGAUUUUGGAACGGAGUCCAAACGAAAUAAAAUCCCCGAAAUAAAUUUUGAGGGCCAAGGCAGGAGCCCCAUAGGGAGCCCACAAGCCGUGACGCUGCGGCCAGGGGGGCCGCGGCGACCAGGCUUCUGGCCUCCCUGGCGCUCCCCUGCCCGAGCUCUUUCGCCUAUAUAUUCCCUAAAAUCCCAGAAAAAAUCAGGGCAUCCACGAAAACACUUUUCCGCCGCCGCAAGCUUCCGUUUCCGCGAGAUCUCAUCUGGAGACCCUUCCCAGUGCCCUGCCGGAGGGGACUUUGGAGUUGGAGGGCUUCUACAUCAACAUCAUCGCCUCUCCAAUGACUCGUGAGUAGUCCACUUCAGACCUACGGGUCCGUAGUUAGUAGCUAGAUGGCUUCUUCUCUCUCUUGGAUCUACAAUACAAUGUUUUCCAUGAUCUUCAUGGAGAUCUAUCCGAUGUAAUCCUCUUUGGCGGUGUGUUUGUCGAGAUCCGAUAAAUUGUGGAUUUGUGGUCAGAUUAUCUAUGAAUUAUAUUUGAGUCUUUGCUGAUUUCUUAUAUGCAUGAUUUGAUAUCCUUGUAAGUCUCUCCGAGUCUUGGGUUUUGUUUGGCCAACUAGAUCUAUGAUUCUUGCAAUGGGAGAAGUGCUUGGUUUUGGGUUCAUACCGUGAGGUGACCUUUCCCAGUGAUAGAAGGGGCAGCAAGGCACGCAUCGUGUUGUUGCCAUCAAGGGUAACAAGAUGGGAUUUUAGCAUAGAUUUGAGAUUGUUCAUCUACAUCAUGUCAUCUUGCUUAGAUGCAUGCUGGAUAGCGGUCGACGUGUGGAGUAAUAGUAGUAGAUAAAGAAAGUAUCGGUCUACUUGUUUUGGACGUGAUGCCUAUAGAUAUGAUCAUUGCCAUAGAUAACGUCAUGACUUUGCACGGUUCUAUCAAUUGCUUGACAGUAAUUCGUUGACCCACCGUCUACUUGCUUUCAUGAGAGAAGCCACUGGUGAACACUACGGCCCCCGGGUCUAUUCACAACUAUCGCUUCCACUUUUACUUUUACUUUGCUUUGUUUACUUUUUGCUUUCAGUUCUCACUUUGCAAACAAUCUAUAAGGGAUUGACAACCCCUUCAUAGCAUUGGGUGCAAGCUCUUUGUGUUUGUGCAGGUACUUGUGACUUGACGCGAUCCUCCUACUAGAUUGAUACCUUGGUUCUCAAACUGAGGGAAAUACUUACCGUCGCUGUGCUACAUCACCCUUUCCUCUUCAAGGGAACACCAACGCAAGGCUCCAAGGCCGCGGGGGAAUCCUUUGCAUAUUUGCCAAGGAAGUUCCUAUAGGCAUAGCCCGUAGCAGAAGGAUUCCUGGCGCUGUUGCCAGGGAGGGUCUUUUGUUGCCGUAGCAGAAGUAUUUCUGGAGCCGUUGACGGGGAGGAUCGCUUGCCAAGGAGUAUCAAGACAGGAAUAAUCUCCCAUCAACACACCUAUUUCUGGCGCCGUUGCCGGGGAGAGAUCAAGUCAAGAUCUAUCCAAGUAGGUGUCACAAACUCAUCUCUUGCAUUUACCUUUUUUCCCAGUUGCCUCUCGUUUUCCUCUCCCCCACUUCACAUUUGCCGUUUUCAUUCGCCUUUUUCGUUUGCCUUUUUGGUUCACCCUUUUCUCUCGCUUGCUUUCUGUUCGCUUGUGUGCCAUGUGCCUUCAAUAUGUUUGCAUCUUCGCUUGCUGAAAAUCUAGUGAUAUGGAUCCUCAUCCACUUGCUAAUCUCUUUAAGAGAUCCAAUUAUGUUGAUCCAAUUGCUAGUGAGUUGAGUGCACUUAUGUAUCUUUAUGGAGUUUUGCUUGAGAUGCGUGAAUCUGAAAAUUGUGAGGAAGAAAUUUAUGAAGUGAUUGACGAGGGCUCCUUGGAUGAAAAGCAUGAUUGCAAUGGUUUCACUAUAAAUUCUAUUAGUGACAAUCAUGCUAAGAAUAUGGAAAACCCUAAGCUUGCAGAUGCUAGUUUUGCUAUGUCCCCUACUUGUUGCAAUGAUCAUGAGUGGGGCGAUGAUUUUUCUUAUGAUCUUGAAAAUUUGUUUAAGCCUCAUGAUGAAUAUGAUAUUUGCAAUAUCAUUGAAAGUGGGUUUGGAGAAAUCAUGACUUUAGUUGAUGAUAAUCCGACUAUUUUUGAAGAGCGUCAACUUUGCAUGCAUGUGGAUCAUGAAAAGAAUAUCCUAUGUGAUAGUUACAUUGUUUAAUUCGAAUAUGAUCCCACAUGUAAUUACUAUGAGAGAGGAAAAUAUUGUGGUAGAAACUUUCAUGUUACCAAAUUACCUCUCGUUAUGUGGAGAUUGCUAUUGUCUCUUUCUUCUUCCUUGCAUACGGUAACUAUUGGUUGUCUUGACAAUCUGUUUUCCUAUAAAAUGCCUAUGCAUAGGAAGUAUGUUAGACUUACAUGUGAUUUUCACAUGCUUUAUGAUGCUCUCGUUGUGCUUCAAUUCUUGUCUUUUGUGUGAGCAUCAUUGAAUUAUCAAUGCCUAGCUAAGGGCGUUAAACAAUAGCGCUUGUUGGGAGGCAACCCAAUGAAUUUAUCUUUUUCUUUCUGUUUAGUGUUUUCCAUACUUUCAUAAUUCUGUUAUGAUUGUGUUUUUUGUGUUUCUUUUUCCUUUGUGCCAAGUGAAACCGUUAUGAUUAGUCUUGGGGAUGAUCGUUUGGUCAUGCUGGAAAAGACAGAAACUUUCUGCUCACGAAAAGAAUUUUCAUUUUUUCUGUAAGAGCUUUUGAGUUGACUAUUUUUUCUUCUGAUUGUUACGCAAAUUCUAUAGAUUGUCGUAAUUAUUCAAAAAAUUUCAAGUACCAGAAGUAUACGAAGUAUAUAGAUUACUAUAGACUGGUCUGUUGUUAACAGAUUCUGUUUUUGUUGAGUUGGUUGCUUAUUUUGAUGAAACUAUGGAUAGUAUGGGGGGUAUUAGCCAUGGAAGAUUGAAAAUACAGUAACCCAACAUCAAGAUAAGUAGAAUUUAAGUUUUCUACAGUACCUAAGGAAGUGGUGGUUUGCUUUCUUAUACUAAUGAUAUCACGAGUUUCUGUUUAAGUUUUGUGUUGUGAAGUUUUGAAGUUUUGGGUGAACUUCUUAUGGACAAAGAGAUAAAGAGUGGCAAGAGAUCAAGCUUGGGGAUGCCCAAGGCACCCCAAGUUAAUUCAAGGAUGCCGAAAAAGUUUAAUCUUGGGAUGCCCCGGGAAGGCAUCCCCUCUUUCGUCUUCAAUCCAUCGGUAACCACUACAGGAAUCAGCUUCUUUGCCGUCUGCCAUCACAGACGGCAAAGGCAAUAUCCCGGACGGCAAAGACAAUAUCACAAACGACAAAGAUUCUCACGGGUGGCAAAAUUUCUGCGUCAGCCUACGACGGCAUAGGACCUUCUUUGCCGUCUGCCCCCCCAAAGCGGACGGCAAAGCUCUUUGCCGUCAGCUUUCCUUAGGAGCAGUCGGCAAAGUGUUCGAGACGGCAGCCGACAGGAGUUGCCUCCGUUAGGGGUUAACGGAGGCUUUGCCGUCUACCUCCCCCUCCAGCUUUGCCGUCUGCCUCCCCAUCCAUCUUUUCCAUCUGCCUUCUCUUCCCCUCCCCUCUCCUUUACCUCCAUCUUUGUCGUCUGCCUCCCCGUCCAUCUUUGCCGUCUGCCUGCUCCUCCCCUCCCCCCUCUCUCCACUCUUUGUCGUCUGCCUCCUCCUCCCCCCCUCCUCUGUUCCCUCGUCUUUGCCGUCUGCCCACCCUGGAGGCUGACGGCAAAGAGACUACAUAGACUCCCCAGGAUGCACAGCUGGGUGCCAUGUGGCACCUUUGCCGUCUGCCAGCUGAUGGCACAGGUCGUUGCCAUCAGCUGGCAGACGGCAAAGAGCCCAUAUAGUUCCUGUUUUUUUGUUUUAUAUUGUUUCACAACACACACACACNNNNNNNNNNNNNNNNNNNNNNNNNNNNNNNNNNNNNNNNNNNNNNNNNNNNNNNNNNNNNNNNNNNNNNNNNNNNNNNNNNNNNNNNNNNNNNNNNNNNAAGGUUCUUAUGCCAUUUUGAGCUUAUUAUGGUAUUUUCGAGGUAAAUGGGCUCAUUAUGUCAUUGUUGGGUUAAUUAAAGCAAGGAUAAUAUGAAAGAGGAGAAGAAAGAGGAGNNNNNNNNNNNNNNNNNNNNNNNNNNNNNNNNNNNNNNNNNNNNNNNNNNNNNNNNNNNNNNNNNNNNNNNNNNNNNNUUCUCCUCUUCUCCUCUUGUUGGAGCUAAAUUACCUAAUUAUGUCUUUUUUGAGCUAAAUGGGCUAAUUAUCCCAUUUUAGAGGAAAACAAGCUAAGUAUAUAAUAUUAAUGAGCUAACCAAGGUUCUUAUGCCAUUUUGAGCUUAUUAUAGUAUUUUGGAGCUAAAUGGGCUAAUUAUGUCAUUGUUGGGUUAAUUACCCUGGUGCAUGGACAUGCACCUACCACGCAAAGUUCGCAGGUCCAGAAGUUGCCCUUUUGGUCCAGAGGACUUUCCACGUUACCUAUACUACUUUUCAGGUUAUAUAAAACUUUUCAAUAUUUUCUACGUUUGAGGAUGGCAAUAUUAUUUAAGUUGUCCUGUUUUGCUCCACUACCAAUAAAUAUAGACGAUACAUUAUUUUGACAGACUUGAUUUCCACAAAAGAACAUGUGAUCUUCUUUGAAGUAGUCUUGAACCUAAGCAAUAAUGAUGGGCGAAUAAACUAACAGAAUCUACCACUAAAUCUACUAAUUAACUAACAGAAUCUACCACUAAANNNNNNNNNNNNNNNNNNNNNNNNNNNNNNNNNNNNNNNNNNNNNNNNNNNNNNNNNNNUUUUUUUUUCAAGCAGAAGACGGCAUACGAGAUGAGUCGUUGCGGUCUGCCUUGCCAGCCCGCUCAGAGAUGUGUAUAAGAGACAGCGGCACCAGUGGUGCCGGAGGGUUGUGGGGAACCGGGGGCGCCGGGGGUGGCCGGGCGACGGUGGCGGCGUUGGGUGUCGGGGGAGGAGAGAGAGAGAGUGGCCGUUUGAGAGAGAGAGAGGGCCGGGGUGGGGGCGGGACGGCCGUUUGAGUAGAUUCAGGACCUUUGUCGUCUGCUGGCGGACGGCAAAGGGGUCUAUACUCUUUGACGUCUGCCUCUGGCAUCUUUGCCGUCCGCCAGCAGACGACAAAGAAGGGCGUUGGUUGACCUAAGGUUCCCCGGGCCGAAUGAGCUUCUUUGCCGUCUCCUGUCCCCUUCUUUGUCGUUUGCGGCAGACAACAAAGGAUUGACUGUUGGCAAAGACCUUCUUUGCCAUCAUCCAGUUCUUUGCCAUCUGCUUUCUGAGAGCUGACGGCAAAGACACUCUUUGCCAUCAGCUAGCUGACAGCAAAGAUUAGGCACACGGCAAAAAACUGAUUUCCAGUAAUGAACGUUACUUGGGGGCUAUAUUUUAUUCACCACAUGUUAUGUGUUUUGCUUGGAGCGUCUUGUAUCGUAGGAGUCUUUUAUUUUUGUUGUGCCACAAUCUUCCUUGUUGCACACCUAGAGAGAGAGAAAUGCACUCACCGUGAUUUUGUCGAGCUUCACUUAUAUCCUUUGGUUAGACAAUUCAGCUCACAUGUGUUUCACUUAUAUCCUUUGGUUAGACAAUUCAGCUCACAUGUGUUUCACUUAUAUCUUUUGAGCUAAUUUAUUUUGCUCUAUGUGUUUCACUUCUAUCAUUUAGAGCACGGAAGCGCGUGGCGUGGUAGUUGAUCUAUGCUAUGAAAGUAGUCUCAAAAGGGGUAUUUAUCCAAAGGGAUAUGAAAACUUCCACCUUCAUGUGCAUUGAGUAGUUAGAGAAGUUUGAUUCAUCUCAAUCAGUUUUGAGUUGUGGUUGUGGUAAUAUUAAAGUUAUAUUAGUAAGGUGUUGUGGAUCUAGACAUACUUGAGUUGAAGUUAGUGAUUCCCGUAGCAUCCACGUAUGGUGAACCUCUAUGUGAUGAAGUCUGAGCAUGAUUAGUAUAUUGAUUGUCAUCCUUUGUGUGGCGGUCGGGAUCGCGCGAUGGUUUAUACCUACCAACCCUUCCCCUAGGAGUAUGCGUUGAAUGCUUUGUUUCGAUUACUACUAAAUUUUUUGCAACAAGUAUAUGAGUUCUUCAUGACUAAUGUUGAGUCCAUGGUUUAGAUGCACUUUCACCUUCCACCAUCACUAUCUUCUUUAGUGCCGUGCAACUUUCGUCGGUGCAUAAAACCCACCAUUAGCCUCCCUCAAAACAACCACCAUACCUACCUACUAUGGCUUUUUCAAAGCCAUUCCGAGAUAUAUUGCCAUGCAACUACCACCAUGACAUGUGCCACCACUUCUACAUUUCCAUUGCAUGAUCAUAAGAUAGCUAGCAUGAUGUUUCCAUUGAUGUCUAUGAUGUUUCCAUUGAUGUCUAUGCCAUGCUAGAUCAUUGUCACGGUACACUACCGAAUGCAUUCCAUAUAGAGUCAUCAUUGCUCUAAGUUUUGAGUUGUAAGUGUGAUGAUCAUCAUUGAUGGAGCAUUGUCCCCUGUGAGGACAUAAAAGAGGCCAAAGAUGCCCACCAAAAAAAAGAGGCCAAAGAGCCCACCAAAAAAAUGAGAGAAAAAGAGAGAAUGGACAAUGCUACUAUCUUUCCACACUUGUGCUUAUUAAGCACCAUGAUUUUCAUGAUUGAGAGUCUCUCGUUUUGUCACCACCGUAUAGCUAGUGGGAAAUUUUUAUUAUAUAACUUGGCUUGUAUAUUCCAAUGAUAGGCUUCCUCAAAAUUGCCUUAGGUCUUCGUGAGCAAGCAAGUUGGAUGAACACCCGCUAGUUUUCUUUAAGAGCUUUAACAUACUCUUAGCUCUAGUGCAUCAUUUGUAUGGCAAUCCCUACACAUUCACAUUGAUAUCUACCGAUGAGCAUUUCCAUAGCUCAUUCAUAUGCCUAGUCAAUGUGAACAUCUUCUCCUUGUUUGCCUUGCAACCUCCACCACACUCCACUCCACUUAUAGUGCUAAAACCAAGGCUCACGGUCAUGUAUUGCGUGAGAGUUGAAAAAGUUUGAGAAAGUAAAGGUGUGAAAACAAUUACUUGGCCAAUACCGAGGUUGUGCAUGAUUUAAAUUCGUUGUGCAAGGAUGAUAAAGCAUAGCCAGACUAUAUGAUUUUGUAGGGAUAACUUUCUUUUGGCCUUGUUAUUUCGAAAGUUCAUGAUUACCUUGCUAGUUUGCUUGAAGUAUUAUUGUCUCCACGUCAAUAGCAAACUAUUAUUUUGAAUAUAAUGGAUCUGAACAUUCACGUCACAUAAGAGGAGUUACAAAGGACAUCUAUGCUAGGUAGCAUGAAAGCAUCAAAAAUUCAUUCUUUAUCACACUUCCCUACUCGAAGACGAGCAGGAGUUAAGCUUGGGGAUGUUUGAUACGUCUCAAACGUAUCUAUAAUUUUUGAUGGUUUCAUGCUGUUAUCUUGUCAACUUUGGAUGUUUUAUAUACCUUUUAUAUCUUUUUUGGGACUAACUUAUUAAUUCAGUGCCAAGUGCCAGUUCCUGUUUUUUUGUGUGUUUUUGACUCUUUUCAGAUAUGAUUUUGGAACGGAGUCCAAACGGAAUAAAAUCCCCGAAAUAAUUUUUCCAGAACAAAAGAAGAUCGGGGGACUUUAGGGCCAAGGCAGGAGGCCCACAAGCCCUGACGCCGCGGCCAGGGGGGCCCGCGGCGACUAGGCUUGUGGCCUCCCUGGCUCUCCCCUGCCCUAUCUCUUUCGCCUAUAUAUUCCCUAAAAUCCCAGAAAAAAUCAGGGCAUCCACGAAAACACUUUUCUGCCGCCGCAAGCUUCCGUUUCCGCGAGAUCCCAUCUGGAGACCCUUCCCGGUGCCCUGCCGGAGGGGAGUUUGGAGUUGGAGGGUUUCUACAUCAAGAUCAUCGCCUCUCUAAUGACUCGUGAGUAGUCCACUUCAGACCUACGGGUCCAUAGUUAGUAGCUAGAUGGCUUCUUCUCUCUCUUGGAUCUUCAAUACAAUGUUCUCCAUGAUCUUCAUGGAGAUCUAUCCGAUGUAAUCCUCUUUGGCGGUGUGUUUGUCGAGAUCCGAUGAAUUGUGGAUUUGUGAUUAGAUUAUCUAUGAAUUAUAUUUGAGUCUUUCCUGAUUUCUUAUAUGCAUGAUUUGAUAUCCUUGUAAGUCUUUCCGAGUCUUGGGUUUUGUUUGGCCAACUAGAUAUAUGAUUCUUGCAAUGGGAGAAGUGCUUGGUUUUGGGUUCAUACCGUGCGGUGACCUUUCCCAGUGACAAAAGGGGCAGCAAGGCACACAUCAUGUUGUUUCCAUCAAGGGUAACAAGAUGGGCUUUCAUCAUAGAUUUGAGAUUGUUCAUAUACAUCAUGUCAUCUUGCUUAAGGCGUUACUCUGUUCUUAUGAACUCAAUACACUAGAUGCAUGCUGGAUAGCGGUCGACGUGUGGAGUAAUAGUAGUAUGCAUAAAGUAUCGGUCUACUUGUUUUGGACAUGAUGCCUAUAGAUAUGAUCAUUGCCAUAGAUAACGUCAUGACUUUGCGCGGUUCUAUAAAUUGCUCGACAGUAAUUCGUUCACCCACCGUCUACUUGCUUUCAUGAGAGAAGCCACUAGUGAACACUACAGCCCCCGGGUCUAUUCACAACUAUCGUUUCCACUUUUACUUUUACUUUGGUUUGUUUACUUUUUGCUUUCAGUUCUCACUUUGCAAACAAUCUAUAAGGGAUUGACAACCCCUUCAUAGCAUUGGGUGCAAGCUCUUUGUGUUUGUGCAGGUACUUGUGACUUGACGCGAUCCUCCUACUGGAUUGAUACCUUGGUUCUGAAACUGAGGGAACUACUUACCGCCGCUGUGCUACAUCACCCUUUCCUCUUCAAGGGAACAACAACGCAAGGCUCCAAGGCCGCGGGGGAAUCCUUUGCAUAUUUGCCAAGGAAAUCCCUAGAGGCGUAGCCCGUAGUAGAAGGAUUCCUGGCGCCGUUGCCAGGGAAGGUCUAUUGUUGCCGUAGGAGAAGUAUUUCUGGCGCCGUUGCCGGGGAGGAUCGCUUGCCGAGGAGUAUCAAGACAAGAAUAAUCUCCCGUCAACACGCCUAUUUCUGGCGCCGUUGCCGGGGAGAGAUCAAGUCAAGAUCUAUCCAAGUAGGUGUCACAAACUCAUCUCUUGCAUUUACCUUUUUGCCAGUUGCCUCUCGUUUUCCUCUCCCCCACUUCACAUUUGCCGUUUUCAUUCGCCUUUUUCGUUUUCCUUUUUUUGUUUGCCUUUUUGGUUCGCCCUUUUCUCUCGCUUGCUUUCUGUUCGCUUGUGUGCCAUGUGCCUUCAAUAUGUUUGCAUCUUCGCUUGCUGAAAAUCUAGUGAUAUGGAUCCUCAUCCACUUGCUAAUCUCUUUAAGAGAUCCAAUUAUGUUGAUCCAAUUGCUAGUGAGUUGAGUGCACUUGAGUAUCUUUAUGGAGUUUUGCUUGAGAUGCGUGAAUCUGAAAAUUGUGAGGAAGAAAUUUAUGAAGUGAUUGACGAGGGCUCCUUGGAUGAAAAGCAUGAUUGGAAUGGUUUCACUAUAAAUUCUAUUAGUGACAAUCAUGCUAAGAAUAUGCAAAACCCUAAGCUUGCAGAUGCUAGUUUAGCUAUGUCCCCUACUUGUUGCAAUGAUCAUGAGUGGGGCGGUGAUUUUUCUUAUGAUCUUGAAAAUUUGUUUAAGCCUCAUGAUGAAUAUGAUAUUUGCAAUAUUAUUGAAAGUGGGUUUGGAGAAAUCAUGACAUUGGUUGAUGAUAAUCCCACUAUUUUUUAAGAGCGUGAACUUUGCAUGCAUGUGGGUCAUGAAAAGAAUAUCCUAUGUGAUAGUUACAUUGUUUAAUUCGAAUAUGAUCCCACAUGUAAUUACUAUGAGAGAGGAAAAUAUUGUGGUAGAAACUUUCAUGUUACCAAAUUACCUCUUGUUAUGUGGAGAUUGCUAUUGUCUCUUUCUUCUUCCUUGCAUAUGGUAACUAUUGGUUGUCUUGACAAUCUGUUUUCCUAUAAAAUGCCUAUGCAUAGGAAGUAUGUUAGACUUAGAUGUGAUUUUCCCAUGCUUUAUGAUGCUCUCGUUGUGCUUCAAUUCUUGUCUUUUGUGUGAGCAUCAUUGAAUUAUCAAUGCCUAGCUAAGGGCGUUAAGCAAUAGCUCUUGUUGGGAGGCAACCCAAUGAAUUUAUCUUUUUCUUUCUGUUUUGUGUUUCCCACACUUUCAUAAUUCUGUUAUGAUUGUGUUUUUUUUGUUUCUUUUUGCGUUUGUGCCAAGCAAAACCGUUAUGAUUAGUCUUGGGGAUGAUCGUUUGGCCAUGCUGGAAAAGACAGAAACUUUCUGCUCACGAAAAGAAUUUUCAUUUUUUGUCUGUAAGAGAUUUUGAGUUGAUUCUUUUUGCUGCUGAUUGCUACAGAAGUUCUUCAGACUGUCUUAAGUUUUCAGAAUUUUUGAAGUAACAGAGUUAUACGGAAUAUACAGAUUGCUACAGACUGGUCUGCUGUUAACAGAUUCUGUUUUUGUUGUGUUGGUUGCUUAUUUUGAUGAAACUAUGGAUAGUAUCGGGGGGUAUUAGCCAUGGAAGAUUGAAAAUACAGUAACCCAACAUCAACAUAACUAGAAUUUAAUUUUCCUAUAGUACCUAAGGAAGUGGUGGUUUGCUUUCUUAUACUAAUGAUAUCACGAGUUUCUGUUUAAGAUUCGUGUUGUGAAGUUUUCAAGUUUUGUGUGAAGUUCUUAUGGACAAAGAGAUAAAGAGUGGCAAGAGCUCAAGGUUGGCGAUGCCCAAGGCACCCCAAGUGGAUUCAAGGAUGCCAAAAAAGCCUAAGCUUGGGGAUGCCCCGGGAAGGCAUCCCCUCUUUCGUCUUCAAUCCAUCGGUAAUGUUACUUGGGGCUAUAUUUUUAUUCACCACAUGUUAUGUGUUUUGGUUGGAGCGUCUUGUACCGUAGGAGUCUUUUAUUUAUUUUGUUCCACAAUAUUCCUUGCUGCACACUUAGAGAGAGAGACAUGCGCUCACUGUGAUUUUGUCGAGCUUCACUUAUAUCCUUUGGUUAGACAAUUCAGCUCACAUGUGUUUCACUUAUAUCUUUUGAGCUUGUUGAUUUUUCUCUAUGUGUUUCACUUCUAUCUUUUAGAGCACGGAACCGCUUGGCGUGGUAGUUGAUCUAUGCUAUGAAAGUAGUCUCAAAAGGGGUAGUUAUACAAAGGAAUAUGAAAACUUCCACCUUCAUGUGCAUUGAGUAGUUAGAGAAGUUUGAUUCAUCUCAAUCAGUUUUGAGUUGUGGUUGUGGUAAUAUUAAAGUUAUAUUAGUAAGGUGUAGUGGAUCUAGAAAUACUUGUGUUGAAGUUAGUGAUUCCGGUAGCAUGCACGUAUGGUGAACCGCUAUGUGAUGAAGUCUGAGCAUGAUUAGUAUAUUGAUUGUCAUCCUUUGUGUGGUGGUCGGGAUCACGCGAUGGUUUAUACCUACCAACCCUUCCCCUAGGAGUAUGCGUUGAAUGCUUUGUUUCGAUUACUAGUAGAACUUUUGCAACAAGUAUAUGAGUUCUUCAUGACUAAUGUUGCGUCCAUGGUCUAGAUGCACUUUCAGCUUCCGCCAUCACUAUCUUCUUUAGUGCCGUGCAACUUUCGCCUGUGCAUAAAACCCACCAUUAGCCUCCCUCAAAACAACCACCAUACCUACCUACUAUGGUUUUUUCAAAGCCAUUCCGAGAUAUAUUGCCAUGAAACUACCACCAUGACAUGUGCCACCACUUCUACAUUGCCAUUGCAUGAUCAUAAGAUAGCUAGCAUGAUGUUUCCAUUGAUGUCUAUGCCAUGCUAGAUCAUUGUCACGGUACACUACCGAAGUCAUUCCAUAUAGAGUCAUCAUUGCUCUAAGUUUUGAGUUGUAAGUGUGAUGAUCAUCAUUGAUGGAUCAUUGUCCCAUGUGAGGAAAUAAAAGAGGCCAAAGAUGCCCACCAAAAAAAAGAGGCCAAAGAGCCCACCAAAAAAAUGAGAGAAAAAGAGAGAAGGGACAAUGCUACUAUCUUUCCACAAUUGUGAUUAUUAAGUACCAUGAUUUUCAUGAUUGAGAGUCUCUCGUUUUGUCACCACCAUAAAGCUAGUGGGAAAUUUUUAUUAUAUAACUUGGCUUGCAUAUUCAAAUGAUAGGCUUCCUCAAAAUUGCCUUAGGUCUUCGUGAGCAAGAAAGUUGGAUGAAGAUGGGGAGGAACCACCUCCUCCUAAUGGCAACCCACACCCUCAGUUUGGCCCUGAGCUCACUGGUGAGCAAUUGUACCAACAGCAAGUGCAUAACUGGCUAGUUCAAAAUGCAGCUCAACCUUAGGGGGCUCCUCCUGCUCAUGAAGCCCCAUAGCAACAGGAUCAGCACAAUGGAUGGGGAGUGUGGCCAGCCUCACCACCAUAGGCACCACAAUUACCUCCUUAUGUCUACAACUUUCAAGCUUGGCUUGCUGCCCAGGGACUACAAGUGCAAGAUGGCCUGCUUCCUGAAGAUAACAUCUCAGAUAGUGCUUCCCAAGCUUGGAAUGAUGCUAUAUCCAACUCCAACAACUCUGCUAGCACCAACCUAUCUGCUGGAUCUCUGAAUCCCCUGGUGAUACACUCUCAAACACAUCAGCUGCAACACUCUGAGGGUCUUUUGAGAAUCUCCCUGGAAGUUCACAAUAGUGGAAUUCGCUUUGGCUUAUCUGAACAUGGAGAAUCAGUGCUCACCCUGCUACUAACUGAUCCAGCUCCAAGACAGCAGCUAAAUGACUUCAUCUUUAGAGCCAUCAAACCUCUAAUGGCUUAUAGAGGCCCUUGGAAUGCUGAUUAUGGUUUCAAGCAUGAAUGCAUGCAGGUGGAAGUUGCAGUUGCUCUGCGUGAUGAUGGCAUAAUAUUUAGCAACACCUAUCCUACUCUCCCCAUGAGCACUACAUCAUCUACUGUUAUCAUAGAAGCACUAUCCCCUGAGCAGGCACUGGCUCCAACUAUUGAUCCUACGGAUCCAUUGGAAAUAGAAUGCAGCAUGGAUCAGGAACUACAAGUCAGCAAGAUUCCUCUGAAGCAGAAAGGCAAAAUGAAACUGCAAGUAGAUACUUCCAACCUUCGCCGCAGCCUGAGAUCAAACAAGUAUGAUGGUUUCAAGAUCCCAUCCAUGGCAGAGGGCAAGAUCACUAAAUCCAAAGUUAAGCCCAGGAUGAUUCCCAAUAUUGCUCUUCAGGAAGUUGAUCGUGCUCUGACACUUGAGGUUCCCCCUCCUACUGCCAUCAACACCAUGCAAGCCAUUGGGACGCAGCUGUGUGCCAUACCUGAAACAGAGCUUGCAGACUCGGAGCUUCUUCGAGAAGAUCCAGGCCCGACAGAUGGCCAAGUUUGAUAUUGUGCCUGACCCACCUCCUCUUUGAAUCUCUAUGGUACUUUUGCGUAGUUGGAACGUCUUAUGUUGGAAUAUUCGUGGACUUAAUUCGCCCAAAAAACAUCUAGCUCUAUCGAAUGCUAUUCGUGACAGCAGUUGCUCCAUCAUUUGCUUACAAGAAUCGAAAAUGACCUCAUUUGAUGAACAUGCUUUACGUACAUUGUGUCCUAAACGAUUUGACAAAUUUGCAUAUAUUCCCUCCCGAGGGGCUUCUGGUGGGAUAGUCACGAUUUGGAACAGCUCUAUAUUUAUAGGAACUACAUUUGUAGAAGAGGAUUUCGUGUUAGGGGUCCAGUUCUCAUCAACACAAACUUUGCAUACCUGGAAGCUAUUGAACAUAUAUGGCCCCUGCCAAGGGGAUCAAAGGGUUUGUUUCACAUCUUGGCUCUUUGAUCUUGACAUUGUGGCAACUGAGGAUUGGUUGAUCCUAGGGGAUUUCAACUUCAUUAGGGCACCAACGAACUGCAAUCUACCCGGAGGUAACAUUCAAGACAUGUUUACGUUUAAUGAAUUCAUCAGUGAGCAGAUGUUAACGGAGAUCCCAAUCAAAGGCCGACCAUAUACAUGGUCGAACAUGCAGCUAAACCCUUUGCUCGAACAACUCNNNNNNNNNNNNNNNNNNNNNNNNNNNNNNNNNNNNNNNNNNNNNNNNNNNNNNNNNNNNNNNNNNNNNNNNNNNNNNNNNNNNNNNNNNNNNNNNNNNNGUUGGUCUUUAUUCACUUUUCUCUUGAACUUCAAAAAUUUCAGCAAAAAUAAAUUAUGUUCAGGAGGAAGUUUCAUGGUGGUUCCUCAAGUAAGAAGGGUCCCCGUCUUUCUAUUCGGGAGCCCGAUCCUUAUCAACUAAGAUAAGCACCGGUACAACCAUGUGAAUGGCCUUCCGAUGAGUUCAUGAUCGAAGCAGGCUUCAAGGAUGAGUUUGAUACACUUGUCUGCAAUGUCGGGUUAGAAGAAUUCCUCUCAAAUAAAUGUGAACAGUAUGCUUUGCUCACUGCCUCUUUCGUGUGUAGAUUUAAAUUUUUAGUUGGGCGUGACUCAUCCAUACCGUUUGACCUGUAUGAUAAAUCCUACGCCAUGGAUUUGGAGGAUUUCAAUAGGAUUUGCAAGAUACCCGAUGGGGGAAAUCUUAAAGAUCCUGCUAAGUCUUCGGUUAGAGAUUUUGUCUCUAGUAUAACUGUUGGAGAAACUAGAGACAUCACGCAAGCUACCAUAGGAAGCAUUCAUUUCCCUGGCUUGCACUACUUUUCCCUCUUCAUAGGUAAUGCAUUAACGGCAAGGUUGAACAUUGUCACCUAUGCGCAUCCGACCUUAGUAUCCUUAAGAGCGCAGUGACGGGUGACAAAAGCUUCAACAUGGGAGCUAUUAUAGCAAGGAGGAUGAAUAAGAAUGCUAUUGAUGGGGAUUUCUUUGGCGGCAUCUAUGCCACUUGCAUAGCAAAUUUUCUUGGAGUACCCAUCCGCGCAGGAGAUCCCCCGCUCCAUACAGCUUUCCUUGACCACGUCGCUAUGACACGCUACCAGUUCCUUGAGAGGGAUGAUGAAUCCCUCCUAUACCGAUUGAUAUUUAACCGGCAACGUGUUUUCCAUAUUACCCUUCCUGCUCCUGCUUUGUUUGACUUUCAGGUAAAACGGAGAUACUACAUAACCAUAGGAGAGGCAUAGGAGUAUGAGAGGGAGGCGACGGCUGCUCGUCUCUGUGAGGCAACUAUUUAGGCAGUGGCUGCAGCGCUCCCGUAUAACCCCGAUUAUGAUUUUGGGUUUUGCCAGGACCGUCCUUGGGAGUAGACCAAGCGAGGCCAAAAGCCUAAGCUUGGGGGAGUACGUGUUUGCACCAACUUUACAUUCAAGCUUAUGCUUUCACUUUGUUAGUCAGUGUUUACACUUUGCCACUGUAUUAUCCAUGCUAGUUUAUUUUCGUUUUCUUGNNNNNNNNNNNNNNNNNNNNNNNNNNNNNNNNNNNNNNNNNNNNNNNNNNNNNNNNNNNNNNNNNNNNNNNNNNNNNNNNNNNNNNNNNNNNNNNNNNNNGACCGGAGUCUGCAAACGCAGAAGAAUUUUGAAUCGGCAAGAAAUUCAUCCGCUUUGUAUUACUUCGAUGACAUUUGUUCUUUACAUUGUCUCUGUCGGCGGUUAUGUGUAGAAGUGCUUCAGUAGAUCUCCAUUCCAUGCCCGCGGCUCGUCCGUCUCCCUGUCGAGGUUGUAGAGUCGAUACGCUCCAUUGUUCCGUACCUUAGAAAUGAUGAACGGUCCUUCAUAGGCGGGAGCCAACUUGUGUGGUCUCUGUUGAUCCACUCGGAGCACCAGGUCUCCUGCUUGGAACGUGCGGCUCCUGACGUGCCGCUCAUGAAAUCGCCGCAGAUCUUGUUGAUAAAUUGUUGAACGGAUCAAUGCCAUCUCGCGCUCCUCUUCCAAAAGGUCUACUCCGUCUUGCCUGGCUUGCUCUUCUUCGGCUUCGGAGAAGAGUUCGACUCGUGGAGAGUUGUGAAGCAAGUCACUUGGAAGGACUGCCUCUGCUCCAUAAACGAGGAAAAAUGGGGAUCGUCCUGUCGAUCUAUUCGGGGUUGUUCGGAGGCCCCACAGCACCGAAGGCAGCUCGGUGACCCAUGCGCCGGCGGCAUGCCCAACUUCCCGCAGGAGUCGAGGCUUCAACCCUUAAAGAAUGAGUCCAUUCGCCCGCUCCGCUUGUCCAUUUGUUUGGGGGUGCGCAAAGGAUGCAAAAUACACUCGGAUACCUUGGCCUACGCAAAAACCUUUGAACUCGUCCGAGUUAAAGUUUGGGCCAUUGUCGGUGAUUAUGCUGUGUGGAACCCCGUAUCUGGCAAUGAUGUCUCUGAUAAAUUUGAUGGCCGUAAGGGCAUCAAGCUUCUUGAUUGGCUUGGCUUCAAUCCACUUGGUAAACUUGUCGACUGCUACCAGCAGAUGGGUGAAUCCUCCUUGGCUUGUUCUGAAUGGUCCGACUGUAUCUAAUCCCCACACGGCCAAUGGCCAAGAAAGGGGAAUUGUCUUCAGCGCGGACGUUGGCUUGUGGGACUUGUUUGAAUAGAACUCACAACCUUCGCAAUGGUCGACUAUAUCUUUUGCCAUUUCAUUCGCCUGCAACCAGAAGAAACCAGCUCUGAAUGCUUUGGCAACGAUCGCCCUUGAGGAGGCAUGAUGACCACAGGUUCCUGAGUGAAUUUCUUCCAAAAUUAACCGACCCUCCUCAGGAGAGAUACACCCCUGAAGGACGCCUGAAACACUUUCUCUGUAUAACUGGUCAUCAAUGACGGUGAAGGACUUCGACCUGCGAAUGAUCUGCCUAGCUUGGACCUCAUCUUCCGGUAACUCUUGCCUCAGGAUGUACGCAAUGAGUGGCACAGUCCAUUCGGGAAUGACAGCUAGAAUCUCCAUGACCAGGUCAACCACAGCGGGAAACUCGACUUCGAUCUGAUCUAUUGAGCUCUUCGGUUGCACAAGUUCCUCUAUAAAAGGAUCUUCUUUUACCGAGGGGAGGUGUAAGUGCUCGAGGCAGACAUCACUCGGGACAGGUCUCCGUGUGGAUCCAAGUUUUGCCAAUUCAUCUGCUGCUUGGUUUUUCAGUCGGGGAACAUGGUGAAGUUCCAUACCUUCGAACUUCUUUUCGAGCUUUCUUAUUGUGUUGCAGUAUGCAGUCAUGGUGGGGUUCCUUACAUCCCACUCCUUCAUUACUUGAUUAACCACUAGAUCUGAGUCGCCAUAGACCAUCAGGCGACGGACGCCGAGUGUGAUGGCCAUGCACAACCCGUAAAGGAGAGCUUCGUACUCUGCUUCGUUGUUGGAAAAAUCAAAAUGGAUCUGCAACACAUACUUGAGUUUAUCACCUUUCAGGGAUAUGAGCAGUACGCCGGCGCUGGAGCCAUUCAACAUCUUGGACCCAUCGAAGAACAUGGUCCAAUGAGCCGAGUAGAUGUGAGUCGGUUGCUGUUGCUCUACCCAUUCUGCCAUGAAGUCGGCAAGAGCUUAAGACUUUAUAGCUUUCUUGGCUUCGAACUUGAUGUCGCAGUAUAGCAUAUCCAUUGCUCACUUUGCCACUCGGCCUGAUGCGUCCCGAUUGUGGAGAAUUUCCGACAACGGAGCAUCAGAUAUGACAGAUACCGAGUGGUCUUGGAAAUAAUGAGCCACGUGCUUUGCAGUCAUGUAGAUCCCAUAAAUAAGCUUCUGAUAAUGGGGACACCUCUGCUUGGAAGGAGUCAGGACUUCAGAAACAUAAUAUACUGGCCGCUGAACCUUGUACGCUUUGCCUUCUUCUUCGCGUUCGACUGUCAGAAUAGUGUUGACGACUUCGUUUGUAGCCGCGAUGUACAAAAGAAGGGGUUCUUUACUGAGUGGGGCAGUAAGAACCGGCUGGGUGGAAAGCAGGGCUUUGAGGUCGUCGAAUGUGGUUUGGGCUUCGUUUGUCCACUCGAAGGUAUCCGACUUCUUCAUGAGUCGGUACAGAGGUAACGCCUUCUCGCCGAGUCGAGCGAUAAACCUGCUCAAAGCCGCUAGAAAACCUAUGAGCUUUUGUACGUCAUGUACUCUUACCGACCGCUCCAUUCGAACAAUGGUCCCGAUGUUUUCGGGGUUGACAUCGAUCCCUCGUUCGGAAACAAAGAAACCGAGUAACUUCCCGCUGGGAACGCCAAAUGAACACUUGGCUGGGUUUAGCUUGAUAUUGUACCUACGUAGGUUGGCGAAUGUUUCUGCCAAGUCAGUCAGUAGGUCGGAACCUUUGCGUGACUUGACUACGAUAUCGUCCAUAUAUGCCUCCACAUUUCGACCAAUCUGGUCUAGGAGGCAUUUUUGGAUCAUUCGCAUAAAAGUUGCUCUUGCAUUUUUCAAACCGAAUGGCAUAUUGAUGUAACAGAAGCACCCGAAUGGGGUGAUGAAAGAUGUUUUUAAUUCAUCCGGACCAUAUAGACGGAUCUGAUGGUAGCCCGAAUAGGCUUCAAGGAAGGAUAAGCGCUCGCAACCCGCAGUCGAAUCAACGAUUUGAUCUAUGCGGGGGAGCGGGAAGUGGUCUUUCGGACAGACCUUAUUAAGGUCCUUGAAAUCGAUGCACAUACGAAGAGACUUGUCCUUCUUGGGCACCAUGACAACAUUAGCGAGCCACUCGGAGUGGUGUACCUUGCGAAUGAAGUUGGCUGCCAGAAGUUUAGCUACCUCCUCUCCGAUUGCUUUUCUCUUGUGCGCGGCAGACCGACACAGUCGUUCUCGGACGGGCCGAGCGGCAGGAUCCACAUGCAGUCGGUGCUCAGCCAACUCCCUGGGUACACCUGGCAUGUCAGCAGGCUUCCAUGCAAAAAUGUCCCAGUUCUCAUGAAGGAAUUGGAUGAGCUCGGUUUCCUAUUUUGGAUCAAGGGUGGUGGAGAUGUUUGUUGGGGCGGUGGUGGCAUCCGUCGGGUGGACUCUUACUUUUUUCGUGUCUCCCGCCGACUGGAAUGCGGACUCGGAAGCUGGCUUCUUUGAACGCAUCAGGUCGGCAGGGUCGGCAAUCUUCUUGUACUCAUCCAACUCGAGUACAGCCAUCUGAUGGUCUGCAAUUCUCAACCCCUGCUGCAGACACUCCUCGGCUCGUUGCCGAUUGCGUGUGACAGUAAUCACGCCUUUGGGACCAGGCAUCUUCAGCUUCAAAUAUACGUAACAUGGACGGGCCAUGAAACGUACAUAUGCCGGACGGCCCAGAAUGGCAUGGUAUGCACUCUGGAAGUCUACCACCUCGAAUGUUAACUUCUAUUUGCGGAAGUUCUUGUCAGAGCCGAAGACGACGUCCAACGCAAUCUGGCUGAGAGAUUUUGCCUUUCUUCCUAGGACGACUCCAUGGAAUUGCAUACUGCUUUCGCUAAGUCUGGACAUCACAAUGCCCAUUCCCUUGAGAGUAUCGGUGUACAUGAUAUUCAAGCCGCUGCCGCCGUCCAUGAGGACUUUGCGCAGCCUAACUCCUUCCACCACCGGGUCGACGACCAGAGCUUGCCUCCAUGGGGUGGGUACGUGUGCUGGGUGGUCUGCCUGAUCAAAAGUGAUUGCAGUCUGUGACCACUUGAGGAACGUGGGAGUGGAUGGGGUUGCCAUGUUUACCUCCCUGCUGACCAGCUUCAGUCGACUUUUGCUUUCUACAUCAGCAAAAAUCAUUAAUUUUGCAUGGACUUGAGGGAACGGAUCCUCCUUGUCCUCAUCAUCUUUCUCGGUGUCUUUCUCACUCGGCUGUCCUUCACCGAAUCCUUGGAUCAGGAGGCGACACUACCGAGUGGUAUGUUUCGGCAAUAUGACAUUGCCUUCUUCAUCCAUCUUCGUGUGGAUUGGACACGGCUGAUCUAGGAUGGAAUUUCCUGACUGUUUCUUCUUGGGGGUGUACUGUGGUUUCCCCUUGCCUUUGAACUUAGCGUUUGUAACGACUGCCGCCUCUGCUUGCGGAGUGGAUUGGGCUUUCUAUUUCUGCUUCCGACUGCUGCUCCCAUCUCCGUCGGCGACUGACUUAUGCUUGCCGCUACGUAUGCGGUCCUCCUCUUCGCCAUUUGCAUAGCACGCAGCUAUCUCCAUCAUCUUGCUCAUGGAGAUGUCGCCUGUCCGACCAAACUUCAGGUAUAGAUCUUUGUACCGAACGCCUGCCUUGAAGGCGCAGACUGCUUGGUGUUCUGUAACAUUCUCCACCGUGUGGUAGAGGGUUGUCCAGCGUUGGGUAAAAUCGCGCAGGGGCUCGUUUUGCUUCUGGACACAGUGCUGAAGCUUUGUGAGACCAGCGGGGCAUUUGCACGUACCCUUGAAGGUCCUGAUGAAGACUCGGGACAGAUCUGCCCAACUCGAAAUGGUUGAUGGAGCUAACUGGUUUAGCCAAGCUCGAGCCGAACCGUCGAGCAUCAAUGGGAGAUGUUUCAGGGCGACAUGGUCAUCUCCGCCACCGAUGUGGACCACCACUCUGUAGUCGUCUAACCAAGUUUCUGGUUUGGACUCUCCUGUGAAUUUGCUGAAUCCCGUCGCCAAUCGGAAGUUGGGAGGGAUGUCAGCCGAGCGAAUGGCCCGACUGAAACACUCGGGACCAGAAACAACGGUCCUGCUUCCACUCGGAUGAUCUCUAUCGUGACCACCACGGUGGGCUCGGCUUCUAUCAACCUUCUUUUGAGUGAUAUACCCUCUUGCAUCAGGCCUUUGAUCAUGCGCGUCACCGCCCGAACGACAAUCAUCGUAAUGCGGGGGUCCGUAAGGCCCACUCCGCCGAGGAGUACGCGAACGGCGAUGAUCUUCGGGAUGAGACCGAAUGGAAGGUGGAUUCCGACUCUGGUCCCUGGAAUGAUCGUUCCAGAGGCUGCCCCCUCUGCGACGCUGGUGAGAGCUGGGACUGAAAACCGACCGAUGUGUGUUCGCUUGAACGGAACUGUUGUGGAUCUUGUUGUGCGACUGGGAGACCGCCGAGUUUUGCUGCUGCACCGUAUGUAACAAGGCACGGAUCUGCUCAAUUCCUCUACCAGCCUCUGAAUCAGUCGGCUGGAGAGAAUCAGUGAUCUUGGCGGCUGCAGCCAAGUUGAGGAUGGGUGUGCGGAACACCUCGACGUGGCUCUGGCGAACGCGUCGACUGGAAGAACGAGGGUGCUGACGACGAGCGCCGGAUGAUUCUCCGAUCUCACGCUCGUUCCGACCAGUCCCGGGCGACUUUUGUGGGAAUCGGCCAUGAGCACUUCGGCCGUAGGCCCGUGACCCUGAUACUCGGAAGGUAGUUCAGUCGGAAAUGAGUCCAAGCACUGGGAUGACCGCGGGACCACAACCGAUUCAAGCACCACCACUUGAGAGGACAUGUUUUGUCGCGCUAGGGCGUGUCGCACCCAACGCUGGAGCCCCGAACGACCGGAUAGCUUGUUGCGGUGCGUGACGGGGGCGAAGAUCGAAACCGGGGUCGAUGGCUGGACAAGAAGAACACCGCAGGAACUGGCACGGAAGUGCGUAGCCCCGCGACUCGGAAGCGUCUUGACAUCGAGGGGCGCAUCCUGAUGCCAUGCCGAAUCAUCAGCGAUGAAGGAGAGCGCACCGAAGAGGAUCUCACGACCCAUGCACAGAUCUCCGCCGGAUGACAUGACGAAGAGAUGAAAUCACAAACUCGCCGGAAGUCGCUUAUACGCCAGCCCCACGGUGGGCACCAACUGUCGUGGGUAUAAGUCUGGCAGUAGAAGUACGGGGUAUGAAAGUAUAUGGGCAGAGCCUUAGCUACGGCGAGGAUAUAUGAGUUCAGGCCCCUCUACNNNNNNNNNNNNNNNNNNNNNNNNNNNNNNNNNNNNNNNNNNNNNNNNNNNNNNNNNNNNNNNNNNNNNNNNNNNNNNNNNNNNNNNNNNNNNNNNNNNNGCCUUUGGCGGCGAGCUCCCUCUCUCUCUCGAUCAAUUUUCUCCCCCGUCGCGUUUGUAGCGGCGCUUGGCAAAGCCUCGCUGAGGUUGUACCACCACCACCGUCACUAGUAGAAAACAGGGCAUUGAGCCAACCACAUUGGACCCGGAUUGGAUAUAAACCGGUUCUAAAGGGUCUAUCCGCUGGGCCCCCUCCCUGCAGCGAAUGGCCGCAAGGCCUUUAGGACCGGUUUGUAACACAAACCGGUCCUAAAGGGUUUUGGACCGUUUGCUGCAGGGCGGGGACCCAGUGGACAGACCCUUUAGAACCGGUUUGUAUCACAAACUGGUGCUAAAGUUUUUCUCAUUUUUGCAGCAACUGCGGGGCCCCGUUGUCAGACCCUUUAGCACCGGUUUUUAACACAAACCGGUCCUAAAGCCCUCCCCUAUAUUCCACUCCGAGCUCAGCUCCAUUUUUUCCAGCGCGAGCUCAACUCCAUUUUUGCUCUCUCCUUCCUCUUGGGAGCUCUAAUCCAUCCCCAUUUUUCUCCACCAUUUGUCAAGAUUGUUGGCACCCAUCGGUCCUACGGUUAACAUCAACAUUCCCUCUUCCGGCAUUGCAAGUUUUGCUCGUUUUCUUGCUCAUUUCAUUUUUGUUGUGCUAGCUAGGUGUUUGAUGAAAUGCCUAAGCUAGAGAGAGUUCAUCAUUUGUUAUGUAUACAUAUGCAAUUUGAGCUCAAAUUUAAUUAUGAUUUAUGGUUUUUUUUAGUGUCGCGCGCCUUGUCCCCUUCCUCACCGCCGUCGAUCGCCCCGUCACCGACACAACCUUGGUGAGCCUAGUGUUUUUAUUUACCAAAACAAAUUAUGAUUUGUAUGAUUUACAUAUUUACUUGUAUAUAAUUUUCUUAUUGUGUAAGAUUUUUUUUAUAUGUAUAGCGCCAUGGUUUUGAUAUCCGUCCCCGUUGGCCCUCGUCCAGUCUAUGAUUCGGAUGUGGUAUAUUAUCUUUUAUAACUACAUAUUUUCAUUUCCUGAUUAUAUGACAAUUAAUUACGCCGACCAACUUGACAUAGAUAUUUUUAUCUAGGAGGUAGUGGAACCGGAAAUGCCAAUCGACCCUAUUGUUGAGAAGUUACACUUAGUUGAACAAGAAAAUGUUGGCCUGAAAGAAAGAUUGAAAAAAACUGAAGAAAGGUUGGAAAAAACUGAAAGAGAGAAGAUGACCUUGGAAAAGGUUCUUGCCGGUGUCGUCGAUGGUCACAAGAGCGAGAUGGACGCAAUGCGCCUGAAGAUUAGAAAGAUUAGAAAAUAUGCAAUUAGUAAAGAGGCUUCGUAUCAUUAGGCCGUCGGGUCAAUUGUUACCUUUGUUGCGAUUUUGAUCGCAUUUGUUGUUGUUUUUAAAUGCAUUAGUUAGAGAGAGUUUUUAUGGUUGGUUUCAGUGUGUAUUUUUAUGAGAACUAUAUAUGUAUGGUCACUACGCUACUUUGGUUUUAACGUGUGAUGAACUUUUUGUAUUAAUUAAUUAAUUUAGUCAUGAUGAUUUAGCAUAAUGGUUUUUGAUAAAUUUAUAUAAUGCAGAUGAACCGGCAAUGGAUGUACAGUGAUCGACGUCGUCCCGAAUUCCUUAAUGGCAUGCAUAGUUUUCUCAAUGUGGCUGAGAAAAACAGGCAGAAUGGAUUUAUUUUUUGUCCAUGUAAAAAAUGCCAGAAUAAGAGGAAUUUCCCUAACUCAAGAACCAUACACACCCACCUGUUGCAAGAAGGCUUCAUGCCCAGUUAUUUUUGUUGGACCAAGCACGGAGAAAGAGGGGUUGUAAUGGAAGACAAUGAAGAAGAAGAGGAUAAUGAUAACUAUCCUAUGUUCGGUGAACACGGUGAUACUGAAAUGGGGGAAGACGAGCCUGAACUUGAGGACAUUGUUGAUGAGUCUGAUGAUGAUCUUCGUCAGGUCAUUCGUGAAGAACAGAUAAACUGCGGAAGUGAAAACGAGAGGUUGAAGUUGGAGCGCAUGUUAGAAGAUCACAAAAAAUUGUUGUACCCAAAUUGCGAAGAUGGCCAGAAAAAGUUGGGCACCACCCUGGAAUUGCUGCAAUGGAAGGCAGAGAAUGGAAUAUCUGACAAGGGAUUUGAAAAGCUGCUGAAAAUAAUGAAGAAGAUGCUUCCAAGAGAUAACGUGCUGCCCUGCAGUACGUACGAAGCAAAGAAGGUUGUCUGCCCUCUAGGAUUGGAAGUGCAUAAGAUACAUGCAUGCAUCAAUGACUGCAUCCUCUACCGCGGUCAAGACGAGAAUUUAAAUGCGUGCCCGGUAUGCGGUGCAUUUCGGUAUAAGGUCAGGCGAGAUGACCCUCGUGAUGUUGUGGGCGACGAUCGCCCCAGGAAGAGGGUUCCUGCCAAGGUGAUGUGGCAUGCUCCUAUAAUACCACGGUUGAAACGUUUGUUCCGAAACAAAGAGCAUGUCAAGUUGCUGCGAUGGCACAAAGAAGACCGUAAGGAAGAUGAUAUGCUGAGACAACCCGCUGAUGGGUCGCCGUGGAGAAACAUCGACGAUAAGUACGAGGACUUUGCACGUGACCCAAGAAACUUAAGGUUUGGUCUAAGUACAGAUGGCCUGAAUCCGUUUGGGGAGCAGAGUAGCAGUCAUAGCACCUGGCCCGUGACUCUAUGUAUCUAUAACCUUCCUCCUUGGUUAUGCAUGAAGCGUAAGUUCAUUAUGAUACCAGUGCUUAUCCCAGGCCCGUCGCAACCCGGCAACAACAUUGAUGUGUACCCGAGGCCACUGGUUGAUGAACUUUUAGAGUUGUGGGCUGACGAAGGUGUACGUGUGUGGGACGAGUACAAACAGGAGGAAUUUGACCUACGAGGGUUGUUGUUUGUAACCAUCAAUGAUUGGCCCGCUCUUAGUAACAUCUCAGGACAGUCAAACAAGGGAUACAGCGCAUGCACACACUGUUUAGGCGAGACUGAAAGUAUACAUAUAUGCAAGAAUGUGUACCCAGGGCAUCGUCNNNNNNNNNNNNNNNNNNNNNNNNNNNNNNNNNNNNNNNNNNNNNNNNNNNNNNNNNNNNNNNNNNNNNNNNNNNNNNNNNNNNNNNNNNNNNNNNNNNNAGCCGGCGAGGAGGCGAGGGCGGCGAGGAGGCGACGGCGUGGGGCGGCAAGGAGGCGGCGUGGGGCGGCGAGGAGGCGGCGAGGAGGUCGAGUCGGCGAGGAGAGAAGGCGAGGAGAGAGGCGGCGAGGAGAGAAGACGCGCGGGAAGGCGAGAAGAUGGCGGCACCGGAGAGGUCUAGGCUGUACAAGCCUUUAGCACCGGUUGGUGUUGACAACCGGUCCUAAAGACCCUUUAGCACCGGUUGUUAACACAAACCGGUACUAAAGGUCCAAAAAUUGGGCGCGCGAGCGAACCCACCUUUAGGACCGGUUGUUGUUAAAAACCGGUCCUAAAGGUUUUUUUUCUUUUUCUUUUUUCCUUUUUUCUGUUUCCUGUUUUCUUUUUCUUUUUGUUUCCUUUUUCUUUUUCCUGUUUCUUCUUUUAUUUUUAUUUUUUGUUUCCCUUUUCUGUUUUCUUUUUACAUUUAUUUAUAAAAUCAAAGUAAACUCAAAAAGCUUUUGUAAAAUCAAAUAUUUAUAAAAACAUAUUUAUAUUUUCUGAUAAUUUGUGUAAAAAUUCUCUAAAUGUCAUUUAAAAGAAUAAAAAAAUAAAAAAUAAGAUAUUUAUCAAACUAAUUUGAAAAUAUAAAGAUAUUUUUUUGUUUCCUUUUUCUUUUUCCUGUUUCUUCUUUUAUUUUUCUUUUUUGUUUCUUUUUUCUGUUUUNNNNNNNNNNNNNNNNNNNNNNNNNNNNNNNNNNNNNNNNNNNNNNNNNNNNNNNNNNNNNNNNNNNNNNNNNNNNNNNNNNNNNNNNNNNNNNNNNNNNAAACCCUUAAGGCCGUAAAACUUAGGGAAACUUUCGGGUAACGGGGGAAACUUUACGGUUACGGGUAACGGAACUUUGGAAACCCUACCGGGUUAAAUCCCUAAGUAACCCACGAACCUAGAAAUACGNUAGAAUGACUUCAAUGCUAGGAAGCAUGGUAAAGAAAGUAGAGCCAUGGGUUCAGAGACCUAUGUCAUUUCCUCCUAAGCCAUCCMAGAAAAAGGAUGAUGAGGAUUUUGAGCGCUUCGUUGAGAUGAUAAGACCCGUAUUUCUGCAGAUGCGGUUAACUGAUAUACUCGUCUCUGUAUGCCAAGUACAUGAAAGAUAUCGUGACUAAUAAACGGAAGUAUACCAGAUCUUGAGAUCUCCACCAUGCUUGCCAAUUACUACUUUUAAAGGUGGAACUCCUAAGAAACUUUGUGAUCCCGGAGUGCCCACUACACCUUGCUCCAAUUAAGGAACUACGUAAGACUGCCUUAUGUGACCUUGGAGCCGGUGUUAGUGUUAUGCCGCUCUUCUUUAUCUACUAGUACUUGGUAGGUUAGGUUAAGUUAAAGGUUUACGGUAACCUACCCCCGUAACCNNNNNNNNNNNNNNNNNNNNNNNNNNNNNNNNNNNNNNNNNNNNNNNNNNNNNNNNNNNNNNNNNNNNNNNNNNNNNNNNNNNNNNNNNNNNNNNNNNNNGAAGAAGAAGAAGAAGAAGAAAGAAAGAAAGAAAGAAGAAGAAGAAGAAGAAGAAAGAAAGAAAGUAAAGAAGAUAGAGAGAGAGAGAGAGACGAGAGAGAGAGAGAGAGAGAGAGUAGAGAGGAGGAGAGAAGAAGAAGAAGAAGAAGAAGAAGAGGAGGAGAAGAAAGAGGAAAAAAUGAAAAGAAGGAAGAAGAAGGAAGAAGAGAAGGAGAAGAGAAGAAGAAGAGAAGAAGCAUGAGAACGAGGAGGAGGAGAAGGAGCCCUCCUUCUUCUCCUUCUUCUCUCAUCCUUAUUCUUCUCCCUCCUUCUUCUCCUUCUUCUUCUGCUUCUUCUCACCUCCUUCUUCUCCUUCUUCUUCUCCUUAUUCUUCUCUUCUUCUCCUCCUCCUCCUCCUUCUAAUUCUCCUCCUCCUCCUUCUCCUUCUCAUCCUUCUCCUUCUUCUUCUCUUCUUGCUUCUUCUCUUUCUUCUUCUACGUAGCUUAUUUUCCCCAACAAAGACAUACUUAGCUAAUUAUCCUCCAAACUAACAUAAUUAGCUUAGUUAGGGUAAAAACAUCCUAAGAACCUUGGUUAGCUCACAACUUAGGUAAUUAUCCUCCAAAAAUGAUAUAAUAAGCUUAAAAUGGCAUAAAAACCUUGGUUAGCUCAUGAAUAUUAUAUUCUUACCUUGUUUUCCUCUAAAAUGACAUAAUUAGCCCAUAUAGCUCCAAAAAGACAUUAUUAUAUAAUUUAGCUCCAACAAAAGGAGAAGAGGAGAAGAAGAGAAGAAGAAGAGAAGAAGAGAAGAAGAAAAAAUAAGAAGAGAGAAAAAUAAAGAAAAGAAGAAUAAGUAGAAGAAGUGGAUAAAGAAAUAAUAGAAAUAGAAAUAAGAGGAAGAAGAAGAAGAAGAGGAGGAAGAAGAGGAGAAGAGGAGAAGAGGAGGAGGAGGAGGAGAAGAAUAAGAAGAAGAGGAGAAGAGGAGAAGAAAUAGGAAAAAUGAAAAGAAGGAAGAAGAAGAAGAAGAGAAGAAGAAGGAGAAGGAUCCUUCCUUCUUCUCCUUCUUCUCUCUUCCUUCUUGUUCUCCCUCCUUCUUCUCCUUCUUCUCUCCUCCUUGUUCUCCUUCUUAUUCUCCUUCUUCUUCUCUUCUUCUUCUCCUCCUCCUCCUUCUCAUUCUCCUCCUCCUCCUUCUCCUUCUCCUCCUUCUUCUUCUCUUCUUGCUUCUUCUCUUUCUUCUUCUGCGUAGCUUAUUUUCCCGAAUUAAGACAUACUUAGCUAAUUAUCCUCCAAAAUGACAUAAUUAGCUUAAUUAGGGUAAAAACAUCGUAAUAACCUUGGUUAGCUCAUAACUUAGCUAAUUAUCCUCCAAAAUGACAUAAUAAGCUCAAAAUGGCAUAAAAACAUUGGUUAGCUCAUGAAUAUUAUAUUAUUAGAUUGUUUUCCUCUAAAAUGACAUAAUUAGCCCAUAUAGCUCCAAAAAGAACAUAAUUAGAUAAUUUAGCUCCAAAAAGAGGAGAAGAGGAGAAGAAAUAGGAAAAAUAGAAAAGAAGGAAGAAGAAGAAGAAGAAGAAGACAAGAAGAAGGAGAAGGAGGAGGAGGAGAAGAAGGAGAAGGAGGAGAAGACCUUCUCCUCGUUCUCCUCCUUCUUCUUCUCCUUCUUCUUGAUUUCUUCUUCUUCUCCUCCUCCUCCUCUUUGUUCUCCUCCUCCUCCUCUUUCUUCUCCUCUUUCUUAUUCUCCUUACCUUAUUUUCCCCAACAAUGACAUAUAUAAUUAGCCCAUUUAGCUCCAAAAUGACAUAAUAAGCUCAAAAUGGCAUUAGAACCUUGGUUAGCUAAUGAAUAUUAUAUUCUUAGCUUGUUUUCCUCUAAAAUAUCAUAUGUUGUUCUUCUUCUGACUUUCUUAUUCACAUUUCUGCAGAUUGGAUGUACUACAUGCAUGGAAGCUGGCAUUCAUGGAGUGCCUUAUUAGUUCUAGUUUUAAUUUGAGUUGAUGAACAAUGUCGAACUAUAUGUAUAUGUAUCUAUGGAUGAACAGUGUAAAACUUUGUAUGUUGGUUCUUUCGAUAUAUGGGAUGUACAUUGGUGAACUUUGUAUGUAUAUCAUAUAUGUGUGGUGAACUAUAUAUAUGUGUUGUGAAAUAUAUAUCAUAUAUGUGUUGUGAAAUAUAUAUAUAUAUAUAUAUAUAUAUAUAUAUAUAUUAUAGUAAAUAAACUAAAACAAAACGAAARUAAAKWAACUAAUAGUACGGUACGUUCGUUUCGUUCUCGUCGUUCGNNNNNNNNNNNNNNNNNNNNNNNNNNNNNNNNNNNNNNNNNNNNNNNNNNNNNNNNNNNNNNNNNNNNNNNNNNNNNNNNNNNNNNNNNNNNNNNNNNNNACCUUUGGUGCCGGGUUGAUCUUGCAGAACGGCUUAAGACCUAUUUGGCCGCACUUGGCCAUGAGUUCGCCGGUCAAUUUCUUGAUGAUGGUUACAAUAUCAUUUUCUGUCAGUGCUGUGUGGAAGUAGCACUGGGAGUGAUCCAGGGUACCAUCAAAAUCACACAUUAAUCCGUCCCAGCGACUUAAGGGAAGGAUACGCCAUUCGACCCAGCAGCAGAUUAAGUCAACCCCAGUAAGGCCAUUGUUUGUCAGAGAUCUUAACUCGGACAGUACUGGGAUAAAAUCUGACUCCUCUUCUUCUUGGCAGUCUCAGGCUGCAUUUCGCUCAGCCCGUGUGACCUGUGAAGGUCCUCUUGCGCCUUGCCUGUUAGGCUGCCUACGCUGCCAUGAGCUCAUUAGUCUUGCUCUUCAGCUUGAGCUUCGAUAUCACACACUUGGCGCAUGCACUCAGACUUGAMMCACUCCAGCUAUCUCAUAGACUGUCUUUGUCUCGAAGGUCCAUCCCAGUUUUGCUCCUCCUGGUACCUCUAUCUUAGCCACCUCUAAGCGCCAUCCGCAAGGCCAAGGGUCUCUAAUCUCUACGGUCAGGGACUUCGACAUCUUCCAUUCUAUGUCACUGGUGGAUGAGGGCUCGUUUUCAAAACUUCAGUUCAAUGGACUGCCAAAGUCCACCGUAUUGGCAUUGCCUGCCUAUGCUCNUUCCGAAUUUCAUCACCUGCUAGGUCCUUGGACGUCCCUUNNNNNNNNNNNNNNNNNNNNNNNNNNNNNNNNNNNNNNNNNNNNNNNNNNNNNNNNNNNNNNNNNNNNNNNNNNNNNNNNNNNNNNNNNNNNNNNNNNNNGGCGGUGAGACGCCGGAGAGAGGGGGUGGUUGGGCAUCGGAGGAAGGGCUGAGUGGUGGUGGGCGCUGGAGGGUAGGGGCUUUGCCGCCGGCGACCUGAUCGGGAGGGUGGCCGGUGGUGCAUUGGAGGAGGGGGGUGGUGGUCGGGACGAGAGAGGAGUCGGGGGCCGAGAGUGGUGGUCGCGACGGGGGAGGAGUCUGGGUACGAGAGAGAAGAGAGGUGGUGAGAGGAUAAGGUCGGGUGGAGGUGAGUGGUGGGCCAGCCGAGUUGAGUGGAUGCGGUGGAUCCUGGGUGGGAGAGGCAGCGACGGUGGGAUGGGCCGCCACGUCAUCGAUCCAUGGGAUCGAUCCGCGUGGUGUGCUUUCUCUUUGCCGUCAUCCGGUUAUUUUUCAAGACGACAAAUUAAGUCGUUGCCGUCAUCCGGUUUUUUUACAGACGACAAAAUAUUUUUUCACCACGUCCGUGCGUGGUGGUGUAGGUGGGGGUUGGGUCGUCGGUCGUGUACGUCUACGUAGUCCUUUCCCAACGUCCAUUCNNNNNNNNNNNNNNNNNNNNNNNNNNNNNNNNNNNNNNNNNNNNNNNNNNNNNNNNNNNNNNNNNNNNNNNNNNNNNNNNNNNNNNNNNNNNNNNNNNNNACUUGGAGAUGAAGUCGCCAGCUUGGGUAGAACCCGGCCCAAACUAGGCGGGUUACCAACCAGAUAAUUAUCCCCCUAACGAUUUAGGCCCCCAGAUUGACUUGAAUUUUUUUUCACCGCCAAAUAUUUCUCACCCACGUUAGGGCGAUUCAUCUCAAUCCUUUUACGAACCAUGCACUUAAAACCGCCAUCUGUUGCGGAAAAAACUUCAAGUCGCCGAACCACUUCUUGUUGGCGCCUUCUUAGUCCCUUUAACCUCGGAAGAGAUGAUUGACGUAAUCUCCAACGGAUCCUUCGGUUAUUGCUAUCCCGAAAAUUUUGGGGCGCCAUCAUGGCGAAUCUUUAUCUUUUUUGGCAGUUACCCACUCGUGGCGCCCUCGAUCCCAGCGCCUGACCUUGCCAUGACAAAUGAAGAUGAUAUGUGUCACAAGUGCACACUUGAAGUUUGCCAUCAUGUUCUAACUUCUAUGCCGGUGGCUGUGGAGGAACAAGUGUGUCGUGACGAGGGUGGUGUUGGCUAAUUGAGGUAUGAACCNNNNNNNNNNNNNNNNNNNNNNNNNNNNNNNNNNNNNNNNNNNNNNNNNNNNNNNNNNNNNNNNNNNNNNNNNNNNNNNNNNNNNNNNNNNNNNNNNNNNAAAAAAGGACUCUUGUAAAACCCUAAGGGACUUUGACCCUGUAUAUGAAGGGCGAGUCCCAGGGGAAGGAGAGGGGGAGGUUAGAAAUCAUCGAGUGCUUAGGGUCAGGCGAGUUACGCCCCCCUUGUAAUCGAAAACACCAUCAAUACAAAACACCAAAMCAGGGACGUAGGCCUUUACCUCCUAACGAGGGGCCGAACCUGGGUAAAUCUCUGGCCUCGCUCCCCGCAUAMCCCCUUUUGAGUUGCCACCAAGAUGCGAUGGGCUCCAACACUAAGUACUUUCACGAGGACAUCUGCCGUGACAAAACAACGACACCUUCCACCAGCCCAGUCGCAUGGGCUUAGGUGGGGAGGGGCGCCCAGCCCACCAGGCGCUGGUAUGCACUCUUCUCAGCCCAUGUGGCCCCUCGGGGCAGGUCGGACCCUUUCAACACUCCUGGUACUCUGAGGUAAUGCCCGAACUUUCCGGUGACCAAAAAUGGAACUUCCUGUAUAUGAAUAUUUACCUCCUACCUAUUUUGAAGAUCCUAAAUCCCUUAAACUUAAGAGAAUAUGUACUCAUCAUCAGAGUGGUCUGAUCGCGCGAAGAAAACUUUACAUCCAUCUGAUAAGUGGGGANAUUACUGUCCAGUGUCUUAUGGUACAUAGCAAUGAUNNNNNNNNNNNNNNNNNNNNNNNNNNNNNNNNNNNNNNNNNNNNNNNNNNNNNNNNNNNNNNNNNNNNNNNNNNNNNNNNNNNNNNNNNNNNNNNNNNNNGAGAGAGAGAGAGAGANAGAGUAGAGGAGAGAGAGAGAGAGAGAGAGAGAGACGAGAGAGAGAGAGAGUAGAGAGAGAGAGAGAGAGAGAGAGAGAGAGAGAGAGAGAGACGACGACGACGUACGUCGUCUCUCUCUCUCUCUCUCUCUCUCUCUCUCUCUCUCUCUCUCUCUCUUCUUCUUCUUCUUCUUCUUCUUCUUCUCUCUCUCUCUUCUUCUUCUUCUUCUUCUCUCUCUCUCUCNCUCCUCCUCCUCUUCUCCUCUUCUUCCUCCGCUUCUUCUUCUUCUUCCUCUUAUUUCUAGUUCUAUUUUUCUUUAUCCUCUUCUUCUACUUAUUCUUCUUUUCUUCUUUUUUUCUCUUCUUCUCCUUAUUUUCUUCUUCUUAUCUUCUUCUCUUAUUCUUUUCUACUUCUCCUUCUUAUUUCUUUUCUUCGCCUCUUCUUCUUCUCCUUCUUAUUUUUUUUCUCUCCUCUUCUUCUUCUUCUUCUUCUUCUUCUUCUUCUCCUUCUUUAUUUUUUCUCUUCUUCUUCUUCUUCUUCUUCUACUUCUUCUCCUCCUCCUCCUYCUCNCNCCNCNCNCUACNCNCUCUCUCUCUCUCUCUACUCUCUCUCUCUCUCUCUCUCUCUCUCUCUACUNNNNNNNNNNNNNNNNNNNNNNNNNNNNNNNNNNNNNNNNNNNNNNNNNNNNNNNNNNNNNNNNNNNNNNNNNNNNNNNNNNNNNNNNNNNNNNNNNNNNGACUGGUUCUUUACGUCUCUGAAUUGGACUACCUCCUUUCCCAACACUUUGGUAUGUCCCUUGCCAUGGCCUGUAUCCGAUCAUAUUCCCUGUUCGGUCGAAAUAGAAACCAACAUUCCACGCAACAAAACGUUCCGCUUUGAAACAUACUAGAUUGCCCACCGAGGGUUUAUGGAGACAGUCUCGCUAGCAUGGAAUAAACCCGUCAAACAUGGUCAGAAUAGCAAUGCAACAACGAUAAUCUGUCAGAAACUUACAGCUGUUCGAUUUGCACUAUGAAGAUGGAGUAGCGGUAUCUCCCGCCUUAAGGUAGCAACCAUCAACACCAAUAAGGCGUUGCUGGAGUUAGACUCCCUCAAAGAUCGACGUACUCUCACCACGCCAGAAUGAAACUUCCGACGCGUCCUCAAAAAUCACCUUCUCAGGUUGCUAAAAUACCAGAAAGAAUACUGGGGCAAGAGAUGCUCCAUCAGAUGGAUCAAGUUUGGAGAUGAAAACACAAAGUUUUUUCAAACAGUGGCAACUGAACGGUAUCGACGCAACUUUGUGGCUACACUCAGAACUGAUGCAGGGAUCGUGGUUGAGACACAUGCCAGCAAGGAGGCUCUCCUGUUUGACACCUAUAGAAGAAGGAUGGGCGCGGCAAGAGCUCCCGAUAUACGGUUUGAUUGAACGCAACUACGGCGACAAGGCAUCGACUUUGAAGUUCUUACGAUCCCCUUUGCACAAGAGGAAAUAGACCCUGUAGUGAAAGAGAUGCCAGCUGACAAAUCUCCAGGGCCGGACGGUUUUAACGGCGCCUUUCUUAAAACUUGUUGGCAUAUCAUCAAGAAAGACUUCUAUGAUCUUUGUGACGAAUUCCACCGAGGUAAUCUCAACUUGGAACCUCUGAAUUAUGGGCACAUCACGCUCAUCCCCAAGACGGCUUCUCCUGAGACAGUGAACGACUAUCGUCCCAUUACCCUGCUUAACUGCUGCCUCAAGAUGAUCACCAAGAUACUGGCGCAGCGACUCCAGAAGAUCAUUCUACAGAUUGUGCAUUAAAACUAGUAUGGGUUCCUCCGUGGUAGAUCUAUACAUGACUGCUUGGCAUGGGCUUUCGAGUAUAUACACCAAUGUCAAAGCUCUCGAAAUGAUAUAGUCCUGCUUAAAUUAGACUUUGCUAAAGCUUUUGAUACGGUUGAACAUUCGGCUAUGAUCACCAUCAUGCAACGUAUGUGGUUUAAUUCAAAGUGGAUCCAAUGGAUGCAAUGCAUCUUCUCGUCUGGAAAAUCAUCGGUAUUACUGAAUUGAGUCCCUAGUAAACAAUUCCCCUGCAGAUGUGGAGUAAGACAGGGAGACCCUCUCUCACCAUUGAUAUUUGUGCUGGCGGCGGACAUACUCCAAACAAAGAUUAACAAACAACUAAAUUUGGGCUUGUUAUCCCACCCUAUCGACACAAGAGGCGAUGCUGACUUUCCAGUAAUCCAAUAUGCCGAUGACACCAUCAUCAUCAUGCACGCGUGUGAUGUCAAGGCUGCGAGAAUGAAAAGAAUACUAGAUGACUUCGCCACGACGAUAGGGCUCGGGAUUAACUAUCAGAAAUCAACCCUAGUUCCUAUCAAUGUGACUCAAUAGGUAUGUGACAACAUCAUCUCGAUCUUUCGUUGUGCGCAGGCAACAAUGUCGUUCACCUAUCUAGGGCUCCCGCUGGGUACAUCUAAACCUAAUUUCCUGGAUAUGACACCGUUAGUCUGUAAAGCGGAGAGGAAAAUCACAGCUGCCAUGGCGCUGAUGUCGCAUGCGAGCAUAUUGGCCUUGAUGAACUCACUGGUCACGUCGCUACUCGUGUACCCAAUGUGGACCCUCAGAAUCCCCCCAACGAUUGUAGAACAAUUUGAUAAACUCCGGAGGACGUGCCUAUGGAGAAAAAAGACUGAAGAUGGAUUCAAAAGUAAUACACUAGUGGCGUGGAACGCAGUUUGCCGCCUGAAAGAGUAUGGCGGCCUAGGGGUCCUGAACCUCAAACUACAGAAUGACGCGAUGCUUCUAAAGAUGCUUCACAAGUUCAACAACAGAAAAUAAAUCCCAUGGGUAGCAUUGAUCUGGAACACACACUACGGGGGAGCAAUCCCCCAUGCGCAAGAUCGUUGUGGCUCUUUCUGGUGGCGAGAACUGACUAAACUUAUGCCGGUGUUCCAAGGUAUAAAGCGAGUCAAUGUUAACAAUGGUCUCUCAACGCUCUUUUGGAAAGACAACUGGAACAAUGCCGUAUAUGCAGAAAAGUUCCCUCGGGCUUUCUCCUUUGCUAGAACUGAAGAUGCCUCGGUUCAGAACUUCUUGGGGACUAGCUCGCUUCAAGAAGCCUUCUCGCUGCCCCUGUCAGAACAAGCGCAUAAUGAACUCAGAAUGAUGCAACAAGAAAUCAGAGACGUGCAGCUAAACCCUAGGGGAGAUGACUGGGUGUGUUCUUGGGGAGCUGGCACCUUUGAAACGGUAGCAUAUCGACGUUUCUAUUUGAAAGAGACUACGGUGCACCCAGCGUUUCACUGGCUGUGGAAAACAAAGUGUGUCCCAAAGAUCAAGGUAUUUGGAUGGUUUUUGCUGAUGGACAGGCUCAACACAAGGAAUAUGCUCAAACAGAGACAUUACAACAUAGGGGAUACUCUCGAUUGCAUGCUAUGCGAUCGACACAUGGAGGAAACACUGGAACAUCUCUUCUUCAAAUGCAGCUUUAGCCAGCGCUGUUGGAAUAUGCUCAACAUCAAAUGGUCAGAACAACAACAUAGACUAGAGAAACUACAACAUCAGAGGACAACACACCCCAGGGACAUGUUCAUGGAUAUUUUUCUGGUGGCAGCCUGGAGUCUAUGGAAGGAAAGAAAUAACAAGUGCUUUGAGCAAAUAACCCCAUCUCUUGGGGCCAGCCGACGUCAGUUUGUACCAGACAUCUCCAAUCUUAGACACCGUGUGCCUACUAGCAAAGUGCAAAACAUAGAUAACAUUGUGGCAACCCUAGCUGAUAUCACGUAAUAUGUAACCUCACCCUGCCCACCUCCCCCCUCCCCCCCAUCCCCAUUCCACCCCCUCCCCAUCAUGUACAUGUGUAACUAUUGGCUUUAUAUAUACAUGCAGUAGGAUUUUAUCCUACUGUCUUACACUCAAAAGAAAGCAAGCAAGUUGGAUGCACACCCACUAGUUUUCUUUAAGAGCUUUCACAUAGUCUUAGCUCUAGUGCAUCAUUUGUAUGGCAAUCCCUACUCAUUCACAUUGAUAUCUAUUGAUGAGCAUUUCCAUAGCUCAUUGAUAUGCCUAGUCAAUGUGACCAUCUUCUCCUUGUUUGCCUUGCAACCUCCACCACACUCCACUCCACUUAUAGUGCUAAAACCAUGGCUCACGCUCAUGUAUUGCAUGAGAGUUGAAAAAGUUUGAGAAAGUAAAGGUGUGAAAACAAUUACUUGGCCAAUACCAAGGUUGUGCAUGAUUUAAAUUCGUUUUGCAAUGAUGAUAGAGCAUAGCCAGACUAUAUGAUUUUGUAGGGAUAACUUUCUUUUGUCCUUGUUAUUUUGAAACUUCAUGAUUACCUUGCUAGUUUGCUUGAAGUAUUAUUGUCUCCACGUCAAUAGAAAACUAUUGUUUUGAAUCUAAUGGAUCUGAACAUUCACGUCACAUAAGAGGAGUUACAAAGGACAUCUAUGCUAGCUAGCAUGAAAGCAUAAAAAUUCAUUCUUUAUCACUUCCCUACUCGAGGACGAACAGGAGUUAAGCUUGGGGAUGCUUGAAACGUCUCAAACGUAUCUAUAAUUUUUGAUGGUUUCAUGCCGUUAUCUUGUCAACUCUCGAUGUUUUAUAUUCCUUUUAUAUGUUUUUUGGGACUAACUUAUUAAUUCAGUGCCAAGUGCCAGUUCCUGUUUUUCUGUGUUUUUGACUCUUUUCAGAUCUGAUUUUGGAACGGAGUCCAAACGGAAUAAAAUCCCCAAAAUAAAAUUUUCCAGAACAGAAGAAGAUCGGUGGACUUGAGGGCCAAGGCAGGAGGCCCACAGGGAGCCCACAAGCCCUAACGCCACGGCCAGGGGGGCCCGCGGCGACUAGGCUUGUGGGCUCCUUGGCGCUCCUCUGCCCUAGCUCUUUCGCCUAUAUAUUCCCUAAAAUCCCAGAAAAAAUCAGGGCAUCCACGAAAACACUUUCCGCCGCCACAAGCUUCCGUUUCCGCGAGAUCUCAUCUCGAGACCCUUCCUGGUGCCCUGCCGGAGGGGACUUUGGAGUUGGAGGGCUUCUACAUCAACAUCAUCGCCUCUCCAAUGACUCGUGAGUAGUCCACUUCAGACCUAUGGGUCCGUAGUUAGUAGCUAGAUGGCUUCUUGUCUCUCUUGGAUCUUCAAUACAAAGUUCUCCAUGAUCUUCAUGGAGAUCUAUCCGAUGUAAUCCUCUUUGGCGGUGUGUUUGUCUAGAUCCGAUGAAUUGUGGAUUUGUAAUCAGAUUAUCUACGAAUUAUACUUGAGUCUUUGAUGAUUUCUUAUAUGCAUGAUUUUAUAUCCUUGUAAGUCGCUCCGAGUCUUGGGUUUUGUUUGGACAACUAGAUCUAUGAUUCUUGCAAUGGGAGAAGUGCUUGGUUUUGGGUUCAUACCGUGCGGUGUCCUUUCCCAGUGACAGAAGGGGCAGCAAGGCACGCAUCGUGUUGUUGCCAUCAAGGGUAACAAGAUGCGCUUUCAUCAUAGAUUUGAGAUUGUUCAUCUACAUCGUGUCAUCUUGCUUAAGGCGUUACUGUGUUCUUAUGAAAUCAAUACACUAGAUGCAUGCUGGAUAGCAGUGGACAUGUGGAGUAAUAGUAGUAGAUGCAGAAAGUAUUGGUCUACUUGUUUUGGACGUGAUGCCUAUAGAUAUGAUCAUUGCCAUAGAUAACGUCAUGACUUUGCGCGGUUCUAUCAAUUGCUCGACAGUAAUUCGUUCACCCACUGUCUACUUGCUUUCAUGAGAGAAGCCACUAGUGAACACUACGGGCCCUGGGUCUAUUCACAACUAUCGCUUCCACUUUUACUUUUACUUUGCUUUGUUUACGUUUUGCUUUCAGUUCUUACUUUGAAAAAAAUCUAUAAGGGAUUGACAACCCCUUCAUAGAGUUGGGUGCAAGCUCUUUGUGUUUGUGCAGGUACUUGUAACUUGACGCGAUCCUCCUACUGGAUUGAUACCUUGGUACUCAAACUGAGGGAAAUACUUACUGCCGCUGUGCUACAUCACCCUUUCCUUUUCAAGGGAACACCAACGCAAGGCUCCAAGGCCGCGGGGGAAUCCUUUGCAUAUUUCCCAAGGAAGUCCCUAUAGGCGUAGCACAUAGUAGAAGGAUUCCCGGUGCCGUUUCCAGGGAAUGUCUUUUGUUGCCGUAGCACAAGUCCAAGGUAUGGACUAGGUGAGAACUAUGCCCCCGUUGCUAGACUUGAAGCCAUUCACAUUCUUAUCACUUAUGAAAAUCAACAUGAUAUUACUCUUUGCCAAAUGGAUAUGAAAAGUAUUUUUUUAAAUGGUGAAAUUGAGGAGGAAGUUUUUGGCAAACAACCUCCUGGUUUUGUGAACCCUGAAAAACCUAAUCAUGUUUAAAAACUUUGUAAAUAUUUAUAUGGUCUGAAACAAGCCCCUCGAGCUUGGUACAAAUGCCUAACAAAGAGUCUCAUUGAAAAGGGUUUUGAGAUUGGUCAAAUUGACGUAGCUUUAUUCACUAGAAGAGUAAACGGCAAACUAUUUGUGUGCCAAAUAUAAGUGGAAGAUAUUAACUUUGGAUCUACUAACCCACAUUUUGGUGAGAAAUUUGGAAGGUUGAUGUCACACAAGUAUGAGAUGUCCAUGAUGUGUGAUCUGAAAUUCUUCCUUGGUUUGCAAAUCAAACAAUCGAGAGCAGGUACGUUUAUCUCUCAAACCAAGUACACCAAGGACUUAAUCAAGAAGUUCAACAUGAAAGAGUGUAAAGUUAUGAGAACCCCAAUGCCUACUAUUGGACAUGUUGACCUCACGAAGGAGGACAAACCGAUUGAUCAAAAGGUUCGUUGAUAAAUGAUCGGUUCAUUGCUAUAUCUAUGUGCCUCCCGUCCCAAUGUCAUGUUGAGUGUUUGCAUGUGUGCCUGAUAUCAAGCGACACCUAAGGAUUGUUAUCUAAAGGUUGUGAAAAGAAUUGUGAGAUACUUGAUACAAACACCAAACUUUGGCAUAUGGUAUCCUAAGGGAUCUUCUUUUAGUCUUGUUGGAUAUUCCGACUCGGACUAUGCCAGAGACAAUAUUGAUAGAAAAUCCACCUCGGGUACAUAUCAAUUUCUUGGGAGGUGUCUUGUGCCUUGGUCAUCCAAGAAACAAAACUUGGUAUCUCUAUCCACUAGCGAAGCAUAAUAUAUUGCCUCCAGAUCAUGUUAUGCGCAUUUACUAUGGAUGACGCAAACUCUUAAGGAUUAUGGUAUUCAUGUGAAACAUGUUCCAUUGUUGCGUUAUAGUGGAAGUGCUAUUAAAAUUGUUCAUAAUCCACUAAACAUUCACGAACUAAACAUAUUCAAGCGCGACAUCAUUUCAUUCGUGAUCAUGUUGGUAAAGGAGAUAUUAAUCUCAAGCAUGUUCGUACCAACAAACAAUUGGCUGAUAUCUUUACAAAACCACUUGAUGAGAAAGUGUUUUCCAUUUGAGGAGUGAGUUGACCAUCAUAUAUAGAUGCUUCAAACUCGAGCUAGACUCACUCGGAUGCAUGCAAGGGCAUGAGCUUACCUUAUUAUUUCAUGAUGCUAUUGAUGUGACACUAUCUUAUAUCUUGGAAAACUAUGCUCCCUUGUAUUGCAUCUAACCUUACUUUAGGUACUUGGAAGAAUUACAAUUCACAAGAUUUCCAUCAACUCACAUCAAACGCAAUCUUGUCAUGGCCAAGUAUCAACAACCCCUUCUUCGAAUAUGAAGGAAGAAGAAAACAAAAUCAUAUCCUUGACAACUACUUGAUGAAUGGAUUCACUCUUGUCAUUUGGACAUAUAAUGUUCUUCCUUGCAUGCGUAACCAAUGUAGGUGAAAAGUGAACCAAAACGACAAGGAUCACUCUCGACUCAAGAUGAUCUUCAUCAACAUUGAGCAUCCACAACAAGUUCACCUACAUGCCACAUCAUCAACAUCAUUCAAAGGUAUGUACUCAUAUCCUUGAUAAAACUUUACACCAAGUCAUGAGGUAAAGCAACUCAAGUGAUAUGAAGACAUCAAAAUGCUUAAUCCAAAAAUGGCACCCCCAUUUUGCACUUAACGAUGAGUAUGACCUAUGAUCAAGCAUUCUUCCUUGACUCCUCAAGUCAAUACACUCUAAUAUAGUUGACCUAGUCACCGACAAACAUCUAGAUGGAGAUUCUUGUAUGGUUCUUAUUUUAAAUUGCAUACUUUCUUGGAACCAUUCAAUUCUCAUCUUAAUCAAAAAAAAUAUUUUCUCUUGGUUUAUUUUUUAAAUAUUUGCAUAUUUCCUUUUUCAAAGUUUGUAUAUAUUUCCUAUCUAUGUGAGUUGAGCACCUAAAUCUCAUUGCAACUUGGUCACACCAAUAUGGGGAACUAGGUCUAACCAAUUUCACCUAGGGGCCUUCUACCAUUCUCGGUUCUACUGAACCAUAUUACCUCGGUGAUUCCGAAUUUAUCAUUGCUUAUGUACUCUUGGUUAUUAUGAACUUUUGACAAAGAGGGAGAAUCUAUUCAGUGAUCGCAAAGUUUAUUACAUCCUAAUCUUUUAUAGAUUAUUUCCAUUGAUGCCAAAGGGGUACACCUUGGUUUCCCAUAAUUCUCAAGGGGGAGAAAAACAUCAAAGCGGGAGAAAUAUUCAGUGAUCUGACAAUACAAGAGGGAGAAAAUGUCUAGGAACCCUAACAAAUAGCGGGAGAUAUUUAAAGGAACUUUUAUCCAUACUCAAGGGGAGAUCAUUGUGGGAACCUUUAUCACAGGAAAAUAAUAUAGGAUCCCUUACUCUCAAUGACCCCUUACCCUCUCACAUUUUUUUGGAAAUUAAUACUAAAGGGGGGAGAUAUAUCAAAGCUUCUAAAUGCUUAUACCAAAAGGGGAGAUCUACCAAAGGGGAGAUCUCCAUAGGGGUGAUAUACCAUACCUUACACAUUCAGGGGAGAACUACCAUUGAGGGGGAGAUAUUUAAAGAUUUAGUUGAGUUUUAUUGCCUACUUUGGAUUGAAUUUGUCUCUCCACCUACUCCCAAUAUUUACAUGCUAUGAUUCGGGAGUAGAGGUAAUCUUACAUAUUCAUUCUGAGGGAAGAAAGUUAUAAAUAUCUUUGGAUACAUAUCUAUUAUCGAAUCUUAUUUUUAAUAUGUCUUCAACAUCUUGGUACUUUUGAAGCUCUUUGCAUCUUUACAUUAAAAUACUCUUGCGUUAUCUAACAUUUGUUUUCCCAAGUGUAUUGCUACUGCUAGGAUGCUCAAGAACCUCAAGGUAAAUAUAUGCAUCAUAUCCUUGUUCAGGAUGAUCUCUUAUCUCUUGCACAUAUUGUUUGUAAGAAUAAUGAGUGUUGAUCUUAGUAAUCUUUCAUUCACAUUUUUUUGAUGCAUAUAGCCAAGAUUCACAUGACUCAUCUUGUCCCUUCUACUAUGUGGAUGCUCAUGCAGUCCAAAGCGAACAUCUCUUAAAGGAGAUUUCACAAAUUUAGGGGGAGCUUGUAUUAGUCAUGUACCUUUCAAAGUUGUCAUAUUCCACUUCCUAUCUUUAUUUUAAGCUCUGAUUGUAUGUUGUCAUUAAUUAUCAAAAAAUGGGAGAUUUAAAGAACAUAUGAUCCCUUGGUGGUUUUGAUGAUUCAUGACAAAAUACAUUGUCUCUUGGACUAACAUUAUUACCUAGUAUAUUUCAGGUAUAGUCCACAAAGAGCAUUGGCUAAAGUAUUGUGUGGAGAAGCCCCAACGAAAGGAAUAGGAUUGGUUAAGCCUCAAGCAAGAGGACUCUACAUUUUAUAUUUGUGGGAAAUCACUUUUGAGUCCAUAGGAAAGCCAAUACUAUUAAAAGGACGAUGUAUUUAUGAUGAAUUGGUUUCUCAAUUGCUUAGAGAUAGGCACCAAAAAAAUUCAGUCAUUCUCCCACGAAUAUAUUUGUUCAAAGCCUUCACAUCAAAAUAGGUGCCACCAGGAAUUCUAUUUCGUCCCUACCGGUUUUCCCAGUGAGAGAUCCGUUGCCAAACCCUAAUCUCUCGGUACCACCAACUUUCAUAUCAGUGCCACCAAAAGACAGUGACCAACUUUAUGGUAUCUCUGUUUCAAGAAUCGGUAUUUCUGAGAUUGAACUCGGUACCAACGAGAAUUGGAAACUACCCUAGGUCAUCGAAUUGGUACCAACGACAUUUGUAUAUUGGUCUCACCAAGAACUCAAAAGUUGCCACAUUUAGUGCAAAUCGGUACCAUCGAGAUUCAUUUUGGUGUCACCGAGUUGGGCAAUAAUGUUGUAACGGUUGGAUUUUUGGAGAUGCCUAUAUAUAACCCUCCACCUCCUCUCAUUUGCAGAGGAAGCACUCAUGACACACUUACACUUGCCAUAUCCAUUUUUCUAAGAGAGAACCACCUACUCAUNAAGAUAUUCCAAUCCAACCGUUUGAAACUUGAUAUCUAUUCUCCUCAAGUUGCUUUCCACCAAAUCAAUCUCUCCUUCCCAUGACAAAUCUGUGAGAGAGUGAUUGAGUGUUGAGGAGACUAUCUUUUGAAGCACAAGAGUAAGUAGUUCAUCGUUCUACCGCAUCUACUACCUUUUGGAGGGUGGUGCCUCCUAGAUUGGUUAGGUGUCGCUUGGUAUCCUCCUACUUCGUGUUUUGGAGUUGAACUAAGAAGUUUGUACAUGCAAGGAGAUUGCCUACUUCGUGAAGAUCUACCCUGAGUGAGGCUAGUCAUGUGUGGACGUAAGCCAUGGUGGAAUAGACAAGGCCGGUUCUUUGUGGACCCCUUCUGGGUGGAGCCCUCCGUGGGCUCUCGUAACCGUGACCCUUCGUGGGUUGAAGUCUCCACUAGCAUGGACAUACGAUAGCACCACCCAUCGAAACCACGUCAAAAAUCACCGUGUCUUCUAUGCGUUUGAUCUUCCUAAACACUACGCCUUACUUAUACGUGCAAUGUCUUUACUUUCCGCUACCAUAUAUGUUGACUAGAAUGUGUAGGGUGCACUAGACUUGUUAGAAAUGCUAAAAUUUUCCAACCACUAAAAUUGGGAAAAUUCUAGGAUUUUAAUUUAUGCAAGUAGUCUAUCUACCCCCUCUAGACAUCCCUUCGAGUGAUCCCAUAGAACACGUACAAACAAGGUUGGGGCAAUCUCCACAACUUAAUUGGAGGCUCCCAACAACAACACGAAGCUUCAUCAUAAUGAAUUGUGGGUCCAAGAUUACCUCAAAUGCUCGAGGCAAUCUCCACAACCUAAUUGGAGACCCCGGACGCUUGCUCGGAGCUUUACACCACAAUGAUUGAGCUCUGAGGCACCACCAACCAUCUAGGGCGCCAAAGCACCCAAGAGCCACAAGCUCUAGGGUUCCCAAACACGCAAGAGUAAUAAGCUUCUCGAACUUCACUUCCACGUAUCGCUGUGGAGAACUCAAAUCGAUUCACCAAAUGCAAUGGCAAGAAGAAAUGAACUGGUCAAGUCCCUGAUACGUCUCCAUCGUAUCUACUUUUCCAAACUCUUUUGCCCUUGUUUUGGACUCUAAUUUGCGUGAUUUGAAUGGAACUAACCCGGACUGACGCUGUUUUCAGCAGAAUUGCCAUGGUGUUGUUUUUGUGCAGAAAUGAAAUUUCUCGGAACAUCCCGAAAAUUUACGGAGAAUAUUUCUCGAAAAUAUGAAAAAUACCUACACAAAGAUCCACCGGAGGGGACGGGCCAGUGGGCUACAAGCCCUGACGCCGCGGACUCCCCCCCUGGCCGCGGCAACCAAGCUUGUGGGGCCCACGUGGCUCUGCCGCCCCCAACUCCAGCGCUAUUUAUUCCCUUUCGUCCCAAAAAAAUCAAGAGAGAAGAUUUCAUCGCAUUUGCAACAUGGAGGCGCCGGCACAUCCUGUUCUUCAUCUGGAGGGCACAUCUAGAGUCAGUUUUGGGCUCCGGAUCAAGGAGAUCGUCGCCAUCGUCAUCAUCAACCUUCUUCCCUCUCCAAUUCCAUGAAGCUCUUCAUCGUUCCUGAGUAAUCUAUUUGUAGGCUCGCUGGGCGGUGAUGAGUAGGAUGAGAUCUAUCAUGUAAUUGAGUUAGUUUUAACGGGGAUUGAUCCCUAGUAUCCACUAUGUUCUGAGAUUGAUGUUGCUACUACUUUGCCAUGCUUAAUGCUUGUCACUAGGGCCCGAGUGCCAUGAUUUCAGAUCUGAAAUUAUUAUGUUGUCACCAAUAUAUGUGUGUUUUAGAUCCGAUCUUGCAAGUUGUAGUUACCUACUAUGUGUUAUGAUCCGGCAACCCCGGAGUGACAAUAACCGGAACCACUCCCGGUGAUGACCAUAGUUUGAGGAGUUCAUGUGUUCACCAAGUGCUAAUGCUUUGGUCCGGUUCUUUAUUAAAAGGAGAAACUUAAUAUCCCGUAGUAUCCAUUUGGACCCCGCUGCCACGGGAGGGAUGGACAAUAGAUGUCAUGCAAGUUCUUUUCCCUAAGCACGUAUGACGACACACGGAAUGCCUGCCUACAUCACAUUGACGAACGGGAGCUAGCAACAUAUCUCUCCGUGUUAUAACUGCUACAUGAUGAAUGGCAUCCAACAAAUCACCGAUCCAUUGCCUACGAGUUUGUCCCACUGCUGCUGUUACUUGUUUUGCUCUGCUGCUGUUACUACUGUUGCUGCUACUGUUACUUGCUUUGUCCUGCUGCUGCUGCCACUACUGUUGCUAAUACUGUUACUUGCUACUGUUGUUACUUGCUACUGUUGCUACUUGCUACUGCUGUCACUACUGCUGUUCCUUGCCACUGCUGCUACUCGUUACACUGCUACUACCUGCUACAAUACUUUUUCUAGCACCGUUGCCGGGAAAGAAUAUUUCCCGUCCACGGGCAACUUACUGGCGCCAUUGAAACAACAGUUAGGAAUAAUCUGCCGUCAACAGAUCGUUUCUGGCACCGUUGUUAUCAUACUACUUUCUACUGAUACUUUGCUUGCACACACUAAUCUUUCAGGUGUGGUUGAAUCUGACGCAUUCAGCUGCUAAUACUUGAGAAUAUUCUUUCACUUCCCGUCGUGCGAACCAACAAAUUUGGGUUGAAUACUCUACCCUCGAAAAUUGUCGCGAUCCCACGCGCUGGUGGGCUAUUGCAAGACAAUUUCUAAUUGUUGAGCAACUGGAAGCAGCACUUUUCUGGCUCCGUUGCCAUGGAGGCAUCAAGUCAGGAAUAGUUGCACGUCAACAACAUUUUUCUGGCGCCGUUGCCGGGGAAGGAUUGAUAUAUUCUCUGAGUCACUUGGGAUUUAUAUCUGUUGAUCACUAUGAAGAAUGUGAAAGAUCCAAAAACCAAAGUCAUGCCCUCAACUACGAGGGGAGGUAAGGAACUGCCAUCUAGCUCUGCACUUGAUUCACCUUCAGUUAUGAGUAAGUUUGCGACACCACCUCCUGCUAGAAAACUUGAUAUGUCGCCUGUGCUUGAUGAUGCUUAUGAUGCUACUCCUAGAGAUACUAUGCCUCAUGAUGCUAGAGAUGCUAUGCCUGAUACUGCUAGAGAUGCUAUGCCUGAUAUUGCUAGAGUUGCUAUGCUUGAUACUGCCUUGCCCGAUGAUGCUAGAUAUGCUAUUUUUCCUGAUGAUGCUAUGCUUGAUACUGCUACAGAUACUACUUUGCCUGAUGUGCCACUAGGGGCAUUCCUUGAUGCUCAUAUUGCAAGAGUUACUGCCAAUUCUCGUGAUGCUUCUGAAACUGCCAAUACUAUUGAGAUAGAACCUGCUUUUGCUCCUGCUAGAUCUAGCUCUCCUAGAUAUGAAUUGCCUGAUAUACCAGAGGGUUAUGUUAUGGAGGGAGAGAUAGCUGAGGAUUUUCUUGCGUGUAAGGAUGCCUAUGACGCUGAGAAAUCACUUCUCAAGUGGAAGGAAAAAUCUCUGAAAGCUAGGAUGAAAUACGACCCAAAGUUUGCCACUUCACCUAUCUUUAUCACCGAUGAGGAUUAUGAAUUCUCUGUCGACCCUGAGAUAAUCUCUCUAUAUGAAUCUGAUCCUUUCCACAGUUAUGAGUCUGAGACGGUCGUAGCCCAUCUUACCAAACUACACGAUAUAGCCACCCUUUUCACUAGUGAGGAGAAGAUCCGCUACUACUAUAUCCUUAAGUUAUUUCCUUUCUCUCUAAAGGAUGACGCUAAAGCCUGGUUCACUUCUCUUGCUCGUGGAUGUGUGAGUAGUCCCCAGGAGAUGGUCUAUUACUUCUGUGAGAAAUAUUUCUCUUCCCAUAAGAAGCAAGCUGCCUUGUAGGAAAUAUACAACUUUGCUCAACACAAAGAAGAGAGUCUCCCACAAGCUUGGGGGAGGCUCAUCCAGCUACAGAAUGCUUUGCCUGAUCACCCUCUUAAGAAGAACGAGAUACUUGAUAUCUUCUAUAACGGACUUACCGAUGCUUCUAGAGACCACCUAGAUAGUUGUGCCGGUUGUGUUUUUAGGGAACGAACUAUAGAACAAGCUGAGAUCCUACUGAAUAACAUCUUGAUCGACGAUAAUGCUUGGACUAUUCCCGAACCACCUCCUAAGCCAACUCCGAAGAAAAUAGGUAUUCUAUUCGUCAGUCCUGAAGAUAUGCAAGAAGCCAAGAAAUCUAUGCAAGAGAAAGGCAUUAGAUCUGAAGAUGUCAAAAAUCUACCGCCCAUCGAAGAGAUCCAUGGUCUCGAUAAUCCGAUACAGGUAGUAGAAGUAAAUUCUCUGUGUAGGUUUGAUGAGAGUGAUAUUCCUUUUGACAAACCUGCUAGCCUAUGCUUUGAUGAAUUUGACAACUUUGUUGCCAAACAACAGAGUUUCAAUGAUUAUGUUAGCAGACAAUUGUAACAAAGUACUCGUAUGCUUAGUCAUUUAAGUGCUUGUGUAGACAGAAAUGUCAAUGAUCUGAAGCUUCUGAGUAAACAUGCCUCUAUGAUUACUAAUCAGGUAGAACAAGUACUUAAAGCUUAGAAUGACUUGCUCAAUGAAUUAAAUGACAAAUCUGUCAGAGUCAUUACUAGAGGAGGCAAAAUGACUCAGGAACCUUAGUAUCCUGAAGGCCAUCCUAAGAGAAUUGAUCAAGAUUCUCAAGGAAUUAAUGCUGAUACACCCACUCAUCCUAAGAAGAAGAAGAAGGAUGAUAGAAACCUACAUGUCAAUUCACCAAAUACCGUCACACCUGAAGAACCAAAUGAUAUUUCUGCGUCUGAUGCAGAAACACAAUCUGGUGACGAACAUGAACCUGGUGACAAUAUGGACAGCGAUGUUCAUAAUAAUGCUCAACCUAGCAAUAAUGAGGAUGUAGAGAUUGAACCUACGGUUAAUCCUGAUAACCCACAACCUAAUAGAUACGAUAAGAAUGACUUCACUGCUAGGAAUCAUGGUAAAGAAACGGAGUCAUGGGUUCAGAGACCUAUGCCCUUUCCUCCUAAGCCAUCCAAGAAAAAGGAUGAUGAGGAUUUUGAGUGCUUUAUUGAAAUGAUAAGACCCGUCUUUCUGCAGAUGCGGUAAAUUGAUAUGCUCAAAAUGUCUCCAUAUACCUUGCUCCUAAGAAACAUGGUGAUCCCGGAGUGCCCACUAUACCUUGCUCCAUUAAAGGAAACUACGUAAGAACUGCCUUAUGUGACCUUGGAGGUGGUGUUAGUGUUAUGCCUCUCUCCCUUUAUCGUAGACUUGAACUGGAUAAGUUGACACCCACUGAAAUUUCUCUGCAAAUGGCCGACAAAUCAACUGCUUUCCUUGUCGGCAUUUGCAAGGAUAUGCCUAUUGUGGUUGCUAACACCACUAUCUUAACAAACUUUGUUAUCUUGGAUAUUCCCGAGGACGAUGCCAUGGCUGUCAUCCUUGGAAGACCCUUUUUAAACACUGCAGGGUCUGUUAUAGAUUGCUACAAAGGCAAUGUCACCUUCCAUGUCAAUGGUAAUGAGCAUACAGUGCACUUUUUGAAGAAAUGAUAUCAAGUACAUUGCAUCAAUGCUAUCGAAAAACUUCAUCGAUUCUUAUUGGGAGCUUUGAAUGCCCUAUUCCCCGUGUCAAGAUGAAGUAUGAUUUGCUUGUUGGGGAGAUACAUAUCCCCAUUGAGGUGACCUAGUGACUAUUCAAAAAUUCUCCGUUCUCUUUUGCGAUUCGAGAAAAUUUUGUCAUGAGGAUUUGAUAAACCCCAUUGACGGAUUUCUUUCGAUGACCAUGAAAUGGAUGAAUCAAAGAGUUACAUGCCUCUGUUUUAAGCUUUUACUUUCUGUUGCUUAGAAGAAAAAUGAUAGAUUUAGUUUAGUUUUCCCUAUUUCCUGUUUUAGCGUCCCGGAGAAAAGUACCCCAAAAAUAAAAUUUCUCCGAUGGUCCUGAAAAUCAAAUAUGAUUUUUUCUGGAAUAUUUGAAAAAUACUGGGACUGAGAGCUGGCCUGGGGGCCACACCAGUGGGCACAAGCCCUGUCACUGCGGCCUCCCCCCUGGCCGCGGCAACCAAGCUUGUGGGGCCCACAGGGACCCCCUCCACUCAUUCCAGCUCCCAUCCUCUUCUUCUACCUCCAGAAAAAAUCGUUUCACAGCUCAAACCCGUGUUCUUGCUCAUUUGGCUGUGAUUUUCGAACUCCUUGCUCAAAGCACCAUUCUCCGAACCGUUUUGGGGAAAUUACUCCUUGGUAAGUGACUCCUCCAUUGGUCCAAUCAGUUUCUACUCUAGUGCUUUAUCCUUACCGUAUUCUUGCUACCUUGGUGACCCUGUUCUUGAGCUUGAAAUGUUGGUUUUAGCUGGUCCCAAGCAGUUUUAACGCGUGAUACGGUCUCUAGGCAUUAGUAGGAGUAGUUGCUACAAGGUGUGGUUGGUCUUUAUUCACUUUUCUCUUGAACUUCAAAAAUUUCAGCAAAAAUAAAUUAUGUUCAGGAGGAAGUUUCAUGGUGGUUCCUCAAGUAAGAAGGGUCCCCGUCUUUCUAUUCGGGAGCCCGAUCCUUAUCAACUAAGAUAAGCACCGGUACAACCAUGUGAAUGGCCUUCCGAUGAGUUCAUGAUCGAAGCAGGCUUCAAGGAUGAGUUUGAUACACUUGUCUGCAAUGUCGGGUUAGAAGAAUUCCUCUCAAAUAAAUGUGAACAGUAUGCUUUGCUCACUGCCUCUUUCGUGUGUAGAUUUAAAUUUUUAGUUGGGCGUGACUCAUCCAUACCGUUUGACCUGUAUGAUAAAUCCUACGCCAUGGAUUUGGAGGAUUUCAAUAGGAUUUGCAAGAUACCCGAUGGGGGAAAUCUUAAAGAUCCUGCUAAGUCUUCGGUUAGAGAUUUUGUCUCUAGUAUAACUGUUGGAGAAACUAGAGACAUCACGCAAGCUACCAUAGGAAGCAUUCAUUUCCCUGGCUUGCACUACUUUUCCCUCUUCAUAGGUAAUGCAUUAACGGCAAGGUUGAACAUUGUCACCUAUGCGCAUCCGACCUUAGUAUCCUUAAGAGCGCAGUGACGGGUGACAAAAGCUUCAACAUGGGAGCUAUUAUAGCAAGGAGGAUGAAUAAGAAUGCUAUUGAUGGGGAUUUCUUUGGCGGCAUCUAUGCCACUUGCAUAGCAAAUUUUCUUGGAGUACCCAUCCGCGCAGGAGAUCCCCCGCUCCAUACAGCUUUCCUUGACCACGUCGCUAUGACACGCUACCAGUUCCUUGAGAGGGAUGAUGAAUCCCUCCUAUACCGAUUGAUAUUUAACCGGCAACGUGUUUUCCAUAUUACCCUUCCUGCUCCUGCUUUGUUUGACUUUCAGGUAAAACGGAGAUACUACAUAACCAUAGGAGAGGCAUAGGAGUAUGAGAGGGAGGCGACGGCUGCUCGUCUCUGUGAGGCAACUAUUUAGGCAGUGGCUGCAGCGCUCCCGUAUAACCCCGAUUAUGAUUUUGGGUUUUGCCAGGACCGUCCUUGGGAGUAGACCAAGCGAGGCCAAAAGCCUAAGCUUGGGGGAGUACGUGUUUGCACCAACUUUACAUUCAAGCUUAUGCUUUCACUUUGUUAGUCAGUGUUUACACUUUGCCACUGUAUUAUCCAUGCUAGUUUAUUUUCGUUUUCUUGUUUUGUGUCAUUUUGAGAAAACCCAAAAGUAUUUUUCUUUCUUCUUUUGCUUGCUGGGAGCUUUCUCGUGUAAAUAGUUUUCUUUUUCUUUGUGUCAAGGUAGAAGAUAUUGGUUACAAUGUUUAGUGGUUCUUGCAUGCAUACCUGUUUAGCUUUCAAAGAGCCAUAUUACUUUGUCUUCUCCUUUGUGUUUGCCUGCAGAUUCAGCUUAGUCCAAUGCACGAGAACUCUUAUUAUUGUUCACUUCGUUCGAUCGUGCAAGUGAAAGACAAUAAUGAUGAUAUAUGAUGAAGUGACUGAGACUNUUUUUGUCCUUUGAGAAAACCCAAAAAGAUUUUCCUUUCUUCUUUUGCUUGUUGGGAGCUUUCCGUGUAAAUAGUUUUCUUUUUCUUUGGGUCAAGGUAGAAGAUAUUGGUUACAAUGUUUAGUGGCUCUUGCAUGCAUACCUAUUUAGCUUUCAAAGAGCCAUAUUACUUUAUCUUCCCCUUUGUGUUUGCCUGUAGAUUCAGCUUAGUCCAAUGCAUAAGCACUCUUAUUAUUGUUCACAUCGUUCGAUCGUGCAAGUGAAAGGAAAUAAUGACGAUAUAUGAUGAAGUGACUGAGACUGGAAAAGCUCGUAUGAACUCUAUCUAUUUUGUUUUUGUAAAUAUGGCUAGCUUGUCGUUCCAGAUUCAGCUUUGUUGAGAGAGAACCAUGUUUGCAAAAACAACUUAGAGAUCAUAGUUUUGGAUUCCAUGCUUAAUUAGCUAGGAGCUUAUAAUGGUUUGUCUUGAAUGCCAACAUGGAUUUUGAGAUGACUAUAAUGUAGUAUGAUAGGAUGGUAUUCUCCUUUGAAUGAUUCAAGUGGCUUGACUUGACGCAUGUUCAUGCAUGUAGUUGAAACAGAAUCAACAUAGCCUAUAUGAUGUUCGUGUUCAUGGUGAUUUAUAUCCUAUUCAUGCUUGCACCCAAUGUUAGUCAAACUCAUUGCAUCUUGAUGACUGUUGUCGCUCUCUAGUUGGUCGCUUCCCAGUCUUUUGCUAGCCUUCACUUGUACUAAGAGGAAUACUGCUUGUGAAUCCACUUCCAUAAACCCAAAAGUUUUUUCAUGAGAGUCCACCAUACCUACCUAUUUGCGGUAUCUACCUGCCGUUCCAAGUAAAUUUGCAUGUGCCAUUCUCUAAACCUUCAAGAAAUUUUCUAUUUUGCUUGCCCGAACCGCUCAUGUGGUGACAGGGGGCUAUUGGUAUCUUCCAUGUUAGGCGUGUUAUCCUCGACAUGUGUUUAUUCACUGUCAUUCACGAGAAAGGGGUCGGUAAUUGGAAUCCCAGUUCCACGCUUAAAUCGAAAACAUAACUCUAAAACAAGACUCCCCCCGGAUUGAUGUUAGUAUGGACGGUACCCGAGGAUUGGUUGGUGGUGGGGGAGUUAAAACUUUACUUUUCUGUUUGGGAACCGCCUAUAGCAUUAGUAGCAUGGAAGAUAUUGAGAACUCUUGGUCAUUGCGUUGACAAUGAAAGCAUGCCACCCAAAAUUAUUAUCUCUGUUUUCAAAGCUUGAGCUCUGGCACCUCUGCAAAUCAAUGCUUCCCUCUGCGAAGGGCCUGUCUAUUUAUUUUCCUAUUGAGUCAUCCUCUUCUUAUGUAGAGAGCACCUCUGUCAUUUUUAUGCUUUGCUUGUGAUUGAUAUUGAGUAUGAAUAUGAAUGGAUUUUCGUUGCUAUGAAUUACAAUGUUUAGUCAGCCCUUGAUCUUUGAAAGUGCUCUGCAUUUAUGUUUUGCGGUCUCAGAAAGAGCUAGCGAGAUAUCACCUAUUCAUAUUGCUUCAUGCUUGUUUUGAUUGAAUUGUUGGUAUCCAAAACUCAUUAUUAUUUGCUCGCUAGCUGAUUAUGCCAUUAAUAUUAGUUCACCGUGAGACCUUUGUGUCACUUGCUUAUGUGGUUAACUUGUGAUCUUGCUGAAAUUCUGGUUAUGAGUUAGACAUAGUUGCAACAACAAGAUCAGACAGAGUUUGUCAAAGUUUUUCUUUCUCUCUCAGUUUGUCAACUGAGUUGCUUGAGGACAAGCAAGGUUUUAAGCUUGGGGGAGUUGAUACGUCUCCAUCGUAUCUACUUUCCCAAACUCUUUUGCCCUUGUUUUUGGACUCUAAUUUGCAUGAUUUGAAUGGAACUAACCCGGACUGACGCUGUUUUCAGCAGAAUUGCCAUGGUGUUGUUUUUGUGCAGAAAUGAAAGUUCUCGGAACAUCCUAAAAAUUUACAAAGAAUAUUUCUGGAAAAUUUGAGAAAUACCUGCGCAAAGAUCCACCGGAGGGGACGGGCCAGUGGGCCACAAGCCCUAACGCCGCGGCCUCCCCCCUGGCCGCGGCAACCAAGCUUGUGGGGCCCACGUGGCUCUACCGCCCCCAACUCGAGCGCUAUUAUUCCCUUUCGUCCCGAAAAAAAUCAAGAGAGAAGAUUUCAUCGCGUUUGCAACACAGAGGCGCCGCCACAUCCUGUUCUUCAUCUGGUGGGCAGAUCUGGAGUCCAUUUUGGGCUCCGGAUCAAGGAGAUCGUCGCCAUCGUCAUCAUCAACCUUCUUCCCUCUCCAAUUCCAUCUAGCUCUUCAUCAUUCCUGAGUAAUCUAUUCGUAGGCUCGCUGGGCGGUGAUGAGUAGGAUGAGAUCUAUCAUGUAAUCGACUUAGUUUUGACGGGGAUUGAUCCCUAGUAUCCACUAUGUUCUGAGAUUGAUGUUGCUACUACUUCGCCAUGCUUAAUGCUUGUCACUAGGGCCCGAGUGCCAUGAUUUCAGAUCUGAAAUUAUUAUGUUGUCACCAAUAUAUAUGUGUUCUAGAUCCGAUCUUGCAAGUUGUAGUUAGCUAGUAUUUGUUAUGAUCCGGCAACCCCGGAGUGACAAUAACCGGAACCACUCCCGGUGAUGACCAAAGGUUGAGGAAUACAUGUGUUCACCAAGUGCUAAUGCGUUGGUCCGGUUCUUUAUUAAAAGAAGAACCUUAAUAUCCCGUAGUAUCCAUUUGGACACCGCUGCCACGGGAGGGAUGGACAAUAGAUGUCAUGCAAGUUCUUUUCCCUAAGCACGUAUGACGACACACAUAAUGCAUGCCUACAUCACAUUGACGAACGGGAGCUAGCCACAUAUCUCUCCGUGUUAUAACUGUUGCAUGAUGAAUGUCAUCCAACAAAUCACCGAUCCAUUGCCUACGAGUUUGUCCCACUGCUGUUGUUACUUGUUUUGCUCUGCUGCUGUUACUACUGUUGCUCCUACUAUUACUUGCUGCUAGUGUUACUUGCUUUGUCCUGCUGCUGCUGCCACUACUUUUGCUACUACUGUUACUUGCUACUGUUGUUACUUGCUACUGUUGCUACUUGCCACUGCUUCACUACUGCUGUUCCUUGCCACUGCUGCUACUCGUUACACUGCUACUACCUGCUACAAUAAUUUUUCUAGCACCGUUGCCGGGAAAGAAUAUUUCCCAUCCACGGGCAACUUACUGGCGCCAUUGAAACAACAGUUAGGAAUAGUCUGCCGUCAACAGAUCGUUUCUGGCACCGUUGUUAUCAUACUACUUUGCUACUGAUACUUUGCUUGCACACACUAAUCUUUCAGGUGUGGUUGAAUCUGACACAUUCAGCAUCUUAUACUUGAGAAUAUUCUUUCACUUCCCAUCGUGCGAACCAACAAAUUUGGGUUGACUACUCUACCCUCGAAAACUGCUGCGAUCCCACGCGCUGGUGGGCUAUUGCAAGACAAUUUCUAAUUGUUGAGCAACUGGAAGCAGCUCUUUUCUGGCUCCGUUGCCGUGGAGGCAUCAAGUCAGGAAUAGUUGCACAUCAACAGUCCCUCACACUCAAAUCCCUCCACAACAAUAGAAGCUAUGGAAGGAAAUGAGAGGAAUAAUGAAGGAUCUCACAAAGAACUCCAAGAUCUAGAUCCAAGGGGUUCCCCUCACAAAGAGGAGAAAGUGAUUGGUGGAAAUGUACAUCUAGAUCUCCUCUCUCUUUUCCAUCAAGAACUAGCAAGAAUCAUUCGAAAGAUUGAGAGUUAGCAAGCUUAAAGAAGGACACAAUGGAGGAAGAAAAUGAGCUCAAGAGUGAGGGACCAUUGGGGAAGAAGGACUCCUCAAUUAGACAUCCCAAAAUCCAACAUGCCCACAAGUCGUGCUCAAGCGGUACUACCGCUUGGGGGAAUUGGUACUAUCGCUUAUCACGGUCAAAACAGCCCAACGAGAUAGAAAAACACGAGUGGUAGUUCUGCCAAAGAGGUAGUACCGCUCGGGGGAGAGGUAGUACCUCUUAAGAGGUACUACUGCUCCGUGCCUGGGGUAAAGGUAGUACCACUUGAGAGGUACUACCUUUCUGUACUACCCCUCUACUAUCGUUGAAGAAGAUUGGACACCAGAAUCAGAAAAUAAGCGGAAGUAGAAGUGGUAAUGGUCAGCAGAAGUACCUCUUAAGAGGUACUACCGCUUGAGAGGUACUACCGCUUAAAGCAGUACUUAAGACCAACGAAAACUGAAACCUGCAUAACUGUCGGAUAGAGACUCCAAAAUGAGCAAGCUCAAGCUUGUUGGAUAGAUUACUGAUGGCACUCUCUGGCUAUGGCUAGACGAAUGCUAUUCUCGAUUGCUCAACAAUUAGAAAUUGUCUUGCAAUCACUACAAGGAAUAUGCUAAUACACGACGCUAUUUUUUCGUCGCUACAUCGUCAUGGUUUUUAAUUUACGACGAUCUCACGACGAAAACCAAGCGUCGAAAACGGAGCGUCACAAAUGAACAGCAACGACGUUUUGAUUAAAAUCGUCGUAACUUUUACGACGAUUCCUGGAUUGUCGUAAACUUUACGACGAUCCUAAAUCGUCGUUGGCAAUCAAACUCAGUCCUACGUGGCAGUCCUACGUGGCAAAAUUACGACGAAAUCAAAACAUCAUGGUUGAAAUCAGCCCAACCCAUUUCAAUUGAUCACAUGGGCUGGUUUUAAUUAUUUGGGUUUUUUCUUAUUGGGCUUGUUUUUGGGCCUUAGCCUAUUUGCAGCCACUUCUAGUAUUUUUUCAAUUUUUUUUAUAUCAUCAUAAUUUGGGCCAUGGCCUUUUAGAUCCCAAAUAAAUUUGGUCCAGUUUCAGUUUUGGCCCUUUUUCAUUUUUGAAUUCAGCAACUUUUUGUUCCAUAAUUUGGAUUCAUUUCUAUUUGCUGGGCCUUUUCAACCCAAUUAUUUGUCCAGUAUUAAAUCCAACACUAUUUCAUAUUGAAAUCAAGAAAACUUCAAGUCGAAUUAAAAUCAUCCAUGAUAUAACAUCACAAAAUACAUAUCCCAAGUUUACAUAUCACAAUAAACCAUCUCAUGAAAACAUUUCCUUACACAUGAAUAUAGCAAGAACGAACAAAAUUACACAAUAGAACAAUCGCACAUCUUUUACUGUCCCAACAGUACAGUGGACUUCAUUCCGCUCUCCUAUGAGGCAUGCUCGAGAUGCCACAACUUGUCAAUCUAUAAGAACAUUACACUUCACAUGAAUCAAUCAAAAGGAAACAAAUAUAAAAAAUAUUAGAAAUAAAAAGAUUUAUUUUCAUCCUAAAGAUGAUGUUAAAAAUCCUGAGAUAUAAAUUCUCGAGUAUAAUUAGUCCAACCUAAACAGGUCAGAGAAACUGAAAAUUAAACUUCAAACUAUCUAAGAUUGUUCCAGGAAAUUCUGGACAAAGGAAAUGCAGACAAGCAAACUUAAUAUCUUUAUGGUAUUUUCGCUUUACUAGAGGAAUUUAAGCACCGACACAAGUAGGAGUCAAUGACACAACAAUUAGCAGACAUGUAAGAUAAUACAAAACAAGCUACUCCACGUUACUGUGAUAACCAAGUGCAAACCAGGGUGUAAGAAUAUUAGCCCAAAAAAUCCUUUGGGCAACAUACAUCACUAAAUUACGCUAUCAAUAAGUGCACCAGAGACUCUAAUUUAUUACCUUCAGAAGUUUUAGAUCGAAUCAAAUGAAAACAUGAAAAGGGACUACCAAAGAGCAUUAUUGAUUUAGAUAGAGCUUUGAUGCUGAGUUGAUUUCUCGUGUCAACUGGGGUAAUUCUUUAGCCAGAUUGGAGAAAGGAAACCUGACUAGCACUCAAAAUAUUAACCAGAAGACAAUAGUAAAACAUAAAAGAUGGAUCAGAUUUCCGGCUUUUAAUCCUGAUGGGAUUACAUUUGCGCAUUGUAUACUCAUAGUCGAUAAUUUGGGGACAGUAUCCUCGGGUCCAUAUAACCCAAGGAAAAAAGCAAUUGGUCAUCACAGUAAGUGCAGAAACGUGGUAUGGAUAUGAUAUCAUCACUUCUCACAACAAACAAAAAAUGGUGUAGGAGUUUCUAUUUAUUUAAGACAAGACAACUAUACAGCAUCCAUGACAGAAUGUGUUGCUUACUAGACAUUCAGAAUAAGUAGAGAUACAAAAACAUGACUUCAGAUGCCGAAUAUGCACAGUUUAAUAAUAUACAGUAUCAUGAGACACCUAACAAGUGUUGAUCAUCACUGAUGAAUCAACCACAGAAACCAGCUGCAGAAAGAACAAUAUAGUUGAUAUGUGUAAACGGGGUAUAGUAACAGGAAGCUCCUUCUAUGAGAGCAGCCAGUGUCACAAAAACAUGUUUCCUUCUUGAUGUCUGCCAAUCUAACGAGAAACAAGGCCAUGAAAGCAGACCAAGCAUCAGAUACCUCAUGGCAUCCCAAAUACCACUAUCCAAACAAAAUUUAGUUCAGUGCUAAGAUAUGUAUGGACAAGUUGAAUGCAAAAACCAUCUCAAAGAAUGGUUCGUGCUAGAAUCUUAACCCAAAGUAUCUCUAGGCAACGUACAGCGCUGAAUUACACUACCAAGAAGCGGACCUCAGUACUCAACCUUAAAGCUGAUAAAAAUUUAGCAGAGUAUACCAAAAGAUGAAGGGGAACACUCAGCGUUUCAAAAAAGAAGGCAGCAUCAAAUACUAUAGUAAUUAUUAUUGGACAUGAUAUAGUAAGGUACUUUCACUGGUUAUUGACUGUUUUCAGUUUUCACUAAGCAUAAGUGCAUAAUAUGGAAACAAUAUAAGAGAAACCAUACACCCUCGGAUAUUAAGCUAUUCCAAGUAUGUGAGGUAUACAACUUAUAGGAGCUUACAUGACAUUCGAACCGAUAGUCCCAACGCCCAGAGCAAUGUUCUUCGAGGAAUCUAGGUGUUCUUGUUUAUUCUCUGUAAUAUCUGAUCUCGAUAACCUUUUCUUCUUCCCUCUACUGAUUAAAAAUAGAAGUAAUUAAUCCCAGUCCAAUGUGUUGAGGGAAGAAAAACAUAGCGUGUCAAAAAAGAAGGCAGCAUCAAGUACUAUAGUAAUUACUAUUGGAGAUGAUAUAGUAAGAUACUCUCACUGGUUAUUGACUGUUUUCAGUUUUCACUAGGCAUAAGUGCAUAAUAUAGAAACAAUAUAAGAGAAAACAAAAGUAGUUAGUCCUAAUAAAAUUAUUUCACAUAUUUGUGGCAUGUUCACUCUCAGUUCUUAGGAAGGGAAAAUGCAACCUAGAAUCCUAAAUUCGUUGCAUAUUUUGCCUAUGAUGAAACUAAGAAAAACUAACUUGACAAUACAUGCUAUGGACUGUAGUCUACAGAAUAAAUGACAUACAAGAUUAAAUAAUAUGAUUCUAUUUUGCAGAAGCAGCUGUUUUUUCAUACAUCCCAUGGCAUUUCUGUCGUAAUCACUAGCAACUUCAAAUAGAGUUAAGCAAAAAAUAUCAACAUUCUUUAUUGAUUUCGAUUACAUGCAAAUAAGUAAAAAUGCCCUACUCUACCAAUAAGACAUAAGUAAAGAGCUGACAACACUAGACUGUACAACUACACAAACACAUGAGGUGCUUCUAAGACAAAAAAUAAACCUGAAUUUAGUGUGAGGACUAGCCAAUCCAGAAAGUAAAAAACGCAUUACUGAACAGUCACAGUUUCCAAAACACUAGCCAAUCCAGAAAGUAAAAAACACAUUAGCAAAACUGCAGGACAACAGAAAGGAAGAGUUAAUUUGUGUAGGUGACUGAACAAUACUAUUCAUCUGGACAACAGAAAACUGAUCACCAAAUCCUUUUCAGACAACUAAUUCAUCAAAAGGAACAUGACAUAUCAGGUACUAGUUCACAUAGGACACUGAAUUUGGUAAACUGAAAUAUACCCAACAAAAUACCGAGCACAAACAACAUGUUUUAAUAAUCAUAUUCAGUUAGGGGAAGCAAGUUGGCAGACAUUUCUACAUUAGAAUGUCCACGACUAACAAAACAUUCAUGGUAACACAAAAGGCACAAUCCGGCGAAGUGUUGUAAAUUCCCUUGUAUCCGAGUGGCACAAAUCUGCCUAUUUAUGAAGUAAAUCUAGGCCGGAAUUCCUAGAAUCUCGAACCCCCGAAGUCGCUGAAUAACCAAUUUAUUAGCAGAUCCAAUGGGCUAAACUUGUGAAGUACUAGUAACAUCUAUCUAAACGCUGUCCCAGGUAACAACAGAUCCGGAAAAUCUCUAGUUGGGACGUGUCCCGCUUACUUGAGGUAGUCAUCCUUGAAGAGGUCUUCCCUGUCAUCUUCCUCCUCGUCGCGGAUAACGGUGGCGCUGUCGUCCUCGGGGAGCACAUUAAGGUCGACCUCUGCCUCGCCAUCGUUGUCCGAGUAGGAGGAUGGGUCGGUGGCGCCGUGGCUGGUGGUGGUGUUGGGCGGCAGCCAGUCGGUGUUGAAACCCAGCGAGCCGGGGGUCGACGGCGCGUUCUUCUCCGAGUCGUCCUGGGAAAAUCAAAUCAACCGACGGAAACGUCAGAUCCGGAGGCGGGAAGCAAUUCAACAAGUUAAACCAUCUAUUAAAAAAAUGAAAACCACGCGAAUUUAACAUGUAAAGAUCUAGCUCGAAGAACAAUAAUAUAUAGGUCAUAUGAAUGAUGGUUCAAAUGCAUUCAACACUUCAAAUUACUACUACUACAACUGUCCGCAAAAUUAUAGAAACUUGGCAUAUACCGCAAGCAUUUCUCUUGCACUCAGUCAGGGGAUCGACUUCCAGGUUCCAGCUAGUAGGAGAUUUUCAGUAGAUAAUUUCGAGGCCACUAUCUAAGAAAUUUCAUUAAGUGAUUUCUCUUGUUACUAAACCUACUACACUAUAGCUAGCUCACUAAGAAUUCGUACAAGCAAUCUUGUUACUAAACCUACUACACUAUAUGUCUUGUCAUUCCUGUCCUAGUUUUCAGUGUCAGGAGACUUUUACUAACUUAUGAACAGCAACUGCCACUAUUGACUUCGCCAAAUCAAUAAUUACAAUCACAAGAUCGACCAGGAAACACAGAUUUCAUGCAAAAGACACGGAAUUCAGCAACUAAAAUCCUCCAUGAACAAAGAUAUAGCAGUUGAAACAGUCCAAAUCAUUCAUGCAGUUCCUCACAAGAAAUCAAAUCAUAUGGAGGAUGGAUGGAGAGGCCUCCAUGCAUGCAUGUACGCUUCUUCUUCUUGGUCGCAGCGGGCGGGGAGGAGGUUCCCGCAAUCACGAGCUGUAGAUCGCCCUCGUAUUCACCAAUCUCCGGCGGGCUUCCGGCUAGUUACGGUGGCUUCCCGUGGUAUGGCAGCCAGAACUCCUCUCCCACAACCUCUGUUGUGCUGCUCACGGAAGGGAAGGGGUUUGGUUGGUGGUGGUGUUGGGCGGCAGCCAGUCGGUGCUGAAACCCGGCGAGCCGGGGGUCGACGGCGCAUUGUUCUCCGAGUCGUCCUAGGAAAAGCAAAUCAACCGAUGGAAACGUCAGAUCCGAAGGCGAUUGCUGAGCGUGGCGGCGGCGGCGAGAGGAGGGAGAUGGGGGAGAUGGUCGCUUACCAUCCGCGGGCCCCGAGAAGGCUCUUGUGGAGGGGGCGUGUGGUGGCGAGAUGAGGCUAGGGUUUCAGCAGGAAGGGGGGAAUGGUGGGGAGAGACGGUGUUUCGGUGGGAAGGGGGGAAUGGCUAGGGUUUCCGACGGCGGCGCGGUUCGGUGGCUGGGGCGAGAGGGGAGACGGCGGUGCGGAGUGGGGCAGGGCAACGGGCGACGGAGAUGGGGGAGAAGGGGCGCCGUGGGAGAGAGAGCGAGGGGGCGAUGGGGACACGGGACGAGGGGGCUUUCCCCUCGUCGAUGGGGUGGCGGCGUGGGGUGGAGUGGGAGUGAGGUUGUGGGUCCAUUUAGGGUUAGAUGGAGGUUAGGUGGGCUGGCUUGGGUCGGGCGAUUUGGGCCAAGGGGGUUUUCUUUCCGCCUUUUUAUUAUUUGUUUCUGUUUUUAUUUCAUUUUUUAACAGCUUUAGUUUUAUUUUAUUUUAGUGCAAUGAAAUCUCUUAAAAUUAAUAAUUCUUAAAGGAAAAUUCUCCUAGGUAAUAUCGGACACAUCCGAACAUUUUUAUUUUGACAUUCAAAAACUUUUAUUGCUUUAUUUUAUUUUUAAAUUCAUUUUCAAACUGUUUGAACUAAUGCAAGAUCAACAAUAGAAAUCACGGUGACGUGGCAACAUUAGUGUGGAAUCACUGUAGCUUAAUUACAUAGGUUACUGUAGCAACAAUUGAGGAUAUCACGUCGACCUCCACCGAGCCCUCCAUCGACUGUGGACGGCUCAGAUUGGAUAUAGUGGGGUAAUCCAUGAGAAUAGUUAUCAUUGGUUGGAAACAUCUACAAUUUAAAAUACUAGUUUCUAAGUGGUAAAAAUAUUGAGGGAAACUGGCGGAACUAAAUGAGCUAAAAUUUGGUGGAGUGAGGUUAUAUGGUCAGUUUCAUCCCGUGGUAAAAUUUCAUCAACUAUAAAUCAAUAUAAAAUGUACUUGCUUCACAAAAUUAAAAUAUUAGCACAAACAAAGAUUGAAUGAUGAGCUCACAUGGAUUGCUAGAUGGGGCUAAAAUUUUGUUGAGAACUAUGUUUUCGGCACAUAGAAGAUGUGGAAAAAAUUCAACUCAUCAGGAUAUUCCUAUCUAGUACUUCCUUCACAAAGCUAUUAGCUGAACACAAAUUUUGGAAAAUUUGUGAGAAAGAUUUACUAGGCAAAUCGUUACGAAAGUUUUCAUGAGGCAAUGAUUUGGAUAGGAAAGAGUGCGCAAAAAAUAUAAGGGUAAUCAAAGAAAUAGAAAUAGCACUUCCUUCACAAAAUGCUAUUUUGAACAGAGUAGGAAAAUGAAUAUUGCAGAAUUAUUUUUAAACUAUGGAAGGAAGGAUUUUUCACAUAUUUAAGGAAUAUAUGAUCCAAAGUAUUUAUGAGAAUUUUUUGAGAAUUUUUGGAAUGAUAGAAUAGUAGGUUGCUUCACAAACUAGGAUGAGGUGGGAUAGAAUGGACCCACGAGUGACAUGAUAGAAUAGUAGGAUGAGGUGACAUAGUUAGAACAUGUUACGACAUUUUUAUAAUCGUCGUAAAAGUUAUGACGAUCUCAUCUUAUGCGGUUACGACGUUUUUGACUCACAUCGUCAUAAUUUAUAUGUAGAUUUGAUCCCCUCAAACGGUUUACGAUGAUCUCGGAUGAAAUCGUCAUAGAAUUAUGACGAAUUCAUCAACGACAUCUAAAAAAACGUCAUGUAUGAGUAUAUUUCUUGUGGUGAAUGACCCACCAGCGCGUGGGAUCGAGGCGGUUUUCGAGGGUAGAGUAUUCAACCCAAAUUUGGUGAUUCGCCAAUAGGAAGUGAGAGGAUACUCUCAAGUAUUAGCAGCUGAAUGUGUCAGAUUCAACCACACCUGAAAGAUUAAUAUCUACAAGCAAAGUAACAACAACAAAGUAGUAUGAUAGCAACGGUGUCAGAAACAAUCUGUUGACGGCAGACUAUUCCUAACUGUCGUAUCAAUGGCGCCAGAAGUUGCCCGUUGACGGAAAUUGACUUUUCCCGUCAACGUCGAGCGAAUCAGAAUUGUAGCAGGUAGCAGCAGUGUAAUGAGUAGAAGAAGUGGCAAGGAACAGAAGUAGUGACAGCAGUAGCAAGUAGCAACAGUAGCAAGUAACAAUAGUAGCAAGUAGCAAAAGUAGCAAGUAACAGCAGAGCAAGUAACAGCAGCAGAGCAAAACAAGUAACAGCAGCAGUGGGACAAACUCAUAGGCAAUGGGUCGGUGAUUUGUUUGGAUGAUAUUCAUCAUGCAAGAGUUAUAACAUGGAGAGAUAUGUGGCUAACUCCUGUUCGUCAAUGUGAUGUAGGCAUGCAUUCCGUGUGUCGUCAUACGUGCUUAGGGAAAAGAACUUGCAUGACAUGUAUUGUCCAUCCCUCCCGUGGCAGCGGGGUCCAAAAGGAAACUACGGGAUAUUAAGGUUCUCCUUUUAAUAAAGAACCGGACCAACGCAUUAGCACUUGGUGAACACAUGAACUCCUCAAACUAUGGUCAUCAUCGGGAGUGGUUCCGGUUAUUGUCACUCCGGGGUUGUCGGGUCAUAACACAUAGUAGGUAACUACAACUUGCAAGAUCGGAUCUAAAACACACAUAUAUUGGUGACAACAUAAUAAUUUCAGAUCUGAAAUCAUGGCACUCGGGCCCUAGUGACAAGCAUUAAGCAUGGCAAACUAGUAGCAACAUCAAUCUCAGAACAUAGUGGAUACUAGGGAUCAAUCCCCGUCAAAACUAACUCGAUUACAUGAUAGAUCUCAUCCUACUCAUCACCGCCCAGCGAGCCUACAAAUAGAUUACUCACGAACGAUGAAGAGCUUCAUGGAAUUGGAGAGGGAAGAAGGUUGAUGAUGACGAUGGCGACGAUUUCCCCUCUCUGGAUCCCAAAACGGACUCCAGAUCUGCCCUCCAGAUGAAGAACAGGAUGUGGCGGCGCCUCCGUAUCGCAAACGCGACGAAAUCUUCUCUCUUGAUUUUUUCUGGGACGAAAGUGAAUUUAUAGAGCUAAGUUUGGGGGCGGCAGAGCCACGUGGGCCCCACAAGCUUGCUAGCCGCCACCUGGGGGUGGCGGCUACGGGGCUUGUGGCCCACUGGCCCAUCCCCUCCGGUGGAUAUUUGCGUAGGUAUUCCUCAUAUUUUCCAGAAAUAUUCACCGUAAAUUUUCAGGACGUUCUGAGGACUUUCAUUUCUGCACAAAAACAACACCAAGGCAAUUCUGCUGAAAACAGGGUUAGUCCAGGUUAGUUCCAUUCAAAUCAUGCAAAUUAGAGUCUAAAACAAGGGCAAAAGAGUUUGGCAAAGUAGAUACGAUGGAGACGUAUCAACUCCCCCAAGCUUAAACCUUGCUUGUCCUCAAGCAACUCAGUUGGCAAACUGAGAGAGAAAGAAAAACUUUGACAAACUCUAUUUGAUCUUGUUGUUGCAACUAUGUCUAACUCAUAACCAGAAUUUCAGCAAGAUCACAAGUUAACCACAUAAGCAAGUGACUAAAAGGUAUCACGGUAAACUAAUAUCAAUGGCAUAAUCAGCUAACGAGCAAAUAAUAAUGAGUUUCAAAUACCAACACUUCAAUCAAAACAAGCAUGAAGCAAUAUGAAUAGGUGGUAUCUCGCUAGCUCUUUCUAAGACCGCAAAACAUAAAUGCACAACACUUUCACAGAUCAAGGGCUGACUAAACAUUGUAAUUCAUAGCAACGAAGAUCCAGUCAUAGUCAUAGUCAAUAUCAAUCAAAAGCAAAGCAUAAAAAUGACAAAGGUGCUCUCUAAUUGGUGCUUAUACAAGAGGAGGAUGACUCAACAGGAAAAUAAAUAGACAGGCCCUUCACAGAGGGAAGCAUUGAUUUGCAGAGGUGCCAGAGCUCAAGCUUUGAAAAUAGAGAUAGUAAUUUUGGGUGGCAUGCUUUCAUUGUCAACACAAUGACCAAGAGUUCCCAAUAUCUUCCAUGCUACUAAUGCUAUAGGCGGUUCCCAAACAGAAAAGUAUAGUUUUAACUCCCCCACCACCAAUCAAUUACACUCCACGGCUAGCCAAAUCCUCGGGUACCGUCCAUACUAACAUCAAUCCGGGGGGGGGAGUCUUGUUUUACAGUUAUGUUUUCGAUUUAAGCAUGGAACUGGGCAUUCCAAUUACCUGCCCCUUUCUCAUGAAUGACAAUGAAUAAACACAUGUCGAGGAUAACACUCCUAGCAUGGAAGAUACCAAUAGCCCCCUGUCACCACAUGAGCGGUUCGGGCAUGCAAAACAGAUUAUUUCUGGAAGGUUUAGAGAGUGGCACAUGCAAAUUUACUUGGAAUGGCAGGUAGAUACCGCAAAUAGGUAGGUAUGGUGGACUCUCAUGGAAAAACUUUUGGGUUUAUGGAUGUGGAUGCACAAGCAGUAUUCCACUUAGUACAAGUGAAGGCUAGCAAAAGACUGGGAAGCGACCAACUAGAGAGCGACAACAGUCAUCAACAUGCAAUGAGUUUGACUAACAUUGAAUGCAAGCAUGAACACGAUAUAAAUCACCAUGAACACGAACGUCAUAGAGGCUAUGUUGAUUUUGUUUCAACUACAUGCAUGAACAUGCGCCAAGUCAAGCCACUUGAAUCAUUCAAAGGAGAAUACCAUCCUAUCAUACUACAUCAUAGUCAUCUCAAAAUCUAUGUUGGCAUUCAAGACAAACCAUUAUAAGCUCCUAGCUAAUUAAGCAUGGCAUCAGAAACUAUGAUCUCUAAGUUGUCAUUGCAAACAUGGUUCUCUCACAACAAAGCUAAAUCAGGCAUGACAAGCUAGUCAUAUUUACAAAAACAAAAUAGAUAGAGUUCAUACCAGCUUUUCCAGUCUCAGUCACUUCAUCAUAUAUCAUCAUUAUUGUCUUUCACUUGCACGAUCGAACGAAGUGAACAAUAAUAAGAGUUCUCGUGCAUUGGACUAAGCUGAAUCUGCAGGCAAACACAAAGGAGAAGACAAAGUAAUAUGGCUCUUUGAAAGCUAAACAGGUAUGCAUGCAAGAACCACUAAACAUUGUAACCAAUAUCUUCUACCUUGACACAAAGAAAAAGAAAACUAUUUACACGAGAAAGCUCCCAGCAAGCAAAAGAAGAAAGAAAAAUACUUUUGGGUUUUCUCAAAAUGACACAAAACAAGAAAACGAAAAUAAACUAGCAUGGAUAAUACAGUGGCAAAGUGUGAACACCGGCUAACAAAGGGAAAGCAUAAGCAUGAACGUAAGGUCGGUGAGAACACGCACUCCCCCAAGCUUAGGCUUUUGGCCUAGCUUGGUCUACUCCCAUGGAUGGUCCUGGCGAAACCCAAAAUCAUAAUGGGUGUUAUACGGGAGUGCUGCAGCCACUGCCUGAAUAGGUGCAUCACGAAGUCGAGCAGCCGUCGCCUCCCUCUCAUACUCCUCUGCCUCUCCUAUUGUUAUGUAGUAUAUUUGUUUUACCUGAAAGUCAAAGAAAGCAGGAGCAGGAAGGGUAAUAUGGAGAACACGCUACCGGUUAAAUAUCAAGCAGUAUAGGAGGGAUCCAUGAUCCAUCUCAAGAAACUGGUAGCGUGUUAGAGCGACACGAUCAAGGUAGGCUGUACGGAGAGGAGGGUCUUCUAAACGGAUGGACACUCCAAGAAAAUUUGCUAAGCGUGUAGCAUAAAUUCCACCAAAGAAAUCCCCCUCAAUGGCAUUAUUAUUCAGCCUCCUUGCUAUUAUAGCUCCCAUAUUGAAGCUCCUCUCACCUUUUACUGCACUCUUAAGGAUACUAAGAUCGGAAGNUAAUAUGGAGAACACGCUACCGGUUAAAUAUCAAGCAGUAUAGGAGGGAUCCAUGAUCCAUCUCAAGAAACUGGUAGCGUGUUAGAGCGACACGAUCAAGGUAGGCUGUACGGAGAGGAGGGUCUUCUAAACGGAUGGACACUCCAAGAAAAUUUGCUAAGCGUGUAGCAUAAAUUCCACCAAAGAAAUCCCCCUCAAUGGCAUUAUUAUUCAGCCUCCUUGCUAUUAUAGCUCCCAUAUUGAAGCUCCUCUCACCUUUUACUGCACUCUUAAGGAUACUAAGAUCGGAAGCGCAUAGGUGACAAUGUGCACCCUUGCCGUUAAUGCACCUACCUAUGAAGAAGGCAAAGUAGUGCAAGGCAGGGAAAUGGAUGCUUCCUAUGGUGGCUUGCGUGAUAUCUCUGGUUUCUCCAACAGUUAUACUGGAGACAAAGUAUCUCACCGAAGACUUAGAAGGAUGAUUAAUACUACCCCCAUUGGGUAUCUUGCAAAUCCUAUUGAAAUCCUCCAAAUCCAUGGCGUAGGAUUUAUCAUACAGAUCAAACAGUAUGGAUGAGUCAUGGCCAACUGAAAAUUUAAAUCUACGCACAAAAGAGGCAGUGAGCAUAGCAUACUAUUCACAUUUAUCUGAGAGGAAUUCUUCUAACCCGGCAUUGCGGACAAGUGUAUCAAAAUCAUACUUGAAACCUGCUUCGAUCAUGAACUCAUCGGAAGGCCAUUCACAUGGUUGUACGGGUGUGUCCCUUAGUUGAUAUGGUUCGGGCUCCCGAAAAGAAAGACGGGGACCCUUCUUACUUGAGGAACCACCAUGAAAAUUCCUCCUGAACAUAAUUUCCUUUUGCUGAAAUUUUUGAAGUUCAAGAGAAAAGUGAAUGAAGACCAACCACACCUUGUAGCAACUACUCCUACUAGUGCCUAGAGACCGUAUCACGCGCUAAAACUACUUGGGACCAGUGAUACGUCUCAAACGUAUCUAUAAUUUUUGAUGGUUUCACGCUGUUAUCUUGUCUUCUUUGGUUGUUUUAUGUACCUUUUAUAUCUUUUUUGGGACUAACUUAUUAAUUCAGUGCCAAGUGCCAGUUCCUAUUUUUUCCGUGUUUUUCACUCUUUUCAGAUCUGAUUUUGGAACGGAGUCCAAACGGAAGAAAAACCCCAAAAUGAUUUUUUCCCGAAAGGAAGAAGAUCAGGGGGGCCUUUGGGCCAAGCCAGGUGGGCUCUAGGGAGCCCAGAAGCACCCACUCUGCCACCAGGGGAGGCGGCGGUGGGCAGGCUUGUGGCCUCCCUGGCCGCCCCCUGACCUAGAUCUUUGGCCUAUAAAUUCCCAAAUAUUCCGCAAAAAAUUAGGGCAGCCUCGAAAAUACUUUUCCGCUGCCGCAAGCUUCCGUUUCCGCGAGAUCUCAUCUGAAGGCCCUUCCUAGCACCCUGCCGGAGGGGACUUUGGAGUUGGAGGGCUUCUUCAUCAUCAUCAUCGCCCCUCCAAUGACUCGUGAGUAGUUCACUUCACACCUACGGGUCCGUAGUUAGUAGCUAGAUGGCUUCUUCUCUCUCUUGGAUCUUCAAUACGAAGUUCUCCAUGAUCUUCAUGGAGAUCUAUCCGAUGUAAUCUUCUUUGGCGGUGUGUUUGUCGAGAUCCGAUGUAUUGUGGAUUUGUGAUUAGAUUAUCUAUGAUAUAUAUUUGAGUCUUUGUUGAUUUCUUAUAUGCAUGAUUUGAUAUCCUUGUAUGUCUCUCCGAGUCUUGGGUUUGUUUGGACAACUAGAUCUAUGAUUCUUGCAAUGGGAGAAGUGCUUGGUUUUGGGUUCUGCCAUGUGGUGACCUUUCCUAGUGACAGUAGGGGCAGCAAUUGCUCGACUUUGCGCGGUUCUAUCAAUUGCUCGACAGUAAUUUGUUCACCCACCGUCUAGUUGCUUUCAUGAGAGAAGCCACUAGUAAACACUACGGCCCCCGGGUCUAUUCACAUCCAUCGUUUACAUCUCCGCUUUUACUUUGCUUUGUUACUUUGUUGCUUUCAUUUCUCACUUGCCAAACAAUCUAUAAGGGAUUGACAACCCCUUCAUACCAUUGGGAGCAAGUUUUUGUGUUUGUGCAGGAUCUUGAGAUACUCCUCCACUGGAUUGAUACCUUGGUUCUCAAACUGAGGGAAAUACUUACCACCGCUACGCUACAUCACACAUUCCGCUUCGAGGGAACACCAACGCAAGGCUCCAAGUCCACGGGGGAAAUCCUUUGCAUACUUGACCAGGAAGUCCCUUAAGGCGUAGCUGCGGCAGAAAGAUCAAGCCAAGUAUUCUCCCGUCGACGUGCCUAUUUCUGGCGCCGUUGGAAGGUCUUUUGUUGCAGUAGCAGAAGUAUUUCUGGCGCCGUUGCGGGGGAGAAGAAAUCAAGAUCUAUCCAAGUAGGUCUCACAAACUCUUCUCUUGCAUUUACUUUUGUUGCCAGGUGCCUCUCGCUUUCCUCUCCCCCACUUCAAAUUUGUCGUUUUCAUUCGCCUUUCGUCUUCGCCGUUUUCUUUUGCCUUUGUCGGUUCUCUUGCUCGCUUGUGUGCCAUGUGCCUUCAAUAUGCUUGCAUCUUUGUUUGUUAAUAUCUUUAAGAGACCCACUUAUGUGGAACAAAUUGCUAGUGAGUAAAGGGAAAUUGACUAUUUCUAUGGAGUUUUUCUUAAGAUGCGUGAAUCUGAAAAUUGUGAGGAAGAAAUUCAUGAAGUGAUUCACGAGGGCUCCUUGGAUGAAAAGCAUGACUGCAAUGGUUUCAAUAUAAAUUCUAUUAGUGACAAUCAUGCUAAGAACAUGCAAAACCCUAAGCUUGGGGAUGCUAGUUUUGCUAUGACCACUACUUAUUGCAAUAAUCAUGAUUGGGGUGAUGAUCUUUCUUAUUAUCUUGAAAAUUUAUUCAAACCUCAUGAUGAAUGUGAUAUUUGCAGCAAUACUAAAAAUGGGAUUGGAGAAGUCAUGACUUUAUUUCAUGAUAUUCCCACUAUUUUUGAAGAGCGUCAACUUUGCAUGCAUGUGGAUCAUGAAAAGAAUAUCCUAUGGGGUAGCUAUAUUGUUGAAUUUGAAUAUGAUCCCACAUGUAAUUGCCAUGAGAGAGGAAAAUAUUUUGGUAGAAACUUUCAUUUUACCAAAUUACCUCUCGUUAUGUUGAGAUUGCUAUUGUCUCUUUCUUCUUCCUUGCAUAUGGCAACUAUUGGUUGUUAUCGUGGGUAUAAGUCUGACAGUAGAAGUACGGGGUACGAAAGUAUAUGGGCAGAGCCUUAGCUAUGGCUAGGAUGUAUGAGUUCAGGCCCCUCUACGGUGGAGGAAAAAGCCCUACGUCUCAGUGCUCUUGGGAGCUUUGUGUCGAGUGUAUUAAGGGAUUACUGCAAGUGCCAACCCCUGUACCAGUGGUGAAGGGCGGCUUAUAUAGAGUGCCCUCCCCUUCAUAAUGGUCCGGUGGACAUGGGUGGAGUAGGAGCGAGUAAAGGCUGGCGUUACUGGUAACGUAAGCCUUAAAUGCUAGUUAUGGUGUAUGAAAACGUAUGACCAUUGCCCUCCUGGGAGGUUACGACGUACAGAGUGGAUUCCAGUCGGUACGUUAGAUAUGCUCCGAGUGGAUCGUCGCCGACUGGAUGAUGGGGGCGUCCUUAGUUCAGUAGGAACUGUCUAAGGGCCCUGUCCUCUAUGAAGGGUAGUCCUUGGGUAGGACCUAUAGGGCAGACCUAUGACCCCAUCAUUAGUCCCCGAAUGGGUCGGGGUUGGAACGAUGAAGUGAUGUCCGGAGUUUGGAGCCGACUGGUAUUUAGGUGAUCUUAGCGUUGUCUGCCUCGAUCCAUUUUCUCUUUGUGGCUAGUGAUCCGAGUGAAUAUGCAAGCGAAAUGAACCGUGAGGGACCGAUUGCUUCCCCGGAAUCUUUCGACGUGACCGGUCAUACUGACAGCGCCGGAUUUUCCGAGAUUCUCAAAUUUCGGUUGUCGCACGCCCAGCGGGGAUGACGACAUCGCCAUUGAGUAGAUUUCGCCUCCUCGAUUACCGCGCCGUGAUCUUCUCCACUAAUCUUGCAGUAGCUGUUUGGGAGGAUAAGAUCUUGGGCCCACAUGUAGGUGACUCAGUCGGAGGCCUAUUAAAGCCUUCCCGGCGGACCUUCUUGUUGCGCUGCUCAUCUUCCUCCCAUCGAUCUCGCCUCCCCGCAACUCCCUGCACACCUUUAGCCACCUCCUCCCCCUCCUCCUGUGCGGAUCCGUCGCCCUCGCCAUGACGAAGGGGCAGACCAGCAAGCUUGAGGCGAAGAAGAGGAAGAAGGGGGCGGCCUCCACUCAGCGGCGGCAGCGGGCGUUGCCGGCGGGCUGGAUCCAGGGGGACUUCCUCCCCUCCACGGUGAGGGAGACCGACGUGCUGGAGCUGGUGGAGCACGGCAUGGUCGUCAAUAAGUCUUGGAGGCUGCCGGAAGGCGAAAUGGAGCCGGCACCGAAGGAGGGGGAGCGCGUUCUGCUGCUCAGCCACGUGGUCAGAGGUUUCUCCCUGCCUCCCCAUCCUUUGUUCCGAGGAAUUAUGAAUUACUUUGGGGCGCAGCUCCAUCACUUUCCGCCGAAUGCGAUAGCUCAUCUUUCCGCAUUCAUCACCCUGUGCGAGUGCUUCAUAGGGUGUCCUCCCCACUGCGGGCUCUUAAAAUAUGUUUUCUCCGCUAGAUCUCAAAUGGUUAAGAAGCUUAGCCAGUCCGAUGAUAAGACACACAUCCUCCAGCUCUGCGGGGGUUUAGGAUUUUAGAAGAAAACGAAAAGUAGUUAUCCCUCCCUUUAGCUAUCUGAGUCGGUUAGGAACUGGCAAUCGUCCUGGUUCUAUUGCCAGGACAUUGCCUGCCCGAAUGCUUCGAGUGGAUUACCACCCUUCAGUUUAGACCGUCCGGGCCCUCCCAGAAAGCUAGCGCUCUCUAAGUGAGAAAAACCCAGAUCCAGCCUUUGAUCGACACGCUGAUAGCCGUCGUCCGGAAGGGAGUCACCGACAUGGACCUGUUGGAGACUUUUCUGGGUCGAUGCAUCCAGCCGCUCCAGGCCCGAGACCACGCAAUGUGGCAUUACACGGGGCCUUCGGAUACCACUCGGUCCCAUCCUUAAGAUGUGAGCGAGGAGACCAUGGGUGCGUGGGUCCACAGCAUCACGGGCACAUGUGAUAACCCCGUGGGAGCUCGGCGGGUGAAGGGCUUCCACGCCCAAAAUCCUCCUCCGAAUGAGGUGAGUACAUGUUGUCGAGUGCUUUUAACCUUCUCAGUUUUAUUGCUUUUCUUGUCUCGCUGACUGAUGUUGCCGACUAUGUUUUGUGCAGGAGUGGACGAACUAGCAUUCUGCAGUCUCAAAUGGGAAUCCGGUCAAGGAAGAAGAAGGAAGCAUGGAGGGUAGCGCGGGUAGUGCCGAGUAUGUCUCUGACAGUAGGGAGACGGAGGAGGAAACAAAAGAGGAGGAGGAGGAGAGUGAAGAGCAGAGCUCGUCACCCUCACCACCAGAACACCGAACGAAGCACUGUCAUGACCCCGUUGUUCCGCCGGCUCCUCCCGUGGCCCCGAGUGCUCGGAGUGUGAACAGAACACGGGGUUCUUCUGUCGAGCCCGUGGAUCAGCCGUCCAAGGUGGCUAAACCCAGCGGGUCUAAACAUCGGAAAGCUUUGCCCCGGAUGAGGAUCGUUGUUCCGGUGGCCUCAGCGUAAGUAUCUUUGCUCUUCCAUCUUCCUUCAGUAUCCGAUUGAACUCUUCUUUUUGGGAAUUCAUGUUUACCCGUCGAAUGGAUUUCACUCAACAGAGCUGCUACCUCCUCCACCUCUCUGCUGCGUCAGGGUGACGAUCCCAUGGACACUGAUAACGCCGCCACGUCCCAGCAAGGUACGUUGUCACGAAUCCAAGAGCUGUAUUACCGUUUCGCGAGUGCUGUCUUUGAUCUUGAUCUUUUUCUGUAUUUUUAUUUUGUUCAGUCGGGCUUCCUUCGGAGGUGAUUCAUCUGGACGACGACGACCAAAGGAGGUCGGAACCAGCUUUGGCACCUGUCCUUGGGGUUAUCCAACCUACUGCCAACCCCGCCAUGAGCGUGCCGCCGACUGAGACGGUGUUCUUCACGGCGGAACCGACUGGAGCAGAGCUCGGGAUACCUAGGGCGCCUUCUGCCACGCCGGGUCCGUCGACUGUUCAAUAUGAUGCCCGGCGCCUCCCGGAAGAUCAAGUAGGAGCCGCCAAGGAUGCCAUGGUACAAGUGGAGCUGAUGGUGGGCGAAGCCAAGGGAGCAUAUGACUCCGUUGCGUCCCUGUACAAGAAGAGCUUGGAGCUUCGGGAUGAUAUCCGAGUAAGUGCGCUAGUAAGUGUUUUGGCAAGAUACUCGGAUACAGUAGGUUAAUUUUCCAGUGGGUUCACUCCGAGUGAACCCAGUGGGUGUAGUCCCCGAGACUUCUGCCGAGUGCUUGCACCGCAGUUGUCUUUAUAUGUAUUUUCCAUAAUCUCUACAGAUCAGAGCUGAUCUGCCCGAAUGGUACCAGUGGGGGCACGCCGAGUGCAACCACUGGGUGUAGUCCCCGAGAGUAGUGUUACUCGGGUCGAGUAAUAGUAAUCUCGUAGUGUUGUUGGUUUGCUAUGGAGCUCAAUGGGACCGACCGGUUCGAGCUUCAUACCAGUGGGUUCACUCUCAGUGAACCCACUGGGUGUAGUCCCCGAGACCACUGUCGAUUGCUUGCAUCGGCAGGGGUCUGAAGAAUCUUGAGCUUUGAUUGUUUUGUCAUAUCUGUCGAGACUUUUCCUUCUUGAAUCUGGCUGAUCCUCCCUUUGUGUCUCUUUGACAGAAGACUUGUGAAAUGGGAUCGGCUUAUAAUGCUCUGAAGGCUGAGAAGACUCAACUUGCUGCCGACUUGGAGGUAGCUGCGAAUGAUCUGGCUGGCAUGAAGAAGGCACUCGCUGAACGAGAAAUAUCUUUGGAGGAAUCUCGGGGGACUAACAAGGCACUACUAGCUGAGUUAGAAAAAAUGAAGAAGGAGAGAUCUGAAUGGGUGGGCCAGCUGAAGUCAAUGAACGCUCGGUGCAAAGCGCAGGAGAACUACGUCGGCGACUGGGCGAAGAAGAUGGUCGCACUGCUUGGUGGUAAGUAGCUUGCCGAGUGCUCUUUGACUUUGGAGUUCACUCCGCGCUUCUUUUCUCCCUGUCUUUUCUUUGCAGAUUUCUGUCACGACGUUGAAGCUGAAACCGCCGAAAUUGAACGGUCGCUUGGGCAACCGAAUGUUCCACUCGGUGAUGAAGCUAACCGGGACAUGUUCCGUCUGAAUUCCCGCCUUAACAAGGUGGGUCCUUUCAUUGGUCGCCUGAGAGAAGUUGUGGGCCGAAUUCACAAAGAGCUGUGGCCUGAAGAUGACUCCCGGAAUGAGAUAGAGGGGUUGACGACUCGACUGGAGGAUGCUCCAAGCAGUGUGCAGGCAUGGAAGAAGUUUGCCGCUCGGUGUGGCGCGGACGUGGCGUUGUCUCUAGUCUGAGUGCAUUGUAAGGAAGCCCGUGAAGACAAGCUGAAGAGGUUGCAGGUCGCCAACACCAAGAAGCUUCGAUUUGAAGACUUCAUGGAGACCUUUCUCGACACGGCCACUCGUAUUGCAGAUGGAAUCGACCUCGACACCUUCGUGGAGCCUGCCAGCUCCGGCGAUGCUUGAUUGACUUUAUGCUGAGCAUGCAUUUACCUCGGUAUGCCGAGUGGAGUUUGUAUUAAACUUUGGCCACUGCUGUUGGCCGGUACAUUCGUGGCUCAGUGUGGAUAAACUUGAUUCACACCGAGCCGACUGAUCGUUGAACUCAAUUUGAAUUCGAACCGGAUCUUUUGCUCUUCUUUCGUUGAGUUUUUUUUACACGAGUUUUGCUCGUGGUUUUUGUUUAGGCGACUCAGCUAAACCUCCGAGUGUAACUUGUGUGCCCACUCAGAGGAAGCUCUUUACUUAGGCAACUCUGGUUCGCAACUAAGUCCUCGAGUGUGACUUUUGGUGCACACUCGGAGUUAGUUUUUACUUAGGCAACUCUGGAUCGCAGCUAAGUCCCCGAGUGUGACUUUUGGUGCACACUCGGAGCAAGUUGUUUACUUAGGCGACUCUGAGUCGCAGCUAAGUCCCCGAGUGUGACUUUUGGUGCACACUCAGAGCGAGUUGUUUACUUAGGCGACUCUAGGUCGCAGCUAAGUCUCCGAGUGUGACUUUUAGUGCACACUCGGAGCGAGUUGUUUACUUAGGCGACUCUGGGUCGUAGCUAAGUCCCCGAGUGUCACUUUUGGUGCACACUCGGAGCGAGUUGUUUACUUAGGCAACUCUGGGUCGCAGCUAAGUCUCCGAGUGUGACUUUUUGUGCACACUCGGAGUGAGUUGUUUACUUAGGCGACUCUGGGUCGCAGCUAAGUCCCCGAGUGUGACUUUUGGUGCACACUCGGAGGGAGUUGUUUACUUGGGCGACUCUAGGUCGCAGCUAAGUCCCCGAGUGUGACUUUUGGUGCACACUCGGAGCAAGUUGUUUACUUAGGUGACUUUGGGUCGCAGCUAAGUCUCCGAAUGUGACUUUUAGUGCACACUCGGAGCGAGUUGUUUACUUAGGCGACUCUGGGUCGCAGCUAAGUCCCCGAGUGUGACUUUUGGUGCACACUCAGAGCGAGUUGUUUACUUAGGCGACUCUGGGUCGCAGCUAAGUCCCCGAAUGUGACUUUUAGUGCACACUCGGAGCGAGUUGUUUACUUAGGCGACUCUGGGUCGCAGCUAAGUCCCCGAGUGUGACUUUUGGUGCACACUCAGAGCGAGUUUUUAACUUAGGCGACUCUGGGUCGCAGCUAAGUCCCCGAGUGUGACUUUUGGUGCACACUCGGAGCAAGUUGUUUACUUAGGUGACUCUGGGUCGCAGCUAAGUCCCUGACUGUGAAUUUUGGUGCACACUCGGAGCAAGUUGUUUACUUAGGCAACUCUGGGUCGCAGCUAAGUCCCCGAGUGUGACUUUUGGUGCACACUCGGAGUUAGUUUUUUAGACCGGAGUCUGCAAACGCAGAAGAAUUUUGAAUCGGCAAGAAAUUCAUCCGCUUUGUAUUACUUCGAUGACAUUUGUUCUUUACAUUGUCUCUGUCGGCGGUUAUGUGUAGAAGUGCUUCAGUAGAUCUCCAUUCCAUGCCCGCGGCUCGUCCGUCUCCCUGUCGAGGUUGUAGAGUCGAUACGCUCCAUUGUUCCGUACCUUAGAAAUGAUGAACGGUCCUUCAUAGGCGGGAGCCAACUUGUGUGGUCUCUGUUGAUCCACUCGGAGCACCAGGUCUCCUGCUUGGAACGUGCGGCUCCUGACGUGCCGCUCAUGAAAUCGCCGCAGAUCUUGUUGAUAAAUUGUUGAACGGAUCAAUGCCAUCUCGCGCUCCUCUUCCAAAAGGUCUACUCCGUCUUGCCUGGCUUGCUCUUCUUCGGCUUCGGAGAAGAGUUCGACUCGUGGAGAGUUGUGAAGCAAGUCACUUGGAAGGACUGCCUCUGCUCCAUAAACGAGGAAAAAUGGGGAUCGUCCUGUCGAUCUAUUCGGGGUUGUUCGGAGGCCCCACAGCACCGAAGGCAGCUCGGUGACCCAUGCGCCGGCGGCAUGCCCAACUUCCCGCAGGAGUCGAGGCUUCAACCCUUAAAGAAUGAGUCCAUUCGCCCGCUCCGCUUGUCCAUUUGUUUGGGGGUGCGCAAAGGAUGCAAAAUACACUCGGAUACCUUGGCCUACGCAAAAACCUUUGAACUCGUCCGAGUUAAAGUUUGGGCCAUUGUCGGUGAUUAUGCUGUGUGGAACCCCGUAUCUGGCAAUGAUGUCUCUGAUAAAUUUGAUGGCCGUAAGGGCAUCAAGCUUCUUGAUUGGCUUGGCUUCAAUCCACUUGGUAAACUUGUCGACUGCUACCAGCAGAUGGGUGAAUCCUCCUUGGCUUGUUCUGAAUGGUCCGACUGUAUCUAAUCCCCACACGGCCAAUGGCCAAGAAAGGGGAAUUGUCUUCAGCGCGGACGUUGGCUUGUGGGACUUGUUUGAAUAGAACUCACAACCUUCGCAAUGGUCGACUAUAUCUUUUGCCAUUUCAUUCGCCUGCAACCAGAAGAAACCAGCUCUGAAUGCUUUGGCAACGAUCGCCCUUGAGGAGGCAUGAUGACCACAGGUUCCUGAGUGAAUUUCUUCCAAAAUUAACCGACCCUCCUCAGGAGAGAUACACCCCUGAAGGACGCCUGAAACACUUUCUCUGUAUAACUGGUCAUCAAUGACGGUGAAGGACUUCGACCUGCGAAUGAUCUGCCUAGCUUGGACCUCAUCUUCCGGUAACUCUUGCCUCAGGAUGUACGCAAUGAGUGGCACAGUCCAUUCGGGAAUGACAGCUAGAAUCUCCAUGACCAGGUCAACCACAGCGGGAAACUCGACUUCGAUCUGAUCUAUUGAGCUCUUCGGUUGCACAAGUUCCUCUAUAAAAGGAUCUUCUUUUACCGAGGGGAGGUGUAAGUGCUCGAGGCAGACAUCACUCGGGACAGGUCUCCGUGUGGAUCCAAGUUUUGCCAAUUCAUCUGCUGCUUGGUUUUUCAGUCGGGGAACAUGGUGAAGUUCCAUACCUUCGAACUUCUUUUCGAGCUUUCUUAUUGUGUUGCAGUAUGCAGUCAUGGUGGGGUUCCUUACAUCCCACUCCUUCAUUACUUGAUUAACCACUAGAUCUGAGUCGCCAUAGACCAUCAGGCGACGGACGCCGAGUGUGAUGGCCAUGCACAACCCGUAAAGGAGAGCUUCGUACUCUGCUUCGUUGUUGGAAAAAUCAAAAUGGAUCUGCAACACAUACUUGAGUUUAUCACCUUUCAGGGAUAUGAGCAGUACGCCGGCGCUGGAGCCAUUCAACAUCUUGGACCCAUCGAAGAACAUGGUCCAAUGAGCCGAGUAGAUGUGAGUCGGUUGCUGUUGCUCUACCCAUUCUGCCAUGAAGUCGGCAAGAGCUUAAGACUUUAUAGCUUUCUUGGCUUCGAACUUGAUGUCGCAGUAUAGCAUAUCCAUUGCUCACUUUGCCACUCGGCCUGAUGCGUCCCGAUUGUGGAGAAUUUCCGACAACGGAGCAUCAGAUAUGACAGAUACCGAGUGGUCUUGGAAAUAAUGAGCCACGUGCUUUGCAGUCAUGUAGAUCCCAUAAAUAAGCUUCUGAUAAUGGGGACACCUCUGCUUGGAAGGAGUCAGGACUUCAGAAACAUAAUAUACUGGCCGCUGAACCUUGUACGCUUUGCCUUCUUCUUCGCGUUCGACUGUCAGAAUAGUGUUGACGACUUCGUUUGUAGCCGCGAUGUACAAAAGAAGGGGUUCUUUACUGAGUGGGGCAGUAAGAACCGGCUGGGUGGAAAGCAGGGCUUUGAGGUCGUCGAAUGUGGUUUGGGCUUCGUUUGUCCACUCGAAGGUAUCCGACUUCUUCAUGAGUCGGUACAGAGGUAACGCCUUCUCGCCGAGUCGAGCGAUAAACCUGCUCAAAGCCGCUAGAAAACCUAUGAGCUUUUGUACGUCAUGUACUCUUACCGACCGCUCCAUUCGAACAAUGGUCCCGAUGUUUUCGGGGUUGACAUCGAUCCCUCGUUCGGAAACAAAGAAACCGAGUAACUUCCCGCUGGGAACGCCAAAUGAACACUUGGCUGGGUUUAGCUUGAUAUUGUACCUACGUAGGUUGGCGAAUGUUUCUGCCAAGUCAGUCAGUAGGUCGGAACCUUUGCGUGACUUGACUACGAUAUCGUCCAUAUAUGCCUCCACAUUUCGACCAAUCUGGUCUAGGAGGCAUUUUUGGAUCAUUCGCAUAAAAGUUGCUCUUGCAUUUUUCAAACCGAAUGGCAUAUUGAUGUAACAGAAGCACCCGAAUGGGGUGAUGAAAGAUGUUUUUAAUUCAUCCGGACCAUAUAGACGGAUCUGAUGGUAGCCCGAAUAGGCUUCAAGGAAGGAUAAGCGCUCGCAACCCGCAGUCGAAUCAACGAUUUGAUCUAUGCGGGGGAGCGGGAAGUGGUCUUUCGGACAGACCUUAUUAAGGUCCUUGAAAUCGAUGCACAUACGAAGAGACUUGUCCUUCUUGGGCACCAUGACAACAUUAGCGAGCCACUCGGAGUGGUGUACCUUGCGAAUGAAGUUGGCUGCCAGAAGUUUAGCUACCUCCUCUCCGAUUGCUUUUCUCUUGUGCGCGGCAGACCGACACAGUCGUUCUCGGACGGGCCGAGCGGCAGGAUCCACAUGCAGUCGGUGCUCAGCCAACUCCCUGGGUACACCUGGCAUGUCAGCAGGCUUCCAUGCAAAAAUGUCCCAGUUCUCAUGAAGGAAUUGGAUGAGCUCGGUUUCCUAUUUUGGAUCAAGGGUGGUGGAGAUGUUUGUUGGGGCGGUGGUGGCAUCCGUCGGGUGGACUCUUACUUUUUUCGUGUCUCCCGCCGACUGGAAUGCGGACUCGGAAGCUGGCUUCUUUGAACGCAUCAGGUCGGCAGGGUCGGCAAUCUUCUUGUACUCAUCCAACUCGAGUACAGCCAUCUGAUGGUCUGCAAUUCUCAACCCCUGCUGCAGACACUCCUCGGCUCGUUGCCGAUUGCGUGUGACAGUAAUCACGCCUUUGGGACCAGGCAUCUUCAGCUUCAAAUAUACGUAACAUGGACGGGCCAUGAAACGUACAUAUGCCGGACGGCCCAGAAUGGCAUGGUAUGCACUCUGGAAGUCUACCACCUCGAAUGUUAACUUCUAUUUGCGGAAGUUCUUGUCAGAGCCGAAGACGACGUCCAACGCAAUCUGGCUGAGAGAUUUUGCCUUUCUUCCUAGGACGACUCCAUGGAAUUGCAUACUGCUUUCGCUAAGUCUGGACAUCACAAUGCCCAUUCCCUUGAGAGUAUCGGUGUACAUGAUAUUCAAGCCGCUGCCGCCGUCCAUGAGGACUUUGCGCAGCCUAACUCCUUCCACCACCGGGUCGACGACCAGAGCUUGCCUCCAUGGGGUGGGUACGUGUGCUGGGUGGUCUGCCUGAUCAAAAGUGAUUGCAGUCUGUGACCACUUGAGGAACGUGGGAGUGGAUGGGGUUGCCAUGUUUACCUCCCUGCUGACCAGCUUCAGUCGACUUUUGCUUUCUACAUCAGCAAAAAUCAUUAAUUUUGCAUGGACUUGAGGGAACGGAUCCUCCUUGUCCUCAUCAUCUUUCUCGGUGUCUUUCUCACUCGGCUGUCCUUCACCGAAUCCUUGGAUCAGGAGGCGACACUACCGAGUGGUAUGUUUCGGCAAUAUGACAUUGCCUUCUUCAUCCAUCUUCGUGUGGAUUGGACACGGCUGAUCUAGGAUGGAAUUUCCUGACUGUUUCUUCUUGGGGGUGUACUGUGGUUUCCCCUUGCCUUUGAACUUAGCGUUUGUAACGACUGCCGCCUCUGCUUGCGGAGUGGAUUGGGCUUUCUAUUUCUGCUUCCGACUGCUGCUCCCAUCUCCGUCGGCGACUGACUUAUGCUUGCCGCUACGUAUGCGGUCCUCCUCUUCGCCAUUUGCAUAGCACGCAGCUAUCUCCAUCAUCUUGCUCAUGGAGAUGUCGCCUGUCCGACCAAACUUCAGGUAUAGAUCUUUGUACCGAACGCCUGCCUUGAAGGCGCAGACUGCUUGGUGUUCUGUAACAUUCUCCACCGUGUGGUAGAGGGUUGUCCAGCGUUGGGUAAAAUCGCGCAGGGGCUCGUUUUGCUUCUGGACACAGUGCUGAAGCUUUGUGAGACCAGCGGGGCAUUUGCACGUACCCUUGAAGGUCCUGAUGAAGACUCGGGACAGAUCUGCCCAACUCGAAAUGGUUGAUGGAGCUAACUGGUUUAGCCAAGCUCGAGCCGAACCGUCGAGCAUCAAUGGGAGAUGUUUCAGGGCGACAUGGUCAUCUCCGCCACCGAUGUGGACCACCACUCUGUAGUCGUCUAACCAAGUUUCUGGUUUGGACUCUCCUGUGAAUUUGCUGAAUCCCGUCGCCAAUCGGAAGUUGGGAGGGAUGUCAGCCGAGCGAAUGGCCCGACUGAAACACUCGGGACCAGAAACAACGGUCCUGCUUCCACUCGGAUGAUCUCUAUCGUGACCACCACGGUGGGCUCGGCUUCUAUCAACCUUCUUUUGAGUGAUAUACCCUCUUGCAUCAGGCCUUUGAUCAUGCGCGUCACCGCCCGAACGACAAUCAUCGUAAUGCGGGGGUCCGUAAGGCCCACUCCGCCGAGGAGUACGCGAACGGCGAUGAUCUUCGGGAUGAGACCGAAUGGAAGGUGGAUUCCGACUCUGGUCCCUGGAAUGAUCGUUCCAGAGGCUGCCCCCUCUGCGACGCUGGUGAGAGCUGGGACUGAAAACCGACCGAUGUGUGUUCGCUUGAACGGAACUGUUGUGGAUCUUGUUGUGCGACUGGGAGACCGCCGAGUUUUGCUGCUGCACCGUAUGUAACAAGGCACGGAUCUGCUCAAUUCCUCUACCAGCCUCUGAAUCAGUCGGCUGGAGAGAAUCAGUGAUCUUGGCGGCUGCAGCCAAGUUGAGGAUGGGUGUGCGGAACACCUCGACGUGGCUCUGGCGAACGCGUCGACUGGAAGAACGAGGGUGCUGACGACGAGCGCCGGAUGAUUCUCCGAUCUCACGCUCGUUCCGACCAGUCCCGGGCGACUUUUGUGGGAAUCGGCCAUGAGCACUUCGGCCGUAGGCCCGUGACCCUGAUACUCGGAAGGUAGUUCAGUCGGAAAUGAGUCCAAGCACUGGGAUGACCGCGGGACCACAACCGAUUCAAGCACCACCACUUGAGAGGACAUGUUUUGUCGCGCUAGGGCGUGUCGCACCCAACGCUGGAGCCCCGAACGACCGGAUAGCUUGUUGCGGUGCGUGACGGGGGCGAAGAUCGAAACCGGGGUCGAUGGCUGGACAAGAAGAACACCGCAGGAACUGGCACGGAAGUGCGUAGCCCCGCGACUCGGAAGCGUCUUGACAUCGAGGGGCGCAUCCUGAUGCCAUGCCGAAUCAUCAGCGAUGAAGGAGAGCGCACCGAAGAGGAUCUCACGACCCAUGCACAGAUCUCCGCCGGAUGACAUGACGAAGAGAUGAAAUCACAAACUCGCCGGAAGUCGCUUAUACGCCAGCCCCACGGUGGGCACCAACUGUCGUGGGUAUAAGUCUGGCAGUAGAAGUACGGGGUAUGAAAGUAUAUGGGCAGAGCCUUAGCUACGGCGAGGAUAUAUGAGUUCAGGCCCCUCUACGGUGGAGGUAAAAGCCCUACGUCUCAGUGCUCUUGGGAGCUUUGUGUCGAGUGUAUUAAGGGAUUACAGCAAGUGCCAACCCUUUUAGCAGUGGUGAAGGGCGGCUUAUAUAGAGUGCGCUGCCCUUCAUAAUGGUCCGGUGGACAGGGGUGGAGUAGUGGAGAGUAAAGGCUAGCGUUACUGGUAACGUAAGCCUUAAAUGCUAGUUAUGGUGUAUGAAAACGUAUGACCGUUGCCCUCCUGGGAGGUUAUGCCGAACAGAGUGGAUUCCAGUCGAUACGUUAGAUAUGCUCCGAGUGGAUCGUCGCCGACUGGAUGAUGGGGGCGUCCUUAGUUUAGUCGGAACUGUCUAAGGUCCUUGUCCUCUAUGAAGGGUAGUCCUUGGGUAGGACCUAUAUGGCAGACCUAUGACCCUACCCUGGGACUAUAACCCCACCAGUUGUCUUGACAAUCUGUUUUCCUAUAAAAUGCCUAUGCAUAGGAAGUAUGUUAGACUUAGAUAUGAUUUUCACAUGCUUUAGGAUGCUCUCGUUGUGCUUCAAUUCUUGUCUUUUGUGAGAGCAUCAUUGAAUGCCUAGCUAAGGGCGUUAAACAAAAACGCUUGUUGGGAGGUAACCCAACGACUCUAUCCUUUUUCUUUCUGUUUUGUGUUUCCCACACUUUCAUAAUUCUGUUAUGAUUGUGUUUUUUUUGUUUCUUUUUGCGUUUGUGCCAAGCAAAACCGUUAUGAUUAGUCUUGGGGAUGAUCGUUUGGCCAUGCUGGAAAAGACAGAAACUUUCUGCUCACGAAAAGAAUUUUCAUUUUUUGUCUGUAAGAGAUUUUGAGUUGAUUCUUUUUGCUGCUGAUUGCUACAGAAGUUCUUCAGACUGUCUUAAGUUUUCAGAAUUUUUGAAGUAACAGAGUUAUACGGAAUAUACAGAUUGCUACAGACUGGUCUGCUGUUAACAGAUUCUGUUUUUGUUGUGUUGGUUGCUUAUUUUGAUGAAACUAUGGAUAGUAUCGGGGGGUAUUAGCCAUGGAAGAUUGAAAGUACAGUAACCCAACAUCAGCACAAGUAGAAUUUAAGUUUGCUACAGUACCUAAGGAAGUGGUGGUUUGCUUUUUCUUGUACUAAUGUUAUCACGAGUUGUUGUUUAUGUUUCGUGUUGUGAAGUUUUCAAGUUUUGGAUGAAGUUCUUAUGGACAAAGAGAUAAAGAGUGGCAAGAUCUCAAGCUUGGGGAUUCCCAAGGCACCCCAAGAGAUUCAAGGAUGCCGUAAAAGCCUAAGCUUGGGGAUGCCCCGGGAAGGCAUCCCCUCUCUCGUCUUCAAUCCAUCGGUAACGUUACUUGGGGCUAUAUUUUUAUUCACCACAUGUUAUGUGUUUUUGCUUGGAGCGUCUUGUAUCGUAGGAGUCUUUUUUUUGUUGUGUCACAAUCAUCCUUGCUGACACCUAGAGAGAGAGACAUGCACACACCGUGAUUUUGUCGAGCUUCACUUAUAUCUUUUGGUAGACAAUUCAGCUCACAUGCGCUUCACUUAUAUCUUUUGAGCUAGAUACUUUUGCUCUAUGUGCUUCACUUAUAUAUUUUAGAGCACAGAGGUGCGUGGCUUGGUAGCUGAUCUAUGCUUUGAAAGUAGUCUCAAAAGGGGUAGUUAUCCAAAGGGAUACGAAAACUUCCACCUUCAUGUGCAUUGAAUAGUUAGAGAAGUUUGAUUCAUCUCAAUUAGUUUUGAGUUCUGGUUAUGGUAAUAUUAAAGUCAUGCUAGUAAGGUGUUGUGGAUCUAGAAAUACUUGUGUUGAAGUUAGUGAUUCCCGUAUCAUGCACGUAUGUGAACCGCUAUGUGAUGAAAUCUAAGCAUGAUUAGUCUAUUGAUUGUCAUCCUUUGCGUGGCGGUCGGGAUCGCGCGAUGGUUUAUACCUACCAGCCCUUCCCCUAGGAGUAUGUGUUGAAUGCUUUGUUUCGAUUACUAAUAAAUUUUUUGCAACAAGUAUAUGAGUUCAACACGACUAAUGUUGAGUCCAUGGUUUAGAUGCACUUUCACCUUCCUUCAUCACUAUCUUCUUAGUGCCGUGCAACUUUCGCCGGUGCACAAAACCCACCAUUAGCCUCCCUCAAAACAGCCACCAUACCUACCUACUAUGGCUUUUUCAAAGUCAUUCCGAGAUAUCUUGCCAUGCAACUACCACCAUGACAUGUGCCACCACGUCUACAUUGCCAUUGCAUGAUCGUAAGAUAGCUAGCAUGAUGGUUCCAUUGAUGUCUAUGCCAUGCUAGAUCAUUGCCACGGUACACUACCGAAGGCAUUCCAUAUAGAGUCAUCGUUACUCUAAGUUUUGAGUUGAAAGUGUGAUGAUCAUCAUUAAUGGAGCAUUGUCCCAUGUGAGGAAAUAAAAGAGGCCAAGGAAGCCCACCAAAAAAAAGAGGCCAAAGAGCCCACCAAAAUAAAAAAAAAUGAGAGAAAAAGAGAGAAGGGACAAUGCUACCACUUUUUCCACACUUGUGCAUAUUGAGCACCAUGAUCUUCAUGAUUGAGAGUCUCUCGUUUUGUCACCACCAUAUAGCUAGUGGGAAUUUUUCAUUAUAUAACUUGGCUUGUAUAUUCCUAUGAUAGGCUUCCUCAAAAUUGCCUUAGGUCUUCGUGAGCAAGCAAGUUGGAUGCACACCCACUAGUUUUCUUUAAGAGCUUUCACAUACUCAUAGCUCUAGUGCAUCAAUUGUAUGGCAAUCCCUACUCAUUCACAUUGAUAUCUAUUGAUGAGCAUCUCCACAGCUCAUUGAUUUGCCUAGUUAAUGUCACUAUCUUCUCCUUUUUGUCUUGCAACCUCCACUACAUUCCACACCAUCUAUAGUGCUAUAACCAUGGCUCACGCUCAUGUAUUGCGUGAGAGUUGAAAAGGUUUGAGAAAGUAAAGGUGUGAAACAAUUACUUGGCCAAUACCGGGGUUGUGCAUGAUUUAACUUCAUUGUGCAAUGAUGAUAGAGCAUAGCCAGACUAUAUGCUUUUGUAGGGAUAACUUUCUUUUGGCCUUGUUAUUUUGAAAGUUCAUGAUUACUUUGCUAGUUUGCUUGAAUUAUUAUUGUUUCCACGUCAGUACCAAACUAUUGUUUUGAAUCUAAUGGAUCUGAACAUUCACAUCACAUGAGAGGAAUUACAAAGGACACCUAUGCUAGGUAGCAUGAAAGCAUCAAAAAUUCAUUCUUAUCACUUCCCUACUCGAGUACGAGCAGGAGUUAAGCUUGGGGAUGCUUGAUACGUCUCAAACGUAUCGAUAAUUUUUUAUGGUUUCACGUUGUUCUGUUUUCUUCUUUGGUUGUUUUAUGUACCGUUUAUAUCUUUUUUGGGACUAACUUAUUAAUUCAGUGCCAAGUGCCAGUUCCUUUUUUUCCCAUGUUUUUGACUCUUUUCAGAUUUGAUUUUGGAACGGAGUCCAAAUGGAAGAAAGACCCCGAAAUGAUUUUUUCCCGAACAGAAGAAGAUCAGGGGGCCUUUGGGCCAAGCCAGGUGGGAUCCAGGGAGCCCACAAGCCCCCACUCCACCACCAGGGGGGGAGGCUGCGAUGGGCAGGCUUCUGGCCUCCCUGGCCGCCCCCUGAUCUAGAUCUUUGGCCUAUAAAUUCGCAAAUAUUCUGCCAAAGAUCAGGGGAGCCUCGAAAAUACUUUUCCGCCUCCGCAAGCUUCCUUUUCCGCGAGAUCUCAUUCGGAGACCCUUCCCGGCACCCUGCCGGAGGGGACUUUGGAGUUGGAGGGCUUCUUCUUCAUCAUCAUCGCCCCUCCAAUGACUCAUGAGUAGUUCACUUCAGACCUACGGGUCCGUAAUUAGUAGCUAGAUGGCUUCUUCUCUCUCUUGGAUCUUCAAUACAAAGUUCUCCAUGAUCUUCAUGGAGAUCUAUCCGAUGUAAUCUUCUUUGGCGGUGUGUUUGUCGACAUCCAAUGAAUUGCGGAUUUGUGAUCAGAUUAUCUAUGAUAUAUAUUUGAGUCUUUGCUGAUUUCUUAUAUGCAUGAUUUGAUAUCCUUGUAAGUCUCUCCGAGUCUUGGGUUUUGUUUGGCCGACUAGAUCUGUGAUUCUUGCAAUGGGAGAAGUGCUUGGUUUUGGGUUCUGCCAUGUGGUGACCUUUCCCUGUGACAGUAGGGACAGCAAGGCACACAUCAAGUAGUUGCCAUCAAGGGUAAAAAGAUGGGGGUUUUAUCAUUGGUUUGAGAUUAUCCCUCUACAUCAUGUCAUCUUGCUUAAGGCGAUACUCUAUUCUUAUGGACUUAAUACACUAGAUGCAUGCUGGAUAGCGGUCAAUGUGUGGAGUAAUAGUAGUAGAUUCAGACAGUAUCGGUCUACUUGUUUUGGACGUGAUGCCUAUAGAAAUAAUCAUUGCAUAGAUAUCGUCACGACUUUGCGCGGUUCUAUCAAUUGCUCGACAGUAAUUUGUUCACCCACCGUCUACUUGCUUUCAUGAGAGAAGCCACUAGUAAACACUACGGCCCCCGGGUCUAUUCACAUCCAUCAUUUACAUCUCCGCUUUUACUUUGCUUUGUUACUUUGUUGCUUUCAGUUAUCACUUGGCAAACAAUCUAUAAGGGAUUGACAACCCCUUCAUACCGUUGGGAGCAAGUUUUUGUGUUUGUGCAGGAUCUUGAGAUACUCCUCCACUGGAUUGAUGCCUUGGUUCUCAAACUGAGGGAAAUACUUACCACCGCUACGCUACAUCACCCUUUCCGCUUCGAGGGAACACCAACGCAAGGCUCAAAGUCUCCCCUUUUACUUUGCUUUGUUACUUUGUUGCUUUCAGUUCUCACCUGGCGAACAAUCUAUAAGGGAUUGACAACCCCUUCAUAGCGUUGGGAGCAAGUUUUUGUGUUUGUGCAGGAUCUUGAGAUAAUCCUCCACCGGAUUGAUACCUUGGUUCUCAAACUAAGGGAAAUACUUACCACCGCUACGCUACAUCACCCUUUCCGCUUCGAGGGAACACAAACGCAAGGCUCCAAGGCCACGGGGGAAAUCCUUUGCAUACUUACCUAGGAAGUCCCUUAAGGCAUAGCCGCAGCAGAAAGAUCAAGCCAAGUAUUCUCCCGUCUACGUGCCUAUUUCUGGCGCCGUUCGAAGGUCUUUUUUUGCAGUAGCAACCAGCUAAAUCAACAUUUCUAGCUCAAGAAUAGGGUCACCAAGGUAGCAAGAAUACGCGAAGGAUAAAACAGUAGAGCAAAAACUAAUUGGAGCAAUGGAGGUGUCACUUACCAAGAAGUAAUUUCCCCAAAACGGUUCGGAUAAUGGUGCUUUGAGCAAGGAGAUCGAAAAUCACAGCCAAAUGAGCAAGAACACGGGUUUGAGCUACGAAACAAUUUUUUCUGGAGGUGAAAGAAGAGGAUGGGAGUUGGAAUGAGUGGAGGGGGUCCCUGUGGGCCGCACAAGCUUGCUAGCCGCCACGAGGGGGGGCGGCAGCUGCAGGGCUUGUGGCCCACUGGUCGGGCCCCCAGGCCAGCUCUCAGGCCCAGUAUUUUUCAAAUAUUCUAGAAAAAAUCAUACUAGAUUUUCAGGACCAUCGGAGAACUUUUAUUUUCGGGGUAUUUUUCUCCAGGACGCUAAAACAGAAAACAGGAAAAUCUAAACUAAAUCUAUCAUUUUUCUUCUAAGCAAUAGAAAAUGAAAGCUCAAAACAGAGUUAUGUGACUCUUUGAUUCAUCCAUUUCAUGGUCAUCGAAAGAAAUCCGUCAAUGGGGUUGAUCAAGUCCUCAUGACAAAACCUUCUCGAAUCGCAAGAGAGAACGGAGAAUUUUCGAAUAACCACUAAGUCACCUCAAUGGGGAUAUGUAUCUCCCCAACAAGCAAAUCAUACUUCAUCUUGACACGAGGAAUAGGGCAUUCAAAGCUCCCAACAAGAAUCGAUGAAGGCUUUUCAAUAGCAUUGAUGCAAUGUACUUGAUAUCGUUUCUUCGGAAAGUGCACUGUGUGCUCAUUACCGUUGACAUGGAAAGUGAAAUUGCCUUUGUUGCAAUCUAUAACAGCCCCUGCAGUGUUUAAAAAGGGUCUUCCGAGGAUGACGGCCAUGGCAUCAUCCUCGGGAAUAUCCAAGAGAACAAAGUCUGUUAAGAUAGUAGUCUUAGCAACCACAACAGGCACAUCCUCGCAAAUGCCGAUAGGGAAAGCAGUUGAUUUGUCGGCCAUUUGCAGAGAAAUUUCAGUGGGUGUCAACUUAUCCAAUUCAAGUCUACGAUAAAGAGAGAGCGGCAUAACACUAACACCGACUCCAAGGUCACAUAAGGCAUUUCUUACGUAGUUUCCUUUAAUAGAACAAGGUAUAGUGGGCACUCCGGGAUCACCAAGUUUCUUAGGAGUUCCACCUUUGAAAGUGUAAUUGGCAAGCAUGGUGGAGAUCUCAAGAUCUGGUAUCUUCCGUUUAUUAGUCACGAUAUCUUUCAUUUACUUGGCAUACAGAGACAUUUUGAGCAUAUCAGUUAACCGCAUCUGCAGAAAGAUGGGUCUUAUCAUCUCAACAAAGCGCUCAAAAUCCUCAUCAUCCUUUUUCUUGGAUGUCUUGGAGGAAAGGGCAUAGAUCUCUGAACCCAUGGAUCCCUUUCUUUACCAUGCUUCCUAGCAGUGAAGUCAUUCUUAUCGUAUCUCUUAGGUUGUGGGUUAUCAGGAUUAACCGUAGGUUCAAUCUCCACAUCCUCAUCAUUGCUAGGUUGUGCAUUAUUAUGAACAUCACUGUCCAUAUUGUCACCAGGUUCAUGUUCAUCACCAGAUUGUGUUUCUGCAUCAGACGCAGAAAUAUCAUUAGAUUCUUCAGGUGUGACAGUAUUUGGUGAACUGGCAUGUAGGUUUCUAUCAUCCUUCUUCUUCUCAUUAGGAUGACUGGGUGUAUCAGCAUUAAUUCCUUGAGAAUCUUGAUCAAUUCUCUUAGGAUGACCUUCAGGAUACAAAGGUUCCUGAGUCAUUUUGCCUCAUGUAGUAAUGACUCUGACAGAGUUGUCUUUUAACUCAUUGAGCAAGUCAUUCUGAUCUUUAAGUACUUGUUCUACCUGAGUAGUAAUCAUAGAUGAAUGUUUACUCAGAAGCUUCAGAUCAUUGACAUUUCUGUCUACACAAGCACUUAAAUGGCUAAGCAUACGAGUACUUUGUUCCAAAUGUCUGCUAACAUAAUCAUUGAAACUCUGUUGUUUGGCAACAAAGUUGUCAAAUUCAUCAAAGCAUAGGCUAGCAGGUUUGUCAAAAGGAAUAUCACUCUCAUCAAACCUACAUAGAGAAUUCACUUCUACUACUUGUAUCGGGUUAUCGAGACCAUGGAUCUCUUAGAUAGGUGGUAGAUUUUUGACAUCUUCAGAUCUAAUGCCUUUCUCUUGCAUAGAUUUAUUGGCUUCUUGCAUAUCUUCGGGACUGAGGAAUAGAAUACCUCUUUUCUUAGGAGUUGGCUUAGGAGGUGGUUCGGGAAUAGUCCAAGCAUUAUCGUUGAUCAAGAUGUUAUUCAGUAGGAUCUCAGCUUGUUCGAUAGUUUGUUCCCUAAAAACACAACCGGCACAACUAUCUAGGUGGUCUCUAGAGGCAUCGGUAAGUCCGUUAUAGAAGAUAUCAAGUAUCUCGUUCUUCUUAAGAGGGUGAUCAGGCAAAACAUUUUGUAGUUGGACGAUCCUCCCCCAAGCUUGUGGGAGACUCUCUUCUUGGAGUUGAGCAAAGUUGUAUAUUUCCUGCAAGGCAGCUUGCUUCUUAUGGGCAGGGAAAUUUUUCUCACAGAAGUAAUAGACCAUAUCCUAGGGACUACUCACACAUCCAGGAGCAAGAGAGGUGAACCAGGCUUUAGUGUCAUCCUUUAAAGAGAAAGGAAACAACUUAAGGAUGUAGUAAUGGCGGAUCUUCUCCUCACUAGUGAAAAGGGUGGCUAUAUCGUGUAGUUUGGUAAGAUGGCCUACGACCGUCUCAGACUCAUAACCGUGGAAAGGAUCAGAUUCGACUAGAGAGAUUAUCUCAGGAUCGACAGAGAAUUCAUAAUCCUUAUCGGUGAUAAAGAUAGGUGAAGUGGCAAACUUCGGGUCGUAUUUCAUCCUAGCUUUCAUUCAUCCUAGCUUUCAGAGAUUUUUCCUUCCACUUGAGAAGUAAUUUCUCAGCGUCAUAGGCAUCCUUACACGCAAGAAAAUCCUCAUCUAUCUCUCCCUCCAUAACAUAACCCUCAGGUAUAUCAGGCAAUUCAUAUCUAGGAGAGCUAGAUCUAGCAGGAGAAAAAGCAGGUUCUAUCUCAAUAGUAUCGGCAUUUUCAGAAGCAUCACGAGCAAUGGCAGUAGCUCUAGCAAUAUGAGCAUCAAGGAACACCCCUAGUGGAACAUCAGGCAAAGUAGCGUCUCUAGCAGUAUCAAGCAUAGCAUCAUGAGGCAUAGCAUCUCUAGCAGUAUCAGGCAUAGCAUCGCUAGCAGUAUGAGGCAUAGCAUCUCUAGCAGUAUCAGGCAUAACAUCUCUAGUAGUAUCACGCAUAGCAGCAUCAUAAGCAUCAUCAAGCACAGGCGACAUAUCAAGAUUUCUAGCAGGAGGUGAUGUCGCAAACUUACUCAUAACUGAAGGUGAAUCAAGUGCAAAGCUAGAUGGCACUUCCUUACCUCCCCUCGUAGUUGAGGGCAAGACUUUGGUUUUCGGAAACUUCAGAUUCUUCAUAGUGAUCAGCAGAUAUAAAUCCCAAGUAACUUAGAGAAUAUAGCAAUCGCAUCCCCGGCAACGGCGCCAGAAAAAUGCUGAUGGCACUCUCUGGCAAUGGCUAGACGAAUGCUAUUCUCGAUUGCUCAACAAUUAGAAAUUGUCUUGCAAUGACCCACCAGCGCGUGGGAUCGAGGUAGUUUUCGAGGGUAGAGUAUUCAACCCAAAUUUGUUGAUUCGCCAAUAGGAAGUUGGAGGAUACUCUCAAGUAUUAGCAGCUGAAUAUGUCAGAUUCAACCACACCUGAAAGAUUAAUAUCUGCAAGCAAAGUAUCAACAACAAAGUAGUAUGAUAGCAAUGAUGUCAGAAACGAUCUGUUGAUGGCACACUAUUCCUAACUAUCGUAUCAAUGGCGCCAGAAGUUGCCCGUUGACGGAAAUUGUCUUUUUCUGUCAACGUCGAGCGAAUCAGAAUUGUAGCAGGUAUCAGCUGUGUAACGAGUAGCAGCAGUGGCAAGGAACAGUAGUAGUGACAGAAAUAGCAAGUAACAGCAGUAGCAAGUAACAGCAGUAGCAAGUAGCAACAGUAUUCAUCAUGCAACAGUUAUAACACGGAGAUAUAUGUGGCUAGCUCCCGUUCGUCAAUGUGAUGUAGGCAUGCAUUCUGUGUGUAGUCAUACGUGCUUAGGGAAAAGAACUUGCACGACAUCUAUUGUCCAUCCCUCCCGUGGUAGCGGGGUCCAAAAGGAAACUACAGGAUAUUAAGGUUCUCCUUUUAAUAAAGAACCGGACCAAAGCAUUAGCACUUGGUGAACACAUGAACUCCUCAAACUAUGGUCAUCACCGGGAGUGGUUCCGGUUAUUGUCACUCCGGGGUUGCCGGGUCAUAACACAUAGUAGGUAACUACAACUUGCAAGAUUGGAUCUAAAACACACAUAUAUUGGUGACAACAUAAUAAUUUCAGAUCUGAAAUCAUGGCACUCAGGCCCUAGUGACAAGCAUUAAGCAUGACAAAGUAGUAGCAACAUCAAUCUCAGAACAUAUUGGAUACUAGGGAUCAAUCCUCGGCAAAACUAACUCGAUUACAUGAUAGAUCUCAUCCUACUCAUCACCGCCCAGCGAGCCUACGAAUAGAUUACUCACGAACAAUGAAGAGCUUCAUGGAAUUGGAGAGGGAAGAAGGUUGAUGAUGACGAUGGUGACGAUUUCCCCUCUCCGGAGCCCAAAACGGACUCCAGAUCUGCCCUCCAGAUGAAGAACAGGAUGUGGCGGCGCCUCCGUAUCGCAAACGCGACGAAAUCUUCUCUCUUGAUUUUUUCUGGGACGAAAGUGAAUUUAUAGAGCUAAGUUUGGGGGCGGCAGAGCCACGUGGGCCCCACAAGCUUGCUAGCCGCCACCUGGNCUACCCGCCACCAGGGGGGUGGCAGCUAUAGGGCUUGUGGCCCACUGGCCCAUCCCCUCUGGUGGAUCUUUGCGCGGGUAUUUUUCAUAUUUUCUAGAAAUAUUCUUCGUAAAUUUUCAGGACGUUCUGAGAACUUUCAUUUCUGCACAAAAACAACACAAAGGCAAUUCUGCUGAAAACAGCGCGAGUCCAGGUUAGUUCCAUUCAAAUCAUGCAAAUUAGAUUCCAAAACAAGGGCAAAAGAGUUUGGAAAAGUAGAUACGAUGGAGACGUAUCAAUGACGACAAGUACUAUCAAGCAAUGGAGAAUAAAUGCUAAUGAUAUAGAGAUGUGAAACCUCUAUGAAUGAAGAACCGAAAAAACUCCAUCCUCAAAAACGACAUAGAAUAUGCAUAUGAACUCCGUUUUCGAUGAACUUGAACUUGUCAUGAAUAUGACCAUAAGCUCAAGAACGCGCAUAGGGAAAAACCAUCCAAGAACCAAGAAAGAUUAUCUUUCCAAUAAUGCAUUGGUUUGAGCUCUCAACAGACGAUAUGAUCAAGCUACUCACUUGAGAGCCCCCCUUGGUAGUACGACAAUCUAUCCUAUAACCCGGUCUCCCAACUAACGCGCUGAGACCGGUAAAAUAGAAAACCUAUUAAGGACAAAUAUUUGCCUUGCGCAUAGUCCACUUGAGCUAAAUGAUGAUGAUGUUGUACUCCUCAAGAUUGACCACCUUCCUUCAUUGUGUUGGCUUGAUGAAGACUAGUUGAUUGCGCCCCAUACUUCACUAUAGGAAAGCAACUCUUCGGCACAUCUUCACCAUAGUGGACGACAAGAUUCAAGCAUGAUCUCGUCUGAUGCUCCACUUGAACUUGCACGCUGCAAUCUUCCAUGGGUUGAAUGAGACUUCCUGUUGACGCGGUCCCAUGGAAACACACCUACCCCACAUAGAACUUUCACAAAGACCAUGGGUUAGUACACAAAGCGUAAUGGACAAUGCUUACCGUACCAUGGGCUCACUUGAUCCCUCUCGGUACAUCUUGUACGCUUUGUGUGUUGAUCAACUUGAUUUACUCUUUGACUUAGUCUUGACCAACGUUGUGUAUUUAUGACCAAUCUUUGGAUAAAACCUUGAAUACCAUAUUGGUCAUCAUAUAAACUCUUUGAAACCAUUAGAUGGACUUCAAGAAGUGCCUAUGAACAAAUCCUUCGAAUAUAACUCAAGGCAAGCAUAUGCUCUAACAAUUCCCUACCAGGCACAUCAUUCAAAAGGAUGGAAGGUGUUCCAUAGGAUAGUAUCUUAUUGAUCCAAGUGAUGGAUCCAAUUUUUACGCACUUUUUAUAGCUCAUUUGUCGCCUAUUAUCUCCAUAUAGCAUGUUCUAUUGAGCAAAUGACAUGUACAUAUGCAUAAUUUCAAUUAUUUAUCAUGUCCAACACAAGGAUUGCAUAAUCGUUAUUCUUUGUUAGUGCUUAUAUGUGUCUUAUUUGUUUUUGUGUGUUUUGUAAGCAAUGUGGAACUCCCAUCCACUUAACACAAUGAAAAGGAUCCAAACGGAGGACAUCUAGGCACCAGACUUAGGCAGUCGGUUUUCAGAUGCUAAAAAUCAAUAUCUGCAUUGUAGGUUCAUGAGCGUUCUUCUCGUGAUUCCAACGAGUAGAGGAACGUUGAAAACAGAGUAUGGAUGUCAAAUUUACAAUUUUACCGAAGAGUCCAAACCAUUUAGUGACCUUUGGGAGGGAAAAAAUACUCGUCCCAGGCCCACACAAGCUCAAAAGUUGCAGGAUUUCAUUAUCGUUUGUUCCUACUACUUUCUUGUCCAUCAAGGGAUGUUUUGGGAAAGGAUUUGGUUCACCGAGAGCACUUAUAUCAAAGUAGAUGCUACAUCAAUGAAAGAGGGUUUGGGAGAGCUCUUAUAAAUAUAUCUCCAACCCUAACCACUCGGGGACACCAUCCAUAUCCACCUAUCCAUGCUCAGCUGUCAUCCCCAUCAAGAGGAACUUGGGGGUUGUGCCAAGCCUACAUCUCCAUUGUUGCAACCUUGGAGGAAGACUAGGAGGGAGUCAUGCUGGAAAAGCGUCAUGGGGGCUGCGGUCAUGGGCCAUAGCUGUCACAUCGUCCUCACCUAGCUACACCCCUUCUCAUUCCCCCAUCACGGUCUCCGUGAUGAAUUGUAACAACUCUUGAACCCCUUUAUAUGUGAUGUUAUUUGAGUAAUUCUUGGCUAUGGGUUGAUCAGCUAGUAAGCAUUUAUUUGAUAUGCGUCGUCUAUUUAUGCCUAUCAUCUUCAUGUUAUUAUUUACCCUUGCGGUAAUUUAGUGAUUGCAGCUGUACCGUCCAUUAGUGUAGUUGGAGACGUUCAACUCCCUAGGUCACACAUGAAGUUGAUAGAUACUUGUCCAUAUCGAGAGACCUCCGGGGUGACAGGCAUCGAUAUCUUGAGGGGAAUAAAAUUAUCCGAAGGAUCACGGUUGUUCAUAGAACUUAUUGCAUUCGGUUCAUGCCUUAUGAUAUUAAUGUCUUUCUUUUGCCCACUCACAGUAUGGGACAGGAAAUAGGAAGAGAGAGUUGUCUGAGUAUGACGAUGUUUGAGAGACAAUGUUAUGUGAGGGACCGCCCACCAUUGAUCAAUUGCGAUAUCGUAUAAUGCAAGGUAUAGACUUAAUUGUAGGUUUUAAUAGUUGAGAUAUAGAGCUUUUUGUCCUACCCACUAAUGUUUAAAACAAGGUAUGGUGUAGCUCAGCUCCAUUGUCACAAAGAGUGGUAAAAAAGUUGAGAUAUAGAGCUUUUCUUUUCGUUCCUACGCACAUAGUUGAAAAAAUCACAUCAAGGCCAAUGGACCAAAGAACAGCCAUUCCCUUCGCCAAAGCGAGGCGCAGAUGCGCUGUUGUCUUCUCUCCCACACAGGAGCUAGCCUCAUCAUGUCCAUGACAACUAGGAAGUCUUACUUGCACGUGCCCCUAAGUACCUGUGUUCUGGAACCACGGUUAUCCCCGAAUCGGUUUGAAGAACCUGACACGAAAUCUCGAUGUGCGUACGCACCCGAGAGGCUCCAUCUAAUCCUUCCUCGUGGACGAACUUCAAGAGGAUCGGAUCCCGAAAGACUAACUCGAAGAAGAAGCAUAACCAUCCAUCCCAGCACCAUCCGUAUGAGAGCUAAAACCCUACCUAUGUACUAGACGGAGCUGAGGCACCAGGAGUCCCCUUCCCGCCGAGGGGAGUCAUAUACAUAGGUUGGUCGACGGAUGUCAAGGGGAUGAAAGCUUUACCUAGUCGCCUUGCGAGAGGGGAAAGAACUUGUUCUACGUGUGGUCGGUUACUAUGCUAGUUGAGUUAAUUAUACCAAGAAAACACAUAUUUCAUUUUGAGAAACAUGCAUGUACACCACCCCUUUCAAUGCGCACACACACACUCUAUGCCUAUGAACAUUUACGAGAGAGUGAGCCAACAGACCUUAUGAUAAAAUAAAAAUACUUUACCCGCACCACUCAAAUGGCGUACUCAGACAAUUUGUAAUCAAAAAAUCUUGGGCUUAAAAUGAAACCAAAAACAAGGAAAGGUGGAAAAAGGUUGUGUGGCAACCACCCUAUAACAUCAAGAACUGAAACUUCCAUCAGACACAAUGCAUCUGAGGGCCACGCAACCUUUGAAAUGGAUAUGGCAGUGGCUGCAACAAGGCCAUUCCCAGGUACAACAAAUAAAGUCUGAGUUCAUCAAAACAAUGCCUUCAACAAGGCCAUUGCCACGUACAAAUAAUAUAGGCCAGACCAUUAGCUUUCACCAUGGAAAUCAAAACUCAUUACUCGAGGAGCAGCAUCAAAUUGCAGUCCUUCAGUGUUGCCGCCCCCGCUUGCCGAGACCGCUGUUGCAAGUCACCAAACACCUGGCACAUAGUCUUCAUCGUAUCCAAUACACCCUUCCAAUAAAGCUUAAGACCUCCAAUCACAGCGUCCAAGACUUCCUCCACCUCUAUUCAUGCCUUAGAAAUCAUAAAUUCGACAUGUCCAUGACACCCGUAAGAAAUCGAACAUUCGCGCCAUGCCCUCUCGAGCUGGGUUGGAUGAUAAUAUUAGCGCGCGCAACCGGAGCCUUUCCAGUCUAGAUAUCCAGGUUCGACAUACGUCAAUCUGUAUAGAUCUCUGAGGGGGAAGACCAGAAUGCGUCAGCAACCCGAUCCAAGAGGUCGACAUUAGGUAGAAAGACAACUUGGCGGAACAAAAGCGCUAUGGCCAAAGCACCAUUUUUAGGCCGAACCACACUCACCCACCUCCAAAGAAAACGAGCCACUCCGCACUAUGCCAAAUGCUCCAGCCACCAUACCGAGCACCACUCCGAGAAACACACCCCUGAACAACCUCCAUUUUACGGACUCAUGGCGCCAGGUCCCGAAUCCGGCUGCUCCCCGGGAGGAACGAGUCACUAGACGGCGUAGCAGCAAGCACCGGCUAUGCAUGCACUCCGGCCUGGUCGGUCCAGAGUGAUCACGAUGUUCAUCCACAUGAUUGCUAUAUCAUUGAGAGGUCAUGGUUGAUCGCAUCAUUUUGCAGGGUGCUUCAUCAUCAUGAAAUGAAUGAAUAUACGCUUCCUUUUUUGUGGGUUAGAUUCCACGAUGAUACAAAAUCUGGACUCACGAUACAUAAUUUAUGGGUUCAGUGGGGACGACAUGAACAGAGCAAAUGGACAACAGUGGGUUCUAAAAUUUUAGCUCAUGGAUGAAAACAAAGUUUUACCUUGCUUGGACACCCAAUUAAGUAGCAUUUCUACUCGCAAAAAAAAUAGCAUUUCCAAUUAAAAAAAAUCCUCCAUGACAUGUAAAUGAUUAGGCGUAGAAAAUAGUACUCCCUCCGUCACGGUUUAGAAGGCACAGUUAGACUUGCGUGCGUUUUCAAAAUAGACAAAGAUUAAGGCACAUUGCAUUUACUCCUAGCAGUUAAUUAGUAUUCCGUUGUACUAUUUCUAUAUGCAUGUGUAGUGUGAAUGCUAUUUUUUAACUCAUUGUAUAGCCAAUCAAUAACCACCUAGGUCCUAGAGAAUUUGCAUGCACGCCUUCUAAACCGUGACGGAGGGAGUACAACACUUUUGUAGUCCAAUGAAUAAUUGUGAAUAAAACAUAUAAAAGGUCAUGAUGACACACAUCACACAUGCAGCAAAUAUAUGUUAAUUAACUGCAUAAAAUGUUAUAAAAUGAAGCACCAAAUUUUACAAGCAAGCAUAAUUGGUUGACAAGUUUGUCUUAUAAGUAAAUAAAAGUGGAUAAAGGAUGUACGAUUAACAUUCGUCCUGCCUGUGCCACUGAACCUAAAUCGCCAAUCAACAAAGGAACUUCUUCGUGCACCUUUGAAGCGUUACCCGUCGGAAUAUGAAGCGAAAAGAAUAAUAGAGUACAUGCAAGGCUGGAAAAAGGAUUUGUGGCAAUCACACAUUGACAUGGACGACUGAAAUUUUCGGCACACACAACGCAUCCAACGGCCAUGCCUCUUACACUAAUCCGGAGAGAUAAGGAAACCAGGCAACCAACAAACGCCAGCCACCCCUUCCACAUCUUGAUUAAAGAUAGGAGCUCACAUGGCUAUAUAUACCGUGCUGAACAGGCAAUGGGGGCCUCAAGUGUAGCCGGCAUCCUCCUCUCUACAGUUAAUACAGUACCAUGGCCCCCGCCGUGAUGGCUUCGUCGGCUACCACCGUCGCACCCUUCCAGGGGCUCAAGUCCACAGCCGGUCUCCCCGUCAGCCGCCGCUCCAGCGCCAGCCUCGGCAGCGUCAGCAAUGGCGGAAGGAUCAGGUGCAUGCAGGUAUGUCGGGGCACAAAACUGAUAUGAGUUUCUUCCACAUUACAAUUACUGCACUUAGCAGUUACUAGCACUAAGUGUUAAGCGUUCCAUAAUUUCCAAUCAUUCAGGUGUGGCCGAUUGAGGGUAUCAAGAAGUUCGAGACCCUGUCUUACUUGCCACCCCUCACCACGGAGGCCCUCCUGAAGCAGGUUGACUACCUGAUCCGCUCCAAGUGGGUGCCCUGCCUCGAGUUCAGCAAGGUUGGCUUCGUCUUCCGUGAGCACAACAGCUCCCCCGGGUACUACGACGGCCGAUACUGGACAAUGUGGAAGCUGCCUAUGUUCGGAUGCACCGACGCCACACAGGUGCUUAACGAGGUGGAGGAGGUCAAGAAGGAGUACCCUGACGCUUAUGUCCGUAUCAUCGGCUUCGACAACCUGCGGCAGGUGCAGUGCGUCAGCUUCAUCGCCUUCAGGCCACCGGGUUGCGAGGAGUCCGGCAAGGCAUAAACUACGAGGUGAAACAAUGGCCUAUGUCGUAUGAAGGUCUUUUGUGAAUUUCACUUUUGUCCACGACUCUGCUUUCCGACCAGAGCAUAACUUUCUUCUUUAUGAUCUGUGUAUGUACGAGCAUAGGUUGUGGAGCAUAUAUGCAUAUGUAAAUUCUAGCACCCCCUACACAUAUCCAACACCUGUGUCAUAUUUAUAAUAUACAACAAGCGGACCAUUGUCUUGCUGUUAAUUAUCGGAAAAGUUUAUUUUAUUUAGCACUGCAAUGGAUGUCUCACAACUAGUGGGUGGAAGAUUCCAGUAUUUGACAUUAAGACCCACUGAUUGGCAACUGCAAUUUUCAGUUUCUUUAUUUAUAUCAAUCUAUACUUAUACUAAUUAGGGACUCUCAAUAAAUUCCCACGUUAAUUAAAAAAUUAGGACCGUUCAUCUAAUGGGACCGAGUUAUAACGGUCUAGAUUAGCCCGAUACACGUUAAUUAGAAAAUUAGGAUCGUUCAUCUAAUGGGACCGAGUUAUAACGGUCUAGAUUAGCUCAAGUAAUUUCCGGAUUAAUCAUAAAUACUCCCAGCCCACGUGACCUAACCCUGACUUCUCCCCACGUACAUCUUUCUCCAAUCUUCGUUUCCUAUAUGCGACCGUGAUAGCAGAUGCCAUGCAUCAUAUCCAGUGUCAUAUCUAUGGUUUAGAUCAAAUAAUCAAUCGUGGCAGUCUAAGCCCUAAAGCAAUCCCAUCUGCAGUCUUACCCCAACAAUGAUCUAAAGCAGUCCAUCAAGUCUGUUCCCAAUCUUCUUUCCUCGAUGACUGUUGAAUCUCAGCAACCCCAAGUCCAAAGCUAUGACGCAAAUCGUGGUGGCUGAGGAGGAGGUUGACCUUCAAUCCACUCAGCUUCUAGACCUUGACCAAACAUCAAUGCAUGUUCGAAGCUACAACGGCGAAGGAGGUUCAUCGAGGGCAGUUUGGAUCAGAUCGUAUAUUGUCACCAUUGUUUGUAAAGCUUCAGCGUGAAGGAACUAUGGCAGGCUGAUGGUGCCGUGGUUUAGCUUCUUUAUACUGCUGGAGUUCGUCCCCUAUGCAGGCAAGUAAUCCAUUAUCUUGAAUUUAGGAUUUAUUCUACAACCGUCUCAAUUAAUCAUAAAUUCCCAAUAAAUUAUAUUAAUCGUAUGACUAAAAAAGGUACUGUAUAUGCCCAUCUAUCACCUAACAGUAUUGUUCAGUAGUUGAUCAUGCACUCUACGGAACGAGGAGAAUCACUCUACGGCCGGUGGUCUGCAAUUCUGCAUCUCCUACAGUAGAAGAUGGUUGAUGGAGGUUGUGUCAGUACGUACGACUGUUUGAAGUUAAUUGGGUAGGUGCAGUCAUUGGUGUGCUGCUAAGUAGAAGAACUGUGCCCUGCAAAAAAAAGGUAGAACCGUGACAGCGUAGCACGAAGCUAUUCAUCUCCUUGACACAAUUCAGUUUCGUUGAAGAUCACACCUACGGACUACUCCCAUCAAUGGGAAAUUAGCUAUGUAUCCUUAAAUUCUUCGCUUAAGAUAAUAUUUCUUCAUAUAAUUUGCAUGUAGUAUCCUAUUCAAGCUGUUGAUAUGUCCACAAUUUUAACCGUGAGUUCUUCAAUUGAUGUUAUAUGUUUAAUAGGAAUAGGUCGUGUAGCUAAUGUUUAAUAUACGUUAAUUCAUGGUCUGAUCCACUUUCCAAUGUCUCAUCUAAUGCUUUUACAUGACAUCUGAUAUAGGGUAAUACACCAAUAUUUUCUCUUACUUCCAGCUGAUGCUUAACUAUGUUAUCCAGUUUCCAAUCUGUAGAUAGAUCGCUAAAUGAGUUCUACUAGGAACCUAUUAGGAUAUUAUAUUAUUUUUAGUUAUUCUCAUACGGGAUAUGCACAGCUUUUACUCAGUUCUAAUUAAACCAGAAGCACCUACUAAAUGAUCUAAACGUAUAUUUGUUCGUGCACAAUGCCCAAUUACUUCUUUUCAGAUAAAAAUACCAAGUUACUUUCGUAUGUUGCGUCAUGCUUCCCAUAAUUAUUGAUACUUCGAAACAACCUAUGCACAAGGCAAUAUAUUUUCCCGUGUAGUAGUCCAACCCAAUUUCAUUCCAACAUGAGAAAACUUGUGGAUACACCAUCUCUGCCCCUCACACGGCCUGAUGGCUGAUUGUGUCCUCAUCUAUGUCCUCCUCUUCCNNNNNNNNNNNNNNNNNNNNNUUCCUCCCCCUCUCCCCUCACUCCCACCUGCCGUAGCAUCACUGUGACAUCUGUAUGCCUCCAAUUUGUCGCAUUUCUGGAGCACGAGAAAACUACAAGAGGCUAACAAGGCUACAUACGACAUAACUAUGGUAGGCUGUUGGCACUGCUGUUCACCUUCUUAAUAUCCUUGGAUGUUGGACUCUACGCCGGCCUCUCCCAUCUUGAGUGUUGGUGGCUGCAUGAUCUGAGCAUCGGCUUGGAUGGCGUCCAAUAAAGACACCAUGCAUUACUGGCAGUGUAGACUCUGACACACACAAGUAUAUGAUCUAAGCUUUUCGUUGGCCCAAAACGCACACAUACUGCAGCCAAGAUUAAUCGACAUCAAUGCCCAAUUACUUCCUUUCAUACAACAAAACAUAUCAACGCCAACAUGUGUGGGAUGAGAAGGCGCUGGGCUGCAUGCCAGUGUGGGCCUAUGCCAGGGGGACAAGACGACACUCUCAGCCUCGGAGAUGCUCCCGAUGCACUGCAAGCACCAUUGCAAAUUCGGAAUACGGUCUUUCUAUUCCCAUCUUCAUUUCCUUGUGUAUAAAUUGCUAACUGCAUGUACAUGACAGAUAGCAACAACAAAUUCUAAAACAAUCCCUCUCAUAUAGGCUAUACCACAUGGGAAAGAUCAUGAAUGUUGCGGUUCAAUUAUAAUCUAUUUGCAAUACCUAGAUUUUGUUUUUAGAUGUUUUGAGAGUAGUGUUCGUAAUUACAGAUGAAAACGUAAUCCUAUUGUUGUUGUGGCCUCUUGAUUUCUCCAUCAUAACAAGAAGAGGAAGUGUACACAUGUUGAAGUCACGUUUAGGCAUCAAUGUGAGUGGUAUGUAAGCAAACAUUGUCUAAUGGCCGACUAUAUGUUUCUUGAAUAAAAAUAAUUAUACAAUAUGAUUACAUAACGCUGCAAGCAGAUCCUAGAAAAAUAUAAAUGAAAUUGCACAAUAAAUUUUUUUGUGACCAUGAUUAUAUGAAUAUUAGUUUAGUCAUAGUAUAUCAUCAACAUAUUUAUUUUUAUGUUAUAUUUUGUAAUGCUGAUAUGUUCACAAAAAUAGUAAUAUUAGUAGUAGAAACUAAUAUUUUUGUACCAUUAUUAGUAGUAUAAUUUAUCACAAAAAUGUGAACCAAUGAUUGUAAAGCUUUUCCCACAACAUAAGCUAUUACUUGAAUGUGAUAAGGUGAGAUAGUAUUAUGACCAAAUGUUACGAGUGCAAGUUAAUUAUUAUAUCACAGAAAUAACUGAAUCAUUUCAUUUCAUUGUCUAACAAAUAAGUAUGCCCUCAAUUUGAAUUUAUUCGCAUAUGAGUAUUAUCUCGAGUUAGACUUCUACGAUACCGAAACAAUACCAUUAGACUCAUUAUUGAAUAUAUUUACACAUCUUAUAAGUUUUGAAAAAUGAACUUAUUAGGAAGUAUAAAAACCAGUCGGCCCACACAACCCACCAGAUGAAUUUAAAUUGACCUGCGAUAAAAUUAAUUACCACUCACCCUAUUAGGGUAGCCCGUGCGAAUGCACGGGUUCACGACUAGUUUAUCUAAUGUAGGUUAGAGCAACACCAACCAGGCCCCCCAAACGGACGCUCGUUUUGUCCGUGUUUUGUCCAUUUUGGUCGGCUUGUUCGUCCUGUUUUCGUUUUGGGUCCGUCGUGCGUCCAAUGCGCCCAUGCUUCUUUCGCGCUAUGCUUCUUUCGUUAGUGUGGUAGGCUUGCAGCCAUUUUUUGAUCUCUUUGUUACAUAUGUUUAAAAUUUAAUCCUAGAUUAACGAAGUUGAGUAAAAAUACAACCAUUUCAUAGUUCACAAACCACAUAAAUAUCUGAUAGUUUACAAGCCAAAUUUACAUUAAAUUGUCUCCAACACAUUUGAAAGAAAAGGUUGCCAACACAUCUAUUGGUUGCCAAUAUGAAUGCACAUAUGCUCGCAGCUGCAUGUGAGUUUCAAUCACGUAUCUGAUGAUGAAAUUGGACGAACUAUGCAAACGUGAUCACUCCUCCAUGCACAGGCACAACAUUGUCACCCUGUUGAAUCCUAGGUUUUCAUUGGAAUUGCCUACCAGGCACACCAUUCAAAAGGAUGGAAGGUGUUGCAUUGGAUAAGAUCUUGAUCCAAGUGAUGGCUCCAAUUUGUACACAAUUUUAGAGCUCAUUUGUCGCCUAAUAGCUCCAUAUAGCAUGUUCUAUUCAGCCAAUUACAUGUCCAUAUGCAUGAUAUCCAUUAUUUGUCCUUUCUGUCACAAGGAUUGCGUAAUCAUAAUUCUUUUUUAGUGCUUACUGUGUUUCUUUGUUUUUGAGUGUUUUGUAGGUAACGUGGAACUCCCAUACACUUAACCCAAUGAAAAGGAUCCAAAGGUAAGGACAUACAGGUACCAGAUUUAGGCAGUCGGUUUUUUAGUUGCUCAAAAUCGAUAUCUGAUAUUGUACGUGCAUCAGCAUUGUUUUCAUGAUUCCAACGAGCAGAAGAACAUUGAAAACAGAGUCUGGAUGUAAAAGUUACAAUUUUACCAAAGAGUCCAAAGCGUUUAACGACCUUUGGCAUGACCCAAAAUGCUCGUAUCAGGCCGUGACAAGCUCGAAAGUGGCCCUUUCCAAAGGAAUUCUUCGAGGCUUUCUUGUUCAGUGCCACAAGAAAGUGGUACUAUCAUUAUUAACUUUGUAUUUGUUGGCGUCAAUGUUAUGGACAUCAAUAUCACUACUAUCUAGAUUCAAAAAGAAUAAACCAUUCACAGUAGGCUCAUGACCAUAAAAGAUGUUACCCAUAUAAAUGGAACAACCAUUAUUCUCUAGUUUAAGUGAAUAACUGUCUCGCAAUAAACAAAAUCUAGAUAUAAUGUUCAUGCUCAAGCGGGCACCAAAUAACAAUUAUUUAGGUUUACAACUAAUCCUGAUGGUAAUCGAAGAGCGAUUGUGUCGACCGCGAUCACAUCAACCUUUGAACCAUUUCUGACGUGCAUCGUCACUUCGUCCUUUGCCAACCUUCGUUUAUUCCGUAGUUCCUGUUCAAGUUACAAAUAUGAGUAACCAAACCGUUAUCAAAUGGCAUUACUACGAGAGCUAGUAUGGUACACAUAAAUAACAUGUACAUCAAGUAUAUCUUUAUUGAUGUUGCCAGGCUUCUUAUUGGCCAGAUACUUGGGUCAAUUCCGCUUAUAGUGACCAGUUCCAUUGCAAUAGAAGCACUCAGUCUCAAGCUUGGACACAACUUUGGGUUUCUUGAGGGGGGGAACUGGCUUGUCGUUAUUCCUGAAGUUUCCCUUCCUGCCCUUGCCUUUCUUCAAACUAGUGGUUUUAUUCACCAUCAACACUUGAUGCUCCUUCUUGAGUUCUACUUCCGCGAUUUUCAGCAUCGCGAGAUUAGCUUCUUCAUCCCUUGCAUAUUAUAGUUCAUCGUGAAGUCUUUGUAGCUAGGUGGCAGUGACUAGAGAACUAUGUCAGGACCGUCUCAGGUGGAAUCUCAACUCCCAACUGAUUCAGGCGGUUGUACCACACACACAUUCUGAGUAUGUGCUCACUGACAGAACUAUUAUCUUUCAUCUUGCAGGUGAAGAAAUUAUUAGAGGUCUCAUACCUCUUGAUCCGGCCAUUUGCUCGAAAUACUAACUUCAACUCCUGGAACAUUUGAUAUGCUCCAUGGCGUUCAAAACGGUUUUGAUGUCCCAAUUCUAAGCUGUACAACAUGGUACACUGAACUAUCGAGUAGUCAUCAGCACGCGCCUGUGAGACGUUCAAAAAAUCUGCAUACGACACUAGAGGGGUGGCGUCUCAAGCGCUGCAUCAAGGACAUAAGCCUUUUGCGAAGCCGUGAGGAUAAUCCUCAGAUUAAAGACCCAGUCUGCAUAGUUAUUUCCAUCAUCUUUCAGCUUAUCUUUCUCUAGGUACACAUUCAAAUUCAGGGGAGCUACUGUGUGAGCCAUUGAUCUACAACGUAAUUUGCAAAGACAUCUAUAGACUAUGUGUCAUGACAAUGAAUUCAAUUAAUCAUAUUACUAAAGAACUCCCACUCAAAUCAACAUCCCUCAGUUGUCUAAGUGUGACAUGAUCCAAAUACACCAACCCAAGUCCGAUCAUCAUGUGAGAUGAGGUGAUUUCAAUGGUGAACAUAUCCAUUUGAUGAUAUGUACUACAUGACUCAUGUUCGACCUUUAGGUCUCCUCUAUUCCGAGGCCAUGUUUGUACAUGCUAGGCUCAUAAAGUUUAACCCAAGUGUUUUCCAUGUGCAAAACUGGCUUACAACACUUGUAUGUGAACGAAGAGUGUAUCACACCUGAUCAUCACGAGGUGCUUCGAAACAACAAACUUUCACAACGGUGAGGGAUCAACUUAUAAUGCUAUCAUUGUCCUAAGGAUAAUAAGAUGCAUAAAAUAUAAACAUCACAUGCAAAUCAUAUAAGUGACAUGAUAUGGCCAUCAUCAUCUUGUGAUUCUGAUCUCCAUAUCCAAAGCACCGGCAUGAUCUCCAUCGUCACCGGCAUGACACCAUGAUCUCCAUCAUCGUGUCGUCAUGUGGUUGUCGUGCUAACUAUUGCUAACUCAUAGUGAUAAAGUAGAGCAAAUGACACAAAUAAAUAAAAGACAACCCUAUGGCUCCUACCGGUUGUCGUACUCAUGGAGAUGGAAGUUGUGAUAACUAUACAAAACAUGAUCAUCUCAUACAUCACAUAUAUCAAAUCAUGUUUUUGGCCAUAUCACAUCACAACAUGCCCUCGACAAACAAGUUACACGUCCUCUACUUUGUUAUUGCAAGUUUUACACGGCUGCUAUGGGAAACUAGCAAAAAUCAUUCUUACAUACGCAAAGCCACAACGGUGAUAUUCAAGUUGCUAUCUAACCUUCUACAAGGACUGCCUGUGUCGAAUCCGAUUCAACUAAUUAAAUUGAGAGAGACAAACACCCGCGAACCACCUUUAUGCAAGCAAGUUACGUGUUAGUUGGUCAAACUAGUCUCUUAUGCGUGGACAGGUACGGUUGGUCCGAACCGCUCCAUCCCAGAAUAUCGCUGAAUCAAAAUAAUACUAAGGAGCUAAGCAAGAUGAACAUCAACACCCACAAACACUUUGUGUUCUACUUGUGCAUGCCAUCUAUACAGAAACCUAGCUCAUGAUGCCAGUGUUGGAGAAUGUUGCAUGGGAAACAAUAGUUUUCCUAUGUACACCCAAGAUCUAUCUAUGGAGAUGUAUAGCUACGAGACGGGGAGUGGAUCUACACACCCUUGCAGAUCACUAAGAGGAAACAUUAAGAAACGCGGUUGAUGUAGUUGUAUGUCUUCACGAUCCAAUCAUGAUUCGUCCUGAUCUAGCGCCGGUCAGACGGCACUUCCGUGUUCAGCACACGUACAGCUCGAUGACGUCUUAGCCCCCCAGAGAGCGAUGGUGGAGUAGUAGAUGAGUUCUCCAGUAGAACGGCGGCGUGGUGACGCACUAGUGGAGAAAGGGGUAUUAGAACCGGUUGGUAAGGGCCUUUGGACCCAGAUACACAUCCGGUGCUACGUAUCCGGGACUAAAGCCCCCCCCCCUUUAGCACCGGUCUCUUACAAACCGGUGCUAAAGGCCUCCACGUGGGCGCCGAAGAGUGCGCGCAGGCGGAGGACCUUUAGAACCGGUUGGUAACACCAACCGGUCCUAAUGCUUUUUUUUCUUUUUUUUCCUNUCCAGUUCCGUAUUUCCGUUUACGUCUUUCCGAUUCCGUGUUUCCGAUUCCGUAUUUUGGUGUUUCCGUGUUCCGUAUUUUCAGGGUUUUCGUUUUCGUGUUUCCAGUUCCGUAUUUCCGUUUACGUCUUUCCGAUUCCGUGUUUCCGAUUCCGUGUGUCCGUGUUUCGUUUUUUACGAACACGGAAUCGGAAACACGUAAUCGGAAACACCGAUUCCGUGUUUGCGGUUAAGUGUUUCCGAUUCCGUGUUUGCGGUUAAAUGUUGAUGCACCAAAUAAAAGUACAUAUAUACAUGUAACACGAAGUACUGGACCGAUUAUCAUUACAUAAUUUGAAGUUCGUUUCCUAUGGCUGUAUACUUGCAUAGAGAAGGGAACUGGCUAUUGGUUCGUAGGAUGGAAAAUUUCUCCGCCUUCAUCUAUGACUUGCGUGAGGAGAAAUCCUGCCAAUUCCUCUACAACUGCCUUGCAACGUUGGAUUGGUCUGAGCAUCGCCCGCUUUCGUUGCAGCUUUAAAAGAAGUAGAUGAAAACAAUUAAGUUAUGAACAAAACUAAACAUAAUUGAUGGCAACAUAAAUAAAGUUGUGAAGAUCCGGUUACGUACCUCUAGAUUUCUGGAAGUACGGGAUUUCUCAUUGAUAAUCCUGUGAAUGUACUCGCAAACGUAGUAUCCACAAUAAUCAGUGCCCUGUGGUUGUUGCGGGACGCCCUAUAUACGAGAACAUAAUUCAGUCAAAUUAAUAAUAAUCAAGAGAAUGGUAAUGGUAUUGAAACCAGGGUACGUAGUACUACUUACUUUGUUAAUCUGAAAGUGGAGCUUGUCUGCCCAUGUACCGGGUUCUUCCUUGAUGAACAUUUGCCAAACCCUGGCCGACAAAGAAAAAUGAAUACAAGAGUUAAUUAUUACUUACUUGAUAUCAGGAAAUGAACGAAAAAGAGGCCGAUGAACGAAAGAGGCCGAUAUAUAUAUACCUUUGAAGCAUCUGACGCGCGCUCUUCCAUGUGUCAGCGUCCCAGGUUAACGGGUCCCAGACUUCAACUUGUCCUUGAUCGAUUCUAAUGAUGAACAAUAUGAAGUGGGACCUGCGCACGUGUACACACGAAGUCAUGCAUACUCAUCAAUUACACUUAACAUCAGGUAAGCAAAAUGGAAUGUGUACAAGACAGUAGCACUCACUUGAAUCCGUAGGGCCAAAUAUUUCUUUUUUGGUACUUUGUCGCUUCAAAAACCUUAGCAAAUCAUCCGGUGUAUCCUUGUUGAACUUUUCUAUUGUCUCUUGAUGAAACGAAUACGGGUCAAUGAACCCAAAGUCCCAGAUUCCUGCCAGCCUGCAUUCACGAAUCUUCAUUCUGCAUAGUAGCAUACAAAAAGAAUAUCUCGUGAGUGAUAAUUAUACGGGCAAUGAACGCGAGCUUAACUAAAUAAUUAAAUUACACAAAUAAAUAACUUACAAACAGUAGCAGCUGACGAUAGCUUUGUCGAGGGCACGUUGGUUGUAUAUCUGGAAAAAAUCAUCGAACCCAACCUCCACACCGUACUCUCCGAAGCAGUGUUGAUCCUGAACUGCCGCCAUGAUACAGUCUCUCUUUUGCCUUGCGGCCUCCAAGUACCAAACAUGUAAAUUCCAUAGUUGGGUUGUUAGAGCACUAGGAUUUUCGACCAGAGGGUGCUCGGGCUUAUAUUUAUAUACCACAUCAACAAUAGCGUAACCUACGUCGCCCAUGCGUGGACCGGACACUGAAGCCUGGUCAGAUAACACCUUGAGCGGGGCAAUUGACUGUGCUUCUUGUUGUUCGAGCUGGGGAACUUGUUUCCCGCAUUUCGUCUGCUCCGCCUGCUUCAUCUGUGCGGUGUGCAUCUUUUCAAUGUACCGUUCAUAGUCUGAAAGGGGCGGCGGUGGCGGCGGUUCAGGAUAAUAUAAGUUGUCGAUGGUGCGCUCAAUUUUCCACUUUGGUACGUUCUUCAGAGUUUCCUUCCAGAUGUCUGGAGGGGGCUUCAAGGGAAACCGUGCGAACCAUGCUUUGUUUUUGGCUUUCACGGCCUCGUCUAGUUCCUCCGGAGUCAUCAGGCCUGGUAACUUUGGGGGAGUCUUGACUUUAUUGGGUUUCCUUUCUCUCUUCUUGGGAGGAGUCCCGUUUCUUCUGAACUGCAGCUUCCGCUUUGCCGUACCCGUAGUGGGCGCAUCCGUCGGCUCACUGGAGUGCACGGGCGAUGGACUCUCGGCCUCGGGCUCCCAAUCUUCGUUGUGGGGUGGACUUGGAGGUGCGUUGGGGGGUGGACUUGGAGGUCGUGCAUUCUCUGUACGAAAGUGAAAAAACUAUUAAAAAUAGGCUUACGUGUGGUGCAACAUUCAGUAAUUGUUGGAGGUGGUGCAUUGGUACCUGGAGGAAUCGGUGGCCUUGGCGCCGCGUUAGGAAACACGAUGUGUUUCUUCUUCCACAAGAUGAUACCAAGCUCCAUUUCUCCCAGUGUCUUCUCGCCUUCACCUCCAGGAAUAUCAAGCUCAAUUGACUGGCAUCCCGACGUAAUUGUUGACAACCCGACACGAGCAUGGGAUGCUGGAAUCUGACCACCAUGGUAGGUUGCUCCAGGUUGAUUCGGUAAAGCAUAGCCUGACGCCACCAUGAAGGAUAUGCACCCCAUUGGCAUAUGUAUCUCACAGUUUGUCUUCUCCGUGACAUCAUCCACGGGGUAGUGAGGCGCCGACGGUUCGACUGUAGGACCGUCUUCUAGCUGCAGCUGCGUGGAACCCACGCUGCUUCUAUGCUGAGAUGGGACGGCAUCUGCUACAGGAUCGUCUUCUAAUUGCUGCUGAUCAGCGUCAGGUGCAGGAUCUUCUUCCUCCUCUUCAGUGUCAGGUACAGGGUGUCCCCCUUUCUUCAAGAGAAACGCCACCUUUUCUUCUAAUGUCGAUAUCCGUUCCAGCACCUUCCUCUUGCUUCUACCACGGCUUCUGUAAGUGCCAAGGUCCGCCGGAAAAACUUGGUUCCACGCGGUAGUGGCUCCAAAGCCUCGUGUUCGUCCCCACUUUUCUGGGUUCCCAAGUGCCUUCGUCAACUCGUCGUUCUCUCUAUCGGGAACAAAAGUUCCUUUUCGAACAGCUUCUAUUGCCUUCUCUAGAUCUGAUACGACUUGUGUUAUUUUUUCCGACCAUGGUCCCUCCGCAACAAUCAUCCCAGUCUUAGCAUCCAACGUUGCCCCAUGUGCGAACAACCAGAACUUGGAACUAUCGGGCCAGUCAUGUGUCUGUGGAAUGAUAUUUCUUUUCAGAAGCGCAUCUUCAUAGCGUCGCCACCUAGGGAGGGCAGUCAUGUAGCCACCUGACCCCAAAAUAUGGUGAUAUUUCUUCUUCUUCGCAUUCUCCGUAUUUGUGGCUGAUCGGGAUGUAAAGACACCCGAUUUCUUGUACGCCUUAAAAUCAGGCCAAGCGUCUCUUAUCUUCACUAGGUGCCCAGUGAAAACUGGAUCUUCGUCCUUAUAUUUCUUCCACAAGUCUUUCUUCCACCUCUGGAAUUGUGCGGCCAUCUUCUUCAAAGCCCACUCCUCGACUUUCUUCUUCUUAUCUUCCGCUACGCUGAAAUUUAGCCAGACCAUGUCGCAAAGCACUCUUUUCAAUCUGUCAUCGACAUAAGUAGCUCCAACGUUGGCGCCGGUCUUCGGCUUAUUCCAUUCUAUUAAGUUGAUCGGGACCAGGUCUCUUACAACAACUCCGCACUGAUUUACAAAUUUGCGAUAAGUUUCUGGGGGUUCCAGUGGUUUGCCAUCAGCAGCAACUUUAUCGAUCGAGUACCUUGCAGUAUCUUUCAACCUUGCGGCCGGGCCUCGUUUCGACUUUGUCUCAGUACUUGCGCUAGCUGUUCUGGAGGGCGCCUAAACGGGAAAAUAAUGAUCCGUUAGUAAGUGCAAUACAAAUUAAUUGUUGCGUCAACAGUGACUUGAGAUAUACAUUGGCAGAGUUUGUUCCGGAGGGCACUUCUGCAUCUACUACAUCUUCUAUAUUCUCAGCUCCGUCACCGGAGUCGUUCAAAAAUUGAUUGCUAAACGCAUGUCCACCGUCGUCAUCAUGAUAUAUGGCCGUUGCAUCUUCAAAAAUCAUCUCGCACAUGUAUCUUUCCUUCUCCGCCUCACCCAUUCCCGUGAGCUGAUCGGCGUGCUGAUCAUGUGGUUCUUGGGGAUCCAUAGCUCAACACCUGCUAGUAACAAGAAUUUAACUUAGCAAAAUUAUUUACGGAAAAGUUUUACGGAACCGGAAAGUUUACGGAAAAGUUUUACGGAGUCGUAAUCGUCGGAAAGUUUUACGGAAUCGUCGGAAAGUUUUACGGAAUCGUCGGAAUCGUCGGAAACUUUCCCCAGCAAAACUAGUGAGAGGUCGGGGGGACAUGACGAAAGGGUCCCUUGGCCAACACAGUUAUAUUGUGUGACACAGAUUUCUUCAUCGCAGUUCUGGCACAAAUGCUCGGUUCCGGGGCGAAACAAAAAUUUCGGGCCUAUUAAUACUAGUAAUAGUAUGUGGUUUGCAUAUGACCAUACCACCAUGUUUCGGCAGUUGAUUCAUCUUUAAGAAAUAGUUUUGGAAACAUUGGAUUCUAAAACGUAAGAAGACGAAAAUAGGAACUACAACAAUAUGGAUAUAUCGUGACUUUAAAAAAAAUCACAAGAGUUUAAAGCUCUUCAAUUUACAAUGAUGUGGGUGAAGAUACAUGCAAUCACAUAAAACAAAUUGUAAGAUCUCUAAACUCAAACCAAAUACCAAGAUCGCAUACCAAAUACCAAGAUCGCGUCGGCGUACGAGAUGUUCCCGUGGGAGAAGAAGAUGAAGUCGCUGCUGCCGGUGCCGGAGUCGACGGCAUGGGGUGGCGAGGAGGCGGCGAGGAGGAGGCGAGGAGGCGGCGAGGCGACGAGGAGGCGACGAGGAGGCGAGGAGGAGGCGAGGAGGCGACGAGGAGGCGAGGAGGCGGCGAGGNNNNNNNNNNNNNNNNNNNNNNNNNNNNNNNNNNNNNNNNNNNNNNNNNNNNNNNNNNNNNNNNNNNNNNNNNNNNNNNNNNNNNNNNNNNNNNNNNNNNNNNNNNNNNNNNNNNNNNNNNNNNNNNNNNNNNNNNNNNNNNNNNNNNNNNNNNNNNNNNNNNNNNNNNNNNNNNNNNNNNNNNNNNNNNNNNNNNNNNNNNNNNNNNNNNNNNNNNNNNNNNNNNNNNNNNNNNNNNNNNNNNNNNNNNNNNNNNNNNNNNNNNNNNNNNNNNNNNNNNNNNNNNNNNNNNNNNNNNNNNNNNNNNNNNNNNNNNNNNNNNNNNNNNNNNNNNNNNNNNNNNNNNNNNNNNNNNNNNNNNNNNNNNNNNNNNNNNNNNNNNNNNNNNNNNNNNNNNNNNNNNNNNNNNNNNNNNNNNNNNNNNNNNNNNNNNNNNNNNNNNNNNNNNNNNNNNNNNNNNNNNNNNNNNNNNNNNNNNNNNNNNNNNNNNNNNNNNNNNNNNNNNNNNNNNNNNNNNNNNNNNNNNNNNNNNNNNNNNNNNNNNNNNNNNNNNNNNNNNNNNNNNNNNNNNNNNNNNNNNNNNNNNNNNNNNNNNNNNNNNNNNNNNNNNNNNNNNNNNNNNNNNNNNNNNNNNNNNNNNNNNNNNNNNNNNNNNNNNNNNNNNNNNNNNNNNNNNNNNNNNNNNNNNNNNNNNNNNNNNNNNNNNNNNNNNNNNNNNNNNNNNNNNNNNNNNNNNNNNNNNNNNNNNNNNNCUUUUACAUUUAUUUACAAAUUGUCUAAAUGUUAUUUUAACACUUAAAAAAUAAAAAUGAUAUUUAUCAAAAUGGUCAAAUUUAGUGGAAACUGGUCAAAUUUUUGAUAUUUAUCAAAAUGGUCAACACAAUUACAUAAAAGGUUUAAUACAUUAUUACACAUCACCAACAACACCCCCUAUCUAUUUUUAUUCUUGCCUUUCUUCUGAUUGCGCCGUAACCAUGGAGUAUCUUCAUCAUUUAACGGGAUGCUUGGAUCAUCUUUGACUUUGAAGGGAGGAAUUUCAUCAAAUUUAUUGUAAUCUUCUGACAUGUCUGUCUUGUCCUCGACUCCCACGAUGUUUCUUUUCCUUGAAAGAACUAUGUGGCGCCUUGGCUCAUCGUCUGAUGUAUUCGGCUUCCUUAUCUUUUCUUUUUCUCGGUCUGCUAGACAUGUCCUUCACAUAGAAAACCUGAGCCACAUCAUUGGCUAGGACGAAUUGAUCAUUGCCGUACCCAAGAUUCUUCUGAUCCACUGUUGUCAUUCCGUACUUCGGGUCUAGCUUCACGCCUGACAGGUUGAACCAUUUGCACCAGAACAAAGGGACCUUAAUGGAAGGUCCGUAGUCAAGUUCCCAUAUCUGCUCUAUGUAACCAUAGUAUGUGACCCUUUGCCCGUUGUCGUCUUUUCCAUCAAACCGGACGCCACUGUUUUGGUUGGUGCUCUUUUUAUCUUGGUCUGCCGUGUAAUAUGUGUUACCAUUUAUCUCGUACCCUUUAAAGGUCAAUACAGUCGAAGAUGGUUGCUUGGCCAACAAGUAUAGCUCAUCUUCAACAAUGUUGUCAUUAAUGAAACGUCUUUGCAACCAACCGCCGAAAGUCUUCGCGUGUUCUUUAGCAAUGAAAUCUUCAGGUUGCUCCGGGUAUUCCGAGCGUAAAAUAUCCUUGUGUUCCUGGAUAUAUGGAGCCGCCAAGCUGGAAUUAACUAGAACUGUGUAGUGUGCUUGAGUGAAAGAUUGCUCGUCCAUACAUGUUGUUGAUUUCUUUCCUAGCGUGCCUUUUCCACGCAGUCUCCCCUCAUGGCGCGACUGAGGAACACCGAUCGGGUUCAGGUCAGGAAUAAAGUCAACACAAAACUCAAUGACCUCCUCUGUUCCAUAGCCCUUGACCAUGCUUCCUUCUGGCCUAGCACGGUUUUUAACAUAAUUCUUCAAGACUCCCGUGAACCUCUCAAAGGGGAACAUAUUGUGUAAGAAUACAGGACCGAGAACGGAAAUCUCUUGGACUAGGUGAACUAUGAGGUGCGUCAUAAUAUUGAAGAAGGUUGGUGGGAACACCAACUCGAAGCUGACAAGACAUUGGACCACGUUCUUCUGUAAACUUGGUAGAGUUGCUGGAUCGAUUGCCUUCUGAGGAAUUGCGUUGAGGAAUGCACAUAGCUUCACAAUGGGUACUCGCACGUUUUCUGGCAGAAGCCCCCUCAAUGCAAUCGGAAGUAACUGGGUCAUGAUCACGUGGCAGUCAUGAGACUUUAGGUUUUGGAACUUUUUCUCUUCCAGGUUUAGUAUUCCUUUUAUGUUCGACGAGUAGCCAGACGGGACCUUGAUACUACUCAGGACUUGGAAAAAGAUCUCCUUCUCUUCCUUGGUAAGAGCGUAGCUGGCAGGACCUUUGAAAUUCUCUGGAUUCAUCAGGUCGUCUCGUUCGUGCAUACGUUGGUGGUGCAGCCAUGCUUUUGGUGUAUCUCUCGACUUCUUCCCAUGCACGCCCAAUAAGUUUAGCAGGUUCACGCAAAUAUUUUUCGUCACGUGCAUCACGUCGAUCGCAGAGCGAACCUCUAGGAAUUUCCAAUAUGGUAGUUCCCAGAAUAUAGAUUUCUUCUUCCACAUGGCUACGUGGUUGUCGGCGUCAUUCGGAACAGAUUGUGCGCCAGGACCCUUACCAAAGAUUACUUUUAUAUCUUUGACCAUGUCAUAUAUAUCAGUACCUUUAGGGAGGGUUGGCUUCCUCCGUGUAUCUGCCUCGCCUUUGAAAUGCUUUCCUUUCUUUCUUACGGGAUGCCUGUCUGGAAGAAAUCGACGAUGCCCUGGGUACACAUUCUUGCAUAUAUGUAUACUUUCAGUCUCGCCUAAACAGUGUGUGCAUGCGCUGUAUCCCUUGUUUGACUGUCCUGAGAUGUUACUAAGAGCGGGCCAAUCAUUGAUGGUUACAAACAACAACCCUCGUAGGUCAAAUUCCUCCUGUUUGUACUCGUCCCACACACGUACACCUUCGUCAGCCCACAACUCUAAAAGUUCAUCAACCAGUGGCCUCGGGUACACAUCAAUGUUGUUGCCGGGUUGCGACGGGCCUGGGAUAAGCACUGGUAUCAUAAUGAACUUACGCUUCAUGCAUAACCAAGGAGGAAGGUUAUAGAUACAUAGAGUCACGGGCCAGGUGCUAUGACUGCUACUCUGCUCCCCAAACGGAUUCAGGCCAUCUGUACUUAGACCAAACCUUAAGUUUCUUGGGUCACGUGCAAAGUCCUCGUACUUAUCGUCGAUGUUUCUCCACGGCGACCCAUCAGCGGGUUGUCUCAGCAUAUCAUCUUCCUUACGGUCUUCUUUGUGCCAUCGCAGCAACUUGACAUGCUCUUUGUUUCGGAACAAACGUUUCAACCGUGGUAUUAUAGGAGCAUGCCACAUCACCUUGGCAGGAACCCUCUUCCUGGGGCGAUCGUCGCCCACAACAUCACGAGGGUCAUCUCGCCUGACCUUAUACCGAAAUGCACCGCAUACCGGGCACGCAUUUAAAUUCUCGUCUUGACCGCGGUAGAGGAUGCAGUCAUUGAUGCAUGCAUGUAUCUUAUGCACUUCCAAUCCUAGAGGGCAGACAACCUUCUUUGCUUCGUACGUACUGCAGGGCAGCACGUUAUCUCUUGGAAGCAUCUUCUUCAUUAUUUUCAGCAGCUUUUCAAAUCCCUUGUCAGAUAUUCCAUUCUCUGCCUUCCAUUGCAGCAAUUCCAGGGUGGUGCCCAACUUUUUCUGGCCAUCUUCGCAAUUUGGGUACAACAAUUUUUUGUGAUCUUCUAACAUGCGCUCCAACUUCAACCUCUCGUUUUCACUUCCGCAGUUUAUCUGUUCUUCACGAAUGACCUGACGAAGAUCAUCAUCAGACUCAUCAACAAUGUCCUCAAGUUCAGGCUCGUCUUCCCCCAUUUCAGUAUCACCGUGUUCACCGAACAUAGGAUAGUUAUCAUUAUCCUCUUCUUCUUCAUUGUCUUCCAUUACAACCCCUCUUUCUCCGUGCUUGGUCCAACAAAAAUAACUGGGCAUGAAGCCUUCUUGCAACAGGUGGGUGUGUAUGGUUCUUGAGUUAGGGAAAUUCCUCUUAUUCUGGCAUUUUUUACAUGGACAAAAAAUAAAUCCAUUCUGCCUGUUUUUCUCAGCCACAUUGAGAAAACUAUGCAUGCCAUUAAGGAAUUCGGGACGACGUCGAUCACUGUACAUCCAUUGCCGGUUCAUCUGCAUUAUAUAAAUUUAUCAAAAACCAUUAUGCUAAAUCAUCAUGACUAAAUUAAUUAAUUAAUACNCAAAGUAGCGUAGUGACCAUACAUAUAUAGUUCUCAUAAAAAUACACACUGAAACCAACCAUAAAAACUCUCUCUAACUAAUGCAUUUAAAAACAACAACAAAUGCGAUCAAAAUCGCAACAAAGGUAACAAUUGACCCGACGGCCUAAUGAUACGAAGCCUCUUUACUAAUUGCAUAUUUUCUAAUCUUUCUAAUCUUCAGGCGCAUUGCGUCCAUCUCGCUCUUGUGACCAUCGACGACACCGGCAAGAACCUUUUCCAAGGUCAUCUUCUCUCUUUCAGUUUUUUCCAACCUUUCUUCAGUUUUUUUCAAUCUUUCUUUCAGGCCAACAUUUUCUUGUUCAACUAAGUGUAACUUCUCAACAAUAGGGUCGAUUGGCAUUUCCGGUUCCACUACCUCCUAGAUAAAAAUAUCUAUGUCAAGUUGGUCGGCGUAAUUAAUUGUCAUAUAAUCAGGAAAUGAAAAUAUGUAGUUAUAAAAGAUAAUAUACCACAUCCGAAUCAUAGACUGGACGAGGGCCAACGGGGACGGAUAUCAAAACCAUGGCGCUAUACAUAUAAAAAAAAUCUUACACAAUAAGAAAAUUAUAUACAAGUAAAUAUGUAAAUCAUACAAAUCAUAAUUUGUUUUGGUAAAUAAAAACACUAGGCUCACCAAGGUUGUGUCGGUGACGGGGCGAUCGACGGCGGUGAGGAAGGGGACAAGGCGCGCGACACUAAAAAAAACCAUAAAUCAUAAUUAAAUUUGAGCUCAAAUUGCAUAUGUAUACAUAACAAAUGAUGAACUCUCUCUAGCUUAGGCAUUUCAUCAAACACCUAGCUAGCACAACAAAAAUGAAAUGAGCAAGAAAACGAGCAAAACUUGCAAUGCCGGAAGAGGGAAUGUUGAUGUUAACCGUAGGACCGAUGGGUGCCAACAAUCUUGACAAAUGGUGGAGAAAAAUGGGGAUGGAUUAGAGCUCCCAAGAGGAAGGAGAGAGCAAAAAUGGAGUUGAGCUCGCGCUGGAAAAAAUGGAGCUGAGCUCGGAGUGGAAUAUAGGGGAGGGCUUUAGGACCGGUUUGUGUUAAAAACCGGUGCUAAAGGGUCUGACAACGGGGCCCCGCAGUUGCUGCAAAAAUGAGAAAAACUUUAGCACCAGUUUGUGAUACAAACCGGUUCUAAAGGGUCUGUCCACUGGGUCCCCGCCCUGCAGCAAACGGUCCAAAACCCUUUAGGACCGGUUUGUGUUACAAACCGGUCCUAAAGGCCUUGCGGCCAUUCGCUGCAGGGAGGGGGCCCAGCGGAUAGACCCUUUAGAACCGGUUUAUAUCCAAUCCGGGUCCAAUGUGGUUGGCUCAAUGCCCUGUUUUCUACUAGUGACGGUGGUGGUGGUACAACCUCAGCGAGGCUUUGCCAAGCGCCGCUACAAACGCGACGGGGGAGAAAAUUGAUCGAGAGAGAGAGGGAGCUCGCCGCCAAAGGCUUGGUGUGUGGAUUCCCCCCUCACUACAAGAAAUAUGCUCAUAUGUGAUGUUUUUUAAAAUGUCGUUGAUGAAUUCGUCAUAAAUCUAUGACGAUUUCAUCCGAGAUCGUCGUAAACCGUUUGAGGGGAUCAAAUCUACAUAUAAAUUACGACGAUGUGAGUCAAAACGUCGUAACCGCAUAAGAUGAGAUCGUCAUAACUUUUACGACGAUUGUAAAAAUGUCGUAACAUGUUCUAACUAUGUUGACAUGGCACUCGUGGGUCCAUUCUAUCCCACCUGAUCCUAGUUUGUGAAGCAACCUACUAUUCUAUCAUUCCGAAAAUUCUCGAAAAAUUCUCAUAAAUACUUUGGACUAUAUAUUUCUCAAAUAUGUGAAAACCCUCCCUUCCAUAGUUCAAAAAUAAUUCAAAAAUAUUCAUUUUCCUAUUUUGUUCAGAAUAGUACUUUGGUUUACGGAAGUGCUAUUUCUAUUUCUUUGAUUACCCUCAUAUUGUUUGGGCACUCUUUCCUAUCCAAAUCAUUGCCUCAUGAAAACUUUCGUAACGAUUUGCCUAGUAAAUCUUUCUCAACAAAUUUCCAAAGUUUGUGUUCAGCUAACAGCUUUGUGAAGGAAGUACUAGAUAGGAAUAUCCUAAUGAUUUGAAUUUUUCCACAUCAUCUAUGUGCCCAAAACGGAGCUCUCCAUAAAAUUUUAGCCACAUCUAACAAUUCAUGUGAGCUCAUCAUCCAAUCUUUGUUUUUGGUAAUAUUUUCAUUUUGUGAAGCAACUAUGUUUUAUAUUGCUUUAUAGUUGAUGAAAAAUUUACCACGGGAUGAUCCUGACCAUAUAACCUCACUGCACCAAAUUUUAGCUCAUUUAGUUCAGCCAGUUUCUCUCAAUAUUUUUCCCAAUAUUCCGUUCAGUAGAGAGCAUUGUGAAGGAAGUACAAUUUUUGUUUAUCCAAAUUUUAUGAACUUUUUACAGUACCUUAAUGUGCCCAAAUUAUCAUCCUCCUCCAAAUUUAAGCUCACUCCAAUUAUCUAUGUGAGCCCAGUUUUAAUUACCAUUUUCUGUCCAGAUUGGCACAUUGUGAAGGAAGUGUCACUUUGGCAUGUCCAAAUGGUAUAAUUUUUAUACAGUGCCUUCAUAUGCCCAAAUUAACAUCAUACACCAAAUUUCAGCUCAAUCCAUUCAUUCAUUUGAUCCUAGCUUCAACAUCCAUAUUUCUGCACAAUGUGUUACUUUGCAAAGCAAGUGCCACCUAGAUUCAUCCAUUUGAGAUAAAAAUUUGCCAAGAGAGUCUCCUUAGUAGAUGAUCAUCCUCAGCCAAAAUUUAGGCCCAUUGUCUAUGUGAAUUACCCGCACCGCUAAUCAAACACUUGGCUGCUAAUUCAUGUUUGUGCUUAGUUCAGUGUCCUCAUGAGAUUAUUCUAUUGUAUUAUUCUUGCUAACACCUAUCGAGGGAUUGUCCAACCCACCAGACAUGACUAUUCCACCUAGAACGCGUGGCAAUGCAACGGUUAGGCGGUGACCAUGCGACUGGCAUGCAAGUUCACGCACCCUGGAGUUGGGGCCCUCGACCACCAUGCAAAUCUCGACGUCAAGGCACCACACCAUGUAUUUCUGAUUAAAUAGAUACUUAUAUACCUACAAAUGAUUUUUGGGAAAAAUAAAGAGCAAACUAUAAUGCAGCUGCAGUUCAAAUUUGACCCGCUUCCAUCUGAAUCGACAUAAAUUUGUCUUUUUCACGAGAGGUGGGUAACAUCUUUUAACACCCAACCAUUUUGUCAAUUGUACAUUAAAUAUGGACUAGUAUUUUAUAAAAAUGAUUUGGUCCAAUUUUAAAACAAAUAUAUGGUAGGUCCUUCACAAAACAACUCAUUUUGAUCACUUGAAAAAUGGAAAAUGAAUUUUUCAUACAAGGAAAAUGAAAACUUCCUUAAUCAACAUUGUUUGCCAUUCCGAUAUGCACCCUUGUGCAUAAUAUUAUAUCAUUUCAACAAACUAUGUCAUGAAUAUGGCUAUAAGAUUGAUCAUUUGGCUUGAAAGUCAUGAAUCUUCACACAUGAUAGCUCAUUUCUAAGAACACUUGUUUAAAAUAAUUGUCGUAUUAUAAGUUUAUUAUUUUUCCUGGUAACUUUGUCACAUAUAAUGACACAAUGCAAUGGUUUUCCAUUUUUUUGAAUUUGUUUUGAAUUUUCCAUGGCCAUUUCAAAACGCGGUCAAAAUAGCGGGUAUGACCGUUCAUACCUAGUGGUUGAAUCUUGGAAAUGUUUUGAUGUUUCUAUGAUUAAAUAGAUACUUGUGUACCUAUAAAUUGUUUUUAGCAAAAAUAUAGAGCAAACUAUAAUGUCGAUGCAGUUUAAAUUUGACCCGCUUUCAGCUGAUUCAACGAAAUUUUUUCUUUUUUAGGAGAGAUCGAUAAAAGCCUUUAACACCCAACCAUUUUGUCAAUUAUACAUUAAAUAUGGCCUAGUAUUUUAGAAAAUUGAUUUGUUCCAAUUUUGAAACAAAUAUAUGGUAGGUCCUUCACAAAAAAGUUCAUUUUGGACACUUGAAAAAUGGAAAAUGAUUUUUACAUACGAGGAAAAUGAAAACUUCCUUAAUCAAUAUUGUUUGUCAUUCCAAUAUGCAUCCUUGUGCAUAAUAUUAUAUCAUUUCAACAAACUAUGUCAUUAAUGUGGCCAUAGGAUUGAUAAUUUGGCUUGAAAGCCAUGGAUCUUCACACAUGAUAGCUCAUUUUUAAGAAAACUUUUUUAAAAUAAUUGUCAUAUUACAAGUUUAUUAUUUUUCCUGGCAACUCUGUCACAUAUAAUGACACAAUGCAAAGGUUUUCCAUUUUUUUAAUUUUUUCAUGGCCAUUUCAAAAUGCGGUCAAAACAGCGGGUAUGACCGUUCCUACCUAGUGGUUGAAUCUUGAAUUUUUUUUAAUGUUUCUCUGAUUAAGUAGAUACUUUUGCAAAAUUUGUAUGGUGCACUUUGGCAAAAUGUUUUUGAUAGAUGCUUCAUAAAAUUCCUCUAUUUUUAGUACUUGAAAAUUAUUUUAAAUCAUUGAUUUUUUGAAGGGAAAUUUGAAGAUUUGCCACAAGUUUGUUUACACUUUGAGGAUUUACCCCUGUUUUUCUUGUUACUAAUAAUUAGCCACACCUUUCUGAGAGUCUUAAUGAUUUGCCCCUUAUGAACGACAUGGAAAUAUAACACAAAAUCAGUGACCAAACUGCCCGAGCCCAAAUUAGCUAGCUUCAUGUUUGACCGUUCCCGUUUCUCUGUUCGUUCGUAUCCUGGCUGCUCGUCAUGGCUCGCAGCAGUGUCUCUCGUUGCUGUGGCUCGUGAACCCGCCUUGUUGUGCUGACCACUCCACUCCAGACCAAGAAGGCCGAGGUCGACGGCCAAAAUAGGUAAGCCACCGUGGUUGAUUCAUGUGCCAGGCGCAAGCAUCCGUCUUCGUCAACCGACGGCGUGCUCACUUAGUCGGGUUGGUGCCUGGUGGUCUUCACGUCGCCGACCCACUAGACCGCCUUGCCAAGUGGACAGACGAUGACGAUCACCCCUGUUCUUGGCUGGGCGUCAACUGUGACACGUGCACGGGCUGCAUGACCUCACUCUCGCUGCUCGCCACGUUGCUCCCUGGCCGCCUCCUCCCCUGCAACAACCUGUUAGGAUCGGCUAUAUCCCCUGCCUCCGCUCUCGUCCUCACAUCUUGACUUGUCUAAACGACAACGAGCGAGCACGCGGAGACGCAUCCGUCUGCUUCUCUUUUGGAAGAGACGAGGAUGACCUUGGGUACCAUGACGAGCUUUUUAGACAUAUUCCAGUGGGUCCCUACCUCCGGGGGCAAAUCAUCACCAAACUGAAAAAGAUAUCGCGAAUAAUCGAUGACAAGGAAAACGAAGGCAAGUCCUCAAAGUGCAAACAAACAUGUGGCAAAUCCUUAAAUUCCCUUUUUUGAACCAAUGAGAAAUCUUUCCACAGAUCGAUGACAUGGCGUCCAUCCAUCCAUCCAUCUACAGAAAAAAAAACCACCCGGAGCCCAAACCCUAGCUCACACCCCCAUCGCACCUUCCUCCCAGAUCCGGCGCCGCCGCACGUUCUCCUCUCCUCCUCCUCCCAGAUCCGGAGCCUCUCCAAGCCGCCCGCGCUCGCCGACGCGGCCGCCUCACCGUGCUCUCUCCGUCCCCACCCACCCGCCUCCCAAUCCCGAUCUCUCUCGCCCCGCUCAUGCAUGAGAGGUCGUCGGGGCCAUCGCUAGUCGCCGCCACGCGCCUCCGCUCCGCCUCCCUGGUCCUGCUGCUCCUGGCGCUGUCCCUGCUCGCCGGGUGGGCACGCUUCUGGGAUACAUGACGACCUCACGGAGGAUAAGAAGAGCCAGCCAACCAAUGAAACGCGAGGAACCUCCUCCACGCGGACCACCCCACCAGAAGCGAUCUGAGCCAUCCAUCACGCGCCCAUCCGACAGUGUAGCAUCUCCCGAAAAACCAAACCCUAACUAUGUGAUCGAGACACCCCACCCCUCACACACAGCCACACACUUCCUCCCUCGUCCCCAUCUCUCUCCCGCACGAACCCCUCUUGCCGCCGCCAUCACCAACGGCGCCCUGAUCCAGGCGACCUCCGGUGAGGAUAGACGGUGCCAAGCACACAACAUGGAUCCCCUUGCUCUGCUCCUCCCCUAUCCCGUGCUUCUUCCCACCCGCGCGCCCGUGCCAAACCCUACCGCGCGUGUGAUCCCGCGUCCGCCCCGAUCUGCGAGAUGUGGCGCGACUGAGCACACACACACAGUGACGCGCAGGGGAAGAGGAGGUUUCCCCCGAUCCGGCGCACGACAGGGAGCCCGCCGCCUGACACGGCGGGGCGAGGGCCCCCUCCGACGCGGGGCGGACCUUCCUGCAUNUGCGGUUCAGGGGCGCGGUGCAGGAAGAACUGCAUGAUGGUGGCACCUUCCACCAUGGUCGCCGAAUUACUGAUUGGGAUCAAGCACUGGUAACCUCUUCACACAACUUUCCCGUAGCAUUUCCAGCACUGAGAGUGCGACCUUUUUUCUGAACAGUACCUUUAGCCGCAUCUUUUCUAAAUACUGUAUACUGGUAGCCGGCGCGAUGUGGGAGACAAUCCACCCCAUCUAAUUCCUUUCCCGUAGUCGGAUGCCCCGUCACAACCCACAAUGCCUUUGUCCUAGCACAAUAACUUAUGGGCAACAAGCGUGCGACAUAGGUGACUGGAAAAUAGAAGGCAUUGCAGGCCAUACCACAAGCAUACGUACGUACACGCUAGCUAAAAAAUGUUUUUGGUGGUAUCUAUCUUCUUACAUUUGCUUAACGUCUACGGGGAAGCUUCUUAGUCUAGUGCAGUAUUUAAUUUGGUGGUGCUAAUGUGGAUUAUGAUAUGACAUCUUCUCCAACUGGGUAUAGGUGGAAAAAAAGCACCUAUGCUUAUCUGAAUGAGCCGGCAGUGACCGCAUCGGUGGAUAUAUUCCAUUUCUUGCAGAACUCUUCAAGGUACAUAUACUGCAAUUCUCUGGAGUCUUAUGCUAUUGUCCAUAACGCCUUCGCCCGGUUCAUCCUUGAUUGGCUCUGAUUCUUCUCGGUCGGCGUCUCGCAGAUGUGGCAGCUCAAGGGCGAGGUUGGCGCCAUCUCCAGGGCCGACGGCUCGGCGCUCUUCGAGAUGGGCAACACCAGGGUCAUCGCCGCCGUUUACGGGCCCCGAGAGGUGCGUCCAUGUCCCUCCUGUAAAAUUCAGUGUAAAGAUGAGCCCAAUGUUAGGCUAACAAGGGCCUGAGUCAAGCCGGUCAUAUGCUGAAAUAGAUUAGGGAUGGUGGUUUAUUUGUUGGCCCAUAACUCAUAUCGAUCGAACUGGUGUGGUGGUUAAUGUAGAAAUAACACCGCGAAAAUAGUUUCCAGCAAUGCUGCAUCGUUGUACUCUCCUCUUUCCUGUUAAUGUUUUCUUUUCAAAAAAUAAAUCCUUUUAAUGUUGUUGUACCCAUCCCCAAACGCCAACUAUGCUAUUUGCACAUCUUGUAGGUUGAGUUCCUCCGUAGAUUAGCGCUUUACAAAUCAGCAUCUCAUACUAGCUAGGAGGCCACUGAUUGCACCUUCUUUUAAAAUGUUUUAAUGUCCAAUGAACUUGCAGGCCUUUGUUAUUUUGUCAUCUGCUAGUUGUUGGUAGGCUGAAUAUGUUGUCCGUGAUGUGUUCUGUUACCUCUGUCGAUCUGUUCAUCAAGCAUAAAUGUUUAUUUUCUGAACUGAUAAGUCCUUGCCAAACACUAAUGAUCUAAUCAUGUUUUGAUUGCAGCGAACAGACGGUCUGCCGUAGCUUGGUCCUUGAAGGCGGGUCUAUGGGACUCUCUCAAAUCUGGGUAAAGUACAUUAUGUACCCUUUUAAAAUUUUGUGUGAUGUUCAUGUUUAAAAAAUAUCUACAUAUUAGAACAUCUAUGUACUAUUGUUAAAGAAACACUAUUUCCAGAGCUUCCCACCUUGAUGAAAAAGGUUAAACCAUUAAACAAAUUCGAGUUUCCCCCAUUAUCUUGGCUAGGACAAAAGUUUUCUUGGAUCAAUUAUUCGGUGUGCGAUUCAUUUCUGUAUGUUACUAAGAUGGACAGGAGAACGAUUCAGAUAUUUGCGAAUCAUAGGCUUUAUUUCGUGCAAAUUGGUUUCAGCCAGCGGUUAGGCAUUGGGCAUUUUGUUUCGCUCACCCUAUCAACUGUGAUUUAGGAUUAUGAUGAUUAUUGAUGUAGCCAACAUAAAAUCCUGCCUGCACAUUUUGAAGCACGACUCCUGUGAUGAUUUAUACGCACUCUGUUUGUGUUUUAUCUUGAAAUUUAAGCUUACUAUACCCUGAGUAUAAGAUGUUACAGUGUUGGUACCUUCACUUAUGUCUCAAUUAGUGGUAGUUUAAUGUCUACUGCACUAAACACCCAGCUAGUCUUUUUUCUACCAGUAUGUUGCAGCCACCAGCAUUCUUGUAGUUGUUGCUGAGUUAAGUUUGGUUCACAUGAUUGCAUUCUACGCUUUGAUAUAUUGUUCCUCAUGGUUGUUACUGUUAUCCAUGGCCUCAUGCUUCAGGAUUGACUCUUAACUGCUUGAGCUCUUUAGUCCUUCCAAAACAAGGUCUUGAUGUCCCUCUUACGGAAAAAUGUUCAUAUCGGUUCCUGCAUGAUGCGUGUAUGUACGUUGGAUGGUCACGUUCUAGUUUACUAGCUAGCUAGUAAGCAUUGUUUGGUUAGUGCUCUCCUGCUUGGUUGGCUAAACAUAUUCGUUUGUUUGAUUUGGCUUCACAGUUACAUAUUUUGAUUUGAACUUAGUCUAUGUUUAUGCCUAGUUUCUCUUAAUUAUCUUAAAUGGUGUGGUACCGUGUCUAUGCGCGCACAACUUCCUCUCACAAAAAAAAACUAAGUGCAUGUCUCUCUCACUUUUGUUCGCAUUUCUUUUAACAUCAUCUUGAGGAUGAAUACAAAUCUUUUUAUUUCUAAUAUUUUUAUAUUUAUUUCGUUUUGAUUGAUUCAUGUGCAGUGUAAUGUUCUUGUAGGAUGACAAGUUGUCGCAUCUCGAGCAUGUCUCAUAGGAGAGUAGAAUGAAGUCCAUUGUAUUGUUGGGAUAGUAGCAGAUGUGCCAUUGUUCUGUUGUGCAAUUUUGUCCGUUCUUGCUAUAUUCUUGUGUAAGGAAAUGUAUUCACGAGAUGAGUUAUUGUGUUAUGUAAACCUGGGAGAUGUAUUAUGUGAUGUUAUAUGAUGGAUGGUUUUAAUUCGACUUGGAGUUUUCUUGAUUUGAAUAUUAAAUAGUGUUGGAUUUAAUAUUGGACAAAUAAUUGGGUUGAAAAGGCCCAACAAAUAGAAAUGAAACCAAGUUCUGAAACAAAAAGUUGCUGAAUUCAAAAAUAAAAAAGGCCAAAACUAAAACUCGACCCAAUGUAUUUGGGAACUAAAAGGGCCAGGGCCCAAAUUAUAGUGAUACAAAAAAAUUCAUAAAAAACUAGAAGUGGUUGUAAAUAGCCCCAAUAAGAAAAAGCCCCAAAAAAAUAAAACCAGCCCAUAUGCUCAAUUGAAAUGGGUUGGGCUGAUUUCAACCAUGACGUUUUGAUUUCAUCGUAAUUUUGCCACGUAGGACUGGGUUAGAUUGGCAACGACGAUUUAGGAUCAUCGUAAAGGUUACGACGAUCCAGAAAUUCUCGUAAAAGUUACGACGAUUUCGAUCAAAACAUCGCUGUUGUUCAUUUCUGACGCUCCGUUUUCGACGCUUGGUUUUUCGUCGUGAGAUCGUCGUAAAUUAAAAACCAUGACGAUGUAGCGACGAAAAAAUAGCGUCGUGUAUUAGCAUAUUCCUUGUAGUGGAUCUCUGAUACGUCUCCAUCGUAUCUACUUUUCCAAACUCUUUUGCCCUUGUUUUGGACUCUAAUUUGCAUGAUUUGAAUGGAACUAACCUGGACUAACGCUGUUUUGAGCAGAAUUGCCUUGGUGUUAUUUUCAUGCAGAAAUCAAAGUUCUCCAAACGUCCUAAAAAUUUACGGGGAGCAGUUUUGGAAAAUAUCAAAAAUAUCUGCGCCAAGUAGGGGGUGGGCCAGUGGGCCACAAGCCCUCGCUCCGCCACCACCCCCCUGGUGGCGGUGGGGAGGCUUGUGGGGCCCACACGGCUCUGCCGCCCCCAAUUCCAGCUCUAUAAGAUCCCUUUCGUCCCAGAAAAUAAAAGAGAAGUUGUCGUCUCGUUUUCGAUACGGAGGCGCCAUCACCACCUGUUCUUCAUCUGGAGGGCAGAUCUGGAGUCCGUCUUGGGCUCCGGAGAGGGGAAAUCGUCGCCAUCGUCAUCAUCAACCUUCUUCCCACUCCAAUUCCAUGAAGCUCUUCGUCGUUCAUGAGUAGACUAUUCAUAGGCUCGCUGGGCGGUGAUGAGUAGGAUGAGAUCUAUCAUGUAAUCGAGUUAGUUUUGAUCGGGAUUGAUCCCUAGUAUCCACUAUGUUCUGAGAUUGAUGUUGCUACUACUUUGCCAUGCUUAAUGCUUGUCACUAGGGCCCGAGUGCCAUGAUUUCAUAUAUGAAAUUAUUAUGUUGUCACCAAUAUAUGUGCGUUUUAGAUCUGAUCUUGCAAGUUGUAGUUACCUACUAUGUGUUAUGAUCCGGCAACCCCGGAGUGACAAUAACCGGAACUACUCCUGGUGAUGACCAUAGUUUGAGGAGUUCAUGUGUUCACCAAGUGCUAAUGGGUUGGUCCAGUUCUUUAUUAAAAGGAGAACCUUAGUAUCCCGUAGUUUCCUUUUGGACCCUGCUGCCGCGGGAGGGAUGGACAAUAGAUGUCAUGCAAGUUCUUUUCCCUAAGCACGUAUGACGACACACGGAAUGCAUGCCUACAUCACAUUGACGAACGGGAGCUAGCUACAUAUCUCUCCGUGUUAUAGCUGUUGCAUGAUGAAUAUCAUCCAAACAAAUCACCGACCCAUUGCCUAUGAGUUUGUCCUACUGCUGCUACUACUGUUGCUACUACUACUUGUACUACUGUUGCUACUGCUGUUACUUGUCUUGCUCUGCUAUUGCUACUAUUGUUGCUACUGCUGUUACUUGUCUUGCUCUGCUGCUGCUACUACUAUUGCUACUGAUAUUACUUGUCUUGCUGUGCUACUACUGUUGCUACUACUGUCGCUUGCUACUGUUGCUACUUGCUACUGCUGUCACUACUGAUUUUACUUGCCGCUGCUAUUGCUCGUUACUUUGCCGUUACUCGCUACUUUGCUGUUACUACUUUGCUUGCAGAUACUAAUCUUUCAGGUGUGGUUGAAUUUGACAUAUUCAGCUGCUAAUACUUGAGAGUAUUCUCUCACCUCUCGUCGUGCGAACCAACAAAUUUGUGUUGAAUACUCUACCCUCGAAAACUGCUGCGAACCCACACGCAGGUGGGCCGUCAACAACAUUCUUCUAGUUUCAUUGCUGGGGAGUGCUAGUAGCAUUCUUCUGGUGCCGUUGCAGGGGAAGGCUUGUUGUCAUCAGCAUUCGUCUAGCCAUCGCCAGAGAUUGCAAUCAGCAUUUUUCUGGCGGCGUUGCCAGGGGGGUAUUGCUAUAUUCUCUAAGUUACUUGGGAUUUAUAUCUGUUGAUAACUAUGAAGAAUCUGAAGGAUCCGAAGACCAAAGUUUUGCCCUCAACUACGAGGGGAGGUAAGGAAUUGCCAUCUAGCUCUGCACUUGAUUCACCUUCAGUUAUGAGUAAGUUUGCGACAUCACCUCCUGCUAGAAAUCUUGAUAUGUCGCCUGUGAUUGAUGAUGCUUGUGAUACUACUGCUAGAGAUGCUAUGCUUGAUACUAUGCCUGAUGAUAUGCCUGAUACUGCUAGAGAUGCCAUGCUUGAUACUAUGCCUGAUGAUACUAUGCUAGAGAUACUACUUUGCCUGAUACUAUGCUAGAGAUGCUAUGCUUGAUACUAUGCUAGAGAUGCUAUGCUUGAUACUAUGCUAGAGAUACUACUUUGCCUGAUGUUCCACUAGGGGUAUUCCUUGAUGCUCAUAUUGCUAGAGUUACUGCCGAUGCCCGUGAUGCUUCUGAAACUGCCGAUACUAUUGAGAUAGAACCUGCUUUUGCUCCUGAUAGAUCUAGCCCUCCUAGAUAUGAAUUGCCUGAUAUACCUGAGGGGUACGUUAUGGAGGGAGAGAUAGCUGAGGAUUUUCUUGCGUGUAAGGAUGCGUAUGACGCUGAGAAAUUACUUCUCAAGUGGAAGGAAAAAUCUCGGGAAGCUAGGAAGAAAAAUGACCCAAAGUUUGCCACUUCGCCUAUCUUUGUCACCGAUAAGGAUUAUGAAUUCUCUGUCGACCCUGAGAUAAUCUCUCUGGUCGAAUCUGAUCCUUUUCACGGUUAUGAGUCUGAGACUGUCAUAGCCCAUCUUGCAAAACUAUCCGAAAUAGCCAACCUUUUCACUAAUGAGGAGAAGAUCCGCCACUACUAUAUCCUUAAGUUAUUUCAUUUCUCUCUAAAGGAUGACGCUAAAGCCUGGUUCACCUCUCAUGCUCCUGGAUGUGUGCGUAGUCCCCAGGAGAUGGUCUAUUACUUCUGUGAGAAAUAUUUCCCUGCCCAUAAGAAGCAAGCUGCCUUGCAGGAAAUAUACAACUUUGCUCAACUCCAAGAAGAGAGUCUUCCACAAGCUUGGGGGAGGCUCGUCCAACUACAAAAUGCUUUGCCUGAUCGCCCUCUUAAGAAGAACGAGAUACUUGAUAUCCUCUAUAAUGGACUUACCGAUGCCUCUAGAGACCACCUAGAUAAUUGUGCCGAUUGUGUUUGUAGGGAACAAACUAUAGAACAAGCUGAGACCCUACUAAAUAACCUCUUGAUCAAUGAUAAUGCUUGGACUAUUCCCGAACCACCUCCGACGCCAACUCCUAAGAAAAGAGGUAUUCUAUUCCUCAGUCCCGAAGAUAUGCAAGAAGCCAAGAAAUCUAUGCAAGAGAAAGGCAUUAGAUCUGAAGAUGUCAAAAAUCUACCACCUAUUGAAGAGAUCCAUGGUCUCGAUAACCUAUAGGUAGUGAGCCUUUGAUGAGAGUGAUAUUCCUGCGUAGGUUUGAUGAGAGUGAUAUUCCUUUUGAUAAACCUGCUAGCCUAUGCUUUGAUGAAUUUGACAACUUUGUUGCCAAACAACAGAGUUUCAAUGCUUAUGUUAGCAGACAUUUGGAACAAAGUACUCGUAUGCUUAGCCAUUUAAGUGCUUGUGUAGACAGAAAUGUCAAUGAUCUGAAGCUUCUGAGUAAACAUGCCUCUAUGAUUACUACUCAAGUAGAACAAGUACUCAAAGCUCAGAAUGACCUGCUCGAUGAAUUAAAUGACAACUCUGUCAGAGUCAUUACUAGAGGAGGCAAAAUGACUCAGGAACCUUUGUAUCCUGAAGGUCAUCUUAAGAGAAUUGAUCAAGAUUCUCAAGGAAUCAAUGCUGAUACACCUAGUCAUCCUAAGGAGAAGAAGAAGGAUGAUAGAAACCUACACGCCAGUUCACCAAAUACCGUCACACCUGAAGAACCUAAUGAUAUUUAUGCGUCUGAUGCAGAAACACAAUCUGGUGAUGAACAUGAACCUGGUGACAAUAUGGACAGCGAUGUUCAUAAUAAUGCUCAACCUAGCAAUGAUGAGGAUGUGGAGAUUGAACCUACGGUUAAUCCUAAUAACCCACAACCUAAGAAAUACGAUAAGAAUGACUUCAAUGCUAGGAAGCAUGGUAAAGAAAGAGAGCCAUGGGUUCAGAGACCUAUGUCAUUUCCUCCUAAGCCAUCCAAGAAAAAGGAUGAUGAGGAUUUUGAGCGCUUCGUUGAGAUGAUAAGACCCGUAUUUCUGCAGAUGCGGUUAACUGAUAUACUCGUCUCUGUAUGCCAAGUACAUGAAAGAUAUCGUGACUAAUAAACGGAAGAUACCAGAUCUUGAGAUCUCCACCAUGCUUGCCAAUUACACUUUUAAAGGUGGAACUCCUAAGAAACUUUGUGAUCCCGGAGUGCCCACUACACCUUGCUCCAUUAAAGGAAACUACGUAAGAACUGCCUUAUGUGACCUUGGAGCCGGUGUUAGUGUUAUGCCGCUCUCUUUUUAUCAUAGACUUGAGUUGGAUAAGUUGACACCCACUGAAAUUUCUCUGCAAAUGGCCGACAAAUCAACUGCUUUCCCUAUCGGCGUUUGCGAGGAUGUGCCUGUUGUGGUUGCUAAUACCACUAUCUUAACAAACUUUGUUAUCUUGGAUAUUCCCAAGGACAAUGACAUGGCUAUCAUCCUCGGAAGACCCUUUUUAAACACUACAGGGACUGUUAUAGAUUGCAACAAGGGCAAUGUCACUUUCCACGUCAACGGUAAUGAGCACACCGUGCACUUUCCGAAGAAACGAUAUCCAGUACAUUGCAUCAAUGCUAUCGAAAAGACUUCAUCGAUUCUCAUUGGGAGCUUUGAAUGCCCUAUUCCUCGUGUCAAGAUGAAGUAUGAUUUGCUUGUUGGGGAGAUACAUAUACCCAUUGAGGUGACUUAGUGGCUAUUCAAAAAUUCUCCGUUCUCUCUUGCGAUUCCAGAAGGUUCUAUCAUAAGGACUUGAUCAAUCCCAUUGACGGAUUUCUUUCGAUGACCAUGAAACGGAUGAAUCAAGGAGUCACAUACCUCUGUUUUAAGUUUUCCUUUUCUUUUGCUUAAAAGAAAAAUGAUAGAAUUAGUUUAGUUUUUCCUGUUUUUCGUUUUAGCGGCCCAGAGAAAAAUACCUCGAAAAUAAAAAUUCUCCGAUGGUCCUGAAAAUUUAGUAUGAUUUUUUCUAGAAUUUUUGAAAAUUUCUGGGCCUGAGAGCUGGCCUGGGGUCCUGACCAGUGGGCCACAAGCCCUUCCACCCCCACCUACCCCCCUGGUGGCGGGGUGCAAGCUUGUGGGGCCCACACGCACCCCCUCCACUCAUUCCAGCUCCCAGCCUCUUCUUCCACCCCAAGAAAAAAUUGUUUCGCAGCUCAAACUCGUGUUCUUCCUCAUUUGGCUGUGAUUUUCGAUCUCCUUGCUUAAAGCACCAUUCUCCGAACCGCUUUGGGGAAAUUACUCCUUGGUAAGUGACUCCUCCAUUUGUCCAAUUAGUUUUUGCUCUAGUGCUUUAUCCUUCGCGUAUUCUUCCUACCUUGGUGACCCUGUUCUUGAGCUAGAAAUGUUGAUUUUAGUUGGUCCCAUGUAGUUUUAGCGCGUGAUAUGGUCUCUAGGCACUAGUAGGAGUAGUUGCUACAAGUUGGGUUAAUCUUCAUUCACUUUUCUUUCAAAGUCUCUAAAAAUUUCAGAAUUUUUCAGAGCUAGAAAAAGGAAAAGAUGAGGAGGUUCUUGAGAGGCUCUUCAAGCCGUAACCCCAAGGAGGAUGAGAAGAAUCACCCCAAGUACGUAGUCCCUCAGGUCACAGAAGUUCGAGCGUGCGAGUGGCCAAGUGAUGAAUUUUUGCGCGUCGUCGGACUUUAUGAAGACUUUUAUUACUUGGUGGAGAACACAGGUCUUACUGCGUUUGUUGAAGAUAAGUGCCCACAAUACCUCCUCCUCACCAAUAUUUUCGUUCAAAGCUUCAACUUUUAUCCGAGGAAGAAUCCUCCCAUGGUUGAGUUCAUGAUAUACGAUGUCCCGAGUGCAUGACGCUGCAGGAUUUUUGCAAUGUAUGCAAAUUACCUUAUGUUGGGGAUAUCCAUGAUCCUCGUCCACGGGACUUGGAGGAUUUCAUUGGUUCUAUUGCUCUUGGAGAGGAGAGAGGAGUGUCUCGCGCUAGAAUUGCUAGCAUACAUUUUCCUGUGCUUCGGUACUUCUCACUAUUUGUGGGAAAAUGUUUGAUUGGCCGUGGGGAGGCUGGAUCACAUAGUUCUCCAGACCUUGUGGUUCUGCGCGAAGGCCUUUAUAACGAUAAGACUUAUAGCUUGGGCGCUAUAGUAGCUCAACGGUUGAACCUGAACCGUUCUAAAGGAGUCGUCUAUGGAGGUAUCUAUGCUACCCGUCUUGCCAGACACUUUGAGAUACCCAUUAGACUGGGAGAGGAAGGAGAGAUGCUUCUCCCUGAGAGGUAUCUGGAUUAUGACAGCAUGGUUCGCCAUGAUUUUCUGGAUAGAGAUGCUAGUAGAUGGAUGAUUUUCAACCUGGUGUUUAGUCAAGGUACUCGAGAGACUAUUACUUAGCCUGCUCCUUCUUUGUUCGAUCUUCAUGCAGGGAGGUACACUAUUAUGCCCGCGGACAUCUACGCAUAUUGGGGCUUGGCCCAACCACAGGCGCCCCUGCCCGAGCCGCCAGUGGAGUACCAGACGCCAGUUUAUCAGUGGGAGCCAGAGGAGCUCACACAGCAGUGGCAUCCACAGUCUUCUCCGGAGUAUCCUGGAGCUGGUUAUUUCCCACCUUGGGAGUAGACCAAGCUAGGCCAAAAUCCUAAGCUUGGGGGAGUACGUGUUCUCACCGACUUUACAUUCAUGGUUAUGCUUUCACUUUGUUAGCUGAUGUUUACACUUUUCCACUGUAUUAUCCAUGCUAGUUUCUUUUUGUUUUCUUGUUUUCUUGUUUUGUGUCCUUUUGAGAAAACCCAAAAAGAUUUUUCUCUCUUCUUUUGCUUGUUGGGAGCUUUCCCGUGUAAAUAGUUUUCUUUUUCUUUGUGUCAAGGUAGAAUAUAUUGGUUACAAUGUUUAUUUGUUCAUGCAUGCUUACCUGUUUAGCUUUCAAAGAGCCAUAUUAUUUUGUCAUCUCCUUUGUGUUUGCCUGCAGAUUCAGCUUAGUCCAAUGCGCUUAUUAUCGUUCUCAUCGUUCGAUCGUGCAAAUGAAAGGCAACAAUGAUGAUAUAUGAUGAAGUGACUGAGACUGAAAAGCUGGUAUGAACUCUAUCUAUUUUGUUUUUGUAAAUAUGACUAGCUUAUCGACCUAGAUUCAACUUUGUUGUGAGAGAACCAUGUUUGCAAUGACAACUUAGAGAUCAUAGUUUCUGAUGCCAUGCUUAUUUAGCUGAGAGCUUAUAAUGGUUUGUCUUGAAUGCCAACAUAGAUUUUGAGAUGACUAUGAUGUAGUAUGAUAGGAUGGUAUUCUCCUUUGAAUGUUUCAAGUGGCUUGACUUGGCGCAUGUUCAUGCAUGUAGUUGAAACAUAAUCAACAUAGCCUCUAUGAUGUUCGUGUUCAUGGUGAUUUAUAUCCUGUUCAUGCUUGCAUUCAAUGUUAGUCAAACUCAUUGCAUCUUGAUAACUGUUGCCUUUUGCUACCCAUCACUUGUACCAAGCGGAAUACUGCUUAUGCAUCCACUUACAUAAAACCAAAAGUUUUUCCAUGAGAGUCCACCAUACCUACCUAUUUGCGGUAUCUACCUGCCGUUCCAAGUAAAUUUGCAUGUGUCAUUCUCUAAACCUUCAAGAAAUAAUUUGUUUUGCAUGCCCAAACUGCUCAUGUGGUGAGAGAGGUCUAUUGGUAUCUUCCAUGCUAGGAGUGUUAUCCUCGACAUGUGUUUAUUCACAGUCAUUCACGAGAAAUGGGCCGGUAAUUGGAAUGCCCAGUUCCACGCUUAAAUCGAAAACAUAACUGUAAAACAAGACUCCCCCCGGAUUGAUGUUAGUAUGGACGGUACCCGAGGAUUCGGCUAGCCGUGGAGUGUGAUUGAUUGGUGGUGGGGGAGUUAAAACUUUACUUUUCUGUUUGGGAACCGCCUAUAGCAUGAGUAGCAUGGAAGAUAUUGAGAACUCUUGGUCAUUGCGCUGACAAUGAAAGCAUGCCACCCAAAAUUAUUAUCUCUGUUUUCAAAGCUUCAGCUCUGGCACCUCUGCAAAUCAAUGCUUCCCUCUGCAAAGGGUCUGUCUAUUUAUUUUCCCGUCGAGUCAUCCUCAUCUUAUAUAAGCACCAAUUAGAGAGCACCUCUGUCAUUUUUAUGCUUUGCUUUUGAUUGAUAUUGAGUAUGACUAUGACUGGAUCUUCGUUGCUAUGAGUUACAAUGUUUAGUCAGCCCUUGAUCUUUGAAAGUGCUCUGCAUUUAUGUUUUGCGGUCUCAGAAAGAGCUAGCGAGAUACCACCUAUUCAUAUUGCUUCAUGCUCGUUUUGAUUGAAGUGUUGGUAUUUGUAACUCAUUAUUAUUUGCUCGUUAGCUCAUUAUGCCAUUGAUAUUAGUUUACCGUGAGACCUUUGUGUCAUUUGCUUAUGUGGUUAACUUGUGAUCUUGCUGUAAUUCUGGUUAUGAGUUAGACAUAGUUGCAACAACAAGAUCAAACAGAGUUUGUCAAAGUUUUUCUUUCUCUCUCAGUUUGUCAACUGAGGUGCUUGAGGACAAGCAAGGUUUUAAGCUUGGGGGAGUUGAUACGUCUCCAUCAUAUCUACUUUUCCAAACUCUUUUGCCCUUGUUUUGGACUCUAAUUUGCAUGAUUUGAAUGGAACUAACCUGGACUAACGUUGUUUUCAGCAGAAUUGCCUUGGUGUUAUUUUUGUGCAGAAACCAAAGUUCUCCAAACGUCCUGAAAAUUUACGGGGAGCAGUUUUGGAAAAUAUCAAAAAUAUCUGCGUGAAGUUCCACCUCAGGCGGUGGGCCAGUGGGCCACAAGCCCUGGCUCCACCACCACUCCUCCUGGUGGCGGUGGGCAGGCUUGUGGGGCCCACGCGGCUCUGUUGCCCCCAACUCCAGCUCUAAGAUCCCUUUCGUCCCAGAAAAAAAAAGAGAAGUUUUCGUCGCGUUUUCGAUACGGAGGCGCCGCCACCACCUGUUCUUCAUUUGGAAGGAAGAUCUGGAGUCCGUCUUGGGCUCCGGAGAGGGGAAAUCGUCGCCAUCGUCAUCAUCAACCUUCUUCCCUCUCCAAUUCCAUGAAGCUCUUCGUCGUUCGUGAGUAAUCUAUUCGUAGGCUCGCUGGGCGAUGAUGAGUAGGAUGAGAUCUAUCAUGUAAUCGAGUUAGUUUUGAUGGGGAUUGAUCCCUAGUAUCCACUAUGUUCUGAGAUUGAUGUUGCUACUACUUUGCCAUGCUUAAUGCUUGUCACUAGGGCCCGAGUGCCAUGAUUUCAGAUCUGAAAUUGUUAUAUUGUCACCAAUAUAUGUGUGUUUUAGAUCCGAUCUUGCAAGUUGUAGUUACCUACUAUGUGUUAUGAUCCAGCAACCCUGGAGUGACAAUAACCGGAACCACUCCCAGUGAUGACCAUAGUUUGAGGAGUUCAUGUGUUCACCAAGUGCUAAUGCGUUGGUCCGGUUCUUUAUUAAAAGGAGAACCUUAAUAUCCCAUAGUUUCCUUUUGGACCCCGUUGCCACGGGAGGGAUGGACAAUAGAUGACAUGCAUGUUCUUUUCCCUAAGCACGUAUGACGACACACAGAAUGCAUGCCUACAUCACAUUGACGAACGGGAGCUAGCUACAUAUCUCUCUGUGUUAUAGCUGUUGCAUGAUGAAUAUCAUCCAAACAAAUCACCGACUCAUUGCCUACGAGUUUGUCCUACUGCUGCUACUACUGUUGCUACUACUGCUGCUACUACUGUUGCUACUGCUGUUACUUGUUUUGCUCUGCUGCUGCUACUACUGUUGCUACUGAUGUUACAUGUCUUGCUCUGCUGCUGCUACUACUGUUGCUACUGCUGUUACUUGUCUUGCUUUGCUGCUACUGUUGCUACUACUGUCGCUUGCUACUGUUGCUACUUGCUACUGCUGUCGCUACUGCUUUUCCUUGCCGCUGCUAUUGCUCGUUACUUUGCCGUUACUCGCUACUUUGUUGUUACUACUUUGCUUGCAGAUACUAAUCUUUCAGGUGUGGUUGAAUUUGACAUAUUCAGCUGCUAAUACUUGAGAGUAUUCUCUCACCUCUCCUCGUGCGAACCAACAAAUUUGGGUUGAAUACUCUACCCUCGAAAACUGCUGCGAACCCACGCGCUGGUGGGCCGUCAACAAUAUUCUUCUAGUUUCAUUGCUGGGGAGUGCUAGUAGCAUUCUUCUGUUGCCGUUGCAGGGGAAGGUUUGUUGUCAUCAGCAUUCGUCUAGCCAUCGCCAGAGAUUGCAAUCACUCUCCCCUCAUAUAUAUAUGGGGAAGAGAGGAGGGGGCCGGCCCUAGGGUUUCCUCUAGGGGUGGGGGUUGCGGCCUAGGAGGUGGCUUGCCACCCAAGCAAGGGUGGCCCCACCCCUAGGGCUUGCCCUUCUGUUGGGGAUAUUAUCUGUUGGGUAACCCGCCCUAGUUGGGCCGGGUCACCCAUGCUGGCGACUCAUCUCCAAGUGGUUCCGGCCUUGGCCCAGCGAGGUCGGGAGUCGUAUGACGGUUCAGGACCUUCGGGGAAGUCCAUUGUAGGGAAGAUCUCCAUGUCUUGGAAAGAUGGCGACUUAGAGAUCGGAAGAAUCACAAUUUAUGUAAAGGAAAGGACUCUUGUAAACCCUAAGGACUCGACCUGUAUAUAAAGGCGAGUCCAAGGGAAGGAGAAGGGAGGUUAGAAAUCAUCGAGUGCUAGGUCAGGCGAGUUACACCCCCUUGUAAUCGAAACACCAUCAAUACAAACACCAAGCAGGACGUAGGCCUUUACCUCCUCACGAGGGGCCGAACCUGGGUAAAUCUCUAUCUCGCACCCGCAUAACCCCUUUGAGUCACCACCAAGAUGCGAUGGCUCCAACACUAAGUCCUUUCACGAGGACAUCUGCCGUGACAAAACCAUGACAGUUGGCGCCUACCAUGGGUCCUGCGCACGGUGGAGUUGAAUUCUCAAAGGGAGCCCUACCAGGGUCUGGGAGCUACGCAGUGGGGAUCAUGACUCGGAGCCACCGCGGGAAGUACUACAUCAAUAACUUGCUAUGGGGGCCCGAGGCCGAUUCGAUCGAAUCCGGCUACAGAAUCCCCUUCGGCAAGAUCAACGUCUUCGUCGGCAUGGUUGGAUCGCCUAUGCCUGAGCCGGACAUCUCCUCCGACAUCGUCGAGCCGGCCAGGUACGUCUUUGUUGGGUUCACGCAGGGAUCUAAGGAACCAGAACAAUCGGCGACCCAGUAGACCAUGCCGGUCAACACAGAUGACGAAUCAUCCAUGGGCGAUUCAGAUUCAAUUCUAUCUCUACAUGGGGGCUGCCUUGGGGGCUUGUCACUAGCCAUGGACCCUGAGGUUCUUGACCGGACCCGCCGUCAGAUCGACGUUUACAUGGCAGGGGCGACUCAGCCCUCGCCAAACCCGGCACGCGGAGAUGGGGCUGGCGAAACGUCUAGAAGCCCGGCCAUGAUCUUGGUGGAGUAAGCGGCGGAGAUAACGAGGCUCACGGCGACCCCCAUAACGUCAGAAAACCAGGACGCGAUAAACACGAAGCUAACAAAACUAAGAGAUGGGGUGGCAAAGGCUCAGCGGGACGCUGAGGUGGAAGCCGCCGGGAUCGAGACCCGGCAGGCUCAAAUUACCGCCGAGGUAGCUCGCUUGAAUGCCGAAACCUGGCGGCUCAAAAGGCAUCAGCGUGCACCAGACGCCGUCCAUCAGCGGAGGCAUCAGGGUCAUUUACCCCCUGAUCUCAACCCAACCCGCCUGUUCGACACUCCACGAACACCCGGGGCAGGAGACGCCCCGGGGGCAGGGACGGGCCAGCCACCAAACCCGCUGUUUCAGCCAGCUGUGAUCGCGUCCCCCGAUUCCAGACACCUCGAGGUCACUUUUCCAACCCGAUGGAAAACGUCCUUGACGCAACUCGCCAUUUAGAAUCCCUUCCGAUUCAUGGCAACACUCCAGCUGAGAUAGAAGCAAGGAACGCCAUUGAGAUGUUGAAGAUGGCGGUGGUUCAAAACGCCCAGUUUUCACACAACCUAGAUCGGCUGCACUCCACUCCCUAGACAAGCCGCACCAGGAGUCGACCAGAGGACCAGCCCGCCAUAACCAGCGGACCGCGACCCUUUCCCCAGGUCAACUCGCCUGAUCGCCGAGACACGCCAGGUCGGGAUCACCCGAACACCCAAGUUUCCCCAGCGCCUCUUGUUGGAAGCGGCAGACAAGUGGGGGUGCCAUGCUUGGCCCCCACCCUUCACAACGAGUGAAUGCCCAAGGAUUUUAAAGGACCAAGAAAGGUGCCUAACUACACUCCGAACCUUGAGCCGUCGUCAUGGGUCAAGAGUUACGAAAUCGCCAUGGACAUGCUCGAUGUAAGCGAAGCAGUCUGCGCCAGAUACUUCACAAUGAUGCUCGAAGGGACGACACAUACUUGGUUAAAGCACUUGCCCCCCAAAUCCAUCCAGUCUUGGGCCGAAUUAAAAGAGCGUUUCGUCAAAAAUUUCCGAGGGACCUGCAAGCGCCCGAUGACAAUAGUCGAUUUACAACACUGGGUUCAACGCCCGGACGAGUCGGCCCACCGCUGGACGCGGCGGGUCGCGGAAAUCAUUCAUUCGUCGGAUGGUAUCACGGCGGCUCAGGCUGUGCUAAUCCUGGAGCAGAACUGCCACUAUGAGCCCUUGGUGCAGAAGUUGGGACGACUCAAGCGAAAGGUGCAAGAUAUGGGGGAGCUAAUGGACACCCUCACUAGGUACGCUGAGGCGACGACACCAAAGAUCCAGGAGAAGAUGGUGGUAAAGCCAACUCGCCAAGGAAAGGCGAGUCAUCCAAAAAUCAUACCCGGUUCGAGGGACGCGCCCGCCAUAAUCAUGGAGCUUAUGGAAAAAUAAGCAGCAGGAAGUGUCUUCGGACUUAGUUGCCAACACCAACGCCAACAAUGGCAACCAGCGCCAGAAGAAGAAUAGGGGUUACAGUGGCAAAAAGCCGCGCAACUAUAAUGAGUUACUCAAGGGCCCCUGCCCGCACCACGCCAUGGCAGACGGACCGGCGACUCAUUCCUGGGAGGACUGUUACGUGAUGCGGGAGUUUCGGGCGGAGGCGAUCAAAAAAGGGCAAGGCGGCGACCCGGACCAACGGCAGGAACAGUUUGGCUCACCUAAUCAAUGCCAGAACCCCUUCGGCGGCUUCUCCGAACCCAGGGCUCAGGGCGGCUCGCAGCCAAACAAUGGCCAGUAUCCGGUGCAUCACCAACGACGGUAUAACCAGCCGGGAGCCUUUCAACAACCACCCCCACAGGGGGUUCUGCAGGGGCAGGAUGACAAUGGCGGUUUCCGCAACAACCCCAAGCAGUUAAGCAAUGGGCAUUACCAUGUUUUCACCACCAAUGCCUGCAAGCGCGAUAAAAAGGUGAGUCACCGAGCGUACAGUGUAUCUGAGCCAGCACUCCCUAGAUAUCUCCACUGGUCGGAGUAGACCAUAUCAUGGAGCAGGGAGGAUCACCCGCCAAAAGUUGAGAAUCCCGACGACUUAGCGUUGGUCGUGGCCCCUCAAGUUGGAGGAUAUACCUUAUCGAAGGUACUGAUGGAUGGUGGUAGCAGCAUCAACAUAUUAUACUUCGACACCUUUCGAAGGAUGAACCUGUUGGAGAAAGAUUUGAUGCCCUCAACCACGGUAUUCCAUAGGAUUGUCCUAGGUAAAUCGGCAUAUCCCAUAGGCCGUGUUAGGCUCACAGUUGCGUUUGGAGCAGCGUCUAACUACAGGAGUGAGUCGCUUAUAUUUGAGGUGGUCAAGUUAAAAAGCCCCUAUCAUGCGCUCUUUGGGAGGCCGGCUUACGCCCGGUUCAUGCUCGCCCCUGCUAUGUUUACCUUAAACUCAAGAUGCCUAGUCCUAAAGGACCCAUCACGGUUGAUGGUGAUAGGAGGAUUGCAAGAGAGUGUGAAGAAGGGGAUACGGCUUACGCAGAAGUCGCCUGUGUUGCGGAAGAGCUUAAAUAUCACCAGGCCAAUGUUGAUCCGGCUGACAUGUCACCUCUAAAGAAGCCAACGACAGACGCUGAGCCGCCCCUCAAGUUCAAACCAACAGACGACACUAAGACAGUGGAUUUCGUCCCUGGUGACUCAACCAAGCAGUUCACUAUCGGGGCGGGUCUUGACCCCAAAUAGGAAAGCGCGCUCAUCGAAUUCAUCCAUGAGAAUCGGGACAUCUUCGGAUGGAAACCUUCUGACAUGCCUGGUGUGCCGAGAGAAUUCGCUGAGCACCAUCUUAAUGUUGACCCAAAAGCAAAACCGAUUCAGCAAUAUCUUCGCAGGUUCAAUGAGGAACGACGCAAGGCAAUCGGGGAAGAAGUUGCCCGUCUCUUGGCCACCGGAUUCAUCGUAGAGGUCUUCCACCCCAAGUGGUUGGAUAACCCGGUUCUGGUGCUCAAGAAGAACUGUACCUUCCGCAUGUGCAUUGAUUACACAGAUCUUAAUAGAGCUUAUCCAAAGGAUCCUUUCGCCCUUCCCCACAUCGAUCAAAUUAUUGAUUCGGUGGCGGGAUGCGAAUGUUUGUGCUUCCUGGACGCUUAUUACCGAUAUCACCAAAUCAAGAUGGUCGUGGAAGAUCAGGAGAAAACAGCUUUUAUAACCCCCUUCGAUGCUUUCUACUAUGUGUCCAUGCCAUUUGGACUCAAGAGUGCAGGGGCGACUUACCAGCGCUGCAUCCACAAUUGCCUCUGUGGCCAAAUCGGACGCAACGUUCAUGCUUACGUUGACGACAUUGUGGUUAAAACUCACAGGAAGGAAACACUACUGGGAGACCUAAAGGAUAAUCUGCGGGUAUACCAAUUGAAGCUUAAUCCCACCAAGUGUGUCUUUGCUGUUCCUGCAGGAAAAUUGUUGGGCUUCCUGGUAUCUGAGCGCGGCAUCAAAGCUAACCCGGACAAAAUCGAGGCGGUUACUUCCCUUGGGAAACCAGCGAAUGUUAAUCAAGUUCAACGAAUGGCGGGCCGUAUUUCGGCCUUAAGUCGCUUCAUAAUCCGUCUGGGUGAAAAGGCUAUUCCCCUUUAUCAAUUGCUUAAAAAAUCUGACCAUUUUGUUUGGACACACGACGCCAAUGAAGCUUUGGAAGCCUUAAAACAGCAGCUGGUCAACCCGCCGGUUUUGGCCGCCCGACUGAGAAAGAGCCUAUGCUUCUGUAUAUUGCGGCAAACUCCAAAGCGGUGAGUGUGGCAGUGGUCGUCGAAAGGAAGGAAGAAGGGAAGGAAUACCCAGUGCAACUCCCGGUGUAUUUCAUUAGCGAGGUGCUAACUCUCUCCAAGCAGCGAUACCCACACUGGCAGAAGUUAGUUUAUGGGGUCUUUAUGGCAAGCCGAAAGCUCAAACAUUAUUUCCAAGAGCAUCCCAUCACGAUGGUUAGCUCCGCUCCCCUCGGGGACAUCAUCCAUAAUUGGGAAGCGACAGGGCGAAUCGCCAAGUGGGCAAUCGAACUCGGGCCGCACCACGUGCGAUACACCCCUCGCACGGCUAUCAAAUCUCAGGCCUUGGUUGAUUUAAUCAACGAUUGGACCGAGUUACAGAUCCCGGAGGAUAGGCCUGACCUUACAUACUGGAAUAUUUAUUUUGACAGGUCUAGACAGUUGGAAGGCUCAGGGGCUGGUGUGGUGCUGAUAUCGCCUCAAGGAGACAAAUUCUGCUAUGUCCUCCGACUCAUGUUUCCAUGUACCAACAACGCUGCGGAAUACGAAGCUUUACUUCAUGGCUUGCGACUCGCCAAGGAGAUGAACCUUACGCGGGUCAGAUGUUUUGACGAUUCUGAUUUGGUGGCUCAGCAAGUUUCAGGUACUUGGGAUUCUCGGGACCCCCUGAUGGAGGCUUACAGGAGGGCUGUGUCUGAUGUGGCGGGUCACUUCCAUUAUUAUCAGGUCGAUCAUAUCGACCGGCGCCUUAACGAAGCAGCUGAUGGCCUUUCACGUCUCGGUUCGCAGCGCAAGCCGGUUCCCCCCAAUGUCUUUCUGGAUACUCUGCAUAAUCCUUCCGUAAGGUUACCCUCGGAGGAGGAGUUGACAAUACCAGACCCUGAGUCUCAGUUCGUGGCAGCUCUCCAUGUUACGCCGGAUUGGGUUCUUCCGUAUCUGGCCUAUCACGCCCGAGGCGAGUUACCUUUGGAUGAAGUAUUGGCUCGUCAAAUCGUUCGGCGAAGCAAAUCCAUGGUGAUCAUCAAUGGCGAAUUAUAUAAACGAAGCACUUCCGGGGUUUUCCAAAGAUGUGUCUCCUCUGAAGAAGGAUGUGUAAUUCUAAACGACAUUCAUUCCGGAGAUUGUGGACAUCACGCCGGGUCAUGUUCCUUGGUUUCAAAGGCGUUUCGUCAUGGUUUCUUCUGGUUGACGGCCCAUGCAGAUGCAGAAGAGAUUGUUCGUCGAUGUGACGGAUGCCAGCGUUAUGAACGACAGGACAAUGUGCCGGCUCAAGAGUUAAGGAUGAUACCUAUCACUUGGCCUAUUGCGGUCUAGGGGUUAGACAUGGUUGGCCCCUUUAAGAUGUCGUCCAACAAAAAAACUCAUCUGCUGGUGGCGGUUGAUAAGUUUACCAAGUGGGUCGAGGCAGAACCUGUUGGAUCCUGCGACGCGGAGACAGCGGUCAAAUUUUUGAAAAAGUUAAUCUUCUAGUUCGGAUAUCCACACAGCAUUAUUACUGACAAUGGCACUAAUAUGUCUCAAGGAGCGAUGCGGGAUUUUUGUCAUCGUGAGCAUAUCCGCCUUGAUGUUUCUGCAGUAGCUCAUCCGCAAUCUAAUGGGCAGGCCGAGCGGGCGAAUCAGGAAGUGUUGCGAGGAAUCAAACCCCGACUCAUGAUUCCCCUGGAACACACCCCGGGGUGUUGGGUUGAGGAGUUGCCUUCAGUACUAUGGAGCAUCCGGACCACCCCGAACCGUUCUACGGGUUUUACUCCUUUCUUUCUGGUAUAUGGAGCAGAAGCCGUUCUUCCCACUGACAUUAGGCAUGACUCGCCCAGAGUUGCCUCUUAUGUGUAAUAGGACAACGAGUUGGCGCGUCAAGAUUCUUUGGACGCUUUGGAGGAAGCACGCGAUUUGGCUGCAGCCCGUUCGGCGAUUUAUCAGCAGGACUUGCAGCGUUAUCACAGCCGCCGGGUCAAGAGCCGAAUCUUUCAGGAGGGCGACUUACUCCUUCGAUUGAUACAAGAUCGUACUGACAUGCAUAAGUUAUCACCACCAUGGGAAGGACCGUUCGUCGUCAGCAAAAGCCUUCGCAACGGGUCCUACUAUCUGGUGGAUCUAUGGCCUGAUCGGCCAACCACGGAGGCUGAGUCAACUCGCCCUGGAACAUAGCCCACUUGCGGCCUUAUUACACUUGAGCUAAUUAGCUCUGCCUUUUUUCAUUUCUUAUGAAGCAAUAAAGUUGAUGCCUCCAGGCUUGGGGGCUUUCCUGCUAAUUCAUCUUAUUGGAAGUAUGGAUCUUUAUUUUACUCUUCAAAAAGUCGCCCAAGCAUGGAUGCUAUCUAUACCAAAGGGCUUAAGUCGCCAUGAUGCGCUUAUUACAAAACUGGGUAUCGAUAAGCCAAAGAGGAUCGAAGUCGCUACAAGCGCGCGAUUCAAACAUAGGCGUUUUAUAUGAUUCUGUGGAUUAGGCCGGCUUACUUGAGGGCAGUUUGUUCUCAAGUCGUUUUGUGGUAAUAGCGUAUACGCUUCUACAAUCCUAUGACGGUCUUUCCCUUAAUCAUAGGUCACUUGGGGGCUUCCUCUCACUGAGAUCAGCCUUACUACCCAUUUGGCUUGCGAAAAAUUACCGCAUUACAAAUGGUUAUACUGGACUGUGUGCUUGGCCGAAUCGCCAUAUGGACCCAUGAACUCUUGGCGAGUUAAUCCGCUUAUGGACCCUGAAUAUGCCUUGGUUAAAACAUGUCUGGUACCGGCUAGCGCCUCACAUGGAAAAUAGAGAAACCACUGGUUCACUGAACCCGCUUCACUGAAGCUUGACUCGCGCCUGAUCAGCCGGUCUAAAUACUUGAGCUUUUUAUACAAAAGUCUACCUCGGGUAGCACUUGAGUUCAUUUAACUCAUCCUAUCCUAUCACGACCUGAUGAGCCGACGAAAUUGCAAUUUUUUACCUUCCUAGCACUGCCACAAGGUCUUUCUGACUUUUUUCUGACUCGCCACAAAUAUCUUGGGUCGGUUAUUAUUUAUUAUCAUCCAUUACUCACUGAGAUGAUUUGAUAUAUGUUUUUAAGCCUAACAGGUUGAUGAUCAAAAUCAUUCUAGCCAUGGCGGGUCAAGCAUCAUAAAAAUGUCUUGAGGGCGAGUCAAGCAUUCUAAGGCGCCUUAAGUGUGACAUAAGGGUUUUCAAGACAUCACAGAAGCAGUUUGAUCUCUAAAAAACUUAUUACAUGGCUCAUAUGGCCAAAUCUAUGAAGGAUUAUUCUACUGAUUUCCUCGGGUCAGCCUGCUGCGAGCUCUGGCCGACUUCAAUUUGCAAGUCGCCCAGUACCCAGUUACACUUGGAUAAUGCGGCGAACUCAUCUUCAUCGUUCAGCACUGAUGAAAGAUCCACCUCCAACUCAAAAGGAUUCUUGGGUCGACGCGGAGUUAAGCUGGUCGUUACAAAGGUUGGCGGGUUAAAUUUCUUGUUCUUGUUGUCAUAGGCGGCCUGGUAUUUUGAUAAAUCCAGGCUUGCGGCAAGCUGAGUCGCUGCCAAACGGGAUUCUUUGACAACACGCUGGUAAUCUUCUUUAGCAAAUUCUGACCCGUCAUCCUUGAGCUGGGGAAAGCCUGCCGCUACUUCUUCAGGGUUUAUUUCUGGAGCAUACGCCAGACACCGACUCAGCGUAGUGAGUGCUCCUUUCCGGGCAGCAGACCGAGUUAGCUCACCAAUUUGAGGAGGAAGAGUAGAUAAGCAGCCAAGCAUCUUCUUUAUUGAUGUUAUGGGUUCCUUGGCACCCAUCACUGCUUUCACGGUCAGCACACUUCCGGUAUACAGCUUCUCCGUCAACGUGUAAAUCGCCUUCAGCAUUAGGACGCAAUCGUUCUGAAGAUUGACGGCUCUUGGACCUGCAUAAGGAGUAAUGAUGGUCAGCGAUUUCUACAAGUUAUUUAUUUACGAAGUGCAAGGUUAGGGUUUCGUUUUAACCAAAGACGGCUUGGGCCAUGUUGGAGAUAUGUCGCUUUAAGGCGGCUAGCUCUUGUUGCAUAGUAUCCAACUUUGCUUCAGCUUUUUCUGCUCGCUUUAUCAGGGCAUCUUGAUCAGCUUGAGGAUUUUUUAUGUCGGCUUUUAGCUUCUCCUUCUCAGACAAGAUCAGUUGACACUUCUCUUCUGAUUUUGCCCGGGCAUCCUGCUGAUCGGUUAAAUUUUUCUUCAAGUCGCCAAAUGCUGAUUCAGCUUGGGUAAGUAAUUCCUGUUGAAAUAUAUAGUCAAGGGGCGAGUCUUAGAAUUAUUGCAAGCAACAUCCCUGACACUUGGGGGCUAAUGUAUAAUUUUUUAGACAAAUUAUACAGUAUCAAGACCCGACUCAUCUUUUUACAAAUGACUCAGCCCUUGGGGGUUACAGGUCGAAUGUUUUCUUCAAUUAUCAAGACCCGGCUCAUAUUUUUACAGAUGACCCGGCCCUUGGGGGUUACAGGUCGAAAGAUUUUCUUCAAAAUUAUCAAGACCCGGCUCAUCCUUUUACAGAUGACCCGACCCUUGGGGUUACAGGUCGACAGAUUCAUUUUACUAUUAAGACCCGGCUCAUCUUUUUACUGAUGACCCGGCCCUUGGGGGUUAAUAAGGACAAUACAGUAUGCAAUAAGACGUUCCUCAUGUUUGUUCUUCAGCAUAAGAAACAGACUUUUUUCCAUCUCAUAACUCGCCUCCAGGCGACUUGCAAAGCCCGAGCAAAGUUCUCUGAAUUCAAGAUUUUCAUAGUGGGAGAGCUUAGCCUUGGAAAGUUCAUACUCAAUAGCAGGUUGAGCUGAUGAUGAUACAUGCUUCGACAAAACUGUUGUGGCCGGCUUAGAAAAGCGAGUGCCGGUGAUAACCACAUCGUCUGGGUCUUCUGCUGUUUUCAAUGGACUUGGCGGAUUAGGCGUUUCCAUGGUUUCCUUGGGCGAGCUUGGGAGAUCCACUUGAUCCUCGGGUUUAUCUUGGGCCGGGUUAUCCUGGAUCGGCGCCGAUUUUUCAACAGGCUCUGAAGCUGUAAUGGGAGUUGACCCGCAAGUUUUCCUUUUCUUCGCAUGUGCCCUAAAAGGAAAAGUGGGUGCACUUAAAGAAACAGACAUUACCAUCAUCAGAACAAGGUAGGUGUUAUAAAAGACUUACCCUGGGACGCGGAUCAUCGGUGGAAGUGCUGACAUCACUGAGUCGCCGGAUGAAGGAGGAGAACUCUGCAAAAAUAACACUUCAAGAUGUGAGCGAGUUAUUAACGCGAUCCAAAAGGAAAUGAAGAGGUGCUAUUAAAAGAUACCUCAUUGUGCCUUUUCUUGGUUUUUGUUGGUAACCCGGACACCAAAUUUCUAGAAUGACUCCGAGUUUUCCAAUUUGAAGCAUGUUGCGCUUUCUUCAAAAGGAAAUUUGGAUCCAAACAAGCAUUUGGGUGUGAGAAGGGAACUUCCCAACAAAUUCGCCUGGCCGGCUUAGGUGGAGGAGAAGAUGAGUCGGAGGAAACAGAAAUUACCUCUACGGAGUCUUCCUGGCUUUCAUUGUCCUCAUUCUACACAAGAGAUACAGAGGCGUAAACACAAAACUAUCAACAAUGAAUGGCGAGUUAAAGAGGAUGGAUUUUUACCUCUGAAAGUACGUUGCCCACUUGGGAUUCAUCGACUUCAGAUGGCUCAGUGACGGCGGUUUGGCCUUGCCCUUGGACUUCUUCUUUGGAGGCGGCUUGGCUUGCUUCAAGGCCAUCUUUUUUGGCCUCCUGGACCAGAAUUUGUCACCUUUCUGAAAUGGCAUUUUUUAUUAUAGGAGGUCAUAGCUCAAGUAAGACGGAAGGAAUAAAGCAAAAGUGGGUUAAGUUAUUUACCUUUGGUGCCGGGUUGAUCUUGCAGAACGGCUUAAGACCUAUUUGGCCGCACUUGGCCAUGAGUUCGCCGGUCAAUUUCUUGAUGAUGGUUACAAUAUCAUUUUCUGUCAGUGCUGUGUGGAAGUAGCACUGGGAGUGAUCCAGGGUACCAUCAAAAUCACACAUUAAUCCGUCCCAGCGACUUAAGGGAAGGAUACGCCAUUCGACCCAGCAGCAGAUUAAGUCAACCCCAGUAAGGCCAUUGUUUGUCAGAGAUCUUAACUCGGACAGUACUGGGAUAAAAUCUGACUCCUCUUCUUCGGUGAGCUUGUCUGGGAGUUUUAAAUUUGUUGGAAGGCAAUCCUCCCUAUAGCCAAGAAGCUUGUUCUCGCCCUCAGGCGAAGUCUCCUGGCAGUAAAACCAAGACUCAGUCCAGCCUUUGGGAUGGCUUGGCAUGGCGAGUGACGGGAAUGAACUAUCCCUACGGUGUUGAACAUUGACACCUCCAAGCUCCAAGCUAGGGCCAUUGGAAAAUUCUGUCUAGCGAUUCAAAUGGAAGAAGUACCAGAAUAAAGGAACUGAGGGUUCCAUCCGCAAGUAGGCCUCACAGAACACGUGGAACUGGCAUAAAUUGCUUAUCGAGUUGGGCCCUAAGUCCUGGAGGCGGACAUUCAUAAAGGUCAUGGCAUCCCUGAGGAAUUUUGAUUUGGGCGGCUUAAAACACCGUUCAAGGUGUUCAACAAAAACAACUAUCUCCCCUUCCUUUGAGUUGGGGAUUUCCUCUCCUAACCCAGAACGCCAACUGAUAACCUCUUGAGGGUCCAGAAUCCCCGUUUUCACACAGUUGUUAAGGAGAGUAUCAUCAACCUUGGUCGGGAGCCAAUCACAUUUGAAAAUGGUGCCCAGGCUACAAAGGGACAAAUUUACGGGUAAAUUAACACGCCAAGCAUCUACUAAAUGGUGAAACAGAUUCAUUUGACUCGCCAAACAGUUUGCGUGAUAACUGAGGGAGUUUUUUGACUCGCCGAUAAAGGUCCGGGUCAGGAUACCAGGGCGACUUAUGUAAUUCUUACUACUUAAAGGAAAGAUGGUUCAAAGCUUCAGUAGUGUCCGCCAAAAUUGUGAAGUAUGAAUCCAUAAACAGGUUUCAUGCGACGAGCAGUAAGACAGAAAUGAAUGCGAAAAGGUCUGGGUAAAACGGCCUAUGACCAAGAUGAAAACAGUACAGUUGAUCUGGUGAAAACCUUUCUAAGUCUGCAAAUCAAGGCUAAGCAACAAAGGGUAUGGAAAAUGUUGAUGUACUCACUAUCGUCACCACCAACUAGCCAGGAAUUACAAAGCUAUUCGAGAUGUUUUAAAGAAAUAGUGGACAUGAACCUCGAGAAGCUUAGAUCUGCCUUCAAUGGCGGGAGGCUGACCUGGUAAAUGCAGCUGGAGGCGUCCGAAGAAAGAUUCGCGGUGAGCGUCGCACGUUCGGCAACUCCCGGACGGCGGCGAAGAUCUCGGACGAUGACGAAGAUCUCGGACGGCGACGAGGUUCUCGAAACGGCGGCGAGGCUCUCGGGCGACGACGAAGUGCUCGGACAACGGCUGAGCUUUCGGGCGGCGACGAAGUGCUCGGGUGGCGACGAAGCUCUCGGGUGGCGACGAGGCUCUCGGUGCGACGGCGAGGAAGAAGAGGGUGACAAGAUGGGUAGGUGGAAAUGUGCCCUGUCCCCUCCUCCCUCCUAGUUAUCAGGUCAGGCGCUGGGAUCGAGGCGCCACGAGUGGGAACUGCCAAAAAAGAUAAAGAUUCGCCAUGAUGGCGCCCCAAAAUUUUCGGGAUAGCAAUACCGAAGGAUCCGUUGGAGAUUACGUCAUCAUCUCUUCCGAGGUUAAAGGGAUAAGAAGGCGCCAACAAGAAGUGGUUCGGCGACUUGAGUUUUUCCGCAACAGAUGGCGGUUUAAGUGCAUGGUUCGUAAAAGGAUUGAGAUGAAUCGCCCCUAACUGGGUGAGAAUAUUGGCGUGAAAAAAUUCAAGUCAAUCUGGGGCCUAAUGUUGGGGAUAUUAUCUGUUGGGUAACCCGCCCUAGUUGGGCCGGGUCACCCAAGCUGGCGACUCAUCUCCAAGUGGUUCCAGCCUUGGCCCAGCAGGGCCGGGAGUCGUAUGACAGUUCAGGACCUUCAGGGAAGUCCAUUGUAGGGAAGAUCUCCAAGUCUUGGAAAGAUGGGGACUUAGAGAUCAGAAGAAUCACGAUUUAUGUAAAGAAAAGGACUCUUGUAAACCCUAAGGACUUGACCUGUAUAUGAAGGCGAGUCCCAGGGAAGGAGAGGGGAGGUUAGAAAUCAUCGAGUGCUAGGUCAGGCGAGUUACGCCCCCUUGUAAUCGAAACACCAUCAAUACAAACACCAAACAGGACGUAGGCCUUUACCUCCUAACGAGGGGCCGAACCUGGGUAAAUCUCUGCCUCGCUCCCGCAUAACCCCUUUGAGUUGCCACCAAGAUGCGAUGGCUCCAACACUAAGUACUUUCACGAGGACAUCUGCCGUGACAAAACAACGACACCUUCCACCAGCCCAGUCGCAUGGGCUUAGGUGGGGAGGGGCGCCCAGCCCACCAGGCGCUGGUAUGCACUCUUCUCAGCCCAUGUGGCCCCUCCGGGGCAGGUCGGACCCUUUCAACACUCCUGGUACUCUGAGGUAAUGCCCGAACUUUCCGGUGACCAAAAUGGAACUUCCUGUAUAUGAAUAUUUACCUCCUACCAUUUUGAAGAUCCUCGUCAUGUACGGGAUCUUAUCUUGGACUCUGAAAAACAUUUGGUUAUCAACAUACAUAAGUCAACAAUACUAUAUCGUCAUCGAAGAUUAAGCAUGCGGACCCUACGGGUUUGAGAACUAUGUAGACAUGAUCGAGACACCUCUACAGUUAGUAACCAAUAGAGGGACUUUGAUGCCCGUAUUAGUUCCUACAUAUUCCAUGAAUAACUUUAUCGUUCAAACCACGAUGCCAAGGAUUCAAUCCAUCCCGUAUGGAGUUCCCUUUGUCGAGCGGAAUGUUACUUGCCCGAGAAUCGAUCGUCGAAACCUUCAUACCUAGUUAAAUCUUGUUACCGAGAAGUCUCUUUACUCGUUCCGUAAUACAAGAUUCCAUGCCUAAUUCCUUAGUAACAUCCCAGAGAUACCUCUAUGUCAUACGGAGUGAAAAAUCCCGGUCUUGAUCCAUGCUAACCCAACAAAGACGCUUGGAGAUACCUCUGGAGGAUCGUUAUAAUCACCCAGUUACGAAUUGAUGUUUAAUAGGCACAAGGCAUUCCUCCGGUUUUAUGGAGUUGCAUGAUCUCAUUGUAUUAGGAAUAGGUACUUGAUGAUACGAUCAAAUGAUAUGCUUACGCUUGGGUCUUGUCCAUCAUAACAUUCUCCUAAUGAUGUGAUCUCGUUAUCAAAUGCCAACUCAUGUCUAUGGUUAGGAAAUCUUAAUCAUCUUUGAUCAAUGAGCUAGUGUAGUAGAGGCGUACUAGUGACACAGUGUUGUCUAUGCAUCCACACAUGUAUCUGAGUUUCAAAUAAAUACAGUUAUAACAUGGAUAAUAAAUGAUUAUCAUGAACAAGGGAAUAUGAUAAUAACUACUUUACAAUUGCCUGUAGAGCAUGUUUUCAAGAGUCUCCCACUUGCACUAGAGUCAAUAAUGUUGGAAAUAUGCCCUAGAGGCAAAAACAAAUUAGUUAUUACCAUAUUUCCUUGUUUAUGAUAAUCAUUUAUUAUCCAUGCUAUAAUUGUAUUGAUUGGAAACUCAAAUACAUGUGUGGGUACAUAGACAAUAAAGUGUCCCUAGUAUGCCUCUGUUGGACUAGCUCGUUGAUCAAAGAUAGUUAAGGUUUCCUAGCCAUACACAUGAGUUGUCAUUUCAUAAAGGGAUCGCAUCAUUAGGAGAAUGAUAUGAUGGACAAGACCCAAACCUUAAGAAUAGUGUUCGAUCGUAUCCAGAUUACUGCUAUUCACUACAGGAAUCACCUUCUUUGCCGUCCGUCAUAACAGACGGCAAAGAGGACCCCACCGACGGCAAAUCUCUUUGUCGUCAGCUUACUGUCGGCAAAGAUUCUGCGUCAGCUUACGACGGCAUUGUACCUUCUUUGUUGUAGGCCUUCCCUAAGCGGACGACAAAGCUCUUUGCCGUCAGUAUCUGGCAUCGAGUAGUCGGCAAAGAAUUUGAGAUGGCAGCCGACAGGAGACGCCUCCGUUAUGGCUAACGGAGGCUUUGCCGUCUACUUGCCCCUAGUCUUUGCCGUCUGCUUCCCCCUAGUCUUUGCUAUCUGCUUCCCCCAUAACAGCCCAACAGUUUUUCUUCUCUUUGCCAUCAGCCUCCCCGGGCAGCAGACGGCAAAGAAGCUACAUAGCAGCUGCCCUCGAGGGUGCAUAGCCUGGUGCCAUGUGGCACCUUUGCCGUCGGCCAGCUGAUGGCAAAGCUCUUUGCCAUCAGCUGGCAGACAGCAAAGAGUCCAUAUAGUUUCUAUUUUGUUUGGUUUUAUUAUUUCAUAAUAUAUAUAUAUAGUAGUGGCGCACCGAGACUGUGGUGCGCCAUUAGUANCUGUUCAUCCAUAGAUACAUAUACAUAUAGUUCGACAUUGUUCAUCAACUCAAAUUAAAACUAGAACUAAUAAGGCACUCCAUGAAUGCCAGCUUCCAUGCAUGUAGUACAUCCAAUCUGCAGAAAUGUGAAUAAGAAAGUCAGAAGAAGAACAACAUAUGAUAUUUUAGAGGAAAACAAGCUAAGAAUAUAAUAUUCAUUAGCUAACCAAGGUUCUAAUGCCAUUUUGAGCUUAUUAUGUCAUUUUGGAGCUAAAUGGGCUAAUUAUAUAUGUCAUUGUUGGGGAAAAUAAGGUAAGGAGAAUAAGAAAGAGGNNNNNNNNNNNNNNNNNNNNNNNNNNNNNNNNNNNNNNNNNNNNNNNNNNNNNNNNNNNNNNNNNNNNNNNNNNNNNNNNNNNNNNNNNNNNNNNNNNNNNNNNNNNNNNNNNNNNNNNNNNNNNNNNNNNNNNNNNNNNNNNNNNNNNNNNNNNNNNNNNNNNNNNNNNNNNNNNNNNNNNNNNNNNNNNNNNNNNNNNNNNNNNNNNNNNNNNNNNNNNNNNNNNNNNNNNNNNNNNNNNNNNNNNNNNNNNNNNNNNNNNNNNNNNNNNNNNNNNNNNNNNNNNNNNNNNNNNNNNNNNNNNNNNNNNNNNNNNNNNNNNNNNNNNNNNNNNNNNNNNNNNNNNNNNNNNNNNNNNNNNNNNNNNNNNNNNNNNNNNNNNNNNNNNNNNNNNNNNNNNNNNNNNNNNNNNNNNNNNNNNNNNNNNNNNNNNNNNNNNNNNNNNNNNNNNNNNNNNNNNNNNNNNNNNNNNNNNNNNNNNNNNNNNNNNNNNNNNNNNNNNNNNNNNNNNNNNNNNNNNNNNNNNNNNNNNNNNNNNNNNNNNNNNNNNNNNNNNNNNNNNNNNNNNNNNNNNNNNNNNNNNNNNNNNNNNNNNNNNNNNNNNNNNNNNNNNNNNNNNNNNNNNNNNNNNNNNNNNNNNNNNNNNNNNNNNNNNNNNNNNNNNNNNNNNNNNNNNNNNNNNNNNNNNNNNNNNNNNNNNNNNNNNNNNNNNNNNNNNNNNNNNNNNNNNNNNNNNNNNNNNNNNNNNNNNNNNNNNNNNNNNNNNNNNNNNNNNNNNNNNNNNNNNNNNNNNNNNNNNNNNNNNNNNNNNNNNNNNNNNNNNNNNNNNNNNNNNNNNNNNNNNNNNNNNNNNNNNNNNNNNNNNNNNNNNNNNNNNNNNNNNNNNNNNNNNNNNNNNNNNNNNNNNNNNNNNNNNNNNNNNNNNNNNNNNNNNNNNNNNNNNNNNNNNNNNNNNNNNNNNNNNNNNNNNNNNNNNNNNNNNNNNNNNNNNNNNNNNNNNNNNNNNNNNNNNNNNNNNNNNNNNNNNNNNNNNNNNNNNNNNNNNNNNNNNNNNNNNNNNNNNNNNNNNNNNNNNNNNNNNNNNNNNNNNNNNNNNNNNNNNNNNNNNNNNNNNNNNNNNNNNNNNNNNNNNNNNNNNNNNNNNNNNNNNNNNNNNNNNNNNNNNNNNNNNNNNNNNNNNNNNNNNNNNNNNNNNNNNNNNNNNNNNNNNNNNNNNNNNNNNNNNNNNNNNNNNNNNNNNNNNNNNNNNNNNNNNNNNNNNNNNNNNNNNNNNNNNNNNNNNNNNNNNNNNNNNNNNNNNNNNNNNNNNNNNNNNNNNNNNNNNNNNNNNNNNNNNNNNNNNNNNNNNNNNNNNNNNNNNNNNNNNNNNNNNNNNNNNNNNNNNNNNNNNNNNNNNNNNNNNNNNNNNNNNNNNNNNNNNNNNNNNNNNNNNNNNNNNNNNNNNNNNNNNNNNNNNNNNNNNNNNNNNNNNNNNNNNNNNNNNNNNNNNNNNNNNNNNNNNNNNNNNNNNNNNNNNNNNNNNNNNNNNNNNNNNNNNNNNNNNNNNNNNNNNNNNNNNNNNNNNNNNNNNNNNNNNNNNNNNNNNNNNNNNNNNNNNNNNNNNNNNNNNNNNNNNNNNNNNNNNNNNNNNNNNNNNNNNNNNNNNNNNNNNNNNNNNNNNNNNNNNNNNNNNNNNNNNNNNNNNNNNNNNNNNNNNNNNNNNNNNNNNNNNNNNNNNNNNNNNNNNNNNNNNNNNNNNNNNNNNNNNNNNNNNNNNNNNNNNNNNNNNNNNNNNNNNNNNNNNNNNNNNNNNNNNNNNNNNNNNNNNNNNNNNNNNNNNNNNNNNNNNNNNNNNNNNNNNNNNNNNNNNNNNNNNNNNNNNNNNNNNNNNNNNNNNNNNNNNNNNNNNNNNNNNNNNNNNNNNNNNNNNNNNNNNNNNNNNNNNNNNNNNNNNNNNNNNNNNNNNNNNNNNNNNNNNNNNNNNNNNNNNNNNNNNNNNNNNNNNNNNNNNNNNNNNNNNNNNNNNNNNNNNNNNNNNNNGGGCCAGGGGUGUUGGGGCGGCGGGCCAACGCCGGGGGUGUUGGGGCUGUAGGGUGUCGACGAGGGCGGUGGGGCAGCGACAGCGGGGCUGUGGGGCACCAGGGCGGCGGCGGGAUGGUGUUGGCGGCGGUGGGCGUCGAGGAGAGGAGUGGAAGAGAGUGGAGCGGCUACACCGAGGGUGAGAAAGAGAGGGGCAGGGUGGGGGCAAAGAGCCGUUACGGAGUUAGCUCUUUGUCGUCUGCCGGUGGAUGGCAAAGAGUCUAGACUCUUUGUCGUCUGCCUCCGGCCUCUUUUCGUCCGCUUGCACACGAAAAAGAAGGGACUCCAGUUUGACCUAACGUCCUCGCGGUCAGGUUGGCAUGUCCGUCUGCUUUGUCGUCUGCUUUAUGGAUCUUUGCCAUCCGUGGCUGACGGCAAAGAUGUGACUGAUGGCAAAGACCAUCUAUGCCAUCAGUCAUUUCUUUGCCGUCCGCUUUGUGGCAGCUGACAGCAAAGACACUCUUUGUCGUCCGUUCGCUGAUGGCAAAGAUUUGGCAGAUGGCAAAAAACUGAAUUCCAGUGGUGAUUGCUUUUUUACAUGUCAAUGUAUCUGUUCCUAGGACCAUGAGAUCCUGCAACUCACUAACACCGGAGGAAAGCCUUGUGUGUAUCCUACGUCGCAAUGUAACUCGGUGACUAUAAAGAUGAUCUACUUUUAUCUUCGAGGGUGUGUGUGGAGUUGGCAUGGAUCAAGACUGGGAUUUGUCACUCCAUGUGACGGAGAUGUAUAUCGGGGCUCACUUGAUAAUACAACAUCAAAAUAAGAUUUCAAGAAAUGUGUAUAAGGAGUUAGUUACAUGAUCUUGUAUUACGGAACGAGUAAAGAGACUUGCCGGUAAUGAGAUUGAACUAGGUAUGGAGAUACCGACGAUCGAAUCUCGAGCAAGUAACAUACCGAUGGACAAAGGAAACUACAUACGGGAUUAGCUAAAUCCUUGACAUCGUUGGUUCAACCAAUAAAUAUAUUCAUAGAAUAUGUAGGAACCAAUAUGGGCAUCCACAUCACACUAUUUGUUAUUGACCGUAAAGGUGUCUCGGUCACGUCUGCUUAGUUCUCGAACCCCGAAGGUCUGCCCACUUAACAUCAAGUGACGAUAUAGACAUAGUUGAGUUAUAGUGUUCGUCACCCAAGGUUGUUUGGACUCCCGGAUGAGAUUCCAGACAUCACGAGGAGCUUUGUAAUGGUAUGGAGGUAAAGAUUUAUAUAUAGGAAAGUGGUAUUCGGGUUCCGGAAGGGUGUUUUUGGUAUUGUACAAGGAGUGCCGAAAGGGUUUCGGGGGUCCACCGGGAGGGGCCCGCCCACCCCUGGGGGCACAUGGGAUUAAUAGGUCGUGCCCCAACACCUGGUGGGCUCUGAAGAUGACCCCUAUAGGGCCCAUGCACCCAAUGUGGAGGAGGAGUACUCGCUAGGGUGUACACUACCUUGUUGGAGGUGGACUCUUCCCCUCUUUGGUCGGCUAGCCCUCCUUGGAGGAGCACUACUAGGAAAAGGCUUGCUAAUGGCGCACCAUUUUUUGCUACUAAUGGCGCACUAUAGGUGCGCCACUAGCAUCACGCCAUUAGAUUUUUUUUACUAAUGGCGCACUACAAGUGCGCCAUUAGUAUCUGGUAUACUAAUGGCGCACCAGGUAGUGCGCCCUUAGUAUUGCUCACGGUGCGCCAUUAGUAUCUGGUAUACUAAUGGCGCACCAGGUAUUGUGCCAUUAGUAUAUAUCCUGGUGCGUCAUUAGUAUAGAUCCCGGUGCGCCAUUAGUAUAUAUCCUGGUGCGCCAUUAGUAUAGCUUAUGGUGCGCCAUUAGUAUGCCUCCCAGGGCCAUAUUUACCCAUAUGCUCUGACUUACUAAUGGCGCACUAGUGUGCUGAGUGAUGCGCCACUAGUAUGAAUAUUAGGUAUUUAUUUAAUUUUUUGUGAUAUUUGCACAUAUUACAAAAUAUAUUAUUGCACAGAAUAUAGAUAGCCCAACAUAUAAACAACAGAUUUAUCAAAUACAAUAGAAGAUUAGUCUCCGAAUACAAUUCAUCAUAUUAGUCUCCGAAUAGAAUUCAUCAUAUUAGUCUCCGAAUAGAAUUCAUCAAUAAUGCUAGAACAGGGUACUAUACAAACACUCUUAUAUUUCUUCCAUAGCGAGAGACAAAUGAGACAACAAACAACGAGCGAGCAGGCCAGAGACAAUUUGGCAUGAUAUGCAACCUGAGAGCGACAAAAACAAAGCAUGGAUUCCAGUGGUGAACUAUGAGAUGCAGCUCGUCAGGAAGGGCCGAAGGGCUCGGAGAUGCUUUUGCUCCUGCUACCGCAAGCUUCCGGUCCUCUAUGGGAGGCUGAGGCACCGCACCAAGGGCCAACAAUAAGACGCAUGUGGAGCCCAUGACAACCUUCAUGGGUACAUACAAGAAACUGAGUUACAUCAGUUUUAAGCCAACAACACAACAAGCAAAUAAUUGAGAGCUUACAGUAGGCAAGUAAGGUGUACACAAAAGGAACUGAAGUUGUGUUGAUAAAAUAACUUAAGACGCCCAAACAUAUGGAAAAGCAUUGAUAACUAACAACUCCUGUGCAUUCUUGUACAUUUGAUAGUUAACUUAAAAUAAUUUAUCAUUGCCGGAAAAGACACAAAUAAUCUCUAUGAAGAAAAGUGCACAUUGCCGGCGUAGGUAAAUAAAUCAUGCAUCCUCUCUUGGAGGAGACCCACUAAACAAGGAGCUCGAACAUGAAACAAAUGCCAAUAGAAAUGUAAGGUAGCCAACAAUUACGAACAUAGCAUGUUGGCUGCUAUGUUGCCGCAACAAAUAUUUGGAAGGUUGUUGCUGCUGCGAAAUGCUAGAAUUAAGAGCUUGACCUGCAGGUGGCUCAAACUAUUGAUGUAUUUGUGGAUGCAGUGUCUUCCUUUGUGAAUUCAAGAUGGCGAUAAUCUGUCUCUCGUACUGGGGAACUCUGUCCCUCAUGGAGGGCUGGAUAGCACUCUUGCUAAUUUGCAGCAUUUGCAAUAUAUGGUCCAACAUUAUUUUAAAGCUCUUGAUCCUAUCGUACUUGUCAGAUGGCAUACUACAAGAAAAGCUACAUGUAGAGGUCUGGUUAGAGGCAUCUCCAUGAGCUGUCUUUACCUUCAGAUAUUUAUAAAAAUUGUUACCGCAUACAAUCUAGCCUCAAAAUAAGAUAGCAAAAAAUGCUACAUAUCAGACAUACCUAAUAACAAGCUUUGUAUGUGUGUGCGUGUGAGAGAGUGUGUAUUUUGAAACAAAGAGAACUUUCAUGCCCGUAGUGCAUACCUGCCAUUUAAUGCUUUUACAACCGGUGAGAAGCUCUUUUGUCGGAUGAACUCUCCCGUGUUUGAACCAACUUGCUGCCACCAAUAGAUAUAGUAGUCUGCAGCUUACCAAUCUGCGAAAUAAAGAUGAUAUUUAUCCUCAGGACCACUGGAAGAACACAGAUACAUGCAGUUUAAUGAUGCACUCAAGCUAUGGGAGUAAAGCAACACAUACGUAUGUGUUUUAUCCUAGGGGUUAACAAAAAAGGACGCAUGAAGCAUGUGUUCCUGAAACUAUAAGAGCCUUGGCAAUACGCAUACAGUAAAUAUUGAACUCUUCAGCUAUCCAGUCUAAAAGGCCACUACAAAAUGAACCGUGUAUAACAGCUACUAAGUUCUGCAUCAGGACUAAGCAAACAGGAGCCUAAUGGCCUUAGAAUACCACACAAAGAGGAGCAGUUACAGAGGUGUGCACUUAGCAGAUAUACGAAAAAACAUUCUUAAAAUACAAAUUUGCACAUUUAUGUGCAAUAUCCCCAUGGAACAGAGUUGGUACUAAGCAAACUAGCAACCAAUAACUUGAAAACCUGCCCUGGACGGUCUUACUCCCUCGAAUAACCCCCAUGCCACAAGCAUGGUAGACAUGCAGUGUUUAAAUUGGGUAGAAUUUUUUCUCAUAAGCAUACUUAAAUCCCACACAUAAAUACCUACGCAUAUAUUAUAUGCCCCCAUACAACAUAACCAAAACAGCCGUGGUUCAAACCCACGUGCCCAAAGCAAGGGGAAGAAGAGAAGGUGAGAGAUCUCACCUCUAAUGUCUGUAGCGGUCGGUGAUGGUGGUGAGCUAGACGAAGACAACGAGACUGAGCCGAACCUACACGACCUGAACAACACAAAUAGUUGAGUGACGCUAUUGACAUUUAAAAUAUCGCUCCCACUAAUAACAGUAUAGCCUCAACGCAUGCAAGUUGUAAAGAUUUAACCUUUCAUCAAUAAAUGAACUAAGCAAUGAACAGCAGUGUGGAGUUACAAUUCAUUCUACUUCAUGAGAAGCAAACAAAUCCCCCAAAAUGACAAGUUAUAAUCACGCAACUGUAAUUAAGCAUCAGAUUAUUGACAAUGGAAUUAGGAUAUUAAGCAGCAAGUUGAUUUUUUUCUCUAGUGAAGAAUGAGAAAUCUGCUCCUAAACAAAAUACCAUGCCAAGUAAUUUACUUCACAGAUUAUUGCCAUGUCAGGGAGCUUAUGUUGCAGGCUGAGGUCGUCGUCGCAUGCCGCCGCCUUGGGCUCGAAGUUGCUCAAUGACUCCUCCAUGCUGCAGUCGACCGCCGCCUUGACUUAGGCCCUGACCAUCCACCGAAGCACACAGCAGAGGGCAGGAAAUCAUGAGCAAUACAACAUAUAAAAGCAUGAAUGGCACAAAAACAGAAUGAGGAUCUAUUAUAUCAAGUAAUCCAAGCAACCAAAUAUUCCACCAUGGAAAAAAUAAAGGGACGAUGCUAGUGAUGUUGCUAGACUUGGGGUUGGGCAUGAAUAAAUGACAUGCCAUAAAAAAACAACAAGAGCAAAGUGAGUGCACAAGCUAUGAAGUGGCUACAGUGAAGAUGACCCAGAGUGCGUGUUGUUUUCAGUAGAGUUGGACCCGUUAUUAAAAGGAAAAAUGAGAUAAAUAAGAAACCCCGUGACCGGAACCUUAAAUAGACCAGGCUAUGGUUAACAACAUCAACAGAGAGGGAAACAAACCUGAAUCCGGCUAGCAGAGACGUCACCGGAUGUUUGCCUGCUCCUCCACCUGCUCUGGCUCAUUCUCCUCUGACCUGCACACGCCCACGCAUCAGAGGAAGAAGAAGAAAAGGUAAGGAGGGAUACAUACCGAGGCUCUUGAGGGGAUCCUGCGGAUCUGACCUACAACGCCAUGCGUGGUGCUGUGUGGCUAGGGUUUCGGGCGGCGGCAGGGGUGGAAAGAGGAGGACUCCUCCUUUGCUGGUGCUUCGUAGUGGAGAGGGAAGGAGAUCUAGCUGAGCCGGCGGCGGUCCUCUGCUGGUCGCCGCAGCCCGAGCACGAUGGCUCCUCCACAGCGACCGGAGAGGGGGCGAGCAGCUGCUUGUUGGGGAGGAAGAACGCGGGCGCGGGAGGCACCGUUGUCAUCGCCGAAAGUAAUGACGAGGGAGGCGGCGCGGCGGCCGUUGGGUUGAGAUCGACUACGAGGAAGAGGAAGGGGGCGGCGCGGCGGCCUCCUUGGAAUAGAGAGGGGCACGAGGUGGGGGCGAGGCAGCGCACGGUGUGCUCGAUUUGGAGGCGGGGCGGCGCGCGCUCGAUUUGGGGGCCAAAACAGAGCGCCCGCGCUGCUCGGUUUGGAGGUGAAAACACAGCGUGCGCACGUGAUUUUGAAGAUCCCGUACGCUGCGUGCGGGCGAAAACAGAGCGCCCGUGCCGCGCGUAUUUUUUUGUAUCUCCCUAUUAUUUUAUUUUAUUGUACAUAUAAUAAGUAUCUUGUAAGAAGACUGCCAGAAUGUAGUGUAUCUGCACACUUAUUGUUUAAAAUUAUGGUUUCAAUUACAGAAAAGGAAUUUGUUGGAACACAGACCAAAAAGAAUAAGAGAUGGGCAACAUGAAGUGCAAAAGUAAAAGGGCAAUCUUGUUUCAGCUUCUAACUACCUAGAUGAGGGCAAUCUCAACCAUGUUGUUCUAGGGGGGCACUGUAUAUGAAUUUUAGGAAGUUCUAUGAAGAAAAGACACAAAAAAUGUCCGUGCAUUGUAUAUUCAAAGUACGCAUGCGAAAUAGUUGGAUGGUUGUGAGUGAUGAUGAUCAAACUCGUAAUCUGAAUUGUGUCGUUUUGUCUAAUCACACAAUUGUGCUAUGCGGCUGUGCCAUUUGUUUAGCGAGAAGAGUUGGACAACAAGGGACAUCGGGACAAGGGUGCCUUUGAAUUCUGAGUUCUACCAAUUUAUAAAUUCAUUUCUCCAUUUCUCCUUGCAUUAUCCCCCCCCUCAUUUUGAAGGUUUGUCCUCACUUUCUACUUUUUUUCCUGAUCACGCAAAAAUGUGAUAUGGCUUGCACGGACGACGGUCAAGGCCCUGCGCUCCCCGCCCCGCCAACCACCACCACACAUCGCCAAGCGGGACCCUCGCCGGUCAACUGGAGACGUGGGGGAGGGAGGGCGGAAAGAGCGAGAGAAAUCCAGGGCGUGGACGAGCGGGAUCUCUCCGGGGCGUGGACGAGCGAGGCGGGAUCUCGGUUGGAUUUAGGAGAGGAGAGGCGAGGGUAGAGGUAGAGAGCAGUGCGGGUUAGCAAUGGCGCACCCCCGAGCGGUGCGCCAUUAGAUUUUUUUUUGAUAGCAAUGGCGCAUCCCCAUGCAGUGCGCCAUUAGUAAUCUUAUUUUUAUAUAGCAAUGGCGCAUCCCAGAGAGGUGCGGCAUCAGUAAUCUUUUUUUUGGAUACCAAUGGCACACCCCAGAGAGGUGCACCAUUAGUAAUAUAUUUUUUGGAUAGCAAUGGCGCUCGGAGGGAGGGAGGGGGUGGGUGGUGCGCUCGACCGAUUCCGUUCGGGGGAACCGAGCGAGGAGACAGGGGAGGGUGAGGGGGGUCGGCGGCGGCGGUGGAGCGGGGGAGGGUGCUGGGGGUCAUCGGCGGCGGUGGAGCGGGGGAGGGUGCGGGGGAGGGUGCUCGUGGUGCGCCAUUAGUAGUUCUGUAAAAAAAAUAGUAAUGGCGCACCACCUACGAAUGCGCCAUUAGUGACCCUGGUUACUAAUGGCGCACCUCCUCUUGUGCGCCAUUAGUAGUUCUGUAAAAAGAACUUAGUAGUGGCGCACCACCAACAGAUGCGCCAUUAGUAACACUGGUUACUAAUGGCGCACUAGCUUUGGUGCGCCAUUAGUAGUUUGCAAAAAAAAACCAAUUUUUUUUAUAGUAGUGGCGCACUACUAACAGAUGCGCCAUUACUAACCAGGUUACUAAUGGCGCACCACGUGCUGGUGCGCCAUUAGUAGCCACCACACUAAUGGCACACCUCACAUGGUGCACCAUUACUAUAUAGUAGUGGCGCACUGCUUGUGUGGUGCGCCAUUAGUAUCUAUAUCAUCUAUAUCCCUUUUCCUAGUAGUGGAGGGGCCAAGUCUGCGCUCUAUCUACCCCUCCUCCUAUAUAUAGAGAGGGAGAUAGAGGGCAGUACCACCCCAAGGCAUUUCUCCUCCGAAAAGCAUCUGCGGCAACGCUUGGCGAAGCCCUCUUGAGAUCGCACCACCACUGCCGCCACCAUGCCGUUGUGCUACCCGAGAACUCAUCUACAAGUUCAGCCAUGCUUGCUGAAUCGAGAUCAUGAAGACGUCAUCGUGUUGUACGUGUGCUGAACGCAGAGGUGCCGUCUGUUCGGCACUUGAUCGGAACGAUCGUGACUUGAUCGCGAAGACGUUCGACUACAUCAAGCACGUUUCACAACGCUUUCACUUAGCGAACUACAUGGGUAUGUAGAUGCACCCCUCUCGUAGAUGCUGAUGUCCAUAGAUUGAUCUUGGUGAGCAUAGGAAUUUUUUUGUUUCCCUGCAAUGUUCCCCAAUAGUGGCAUCAUGAGCAAGGUCUAUGCGUAGAUAACAUGCACGAAUAGAACACAAAAGAGUUUGUGGGCAUUGAUAUUCAGAUUGCUUACUUCCUUAGUCUUACUUUGAUUCGGCAACAGUGUGGGAUAAAGAGGCUCAGACCAACCUUACUCGUCCAUGUACAAGAGACCGGUUCCUUCGAGUGACAUGCAACUUGUUGCGUAAACAUGGCUGGCGGGUGUCUAUCUCUCCCACUUUAGUUGAACCGGAUUCGACAGAGGCGGUCCUUGGNGUUUCACAACGCUUUCACUUAGCGAACUACAUGGGUAUGUAGAUGCACCCCUCUCGUAGAUGCUGAUGUCCAUAGAUUGAUCUUGGUGAGCAUAGGAAUUUUUUUGUUUCCCUGCAAUGUUCCCCAAUAGUGGCAUCAUGAGCAAGGUCUAUGCGUAGAUAACAUGCACGAAUAGAACACAAAAGAGUUUGUGGGCAUUGAUAUUCAGAUUGCUUACUUCCUUAGUCUUACUUUGAUUCGGCAACAGUGUGGGAUAAAGAGGCUCAGACCAACCUUACUCGUCCAUGUACAAGAGACCGGUUCCUUCGAGUGACAUGCAACUUGUUGCGUAAACAUGGCUGGCGGGUGUCUAUCUCUCCCACUUUAGUUGAACCGGAUUCGACAGAGGCGGUCCUUGGAGAAGGUUAAAUAGAAACUUGAAUAUCACUGUUGUGGCUUUGCGUAGGUAACAACGGUUCUUGCUAGUGACCCACAGCAGCCACGUAAAACAUGCAACAACAAGUAUAGGACGUCUAACUUGCUUUUGCAGGGCAUGUUGUGAUAUGAUAUGGCUAAUGACAUGAUGAUAUAUAUGUGAUGUAUGAUAUGAUCAUGUUUUCUAUAAAAUUACCAUGACUUGCAUGUCGAUGAGUACGGUAACCGCAGGAGCCAUAGGGUUGUCUUUAAUCAUUUGUGCAUUUUUUCUUUACUUGGUCGCUAUGAGUUAGCAAUAGUGGUAGAAGCAUAGUUGGUGCAACAGCCCCGAUGGCGACACGAUCAUGAUUAUCAUGAUGAUGAGGAUCAUGGUGUCAUGCGGGUGAUGAUGGAGAUCAUGCCGGUGCUUUGGAGAUGGAGGUCAAAAGCACAAGAUGAUGACGACCAAACCAUGUCAUCAUUACGAUUUACAUGUGAUGUUAAUCCUUUUAUGCAUAUAAUUUUGCUUAGGAUGACAAUAGCAUUAUAAGAUGACCCCUCACUAAAAUUUCAAUAUAAAAUUGUGUUCUCCCCAAGUGUGCACCAUUACGAAGGAUCUUCGUUACGAAGCAACACGUGAUGAUCGAGUGUGAUAGACUCUACGUUCGCAUACAACGGGUGUAAGCCAAUUUUGCAUGUGCACAACACUUGGGUUAAACUUCAUGGUCCUAACAUGUACAGACAUGGCCUCGGAAUACAGGAGACCGAAAGGUCAAACAUGAUCAUAUAAUAGAUAUGAUAAAGUUCACCAUUGAAACCACCUCAUCUCACGUGAUGAUUGGACUUGAGUUGGUGAAUUUGGAUCAUAUCACACUCAAACAACCUAAGGGAUGUCAAUUUGAGUGGGAGUUAUUAAGUAAUAUGAUUAAUUGAACCCAUUAUCAUGAACAUAGUCUAAGUUGUCUUUGCAAAUUAUGUUGUAGAUCAAUGGCUCGCGCAGUAGUUCCCCUCAUAGAGAAACCUAAGCUAAAAUAUGAUGGAAGCAACUAUGCGGAUUGGGUAUCUGAGGAUUAUCCUUACGGCUUCGCAAAAGGCUUAUGUCCUUGAUGCAUAGCUUGAGGGAACACCCCCUAGUGUCAGCAGAUGUUGUGAACUGUAACGCCCAACAUGCGAUUCUAUCCUUGUUUUGGCACGAGGGCCUCAACAAGGAUAGAAGCACAUAUCUUUGUUUCGCAAGAAUGAAUAUCGUUACAAGUACAUGUACUAAAAACAUAAGUAUAAGGAAUUGGCUUACACUCGCCAUAAGCUACAUCAAUAUCACAUUAAUACAACAAUACACAAUCAUCUUGCAAAAGAGGAGGGUCCAAUUACGGACGAAAACAAACGAUAAAAGAACGACGUCCAUCCUUGUUAUCCCAGGAUGUCGACCUGGAACCCAUCCUAGAUCGGUGAUGAAGAAGAAGAAACUCCAAAUAGCACAAUCAGCGCGGUCACGUCGUAAUAUCACCUUACAUGUACCUACAACUGGUGUUGUAGUAAUCUGUGAGCCACAGGGACUCAGCAAUCUCAUUUCCGAAGGUAUCAAGACUAGCAAAGCUUAACGGGUGAGUUAUGGUUAAGUGGUGAGGCUGCAACAAGCGACUAAGCAUUUAUUUGAGGUGGCUAGCUUAUGAGUACAUGUGGCGAGUGUAAGCCAACUCUUUAUACUCAUCUUUUCGGUACAUGUACUUGUAACGAUAUCCAUUCUUACGAAAUGACGAGAUGCGUUUCUAUCCCUGUCCAGGCCCUCGCGCCAAAAUAAGGAUAUGACCGCAUCUUGGGUGUUACAAGUUGGUAUCAGAGCAGUACGGACCUAGGAGCCCCCUUGAUUGAUCGAACAUGGCCGAGUCGAGUCUGGUGAAAAAUUGCUUUGAGUCUUGUUAUAUACCGGAGAGUAGGAUUCUUUUUUCUCCUCUUCUAUGCUCUCGUGAGGAAUCUUGACGUAAUAAUUUAAUUCUACUCCUCUUCUCACUCAAAAAAAUUAGGAUCACGUGGAUAUUUUUGGAAUCUAUAUGAUGUCGAUGUGACGGAAUUCUGACUUGGUGCCUCCUGCUGUGUUGAUUUUAUUCCGGGGAGUUGAGCUCCAGGGGAUUCUUGAGCACAUCGUUAUCAUUUAGAUUUCUUAGGAUGGAGGAUGUUCGAAAUUGCUUCAAUACUAGUAGUGGUGAGAUAACCCCGGCAUCCCCAAUACUGGUGCAGAGAGUUCAGGGGUACUGCCAUACUUAGUAUCAUGGUGUUUUUGAGGAUCUGAGAUAGAUGAGUUUCCGAGAUCUCUGGUUAUGUGUUGAUGGAUGUGAGACACUAGACGGGUAGUGUUAUUGCUAGGAGUUGAGUGAUGGAUUUUCUCCUUGAAUCCGUGGACCCGAUUCCAUGACGAUAAUAUUUCAGGAGUUCUUAGGUUGGAAUUCAAGUAGUUACUUAUAGGACAAUCUUCAAACAAAUGCAUGAUGUGAGGUUGGGGUUCGAAAUCUAGUGGAUUCAUUUGUUCACGGUCAUCUUACAGUGGUUCUAGUUGUGUCUUAAAGAGUACUUGUAGCUUCCUACGACUCGGGGACGCUUCGUAUGUCGUUUGCACUCCCUUGUACAUGAUGGCUACUCUAGGAUUCACGAAAAUAUCAGAUGAAAUCUGUGUCAUGAAUUUGUUCCGGCUUGUUUUGGUAAGCCUCAACCUUUGUUUUUUUGGAGUAUGGUAAUUCGAGUUGCUUCGAUUUUAAGUGGUGAAUUCAAAUCUUUCCAAGAGGUCUUCUCAUAUUUUUAGGGGAAUGCAAAAUAUUUUGCUCAAUCAAGUUGUGUUUUCAAUUCUUGCCAGCCGGAGUCAGCGUGACAAUUCUUUUUCAUCCGGUGUGCUUCUCUUCAAUUGAAUUCAACCAUCUCCAAUAUUUUGGAAGAUCAAUCUCUCAUUUCCUGCCCACCCGCCCUUUUCUUUAUUAUUCAAUUCUCAUCCAAGUGUCUUCUUUUCAGUGUUUCUUCUGCUAUCUUUUCUUUUAUUUUGUUCCCGGUGAUUCUUUGUGAAGAUUCUCGGGAGUUUUGAGCUCAUCAUUUCUUCAUUUUGUUUUCUCCCCGGUGGAGUCAAUUCAAGAUUUUGGUGUCAUCAUAUCCUUUUCACCCUUUAAAUUAUUUCCCAUGUUUGUAAUUCAUAUCAAGUCUUUCUUGUUUUUCAUCUCCCUCUAUUCUAUCCAGAGUGUUCAAGAUAUCUGAGAAGUUUCUUGUUUUCAAUUCUUUCAAUCAUUUUGAGGGUCUCACCUCAUCAAGUUUUCAUUCAUACCGGUGCAAUAUCUCCCUUCCUAAGCAAUCCUUUCAAAGGUGUUUUCUUUUAGUGGGCCCAUAACCCACAAGUUCUUCCCAGGAUCUUACGUGACUCUUCUAAUCUUUUUCUUGAGAUCUCUAAUUCUUCUCAAUUAUGGCGUAUAAGUAUGAAUUUCAUCAGUCAUAUUCCUUCUCCAAGAUUGCUUCAAAAUUAAUUCUCAUCAUUGGUCCAUUCUCUUGAAGAUUCAUCAUUUCAACUUUGUGUUAUCAUCUUGAAUUGUUCUCGAUCAUGAGAAAUUACUUCCAUAUCUAUUCGGUGCAUUUCAGUGUUGUGUUCAUUUCUCGAUCCUCCGAAGGCCAUCAUUUCCGAAGAUUUCUUCGUUCUCAACUUUCAUCUUUCAUCCUCAAAUUCUUCUCAAUGGUUGUCUCUUCAUUCGUCUCUCAAUUAUUCCAGUGCCUCAUUCAAGUUUUCUGUUAGGCGGCUGAGGAUCUCUUCAUUCUCUAGGUGUUCUUCAAGAUUCUUGUGGUAGUACCUCAAGUAUUCUAUCUCUUGCAUUUCAAAGAGCAAUGCUUCCUCCAUUAUCCUUUUUGGUGGUGUUAUAGCAUUCUUGCUAGUGGAGGAGCCUCGAAGGAAGUUUUUUAAAGAAUGAGAUAUGUAAACCCACUAAUCCUUUGAUCAUGAGAUUAUUUUUAACCCAUGGUUUCUUCAUUGAGCUAUAAUAGAUUAGUAGAUGAGUUCUCAGGUAGCACGACGACAUGGUGACGGUGGUGGUGGUGCAAUUCAGCAGGGCUUUGCCAAGGCCUGACGCAGACGCGACGGGGGAGAAAACUGAUCUAGAGGGAGGGAGGUGCCGCCAAAGGCUUGGUGUGUGGCUGCCCUCCCUCUCCUCUCAUGUAUAUAAGGGGAAGGGAGGAGGAACUCGUCCCUAGGGUUUGCCCAAGGGGUGGGGGCGGUGGACUAGGAGGUUGGUUGCCACUCAAGCAAGGGUGGCGCCACCCCUAGGGCUUGCCCUUCCAACAACCUAGCCGGAUGGGCCUAGGUGGGCGGGGUGCCCAGCCCACAAGGGGCUUGUGCGCACCCUUCUCAACCCAUCUGGCCCCUCUGGGGUAGGUGGGCCGCUUCCGAUGGACCCGAGAACCAUUCCGACACUCCUUGUACUCUCCCGGCAAUGCCCGAAUUCUUUUCGGUGACCAAAACCGAAUUUCCUAUAUAUAGGUCAUUACCUCCGAAACAUUCCAAAGAUCCUCGUCAUGUCUGAGAUCACAUCCGGGACCACGAAUAACAUUCGGCUACCAACAUACAUAACUCAACAAUACUAUAUCGUCAUCGAACGUUAAGCGUGCGGACCCUAUGGGUUCGGGAACUAUGCACACAUGACCGAGACACCUCUACGGUCAAUAACCAAUAGCAGGACCUGGAUGCCCAUAUUUGUUCAUACAUAUUCCACGAAGAUCUUUAUGAGUCAAACCACGAUGCCAAGGAUUCAAUCAAUCAUGUAUGCAAUUCCCUUUUUCCAGCGGUAUGUUACUUGCCCGUUAUUUGAUCACUGGUAUCUCUAUACCUAGAUCAAUCUUGCUACUCGCAAGUCUCUUUACUCAUUCCGUAAUACACGAUCACAUGACUAACUCCUUAAUCACAUUACUUGCAAGCUUCAUGUGAUGUUGUACUACCAUGAGGGCCGAGAGAUACCUCUCCGUCAUAGGAAGUGAAAAAUCCCAGUCUUGAUCCAUGCCAACCCAACAGACACCCUCGGUGAUACCUGUAGAGCAUCUUUAUGAUCAUCCAGUUAUGAAGAGAUGUUUGAUAUAUACAAGGCAUUCCUAUGGUGUCAGGGAGUUGCAUGAUCUCAUGGUCUUAGGAAAUGAUACUUGACAUGUAGAAAGCAGUAGCAAUAAACUUAAUGAUAUGAUCAGAUGCUAUGCUUACAGUUGGUUCUUGUCCAUCACAUCAUUGUCCUAAUGGUGUGAUCCUGUUAUCAGAUAACAACUCAUGUCUAUGGUUGGGAAAUCUUAAUCAUCUUUGAUCAACGAUCCAGUCUAUUAGAGGUUUACUAUGGACACGGUGUUGUGUAUGUAUCCACACAUGUAUCUGAGUGUCCAAUCAAUACAAUUAUAGCAUGGAUAAUAAAUGAUUAUCAUGAAGAAGGAAGUAUGAUAAUAAUCACUUUAUUAUUGUCUCUAGAACAUAUUACAACAUAUCCUUCUAUCCAUGUGCGGCUGUCAUCCUCAUGAAGAAGCACUUGGGGGUUGUGCCAAGCCUACAUAGCCUUGGAGGAAGACCGGGUGGGAUCCAUGCCGGAACAACAUCGUCGGGGGACGCGUUCAUGCGUCGUCGCUGCCACAACGUCCCCAUCACAUUCUCUGUGAUGGGUUGUAACAACUCUUGAACCCCUUUAUAUGUGAUGUUAUUUGAGUAAUUCUUGGCUAUGGGUCGGUUCGCUAGUAAGCAUUUAUUUGAUAUGCGUUGUCUAUUUAUGUCUUCCAUAUUCAUGAUAUUAUUUACCCUUGCGGUAAUUUUGCGAUUGGAGUCCUAUGACCCAUUAGUGUAGUUGGAGACAUUCAACUCCCUAGAUCACACAUGAAGUUGAUAGAUAGUUGUGCAUAUCGAGAAAACUCCGGGUGAUAGGCAUCGAUAUCUUAAGGGGAACAUAAUUACCGAGGGAUCAUGGUUGUCCAUAGAACUUAUUGCCUUCGGUCCACGUCUUAUUAUAUUAAUGUGUUUUCCAUUGUCCACUCGCGGUAUGGGAUGGAAAAUAGGAAGAUUGAGUUGUCUCAAUACGAUGAUGCUUGAGAGACAAUGUUAUGUGAAGGACCGCCCACCAUUGAUCAAUUGCCUUAUCGUAUAAUGCAAGGUACAUAAUUAAUUGUAGGUUUUAACAUUUGAGAUAUAUAUAAUUUUUGUCCUACCCAUUAAUGUUUAAAACAAGGUAUGGAGUAUCUCAACUCGAUUAUCACACAGAGUUGUCAUAAAGUUGAGAUAUAGAGCUUUUCUUUUCGUUCCUGCACACAUAGUUGAAAAACUCACAUCAAGGUCAAUGGACUACAAAAUGACUAUUGCCUCUGCCAAACGAGUCCUUGAUGCGCCGUUAUCUUUUAUCCCACAAAGGAGCUAGCCUGAUCAUGUCCAUGACAACCAGGAAGUCUUCAUGCACGUGCCCCUAAGUACCCGUGGACAUCGUCAUUGAAUCCCUGAAUUGGUUUGAAGAACCUGACACCAAAUAACGAUGUGCGUACGCACGCGAUAAAUCCUAACCUCGCUACCUGAGGCGCUGCAAGGAAUAUACGUUUGAGGUCCAUCUAAUCAUUCCUCGAGGUCGAACUUUGAGAGAAUCGGAUCCCGAAAGACUCACUCGAAGAAGAAUCGUAACCAUCCAUCUGAUACGUCUCCAACGUAUCCAUAAUUUUUGAUUGUUUCAUGCUAUUAUCAUGUCAAACUUUAGAAGUUUUGCAUGCCUUUUAUAUAUUUUUUGGACUAACUUAUUAACUCAGUGCCAAGUGCCAGUUCCUGUUUUUUCCAUGUUGUUGACCCCUUUUAGAGGAGGAUUUUGAACGGAGUCCAAACGGAAUAAAACUUCCAAAAAGAUUUUUUCCAGAACGGAAAAAGAUCGGGAGACUUGAGAACCAAGGCAGGGGGUCCUCUGGGACCCCACAAGCCCUCAUGGCGCGGCCAAGGGGGCCCGCGCCGUGCAGACUUGUGGGCUCCCUGGGCCACCUCUGCCCUAGGUUUUGCGCCUAUAUAUCCCCAGAAAUUCCACAAAGAAUCAGGAGAUCAUCGAAAGUACUUUUCCGCCGCCGCAAGCUUCUGUCUCCGCAAGAUCCCAUCUGGGGCACGUUCUGGUGCCCUGCCGGAGGGGGGAUUGGGACACGGAGGGAUUCUUCAUCAACACCAGGACCUCUCCGAUGAUGCGUGAGUAGUUCACCAUAGACCUACGGGUCCAUAGCUAGUAACUAGAUGGCUUCUUCUCUCUCUUGGAUCUUCAAUACAAAGUUCUCCAUGAUCUUCAUGGAGAUUUAUCCGAUGUAAUCUUCUUUUGCGGUGUGUUUGUCGAGAUCUGAUGAAUUGUGGAUUUAUGUUCAGAUUGUCUAUGAAUCUUAUUUGAGUUUCUUCUGAUCUCUCUUAUGCAUGAUUUCAUAUCCUUGUAAUUCUCUUCGAGUUGUGGGUUUUGUCUAGCCAACUAGAUCUAUAAUUCUUGCAAUGGGAGAAGUGCUUGGUUUUGGGUUCAUACCGUGCGGUGACCUCACCCAGUGACUGAAGGGGUAGCGAGGCACGUAUCGUGUUGUUGCCAUCAAGGGUAAAAAGAUGGGGGUUUCUUCAUUGGUUUGAGAUUAUCUCUCUACAUCAUGUCAUCUUGCUUAAGGCGUUACUCUGUUCGCCAUGAACUCAAUACACUAGAUGCAUGCUGGAUAGCGGUCGAUGUGUGGAGUAAUAGUAGUAGAAUUAAAGGAGGAUCUGCCGUCGUCGUGAUGGUUCGACCACCUCUCCCCAGCCUAUCGAUACCUCCUUCCUCGCAGGCAGGCACAUCCUCCCGCUCCCGCUUCCUCCCACUGAUUUUCUCUAAUUAUACCCUGCAGAAAACCAGCAAGGAACCGACCGGUUCAUUGUGAGAAACCAGCCCAUGUUUUUGCUAAAAAAAGGAAAAACAGAACCCCCUCCCACGUCCCACGAGUGACACGUACCGCCCACCUCCAGCCCCUCGCUCGGUCGCUCCCGAUCCCCCAUCUCUUUCCUCUCCCCGUUCAUCGAAGCCGAUGCGCCGCCCUGCCCCAUGCGUCACCUGGCCGGCCUCGAUCUUGACUCGUCGCCGCUCCCCCUAGAGUAGAAGCACUCUGAGGUCGACGGCGUUUCUCUGCUUUGUCCUUGGAACGCAGGUGCCUCAAGGACGAUCCAUGCAUGGUUUCAUCGGGGAGCCCGGCAACGGCGUCACCGACAAGGCACCGAGGUUACGCAGCAGUAAGGCCCAUCCCUGGGUUGAGCUCACCCCCGUCACCGCCGGUGGCGCCGCUUGCCCACGCCCCCGCCGGUGCCGCCGCUUGCCCACGCCCCCGGAUGGAGAAGCUCGUCGCAACUGGAGGUCGUUCCAACAUCCAUGUGCUCUGUACUCUUAGGUUGUAAUUCUGAUGUUGUUUGUAACUAACAAAAAUAUGCUCUCUUCUAUGCACAUAAAAGUAGCCCAGGAUGCAUCGAGCUGCCAGACCUGAACACAGUUUGGCGCAUCAAAACUGAGGGGUAAUACAAUCUUUUUCAUAUGCCUUCUUUCCCAAAACCGAAGCAUCAAGUUUUCUAUCUGCUGCUAUUUUCCUCUUCUUCGUAAGCAAAUGCUGGCUUUUCUAUCCUUUUUCUUAUCUCUCGAGUUCGGUAAGAGAUGAAUCAUGAAGGAACAAAGAGAGUUCCUUCUGCCUGGAGUAUGAGAAAAAGGAGAGAACACAUGAAUCCACUUGUUUCACUAUACAUUAUGAGUUUAAAUUGGUCCGUUUACAUGUUGCAGUUGACCAAGUAGAAUGACAACAUAGGGAGAGGUCUGGAUGUACUCUAAUAAUAUGUGCUCCUAGGAGGGUCUGGUUGUAGCUGGCUGCUUUUUCUCAAUGCCCAGGUUCCACAUCGUACGCUUACCACUUAUUUGUUCUAAUGGAGUAGAUUGAAUAUAUUUGUGUUUCUACCUAAACUAAUAGAAUAGUGUAUUAGAUCCGGGCUACACAUCUUUGGUGCGUAGUGGGGGUGAGCUAUUGUAUUUCCUGAGGACUGAACGGUUCUCAAUUGUUAAGCUGGAAUCCUGCUUUGGAUUAUAUUAAAUCUUUACUACCUCGUGUGCUUCUUUUGUUAUAUUAUUUUUUCAUCUACCUUGUGUGCGUAGUGCUCUUACUGACAUGAGUUGGAACUUUUGUUAUCAUCUGCUCUACAGGAUAUACUGGACAAUCUAGAAUUUGCAAAGGGGGGUGCAGAAUCAACAUGAGGUUCUGUUAGAGCUGCAAUGGGGCGUCCUGAACCAUUCCCAGUCAAAUAUGUUGCAAUUGGAAAUGAAGAUUGUGGGAAAGAAAAUUACCAUGGUAAAUCUUCAACUGAAAUCCAUUCCACACUCAAGUCUUUUUUGUGGUAAUCUGCACACUUAAAGCCCUGCGCACAGUAUUAACAUAUACAAUUGAGGAGCAGGAAGCAUAGCUGGGCCAUGAUAUAUAUGUGUUAAAAUAAGUAACAUAUGCAAUCAAACAAAAACAAUAUGUGAUUUCGUGCUUGCUCGCCGAGAGUCACAUUUGUUCAUAUGAAAAAUCACAAGAUUAUAUUAGCGUGCAACAUGCAUCAUGUACAUAAUUUGAAUUUGUCUGACCUACUCAUAUAAGCUGACAAUCUCAUUUUAUAAUCAUCCAUUCAAUUUUCUGUCACACAUUUCUAAGUAUACGGAGGAGGGGGAUAUCAAGUCAAAAGUUUUUGAUGAGGCCAUGUUUCUCAUUCUAGGAUUUUUCAGGCCGAGCAGUGCUUAUAUAUAUCAUAUAGAAAUCCCUUAAACUUAAGAGAAUAUGUACUCAUCAUCAGAGUGGUCUGAUCGCGCGAAGAAAACUUUACAUCCAUCUGAUAAUGGGGAGAUUACUGUCCAGUGUCUUAUGGUACAUAGCAAUGAUCGCCUUUCUAAGGUCCCAAGGUUUAGAUUCAGUGAAUAUGAUUCAUUCUAGCGCUGACCAAAUAGUGAUAUUGUGGAUUAAUGUUCUCCUAUUUUAAGAGCAUUAUGUACCCGAGAUAAACCGAUAUGCCCGCAACUGCUAAGAAAACACGAAAGUGGUUAUGUGCCCCUUAAUUAUUUUGGUUGAUUUUGCAUGUAAAGUGUUUCUAUCUUAUCAUAACUCCCUAUUAUAGUGUAUAAAUUUUACUUGAACUAUAGAGAACCCAACUAUUUUCUACUGAUAUAAUAUGUCUUUAGAUACAUGACAUUCUCUAAUUCUAUUGAACAGGUAAAUGCCUUAAGUUCUGCAAUGCUAUAAAACAGGCAUAUCUAGACAUCCUGAUGAUUUCAAAUUGUGAUGGUUCAUCUACACCACUUGACCAUCCUGCUGAUUUGUAUGAUUUCCAUGUACGCUACUUGCUACCAGAUCUAUUUGCCUUCCUUGUUGUAUAGAUCCUAUAAUCUUAUCUCAUGUUUUGUCACCGAGGUCGAGUAAACUCAAGUUUUUUUCUGAGAUCUUGAGGAUGCUUCUUCUUUUUAGGUAUAUACCUCUCGUAGUGGGUCCAAGGUCGUAUGGUUCCUUAUCAUUUCAUAUACGAUUAAAACUGUAAGAAUAUUAGAUCGAUGUAUUUUUUCGGGACCAUGCAAGAAAAGUGCAUUUGAUCAUUAUAGAAGAAAUAAUAGUAUCUAAUCUCAUAUUACAAAAUCUCAAAAGAAAAUAACGACCUCAUCACAGAGAAGUAAAAUCAAGCUGCCCCAUCACAGAGAAGUGCUUGAACGCAAUAUGCUCCUCCUCCGUCAUUUGAAGGAUAUAUGAAAACUUUCAUGAGAAUUGACAUGAAGGUCAAACAUUUUGUAGUAGAUAUACCUCCUCUAUAGAUCUUUUUUUUCUUCAGGUUUGGGAGUAGUCUAUGCCUUCAGCGAGAGUAUAUUUUCUAGAAAAUAAGAAUUAAUUAUUUCAUUUUUAUACUCACCAGAGUUCAUGUUUCCCACUUUUUCAGUUGUGAGACGAACUUUUUCAUUUUCCCUUCAUAUAGCGAUAGGAGGUAUUGCUUAAGUCUCCUUUGAACUAUAUCAUAAAAAGAGAUUGACACAAAGUAAACAAACGUAUGUUUUCGAAGCUAAUAUUUCCUACUAUUUUGUUGUUUGUUUUUCCGGCAUCCCCCUUGAAACAAUGCUAUGGAUACUUCUUUUGGUGUUGAGUCGACUUCAGUUUCAGUAUCUACUCACCGGAAAAUUGAUAUCACUGUUUUAUGAAGAAAGAAUGAUAUCAAUAAGAGUACAAGGUUAGAGACAAAGACAAAGAUAGACAUUCUUAAGAACAUGUAUUGUAUGUUAGGAAGACAACAUGUUUGCAAACAUUGGGUAAAAAGAUUAGAAAGACAUCUAGAUAUAUAUUUUCUACUCCAUGGCAACGCAGGGGUGUUUACCUACUGUAUUUAGCUCAUCCCUGGGUAUUUAGAAAGACAUCUAGAUAACUGAGCUGGACUCUAAGGUCAAUCAGCUCCAAGAUGAGUUGAAGAAGACAAAGGAACGGCUGAGCGGAUCUGAGUCAUGAAGGCGCCAAGCACAGCAGGAGGAUGAUGAAGCAAAGAAGCAGGGGCAGGAUGCAUCAUCGAAGCUGGAGGAGUCGCAGUGCCAGCUUGUUGAGCUCUCAGCAGCAAAGGAAUCCCAUCUCCAGGAGCGGCGCAAGAUCCAACAGGAGCGUGAUCGCACCUGGUAGGCCGAGCUUGAGGCAUUGCAGAAAUAGCACUCCGCGGAUGCUCCUGCACUUAGCUCGGUGUUGUCCAAGAUCCUGAGGCUGAAGUUGCAGUGGGAGGUGACAGUUCACCAUAUUCGUUUGAUACAGCCAGUGCCCAGCAACGUGAGCAUGCAGAAUCUAAGCUUGAAGCGCUGGAGCAGGAGACGGAGCUCAGGCUUGCAACGAUUGAAGGCCUGAAGGUAAAUGUCAAUGAAAGUGACAAGGCUGCAGCUAAUGCAAAUGCCAUGGCACCUGAGACCAAGCUACAGCUUGAGACCGCAAAGGCCACCAUUGACUCACUCCUAUGUGAGGGUGUCUGGUUGUAGGAAUGCCUGAGGUCAAAGGACAUAGAGCUCAGUAAGUCUAAUCUGAAGGAGGCUCAGGCUGCAGGUGAUGAAAUUCGGAAUGAGGCAUAGGCAGGCAAUGCCAAUCGUGGCUUUGGCAGUCCAUUGACUGAAGUUUUGAAAAGAGCCCUCAUCCCACCAGUGACAUGAAUGGAAGAUGUCGAAGUCCUGACCUAGAGAUUGAGCCCUUGGCCCUUGCGGAUGGCGCUUGAGGUGGCUAAGAUGAGGUACCAGGAGGAGCAAACUGGGAUGGCCUUCGAGACAAAGACAGUCUAUGAGAUGCUGGAGUGUGUCAAGUCUGAGUGCAUGCGCCAAGUGUGUGAUAUCGAGCUCAAGCUGAAGAGCAAGACUAAUGAGCUCAUGGCAGCGUAGGCAGCCCUAACAGGCAAGGCGCAAGAGGACCUUCACAGGUCACACGGGCUGAGCGAAAUGCAGCCGGAGCUGGAGGCGAAGCUGAUGAAGUCGAUCACCGACAUCGCAGAGCUCAAGGCGAAUCUGAUGGACAAGGAAAACACGUUGCAGAGCCUGUCGGAGGAGAACGAGACCCUCAAGUCGGAGGCUGGAAGGAAGGAGGCCGGCGUGCAGCAGCUGGAGCAGGACGUGCGGAUGCGGCUCGGGUACGUGACAGAGGAGGCCAACAAGAGGAACCGGCGCGCAGCCUGGGCCUUGGAGCAGGUGGACGCGGCCCAGGCAGCGAGCGCUGAGGCGGACGCGGAGCUGCGCUGGUUGCGUGUGCGGUCCGACCAGUGGCGCAAGGCCGCGGAGGCCACCGCCGCCCUUACUGGCGGCGGCAACAAUGGUGGCCUGAUGGUGGAGAGGACCGAGUCGCUGGACACGGAGUACAAUGGGUCGAUAGGCGGAAAGCUAAUGGGGUAUGUACUAACAAAUAAGUAUUUUCGGGCGGAGGGAGUCUGUACUAACAAAUAAGUUCAUGAAAAUGUUAAUCCGGACUGAAACUAUUGCACCUUAAUUGGCAUGUAGGUCAAACCUGGCUUGUCUUGUGUAUGAAGGUUUUCUUACCUUGUUUGAUUGUUGGAGUCCUAUCUUAUGUACGAGUACUGAAUGGCCUUGCCUAGAGUCUGAGAGAUAGUCAAACUCUGAAUUUCCCUCUUGGUGGUAUCUUUUGUUUUCGUCCAGUACUAAUGAUAUGAAAUUUGUGAGAGCUGUAAAACAUCACGUUAGGUGUCCUUCCUUGUUCAAAGUUAAUUGUCAUUUUGAUAAUACUUUAGAAGAAUAAUGCAUGAUUUCUUCAACUGAGGCAUGAGUAAUCAGACGCUACAAACAUGGACAUUACAGUUGCAAAGUUUUUAUAUACUAACUUAAUUUAUAGACACUCCUUUCAGAUAGCUGCCCCUGUCAAUGGUCCAUUAUAUUUACAUUAUGGCUGAUUUGUGUUCUUAUGUGGAUCAUGCGACGUUGUGAAAAUGAGGUUUAAUGUUGUAUUUUUUUAAUAGGAGUUGCCAUGACAAAUGAAGAUGAUAUGUGUCACAAGUGCACACUUGAAGUUUGCCAUCAUGUUCUAACUUCUAUGCCCGGUGGCUGUGGAGGAACAAGUGUGUCGUGACAGGGUGGUGUUGGCAAUUGAGGUAUGAACCUAGAAAUUAAUCUUGGAGAUUGAUUGCCUCAUAAUGCUAGAUUGUGCUUGGAGGGUUGAAAUCGUGGUGGUUGCUGAAAAGGAAUUAUAAAAGGAAACGACAUGCAUCUGACGUUUGACACGUUUCUAAAAUAGUAUCCUUUCUUUAUGCGCAUGUAGCAUGAUAACAAUUAUGAACUACCAGGUGACUACCCCAUUCAAUUUGGCCUAGGACCUCUAGAUAUGGUCAUCAAUUGGUCAGUAGAAUUUAUAUUAGUAUAACACUAGGGUAGAAGCUCUUUUCCUAUUUUUCAUGCAUGGAGAUAGAGAAGACCAUGAUAUGAUGCACAAGAUUUUGACUAUUUUAAAGAAUAUUUUCUCAUUCUAACAUGUAAAUUGCAUUCACGCAGUUGCUUUGCGUUUGAACUAGCUCGCGGGCUUUUGUUAUAUGUGCUGACCACAUGAAGUUCCAAGUUUUUUCCCACUCGAGGGGAAUAUUGGGCGCUCUCACUACAGAUUUCUUACAGAAUGGGUAUGUUCGGGACUGAACAAAGAUUCAAGCUAAGACAACUAUUAUGUUAUUUUAGUUGGGUUCAUUUAGCUUUUAAAAACUAUUCCUUUAAAUAUAUGUCACAUUNUGCCACCGAUAGAUCAUUUAUACCAGAUAUUUUGUUUACAAAUGACGUGUUUAUUUUUAAUUGUUUACUCCUUUUUUAUAAGACAUGAAAGGGGGAACAGGAUUAUGUAAUAUAAGGAUAUGUAUACUAAUUUUUUUUUAUGGAAGAUAACAAGGAAAUUUAUGACUUAUAAAAUUAUAUUUUUUAUGUUUUAUUAUGUCACAAUUUGAGUUUUAGACUUUUUGAUAGUUUUGACUAAGUAUAUAAUAAUCUAUACGUGUACUAGAAAUUAUAAAUGGUGGUCCGAGUGAGGUAUCAUUUUUUCUAAAUCUAGGCAACCAAAUUUGUUCAAUAUCAACUGCUUGAUUUCUUUAUAUCCUCUUCUUUCGCCCACUAUUGAAACAUACAUUGGUCGAGAUAACUUAGGGAAGAGGGAGUUGUUGAACCAUGUCUGUAGGCCGACAGCGACGACGAGCGUGGUGAUUGUGAUGGGGUGCAACGAGGACAUCCGCGCGUGCCAAUAGCUGCUUCACGUCCCACGAGUUCUUUUGUACCUAAGCGUACACAGACCAUGUGACGGAGAGAGGUCGGAUUUAGACGACUGGAGAUGCCGAUCGAGGUAGGUCGGGUGAGGCGCAAGAGAGUGGUAUACCAUGUCGUUAUGCCCUCGAUGGACUGUGCCAUGGAGAACGCGAGAACCCGCAUUCCCGGUGAGCCGAAUCGCCCACUCCCGCGGUGGCAGCACGGGGCAUGGCGUCGUAGUGGGGAUCACAAGGCAAGAUGAGAUGGACAUGAUCUCGGUCCUGUCGAUGCAGGCGAGGGCAACGGUUGGGUCGAGGGACUCCCAAUCUCGUCGAUGCGACAGAGGCCAUCGUCCAUGAGUAGCCUGGGCUUGAGCGCGAGGAGGCUGGCGAGCAUGAUAAAUGGCCGCUUGCGUGUACGUCACGGCGGGGAGGACCAAGGGGAGCUCUAGGAGUGGACGGCGGCCAGGAACACGAGGGAGAGCGGCUGCUUUGGGGUGGACAGCUGUCGCGAUUUUUUCAAGAGAUAGAUCGGAUUGGGAGGAGCGAGGGUGCGUGGUCAUUGCUUUUUGCAUGCCAAGAUGAUGUGCGGGUAGCCAGAUCGUGAGGGUGGAGGUCGACUGAACCAUCCCGUUUGUUCGCUGGGCUUUUUCUACGUGGAUCGAAUGAGGCGUGGGUAGCUAUCGCGUAGGAAGGGAGGUGAGGAUUGAUACAAAGGGUGAGCGGUAACCCAACGAGGUUAAACCAUCACGACGACUGCACAUCCCUCUUUUGGAAUUCCUUCUUUCUAUGUCUGCUGAAAAAUUAUUACCCUCGGUUCUUUACAUUAUUCGGUCUUGAACCAUUUUUGUAUGGUGCGUGUUUUGGCCGAAGUGAAGUUACGUUUUAAUGAAAUAUUUCUUUAACAUGAGCAAUGGUCCUUGCUUUUUAUGGCCUGUUGAUCUCUGUGCUCAUGAUACAAAUGUAAAUGAUUCUUUUGAUUGACAUAGGCCUAUUAAUCACAAACCAAACUGCAAACUCCAUUCAUGUACAAAUAUUACUUUCAUGAUUCAUAAAUCAUUUUUGUAAACUAUUAGUUUAUCAUGGUCAAAAAAUAGGGUGUAUCGUCAUGAUUUCGGUGUACUGUUUUAAAAUUGUCGCAAAAUGCAAGAGCUAGGGGGACAAGUACUCACACUCUCAGCUUCUCUACAAAUGUAAGUCUGUUGGAAAGACAAAGACAUGUGAUAUUAAGUUGGAAAGACAAAGACAUGCGGGUUUUUCAUGUGUACUUUCCAUUUAUGGCAUGAAUAACAUUAUGAAUAACUAUGUAUUGUACACAUGAGUCAAGCUUUUCGUAAUAUGCUUUUCUCUCACAUGAAGAGAAAACUUGUGAAAGUGCGUUAUAUCGACUAGAGGGGGGUGUAUAGGAGAUUUUUAGAAUUUCAUCAUUGAGGAAAUUCCUUUUGAGGAAAUUCCUCACUGAUGACUAACUUACAGCGGAAACAGUAAAGGAUCAGAAGUGCAAAGUUUCACAACAGCAGUUUUUUAGAGUGAAGAAUGUGAAAACAGAUUGCACUGUGAGCAGGCAUGCACAAUACAGAUGAGGAUUAAUUGACGUGAAGAAUUUGGGGUUGAGGAAAUUCAGAGAAAUUCUUCAGCAAAUUCUUCAAACAGUCUCACUGAAAGUCAUCAACACAUAACACGAGGAAAGUAAGGAGUUGAGGAAUUAGAACCCGUUUCUCAGUGAAGACAGUCGUUGAUGACCCAGUUCCAACUGCUGUGACAGUCGUACAUCUGUUUGGAGCGGCUUGGUAUUGAAACCAAAGGACACACAGUCCCGGGACACACAGUCUCUACCGUAUUCUCCUUGAGCUAAGGACAGACAGUCCUCGCCCAACAAUCGUGGUAAGUCUUCAGGGCAGACUUCCAAACCCUCACAGACUUGGUCACCCGGCGAUCCACAAUUGACUGCUGGAAAGCUCUAGACCAUGACGCCUAACCGUCUGGAGGAUGCACAGUCCUCAAAGGUAAAAGGCUUCAGUCCCACACAGGAACAACUUCUUCAGUGAUGCUCAAUCACCAGGUUUGGUUUGUGGUUUCGGUGUAUGGGGUAUUUCCUCACUGAUGAAUUACUCUUUAAGAAUCUGAGGAAUUGGGUUGCUCUUAUGACAAGUGUCAGUUUCUAACGGAGCAGCCAACCAGCUAGUGGUUGUGGGGGGUGGCUAUCUAUAGCCUGGGAGCAUCCCGACAUGAUCUGACACUAAUGCCCUUAAAUAAUAUGACCGUUGGAGUGGAUAAGACCAAUGACUUGGCGUGGCUAUCGGAACGGUCGGAACCCUCAACUGGGAGAGUCCUCAUGUCAUUCGUAUUCCUCACUUGAGGCUUUUUGGUAGGAUUAGGCUUGAGAUGAGCAUCAUGAGGAAAUUCAUUCCAAAGUGUAACUUGGACCCCCUUUAACAGUACGAUGUUCCUAUUACUCAAAUGCGAAGAAAAUAAAACAGAAAGUGUAAAUCUUCAUGCUUCAAAUUCUUUAGAGUGAUUUUCUUCAGGACACACCGGACUUCUCAAUAUCAGUAUCUUCAUGAGGAAUAUCAAUUUCAUCGCAGAUUCUUCGCGAUUCAUUUCUUCAGCUUCAGACCAAUUUCUUCAACUGAAGACAUACAUUUUUAGGGGUCGAUAUUCUUCAAAUAUAUCAAACUCCUCAAUGACUUAUAGAUCAUGUGUACACUCACAAACACAUUAGAUACUUAACCUAUAAGUCUUCAAACCACCAAAAUCACUAAGGGGCACUAGAUGCACUUACAAUCUCCCCCUUUUUGGUGGUUGAUGACAAUUAGGUUAAGUGUUCAACAGGGAUCAAAAAUAUGAAGUGUAAAUACUCAUUUGCGGAAUUUGAAAUCAAGAUUCAGAGAGACUCCCCCUGAAGAUGUGCAUAUCUUGAGGAUUUUGCUUUUCACAGCAAAUGCACAUUGAUGAUUUAUAUCAUGGAGAUCUCCCCCUGAGUCUUGUAAAUCAUGCAUACAUAUAACAUAUCAUAUGAAGAAAAUGAAAAUGCAUGAUGACAGAUGGUAUCUGACGAAUUCCAGCAUGCAUGCAUUAAAACUUGAGGAAUAAGCAUGCGAAGAAAAACGUUCAAAAGCGUCAGAGUACCAUCGGGCUUAAGUUACAACUCAUUACAUAAAAACCUCAGAAGAGCCAAGAGUUUGUAACUUAAACAUAGUUCAUAAGCCCCAAAAAUAUCCCGCUUGAAGACUAACUCUCAAGUUUCUCCCCCUUUGUCAUCAAGUGACAAAAAGGGACAAACUGAGGACUAACGUCCGUGAAGAUUUCACUUUGUGGCAGUUGAGGAAGAGCAGUGAUGCUCCUUGGGAGUAGUCUUCUUCCUUGGACCGGUAGCAGUGUCGAGCUGUUCUUCAUCAGUUUCAGCAGUGCGGAAUGAAGAAAAGGAGUUGUCUUCAAGGUCUGGCACUGGAAUAGGUCUGAACUUCUUCUUGGGAGGCCACGACCAUUCAAAGUCUCGCUCAAAGUCCAUUUCUUCAAGCUCAGUCUGAGUCUUCAGAUGUGCAAGUGUAGCCUAUGUGCGAUAAAAAACCUCAUGCAGAUAGUGAUGGUUGAGCUUCACAGAGUUCUGUGUUUCAGUGAGGGUUUUCACAAUGGCGCCAAACUAGCGUUUGACCCAUUUGUGAUUGCGAUCCACCUUCUGGUGAAGACUAAGGAGGAGCUCUCUUGUAUUCAUCACGCGAGGAGGAACGGGGCUUGCCGGACAAGUCUCAGUAUCAUCCCAUGAAGAAUAAGCUUCUGGCUCUCUGAACUGGCCAUCAAGGGGCCUACUGCCUUCUUCAAUCACAGAUUUGCCUUUUCCUUCAAUGGACUCGAAAGUCUUCUUGUUGACCCAGAUAGGAGGCAUAUAACCAACAUGGUUUUGGAGAUCAGCGUGGAAGUUGAUGCCUGUCCUUGUCCUGAUGAAUCUCAUGAUCCAUGGGGCAUAUAUCUUGUGAUCAAAAGGACACAUAGCAUUGUCUGCCAAAGUCCUCAAGAAGAAAUUAUGGAUGUUGAUAGGAAUACCAUGGAUAAUGUUGAAGAGGAUAUUCUUCAUGAGGCCUACGACAUCUUCUUCAUCAUCAUGGCCUUUGAUCGGCGCGAGCACACUGCAGAGGAUUCUGUAAACAGAUCUGGGUGUGUACUUGAGAUCAUGGACGAGGAAGGUUGUUCUCGAAGGUUUUCCUUCAGCCAAAGGUUUCAUGAGGACUUCCAUCAUCCCAUUGGGUAGCUCACGCUCACCAUAAAGCUUCACAGCCUCAUCUGAGGGAAUUGGUAUAGGCAGUUCUCAGAGGAGUUCAGUAGCAGGAGCGUUGUAGUGAGUGUUUUGUGACAUCCAAUCAAACACCCAAGUGUUAAUGUCUUUAGGGUUGCCAGAUAUGUGAAGAGUGGCAUAGAACUAAAGAAUUAGCUCACUGUUCCAGUCAGAGAUGUCGGAGCACAUUGGGAGUAAACCAGCAUCAUGUAAUACACUGAGGACUGGCUCCAGGCACGGUAUUGCGUCAAGUUCAACAUGAGGAUUAUGCCUGUGCUGGAAUAUCUUGUUUCGUCCACAUAGCAUAGAGGCAUAGUAAUUCAUCUGAGUCCUAGUCCAAAACUUCAGAUGCCUCAUUUGAGGCUUGUCAUAGGGGUUCUCUCCAAUGAAGUACAUGCGUUCUUCAAAGAAAUUUUCCUUUUGAAACUUAGGACGCUUGGAGAAUGGCUGACGCUGAACUAGCUUAAGGUUUUGCUGAGGAACAGGAGGGGAGACAACAAUGGCAGUCUCUGGGUUGAGGACAACGAAUGCAUUGUCUUAGUCUGGUGCAUUUUCUUCAGCAUUUUCCUCAGGGUGAGGAAUUUCAGCAGCUGGUACUUCAGGCUGAGGAGAUGGUGCUGGCUGGGCAUCAGGAUGAGGGGCUUGCUCUGGCUGUGCAUCAGGCUGAGGAAUAGCUUCUUCUUGCUCAGUUGGAGGAGUUGGGUCAGCCUGUUCCUCAUCUUGAGGAUUUUGCUCAGAGCGUUGAACUUCAUCAGCAUGAGGAUUUUCAGUUUGUUCUUCCUCAGCUGGCUUGGUGGCAGAUGCAAUUUCAUCAGCUGGUGCAGCUGAUGCUUGAACAAUGUCUUUCUGAGGAAUGAAAGGCUGAGGACUGUCGUCUAUAUGAAUCUCCUUGUCAGUGUGUUCCUGAGAGGCGGUAUCCUUCAUUUCCUCAUCCACCCUUUUCGCUGGAUCAUCAAUGAUGUCCAUUUCAUAGGAAGGAGCGACAUUCAGGGGCACAUGGUCCAGAGGAGCAGUUUCUUCAAGUGCUUUGAGGCGCUUGGCCUCUGUUUCUUGUUCUGCUGAGGAGGCCUUUCUCUUUUUGGCUUCCUUCUCCGCAACCCUGGUUUUCUUCACGUUGAUGCAGACGGAGUCAUCUUCUUCACCGUUGAAGCUUUUGGUGAAGGGGUUCUCUUGACAGAUUCUUCAGCUGGUAUUGAGGAACCAGCUGGAUCAGAGUCAUCAGCUUGCUUUAGUGAAGCAGCUGGGUCAGGGGCAGUCUCAUCAGCUGCAGCAAAUUCAUCAGUAGGAGUUUCCAUGAUGAUUUCUUCAAUAGCCGGUUCAUCCACACGGCGUUCUUGGUGUACUUCCUUAGCUUGAGGAGUUUCCUCGUCAUGAGGAGAUUCAUCUGCUGGCUCCUCAAUUAGGGGCUGAGAAGUUGGUGAUGGGGGUGCAACCUUCUUAUUGUAAUCAUCAACAACACUAGUGGCCAGCUUGAUGAAAUUGCUUUUGAGACUCUUACGAUCUGACAGCUUGUAGUACUUGUCAGUCAAUUUCUUCAGCUCUGCUUGUGUUGAUACCAGUGCAUCAGGAGUCAAUUUGUGGAGAUUAUGCUUGAGGAAUUUCUCCUUUUUAAGCUUUGCAACUUUGGCCUGCUUGGCCUGCUGUUCUUUCCACUUGGCUUCAUUUAUGAAAGUGGUCACCAUGUGGCUGAUGCCAGGGGGAAGUUUCAAAUCAUCAAGCGGAGUGUUUGGGUCCUCAUACCAUAUGUUGAUGUAGUCAAGGAGGACCUUGGGGUCCAUUGCCAGAGGAAUGGCACUGCCUGAUGCUUGAUCUACUCUUUCCUGCUUGUUCCUGAUGAUGGCUUGAAGUGUUUGAUCAUCAAAUUCAUCACUGCCCUCUGAUGCAGACGGGACGGUGAUAAUUUUGCUGGGGCUUGGCAGAGUUGCACGUUCAACAGAUACCUGAGUCUUCGCAGAAGAUGUUGAAGACUUUGUCUCCGAGCUGGUUGCAGCUGGGAGUGAGGAGCUGGAGCUGGCGGUCAUAGGCUUCAUGACUUGCUUCUGUACUGGUUUCUCUUGAGGCUUUGGUGGUGGUGCUGAGGAUUUUGGAGCUGAGGAGAUUGGUACUAAGGGCUUUGGCGCUCAUGGUUCUGGUGUUGAAGGUUCUGGUGCUGAGGGUUUUGUGACUGAAGCCUGAGCAGACUUCUCUUGAGGCUUUGGAGCCUUUGGUUUUGAUGGUACAGACUGCAUUUAAGGAAUUUCUGAGCCAGAGGUCUCAGCGGUAGAGGAAGUAGCAGCAGCUGAGGAUUCAUUGAAUUUCCUCAAUGCAGUUUCUGCCUGCUUCUUGAGCUUAGCCAGAUGCUUUUCCUUCUCAUCUGGAUAGUCAUCAAUGGUCAUCAGGCUUGAGGGAUGUGCUACUUGAUGAUCCUCAAGUGGGGACCGUCUGCCAGGGGGCUUCAAAGCGAAUUUCUUCGCAUACUUGGGAGUCACAAACCUGUAUUCCUUCCAUUCCUUCGCCCAUCGGCGUUCUAUCUUCUGCAGCCGUAUCUUUCUCUUUGCCAUUGUCUCAUUUUCAUCAGGCGUGCAAUACUCCAAGUAGAUAUCCUCAGGGAUAUCCACAGAUGUGUUUUGCUCAAGUUUCUUUCCUCCCUUCUGUUUUCUAUCAUCCUCCAUUUUUUCAGCUGAGGAUUUUGCUGAUGAGAUUGAACUCUUGAGGAUUCUGAUGAGACUUGAAGAUUUUCUUCAAGAAACGCUGCAAAUAAGUUAAUGUGAUGAGAACCAAGAGAUUCAUCAGCUGACAUGUGUGUACCUGUGAACAGAGUAUAGCUGCGAGGAAUUUGGAGAGGUCAUAUGCGUUCUCAAAUUUGAAGAAAAUGAAAAAGUUUGACAGUUUCACGAAUAUAACCAGUGGUUGAGGAAUUUGCCUAAGCAUACUGUUCUUGGGUUCCAGAGUUGUACAGAUCCUAAAAUUCGCACAAUUGAGGAAUCUCGUGAAAAUCUUAGAUGCUUAGCAUAAUUCAUCAAUGAUGUGGUGAUAGGAAGUGUUUGAGGAAUCAAGUGCUUAUCGAUUCUUGAGGUAAAACAGAUUUCACAUAGAAGAUGUAAAAUUUUAGAUCUAACUUGCGGUAAAAAUGGGAUUUAUUUACCCUGGAAGGUGCGCACGAAGAACACAGAAAGGUGUGUGUGGAGAAGCUCUUCGGUCGCGUGACCAAUGCACCCUAACCCGGCGACAAAUGACGUCUACGGCGGCGGCGGACAAAGAUGGUCUGACUCCGGCGUGAUUCUGGCGACGGAGAAGUUGAGGUAGUGAACCUCACCGGCGACGAGACUACGUACCAGCGAUGGCGCUAGGGUUCGGUGGUGUUUGCUGUGACAGAAGAACGAUGGAGCGAAGAAGAGUAUGCCGACACUACGGGAAUCAGGUAAUUUGCCGUCUGUUAAGAUCUUUGCCGUCAGCUUUUCUUCGUGGAUGACGGCAAAGAGCACUUUUGCCGUCAGUUGCCGUCAGCUGCUGACGGCAAAGAAUGACUGCCGGCGUAAACAUAUUUUGCCGUCUAUAAUAAAAAUUGCAGACGGCAAAAUUAUUUUGCCGUCUAUAAAAAUAAGCGGAUGAUGACAAAGAUAUAAUUUGCCGCCUGUAAUAGAAAGUGAUGACGGCAAAGAAGAAGCACAGCACACGGAUCGAUCACGCGGAUCGAUGAUGUGGCAAGAUCUGAGACUCACGAACCUACCCCAUCCCACCACGCACGAACGUGGGUGAAAAAAUAUUUUGCCGUCUGUAAAAAUAACUGGAUGACGACAAAGACGUAUUUUGCCGUCUGUAAACUAGAUGACGGCAAAAUUAUUUUGCCAUCUUUGAAAGUAACUAGAUGACGACAAAAUAAGAAGCAAUUUGCCGACUGUAAUAGAAACUCAUGACGGCAAAGAAGAAGCACAACACAUGGAUUGAUCACACGGAUCAAUGACGUGGAAAGAUCUGAGACACACGAGCCCACCCCAUCACACCACGCACGGACGUGGGUGAAAAAAUAUUUUGUCGUCUGUAAAAAAACCGGAUGACGGCAACGACUUAAUUUGUCGUCUUGAAAAAUAACCGGAUGACGGCAAAGAGAAAGCACACCACGCGGAUCGAUCCCAUGGAUCGAUGACGUGGCGGCCCAUCCCACCGUCGCUGCCUCUCCCACCCAGGAUCCACCGCAUCCACUCAACUCGGCUGGCCCACCACUCACCUCCACCCGACCUUAUCCUCUCACCACCUCUCUUCUCUCUCGUACCCAGACUCCUCCCCCGUCGCGACCACCACCUCUCUUCUCUGUCGUACCCAGACUCCUCCCCCGUCGCGACCACCACUCUCGGCCCCGACUCCUCUCUCGUCCCGACCACCACCCCCUCCUCCAAUGCACCACCGGCCACCCUCCCGAUCAGGUCGCCGGCGGCAAAGCCCCUACCCUCCAGCGCCCACCACCACUCAGCCCUUCCUCCGAUGCCCAACCACCCCCUCUCUCCGGCGUCUCACCGCCCACCCCUACCUCCCGCGCCCCAGCACCCAUCCUCUGGAUCAGGUCGCCGGCGGCAACGCCCCCACCCCCCGCGCCCACCACCACCCACCCUCUGGAUUAGGUCGCCGGCGGCGAGGCCCCCACCCCCCGCGGCCACCACGUCAGAUCCAGCGACCCUGCAGCUCCCCGACGCCACCGCAGUUGGCCUCAGCAGCUCCCCGACGCCACCGGAUCUGGCGACCUCAGCAGCUCCCCGACGCCACCGCAGCUCGCCUCUCACGCGACCCCGCCUCCUUCCAGUGCCUCCACCAGGUCGGCCUCCGGGUGGCCAGCCCCGGAUCCGGUGAGAUCCGUGAGGCGCGGCUGCGGGAGUUAGAUGGGGUGCCCGAGGAGCUACUCUUCGCCUGCUGGCCCUGCACACGCCGCCUGGUGGCCCCACACCCGCCGCCUGGUGGCCUUGUUCGAGAUGUGCCGCGUCCAUGCAGUGGAGAAGAAGCCAAGGGACCUGAUUGCUUUUUAUCUUUAGUUCCAGGGUGCUUUAUGUAAUACGCGAGGACUGCUUUAGGAGUUGUUCUUAUGUCAGGGUUCUUUGUGUAAAUUUAUAUCCACUUGUUGGCUGAUGUAGUUAUGCCCUUUUCUGCCAUUUUGGUUCAUUGAGUGACGAUGGACUAUGUAUGUUUUAUAAAAUCCGCUCGUAAUAGAUUCUAUCUAUGCCUUUGACCAGAUUUGCAGCUGAUUGUUAUUUAUAUUUUUUUUAAAAGAAAAUUCCGUUGCCGUUUGGUAUUGAUAACAACUGACGGCAAACCCGUAAUCUUUGCCGUCUUGCAUUCCGGUCGGAUGACGGCAAAGAGUUAACGUCGUCCGGGUGGUUCUGUUAGGUUUUUUGCCAUCUGCCUCAUAAUAGAUGACGGCAAACCGUUUUCACUAACGGCAAAUUUUUUGCCGUCUGCCCGAAAAAAUGCUGACGGCAAAAUUACCCUUUGCGGGCACAUGGUCUGACGACAUUUUUUGCCGUCAUGGGCUGACGGCAAAAAUUUUGCCGUCUGUAAUUCUCUCUUUGCCGUCUUUAGCGUCCUGAAGGCAAAAUGCCUGAUUCCUGUAGUGCGAGGGGGAUAAGGACAUAUUUAUAGCCAAAAGUUACUGUUGGCGCGAAAAGUUUGGACCAAACAGCCCGUGCCUCUACGUCUCCGCAGGACACGUGUAGCUCCCGAACAGUGCGGUGGAGAUAGUGGAGAUCGUGGUUAUCCAAUCGUGGGAAGUGGGGUUCAGUUACUGUGUAUUAAAGAAACAAUUUUUUAAGAUUUGAGGAUUUUCGUUACAAAAUCAUCAGCUGACAAGGGCGCAGUGAGGAUUUUGAACAAAGUUUCAAGUAGAACGCAUAUGAAGAAUUGAAUAGACUGGAUGAGUAUAGCAUAGAGGGAAAGUAGGGUCCGAUCACAUUCACUUAGCAGAAAUGUCAACUUGAAGAAUUAGCUAUAAGUGAAUGUUGUUGAGGACUUGAAAUCACAUUCUAUCUAGUCAAAUGAAAGUCAUCAAGUGUUUUUUGAAGAUUUUGUGAUAAAUCGUCACAAUGAAGAACAGUUGUUUUGAAGAAAAACACAUUUUGAGGAAAUAGAACAUUUGAAGAAAAUCAACUUGUGGAAUUUCACAUUGGGCGGUGGCGUGACCCACCAUAUAAGAAUGUUGAUUACAGACGCCGCGUACAAUUGUCGUAGGGCCCUGAGAAUCAAUUUCUUCAUUGAUUUCUUCACACUCAGAGUGACAUUCUUCAUUAGUUGAAGAAAAUCGAUUCAUCAUGUGUUGCACAUCUAAGUCAUCAGUUUUGCAUAAGUGUUAGGAUGUGUGCAUGUUUUCACAAAACAUUUGAGGAUUCUAAGAUAUUUAGCUCACACCGCAACUUGCAAAACCUUUUCUCAUCCAAGGGCUUAGUGAAGAUAUCUGCCAGUUGAUCAUCAGUCUUCACAUGGUCGAUGAGGAUAUUGCCCUUGAGGACAUGGUCCCGAAGAAAAUGAUGAUGAAUCUGGAUGUGCUUGGUCUUCGAGUGUUGUACUGGGUUGUAUGAAAUCUUGAUAGCACUCUCAUUGUCGCAGUAGAGAGGCACAUUCUUCAUGUUGAUGCCAUAGUCCUUGAGGGUUUACUUCAUCCAUAGUAAUUGAGCACAGCAAGAACCAGCAGCAAUGUACUCAGCUUCGACAGUGGAGAGUGAUACGCAGUUCUGCUUCUUUGAGGACCAGCAAACUAGUGAUCUUCCGAGGAAAUGGCAUGUGCCAGAAGUUGACUUGCGAUCCACAUGGUCACCAGCAUAGUCAGAAUCAGAAUACCCUACCAGAUGAAGAUUUGAGCCCUUGGGAUACCAUAAUCCUAGUGUUGGUGUGUGAGCUAAGUAUCGAAGAAUAUGUUUCACAACCUUAUGGUGUGGUUCCUUUGGUUUUGCUUGAAAACGUGCACACAUGCAAACACUAAGCAUUAUAUCUGGCCUAGAUGCACAUAGAUACAAUAGAGAUCCAAUCAUAGAACGAUAUACCCGCUGAUCGAAAUCUUUACAAUUUUCAUCAGUGCCGAGGUGGCCAUUGGUAGGCAUUGGAGUCUUGGCACCUUUGCAUUCAUGCAUGUUGAAUUUCCUUAGAACAUCCUUGAGGUAUUUCUCCUGUGAUAUGAAGAUUCCAUUGCUUUGUUGACGAAUUUGAAGACCUAAGAAGAAUUUUAGCUCCCCCAUCAUGGACAUCUGAUAUUCUUCACUUAUCAUGUAGGCAAAUUCAUCACUGUAUAUAUCGUUUCUCAGUACAUCCAAAUAUGAUACCAUCAACAUAUAUUUGACACACAAAUAGCUCAUUAUCAUAGGAUUUAUUGAAAAGAGUUGGAUCGAGUGAACCAGGUUUGAAGCCUUCUUUCAUGAGGAAUUCCUUCAAUGUAUCAUACCAUGCUCGAGGGGCUUGCUUGAGACCAUAAAGAGCCCUUUUCAGUCUGAAGACUUUGUCUGGAUUCUUUGGAUCCUCAAAACCUGGGGCCUGAGCAACAUAUACUUCUUCCUCAAGCUUACCAUUGAGGAAUGCACUUUUCACAUCCAUUUGAUAUAAGAUGAUGUUAUGAUGAUUAGCAUAAGCAAGUAGUAUUCAAAUAGCUUCAAGUCUAGCAACAGGUGCAAAAGUUUCAUCAAAAUCUAUUCCUUCAACCUCGGUGUAGCCUUGGGCUACAAGUCGUGCCUUGUUCCUGACCACUUGACCGUCCUCAUCUUGCUUGUUUCGGAAAAUCCACUUGGUGCCGAUGAUGUUGUGCUUGCGAGGAUCUGGUCGUUUGAUGAGCUCCCAUACGUCAUUCAGCUUGAAUUGAAGAAGUUCGUCUUGCAUAGCUUGGAUCCACUCCGGUUCCAGAAAAGCCUCAACAACUUUUGAGGGUUCUGUGAUGGAUACAAAGGAAAAAUGCCCACAAAAGUUAACUAAGUGUGAAGCUUUUGAGAGGACCUGGCGCGUUGAUGUCGUUGAGGAUUUUGUCAAGUUCUACUUCAUUUGCAAUCCUCAGAUGAGCUUGUUGAGGAUUUUGUCUGGGCUGAGGAAGUGGUUCUGGUGCAAUUUCCUCAGGAGCAUCUUCUUGAUUUUCAUCCGUGAUGGGAAUCGUUUCUUCACCAAUUUCCUCAGUGGGGACAAUGUCUUCAGUAGGCUUGAGCUUUCACUACAAGAAAUAAGGUCAAUUAUGACUCCCUAUAUUGGUCACUGAUUCGUCAUUGUCGUUGUUUAUUGACCUUUUUUGACCAAAUUUACAACGUCAACAGUUGGCCGUCAAGAAUGAACAAACAUGACCUUUCUAAAAUUUUGGUCGCAGGCCUCUAUCGACCAAAAUUUUGGUUUGAUCAUUACUCAUUUGUGUGAGCCACGUAGGAUCUGACGUGGCCAAGCUGACGUGGCAUUGCUAGUGACCAAAUAAAACCAUCAUAAAUUUCAGAUCCCUGUCCACCAAUCCAGCUACAUGGGCCUGACCCAAUACAUAUUUUACUAUUAAAAAUGUCUGAUUUGUUUGGGUUGAAGAAAAAAAAUUUGCCAGAAGCACGCAUAUCUCAAGAUAGGCCCAUUAAAAUAAGUACAACAGAAUAAAAGAUUGCAAAUAAAAUGUAUAUUUUAUUUCAGUAGCAUAUCACAUCAAAUACAAUACAUCAUCCACCGACUUCACGCAUUAAGGUUCAACGCCUAAUAAGGGCACAUCAAAAUAACUUACAUGUGCACAACAGAAUACUUCUCCAAGUGCAAGUAAACAGAAAAAGUUUCCAACAAAUUCACAAUCGAACAUAAAGAGAGUUCCACAAAGAUUGGAUGAGAACCACAAGUUUCUUCUCAUCCUCUUCCUCUGCACAAUAUGCUCUUGCCAUUCCCGUCUGCAAGAAAAAAAUGAUGGUAAGGCUGCAUAUACUUUGUAUACUUCGGACUAGAGUAUAUAGAUUCUAGUAUAUAUGUUGCAAAAUAGUUAUUACUGUUGUACGUGUGUAUAUAUAUCGAUGGUGUGACGCUACUUGUUUUCACUAUAGUAUAGCUACGUGGACACAUGUAGUAUAUGUUCGUAUACCUGAUACUAUAUUGACAACAAACCGAACCGACUACCGGACACAAAAUACUGGCAUACAUGGACAUAGUAAAUGGACUAUAAAAAAGAGAUUCAGAUAACAGCAAAUUGUGAAAAAGUAUCUUUAAUAGUGCCGUAAAUAAACUUAAAACAGCGAUCAACAGUAGCACGUAAACUAGAAGACAAAGAGAGAAAAGGGAAAAAAUAACCUACUUACAUGGAUAGAGAAAAUGGACUUCAAACAACAAGUAAAUGAGAAAACGUCAAAUAUUAUUGGAAAAUAAACUUGCUAAUGUGAUGAAUAAUAGCUGGAAUUAAAAUAGAAAACCCCUACAUACAUAGACACAAAGAGUUGAGGGGAAACUAGAUGACAGACUAAAACCAAGAGAGAAUAGGGAAUUGCAUUAUGUACACACAGAGACGGAAAAUAUCGGAACACAAAGAAAAAAUACACCUACCUAGAAUAAAGAAAGGAAAGGACUGAAGACUGUAAAACAUAUACAUGUACACUUUGUAUACUACUGUAAGCCUAUGUAUUACUUGUUGUUUCUAAAAAGGAAUGGACUGAAGACUGUAAAGGAACAUAUUUUUUUUCUUUCUAAAAGGACAUAAAUUAACGUGGAAAAUAGGGUAUGGAUCAUCUUCAGCAAAGUCACUAGGCAAAAAUUGCCUCCAGAAUCAUCAAUGUCAAAAGAACAUUGUAUGCGAAUAUUCGGCUACGCAUGAACCAGUCAACAAAAACAGAGUCACAUUGCAAAUUCAACUACAGUAAAAAGCUUACUUGCCUGAACAUACGGGAACACAAUUACAGGGAGGGUCUCAAGAAAGCAUCCAACUUGUCAUGCAACACAUUUGCAUCUCCCAGCCGUUCUUGUUACUCCAAUUCCUCCCCUGCAACCCGUGGCCACUGGACACACUCGAACCAGAGGUGUUCGAUGUUCCAUCCAGCCUAUGCACGGCAGUAAUUAGUAAGGCGAAAGGUAUGACUUAAAACCUAAUCCUCACGUAGCAAAAUAAAAUGGUAAAAAUAUGAACUUCAGGAAACCAACAAAGCAAGCAGGCAAAAAUUAUUGCAGCUAGCUCAUACAUCUUCCUUUUUCUAACCACACAUAAACCAAACCAAUGUAUCAUGUUGUGGGGGAACGCGCUGGCGGCGGCUGAUCCUCAUGAUAAACUUUGAAGGUAUCAUGUUUUUCUGACCUGAGAAGCCCUUCAGGAUCACAUGGGGCCUGGCAUCAUGAGGGGGCAUCACGAGGGAGUGGCCCAUUUUGUGGUGAAUCAAUGCAGCAUUACUGUCACAAGAGAGAGGAGUUAAUCAAUGCAGCAUUUUGUGGUGAAUCAAUGCAGCAUUACUGUCACAACAAAGGUGACGAAUGAGCAUUAUGCAAGCUCUUGAUUUUAUUAGAACCUGGGAUCGUGCAUAAACCGGUCGACCGUAGAGAUCCUGGAUGCCUAAGAUUUUGCGGUCAAUCAUGCCAACUGCAUUGCAGCCUGGCCAGAGUCACCUCGUACACCGCAUUUGAUCUGAUGUAAGUUACGAUUUUGAAGCUCAUCAGUUCUACUGUCAUCUAUAAUAUUGCUAGAUAUAUUCUUAGCGUGAAAAAUAAAUGUGAAAGUGGAACUUACAGUGAACGUUUUCUUUGUGGAACCAGGACCUGAUAUCUGAUACUCCCAGUUGGGAACGUAGGUACCAUACAAGAGGGCCAUGUAGGCGAUUGUGAUGAGCAAGCCUGCGAGUCUAGAAGAACAAUACCGAAUGGUAAUUUCAGAAACACAACUUGCUCAUACUAAGUCCUUUAAAUAUGUCAUCUGGAUCAGUGAUUUUUAUUUNNNNNNNNNNNNNNNNNNNNNNNNNNNNNNNNNNNNNNNNNNNNNNNNNNNNNNNNNNNNNNNNNNNNNNNNNNNNNNNNNNNNNNNNNNNNNNNNNNNNNNNNNNNNNNNNNNNNNNNNNNNNNNNNNNNNNNNNNNNNNNNNNNNNNNNNNNNNNNNNNNNNNNNNNNNNNNNNNNNNNNNNNNNNNNNNNNNNNNNUAUUUGGUUCUUAAAGGUUUGAACUCACAGUUGAUAUCUGUAUCUCUUGAUCAAAUCAAGUCCAAAAUCUACAUCAUCUUCUCCCUUGAGCCAAAUCUGACACAGUGCUCUGACAAGAUAAGCUAUUGUGAUUCUCUGCAACCAAGUAGGCACCACAAAUCAUAAGUCAUCCCACAUUUAGUUGAACUAUUGAUGCAGAAUAAUGUAUUGCAUAUGCCGCUUACCUGCAGUAUACCCAUCAAACGUAUUUGUGCAAUAUCAACCCCAAAAGUAAGGCUACGAACUCCUUGAAAAAAUCCACCUGUGCAACACAGCAGAACAAGAAACUAAACAUGAAACAUUAUGUCGAAUCGAAUGUACCGUCAUCCUGUUCAGGAACAAUCCUAAUUAAUACCUUGUAGAACAAAACCAACACAGAAUAGCUUCAGUGCACGAAGUGUUGCCUUUCGAGUCGCAUCCAAUUUGUCUGGCACUCUCUGCAUGCAUCACGAGAUGACGCAGUUAGGUGUAAGCAAUAGCAAGUCAUGAAUGUCACACCAGUGUUAGCUCGACAGAACGAAAGUAAAUGUCAUGGUCGUGUUGUUGUCAGUGUGUACCUUGUACGCUAGAGCUAGAGCGACCCCAACAAUGAAAAGGAAAAAAGGCAUGACGAAAUGAGCUAUGGUUACACCUUCCCAAGGGGAGUGGUUCAUCGCCGGGAGAAAUGAUCCAGUGUCGUCCGCGAUGAACAUAAGCUGCAGCAAUGAAAACAACGGUUAACUUUUAUUUCACCCAUUUUGUUAACACAGAUGGAAGAACAACAGAUUAGAAGGGCGCAGAAUGAUUUAUGUAAAGUAUAUAGAGUUGUACUGUGUAUUCCAUGGAGGAACAAGCUUUGUUCUACCAUUUCCUAGGGGACUAGUUAGAAGUUUCCACCGUCUAAGCCAAUCAUCUGCAAAUAUACUGGAGACCUUUCUAUAUUAAACAACCAUCCCACUUGUUACAUACCUGAUGGCACGAGGGUGAGAGCCGUAGCGAGCACCACCUUCACACGGCUUGAACCUGCACAUCGGGGCGCUCACGCCACCAUGGAUGUGGAUCUGAACCGGCUGCUCGAUCUUGGUCAAGGAGAGGUGAGGAGGCCACCGGUGGUGGGGAUAAGGCGAGGGGGAGAAGGGGUGGGGCACACGUUGUGGGGGAAGGCGGCGGCGGCGGCGGCUGAGGCUGUGGGGGAUGGCGCCGGUGAGUGAUGGCGGCGGCAGCAGGCGAGGGAGAGGGAGAUCGAGAGAGGGGAAUAGGGGAACGGGGGGCUAGGGAUGGUGCGUCGACGUGGGCAUUACGAGCAAGCCUAUCACAUGGGAGGCCACGGAUCCAUCCCUAGAAACAGAUCUGGCCAUCCACUCCUACUACAUCCAACGCUCCAAAAUCCUCCCCUCAUAGAACACACCUUUAUCACUUUUUUCUUCUUCCUUUUUUCGAUCGGUAGCACUUAAUGACCAAUUUGUGCAAUAGUAUCAUGACCUAAUGGACGUAAAAGGUCAUAACAUUAUGGGCUUUGGACCCUCUUAGACUUGCCAUGACUAAUUUCAGAAUUUUGGUCAUGGAUCAAUGACCAAUUAAACCACCGUCAUUUUUUGGGGUCAUAAUUGAGCAUUUUUCUUGUAGUGUUUAUUGCUUCCUCAAGAGACAACUUAUCUGGAUCAGAAGGCAAUUUCUCUCUUUGCGAGCCAUUAGUUUCAUCGAACCGCACAUCUACAGUCUCAACAACUCUGUUCUGAUAGUUCUUGAAGACUCUGUAAGUGUGCGAGUCCUUUCCAUAACCGAGCAUAAAACCUUCAUGUGCCUUAGGUGCAAAUUUUGAGCGAUGGUGAGGAUCUCUAAUCCAGCAUUUUGCACCGAAGACUUUGAAAUAACUUACAUUGGGUUUCUUGUCAGUGAGGAGUUCAUAUCAGGUUUUCUUGAGGAAUUUGUGAAGAUAUACCCUGUUGAUGAUAUGGCAUGCAGUGUUGAUUGCUUCAGGCCAAAAGCGACGAGGAGUCUGAUAUUCUUCAAGCAUAGUUCUUGCCAUUUCAACCAGAGUCCUGUUCUUCCUUUCGACGACACCAUUCUGCUGAGGAGUAUAAGGAGCAGAUAAUUCGUGAGUAAUAACAAGUUCAUCAAGAUAAUCAUCAAGACCUGUGUUUUUGAACUCGGUUCCAUUAUCACUCUUGAUAUGUUUGAUCUUGAUGCCAAAGUUCAUCGAGGCCCUUGAGGAAAUUCGUUUGAAGAUUUCCUGCACUUCAGUUUUAUACACUAUGAUAUGCACCCAAGUAUAUCUGGAAUAAUCAUCAACUAUGACGAAGCUAUAUAAAGAUGCUGCAUUGGUUAGUGUGGCAUAGUGAGUAGGUCCAAAUAGAUCCAUGUGAAGCAACUCGAAUGGACGUGUAGUGGUCAUGAUAGUCUUCGAGGGAUGCUUGGAUCUGGUCAUUUUCCCAGAUUCACAAGCACCGCAGAGAUGAUCCUUGAGGAAUUUGAUCGAUUCGAUGCCGAUGACAUGCUUCUUCUUCGCGAGCGUGUGCAAAUUCCUCAUGCCUGCAUGACCUAGUCUUCGGUGCCACAACCAUCCUUCUGAGGUUUUUGCUAAUAAGCAAGUGGCUGGUUGAGGACCUGUAGAGAAAUCAACAAUGUACAAAUCCCCUCUUCUUACACCUUCGAAGACUUUGGAUCUGUCAGAUUCCAUGAUGACUACACAUCUAUAUGUACCAAAGAUAACAAUCAUAUGAAGAUCACAAAGCAUCGAGACUGACAUGAGGUUAAAACCAAGGGAUUCAACAAGCAUCACUUUGUCCAUAUGCCUAUCCUUGGAAAUAGCCACUUUGCCAAGUCCCAAUACCUUGCCUUUACCUUUGUCAGCAUAUGUGAUUUGGUUCAGAGGUGAUGGAGUUAGUGGCAUAUUCAUCAGUAACCUUUUAUCACCAGUCAUGUGAUGUGUGCAGCCACUAUCAAGAACCCACUCAGUAUUCUUGGGUUUGUCAUCCUGCAGAUGAAUUAGUACAGCUUACCAUCUCAUAUGCUUCAGAUUUGAAGAAUAUGAUACUAAUUUCAUCAGACCAGUAAUUUCAUCACAACAGAAAUGUAAGGACGUAUGAAAUAUUUCUAUUUCAUCAAUCAUUAGCUUGCGUCCUAUCAAGCAUUUCUUCAGGUCUCCAGCAAAUUCUUCAGAUGAUGAUUUUCAUCUAGAGACCUGACCUGCAGAAGUGAUUAGUUCGAUUUCUUCACCACCCACAUCUAAAGGGGUGGCAAAGCAUUCAUUAUCCUGCGAGCACCAUAUGAGAAUGGUGGCAUUGAGGCCAAUGCACUUCUCUUAAUAGUAGGGUGAUUAAAGUACUCAUAUGAAUAUGCAGAGAACUGGUUAGAGGAUUUAUGAACAUAAUGAUUUGAGGAGUAACGCUCAUAUUCAUAUUCCUUGUAGUUUCCCUGCAUGUUAGACGCAUUAGCACGGGUACGAGCAUAGUUUUGACCAGUUGAGGAUUUUGAUCCUCUUGAAGACUUUGGUCCUCCUGAGGAAUUUGAUCUGGGGUUCAGAUUCUUCUGUGGUGGUGUCAUGAGGACAUUCACCUGAAGAUUUUCAAGACAGCUUUUGGGAACCCAGAUUUUCCUCAAGGGGGGGCCAUUCCUGCAGUUAGUUCCAACAUAUCGAGCAAAUACUUCACCAGAUUGAUUUUUGAACAAUUUAUAGUUGGAGUAAAAUGACUCAUCUGAGGAAUAGGAUAAUUCACAUGAAAAGCUAGUUAAAUUAGAUGGAUCAAAAGGAGGCCCAGUAGCAGCAACCCAUGAGGUUUUGGGAUACUGCUCACGUUUCCAAUAAGAUCCAUCAGCAUAUAAUUUCCUCUCAAAGGCAAUUCCUUCUUUCCUCGGGUUCCUGUUCAAGAUAUGCUUUUUGAGCACAUCACAAAGGGUUUGAUGUCCUUUGAGGCUUUUGUAUAUGCCUGUCACGUACAAUUCCUUCAACCCUGCAUUUUCAUCAGUAACAUUUGUGUUUUAGUCAAGUGGGGAGAUAGACACAACAGGUGCAGUUGAAGAAUUUGUAGCAAUAGCAGCAUUUGAUGAUUCUGGUGAGGAAUUAGCAGUUUCGCGUUCAAUGCAUUUAAUACAUGGAGGAAUGAAUUCAACUUGACCAGCGUUGAUCUGUUGAGCUAGUAAUGAAUCAUUUUUCAUACGAAGAUCAUCAUGAGACAUCCUCAGCUUCUCAAGGUCAAGCUUCCUUUGAAGAAAUUCAUAGCAAAGCUUCUCAUGAUCAGUGAGGAGUCUAUCAUAACGAUCCUGAAGAUUAUCAAAUCUAGACUGAAGACUUUUCACAUCUUCAGUGAGGAUUUGGGUAAGGUUCAUUUCAUCAUUCAACAGAUCAUCACUUUUAUCUAGAAGUUUCUGAAGCUUUUCCAGGGCAGUUUGUUGUUUAGUGGCAAUGAUAGCAAGUUUACUGUAACUGGGUUUCUUAUAAUCAUCAGGUUCACAGUCACUUGAAUCAGAGGAGGAGGCAUUAUUUGGUACCUUUGAACCUUUUGCCAUGAAUCAAUAGGUUGGAGCGAAGUCAUUAGCAUAGUCAUCAGUAUGGAUGGUGCAAUCAUUUUCUUCAAGAUUGAAGAUUGACUUGCUGACGAAAGUGGUUGCCAGUGCAAGACUAGCCUGUCCGGAUUCCGAGUCUUCAUUAGAACCCUCUUCUUCAUCACAUUCCUCUCAUUCUGCCUCAGAGUCCAUUUCCUUGCCAAUAAGUGCCCAAGCCUUUCUGAAACUAGUCUUCUUGUGCGAUGAGCGCUUUGAAGAUGAGGAUUUUGAAGAUUUCUUCUUCUUCUUCGAGUCAUCAAAACUGUCAUCCUUGUAUUUCUUCUUCUUUGAUUCCUUUCCCCAACGGGGACAAUCAGAAAUGUAAUGACCCGAUUUCUUGCACUUGUGGCAGGUUCGUUUCUUGUAGUCCUCAGAUGAAGAUUCUGAUUUCCUCAUGUCUCUUCUUGCAGAUUUACCGAACUGGCCACGUCGUGUAAAUCUUUGGAAUUUCCUCACGAGCAUUGCAAGCUCCUAUCCAAAUUCUUCAGGGUCACCAAUGUUGUCAUCUGUGUCUUCGUCUUCAGAUGAGGAAAUUGCUCUAGCCUUCAGUGCACGUGGUCUGGAAUAGCUGGGUCCAUAUAGAUCUCUCUUUUCUUCUAGCUGGAAUUCAUGAGUAUUUAGCCUUUCAAGUAUAUCAGCUGGAUCAAGCAUCUUGUAGUCUGGUCUUUCUUGAAUCAUCAGAACUAAAGUAUCAAAUGAAGAAUCCAAAGAUCUCAGCAGUUUCUUCACAACUUCGUGAUCGGUGAUGUCUCGAGCUCCGAGUGCUUGCAGUUCAUUUGAUAUGUCAGUGAGGCGAUCAAAGGUGUCUUGUCAUCUUUAUUUGUCAUGUCUCUUGAAGCGAUUGAAGAGAUUGCGAAGAAUAUCAACACGAGAGUCACGCUGGGUUGAUACUCCUUCAUUUACCUUGCACAGUCUCUCCCAUAUCAGUGUUGCAGAGCCCAAAGCACUUACUCUUCCAAACUGGCCUGGGCUCAAAUGGCCACAGAUGAUGUUCUUCGCUUGAGAAUCGAGUUGCUUGAAUUUCUUCACAUCAGCAACAAAGACACUGGCAGAGAUGAUGGGGACGCCAUGUUCCACAAUAUACCAGAGAUUAUUAUCAAUAGCUUGUAGAUGCAUUUGCAUUUUGUUCUUCCAGAAGGGAAAGGUCUUUCCUUUGUAGGUAGGACAUGCUGCACUCACCUUAAACAUGUCUGCAGUCGACAUAACUAAAACUCCAGGUGGUUAAACCAAAAUCACAUAGAACAUGGGAGUACCUUGCUCUGAUACCAAUUGAAAGUGCGUUAUAUCGACUAGAGGGGUGGUGAAUAGGAGAUUUUUAGAAUUUCAUCACUGAGGAAAUUCCUUUUGAGGAAAUUCCUCACUGAUGACUAACUUACAGCGGAACAGUAAAGGAUCAAAAGUGCAAAGUUUCACAACAACAAUUUUUCAGAGUGAAGAAUGUGAAAACAGAUUGCACUGUGAGCAGGCACACAGAAUAUAGAUGAGGAUUAACUGACGUGAGGAAUUUGGGGUUGAGGAAAUUCAGAGAAAGUCUUCAGCAAAUUCUUCAAACAGUCUCAGUGAAAGACAACAACACAUAAUACGAGGAAAGUAAGGAGUUGAGGAAUUAGAACCCGUUUCUCACUGAAGACAGUCGUUGAUGACCCAAUUCCAACUGCUGUGACAGUCGUACAUCUGGUUUGGAGCGGCUUGGUAUUGAAACCAAAGGACACACACUCCCUACCGUAUUCUCCUUGAGCUAAGGACACACAGUCCUCACCCAACACUCGUGGUAAGUCUUCAGGGCAGACUUCCAAACCCUCACAGACUUGGUCACCCGGCGAUCCAUAAUUGACUGCUGGAAAGCUCUAGACCAUGACGCCUAACCGUCUGGAGGAUGCACAGUCCUCAAAGGUAAAAGGCUUUAGUCCCACACAGGAACAACUUCUUGAGUGAUGCUCAAUCACUAGGUUUGGUUUGUGGUUCUGUAUGGGGUAUUUCCUCACUGAUGAAUUACUCUUGAAGACUCUGAGGAAUUGGGUUGCUCUUAUGAAAAGUGUCAGUUUCUAAUGGAGCAGCCAACCAGCUAGUGGUUGUGGGGGUGGCUAUUUAUAGCCUGGGAGCAUCCCGACAUGAUUUGACACUAAUGCUCUUAAAUAAUAUGACCGUUGGAGUGGAUAAGACCAAUGACUUGGCGUGGCUAUCGAAACGGUCGGAACCCUCAACUGUGAGAGUCCUUAUGUCACUCGUAUUCCUCACUUGAGGCUUUUUGGUAGGAUUAGGCUUGGUUGAGCAUCAUGAGGAAAUUCAUUCCAAAGUGUAACUUCGACCCCCUUUAACAGUACGGUGUUCCUAUUACUCAAAUGCGAAGAAAAUAAAACAGAAAGUGUAAAUCUUCAUGCUUCAAAUUCUUCACGGUGAUUUUCUUCAGAACACACCGGACUUCUCAAUAUCAGUAUCUUCAUGAGGAAUAUCAAUUUCAUCGCAGAUUCUUCGCGAUUCAUUUCUUUAGCUUCAGACCAAUUUCUUCAACUGAAGACAUACAUUUUUAGGGGUCGAUAUUCUUCAAAUAUCUCAAACUCCUCAAUGACUUAUAGAUCCUGUGUACACUCACAAACACAUUAGAUACUUAACCUAUAAGUCUUCAAACCACCAAAAUCACUAAGGGGCACUAGAUGCACUUACAACUUGCAUGAUUUUUCUAAAUAGCACAAAAAAUACUAAUAAAAUACUUCAAAAAUGUUCAACAGAGCAGUGUUAACAGGAAACUAGAAUUAUGAGAUUCUCAAUUACCACAAUUAUUUUCUAAUUAUAUUUUGUUAUCUCGUGGCAAUGCACGGGCACUCAACUAGUAAUAGUAGAUGCAGAAAGUAUCGGUCUACUUGUCUCGGACGUGAUGCCUAUAUGUAUGAUCAUUGCCUUAGAUAUCGUGAUGACUUUGCGAGGUUCUAUCAAUUGCUUGACAGUAAUUUGUUCACCCACCAUAAUACUUGCUAUUUUGAGAGAAGCCUCUAGUGAACACUAUGGCCCCCAGGGUCUACUCCACACCAUAUUUUCAGCCUUACACUUUUUACUUCGUUGCACAUUCCACCUUCAGAUCUCACAUUGCAAACAAUCUUGAAGGGAUUGACAACCCCUUUAUAGCGUUCGGUGCAAGCUCUUUUGUGUUUGUGCAGGUACUCUGGACUUGACGAGAUUCUCCUACUGGAUUGAUACCUUGGUUCUCAAUCUGAGGGAAAUACUUACUGCUCAUGUGCUGCAUCACCCUUUCCUCUUCAAGAGAAGAACCAACGGAAGCCCAAGAGACGACAGAAGGAUCUCUGGCACCACUACUAGGGAAGAACUUUUUUUGCCGUAGCAGAAGAAUUUCUCGCACCAUUGCCAGGGAGGAUCAAGUCAAGAACUCAUCCAAGUAAGUGUUGCAAACUCGUCUCUUGCAUUUACCUUUUUUGCCUCUCGUUUUCCUCUCCCACACUUCUGAAAAACAAAAAUUUACAAAAAUAUUUGCCUUUUUCGUUCGCCCUCUUCUUUCGCUUGCUUUCUGUUUGUUUGUGUUGCCAUGUGCCUUCAAUAUGCUUGCAUCGUCACUUGCUGAAAAUCUAUUGAUAUGGAUCCUCACCCACUUGCUAAUCUCUUUAAGAGAUCCACUUAUGUGGAACCAAUUGCUAGUGAGUUGAGUGCACUUGACUUUCUCUAUGGAAUUUUGCUUGAGAUGUGUGAAUCUGAAAGUCGUGAUGAAGAAAUUUAUGAAGUGAUUCACGAGGGCUGCUUGAAUGAAAAGCAUGAUUGCAAUGGUUUCACUAUAAAUCCUAUUAGUGUCAAUCAUGCUAAAAAUAUGCAAAACCCAAAGCUUGGGGAUGCUAGUUUUGCUAUGUCAACUACUUGUUGCAAUGAUCAUGAUUGGGGUAAUGAUUUUUCUUAUGAUCUUGAAAAUUUGUUUAAACCUCAUGAUGAAUAUGAUAUUUGCAAUAUUAUUGAAAGUGGGUUUGGAGAAGUCAUGACAUUAGUUGAUGAUAAUCCCACUAUUUUUGAAGAGCGUCAACUUUGCAUGCAUGUGGAUCAUGAAAAGAAUAUCCUUUGUGAUAGUUAUAUUGUUCAAUUUGAUUUUGGUCCCACAUGUAAUUUAUAUGAGAGAGGAAAAUAUUGUGGUAGAAACUUUCAUGUUACCCAAUUACCUCUUGUUAUGUGGAGAUUGCUAUUGUCUCUUUCUUCUUCCUUGCAUAUGGUGACUAUUGGUUGUCUUGACAAUCUGUUUUCCUAUAAAAUGCCUAUGCAUAGAAAGUAUGUUAGACUUAGAUGUGAUUUUCACAUGCUUUAUGAUGCUCUCGGUGUGCUUCAAUUCUUGUCUUUUGUGUGAGCGUCAUUGAACUAUCAAUGCCUAGCUAAGGGCGUUAAACAAUAGUGCUUGUUGGGAGGCAACCCAACGAAUCUAUCUUUUUCUUUCUGUUUUGUUGCGUCCACACUUUCAUAACUCUGUUGUGAUUGUGUUUUUUGUGUUUAUUUUUGUGUUUGAGCCAAGCAAAACCUUUAUGACUACUCUUGGUAAUGGUUGUUUGAUCCUGUUGGAAAAAGACAAAAACUUUUCGCUCACCAGAUGAUAUUUCAUUUUUAUUCAGAGAGAGCUUUUGAGUUGAUUCGUUUUGCUUCUCGUUGAUAUGCCUUUUUCCCAGGCAGCCGUAAUUUUUAAGAUUUUUUGAGGUACCAGAAGUAUACGAAGUAUACAGAUUGCUACAGACUAGUCUGUUUUUGAAAGAUUCUGUUUUUGUUGAGUUGGUUGCUUGUUUUGAUGAAACUAUGGUUAGUAUCGGGGGGUACUAGCCAUGGAAAAGUGAGAAUGGAGUAGCCCAACACCAAUAUAGAUAGAAUUCAAGUUUGCUACAGUACCAAAAGAAGUGGUAAUUUGUUUUCUUCUUAAGUUUUGUGUUGUGAAGUUUUCAAGUUUUGGGUGAUGUUCUCAUGGACAAAGAUAUAAGGAGUGGAAAUAGCUCAAGCUUGGGGAUACCCAAGGCAUCCCAAGCCAAAUUCAUGGACACCAAAAAGCCUAAUCUUGGGGAUGCCCCAGGAAGGCAUCCCCUCUUUCGUCUUCAAUCCAUCGGUAACAUUACUUGGAGAUAUAUUUUUAUUCACCACAUGAUAUGUGUUUUGCUUGGAGCGUCUUGUAUCUUAGUAGUCUUUUCUUUUGUUGUGUCACAAUCAUCCUUGGUGCACACCUUUUUGAGAGAGAGAUACAUGCACUCAUCGUGAUUUUGCUAGAAUGCUCAUAGUGCUUCACUUAUAUCUUUUGAGCUAGAUACUUUUGAUCUAUGUGCUUCACUUAUACUUUUUAGAGCACGGCAGUGCAUGACUUGGUAGUUGGCUUAUGCUAUGAAAGUAGUCCCAAAUGUGAUAGGUACCCAAAGAGGAUACAAAAACCUCCAUCUUCAUGUGCAUUGAGUAGAAAGAGAAGUCUUGAUUCCUCUCAAUUAGUUUUGAGACGUGGAUUCGGUAAUAUUAAGAGUUAUGUUAGUAGGGUGUUGUGAAUCUAGAAAUACUUGUGUUGAAGUUAGUGAUUCCCGUAGCAUGCCCGUAUGGUGAACCGCUAUGUUAGGAAGUUGGACCAUAAUUGAUCUAUUGGUUGUCAUCCUUUGUGUUGAGGUCGGGAUCGCGCGAUGGUUAACACUUACCAACCCUUCCCCUCGGAGUAUGCGUUUAGCACUUUGUUUCGAUUACUAAUAAAAAUUUCGCAACAACUAUGUGAGUUCUUCAUGACUAAUGUGAGUCCAUGGUAUAGAUGCACUUUCACCUUCCACCAUUGCUAGCCUCUCUAGUGCUGUGCAACUUUUGCCGGUACACAAACUCACCAUAUGCCUUCCUCAAAACAGCCACCAUACCUACAUACUAUGGCAUUUUCAUAGCCAUUCCGAGAUAUAUUGCCUUGCAACUCCCACCGUUCCGUCUGAUGACUUGUGCCGUCACUCUCAUAUUGCCAUUGCAUGAUCGUAAGAUAGCUAGCGAGAUGUUUCAACGUCAUACGCCAUGCUAGAUCGUAGCGCAUCUCGGUACACUACCGGAGGCAUUUCCUAUAGAGUCAUUAUCAUUCUAAGCUUCGAGCUGUGAGUAAAUAAAUGUGUGAUGAUCAUCAUUAUUAGAGCAUUGUCCCAUGUGAGGAAAUUAAAAAAAAGAGGCCAAAGAGCCCAAANNNNNNNNNNNNNNNNNNNNNNNNNNNNNNNNNNNNNNNNNNNNNNNNNNNNNNNNNNNNNNNNNNNNNNNNNNNNNNNNNNNNNNNNNNNNNNNNNNNNNNNNNNNNNNNNNNNNNNNNNNNNNNNNNNNNNNNNNNNNNNNNNNNNNNNNNNNNNNNNNNNNNNNNNNNNNNNNNNNNNNNNNNNNNNNNNNNNNNNNNNNNNNNNNNNNNNNNNNNNNNNNNNNNNNNNNNNNNNNNNNNNNNNNNNNNNNNNNNNNNNNNNNNNNNNNNNNNNNNNNNNNNNNNNNNNNNNNNNNNNNNNNNNNNNNNNNNNNNNNNNNNNNNNNNNNAAAAUAAAAUAAAAAAAGAGGCCUAAGAGCCCAAAUAAAAAAAAGAGAAAAAGAGAGACGGGACAAUGCUACUAUCUUUUUCCACACUUGUGCUUCAUAAUAGCACCAUGUUCUUCAUGAUUGAGAGCUUCUUGCUUUGUCACUACCAUAUGCUAGUGGGAAUCUUCAUUAUAUAACUUGGCUUGUAUAUUCCAAUGAUGGGCUUCCUCAAAAUUUCCCUAGGUCUUCAUGAGCAAGCAAGUUGGAUGCGCGCCUACUAGUUUUCCUUUUGAGCUUUCACAUACUUAUAGCUCUAGUGCAUCUCUUGUAUAGCAAUCCCUACUCAUUCACAUUGAUAUCUAUUAGUGGGCAUCUCCAUAGCCUUUUGAUAUGCCGAGUCAAUGUGAUCAUCUCCUCCUUUUUGUCUCACAACCACCACCACACUCUAUUCCACCUAUAGUGCUAUAUCCAUGGCUCGCGCUCCUGUAUUGCGUGAUAGUUAUAAAAAGUUUGAGAAAGUAAGAGUUCGAAAACAAUUACUUGGCCAAUACUGGGGUUGUGCAUGAUUUACAUUAGUUGUGUGAGGAUGAUGGAGCAUAGCCAGACUAUAUGAUUUUGUAGGGAUAACUUUCUUUGGCCUUGUUAUUUUGAAAGUUCAUGAUUACAUUGCUAGUUUGCUUGAAGUAUUAUUGUUUUCAUGUCAGUAGAAAACAAUUGUUUUGAAUCUUAUAGAUCUGAACAUUCAUGUCACGUGAAAGAAGUUGCAAAGGACAACUAUGCUAGGUAGCAUUCCACAUCAAAAAUUCAUUAUUUAUCCCUUCCCUACUCGAGGACGAGCAGGAGUUAAUCUUGGGGACGCUUGAUACGUCUCCAACGUAUCCAUAAUUUUUGAUGGUUUCAUGCUAUUAUCUUGUCAAACUUUGGAAGUUUUGCAUGCCUUUUAUAUAUUUUUUGGGACUAACUUAUUAACUCAGUGCCAAGUGCCAGCUCCUGUUUUCUCCAUGUUUUUGACCCCUUUCAGAGGAGGAUUUUGAACAGAGUCCAAACGGAAUAAAACUUCUGAAAAUAUUUUUCCAGAACGGAAGAAGAUCAGGAGACUUGAGAACCAAGGCAGGGGGUCCUCAGGGACCCCAAAACCCUCAUGGCGCGGCCAGGGGGGCGAGUCGUGCAGGCUUGUGGGCUCCGUGGGCCACCUCUACCCUAGGUUUUGCGCCGAUAUAUCCCCAAAAAUUCCACAAAAAAUCAGGAGAUCAUCGAAAGUACUUUUCCACCGCCGCAAGCUUCUGUCUCUGCAAGAUCCCAUCUAGGGCACGUUCUGGUGCCCUGCCGGAGGGGGGGUUCGGACACAGAGGGCUUCUUCAUCAACACCAUGACCUCUCCGAUGAUGCAUGAGUAGUUCAUCAUAGACAUACGGGUCCAUAGCUAGUAACUAGAUGGCUUCUUCUCUCUCUUGGAUCUUCAAUACAAAGUUCUCCAUGAUCUUCAUGGAGAUCUAUCCGAUGUAAUCUUCUUUUGCGGUGUGUUUGUCGAGAUCCGAUGAAUUGUGGAGUUAUGAUCAUAUUAUCUAUGAAUCUUAUUUGAGUUUCUUCUGAUCUCUCUUAUGCAUGAUUUCAUAUCCUUGUAAUUCUCUUCGAGUUGUGGGUUUUGUCUAGCCAACUAGAUCUAUAAUUCUUGCAAUGGGAGAAGUGCUUGGUUUUGGGUUCAUACCGUGCGGUGACCUCACCCAGUGACUGAAGGGGUAGCGAGGCACAUAUCGUGUUGAUGCCAUCAAGGGUAAAAAGAUGGGGUUUUCAUCAUUGGUUUGAGAUUAUCCCUCUACACCAUGCCAUCUUGCUUAAGGCGUUACUCUGUUCGUCAUGAACUCAAUACACUAGAUGCAUGCUGGAUAGCGGCCGAUGUGNGAGACGAUAGAAGGAUCCCUGGCACCACUGCCAGGGAAGAACUUUUGUUGCCGUAGCACCAUCCCAGUGCCAUCUUGUGAAGGCAAAAACCCUCCCUAUGUACUAGACAGAGCUGAGGCAUCGGGAAUCCCAUUCCCGUCGAGGGGAGUCAUAUACACAGGCUCGCCGACGGAUAUCGAGGGGAUGAAAGAUUUCCCUAGUGGCCUUGCGAGAGGGGAAAGAACUUCGUCUACGUGUGGAUGGUUACUAUGAUAGUUCAAUUAAUUAUACCAAAAAACACAUAAUUUAUUUUGAGAAACCUUACAAAUGCAGACAUUCACAUACAUGCAUGUACACCAUCCCUUUCGAUGUACACACUCACACUCUACGUCUAUGAACAUUUUGAAGAGAGUGAGCCAGCAGACCUUAUGAUAAAAUGAAAAAUAUUUUUCCCGCACCACUCAAAUGGCAUCCUUAGACAAUUAGUAAUCAAGAAACCUUGUGCUUAAAAUGAAACCAAAAAUAAGGAAAGCUGGAAAAAGGUUGUGUGGCAACCACCCUAUGACAGGAAGGACUGAAACUUCGAGCAGACACAAUGCAUCCGACGGCCACAACCUUUGAAAUAGAUAUGGCAGUGGCUGCAACAAGGCCAUUACCAUGUACAACAAAUAAAGUGUGAGUUUACCAAAACAAUGCCUUCAACAAACCCAUUGCCAGGUAUAACCGAUAAAGGCCUGACCAUUAGUUUUCACCCUCGGAAUCAAAACUCGGUACUCGUGGACCACCACAAAAGGUGAAGUCCUCCAGUGUUGCCACCCCCGCUUGCUGAGACCGCUGUUGCAAGUCACCAAACACCUCCCACAUAGUCUUCAUCGCAUCCAAUAGACCCUUCCAUCAAAGCUUAAGACCUCCAAUCACAACGGCUAUGACUUUCUCCACCUCUAUUCAAGCCUUAGAAAUCAUAACAUAGACAUGUCCCAUGACACCCGUAAGAAAUCGAAGCUUCGCGCCACGCGCUCUCGGCGUUGUGUUUGAUAAUAAUAUUAGCGCGUGCAACAGGAGCCUUUCUGGUCUAGAUAUCUAGGGACGACAAACGUCAUUCUGUAUAGAUCUCUGAGGGGGAAGACCGGAAUGCGUCAGCGAUCAGAUCCAAGAGGUCGACAUUCGGUAGAAAGACAACUAGGCGGAACAACAGUGCACCAUUGUUAGGCCGAACCACACUCACCCGCGUCCAAAGAAAAACGAGCCACUCCGCAUGAGACCAAACGCUUCAGCCACCGUACCGAGCAUCACUCCGCAUGAGGCCAAACACCCCUGAACAACCUCCACCUUAGGCACCCAUGGCGCCAGGUCUCGAAUCCGCUCCCGGUGAGGAACGAGUCAUCGUACGACGUAGCAUCAAGCAGAGACUAUGCAUGCACUCUGGUCUAUUCGAUCCGUAGUGAUCACGAUGUUCAUCUACGUGAUUGCCAUACCACUAAGAGGUCAUGGUUGAUCGCAUCAUUUUGCAGGGUGCUUCAUCAUCAUGAAAUGAAUGAAUACGCAUCUUCCUUUUUGGGAGAAUAGCUCCCAUGCGACGUUUUUGAUGUGUGUUAUCUCUCAUGCGACGUCAUUGGUUGUAAUGGCUCUUAUGCGACAUCUCCCAGUGCAGAAAUAGCUGUCGUGCGACACUGCUGCCUAAUCGAAAGCCACAUGUUUAAAACUCGAAUCAGGUGAGCCCCUACGUAACAAAGCGGGACCCACAGCAUGGGAUCCAGUAACUUAUCCAGCUCAGCAUUGGUACAAGAGCAAUACCGCGACCUUCUCAUCCUCGCCGCGCUCCCCGACCGUUGUUGUUCUUAUUUUCCGGCGACGACGGGCAUCAACGUUGUUCGGGGCCGCGACCUAGCAAUGUCGAGCUCCGCUUCAGCCUCCCACCGCUCAUGGUCGCGCUACGGCAAAGUGCCCAUGACAAGGUGCCCUGCAUGUCCACGGACCGCACCCCUAAAGCGGCUAGUCACAACGACCGACAAGAAUGGCAACCUUGGGCGGGAAUUCGUGAAAUGCGAGAGCAAACAAGAGCAGGGAAAGGUGAUAUUUUACUUCUCAAUGUGCCAAUUUCGGUUUUUGUCCCCCAAUUUCAUAUUUUUCAUCGGAUUUGGGAUUUAGGGUUCAUCUUUGCGAUUUCAGAAAUUGAAGCAAUGCGCCCAUUUUGAGUGGCUAGAUGAGUACAUAGAGCGGAUUCAACUUGAGGGUGCUUCACAGGAGCUCGAUUUACCGUUGGAGGCGGAGAAGUUUGGAUCUGGGGCCCCUGGAUCUGGCAAUUCCAUUCGUGCUACUGUGGGGGAUGCAGCAGGGAUGGCAGAGCUGAAGAAGCUCAAUAAGAAGAUGAAGAAACUAAUCGAAUUGAAGAAGCAGGGCAAUUUGAUGGCCGGAAUUUUUUAUGUUUGUGUAAUUUCUCUCGCAUUUGUUUAUGUGAUGAUAAUUAGUCGUUAGUGAAUAGAUCGGGUAUCAUCUGUAAUCGUAAUGAUAUGGAUGUUUGAAUAAAACUAUUGCGAUGUACGAAUUCGGCAUGUUUUCUCGUCUUCUCCACUCUGUUUCGGCCCCGUUUUUACAGUUCUGCAGUUCGUCGUCAGUUUCAGUUUCGGUGGUAGAGGGAAAAAAGGAAAAAAAAAGGUUCGUCGACAAUUCCCCGAAAAGGCCCGGCCCAUGUAGAAGGUAGGCAGGGCCGAAUAGAACAUAUUCAGGUCCAUUGACAAAAAAGGUGUAGCUAGUGCAAAAAAAAGUGCACACGGUCAUUGACAUCGAUAUAUGCAGGUCCAUUGAUAAAUAAGUUGUAUCUAGUGCAAAAAAAAGUGCACAGGGCCGAAUAGGAAACCAUCGCUUAUUAUAGUACUCCCUCCGUCACAGUUUACAGGGUGCGCUUCAACAAUCUCGCAUGCACUGGUGGAGACCCGGCGAACAGAACUGCAUGCACUUAUUCCAUCCCCCGCAUACAUAUCUGCAUGGAGAGAAAAUUGUGGGCUUUAUCCCCCCCCCCCCCCCCCGCAUGCAGUUAUUCCACCCCCCGCAUACACAUCUACAUGGAGUUAAACCAAACACGUCUAAAAUCUCUACGUGCCUAGGUUGCAGUGCACCUUCUAAUAAGACUAAUGCACUAAAACGGAGGGAGUAUCAUUUGACCGCACACAAGAAUAAUAUGACUAAUGCAUAUAAUAUGACUUGCAUGUCAUAUACUCCCUCCGUUUCUUUUUAGUCCGCAUACAAGAAUGUGCACCGAAACGGAGGGAGUAUCAUUUGACCGCAUACAAGAAUAAUAUGACUAAUGCAUAUAAUAUGACUUGCAUGUCAUAUACCCCCUCCUUUUCUUUUUAGUCCGCAUAUAAUAUGACUAAUGCAUAUAAUAUGACUUGCAUGUCAAAGUCAAAGUUAGCCUCGAAAAGCGCAUUUGGGGAGUAGGUUGUUAUGGUGUUUUCAAAGUUUGUGCAAUGGUGUUUUCGAGCAGUUCUCUGUCGUUUCUAUCGGGAGACAUUAAUAUAUUGCAUAAUGCAUAAAACAUUGAUAUGUUCCGAGUAGGUUGUUAGGGUUUAGGGUUUAGGUUUAUGUGAAAAAUGUUCUUCCCUCCUCACUCAUGGUUCUCCGGCAAAGAUAGUGACAAUCCAAACAGCCCCUAAUAUAGUGCAUAAUGCAUAAAACAUAAAACAUAAAACUAGAUAGAAAUAUUACGAUAAAACAUAAAACAUAAAAUAUAAGGGGCAUCAGGUACCCUAGUAGCAUACAACAUAUAAAAAUACUAGAUAAAAUAUAAAAAGACGGUCACACACGCCCCAACUACUAGAUAAAAAUAUAAAAACACUCCUCGGCCAGCAGAAGACUCCUCGGCCAGCAGAAGUCUCCUUGGCCCCUCCUUCGUCGGCGCCCCUCACUCGCUGUUCUCCGGGGGUGGCAUCUGGUAGGGGAGGGCGUGCAUGUCGUUGGGCUCGGGGAAGAUGUGGUGGAAGUUGGUGAAGAUGUUGUAGGUGGUGAACGCGAUGAACUCGCAUCCACACCAAAACACCUGGCCGAGGAGGUGGUACGUGUCGUAGCGGUUGGGGAAGGUGACGUAGAGGCCGAUGACGAAGCCGUUGGGGUUCCCAUCGACCUGCUCGUGGAGGUGGAACAUGGGCGGAGUGCCCGGAGGGAGGUUGCGGUAGCCGGCGUGGAGGAAGAAGCUAGCCAACUCUCUAGGGCCCCUCCACCUUGAGAUGGCCCAGAUCCUCUGGCCAUUCUCGACCACUUCGCCGGGCGGGAACUAUCUCUCCGGCACGGUGCGAGGGCGACGGUAGGUCCGGCCGUUGAAUUGCAUCGUGGCUCGAGUGCGGGUUGGAUUUCGCUCGGAAAGAAGAAGAGGAGGAGGCUUGAGAGGUGAGUGUGAGAGGGAUGAGGAUAUGGUGCCCUUUUAUAGCCCCGUUGCAGCCGUAGUCAAUGUACACGAUUGAUCAUUUUCUCUCCUCCGCGUGGUGGAAUAAUUAAUGGGCGUGCAAAAAAAGGCAGAGCAUCCAAAAAGGCACGGGCGGCACAGGCGAGAUGCUUCGUUUUUAAUUGCCGUGAAAACUGUGUCACCAACGCGUCCGUCCCGUGUUCUGAGGUUCGUGCAUGCAAUUGUUAAAAACAGCUUAGAUGCGAUGUACCGCUGCGCCCGUGCCGCCCGUUUUAAUGCGUUGCUGCAUGGCGGCUAGACUGUGUUCAUUUGGCAGAAUAGCUAGGUUGCGACACCGUUGCAUGGCAUGCAGGGUGGCCCAUCUCGCUGCGACGCACACCAGGCUCUGCCGGGCCGAUCCGCUCGGCCCAACGGUCACUGAGAUGCUCCCCCGCUCAACGUUAUCCGCUCGGCCCAACGGUCACUGAGAUACUCCCCCACACCCGUGGCCUAUCCGACGGCCGCAGUUUGGCAUUAGGGUUAGAUCGACGGUGGACAUUUCGCGUUAGGGUUAGAUGGGAUUUGGAGGCAGUCAACGGGGUUUUGAAAGGUUUGACCGAACAUUCAAAUAUGUGUAACUAAUUCAAAAAAAAUCUAAAAAAUGAAAAACCAGCGCAUAUAGUCUUGUUAUGUUACGUAGUUAUGAUAUAAAAUGAUAAACUUGAUGUAAUGAUCUUUGCAUAAAAAAACCUUCACAAAUUGGACUAUCGCGACUGAGGUUGCAUAGAGUUCAAAAGAGUGAGAAGAGGGUUUUAGGUUUUGAAAAUUCAAAAAAACAGAAACCCUCACCUUUUAGCUUCAUUUUGGAGUGACUAAGCACGAUGUGAAGUUAUUUUUGCAUUUUGAAAUUUUUAAACUUGUUGGUGACUUUGUAUUAAAGGGUGUUUUUCAAAGAUAAAUUAAUAAUAUGAAUACUUAUUCAAAAAAAGGUGAGACUUCGUAUUGAUCAUAUAUAGGUAUAAUAUAAGCGAAGACAAUCUUUUUGGGUGAUUUUGAGAAGGUGUUAGGGUUAGAUGGGGUUUGCAGGAAGUCAACAUGGUUUUGAAAGGUUUGACUGAACAUUCAACUAUGUGUAACUAAUUCAAAAAAAAAUCUAAAAAAUGAAAAACCAGCGCAUUUAGUCUUGUUAUGUUACAUAGUUAUGAUAUAAAAUGAUAAACUUGAUUUAAUGAUCUUUGCAUGAAAAAACUUUCACAAAUUGGACUAUCUCGACUCAGGUUGCAUAGAGUUCAAAAGAGUGAGAAGAGGGUUUCAGGUUUUGAAAAUUAAAAAUAUCACAAAACCUCACCUUAGCUUCAUUUUGGAGUGACUAAGGAGGAUCUCAAGUUAUUUUUUCAUUUUAAAUUUUUAAACUUUUUUUGUUGCUGACUUUGUAUUAAAGGGUGUUUUUUCAAAAAUAAAUUAAUAAUAUGAAUACUUAUUCAAAAAAAGGUGAUACUUCGUAUUGAUCCUAUAUAGGUAUAAUAUAAGCUAAGAAAAUCUUUUUGGGUGAUUUUGAGAAGGUUAAAAAAAGCGUGCUUAGAAAUGGGGUCGUUUUCCCUUACUUUGGAGCCUGUUUGGACAACAUUUUCAGUGACUAUGAGUUGGACUUCGCAAAAAGGGUUGGAUUUAUGAACUAAAGUGCAUAGUAGUAUAUAAAAAAUUGAAACAUCACAAAACAAACAAAUGAACUCCAAAAAUAUUGGAGAUAGGUUCAAAUUUGAAUGUCGGUUCAAAUUUGAAUUUUAUUUUCAUGUCAAAUCAACAAAAUAGCACAGAAGUUUUACAUCAAAGAACAUAAGUUUUCACAUCAAAUGACAACAAAUUUAAGUUUUCAAAUCAAAUCACAUCACAUUUGAAUAAUUUCGACUCUAUUUCUUUUGCUUCUUUCUACCACUCGAUUUCUUCUCCUUUUUUCCACUGUUUGGUUCCACGGCGCACAGUUUGUUGAUGCUGAUACAUUUGGUAUUCUUGCCAACAACUCCACUAGGCCCCCUCAACUUUUGCACCUGACCAUGUCCCACUUCUUCAGUUUGCACUUCUGCAGAUUGAGUAGAUGGCACACAUUGUUCAACUUAUUCAGUUUGCAACUCAACAAUUGGCAGCACAACCUCCAAACAUGGCAACACAGCUGUCAAAGCAGAUUUAGUAACAGUUUCAGUUUGCAACUCAACACUUGGCAGCACAAUCUCCAAACAUGGCACAACAUCCACGCAUGUCAGCACAACAGUUGCUUCAUCUGCAACAGUUUCAGAUUGUCCUAGCGCCUGCAAAAAAGAUUCAGUAACAGUUUCAGUUAGCUCAUGUUCAGCAGUAACAGUUUCAGUUUGCUCAUGUUCAGCAGUAACAGUUUCAGUUAGCUCAUGUUCAACAGUAACAGUUUCAGCAGUAAUAGUUCUCUUCCUUCUAAAGCCAUUGAGUCUUGCUUUUUUCACUGGCCAGCAUUGUUCAACAACAAGAGGUGGGCCUUUUUCUGCACGCUUCCUCCUAAGAUAUAAAGCAUUUCACUUGGUUAGAUCCUAGAACAAGUAGCAAAAUCAAAACUUGCAAAAACAGUAACAUAAAAAUACUUUGGCCUCUGAGGAGUGUAGAUGCAUUUGGAUGAACCAAUUCAGUGCCCAAGUACCUCACACAACUUGCACCUAUUUUUGUUACCUUGUUGAGCCCUUUUGGGAUUUUCAUUCUUUUCCUUUUCCCCUUCCUACUACAACCACCUUUCUCAAACCAAUCUUUGAAUCUGCUCUGUUUUGGCCUCCCAACCUUUCUUCUAGUGACAGGGGACACAAGGUAAAUUCUAUUUCCACCUCAGGCCACUGAGAUUGGUCAGUCAGUGCAGGAAUCUGACUUGGAUAUGCAGCUUUGGAUUUUUGUACUGAAUAAUACUCAUGCAAAUAGGGGUGCAUAUUUAACCUGGGUUUAGAUGCCAAAAAAAGUAUUGCAUGCUCACAUGGUUUUCCAGUGUGUUGCCACUCUUGGCAAGUGCACUCAUGCAACUCAGUAUUUACCACGUGCCUCUUGUCACUCUUUGUAUCUCUAACUUCUGCACCCCACAAGGAAGAUUUCUCAAUAGAUAGAUGUGAAAGAUUUCUACUCUUGUUGACCACCUGUUGUACCACUGCUGGAAGCUUGUCCCCUUCCAAAAUAUUAGCAAUUUUUCCUCUCAACUCCCACAAAUGCAUGAUCAUGAUCCUUAUUUGGCCCACCAUGUCAUGCACAGGCAAGUCUUUCAAAUCCUUCACUUUGUGGUUAAAACUUUCUGCCAAGUUGUUAUUGAUAUGAUCACAUUUUAUGGCAGUAUUAAAACCUGAUCUGUACCACAACAGAGAAUGGUGGUUGUUCAACCAUGAAGCAAAUUCAUUAUCACUACAUGAUGUCAAUAUCUUACCAAGGUGAUAGGAAUGUGUCUCUCCGGUGUACGAUCUUGCUGCCGGCCACAUGCGCCCAAAUCCAUCUACGCAAGGCUUCAAACACAUAAAAAACUUGCUGAAAAAACCUUGCCAUCCUCUGUUACCUCUGUAUCCAUCUCCACCACGCUUCUAGGUGACCUCUUCUCCACCUCUGCUUUAAAACUAUACAACAUCCUAAAUGUAUUUUCCCAGUCACCAUACAAUGAUUUCAUGGCCCUUUGUUUUGCUUUCCACACUAUGGUAUAUUGCAGUUGGAUGGGGUAUAGCUUCUCCAAGUCAACUUUAAGCCUCUUUGUAGUACUGUUUGGAGUCUUGGCUAAAAUAGGAGUAAUCUUCUCUGUAAUCCAAAGUUGUGAUGUCAUCUUUGAAACUCUCUGUGAAGUGGUCAUACAUGUAUGCUCGUGUGGUAUUUGAUUUACCGUUACUCUACUUCCAUCAGGUUGUAGUCUGGCAGAUAUGUACCAUUUGCAAGCAUUGCCACCACCAUCAUAACCUUUGCACCGAGCAUAAAAUUUCUUUCGAUCAGUCCACAUAUUCUUGGCCUCGAACUCUUUUUUCACUGCAUAGGUCCUGAAAGACAUCCUAAACUCAACCAUGCUUGGCCACAACUUUCCCACCUCAAUAACUGGGUUCUCUUUGUCAGACAAACAAACCAGCUCAUUAUCAUUUGUAUCAUCCACAUCAUCUGCAGCCAUUCUCAUCAGCUCUUGUUCAUCCUUAUUUGCAUUUCUAGGCCCGUGUUACCACCAGCAGGCAAAGAAUUGUCAUCCUUCUCCUUAUCUUUGUCAUCAACUUGAAUGCCAAACAUUUCAACCAUAUCAAUGUCAGAUAUUGGUGCAAUUACCAAAUCUGUUUUUUCAUUGGACUCUACUACAUUCCAGUCAACAACAAUCUUCCUAGCACCAUGGGUUCCCUCCUCUCCAUCUGCAUCAAUCCCUGUAUCAUCAUCUAGUACAGUCGGUUCAGUCAACAAUGCCAACAUACUAUUCUUUUGUGAAACCCACACAUCAUCUUCCAACUGUGCAGCCAUCUUUGAUGGCACAUAACCAACUCUGGAAUUAGUUUGCAGAUCAAUUAGCUCUGCAUAAAAUGUUACUUGUUUGCAUGCCCACCGUUCUUGCUGAUCAAUUUCAGCAACCAUGGAUUCUCCAUCUUCAAUUCUAACAUAUUCACCAUAAUAGUUGUCGAAACGUUGCAGAGAUAUCUCUUGUUCUGGACCCCAAACAAUACUCUCCCCAAUUCUCUCCACCAAAUUUCCCACGGCCUUCUCCUUCAUGCCCUCUAAGUCCUGGGGAUCAACAUCUGCACUUCGACAUCCAACCUCACGGAGGUAUCUCUAUAAAUGUCUUGGACACUGCCAUCACUAAGCUUGGUUUUACAGGAAAAAAUGCACUAUAAUUGCGAAUGUGGUGGUAGAACCAGAACCUCCCCUGUUUUGUCAAUGGCGGGCAGCGGCAGUGUAAGACGGUCACUAUCAAAUCGAGUUUGAUAACAGCUAAAAGAGAAAAGAGGGAGGGGCGGCAUUACCGAUUUGAAGCACUGUCUCCUCGCUCCAUCUAAUUCAGCCCACGCGCUCCUAUCCAAUCGAGAUUCUAAAUCGCCAAGAAAUAGAGCAUGAGGCCACAGAUCUAUCCAAAAAUCUGGGGAUUGGGACUAGGGUUUCGAAAAUACUCACUCGCAAUAGAUCUGCCGCUGCCGAGACAGGCGCUCCACCACCGCGAAGAAGAAACUGCUACCUCUGCCGGAGAAGAUGCACACGGCGGCGCUGCUCGCCCAGUCGUGCACGAUCGAGUCGAGUAUGGUCAGACAGUCACCGAUCGAGUAGUGGACGGUUGACUCUUGACGACGUGGCCGUAGGUGGACCCCACCAGUCAAAGCACAUUCCUAACCAAAUCUCAGCCUAACUAACAGCCAGCCAGCCCCGUAAACGGGUUGAGUUGCUUAAGCUAUUUCUGCGCUGGAAGAUGUCGCAUGAGAGCCAUUACAACCAACGACGUCGCAUGAGAGAUAAUUCAACUCAACGACGUCGGAUGGGAGCUAAUGGCCCCUUCCUUUUUUGUGGGCUAGAUUCAACGAUGAUACAAAAUCAUGAUGGACUCACCAUACGUAAUUUAUGAGUUCACUCGGGACGACAUGGACAGAGCAAAAUGGACAACAGAGGAUUCUAAAACUUUAGCUAUGGAUUAAAACAAAGUCUUACCUUGCUUGGACACCCAAUUAAGUAGCAUUUCUACUCACAAAAAAAAAAGCAUUUCCAACACUUUUGUAGUCCAAUGAAUAAUUGUGAAUAAAACAUAUAAAAGGUCAUGAUGACACACAUCACACAUGCAGCAAAUAUAUGUUAAUUACCUGCAUGAAAUGUUAUAAAAUGAAGCACCAAAGUUUACAAGCAAGCAUAAUUGGUUGACAAGUUUGUAUUAUAUAAAAGUGGAUAAAGGAUGUACGAUUAACAUUCGUCGUGCCUGUGCCACUGAACCUAAAUCGCCCAUCAACAAAGGAACUUCUUCGUGCACCUUUGAAGCGUUACCCGUCGGAAUAUGAAGCGAAAAGAAUAAUAGAGUACAUGCAAGGCUGGAAAAGGAUUUGUGGCAAUCCCACAUUGACACGGACGACUGAAAUUUUCGGCACACACAACGCAUCCAACGGCCAUGCCUCUUACACUAAUCCGGGGAGAUAAGGAAACCAGGCAACCAACAAACGCCAGCCACCCCUUCCACAUCUUGAUUAAAGAUAGGAGCUCACAUGGCUAUAUAUACCGUGGUGAACAGGCAAUGGGGGCCUCAAGUGUAGCCGGCAUCCUCCUCUCUACAGUUAAUACAGUACCAUGGCCCCCGCCGUGAUGGCUUCGUCGGCUACCACCGUCGCACCCUUCCAGGGGCUCAAGUCCACAGCUGGUCUCCCUGUCAGCCGCCGCUCCAGCGCCAGCCUCGGCAGCGUCAGCAAUGGCGGAAGGAUCAGGUGCAUGCAGGUAUGUCGGGGCACAAAACUGAUAUGAGUUUCUUCCACAUUACAAUUACUGCACUUAGCAGUUACUAGCACUAAGUGUUAAGCGUUCCAUAAUUUCCAAUCAUUCAGGUGUGGCCGAUUGAGGGUAUCAAGAAGUUCGAGACCCUGUCUUACUUGCCACCCCUCACCACGGAGGCCCUCCUGAAGCAGGUUGACUACCUGAUCCGCUCCAAGUGGGUGCCCUGCCUCGAGUUCAGCAAGGUUGGCUUCGUCUUCCGUGAGCACAACAGCUCCCCCGGGUACUACGACGGCCGAUACUGGACAAUGUGGAAGCUGCCUAUGUUUGGGUGCACCGACGCUACACAGGUGCUUAACGAGGUGGAGGAGGUCAAGAAGGAGUACCCUGACGCUUACGUACGUAUCAUCGGCUUCGACAACCUGCGGCAGGUGCAGUGCGUCAGCUUCAUCGCCUUCAGGCCACCGGGUUGCGAGGAGUCCGGCAAGGCAUAAACUACGAGGUGAAAGAAUGGCCUAUGUCGUAUGAAGGUCNGCAAGGCUGGAAAAAGGAUUUGUGGCAAUCACACAUUGACAUGGACGACUGAAAUUUUCGGCACACACAACGCAUCCAACGGCCAUGCCUCUUACACUAAUCCGGAGAGAUAAGGAAACCAGGCAACCAACAAACGCCAGCCACCCCUUCCACAUCUUGAUUAAAGAUAGGAGCUCACAUGGCUAUAUAUACCGUGCUGAACAGGCAAUGGGGGCCUCAAGUGUAGCCGGCAUCCUCCUCUCUACAGUUAAUACAGUACCAUGGCCCCCGCCGUGAUGGCUUCGUCGGCUACCACCGUCGCACCCUUCCAGGGGCUCAAGUCCACAGCUGGUCUCCCUGUCAGCCGCCGCUCCAGCGCCAGCCUCGGCAGCGUCAGCAAUGGCGGAAGGAUCAGGUGCAUGCAGGUAUGUCGGGGCACAAAACUGAUAUGAGUUUCUUCCACAUUACAAUUACUGCACUUAGCAGUUACUAGCACUAAGUGUUAAGCGUUCCAUAAUUUCCAAUCAUUCAGGUGUGGCCGAUUGAGGGUAUCAAGAAGUUCGAGACCCUGUCUUACUUGCCACCCCUCACCACGGAGGCCCUCCUGAAGCAGGUUGACUACCUGAUCCGCUCCAAGUGGGUGCCCUGCCUCGAGUUCAGCAAGGUUGGCUUCGUCUUCCGUGAGCACAACAGCUCCCCCGGGUACUACGACGGCCGAUACUGGACAAUGUGGAAGCUGCCUAUGUUCGGGUGCACCGACGCUACAC